CCAGGCCAUCCACAAUGUUGUUCAUGCUAUUAUUCUGCAUCAACAACAAAAACAACAACAACAACAACCAUCGAGCCAGGUCUCCUUCCAACAGCCUCAACAACAAUAUCCAUUAGGCCAGGGCUCCUUCCGGCCAUCUCAGCAAAACCCACAGGCCCAGGGCUCUGUCCAGCCUCAACAACUGCCCCAGUUCGAGGAAAUAAGGAACCUAGCGCUACAGACGCUACCUGCAAUGUGCAAUGUCUACAUCCCUCCAUAUUGCACCAUCGUGCCAUUUGGCAUCUUCGGUACUAACUGAGAAGAAAAUAACUCUAGUACUAGAUAUAUGAAACACCGUUUUCUCAGUCCAUGGUUUGGUCAUUGUAGCGGUGAAAAAAUAAUGUGACAUGCACUAUCAUGUAAGAACCCGAACUAUACUAGUUCAAACUUGGGAAUAAAAGACAAACACAGGUCUUGUCUACAUAUUUAUGUUGCAUUUAUCUAAAGAUAACAAAAUGAGUCUAAAAUUUGAAUUAAAUUGAAGUAUUUUCUUGGACUUUAAUUUGCACAUUAAUUAGAAAUUACUAUCCCUCGAUCUGGUAAAUCUUAACAAAUAGAAUUAUCUUGACCGUUAGAUUUAUGUAACAUAUAUAAUGCUCUGGGCCUCCAACGACUGUACGUGACACAUCUGAACGCACAUAUGUUAAAGAAAAUAUAUUUUGUAAAUGGUGGGCCUCUUUAAAAAGAGAACUUACGUACAUACACCAACUAAGAAAAACACAUACAUGUAAAUGGGAAAAGGAUGAGAUUUUCUCACGUACAUGUGUUGAUGCUUAAAAGUGGCACGAUCAUAAAGCAGCAUGCCGGGGCGAAAACCUUGCCGGGGUAAAAUCUUGCUGGUGUGAAAGCUUGCCGGUGUGAAGGCUUGCCGGCGUGGAAACCUUGCCGGCACAGAAAGAUCGCCGGUGCUUGCCGGUGUGAAAUCUUGCCGGGGGAGAAACCUUGUCAGGGAGGAACCCUUGCCGGAGUACAAACCUUGCCGGAGUGAAACCUUGCCGGUGUGAAAGCUUGCCGGGUAGAAACUUUGCCGGUGUGGAAAGCUUACUCGGAUGGAAAACUUGCCGGGUUGGAGGCUGAGAUAGUCAAUCGAACGAGAAGUUGAAGAUGGGCUCAAAAGGUUAUUCAGAUGAUCUCGGAUGGAAAAAUGAUCUACAGGGUUGUCUUCGUCUCGUCGAAACGAUCGAUUUUGAUAUAAAAAUCAUUCAAAUCCGAGUUCGUAUGCAAAAGUUAGAGCAAUCAGAGUGCAGCCCUGUCACGAGGCGAGAUGUGGCACGCCCACCAGACACAUGUCUGACGGGUAGUGUGAGGAAAUAGCCUGUGUUGCGAGACCGAUCUGACCCUCAAGAUGACCUCUGAUCAAAAAACCUUCAACAUGAAAGUUGUUCGUCUCGUCGAAACGGUCAAGAUUGCUUUUGGGCUUGUUUUCAUCCGGAAUCGUUUACCACCGCAAAAAAGACCCGCAAGGUGCAGCCAGUUUUAACCGAACAGUUUUGGAAAGUUUGGAUAAACCAGUCCGAAUUUGACUAAUGUUUUGGACGUGAAUUGAUGUAAUUUUCUUGUAAGGAAAGCCUAGAUAAAUUCUUGGCUUGUACGGGAAGUCCAGCUGCCUCUUAUAUAUGUUGGGGGUGGCGGCCGAUUGAAACAACACAUAAUCGAACAAACACAUAUACUACUUUUUCGUGUUCAUCUACUUUUUAUCUCUCCCUUGUAUCUUUCUUCUCGUUCUUCGCUAGUUCUUCAUGCUGGAGGGCUGCGGAUCCACGAGGCUCUAGGGGCGAGUGAAUCGACCUAGGGCAGCCCAUAGCCGCCGCAAUCCCUGACGGGGUCCCUCCCGGGUGCGCGGGGUUUCGGGUCUGCAAAAGCGCCCGCCGACUGCCUUGCGUAUCACGCUGUCGGUCGGGUCUCCUUCGACGUGAGCUACGGUGCAUCACCCCCGGCGUCGAGGGUAAACGUGACAUGUUCGUGUGCGAACACACUUUUUGGCGACUCCGCUGGGGACGAAGCUCUGAACAGUCUCCAGCCUGUUCUUGCUACGAGGAGAGCGUCACCAAGCGGCUGCAAUCUACAACGGUAACAUGUAUCGUCAAUCUCCUUGCGUAGAUGCAAAUAGCCAUUAUGUUGAUGUUGCUAGAUCUUUCAACGGACAUGUGAUGUCGGCCAGCCCUAAUGAGGAAAGGCCGACUAGUUAUUCCAUUGGAGAAACUUGGAAUUUACAGAAUCGUGACAUGCAACUUAUGAAUCUGAACUUUCGUGCAUCGGCAACAACUUUCAAUAUGCCGGUGAACAACACGAUUUGUUCGAGUGAUCAAUAUAGGACACCUCAUGUACAGGAGGGUAUCUCAAAGUUUUAUCCAUCGGCAGCCGGCUCGCAAUAUGCGGGUUCAUCCCCAAACAUGCCGAUGAAUGGGGGAAUCGGUCAUGCUUUUGUUAGCUAUUUGGCCGGUUAUCCUCAAACAUCAUAUACUACACCUCAUCAGAUUAAUUGUUCAAUGGCGUAUGAAACUAAAAAUAUUCAUAACUCGGCUCACGUUCACGGUCAUGGCCGAGUGAAUGGAGAUACUAUAGGAGCAUAUGUGCCUAAUAUUGCAGGAGAUGAGGUGGCUCUGGCUGCAUUAAAAAUUUUAGCCCAAAAUAAGAAGAUUAGUGCUAUUUUCCUUGAGCAACACGACAAGGGAUUGGUUCCUGAUUAUGAGGCAAUAAGAGCUAGGGUUUUGAAAGAAGACCAAGUGUUGCCGAUUGAUCAAAUUGUCGAGAGAAAAUAUUCAACAACGAUGCACAUGCCUUCACCUAUCAUUGCAGCAUGUUAUACACCCCCUGUACAAGCGCAAAAUUUCGGCAACAUUAAUUCAUUGCCGAAAGAUCCUAAAAGUAUUGGGGGGCAAGCCGAUCCAAGCAGGGUUGAGUUUAAAGAAAAAUAUCUAGCCCAAGUGGACAAGAUCAAGCCAAAGCUCACAGGGAAUAGAGUCAACGAAUUUACUACACCUACCCUUGAGGAAUUACCAGCAGAAUAUCGACAGGCCUACGAAGCACUCAAGAAGAAACGUGGAGAGGGAUAUUUGCAAGAAUACUUCAAGUGCCUUCCUCCAUGUAGCAACCAUGUUGGCCCUUCUACACUGUUGAGGCAAGAUAAAAAAAGAAGCUUUGCAAGCAAACCAGCAAAAAAGGAUUCACUCGGCUAAUACGGUGGAUUCGGUUGAAACCGGAUUGAGCAACGGGAUGUUUAAGGCCGAGUGCGUUGCAUCGUGCCAGCCGAGUGCAUCGUUCCAGACGAGUGCAUCACCAGCUAAAGCCGAGUGCAUCAAGCCAACUAUUGCCUCGUGUACGAAAAUAGAAGAUGCAAGCUUGGCUGAGCAAAGGAACAACAAACGCAACAAAUUGGUUGUGCUCGAUUUUUCUGGAUCUAAGGGAGCUUACAUGCUACCUUAUGAGUUUCGUGCUAAAGAUAUUGAUGAGCAUCAAGAACACAGUAAUGGCUGAACACAGUUCAGUUAACGAUGAACAUCAAGACCAAGAAAAUGCGGCCGAGCAAAGUUCAACUGACAAAGAGCGUCCGAGUGAAAUCCACUCGGGCAAUCCGACUGAAAUAUACUCGGGCAAUUCGAGUGAAAUAUACUCAGGCAAUCCGAGUGAUGAGGCACCAGAUCCAGAAAAAGAGGAAGAGGCAUUGGAGAAUUAUUCAUAAGUGGAGCAAUGUAUUGUUCCAGUGGUGCAACCAUCUUCUCCUUCCAAUGUCUUCACAAAGGUACACCUAGAAGAUAGUUUACUCAAUUUUCAAUUCGGUCAAAAUGAUAUUGUUGAUGUACCUAUUAGUAAGAUUCUAAUUAAUUUUGAAAGACCAAUUGAAAUGAGUAAUCUUUUUGUUAGGAAGGAUCUUGUCACUAAUCAUGAUAGUCAACACAUGGUAUCGUUCAUAGAGGCUAAUAGUGACAACUUAUCAAAACCAAAGUUGUUCUUGUCAUGCCAACUGAACUUUGUAUUCAUAUGGACAACUUUGUUUGUUUCAUGCCCGGCUAACAUUUGGACUCGUAUGAGCCGUAUAUUCUGUAAUUAUUUUAGUUGCAGAAACAUAAAGCCAGGUCCAAAGUCCUUCGAAGCCAAUUCAAAUGCAUCAGGAAAAGAAGAUGAAUCUUUCCCAAUUGAUAAAAUUGGCGAGCAAAAAUAUGGUUUUACAACAAUGCAUAUGCCUUCACCUAAUACUACAUCAUAUUAUACAGCCCCUACACAAUUGCAAAGUUUCGGCAACACCCAUGUGCCAUUGCCGAAAGAGUCUAAAAGCAAUGGGGGACAAUCGUAUCCGAAGUGGGCUGAAAAUGAGAAAAAGAUUAAAGCCAAUUUCGCCACUCGCCGCCAGAAACAAAAAGAAACAGAAUUGGCUCAAGUGAAAGAAGCAUUGCCAAUUGGUAGAAGCAAUGUAAAGAAAGAUGAUUCAGAACAUGAAAGUACUCCGGUUAAAAGAGCCGAAUCAAGAAGUAUAUAUUCUGAAUCCAUCAAAUGCAAAGAGGCAAGCAUUAUUGAGAAAGGGCAUGGCAAGCAUAGCAAAGCGACCAUACUUGAUUUUUCUAAAGUUAAUGGAACCUACUUCCUGCCCUAUGAGUUUCGUGCCAGAGAAUUUUGAUGAACUUCAAGGACAAGAACAAGUAGCCGAACAAAGUUCGGCCGACAAAAAUCUUCAAUGUAAUGAUGCACGGAAUCAAGAAAAAGAUGAUGAAGAAGCGUUGGGGGGCCAUCCAAAGGCGGAGCAAGAUAUUGUUCAAGUCACACCACCAUCGUGCUCUCCCAACAUAUUUGAAGAGGUAUGUUUAGCAAGUAAUUUACUUAUUUUCAGAUUUGGUCAGGACUUUAUUGUUGAUGCAUCUAUUGGAAAAAUCCUCAUAAGUAAUUUUGAAAGACCAAUGAAGAAGGGUAAUUUACUUGCUAGCAAUAAAGUUGUUAUUGAGCAUAUCGGUCAACCCAUUACGCCAUUUAUAAAGACCGAUAGUGACUUAUUAUUACAGCCAAAGCUUUCCCCGUUGCUUUAUCUAAAGUUCAUAUCUAUUUGGGUAGCUUUGCUUAUUUCAUACUUGGCUUGCACUUGGUCUCAAUUGAGACAUGUGUGUUCUAACUAUUUUCGUUUUAGAAAUUUAAAGCCAAGAUUAAAUUCUGUUGAGAAAACCGAUGCUAGUAUAAUAUCUUACCCAAAGACAUCGGAGAUAGAGUGCAAAACACAAUGCAUAGCCGAAUGGUGUGAUGCAAAAUCUGAACCAUUCGUUUGCUUAAUUCCAAAGCCGUUCUCACAGCAAGAUCGGCUAGAAAACAAGAAGUAUACCUUCAAUUCAAGCAUGUGUGUUCAAAUAUUUGAUUUGUUGCUGAAAAAUAAUUACAUUACAAUUCUUGAUCACCAUGUUAAGCCAUCAAUCCAAGGACGAAUGUAUUGUAAGUUGCAUGAUUCGUCCAAGCAUGAUUUUGAGGAUUGCAACAUGUUUCGUCAAAUAGUUAAAUCGGCCAUUGAAAAAGGACGAUUGAAGUUUGUUGAAACACCAAGAGAUGACCAGUCUAUUCCGAUUGGUCCCGAUGGCAAAAAGUUUUUGCAUCGGCUGCUUCGAGCCGAUCCAUUUAAAGAGAAGGUAAAAACUGCAGGUGAUGGGAUCAAGCUUUCAACUAAAGAAGUUGUUGAAGAGCAUAAUGAACAUAAUCUUGAGGGUGAGAAUUCCAUCGAAGCUACAAUGGAGACGCCAAGGACUGGGGGGCAGCAAGCAAAUCCAACGAUCGAUGAAAGCAAACCAAAAGAAAACAAAGGCCGAAAUAAGCGCAAGUGUAAAAUAUCAAAAAUCACCUUCGCUGAACUAUUGGAGAAAUAUCAAAAGAAGAGUGAAGAGAAGAAUGCUUAUCGGCCCAAUCAUGCAAAGAAACCAAAAUCACCCCCAAGGCGCAAAUAUGAGGAUCCGUAUUGGCAAAGUGAGAGUUUCAAUGCAACAUAUUCAUAUCCUUAUUUUGGGCCGCCAAUGACAAUGCCGUGGAUGCCUCCCUAUACUCAUGUAGAUCCAUGUUCAUCAUGGGACAGGUAUGAUACAAGGGCACAUUCUCCAUCUUAUUUUAGACCAUCUCACCAAUAUUAUGCAGCUCCGAGAAGAUCAACAUUUGAACAGUCACAUGUUAAAGAUCGUUUCAAUUAUAAGGAAUCGGUCCGGACACCAUGGAUGAAAAAAGAGGUGGUCAACCAAGUCUACCGCGUGAAAAGAGAUGGUCGUAAGUGUGCUACUUCAGAUUUGAUCUCAAAUAAUAAAGAGCCAAUUAAAGUGUUGACAUUGUCUACAAAAGGCAAUGAGACGAAGCAACCAAUUAUUGAGAGUCAAAGUGCCAAAUCAGAAGAAAAGAAGUUGAGAGUGCACAAGGUCAAAAAGGAAUUGCCAUUGGUCAGAACAGAAUCAUAGCCGAGAUGCCCACUCGGCUUAUCGUAUUGGCAAAAGAGGGAAUUACACAAACUUAGUGCACAAGAACUUGAAGAAAGGAACAUGGCAUGGGUUCCCAAAGGAAGUGCUCAAAAUAAGAAUUAUGUGCAUGCCUCCAUUACAAGAAGUGCGGCAAAAGUGAAGAAGGAAAAGAGUAAAAACUAUGAAGGACCAAGCCGAAGGAUUCAACAUCUUUGGUCUACACAUUAUCCAUAUUCUUCAACUAUGCCAUUAACGCCUAUGCCAUGGAAUUCGUCAUCAGGUAUGAUUGGUAACCCUCAAUGGGCUUAUUUUAAUCCAUGGAUGCAAUAUAAUUUCUUACGUCAUGAAAGGGUAUUACCAAGUCACUAUACAUUUGAUUAGCUACAAGUUUGUUGCUGAUCCAGAGGGCCGAAAUACUUGAUUUGUCAUUUCAUUUGUUUAUUUCGGCUAUAUGUGCUUUGAAUGAAGUUUACAUGGUAAUGGCCGAUGAUAUUUAUCUAUCGUCCUAAGAGUAUGUCAAUUCAUGCCCGGUGUAGUAUUCUAAUAUCAUCCUUAGUUUGAUGGAGAGCGAGACAAGGUACAUGCUCAUGAAAAUUUAUAUGUAUGCCUAUAUUAUGAUUGAAUGGAGUUGAGACAUCAUGACCGAUGUCAUUGAAUAUAUGCUGCAUAGACCAAUUCAUAGCUGCAGAAUUGGUUGGUGGGCUUAUACUUUGUUUGGAUAUGAUUUGGCUUAUGCAUCUUUGAGAUCUAUAAGAGGCCAAAUCAUAGUUGAUUUUGUUACUGAACAUCGGAUUAGUGUCAUGCAUAAUAUUAAUAUUAUCCUUGUCUCUCUAGUACUAUGGAGAUUAUGUUUUGAUGGUUCAAUUCAUAGCAAUGGCCAAAGUGUUGGUGUUGUUUAUAUAUUUCUUUAUGGUACUAUUUUUUGAAGCCUCGUGCCGCUUAGAAUAUUUUUAUGCACGAUUAAUCAAGGCCGAAUAUGCAUUGUUAUUCGGAUUGACUCUUUUACUUGCUGUAGGUGUUAUACAGAUUGAGGCUUUUGGUGAUUCGUUAUGAGUAGUGCAACAAAUAUCCAAGGAUUAUCAAUGUGUUUUGACGAAUCACUUAUAGUUUAUCUUGGGUUUGUCUAGAUGAAGAAUUUACCUUGGGUUGCAUUAAAUUUUUUCAUAUAUUUAGACAUGACAAUUGGAGAGAGUUGGCAUAGCAAGCAUCCGGCUACCAUGUCCAUCAUGUUGUAUUGCGUUUCUCUCAAUAGCCGAUGCUUAGUCUUGUCAACAUAGGUAAGGCCGAACCGAAGUCUAGAACUUCGGACACUAAUGAAAUUUUUAUGCAGGCGAAAGUAAGGAUUGGAGAAAGUUUAUUGUUGAUUGUCUACAAAAUCCUAGCAAAAGGGUGAACAAUAUGGUUCGGAGUAUGACAUUGAGAUACAUAUCUAUGGAACUUUAUCACCGGAUUGUUAAUGAAGCUGAGAAGGUUUCACCCAAGUUUGCAUCAGAAAGUUCACACAAGACAUGGCCGAUAUAUACUUAUCGUCCUAAGAACAUAUAAAUGGCCGAUGGAGUGUUGACAUCGUCCUUAGAACAAACUUGGUACAAGUAUUUUUCGGCAUGCUAGCUUUACCGAAAAACGGGAGGGCAUGUGUUGACGCUCAAAAGUGGCACGAUCAUAAAGCAGCAUGCCGGGGCGAAAACCUUGCCGGGGUAAAAUCUUGCCGGUGUGAAAGCUUGCCGGUGUGAAGGCUUACCGGCGUGGAAAGCUUGCCGGCACAGAAAGAUCGCCGGUGCUUGCCGGUGUGAAAUCUUGCCGAGGGAGAAAUCUUGUCAGGGAGGAACCCUUGCCGGAGUACAAACCUUGCCAGAGUGAAACCUUGCCGGUGUGAAAGCUUGCCGGGUAGAAACAUUGCCGGUGUGGAAACCUUACUCGGAUGGAAAACUUGCCGGGUUGGAGGCUGUGAUAGUCAAUCGAACGAGAAGUUGAAGAUGGGCUCAAAAGGUUAUUUAGAUGAUCUCGGAUGGAAAAAUGAUCUACACGGGUUGUCUUCAUCUCGUCCAAACGAUCGAUUUUGAUAUAAAAAUCGUUCAAAUUUGAGUUUGUAUGCAAAAGUUAGAGCAAUCGGAGUGCAGCCCUGUCACGAGGCGAGAUGUGGCGCCCCCCACCAGACACAUAUCUGACGGGUAGCGCGAGGAAAUAGCCUGUGUUGCGAGACCGAUCUGACCCUCAAGAUGAUCUCUGAUCAAAAAACCUUCAACAUGAAAGUUUUUCGUCUCGUCGAAACAGUCAAGAUUGCUUUUGGGCUUGUUUUCAUCCGGGAUCGUUUACCACCGCAAAAAAGACCCGCAAUGUGCAGCCAGUUUAAACCGAACAGUUUUGGAAAGUUCGGAUAAACCAGUCGGAAUUUGACUAGGGUUUUGGACGUGAAUUGAUGUAAUUUUCUUGUAAGGAAAGCCUAGAUAAAUUCUUUGCUUGUACGGGGAGUCCAGCCGCCUCUUAUAUAUGUUGGGGGUGACGGCCGAUUGAAACAACACACAAUCGAACAAACACAUCUACUACUUUUUCGUGUUCAUCUACUUUUUAUCUCUCCCUUGUAUCUUUCUUCUCGUUUUUCGCAAGUUCUUCAUGCUGGAGGGCUGCGGAUCCACGAGGCUCUAGGGCCGAGCGAAUCGACCUAGGGCAGCCCAUAGCCGCCGCAAUCCCUAACGGGGUCCCUCUCAGGUGCGCGGGAUUUCGGGUCUACAAAAGCGCCCGCCGACUGUCUUGCGUAUCGCGCUGUCGGUCGGGUCUCCUUCGACGUGAGCUGCGGUGCAUCACCCCCGGCGUCAAGGUUACAUGUGACGUGUUCGUGUGCGAACAACGUGCUCCCUGGCUCCACCCCGUUGAAAAAAUAUACAUUUGGAGGCCACUUUGUUUCCUCAUCAAAAAAAACUUACGUUAAAAAGAUUGCAUGCAUCCCAGGGAAAGUAAUCAAGAAGAAGUCGGACUCUUCCUUACAAAAACAAGGAACGUGUUAAGUUAACUUCAAAGAAAAAGGAACAUGUUAAGUUAAAAAAAAGAAGAAACAUGUUAAGUUAGAAAAAAACAAGGAACGUGUUGUCCUAGGAAAGAUAUGUGUCAAAUCUUACAAAAAAAAGAAUACACACACGUACGUUCAUGCACUUGGAAAAUAGAAAAAAAAGGAACAUCACGUAUGUAUACACUUCGGAAACUCAUUACAUGACCAUGUCUGAUAUACUCAUCUAAUGCUUAAUAUUAGUGCCUAAUAAUUUAUAUUUAAAAUUUAAUUUACUGAUCAAAUAUCCCCAAUGUUUAAAUUUUAAUUUGGCACAUUGUUUGGCUAUAGUAUGAACCUAAAUUUCCUCUUAUUAUUAUAUAUCAUGAUAAUAAUCCAAAGGCGACUAAUCUGCGCUGGUGCACCGGGGCAAUCAAUUCGGCCGGACACAGCGCGGCCUUUUGAUUAGAUUGCAUUUAACCGUCUGAUCUGGAAUUGUUUUCUUUCCAAUUAAACGGAUUCAACCAAACAGCAGAGGGGAAAACAAAGCAGCGCCGCCGCCAACACUAGCCAUGGACGAUCGAUGUAGCAAAACCUUGAAGAACCGCCGCCGGUCGCCACCCUCGCCGCUGGUGGCCGCCCUCGCCAUCGGUCACCGCCGGUCGCCGCCCUCGCCGCCUGCGUUUCUCAUCGGCUUCAUGCAUGCAACAACAUGCACUCGUGGUUGCAGGCUUGCAGCUCCGGCUCCGGGGGACAUGGCCGCAUCUCCGGUAACGCCGGCCGCCAACCAUAGCACCUGUCAUUGUGGUCGCGUUGUACCUCACCGUGUGCCCUCCCAAGGCUCUUGCUGGUUCCAACAAAAAACGAUACCUGUUGUAGCAAAAAAGUUUAUCGCUUCCAGCAAAAAAGCUUUCCGCUACAGCCCGCCAUUGUCAUUGUAGCAAAAAUGUUAACCCGAUGUAGCUUUUGUGGUUGCCGACUGCAACAAAAAAUGACAUGGUUGAAGCAAAACACAAAAGAAAAACGCCGGCCGGCCGCUGUGUAUGGUGGUAACAAACCCUAUAGCCGGUGGUAGCGAAAAACUUCAUAGUUUGCAGCAAAAAAAUGUUGUCGCCCGUCGUCGAGGUUGCAUCAUCUUCAUGAAUUAUGUCGCAAAAAAACAUUGUCGCCGGUAGUAGCAAAUGAAGCCGCCCGGUAGUAGCAAAACAAGACACUGGUUCCAGCCAAAAAAAAUCAGCGACAGAACCUUUGGUUGGUUCCAACAAAAAAACUUGUCGGUUGUAACAUCCCUCGCCGCCGGAUGUAGCAUCUCCCGGGGCUGGUUGCAACACUCUAAAAAAAAGUUGUCUAAGAGCGCAUCCAUGGCGACUGCUGCACCGUCAGCAACGAGGGGAAGAGGAGGCAAUGAAAAUCGUUCGAGUCGUAGCUCCACAGGACGCGGCUGCAGCAUGGGGAGUCCAAAAAUCUGUCACAAGCAACAUGCGCCUCGCCAUCCUCCUGCGUAGGAGAGAGAAGAAAAAGGAAUAAGAGGAAGAAGAAAGGAAACGGGAGAAAGAAAAAAGAAACGAUUGGUGGUGGGCUGAGGCAAUUAGUCAAACGAGGGGCACGCGGGGCCGCAGGAUACAGCGCAAUCGAACGAAGCACGCGCGUCCGGCCGAAGACUCGGCCGGACUGCCGGCUGGAAACGUUUCCCUAAUCCAAAGGCUUUGUCUGAAUGACAAGUCGUCUAGGUUACCGGCUAACUAGAAAAAAGAUAAAUAUGCUAGAGAAUUUCAUAAUAAUUAGAAAUAUCUAGCCUUUAAUUAUGUAAAUCAGAAAAUCACAACCGUAGGAUUUACUUUAAAGGUAAAUUUCUCUAAAUUCCCACCAUUGCCAGUAUGUAGAAACAUGUGCUGCUUCAAUUCUCCCAUAAUCACCAAUCAAUCAACAACACAAAACAUACCUCAGUUAAAAAAAACUGAACAAAAAAAAGAAAAAAAGAAGAAAGGACAAGAUACACGCAUGUACACGACAGCCUUGGCUUGAAACACAUCAGUAGAUCAAGUGUCCGCCUCCCUUACACAGAAUAAAUUCUAGGGAAGAAAAUAAUAGUGCAACCUAACCUUAUACGUACUAUUCUAUCCUCACGUCCCAUGAGGUUUACUAGCCUACCGCCGCCGCAUCAUGCCAUCCUCUCCUUUCAGCUCCCAUGCUCUCCAGCAUCCUCCUUGCCGCGCCACUACUCGCCUAGGAAUAUUGCUGCUCAGACCGCGGAGCUUAACCUGCUUCUUCUUCAGCAAAUAUGGAACUGCUUUAGGAUCCUUCUCACAUCAGCACGUAUGGGCCUCAUUAUACUGCAGCUCCUGGACCUCCUACAAUUGGUUGGCUAUGGCCAGUUGAUCGAUGUGCUGAAGUCUAGGUCUGUUUGCUGGCACAUAUGCUUUGGAAAUAGGCCACUAUGUUUGUACUUCAAAAUUGUUUCGGUAUUCUUGAGUGGUACAUCCUUUUAAGUGCCAGUUUUUUAUGUUAAUUCGACAACACUUAACCUAGCCUUUCAUGUUCACGUACUAAAUACAGGAGCAAGUAAAAAAAACAGACCACCUAAUUGCUCUGCAAGUUCUACAUAGGAAAAUUUGUCAUGUUCUACGAUCGCACCAUCCCACCCUUCUCUCUUGGUAUGGGCGCCAAUUGAGGGAUUGAUAAAACUGAAAUGAAGACGUCACAGGGCUGGAAGUACCGCUAGCCUGGUUUGCACUGCAACCUACCCAACGCCAUCAGAAACUAGCAACUGAGGCAGGUGUUGAUCGAUUCUCUCAAAUUGCUCUCAUGUAAGUACUACCCCUUGCAUGUGCGUACAUACCUUUGUUGCAUUCUCAAACAGAUAGAACAUGUAUGAUCGGUGCAUGGCUAUUUUUAGGUAUAGCGACUGCACAACUUCUUCAACUCCAUAUGAUGCUAGUGUAUUGCAUCGAAAGAAUCAACGGAUUGCUAGAGAUCAACUGAGGUAUUCUCAUAUUAUUGGCUCGCUUAUGUAUUUGACGACUGCCACGAGGCCUAACAUCUCGUUUGCUGUUAGCAAGCUGAGUCGGUUUGUGUAAAAACCAGGAGAUGAUCAUUGCCAUGCGCUUGAGAGAGUUAUGCGCUAUUUGAAAGGCACCGCGAGCAAUGGGAUUCACUACACCGGGUAUCCAAGGGUACUGGAGGGUUAUAGUGACUCAAACUGGAUAUCUGAUGCUAAUGAGAUUAAGGCCACAAGUGGUUAUGUUUUUACACUUGGUGGUGGCACUGUUUCUUGGAAGUCCUGCAAACAGACCAUCUUAAUGAGGUCAACUAUGGAAGCGGAACUCACAGCAUUAGAAACUACCACUGUUGAAGCAGAGUGGCUUCGUGAGUUCUUGAUGGACUUACCUAUAGUUGAAAAACCAAUACCCCCUAUCCCUAUGAACUGUGAUAAUCAAACUGUGAUUGUCAAGAUAAACAGUUCUAAGGACAAUAUGAAGUCCUCAAGGCAUGUGAAGAGGAGACUGAAAUCUGUCAGAAAAUUGAGGAACUCCGAAGUUAUUACGUUGGAUUAUAUCAAAACGUCGAAAAAUUUGGCUGAUCCCUUCACAAAGGGUCUAUCACGUAAUGUGAUAGAUAAUGCAUCGAUGGAGAUGGGUCUGAGACCCACCGCAUGAGUUGUCCAUAGUGGUAACCCACUCUAUGUGAUCGGAGAUCCCGUGAAGUAGAAGUGGGAGACAAGUUGUUGGUCAGCUGGGAGGAGAGUAUCCCUAUAUUACCUAUCCCACUCCCUGAAGAUGCAAUACUCUCCUAAUCUGCAUGGCAGGUUGAUACUUACCUUAAUGUGUUCCAAGUGGCUUAUUCGGGUAAGUAGAAAUGUUGUCCUGCAGAACAUCUUCUGAGGAACACACCUAUAUGAAUUUGACUGUUAACAUUGUAGUCUGUGAGAAUUGGGUGUUCUCUAAUAAAUUCAUGAAAAGGCCCUGGAGUAUGACGUAUACGCUCCACCCGCGGGGAAGCCUUGCGGCAGCCUAGUAUCGGUCAAGAAUUUGUGUGAAACUAGUCUCGCAGAAAAUUUGUAGUUCAAGGCAUAGUCCACUAUUUAAGUUGUGAUCUAGUGUAGCAUAAAUCUCUAAGUGGAAGUUCAACUUCAUAGUCUCCACUAAGCACCGGUAUAUAAACAAUGUUUUGGAACUAAAUGAUGAGAUGUUCCAAUGAGUCUUUGUGGGGGAAUUGUUGGAAUUUUGCUAGUACGCCUUUGGCCCAAAGCCCAACUAAAAUUAUGAAAUUUUCUUGGCCCAUUCAUGCAUACAUGUGAGUGGAGUGAGUGAGACUAAAGUAUAGUCCCACCCCGGAAGUUGAGAGAGAGCACCUCUUUAUAAGGUAAGCUCUUCUACCACUUGUAUGAGCAUGAGAAUAGGAGACCUACACACGCGCUCCUCCUUGCUCGCCACGCCACGCCUCGUCACGACGCGCUGCAGGUUGCGGGAUUGAGCGGAGCCGAGGACAGAGCUAUGCACGUUGUCUAUUUUUUGCUACCCGGGAAAAAUUAAUGAGUCAUUAAUUAAUAAUUAAUGGACGCGUUAAUAACUGAACCGUUUCCGAUUCUUUUGGAUCGUGACGACUCGGACAUGGGGUUUACUCCCACGACCUACCCGGCCCGCACUAUAUAGUCAGUCAGACGUCUACCCUAGCCGCCGCCGCUUCGUAUGGUUUCUCACCACCAUUCCAGAUCAUUGCGCCGCAAAGCAAGUCUUCUCCAUACCUCCUUUCGGCGUGCACUGGGAGAAGGAACAGCAGGCCUUCGGAACCCCGCCGCUCGUGAUCCUGUACGGGAGAGGGGCGAUCAGGUUUUUGGGGAGCGCACUCGCGCGACUGCUGGCAGCGACGACUUCGCGAAUGACGACUUCAUCCCGGACCUCGGCAACCUCAUCCUCGACGACAUGGGUGACAACGUCAACGCCGGCGGUGCUGCAGCCGCUGCACCGUAUGUUAUUCUAUCCUUCUUGUUCGAGAUCGUGGUAGAAUUCAGGUUUCUAGUAUGUGCCCUAGAUGUGAUCUGUUCAUCUACUCUGCUAGUUCGCAUGAUUAGUUUAAUCUCUGCUAUUGCUGUCAUGAUCUAUUUCCAAUUUAUUCGGAUUAAAUCUCGUAGUAAUUUGCUCAUUUUUCCAACAAUGCCAUCUGAUAGAUGAUGUAAUUCUCGUCAAGUUUGACGUUGUUGAGCUAAUUUACAAAAAAACCUCAUCAUUAUUGGAUGUCCUUAACAGCUCAAGAACAAGUUGGGGUCGAACUAAUGGAUUUUACACUUUUACAUUAAAGGUUUAGCUAAAGCUAGCAGGUGUUUUUAAACCUGAUUUUUUUCCUCCUAAAUUUCUUUGUAUUUUCUUAUUGACACUAUUUAUACAAUCAUCUGACAAAGAUUUGCUAAAGCUGCUUGUAGAUACGUUGAAACCUGAAAAGCUUCUUUGGUUUUCUCAUAGGUCUUAAUUCUUAUGUAAUACCAAGAUGCAUUGUGGUAGUGUACAUGUGUUAAAUUCGUGUUGUUAUUCACAAUUUGCGACAAAAUUUAGCUCACGCUACAUUUCAAUAUGUUGAAAUGUGAAAGCUCUUUUUCUUCUCCUUUCUACACCUUGCAUCGGAUUGCAUCCCUUUAGUUAUCCAACAUUUUGUACAACAUGUAGAGAUUAGGAAGUUCAUCAUAGUUUGUCUAUUUCGGUGCUAAUAAAUGUAUGAAAUCUGCAUUUCCAAGCUAUUAGGACAAGUAAAAAAUAAUAAUUUUACUAUAGGAUUCAAAAACAGCAGUUCUGAAGUGCACUUUAUUUAUUUGCGAAAGUGACCACAUUUUGUUUCAUUUUUCUAUAGACAAAUCUACUAAUACAUACUCACGAUAAAACUAUAAAAGUUCUAGUCCGCACAUUGGGCGGGCCACCCGGCUGGUUCGUCUAAAGAAAACAAAAUGAGUCUGGAAUUUGAAUUAAAUUGAAGUAUUUUCUUGGACUUUCAAAUUGAGUAUAGUUAAAGUAGUAAGGACUAUCCACAUCCUUGGCUUGCCCCUAAUCAAUUAUUUCCAGAGAAGCAUUCAAUUCAUCAAUCAAUUACAUUGAUUUUAGUGGCUGGUACUUCUCCUGAACAUCAGUAUAUUCACCGUGGCCACUCCAAAUCGGCAAGAAUGAGGUACCAGUGCUCUGGAGCAGUGCAAGCUAAUUGCUUCUCAUGUGAAGGGGUGCGGGCGCGGGAGAGGUAUUUCUGGUGGGCCAAGGGACUAAGAAGCGACCGUGGCAGCGGUACAGACGCCCGCAAAGCCCCAUAGUUUGUUUUUGAUUUACAGGAAAAUUGCACAUCCAUACUGGCCUGGGGAAUAUAGGACCGUAUUGGAUGGAAAACCAUGUCCGGAUGGUUGCGAGCGGUUUGAGGGUUAGCUUUUGUAACACCCGGUUAGUUAUGCUACAGCAAUUCCCUGCUAAUGAUGUCACGUCACCACGAUUACUGUUGUUAACCUCACAAUGAUUGAAUCCCAUUCAAAUUCAAAUUUAAAAUAAAGGCAAACAUCAAAAGUUUUCAAACAUGAAAACUAAAAUCUUUGAGAGGUGACAAAUAAUGCAUAAGUAAUUAUGGUGGAGAAACCACACUUUAAUUAAAUGUUAAAAUACUCUAAAAUGAAAAAAACAGUGGCUUAAACUAUUAUUUAAAUGCUUUUAAAAUAGUAAAAAUCUUCUAACUAAAUUAUUUGGGUACCAAACUUUUGGUGGCAGUGGUAUAUUUAGUAGAACUAAUUUAGAUGCUAAUUAUAUAAUUUACAAAAUUAGAAUAAAUUGAAAAAUAGGAUAAAACGGAAAAGGAAAGACAAAACAAAUAAAAGCAAAAAGGGGGCAACCCCUCGCUGGGCCUCGGCCUAGCUGGCCACUAGGCGAGCUAGGCUGGCCCCGCUGCCUCCCUUAACCCCCACACUCCUCAUCGAACCCAAGCCCGAUCGCCCCACUUCCCCACACCCCCUCGCCAGCCUCCCCACCCCUUGAUCCCAUCUGGAUCGGCGAGUGUAUUGCCCCCAUCGACCCCGUUGCCAUCGCUAGAUCGCCCGCCGACGUCGCCAGGCCUCCUCCCCGCCGCACGUCUUUGGCUCGCCUCUCCUCUCGCUCCUCUUCCCCGGCCCGAUCUUGAUCGUGAACGAGCAAUGAGCUUGAAGCCCCCCUUCACCGGCGCCAUCACCGUGCGCCACCACCACCGCCUGAAGACCUCACCGUCGCUGAACCUUGCGUCGCCUCCUCGUAUCCCUCCCCUACUCACGUCCUCAAGCCAGGCCGAGCCCCUUCUCGGCAACGCUGUGAGACGCCCCCGUUUCCCUCCUCUUUCCACCGCGUUCACCACGCCGCCCGCCAUGCCCCUCGCCGUGCGCAUGCCCACCACCGCACCAGCCCCCGCUCCGCGCACGACCCUACCCGCGCCCGCGACAUGAUCCCCUUUUCCGCCCUAUCUUCCUGCGCUCGCCGCGGUCCCGAUGCUCCCCCGCGCCUUCUUUCAGGGGCGCCGACUGCCCCUGUCCCGCUGCUCGCCGCCGUGCCUCGCCACCGCUCUACUGCUGCGUUACUACUGUGCUGCGGCCGCCGCCUCUUCCUGCUGCUCCGCCAGCGCCGAAGCUCCCAGUUGGCUCCACCACUGCUCACUUUAAACCGCCGGCCUAAAUGGCCUAACCCCGGCUAAUGAACCCCCACUAACCCACUGACACCGGGACCCACAUUCCCUAAUUAACCAUUUAAUAAAUUAAAACUCUUAAAUUAACAUUAGUGUAUGACAUGUGCGUCCCCUGUUAAUUAAUAAUUUUGCUGCUAGUUUUAUUAGUUUCUGUUUUUCUGCAUAUUUCUUUUGUAUUUGAACACGCUUUAUACAGUAAUAUUUAGCGUAUCAUACACAUACAAAUGUAAUCAUAGCAUAUACAUACAAAUAGUCUCAUCAAAUCAUGUCAUCAUCAUAAUCAUCAUCCAUCACAAAGUGGUCUCUCGUCAUCAUCUCGAAAAUAGCGAUACAAGUCUCGAUUACUUGCAACUACAUCGUCAUCCAUCUAAAUAAUGAUAUACGCGAGAAGAGCUAUUACUAUGAGUACGAGCGGAACUAUGCAGUACAUGAGGCUGUAUCCCUCUCUCGCAUUAGCGUGAACCUAAACUAACUACUGGCUGUUGCUCGGAAACCGGAAACCGGUACACCUAGGCUUGACACUCCGGCCACUCGUCGUAUACUCCUGGCGUAGAACUUCUUCUCCAUCGAUGAUCUAUGUGAAGGAAAUAUGCCCUAGAGGCAAUAAUAAAGUUAUUAUUUAUUUCCUUAUAUCAUGAUAAAUCGUGAUGGGAAUGGGCCGGGUCGGCCCGCUGGGUCACUGACUCGGCCCGAAAUCUCGAGGCCAAUGGGCCAGGGAGGUUGGCCUCGAAUCACAAAACGGGUCAGUGGAGCCGGCCCCGUGUGACCCGAUGGACCAGAUGGGUCGACCCAGCGCUGCCCUAGUCCUCCAUCUAUGCCGCCGCCCCCCACGAUCUCUGUAGCCGCUCCCGAUGAUUUCUUCCGCCGCCGGCCAUCUUUGCCGCCCCUGGCAUCCCCCGACCUUCUCUAUCGGCCGCUCCCGACCUGCUGCCGCCGCCGGCUGCCCCUGAACAUCUUUGCUGGCCUGCUGCCGCCGGCGUUCCUCCCGCAUCUCGUUCGUCGUCUUGGUCGCCGUCGAGCUCGCUGACCUGCGGUCCCGUCCACCAUCUACCUCGCCAUUCCGGUCGCCGUCCUCAUCGUCAUCAUCACGCAGGUGAGACUCUUGCCGGCUUCCUCCCUGUCCCAGCGCAGCUGCAAUGACUGGUCUAGUUUAGGUUCUUGGUCUUGCUGGCACUCUCUGCGUUGUCUGCAAUUGUUUCAGUAGUUGGAGCUUGGAAGAAAUAGUCAACACUCAAAAAUAGACUGUUUGAUUGUUCAGCAUGGGACUUGUUUGAUUGUUCUCAAGAAGAAAUAGUGCUUCAGUUGAGCUCCUGUGUAGCUGCAGUUUAGCAUUCAACAACAGUUUUCUUUUUUGUGCAGCAUGCCACUUUCUUUUUUGUGCAGCAGCUUAGCUGCAGUUUAGCCUUUCGGUCCUCUGAUCCGAGGAAAAGUAAUUAGUGUUACUUCCUGUUGUUGGUUACUAAAUAAACCAGAAAUAGUUGUCCUGUGAAACAAUUUUACUCUGUUUUUUUGUUGAAUCGGCAAAUUUUACUCUGCUGGUAGGAUGGAGUAGUGCAUAUGUUGAUGAUGCUCACGAAAAACCUUCCUGGAGUAGUGCAUAUGUCCAACUGUGAGUUUCUUCUAUUCCUCGAAUGGCCGUUUGGUGUGGUGUUCUCCUAAUUUGUUGCCUGACAAGCUAGGUGUUGUGGGCGUGCUGCAUAAGAAGUAACAAUGGUUAGAAGAUGUAGUUAAUGCUUAGUUUUUUAUGUGAUAUAGGGUCAUGUGACUUCUUUUUCUUGGGCUAGCUGCCAGGUUGAGUUUGCGUAUAUGCAUAUCAGUGUAGCUGAUCCAUCGACAAGUCCAGCAUUUUUUAGUGUCAGUUCAGGGGAUGCUUUACUGGCAGCGAUUUCUGUAGUGUUGCUCAAUGGGAUGCUUUGCCGACAGUGAUUAGACCGUAAACUAAACUAUCCGGUUUCUUAUCUGCAUGCAUCUGCUGUUGAUUUUGAAAGUUAAUGCUCUCUAAUGUUCAUAUAUUUCCCUCUGAUUAGAAAAAUGGAAGAGGAGGAAGGGGACCAUGAGGCAUACCAAAGUGGUGGUUCAUCGUUGAUAUCCGGUGCGAUAAUGAGAAGGGCUCAACCACCCCCAGGGGUGUCUCCUUCUUCGAUAGACAUCUGUAGAGCUUAUCAUGGUGAGUAUUGUUAAUCUUUCUUUUUAUAGGGAUGCAAAUUAAUGGUUGCUAAAAUAAAAAAUACUCAUAAUUGUAAUGUUAACACUCGUGUCCUUUGCUCAGCAGGACGUUCGCAAGACACUCGUAUGGUUGAUUUUGAAGAAGAUGAGGCUGAUGAAGAAGAUGUUGACUAUGAAGAAGCAGAGGAAGGAGAAGAAGAUGAGGAUGAUGAAGAAGAAGAAGAAGAUGAUGAUGAUGAAGAAGAAGAAGAAGAGGGAGAUAAUGUGGAUGAAGAGGGAGAGGUUGAGAUCAUUGACAUGGGAUCGUUUUCUGAACCGGGAAGAAAGUUUUUGUCGAAAGUGUGGAAAGAAUAUGAGCCUAUCCGUGUUGAUGGCAUUGUUGUAGCUGCUGAGUGCAAACACUGUGCAAGGAAUAUUUGUGCUGAGCGUAAACAUGGAACAAGUUCAUUGCGCAAACAUUUGAAGAGAUGCAGGGAAAGGAAGAAGGUUCUUAGAGUUUCUGGACAGCUGAGUGCUUCUAUCGUGAGUCCUGAUGGAGUUGCAAUGGGGCUUUGGACCUUUAAUCAGGCAUUAGCACGCCGAGAGCUGAUGAGGAUGAUAGUGUUGCAUGAAUUGGCAUUCUCAUUGGUGGAGUACGAUGGAUUUAGAAGAUUUGUCUCUAGUUUAAAUCCUAGCUUCAAGAUGAUAUGCAGAAAAACUGUGAAGGAGGACUGCAUGAAAGCAUUUAAGGAAGAGAAGAGAAUUUUGCAAAGGAUGUUCCAAAACUCCAAAUCCAAGAUUUCUUUGACUACGGACCUAUGGACAUCAAAUCAGACAGUGGGGUACAUUUGCAUCACAGCUCACUUCAUUGAUGAGGAGUGGAAGCAGCAGAAGAGGAUAGUGAAAUUUGCAGCUAUGGAGACGCCGCACACAGGAGCUGCAAUGUUCAACGUCAUGGUGAAUUUCAUAAGAGAGUGGAACAUUGAAGAUAAUCUCUUUGCUGUGACGCUAGACAAUGCAUCGAACAAUGGUGCAAUGAUGAAGCUAUUGAAGGCACAUCUCCUGCUUAAGAAGAUGUUACCUGGUGGUGGCAAGUUGUUUCACCAACGUUGUGCCGCCCAUGUCAUAAAUCUGAUAUGUCAAGCAGGAUUGAACUUCCUUGGUCCAGUGAUCAACAUGAUACGUGAAACUGUGAAAUAUAUUCGAAGCUCACCAAGUCGAAAGGAAAAAUUUCAAGAAAUUGUUGAGCAACAUGGUGUAUCAUGUAGGAGAACUCCAAUUCUUGAUGUUCCAACUCGUUGGAACUCAACCUACAUGAUGAUUGAUAUAGCAAAAGAGUAUCGUGGAGUGUUUGACUCUUUGGCCAUUCAAGAUAAACAAUAUACCUUCAAGCCAUCUUUUGAGGAUUGGGAAAAUGCUGAAGAUGUUUGCAGGCUACUGAAGGUAUUUUAUGAAGCCACUAAUGUGAUAUCCGGCACAAAAUAUCCAACUGCUAACUUGUAUUUCCAUGAAAUGUGGAAAGUGAAGCUGACCUUAGAGCAACAACAUUAUGAAGAGGAUUCUGAGAUGGGCACAACGGUCAAAUAUAUGAAGAGAAAAUUUAGAAGGUAUUGGAAGAUGACAUGGUUGAGCCUUUGUAUUCCAGUGAUUUUGGACCCACAAUUCAAGUUGAAAUAUGUUGAUUUCCGAUUUGGCCUAGAGUUUGGGAACGAAGUUGCAGCAAUGAUUGCUAAAAUAAAAAAUGUGUUCCAAGGGUUGUUCAAGGAAUACCUCCAAUUGAAUGACAAUGGAUCAGAUCCCAUGUCACAAGGAGGUGAUGAUGACAUGGCUGUAAGUGGUGAAGAUCCUAUGGCUGAUUGGGUCCAACAUGUCACCCUCACUGCUCGAUCAACAAAUUUGGAUUAUACCGAACUUGAUUCGUACUUGUCAAAGGUACCCAUCCGCCGAAGUGAUCAAUUCAAUAUCCUUACAUGGUGGCAGACGAACUCCAGUGAAUACCCAACGCUGAGUCGCAUGGCAGCUGAUAUCUUGGCGGCUCCUUCCUCUGCGGUGGCAUCCGAGUCCGCCUUCAGCACAGGGAAGAGAGUCCUAUCAGAUUUUCGAAGUCGAAUGACCGCAACGACACUUGAAGCUCUUGUUUGUUUACAAGAUUGGAUAAGGGCCAACGGUAAAGCCAUACGACACAAGUUUCUUCUUUGUUUCUUAUUAAUGCUUCAAGUUUACAAGUUUCUUUUUUUUCUGCAGCUAAUACUCAACGUAGCUUGGCUUCAGUUCAUGACAUUAUAAUGGACUUACAAGGUAUGAGAAAUCUUCUGAUGUAUAUAGUGCCAUGUAUAUGAAGUACACUUAGUAUGAAGUCUGCUUUUUAUUUAGGGAUUUCAUAUCUACAGUUUGUUCCAGGGAACUAUUUGCAAGAUGCAACCCAAACAUGUAGAUGAGUAUAUAGAGUGUUUUACACACAGAACUAGUGCUUUUAUUUUUGGUUUCCCCAAGUUGUAGUUGAUCUCUAAUAUAUAUUUCUUUUUUCUCUCAGAUAUGAAUGUGUAGUUUAGAUUCAUUUUUUUAAUCGCCAAACUAUAUUAAAAAUAUGCAUUGCUAACUACAGUAACUUGAUUAGAAUAUGUUGCGGAGUGGAUGACAGGUAGUGUAUAAUGGAUAUUUAGAAGUGUAUUUUCUUGCAAACCUGAUCAUGAAUUGGUUUUCUGGAACACGCCUUUGCUACUAAGAAUAUUCCUCUGUUCAUAAAUAUAUUAUUUAGUUUUUUUGUGGAUAAAUAUACUAUUUAGUUGAUGUGCACAGAAUUACUCUUGUAACAUUUCUUUGCAAAUACAGAUAUCGAGGACUGAUGCUUGUUGGAGCAAUUGAUGUUAAAGCUCAAGCAGAUGGUGAAGAAGAUAUGUCAGCUUUCUCUAUAACCUACUGGAUGUGAAAAGAUUAGCAUGUUGAACUUGUAAUAUUUUGAUCUUGCAUGAGUCUGUUGGAUUGAGGUCAUUAGCUUGACGUUCUUUGAAAUCUGUAAUCUUUUGGUCUUGUUCGAAUCUGUUGGAUUGAGGUCUUUUGCUUGAUGCUCUUUGAAACAUGUAAUCUCAUGAUCUUGCCAUUCUAGAAACAUUUGCUAAAUUCUGGGUCGGCCUCAUGUACCCAAUGGGUCAAUGGGGCCACAAAAUUCUGAUGAAAUGGGCCGGCCCGUGGCCUCACAUUUUGACCUUGGGGCCACGGGGCCGGGGCCGGGGCCAGGGCCGGGUCGGCCCAUUCCCAUUCUGAAUGAUAAAUGUUUAUUAUUCAUGCUAGAAUUGUAUUAACCGGAAACAUAAUACAUGUGUGAAUACAUAGACAAACAGAGUGUCACUAGUAUGCCUCUACUAGACUAGCUCGUUAAUCAAAGAUGGUUAAGUUUCCUAACCAUAAACAAAGAGUCGUUAUUUGAUUAACGAGGUCACAUCAUUAGUUGAAUGAUCUGAUUGACAUGACCCAUUCCAUUAGCUUAGCACCCGAUCGUUUAGUAUGUUGCUAUUGCUUUCUUCAUGUCUUAUACAUGUUCCUAUGACUAUGAGAUUAUGCAACUCCCGUUUGCCGGAGGAACACUUUGUGUGCUACCAAACGUCACAACGUAACUGGGUGAUUAUAAAGGAGCUCUACAGGUGUCUCCAAUGGUAGAUGUUGGGUUGGCGUAUUUCGAGAAUAGGAUUUGACACUCCGAUUGUCGGAGAGGUAUCUCUGGGCCCUCUCGGUAAUGCACAUUACACAAGCCUUGCAAGCAUUGCAACUAAUGAGUUAGUUGCGGGAUGAUGUAUUACAGAACGAGUAAAGAUACUUGCCGGUAACGAGAUUGAACUAGGUAUUGGAUACCGACGAUCGAAUCUCGGGAAAGUAACAUACCGAUGACAAAGGGAACAACGUAUGUUGUUAUGCGGUCUGACCGAUAAAGAUCUUCGUAGAAUAUGCAGGAGCCAAUAUGGGCAUCCAGGUCCCUCUAUUGGUUAUUGACCAGAGACGUGUCCUGGUCAUGUCUACAUUGUUCUCGAACUGUAGGGUCCGCACGCUUAACGUUACGAUGACAGUUAUUAUGAGUUUAUGCAUUUUGAUGUACCGAAGGUAGUUCGGAGUCCCGGAUGUGAUCACGGACAUGACGAGGAGUCUCGAAAUUGUCACACCCUAGCUAGUUUAUGCAUUAGAGUGUGCAUCAUGUUUACCUUCAUCAGAAAUUGAAAUGGGGAGAGCAGAACCCCCAGCACCCCCCCCCUGAAAUCAACGAGGGUUUACUAAAAAUAAAUUCAAUGAACCUGAAAUGCCCUUGAAAUAUGUUCACCCUCUUUGCCUUGGGUUAGAACCCUUGGGAAAAAUGGUGCAUAUAAUUUUAGGUCAACAAAAGGGGCAUUGACUUAAUUCAUAAAUAUUUGAAUUUGGGCAUUUAAAAUACUAUUAUAUAAUUCAAAUGCUCAAAUAAUGUUGGAACUAUUUUUGGGCCACUGAAAUAUUUCAGAAAGUGUCCAUAAAUAUUUUCAGGAUUUUAUAAAAUGAUUUAGUAUCUGAACUAAAUCAAAACAGAAUAACAGAAAUAGAAAAACAAAAAAAAAUAAAGAGGGAAAGACCAUGGGCCACUUACCUGGCCCAGCGCCAGGCCACUAGCGGCCCAGCCCACCAGGCCGAUGCCAGUCGUCCCCUAGCUCCUGCCAGGAGGACGAAGGGCGUGUGCCCGCGGUGCGCCAGCACGCACACGGCCACCGACGGCCACCUCCUGCUUCGGCCGCCUCCCCGACGUCGCUUUGGACGCCACGCAUCCCCCCCUGACCCCUCGCUCACUCUCUUUCAUCCUCAUCCCCUCCUCUGCUCUCUCUCCCGCGCAACCGCCAUGAGCCCGAGAGCGCCGACGAGGACCACCACGGCCACCGCCUACCCCUCGCUUCCCUGACCAGCUUAGAGGCUCCGCCUCGACCCCGUCUUCCUUCUCACCGAACCACGCCCCGCCGGAAGCCCUGCGUCAUCAAAUUCAAGCUCUUCUUCAAGCUUCGGCACCGACGAUCGCCGCCGUCGAUUCGCUUGCUCCAGUGCCUCCCCGAGCUUGCCGAGGCCACCGCUGCAACUGCUGUGAGCUCCUGUGUCGUUUCCCCCUCCCCCCUGGCUCGAUUUCUUCUUCUAACACCGAUGCCCGUCAGAACCGAGAGCUCUUCGCCGCCGGCCAUGCCGCCACCGUGACCACAGCCGUGCAAGCUCACUCCCGAGCACGGCAACGUGCUCCACACCUCACCAAGAGCACGUGGAACCCAUCAGUUUCCCCUCCCGUGCACCACAACGCCGAUCCGCUCAACUCCCGAACUCCGGCCGCCGCGCAAGUUGCCGCCGCCGUCGUUUUAGGCCACUAGGGCUGCUGCCGUGUGCACAGAUAGAUGCGGGCGAGUCCCAGCUCCGCGUAGAUGCCCUCCGCUGGCCAUUUGGUCGCCGGAGGAGGAUUUCCGAGCCCCUCCGCCGUCUCUGGCCUUGCCGGCGACGAGCCGGGGUCAACUCCGGCGUGUUUUGACCCCGGGUCGGCUGGGUUGACUCCCCCCUGACUCACUGACGUGUGGGCCCAGGCGCCUGCCUAAUUACCAUUAGUUAAUUAGAGUUAAUAAAAAUUAGCUAAUUAGUGAGCCACUGACAUGCGGGCCCCGCCCGGCUAACCAAGUUAGUUAGGGUUAACUAACUUAGUUAGUUGAUUGUGUCACUGACCAGUGGACCCCACUGGUCAUGUUUGACCUGGAGGCGCCAGUUGACCUGCUGACAUCAGGGUGAUGUCAUGCUGACGCAAUAACUCUUUUUCUGGAUUUAAUUUUAUAUAGAAAAUUCCAGAAAAUUGCCUAAACUUCAAAAAUUCAUAGAAAUUCAACCAUAACUCCAAAUGAGACAAAUUAUAUAUGAAAAAUUAUCAGAAAAAUUCAAGGAAUCCAUCUGUACCAUUUUCAUGCAUGUUUGAACAAUGCUUGUCCUCUGUUUUGGACAAAACAAAUAAAGGGCAUUUAAAUAAUCAUAUAUGGGGUUGGAAUUUGAAUCUUGUACUCAAACCAACUCCAUUUAAAUCAUAGCUAGUUGCAUAAGCUCAAGACACAUCCAUAUUGCCAUGUCAUAGCAUGCAUCAUAUUGUUGCAUAUCAUCAUGUGUUGAUUGUGCUCGGUUGUGUUCUUCGUGGUAGGUUCUGCCUCCGAGGAUAUUCACGAGUAUCCAACUGAAGGGCAGUAUCCCGUUACCACUCCAUCAGGCAAGCAACCAUUGAUCAUUCCGAUACAACCCAUGUUCUCGCUCCUACUCUUGUUUACUGCAUUAAGACAACACGAUUCAAACUGCCGUGUGCUACGGUAGUUGAACCCUUAUCCUCUGCAUGACCUGUCAUUGCCACAGUAACUAGAUGAAACCCACUAGCAUGUGUAGGAGUUGAUUGAGCCAUGUUUUGUGAUUCCUACCUUGCUAUGCCUGCUAUGCUUAGAGUUGUGUCAGGUCUGGUUCAUCUGGGGAAUGGGCUAGAGUGAAAUGCUUGUGCCAGUAAAUUGUGGGAUGUGUUGAACAUGUUUUGGUAAAGGUAUCGAUGAGAGGCCAUGUAGGAGUACAUGGUGGGUUGUUUCAUUGAAGCCGUCCCUAAGAACUGAGUUCUGUAUGCGUGAAUUAAGAUUCAGCUACUACCACACAUUGGGCCCUGAAAUAUGACCCCGCUCGACUUACCGACCCCUCUCGCCUCAGUCCAGGAGUUGCAACUAGUUUCUGGUGUUUGUAGGAUAUGUGUUGGCGGCCGUGCGUAGCGCUGACCCUAGGGGUGGGCUAUGUUGCGGUAGAUACACCGUGGCACGGUGUACUGAGUCACCCGUUUGGUGUCUCGGGAACCCUGUUCACAUCGUUCGGGGCCGUUGAGGACACCCCGGCCGGAUUUCCUUGCGGAUGGAACCUGAAUAGGCGAUGACCCUGGACUAGAGACUCGUGAGGUUAGUCAGGUCGUGGUCUACACCCACGUCGGUUUUCGCUUGAAGUCUGCCGAGCACAUUUCGUGUGCAGACGCUAAGUGGUGGAAACAUGUGUGACGAAGUACACCCCUGCAGGGUAUAAAACUAUUCGAAUAGCCGUGUCCGCGGUAAAGGACUACUUGGUUGCAUAUACAGUUCAUAGACAAGUUAAUGGAUACUACUAAAAGACUCAAGAUAAGUGUGAGUACCGAGGAUGGCUCCCUCGCAGGAUACGAGGGAGGAUCCACGGUGGAGUAUUGUGAUGGUGAGUAGUGGACUCGUGUGCAAAAACUAUUUUGCUAAAAGAUUCCGUAGGAUAGCUUAGCCAAGAGUCAAAGCUGGUUUGCUGCAUAAACCCCACCACCUUCUUGAGAAUGAGCAUGUACAGUAGGUUCUGAUGUAAGACUUGCUGAGUACCUUUGUACUCAUGUUUGCUUAUUUAUUGUUUUCAGACGACAACACUGCCCCCUCCGAUGGGUUUUACGUAGACCUUGACGUCGACGAGUGACUAGCCACCCAGGUGGUGAUCCAGGCCAUGGAGGGCCCUAUGUAGAUAGACAGGCUUCGAGAAGCCUUCUUUCUUUCUAGAGUCUGUACCCAGACUAGUUGCUUCCGCAUGUGCUUGUAUGACUGUAUGACUUGAGUGUCGGGUCAUGUGACCCCUACCUGUAUGGAUAUGUUAUGUAUGGCUCCCUGGAGCCUUUAAAUAAAGUACCUGAGUUGUAGAGUUUUGUUGUGAUGCCAUGUUGUAUGUACUCAUAUCGAGCAUAUUGUAUGUAUGAUUGAAAUGCUUGGUAUGAGUGGGAUCCGACAAUCUAGUUGUUUGUCCUUCGCAGCCUUUCUUAUGGGGAAAUGUAGUCUAGUGCUCCUCGAGCCAUAGUAGUCCGCUACAGCCCGGUUCAGCGGAGUCCUACUAGCCCAGCACUACUGUUCAGGACACUUGACUAGCCGGCAUGUGUUUCACUUCGGGGAAAUGUCACGCGGUGAUCUCCGGAGUCCUGUCUAGCCUGCUACAGCCCGGGAUCCCCCGGAGUCCUGUUAGCCCAGUGCUACAGCCCGGAAUCACUCGUUGAUGACCGACAUGUUCGUUGUGAUUCAUGUAUGCCUGUCUCCAUAGGUCUGUGCCGCUUUGGGUUCACGACUAGCCAUGUCGGCCCGGGUUCUCGGUCAUAUGGAUGCUAGCGACAUUGUCAUAUACGCGAGCCAAAAGGCGCAAACGGUCCCGGGCCAUGGUAAGGCGACACCCGUGGGAUACCGUGAGUGAGGCCGCAAAGUGAUAUGAGGUGUUACCGGCUAGAUCGAUGUGGCUUAGAAUCGGGGUCCUGACAGCGUUGGCAUCAGAGCCGGACUGCCUAUAGGUUCGUUCAGCCAAACUGGUCGAUGUCGAGUCUAGAAAUGCUUUAGUUAUAUGUAAGGGAAUUGAUUGUGGGAGGGAACGUAAGGUUCUUUUACUCCUUUACCCUAUGCUUCUGAUCUGAGUCAUUCUCUUCUCAUUCAACGUGGGUUAAGGACUAGGCUCUCUUCUUCUAUCAGGUUCACGUGUUACUAAUCCGUAGUAGUUCAUAGGAUUAUUGCUACGAGUUCCAGUCCAGUUUCUACUAUUUUAGUACGUUGCUAUUUGAAUCAGAACCUUGAUAUGAUGCUGUUGAGCGGUAUUGUGAACUGUUGUGGAUGUCUCAAAUCUUUUUCUGAGCAUUUACAACCGCUAUGCUGCCCAAUUUUCCCUAGGAAUUCUGAUGUCUUUGUCUUGUGGUUGUGCUUUCAGAUGGCCAACCAUUCUCAAAAUCAAGUGGUUCGCCUGACUAGGUGCCUCGACGUGCCCGGUCAUACUGCUAUGUUGGUCCGGGUCAUGAUCGAGACAGGAUACCGUUGGUAUCCCGAAUACACUGUUGAAGAGCAGUUCCGCGACUUUAAUCAAAGCCAGUAUUUAUGCACCGUCAGGAUAUUUCCUUCCUAUCCUGGAUCUACCGAGCCCCUUCACUGUUCCUAUGGACUCGGAGUUACCAUUGAGAUGGCUGUGCAGGAUGCUGCCUAUUUCAUGAUGACCAUCUUGCGAGUCCGGACUGGCCUGCUUCGGAACACUGACUUCCGUUACAUGCCAGCUUCACUUCCGGGAGCGCAGGGGUAUCUUCAGGCUAUCUAUGCUGACUCCACUCAGGAGGACUCAUUAACUCGUACCACCGCUGAGAUGCUCGAAGAUAUGGACCGAGAGAAUCGGGCCUUGAGGCUGGAGCUCUUUAAUACCCGUGCUGAUCAUUGGGCCACAUUGACUCGGUUUGCACCCGCGGUGCAAGCGGGAUGUAUGGAUACCAGGGAUCUGUAUCCUGUGAGAGCAGCUCUGCCAGACAUGGUGGAUUGGCGUGAUGUGGGAGGCAUCACCCCACCCCUUGGUCACCGCAGGCCACCGUUUGUGGGUCCAAGACCUUAUCCUAGCCCCUAUGGUCCACAGGCUCCUCAGGACCGUCUGUUUCCGGAUGAUCACGUUGAACUUCCAGGCUAUGGAGGUGACUUCUAUGAGGACUACUACGGAGCUAUCUGAGUUAGUAGUAGUACCACUAGUAUUGUAGUAGUUGUAUCUCCACUGUCCUGUGUGACUUGUGGAAUACGACUUGGUGUGUAAUCGAUUCCGGAGGUGUAGACAAAUAAUGUAUAGGGACUCGGAAUGCCUCCGAUGAGAUGUAACGUCUACCUUCAUAGUUGUACUGUAGCAUGGGCUUGUACUAAACUAUGUAUGACGAGUAUGACCGUUGGUGUAUAUAUGGCAGUUUUAUAUUACCAUGGCAUACGAAUGAGCAUCUCUGCAUUCCGCGUUAUCCUUUACAUUCUGCACUUCCCUGUUAAGUUUGAGCCAUCCUUGUCUAAACCGUUGUCUUGUUUCCUCCUAGGAUGGUCAACACCCGCGGAAACCCUGCUGCCCCGGAGCAGGGGGAAGCCAAUGCAGCUAGAGGUGAAAAUUUGCCUCACCCGCCUUCCCUGGCCGAAGUGAUGCUGGAGGCGGAAAGGAACAAGCGUGAGACCAACCGCCUGCUGGAGCGGAUUGAGCAGAACACUGCACGCCACCCACGAAAUGACUUGGUGUCAAUCAACGACUUUAUCAAGCUGUACCCACCAAAGUUUAACCAUUCCGUCGAGCCCCUCGACGCGGAUGAUUGGCUUCGCAGCAUCACCCACAAGCUACGUUCUGCCAACGUAGCUGAAGCCGACAAGGUUACCUAUGCUGCUUAUCAUCUUGAGGGCCCCGCUAGCCAUUGGUGGGAAAACUACGAAGCUAUGCGCCCGGUCGGCCAAAUCACUACCUGGGCUGAGUUCAGCGAGGCUUUCCGUGAGCAUCACAUUCCGGAAGGUCUCAUGGAUCGCAAGAGGGAGGAGUUCUGUAACUUCACCCAAGGAAGGCUGACUGUGGAUGCAUAUAGCCGAGAAUUUGGGAACCUGGCACGCUAUGCUCCUGAAGAGGUUUCUACUGACGCCAAGAAGCAGGGAAGGUUCCGUAAGGGACUUAGCCCUGAGCUUCGCUGCGAUCUCCGUCCGCACGAGUGCACAUCCUUCCAGAAGCUGGUCAAUAAAGCUAUCAGUGCUGAGACAGGCCAGACUGAUUAUGACGCUUCACGCAAGCACUCUCGUGAUUUUGGGUCUUCAUCCGGCUCUGGAGCUCAGAAGCGCCGGGUGUGGAUUCCAAGCACCGCACUGCCAGCCAGAUUCACCCCGAGGCCAUCCUUUGAGGCGCCUCAUCCCAACCAGCAAUUUGCACCGCCCAAGCCCUAUGGUGGCCCCGCUGCUAAUGUUGCUCCACGCCCCACUAUGGUAACAUGCUUCAUGUGUGGAGAACCGGGUCACUAUAGUCGAGAGUGUCCCCAGAACAACCCCAAUCAAGCUGGAAAGUCCGUUGGCCGUGGUAAGCCCGCGGGAAAGACUUUCUAUGCCAAGCCGGCCACUACUGCACGUGGCCAUGUAAACUACGUCUCAGCCGAAGAGGCUCAUGAGGAUCCCAACGUCGUCCUUGGUACGCUCCUUGUUAACUGCCAUCCGGCAUCUGUUCUUUUCGAUACUGGAGCAUCUCAUUCAUUCAUAUCCGAGAAUUAUGCUCGGUCGCAUAACACGACAUUCUGUGACAUGCCCACUUCCAUGGUAAUUCAAACUCCGGGUUCCAAAUGGCAAACUUCUAGGGUAAGCCAUGGGAACGAAAUUCUUGUCGAUAGGCUUGUUUUCCUUGCAUCUUUAAUAGCUCUCAAGUCCUCCGACAUAAACAUCAUCUUGGGUAUGGACUGGAUGUCGGCUCAUUAUGCCAAGAUCGAUUGUGCCACUAGAACCGUUCAACUUAUUCAUCCCUCAGGCAAGACAGUUAAUGUCUUAACUCGAGUGGCCAAGCGCCAACUUUACUCUCUCAAUGCCAACCCUCUUCCAGACCUUGAGGACGUUCCGGUAGUCCGAGACUUCCCGGAUGUGUUUCCGGAAGAACUGCCAGGUGUUCCACCUGACCGGGAUGUCGAGUUUGUGAUAGACCUUGUUCCAGGAACCGUUCCAAUUGCUAGAAGACCCUACAAGAUGGCACCCUUAGAACUAGCCGAGCUUAAGAACCAACUCGAUGAGUCCUUGAACAAAGGGUUCAUCCGUCCUAGCUCCUCUCCUUGGGCUUGCCCCGUCCUCUUCGUCAAGAAGAAGGAUGGAACGGAUCGAAUGGUUGUGGAUUACCGACCUGUCAAUCUGGUCACCAUCAAGAACAAAUACCCGCUUCCCAGGAUCAACGACCUGUAUGAUCAGCUCACUGGAUCCUCAGUCUUCUCCAAGAUGGAUUUGAGGCUGGGCUACCAUCAAAUCAAAAUCAGAAACGGGGACAUUCCCAAAACGGCCUUUGUUACUCGUUAUGGCCAAUACGGGUACACCGUCAUGUCCUUCGGUUUAACCAAUGCCCCGGCCACUUUCUCCUGGUUAAUGAACUCGGUUUUCAUGGAGUACUUGGACAAAUUCGUUGUAGUAUACCUCGAUGACAUACUCAUCUACUCCAAGAAUGAAGAGGAACAUGCCGAACAUCUAAGGCUGGUAUUGAUGAAACUUCGAGAGCAUCGCCUUUAUGCCAAAUUCUCCAAGUGUGAAUUUUGGUUGUCAGAAGUGACCUAUCUAGGCCAUGUAAUCUCUGGUAAGGGUAUUGCUGUCAAUCCCGAGCGAGUUCAAGCCGUCCUUGAUUGGACUCCACCUGAAACGGUCAAGCAAGUUCGGAGUUUCCUUGGCCUAGCGAGCUAUUGCCGCCGCUUCGUCGAGAAUUUCUCCAAGGUUGCUAAACCUCUAACUGAACUCCUCAAGAAAGAUAAAAAGUUCGAGUGGACUCCGCAGUGCGAGUUCAGUUUUCAGGAAUUGAAAAGACGCCUGACAUCUGCUCCCGUACUGGUACCACCAGAUUUCUCCAAGGACUUUAUUAUCUAUUGCGACGCCUCGCGACAAGGACUAGGUUGCAUACUCAUGCAAGAUCGUCAGGUAAUUGCCUAUGCUUCAUGGCAAUUACACCCACAUGAGGAAAAUUAUCCCACACAUGAUCUAGAGCUUGCAGCUGUAGUCCAUGCACUCAAAACCUCGCGACAUUACCUCCUCGGUAAUCGUUGCGAGAUCUUCACCGAUCACCAAAGCUUGAAAUAUAUCUUCACCCAACCAGAUUUGAAUCUCAGGCAAAGACGUUGGGUCGAGUUGAUCUCGGAUUACGACUUAGGAAUAACUUACACCCCUGGCAAAGCCAAUGUCAUGGCCGAUCCGCUAAGUCGUAAGUCCUACUGUAACAACCUGCUGUUACAACAAAGUCAACCACUUCUCCAUGAGGAAUUUCGCAAGCUUAAUCUUCACAUUGUUCCUCAAGGAUUCUUGUCUACUCUGGUGGCGAAACCUACCCUUAUGGAUCAAAUCAUAGCUGCCCAAAAGCGUGAUAAGGGCAUAUCCCGGAUUAAGGAAAACAUUGCUAGCGGAGUAGCUAAAUGUUUUUCCAUGGAUGAGCAAGGUGCUGUCUUCUUUGAGAACCGCCUGGUGGUUCCCAAGAACCAACAUCUACGCCAGAUGAUCCUUAAGGAAGCUCAUGAAUCCCCUCUCACCAUUCAUCCCAGUAGUACUAAAAUGUAUCAAGACUUACGCCAGAGGUUUUGGUGGACUAGGAUGAAGAGAGAAAUCGCUCAAUACAUUGCUAAUUGCGACGUUUGUCGUCGUGUUAAAGCAGAGCAUCAACGGCCUGCUGGCACCCUUCAACCUUUGGCUAUUCCUGAAUGGAAAUGGGACAAAAUCAGUAUGGAUUUCAUCACUGGGUUUCCCAGGACCAAGAGGGGAAAUAAUGCCAUCUUCGUCGUGAUCGACCGUCUUUCCAAAGUAGCCCAUUUUCUACCUGUUCGUGAGAGUAUCACCGCUAGCCAGCUAGCUGACCUAUACAUCUCCCGAAUAGUGUCUCUUCAUGGUGUCCCAUUGGAAAUUAACUCAGACCGUGGAAGUCUCUUCACCUCUCGAUUUUGGGAAAGUUUCCAAAAUGCUAUGGGAACUCAUCUCUCCUUUAGCACCGCCUUCCAUCCUCAAUCAAGUGGUCAAGUAGAGCGAGUAAAUCAAAUUCUGGAAGAUAUGCUCCGAGCUUCUGUUAUCUCGUUCGGAAUGAGUUGGGAAAAAUGCCUUCCAUUCGCGGAGUUUGCUUAUAACAAUAGCUAUCAAGCUAGUUUGGGCAAGGCUCCCUUCGAAGUUCUCUAUGGACGAAAAUGUCGAACGCCUCUUAACUGGUCAGAAACCGGGGAAAGGCAACUCUUUGGCCCGGAUAUGAUUCAGGAAGCAGAAGAGCAGGUUCGCGUUAUUCGUGAGAAAUUGAAAACGGCCCAAUCUCGCCAAAAGAGUCAAUAUGAUCGUAAGCAUAAGCCAAUGACAUUUGAAAUUGACGAGAAAGCUUAUCUUCGGGUUACCCCGUUAAAGGGAACCCAUCGCUUCGGUAUCAAAGGCAAAUUGGCUCCUCGUUACAUUGGACCCUUUCGCAUUCUUGCCAAACGAGGAGAAGCUGCCUACCAAUUGGAACUACCUCCGCAUCUUUCCAGAGUUCACGACGUCUUCCACGUUUCGCAACUCAGGCGUUGCUUCGCGGAUCCUAUCCGUGGAGUGGACCACGAAACGCUUGAUUUACAAGAUAACCUCUCUUAUCGGGAAUACCCCGUUCGUAUCCUUGAUCAAGCCGAGCGUACCACUCGACGUCAUAAUAUCAAGUUUCUCAAGGUUCAAUGGUCACACCAUUCCGAGGAAGAAGCCACUUGGGAAAGGGAGGAUCGUCUUCGACUCGAGUACCCCGCCUUCUUCCCAGAUGAUCCUAAAUCUCGGGACGAGAUUCUAUUGAGUGGGGGUGAGUUGUCACACCCUAGCUAGUUUAUGCAUUAGAGUGUGCAUCAUGUUUACCUUCAUCAGAAAUUGAAAUGGGGAAAGCAGAACCCCCAGCACCCCCCCUGAAAUCAACUAGGGUUUACUAAAAAUAAAUUCAAUGAACCUGAAAUGCCCUUCAAAUAUGUUCACCCUCUUUGCCUUGGGUUAGAACCCUUGGGAAAAAUGGUGCAUAUAAUUUUAGGUCAACAAAAGGGGCAUUGACUUAAUUCAUAAAUAUUUGAAUUUGGGCAUUUAAAAUACUAUUAUAUAAUUCAAAUGCUCAAAUAAUGUUGGAACUAUUUUUGGGCCACUGAAAUAUUUCAGAAAGUGUCCAUAAAUAUUUUCAGGAUUUUAUAAAAUGAUUUAGUAUUUGAACUAAAUCAAAACAGAAUAACAGAAAUAGAAAAACACAAAAAAAAAUAAAGAGGGAAAGACCAUGGGCCACUUACCUGGCCCAGCGCCAGGCCACCAGCGGCCCAGCCCACCAGGCCGAUGCCAGUCGUCCCCUAGCUCCUGCCAGGAGGACGAAGGGCGUGUGCCCGCGGUGCGCCAGCACGCGCACGGCCACCGACGGCCACCUCCUGCUUCGGCCGCCUCCCCGACGUCGCUUUGGACGCCACGCAUCCCCCCCUGACCCCUCGCUCACUCUCUUCCAUCCUCAUCCCCUCCUCUGCUCUCUCUCCCGCGCAACCGCCAUGAGCCCGAGAGCGCCGACGAGGACCACCACGGCCACCGCCUCCCCCUCGCUUCCCUGACCAGCUUGGAGGCUCCGCCUCGACCCCGUCUUCCUUCUCACCGAACCACGCCCCGCCGGAAGCCCUGCAUCGUCGAAUUCAAGCUCUUCUUCAAGCUUUGGCACCGACGAUCGCCGUCGUCGAUUCGCUUGCUCCAGUGCCUCCCCGAGCUUGCCGAGGCCACCGCUGCAACUGCUGUGAGCUCCUGUGUCAUUUCCCCCUCUCCCCUGGCUCGAUUUCUUCUUCUAACACCGAUGCCCGUCGGAACCGAGAGCUCUUCGCCGCCGGCCAUGCCGCCACCGUGACCACAACCGUGCAAGCUCACUCCCGAGCACGGCAACGUGCUCCACACCUCACCAGGAGCACGUGGAACCCAUCAGUUUCCCCUCCCGUGCACCACAACGCCGAUCCGCUCAACUCCCGAACUCCGGCUGCCGCGCAAGUUGCCGCCGCCGUCGUUUUAGGCCACUAGGGCUGCUGCCGUGUGCACAGAUAGAUGCGAGCGAGUCCCAGCUCCGCGUAGAUGCCCUCCACUGGCCAUUUGGUCGCCGGAGGAGGAUUUCCGAGCCCCUCCGCCGUCUCUGGCCUUGCCGGCGACGAGCCGGGGUCAACUCCGGCGUGUUUUGACCCCGGGUCGGCUGGGUUGACUCCCCCCGGACUCACUGACGUGUGGGCCCAGGCGCCUGCCUAAUUACCGUUAGUUAAUUAGAGUUAAUAAAAAUUAGCUAAUUAGUGAGCCACUGACAUGCGGGCCCCGCCCGGCUAACCAAGUUAGUUAGGGUUAACUAACUUAGUUAGUUGAUUGUGUCACUGACCAGUGGACCCCACUGGUCAGGUUUGACAUGGAGGCGCCAGUUGACCUGCUGACAUCAGGGUGAUGUCAUGCUGACGCAAUAACUCUUUUUCUGGAUUUAAUUUUAUAUAGAAAAUUCCAGAAAAUUGCCUAAACUUCAAAAAUUCAUAGAAAUUCAACCAUAACUCCAAAUGAGACAAAUUAUAUAUGAAAAAUUAUCAGAAAAAUUCAAGGAAUCCAUCUGUACCAUUUUCAUGCAUGUUUGAACAAUGCUUGUCCUCUGUUUUGGACAAAACAAAUAAAGGGCAUUUAAAUAAUCAUAUAUGGGGUUGGAAUUUGAAUCUUGUACUCAAACCAACUCCAUUUAAAUCAUAGCUAGUUGUAUAAGCUCAAGACACAUCCAUAUUGCCAUGUCAUAGCAUGCAUCAUAUUGUUGCAUAUCGUCAUGUGUUGAUUGUGCUCGGUUGUGUUCUUCGUGGUAGGUUCUGCCUCCGAGGAUAUUCACGAGUAUCCAACUGAAGGGCAGUAUCCCGUUACCACUCCAUCAGGCAAGCAAGCAUUGAUCAUUCCGAUACAACCCAUGUUCUCGCUCCUGCUCUUGUUUACUGCAUUAAGACAACACGAUUCAAACUGCCGUGUGCUACGGUAGUUGAACCCUUAUCCUCUGCAUGACCUGUCAUUGCCACAGUAACUAGAUGAAACCCACUAGCAUGUGUAGGAGUUGAUUGAGCCAUGUUUUGUGAUUCCUACCUUGCUAUGCCUGCUAUGCUUAGAGUUGUGUCAGGUCUGGUUCAUCUGGGGAAUGGGCUAGAGUGAAAUGCUUGUGCCAGUAAAUUGUGGGAUGUGUUGAACAUGUUUUGGUAAAGGUAUCGAUGAGAGGCCAUGUAGGAGUACAUGGUGGGUUGUUUCAUUGAAGCCGUCCCUAAGAACUGAGUUCUGUAUGCGUGAAUUAAGAUUCAGCUACUACCACACAUUGGGCCCUGAAAUAUGACCCCGCUCGACUUACCGACCCCUCUCGCCUCAGUCCAGGAGUUGCAACUAGUUUCUGGUGUUUGUAGGAUAUGUGUUGGCGGCCGUGCGUAGCGCUGACCCUAGGGGUGGGCUAUGUUGCGGUAGAUACACUGUGGCACGGUGUACCGAGUCACCCGUUUGGUGUCUCGGGAACCCUGUUCACAUCGUUCGGGGCCGUUGAGGACACCCCGGCCGGAUUUCCUUGCGGAUGGAACCUGAAUAGGCGAUGACCCUGGACUAGAGACUUGUGAGGUUAGUCAGGUCGUGGUCUACACCCACGUCGGUUUUCGCUUGAAGUCUGCCGAGCACAUUUCGUGUGCAGACGCUAAGAGGUGGAAACAUGUGUGACGAAGUACACCCGUGCAGGGUAUAAAACUAUUCGAAUAGCCGUGUCCGCAGUAAAGGACUACUUGGUUGCAUAUACAGUUCAUAGACAAGUUAAUGGAUACUACUAAAAGACUCAAGAUAAGUGUGAGUACCGAGGAUGGCUCCCUCAUGUGACCCCUACCUGUAUGGAUAUGUUAUGUAUGGCUCCCUGGAGCCUUUAAAUAAAGUACCUGAGUUGUAGAGUUUUGUUGUGAUGCCAUGUUGUAUGUACUCAUAUCGAGCAUAUUGUAUGUAUGAUUGAAAUGCUUGGUAUGAGUGGGAUCCGACAAUCUAGUUGUUUGUCCUUCGCAGCCUUUCUUAUGGGGAAAUGUAGUCUAGUGCUCCUCGAGCCAGAGUAGUCCGCUACAGCCCGGUUCACCGGAGUCCUGCUAGCCCAGCACUACUGUUCAGGACACUUGACUGGCCGGCAUGUGUUUCACUUCGUCCCUAUGUCUGUCCCUUCGGGGAAAUUUCACGCGGUGAUCUCCGGAGUCCUGUCUAGCCUGCUACAGCCCGGGAUCCCCCGGAGUCCUGUUAGCCCAGUGCUACAGCCUGGAAUCACUCCUUGAUGACCGACAUGUUCGUUGUGAUUCAUGUAUGCCUGUCUCCAUAGGUCUGUGCCGCUUUGGGUUCACGACUAGCCAUGUCGGCCCGGGUUCUCGGUCAUAUGGAUGCUAGCGACAUUGUCAUAUACGCGAGCCAAAAGGCGCAAACGGUCCCGGGCCAUGGUAAGGCGACACCCGUGGGAUACCGUGCGUGAGGCCGCAAAUUGAUAUGAGGUGUUACCGGCUAGAUCGAUGUGGCUUAGAAUCGGGGUCCUGACAGAAAUGGUCGAGACAUAAAGAUUGAUAUAUUGGAAGCCUAUAUUUGGAUAUCGGAAGUGUUCCGGGUAAAAUCGAGAUUUUGCCAGAUUACCGGGAGGUUACCAGAACCCCCCGGGAGCCAUAUGGGCCUUAUUGGGCUUUAGUGGAAAGGUGAAAAGGGCUGCCAUGGUGGGCUGCACGCCUCCCCCCUCCCCUAGUCCUAUUAGGACUAGGAGAGGUGGCCGGCCACCUCUCUCUCUCUUUCCCCCUUGGGAGUCCUAUUUGGAAUAGGAUUGGGGGGGAGUCCUACUCACGGUAGGAGUAGGACUCCUCCUGCACCCUCCUCUUUGCCGGCCAGCCCCUCCCCCUUGGAUCCUUUAUAUACAGGGGCAGGGGGCACCUCUAGACACACAAGUUGAUCAUUGAGAUCGUUCCUUCGCCGUGUGCGGUGCCCCCUGCCACCAUAUUCCACCUCGAUCAUAUCGUUGUAGAGCUUAGGCGAAGCCCUGUGUCGGUAGAACAUCAAGAUCGUCACCAUGCCGUCGUGCUGAUGGAACUCCUCCACGAAGCUUUGCUGGAUCGGAGCCCGGGGAUCGUGAUCGAGCUGUACGUGUGCUAAGAACUCGGAGGUGCCGGAGUAACGGUGCUUGGAUCGGUCGGAUCGGGAAGAAGACGUACGACUACUUCCUCUACGUUGUGUCAACGCUUCCGUUGCGAUCUACAAGGGUACGUAGAUUAGACUCUCCCCCUCGUUGCUAUGCAUCACCAUGAUCUUGCGUGUGCGUAGGAAAAUUUUGAAAUUACUACGUUCCCCAACACUAUGCACCUGCAUCGUCACAUGAGUCGAUGAUAUGCAACAUAUAUAGUUGAGCAUCAGAAAGAGAUAGACUUGGCAAAAAUAGAAGCAACAUAUCAUAAGCAUAAAUAACAAAGUUCAUCGUACCCAAAAUGCCCUAACUAGAGUGAUCUUCGGUAGUCAAGGAGGAAGGUUUAAUUACAUCACAAAUAAUGUUUCGUCGUGCAUAACUCAAAGUUCCGUCAUACAGAAGGUAUGAACUAAACGGACACAUUGUCAUAUUUCGAAAAUCACUCCAACAUGGCGUGCCAUCCAUCCAAGUCAAGGAGAUAGUGCCCGAGCUUAGUGAAAGGCUUCAGGUCGAGACGCUGAGCGGCUACGCGUGUUCGGACUCUUCCCAUGACAUUUGUCCUUCUUCAUAGAACAUCCCUGUUUUUUCGACGACCUCCAUCAUGAUGAUUUGGGCAAGUUCGCACUGGAAGUGAUAUAACUCAUCUUGAAGUCGAUGAUCCUCGAUAUCUUCUAAGUUCUUUGCCCAUUGCAGAAUAUGGGCAUGGCUGAAUUUAGGUGACAUGCAAAGGUUCUGGUGAUCCUGUCUGUACUCCAUCAUGUGGUGUAGGACAUAGAACCCAUCAUCAAGAGAAUCACUCGGUUGCUGGAUGCAGCUGAAGUCGGUCUUAUGGGCCUGCCGUCCCUUUUCUUCUUGUCCUUGACCUCUCCACCCCGUGCAUCGUAGUAAAACAUAGCACUAUCGAGAACAAACUUGAUGUGGGUGUAAUCCUUUUUGUUAAUGUUCUUCGACGAGUCCACAAUAUCGGGGGUAGAGGAUGAUGAGGACGGCGCGCCUGCCGUUGCGCAAAAUAAGUACACCUCAAAUGAAUUAAACUCCAUCGUUCAAAUGAAUGAUUGAAAUCGAAGGAAGGAUAUCUGCGCGGAUGACUUACACGGGAUGAUAAGGCACGAGAAUCGCCUCCUUGUCCUUAUUGGCAAGCAUGAAAUUGACGAUGUAUUCCUCGUGUAUUCAUGGUGCUUUGCGCGGACUCCCAAGACGCCCUCGUGCAUGAAGUACGGGUCAGCGACAUAGAUAUGAGGUAUCUGCUCAACCCCGAUGAGGUAGUUCAUGUGCAAGGCAUAAAGGCGGACAAACAUAAAAUCCAGCUUCUUUAAGUGAAACAUGUUGAAGAUGUAAUCAGAUCGAAGGAAAAACUUCUUCGAGGGGAAUGUGUCGACGUACGACAAUUGCCCGGCACGUUAACCACGUAGAGAGGGUAUCCUGGAUUUUUCGAGGCGAUGAGGCCUUUCUCUAUCCGCAACACGUCGUCAUGAAGUCUCCUUAGAUCGCCGGAUCUGGCCCCUAGCGCUGCUUUCGGUAGGAUUGGUUCACCAGGAUACGCCAUUUUGCCGCUCCGGGGACAUCUAUACGGUCUUGAACCCGAGGCUGCUGAGGCGGCUGGAUCAUAGAAGCAGCUUUGUUGGCUUUCCUCAGUGUAUUCCUAGGCUUCUUUGCUACAGGAAGGUCAUCUAUGAUAUGUUCAGCCUCCAGAGGCGGCAAUUCAGGCACCGACUCAUGACGCUCAAACCCUGAGUAGGCGCCAGUAUUGAGAUACUGUUGAGUGCCAUUGUUGUCCUCAUCUAUGGCGGUGUCACCAGCGACAAAUGGAGCCUCUUCCUCACCCCGUUCGCUAUCACCCAGCACGACAGCCGGCGCUAAUUGGGUAGGUGGGGUGUUGAUGUUCAUACCUAACUGCGUGCUCGUGUGUGUGCUCCCGGCCGUCUCCAAACAAAGUAGACUCUUUGGCCACAACAGGACCCACCCAUUGCAAUCACCAAUCCCCUGCGGGAUCUCGUCGUCAUUCCCCCUAGUACCGGAGGAGCCAAAUUCUCCUGGCCUGGUUUGACACUGGCCACGGAAACUUUGUAGACGUCCGAGGGGAUCGGUCGGCCGUGGAACAAUGGUUCCUUAGGCUUCAUUAUCGUCACCUUCCCCACGUCCACCUCCUGGUAGCGGAUGUUGUACAAUAUGGUGCACGGGGUUACAUUGGCCUGCAAAGACAUUUCUGCGAUGUGAGAUAUCCGACAGGCAACAAAAAAUGGGAGAUUAUACAUUUAUUGAAGAGGGCUGGUGUGACAGAUAUAGUGAGGGCGUCGAGCUCAUCCAAAGAUGAAGCACCGCUGAGCACGUCCGGUGUCGGAGCCGGUGCGGGAGCAGGUGCAGGUGCUGGUGCAACGCUAGUCGAGCUGCUCCCGAAGAAGUCAGCAAGGGGAAAGUCCGCUGCAUUUUUUUUCUGGAUUUUGCGUGCUCGAAUUGAAAACGGCCGAAACCAAGACAGUAGACAUAUCUGCAACCACCUGUUUUGCGGCAGCUAUCGCUGUUGCGACUGUCUCAGAUGAUUUCUUCUCAAUCGGAAUCUAAACCUUCUGGCUGAUGUUUUCUUCAGUUAACCUCCGUCUUUCCUUUCGCUCCUCCGUGGUCUCACGGUAGUACUUCUUCCACGUGGCGCCGUCUACGACACCGUCCACGCGUCCAUACGACGGCCGAUUCUCCACCAGGAGUCCUUUCAAUAUGUUCAAUACCCGGUUGAAUGGAGUCUACCACUUGGGCCUCGCCAACGCCUCAGACGGCGAGUCACUUUCGGCUGCAAUCUUGUGCUGCUCUCUCUUCAAAAGGAACAAGGAUCGUUUACAAAUAUGACUAAACGUGCAGUCGAAUUGAUCAGAAACUAAAAUUACCAGCAGUCUCGUGAACUCCGUCGUGAUCGGGUCCGUCUUAAAAACCUUCUUGACUGAGUCCCAAUGGUGCCGUGCCCCGAGGACGUCACGCUCCUGCGGGACGGUGAAGUCCGCCAAGGGGUCUGGGAUGCCCAGACGUUCGCGUUCCGCGUCCUCCUUGGCCCAUAUGGACCUCUUCCCGCCGUAACCACGGCUUCCGAGGUGGUGGCGCCCCAUGUUCCUUUGUUGAAGCCCUUUCAUGUACUUCGACUUUUUUUUGGCAGCUUCGGCCUCGCAAGCCGCCUUGAAUUUUUCAAAGUGCUCUCCCGUGAUUGUCGGAUUAUCCUUUACAAUCUCGGAGUAUGGUUCCUUUUUGUCGACAAUCCGAUGUUUCAACCUUGUUUUCCAGGUGGCCAACGUGUCGCUAAACUUGGUCAUGGCGUGUUUGUUUAUCUUCUUCAUUGCCGGGUCCUUAUUUGGAUAUUUAUAAUCCUUUUCAUUCCGGCCCGGGAACAACAAUAUCUGGUGCAGCUUCUUUAGGAGGGAGGACCUCAUAUUAUCUAUCUUCUGUAGUUUCCCAUGGUUGAUCGUGGCAGUUAUCCGUACGAUGCAGCCUAUUUGAUUGCCGUAGCACGAUCGCGCUUCCUUGGGCGCUAUUGUCUGAAAAAUACGGUCGUCCAUCUCCGUGACCACCAGUCUAGUUGUCAUGAGCUGGUUUGGGCGCCGUGGCUUCUUAGCUUUCGGUUCUAGAUCAGCUCCGCUAGUCUCGGCGCCGGUCUCAGUCUCAUCGCCGGUCUGCAUGUCGGUAUCAGUCCCCGAUGCGACAGGUCGGCCCAGCAACAACAUUCGUUGAUCGUCGGCAAGGCUCAAAAAUUCAUCUGCCGCCAGGUAGACGUGUCGCAAUCACCAGAACCCUAUCCUUCAUCAUUGCUAGCCAUGUUUCCUACGAUUAUAUCUAGUCAAUUAAUUCUAGACCUAAUAAAAUGAAUAAUGACAUAAAACAGGCCAAUGUUUUGCAGGAUUACAACUCAACCCAUUGCAGAUUAGAAAACAAUCCCGUGUGAAUGCACAGGCUGACGACUAGUAUAUAUAAAGCUUAAUGGUGCCUAAGAAAGCUCGCACAAUUUUACAGUGGCUAUGGAAAUGUGUUGCCAAACUUUGACAUAAGAUUUUCGUUUGGCAUCCAGAGUUGCAAAACGCUUGUGUUGUCCUUAAUCCAUGGCCACUCUAAUUUUUCCGGCUGGGCCUUCCCUGUGGUAUCGCGGCAAGGCUUGCGUGUGUAUAUGUUUCCUUUAACUACCACUAGCACAUAUGCCCGUGCGUGCGUUGCAACGGGAGAGAUAAUGGCGUAUCCACCAAUAUAUCUAACAGCAUGACCCAACAAUAUCCGAAUGAUGUCACCCGAUGACGGCAGGAAGGCACGCACAGAGGUCUAGUAAAAACUCAUAUCAAUUGUAAGGGCAUGGUUAAUUCGCGUGAAUUCAGGGGUGUGAGAUUAGUUAGUGUUGGUCCCACAAUUGAAUUCGGGGGGUGAUUAGUUAGUGUGGGCCCACCCUCGAAUUCACGGGGGGAGACAAAAUAAUUAGGGUGAGGAGAGAUUUACGGGGCUUGGUCCCCAGAUGCGUUGUGGCAGUCAUUAUUCGAGCAUUGCAAUGCUCGCACGUGACGAGCUCUUUUUCCAAUUGUAUAUUAAGAAGCAUGCUACAGAUACAAUGUUUUUGAUACGUUUUUUGUACAAUGAUCCUGAUCUUAAAGGGCCACCUAAUUUUUAUAUCUUAAAGGCAUUAUUUGUAAGUUGUCGUGAAAAAAAUCUCGCUAAAAGGGUUGUGUUAGACCAUCUUCAGUACAUUAGAAAUAACGAAUUAUAAUUCCUUGGCAUUUGAAGAAACAAUCGCUACUUAUUUACACAUACAAUUCUUUUGGUACGAUUUUGAAAUCUUGAAGGCAUUAUUUGUAAGUUGAAGCAAUUUUGAAAUCUCACUAAAAGGUCUGUUAGACCCUCUAGAGCUUUAGAAAUAACUAAUUAUAAUUUUGCAAAAAAAAGAAAUAACUAAUUAUAAUUCCUUAAGCAUCUGACCGAAACGACCCCGAAUUAUUGUCUGGGUAGUAAUUCCUUUGCAACAUUAUUCUCUCCUUUUUUGAAGGAGCUCUUGCCUGGGUAGUAAUUCCUAUUUGCAAGGUUAUUCUCUCCUUCAUUUUUACAGGAGCUCUCCUUCCUUAUACUAAUUGGUCAUUAUCCUCUCCUUCCUUUUUCUUUUUGCCAAACUCUCUUUCCAUACUUAUGCCGCUAACCACGCCACUCUUUUUCCUUAUUUAUGCCCUUUGAUCACGCCACACAUCUCAUGAAAUCUAAGCCAUAUCACCCAUCUUUUUUCCUUAUUCUCAAAGGCGCUUUCCUCACAAACAGUAGUUCUCUAGGAUGCUUAACGAUUUUGAAACAGAAACAUAUAUAAAUCGGUAGAACGGGUUGUCAAGCAGCGAGGUGGUACUAGUUUAUAAAGAAACAAAUUAACCUUUUCUUUUUGUGUAAUGAUGCCUUGGUUCGGCUGGUUGCUGCCUUUGCCCUUGAUGUGCAGCGUUGGGAAAAGGAUGGGCGAAGUGGACGAACCAAAAACGGACAAAAUUACGGUAGUAAGAAGCGAUAGCCCAUUUAUUAGUAGGUAUAGAUAUAGAUGUCGAGGAUGAGGAUUUACUGCACACAAGUGCGGGGGCACUCAGGUCCUGGUGCCGGCCUUUUAUUUUGGCUUCCGAUUUUCAAACUUCUAUAUCUUUUAAACGAAAAGUUCAAUUUAAGUUACGUUUUCAUAUUCGUGCUUCUCGCGGCCAGCGCUUUCAAAUAAGAUCCAUUUUGCAUACAUUUUGGCUGCUUUUGGAAACAUUGCUAAGUUUCAUUGUUUGAAACUUAGUACGAGCGACCGAUAAAAUUUAAUUAUUUUGUGUCUACGACCAACAGGAGAAAUUGCUUAAAAUUACAUCUUUGAAACUGGUCAUUUUUUUACUGUGUCCUACUUCACGAAUCACGAGGCAAAUCAAGUAGGCGGCAUGCCCUGGCCGGUGAGUGCCAUUGCACUUACUUGCCCCAGCGAUUUUCCGCGUGCAUUGUAGAAUUCUUUCUCCGAGUCCUGUGAAUUAAAGAUGGUGCAGACAAAAGUAUAUCCUAUAUGCGUACAUGUGCAUGAUCAGAACAUGUUUUUACGUGCGUCUACUAUAAAUCAUGACCAUUUUUAACACAAAUCAUGACCAUUCAUGAUUAGUGAAUCAUACUGUCUUAACUUAUGUGAAAUCAUGUGGAGUAAUAUAAUAUAAUACAAUAGAUAGACAGAUCCAUGUUGUAUUAUUUUUUGUUUACAAAAAAAUCUGUAAUUACACAUUUUGAUUUAUGCAUUUGUUUACAAAAAAACAGUAACAUUUCAUGGUGGAAAGUUUGUAUUGUUUCAUACUGAACACCAAUGUUUUCCUGUAAAAGAAAAUAAUGCCUACGCAUAUGCUUUUAUAUUAUUAUUAUUCUUUCAAACUUAUUCAUAUAGUAUUUUUGAUUGUGCAACCAUAAUUUUUAUUAUCUCUCUCGUUCCACUACAUGCUCUUACUCAAUGAUUUUCUUUAUAAUGGGUGUUUUUAUUAACUCAAAAUAUAGCAUCAAGCGGAUACAGAACAUACUGAGCCACACCCGGUCUCUGCAUAACUAAGAUGCACACAGCCAAAAGCGGAAGUCUGACAAAAAUAAGAUAAGAAAAUCGACAUAUCGACAACAGUGAGUCAUAUAGUUCCGACACUAUGCCUCUGUCGAAGGAGGGGGUGGAGCGAUCUAGAGAUUAUGCUGCCUUCCAUGUUGAGUAAACACCUCCCUGGCCACUUGUUCCAACUGCAUAGACGCCGCCACGAAUAACGGUUGGUACUCUGUUCGGUGUAGCAUACACCAUGUAGGAAGUGAGUGCUCACUCCUAGUUACUGAAUUAUGUACACACUAGUAGAAAAAGGCCCAUUUGUCCCGGUUCGUAAGGCCCAUUUGUCCCAGUUGGGGAACCGGGACUAAAGGGUCGGUACUAAAGCCCUACACCUUUAGUCCCGGUUCUUACACCAACCGAGACAGAUGGGGCUCCACGUGGCCGUUGCGGCUUACCGUGGCAGGUGGGCCUUUUGUCCCGGUUGGUAGCACCAACCGGGACCAAUAAGCUACCACGCGUCAGCAUUUGAGGGGCUANNNNNNNNNNNNNNNNNNNNNNNNNNNNNNNNNNNNNNNNNNNNNNNNNNNNNNNNNNNNNNNNNNNNNNNNNNNNNNNNNNNNNNNNNNNNNNNNNNNNNNNNNNNNNNNNNNNNNNNNNNNNNNNNNNNNNNNNNNNNNNNNNNNNNNNNNNNNNNNNNNNNNNNNNNNNNNNNNNNNNNNNNNNNNNNNNNNNNNNNNNNNNNNNNNNNNNNNNNNNNNNNNNNNNNNNNNNNNNNNNNNNNNNNNNNNNNNNNNNNNNNNNNNNNNNNNNNNNNNNNNNNNNNNNNNNNNNNNNNNNNNNNNNNNNNNNNNNNNNNNNNNNNNNNNNNNNNNNNNNNNNNNNNNNNNNNNNNGGUUAAUUUUGGAGGGUUUCAUAUAUUGUGUUAGGUAGCUAAUUAAUUAAUACAGAGAAGUGUCAUCUCUUAUCUCCGUGCUUGGUCGACGCUACGUACUAUACGUACAGAGAGGCCCUCGACACGCUAGCCAGUAAGCAAAUGAAGGAAACCAUUAAGUACAGAAGUUCGUCAUGAACAUAUGCAUACAAACUAAGUGAUAUCGACCUCUCCUUCUCUGAGAGAUAGGUCGAACAACAAGUUUCCGUAUAUCUAUCCGGCGCUACUAGCUACAUAUAUACAAUAUUAAGAUCUCUUACAAUAUAAUCCCCUAAUUAUAUAUGAACUCAGCUUUCAGAUGGUAUUCUCCGGCUUUAUUGAUGACGUGGUCAAGAAAGAAUCCCUCCAAUUCCUCUUGAAUUGCUUUGAUGCGAUCUUCUGGUAGGAGUUCAUCCCGCAUCUGCCACAUCUAAUUUGAAGAAGGGGGUCAAUCACUAGUAGAAUAACAGCCAUUUGUCCUGGUUCGUAAGGCUCAUUCGUCCUGGUUGGGGAACCGAGACUAAAGGGUCGUUACUAAAGCCCUACACCUUUAGUCCCGGUUCUUACACCAACUGGGACAGAUGGGCCUCCACGUGGCCGCUGCGGCGAGCCCAGGCAGGAGGUCCUUUGGUCCCGGUUAGUGGCACUGAUACUUCUCCAACGUAUCUAUAAUUUUUGAUUGCUCCAUGCUAUUAUGUUAUCUAUUUUGGAUGUUAAUGGGCUUUAUUUUACACCUUUAUAUCAUUUUUGGGACUAACCUACUAAUCGGAGGCCCAGCCCAAAUUGUUGUUUUUUUGCCUAUUUUAGGUUUUCGAAGAAAAGGAAUAUCAAACGAAGUCCAAACGGAAUGAAACCUUCGGGAACGUGAUUUUCUCAACGAACAUGAUCCAGGAGACUUGAAGUGUGCGCCAAGAAAGAAGGGAGGAAGGCAAGAGGCAGGGGGCACGCCUACCCCCCUUGGGCGUGCCCUCCACCCUCGUGGGCCCUCCGCUGCUCCAUCGACGUACUUCUUCCUCCUAUAUAUAUCCACGUACCCCUCGAACAUCCAGGAGCACCACGAAAACCUAAUUCCACCGCCGCAACCUUCUGUACCCGAGAGAUCCCAUCUUGGGGCCUUUUCCGGAGGUCCACCGGAGGGGGCAUCGAUCACGGAGGUCCUCUACAUCAACUCCAUGGCCUAUCCAGUGAUGUGUGAGUAGUUCACUUCAGACCUACGGGUCCAUAGUUAUUAGCUAGAUGGCUUCUUCUCUCUCUUUGGAUCUCGAUACAAAGUUCUUUUCGAUUUUCUUGGAGAUCUAUUUGAUGUAACCUUAUUUUGCGGUGUGUUUGUCGAGAUCCGAUGAAUUAUGGGUUUAUGACCCAGAUUAUCUAUGAACAAUAUUUGAUUCUCCUCUAAAUUCUUUUAUGUAUGAUUGGUUUAUCUUUGCAAGUCUCUUCGAAUUAUCAGUUUGUUUUGGCCUACUAGAUUGAUCUUUCUUGCAAUGGGAGAAGUGCUUAGCUUUGGGUUCAAUCUUGCGGUGUUUGAUCCUAGUGACAGAAAGGGAACCGAUACGUAUUGUAUUGUUGCCAUCGAGGAUAAAAAGAUGGGGUUUAUAUCAUAUCGCAUGAGUUUAUCCCUCUACAUCAUGUCAUCUUCCUUAAAGCAUUACUCUGUUCUCUUGAACUUAAUACUCUAGAUGUGUGCUGGAUUGCGGUCGAUGUGUGGAGUAAUAGUAGUAGAUGCAGAAUCGUUUCGGUCUACUUGUCUCGGACGUGAUGCCUAUAUACAUGAUCAUACCUAGAUAUUCUCAUAACUAUGCUCAAUUCUGUACAAUAUGGUGCACGCGGUUACAUCGGCCUGCAAAGACAUUUCUGCGAUGUGAGACAUCCGAAAAGCAACGAAAACGGGAGAUUAUACAUUUAUUGAAGAGGGCCGGAGUGACAGAUACCGUGAGGGUCUCGAGCUCAGCCAAAGACAAAGGACAGAUGAGCACGGCCUAUGUCGGAGCCAGUGCGGGAGCCGGUGCGGGAGCAGGUGCAGGUGCAGGUGCUGGUGCAAUGCUAGUCGAGCUGCUCCUAAAGAAGUCAACAAUGGGAAAGUCCGCUACAUUUUUUCUGGAUUUUGCGUGCUCCAAUUGAAUACAGCUGGAACCAAGACAGUAGACAUAUCUGUUGGAAAUAUGCCCGAGAGCCAAUAAUAAAUUGGUUAUUAUUAUAUUUCCUUGUUCAUGAUAAUCGUUUAUUAUCCAUGCUAGAAUUGUAUUGAUAGGAAACUCAGAUACAUGUGUGGAUACAUAGACAACACCAUGUCCCUAGUAAGCCUCUAGUUGACUAGCUCGUUGAUCAAUAGAUGCUUACGGUUUCCUGACCAUGGACAUUGGAUGUCGUUGAUAACGGGAUCACAUCAUUAGGAGAAUGAUGUGAUGGACAAGACCCAAUCCAUAUCUAGCACAAGAUCGUGUAGUUCGUAUGCUAAAGCUUUUCUAAUGUCAAGUAUCAUUUCCUUAGACCAUGAGAUUGUGCAACUCCCGGAUACAGUAGGAGUGCUUUGGGUGUGCCAAACAUCACAACGUAACUGGGUGGCUAUAAAGGUGCACUACGGGUAUCUCUAAAAGUGUCUGUUGGGUUGGCACGAAUCGAGACUAGGAUUUGUCACUCCGUGUAAAUGGAGAGGUAUCUCUGGGCCCACUCAGUAGGACAUCAUCAUAAUGAGCACAAUGUGAUCAAGGAGUUGAUCAAGGGAUGAUGUCUUACGGAACGAGUAAAGAGACUUGCCGGUAAUGAGAUUGAACAAGGUAUCGGGAUACCGACGAUCAAAUCUCGGGCAAGUAUCGUACCGAUAGACAAAGAGAAUUGUAUACGGGAUUGAUUGAAUCCUUGACAUCGUGGUUCAUCCGAUGAGAUCAUUGUGGAGCAUGUGGGAGCCAACAUGGGUAUCCAGAUCCCGCUAUUGGUUAUUGACCGGAGAGUUGUCUUGGCCAUGUCUGCAUGACUCCUGAGCUCGUAGGGUCUACACACUUAAGGUUCGAUGACGCUAGGGUUAUAGGGAAAGUAUGUACGCGGUUACCGAAUGUUGUUCGGAGUCCCAGAUGAGAUCCCAGACAUCACGAGGAGUUCUGGAAUGGUCCGGAGGUAAAGAUUUAUAUAUGGGAAGUUCCGUUUUGGUCACCGGAAAUGUUUCGGGUGCUAUCGGUAACGUACCGGGACCACCGGGAGGGUCCCAGGGGUCCAUCAGGUGGGGCCACCAGCCCCGGAGGCCUACAUGGGCCAAUAGUGGGAAGGGACCAGCCCCUAGGUGGGCUGGGGCGCCUCCCGACAAGGCCCAAGUCGCCUCCAAGAGGGGAAGGGGGCAAACCCUAGGGCAGAUGGGCCCCAAGGCCCACCCUAGGUGCGCCUCCCCCUCUCCCCCUUGUAGCCGCCACCCUAGAUGGGAUCUAGGGCUGCCGCACCCCUUGGGGUGGGAACCCUAGAGGGGGCGCAGCCCCCUCCCCUCCCCCUAUAUAUACUUGAGGUAUGGGGGCUGCCCAACAUACGAUUUGAUCUCUCUCUUGGCGCAGCCCUACCCCUCUCCCUCCUCGUCUCUCAUAGUGCUUGGCGAAGCCCUGCUGGAGUUCCGCGCUCCUCCACCACCACUACCACGUCGUCGUGCUGCUGCUGGACGGACUCUUCCCAACCUCUCCUUCUCCCCUUGCUGGAUCAAGGCGUGGGAGACGUCACCGGGCUGCAGAUGUGUUGAACGCGGAGGCGCCGUGGUUCGGCGCUUAGAUCGGAAUCAACCGAGAUCUGAAUCGCUACGAGUACGGCUCCUUCAUCCGCGUUCUUGCAACGCUUCCGCUUAGCGAUCUACAAGGGUAUGUAGGUGCACUACCCUUCCCUUCGUUGCUAGGUUACUCCAUAGAUUGAUCUUGGUGAUGCGUAGAAAAUUUUAAAUUUCUGCUACGAUCCACAACAGUGGCAUCAUGAGCUAGGUCUAUGCGUAGUUUCUAUGCACGAGUAGAACAUAAAACAGUUGUGGGCGUCAAUAUUGUCAAUUACUUGCCGUUAGUAGUCUUAUCUUGAUUCGGCGGCAUCGUGGGAUGAAGCGGCCCGGACUGACCCUACACGUACGCUUACGUGAGACUUGUUCCACUGACUGACAUGCACUAGUUGCAUAAGGUGGCUAGUGGGUGUCUGUCUUUCCCACUUUAGUCAGAUCGGAUUCGAUGAAAAGGGUCCUUAUGAAGGGUAAAUAAAAAUUGGCAUACCACGUUGUCGUUUUGGCGUAGGUAAGAAAUGUUCUUGCUAGAAACCUAUAGGAGCCACGUAAAAACUUGCAACAACAAUUUGAGGACCUCUAACUUGUUUUUGCAGCAUGUGCCGUGUGAUGUGAUAUGGCCAAAAGGAUGUGAUGAAUGAUAUAUGUGAUGUAUGAGAUUGAUCAUGUUCUUGUAAUAGGAAUCACGACUUGCAUGUCGAUGAGUAUGACAACCGGCAGGAGCCAUAGGAGUUGUCUUUAUUUAUUUAUGACCUGCGUGUCAACAUAAACGUCAUGUAAUUACUUUACUUUAUUGCUAAAGCGUUAGCCAUAGUAAUGGAAGUAAUAGAUGACAAGACAACUUCAAGAAGACACGAUGAUGGAGAUCAUGAUGAUGGAGAUCAUGGUGUCAAGCCCGUGACAACGAUGAUCAUGGAGCCCCAAAGAUGGAGAUCAUAAGGAGCAAAAUGAUAUUGGCCAUAUCAUGUCACUAUUUGAUUGCAUGUGAUGUUUAUCAUGUUUUACCUCUUAUUUUCUUAGAACGACGGUAGCUUAAAUAAGAUGAUACCUCGCAAUAAUUUCAAGAAAGUGUUUCCCCUAACUGUGCACCGUUGCGAAGAUUCGUUGUUUUGAAGCACCACGUGAUGAUCGGGUGUGAUAUAUUCUAACGUUCAAAUACAACAGGUGUAAGCCAGAUUUACACACACAAUACACUUAGGUUGACUUGAUGAGCCUAGCAUUUACAGACAUGGCCUCGGAACACGGUAGACCGAAAGGUCGAGCAUGAGUCGUAUAGAAGAUACGAUCAACAUGAAGAUGUUCACCGAUGUUGACUAGUCCGUCUCACGUGAUGAUCGGCCACGGCCUAGUUGACUCGGAUCAUGUUUCACAUAGAUGACUAGAGGGAUGUCUAUCUGAGUGGGAGUUCAUUAAAUAAUUUGAUUAGAUGAACUUAAUUAUCAUGAACAUAGUCCAAAUUGUCUUUGCAAAUAUGUUGUGGAUAAAUAGCUCACGCUUUAGCUCCCUGUUUUAAUAUGUUCCUAGAGAAAAGACUAACUGGAAAGAUAUUGUAAGCAUUAACGCUGACUAGGUCUGUUGCCUGAGGAGUGUCCUCACUGCUACACAGAAGGCUUAUGUCUUUGAUGCACCGCUCGGUGUGCCAACCCCUCCGGCGUCGUCUGUGGAUGUUGUGAACACCCGACAGACACAUCCUGAUGACUACUUGAAAGUUUAGUGCACCAUACUUUACGGCUUAGAAUCGGGAUUCCAAUGACGUUUUGAACGCCAUAAGACAUAUGAGAUGUUCCAAGAGCUGAAAUUGGGAUUUCAGGCUCAUGCCCGUGUUGAGAGGUAUGGACCUCUGACAAGUGCUUUUGCCAACAAGAUGGAGUAGAAUAGCUCAGCUAGAGAGCAUGUGCUCGGAAUGUCUGGGUGCUACAAUCACUUAAAUCAAGUGGGAGUUAAGCUUCCAGAUAAGAUAGUGAUUGAUAGAGUUCUCUAGCCACUAUCACUAAGAUACUAGAUCUUCGUGAUGAACUAUGACAUGCAAGGGAUGGAGUUGAUCCCGGAGCUGUUCACGGUGCUUAAGAUCGCAAAAGGUAGAAAUCAAGAAGGAGCAUCAAGUGUUGAUGGUUUAACAAGACCACUAGUUUCAAGAAGGGCAAGGGCUAGAAGGGAAACUUCAUGAAUGGCAAACCAGUUACCAAUCAAGUGAAGGAACCCAAGGUUGAACCCAAACCCGAGACAAAGUGCUUCUAUUGUAAGGGGAACAGUCACUGGUAGCGGAACUACCCCAAAUACAUGGUAGAUAAGAAGGAUGGCAACUUCAACAAAGUAUAUACAUGUUAUUAAUGUGUACCUCACCAGUACUCUUGGUAGCACCUGGGUAUUGGAUACCGGUUCAGUUGCUAUUAUUGGUGACUUGAAGCAAAAGCUACGGACUAAACGGAGACUGGCUAAGGGCGAGGUGACGUUGUGUGGUGGAAGUGUUUCCAAAGUUGAUAAGAUCACCAUCGCAUGCUCCAUCUGCCUUUGGGAUUAGUAUUGAACCUAGAUAAAUGUUAUCAGGUGUCUACGUUGAGGAUGAAUAUGAUUAGAUCAUGUUCAUUGCAAUACGGUUAUUCAUUUAAGAUAGAGAAUAAUGGUUAUUCUGUUUACAUGAAUAAUACCUUUCAUGGUCAUGCACCCUAUGUGAAUGGUUCAUUGAAUCUCGGUCGUGGUAAUACAGAUGUUCACGCCAAAAGAUGUAGAGUUAACAAUGAUAGUACCACUUUCUUGUGGAACUGCCGCUUAGGUCAUAUUGGCAUAAGAUGCAUGAAGAAACUCCAUGUCGAUGGAUGUUUGGAGUCAAUUGAUUUUGAAUCGCUUGACACAUGCGAGCCAUGAUUCAUGGGCAGGAUGACUAAGACCCCGUUUUCAGGUAAAAUAAAACGGGCAAGUGACUUCUUGGAAAUCAUACAUGCUGAUGCAUGUGUUCCAAUCAGAAUUGAAGCGUGCGGUGGAUAUCGCUAUUUUCUCAUCUUCACUGACGAUUUGAGUAGAUAUAGGUAUAUUUACUUAAUGAAGCACAAGUCUGAAACAUUUGAAAAGUUCAAGCGAUUUUAGAGUGAAGUUAAGAACCAUCAUAUAUAAUAAGAAGAUCAAAUUCCUACGAUCUGAUCGAUGAGAAUUUCUGAGUUAUGAGUUGGGCAAUCACUUAAGACAUUGUGGAAUUGUUUCAUAGUUGAAGCCACCUGGAACAACACAGGGUAAUGGUGUGUCCGGACGUCGUAAUCGAACCUUAUGAGAUAUGGUGCGAUCUAUGAUGUCCCUUACCGAUCUACCAUUUUCAUUUUGAGGAUAUGCGUUAGAGAAAGCUGCAUUCACUUUUGAUAGGACACCAUCUAAGUCCGUUGAGAUGACGUCGUAUGAAUAUGGUUUGGCAAGAAACCAAAAUUGUCGUUUCUUAAUGUUUGGGGCUGCGAUGCUUAAGGCUUCAGGCGGAGAAGAUCGAACCCAAAAGAGGACAAACACAUCUUCAUAGGAUACCCAAAGGUGACAGUUUGGUAUACCUUCUAUCUCCAAUCUGAGGGCAAGUUGUUUGUCGCUAAGAAUGGUUCCUUUCUCGAGAAGGAGUUUCUCUCGAAAGAAUUGAGUGGGAAGAAGAUAGAACUUGAUGAGGUUGUCGAACCUUUGUUUCAACCAGAGAGUGAUGCAACACAGAAAGAUGUUUUCUGUGGCACCUACGUCUGUUGAAGAGGAAGUUAAUGAUAGUGAUCAUGAAGCUUCGGAUCAAGUUGCUAUCGAACCUCAUAGGUCGACCAGGAUAUGUACUACUCCUGAGUGGUACGGUAAUCCUGUCUUAGAUAUCAUGUUGUUAGACAACAAUGAACCCAUGAGCUAUGGAGAAGCGAUGGUGGGCCCGUAUUCCGACAAAUGGUUAGAAGCCAUGAAAUCCGAGAUAGGCUCCAUGUAUCAGAACAAAGUAUGGACUUUGGUGGACUUGCCCGAUGAUCGGCGAGCCAUUGAGAUAAAUGGAUCUUUAAGAAGAAGACGGACGUGGGCGGUAAUGUUACCAUCUAUGAAGCUCGACUUGUGGGAAAGAGUCUUUUCACAAGUUCAAGGAGUUGACUACGAUGAGAAUUUCUCACCCGUAGCGAUGCUUAAGUCCGUCGGAAUCAUGUUAGCAUUAGCUGUAUUUUUCGAUUAUGAAAUCUGACAGAUGGAUCUCAAAACAAGUUUUCUUACCAGUUUUCGUAAGAAAAAGUUGUAUGUGAUACAAUAAAAGGUUUUGUCGAUCCUAAGGAUGCUAAAAGGUAUGCUGGCUCCAGCAAUCCUUCUAUGGACUAGAGCAAGCAUCUCGAAGUUGGAAUAUAUGCUUUGAUGGAGUGAUCAAAGCUUUUAGGUUUAUACAAUGUUUGCUAGAAACUUGUAUUUACAAGAAAGUGAGUGGGAGAACUACAACAUUUCUGAUAAGUAUAUGUGGAUGACAUAUUGCUGAUUCAAAAUAAUGUAGAAUUUCUGGAAAGCAUAAACGGUUGUUUGAAGAGUGAUUUUCAAAGGCAGACCUGGAUAAAGCUGCUUACAAAUUGGGCAUCAAGAUCUGUAGAAAUAGAUCAAGACGCCUGAUGAUACUUUCAAAGAACGCACACCUUGACAUGUUUUUGAAGGAGUUCAAAAUAGAUCAGGCAAAGAAGGGGUUCUUACCUGUGUUGUAAGGUGUGAAGUUGAGUAAGACUUGAAAGCUUGACCACGACAGAAGAAAGAGGAAGGAUGAAGGUCAUCCCCUAUGCUUUUGUCAUAGGCUCUAUACGGUAUGCCAUGCUGAGUACCACACCAGAUGAGUGCCUUGCCACAUGUCUGGCAAGAGGGUACAAAGGUGAUCUAGGAGUGGAUCACCAGAUAGCGGUCAAAAUUGUCCUUAGAGGAAUAAGGAAAUGUUUCUCAGUUACGGAGCUGAUAAAGAGUUCGACAUAAAGAGUUACGUCGAUACAUGCUUAAACACCAAUCCGGAUAGCUCUGAGUAGAGAUACCAGAUACGUAUAAUGGAGCAACAAUUUGGAAUAGCUCCAAGUGGAACGUGGUAGCAGCAUCUACGAUAUGACAUAAAGUUUUGGGAAAUACAUAGGGAUCUGAAUAUUACAGACCCGUUGACUACAACCUCUCUCACAAGCAUAACAUGAUCAAACCCAGAACUCAUUGAGUGUUAAUCGCAUAGUGAUGUGAACUAGAUUAUUGAAUCUAGUAAACUCUUUAGAUGUUGGUCACAUGGCGAUGUGACCAGUGAGUGUUAAUCACAUGGCGAUGUGAACUAGAUUAUUGACUCUAGUGCAAGUGGGAGACUGUUGGAAAUAUGCCCUAGAGCUAAUAAUAAAUUGGUUAUUAUUAUAUUUCCUUGUUCAUGAUAAUCGUUUAUUAUCCAUGCUAGAAUUGUAUUGAUAGGAAACUCAGAUACAUGUGUGGAUACAUAGACAACACCAUGUCCCUAGUAAGCCUCUAGUUGACUAGCUCGUUGAUCAAUAGAUGGUUACGCUUUCCUGACCAUGGACAUUGGAUGUCGUUGAUAACGGGAUCACAUCAUUAGGAGAAUGACGUGAUGGACAAGACCUAAUCCUAAGCCUAGAACAAGAUCAUGUAGUUCGUAUGCUAAAGCUUUUCUAAUGUCAAGUAUCAUUUCCUUAGACCAUGAGAUUGUGCAACUCCCAGAUACAGUAGGAGUGCUUUGGGUGUGCCAAACGUGACAACGUAACGGGGUGGCUAUAAAGGUGCACUACGGGUAUCUCUGAAAGUGUCUGUUGGGUUGGCAUGAACCGAGACUGGGAUUUGUCACUCCGUGUAAACGGAGAGGUAUAUCUGGGCCCACUCGGUAGGACAUCAUCAUAAUGUGCACACUGUGAUCAAGGAGUUGAUCACGGGAUGAUGUAUUACGGAACGAGUAAAGAGACUUGCCGGUAACGAGAUUGAACAAGCUAUCGGGAUACCGACGAUCGAAUCUCGGGCAAGUAUCAUACCGAUAGACAAAGGGAAUUGUAUACGGGAUUGAUUGAAUCCUUGACAUCAUGGUUAAUCUGAUGAGAUCAUCGUGGAGCAUGUGGGAGCCAACAUGGGUAUCCAGAUCCCGCUGUUGGUUAUUGACCGGAGAGUUGUCUCGGCCAUGUCUACAUGACUCCCGAGCCCGUAGGGUCUACACACUUAAGGUUCGAUGACGCUAGGGUUAUAGGGAAAGUAUGUACACGGUUACAGAAUGUUGUUCGGAGUCUUGGAUGAGAUCCCGGACGUCACGAGGAGUUCCAGAAUGGUCCAGUGGUAAAGAUUUAUAUAUGGGAAGUCCCGUUUUGGUCACCGGAAAGGUUUCGGGUGCUAUCGGUAACGUACCGGGACCACCGGGAGGGUCCCAGGGGUCCAUCAGGUGGGGCCACCAGCCCCGGAGGCCUACAUGGGCCAAUAGUGGGAAGGGACCAGCCCCUAGGCGGGCUGGGGCGCCUCCCACCAAGGCCCAAGGCGCCUCCAAGAGGGGAAGGGGGCAAACCCUAGGGCAGAUGGGCCCCAAGGCCCACCCUAGGUGCGCCUCCCCCUCUCCCCCUUGUAGCCGCCACCCUAUAUGGGAUCUAGGGCUGCCGCACCCCUUGGGGUGGGAACCCUAGAGGGGGCGCAGCCCCCUCCCCUCCCCCUAUAUAUACUCGAGGUAUGGGGGCUGCCCAACAUAUGAUUUGAUCUCUCUCUUGGCGCAGCCCUACCUCUCUCCCUCCUCGUCUCUCAUAGUGCAUGGCGAAGCCCUGCUGGAGUUCCGCACUCCUCCACCACCACCACACCGUCGUUCUGCUGCUGGACGGAGUCUUCCCAACCUCUCCUUCUCCCCUUGCUGGAUCAAGGUGUGGGAGACGUCACCGGGCUGCACGUGUGUUGAACGCGGAGGCGUCGUGGUUCGGCGCUUAGAUCGGAAUUAACCGCGAUCUAAAUCGCUACGAGUACGGCUCCUUCAUCCGUGUUCUUGCAACGCUUCCGCUUAGAGAUCUACAAGGGUAUGUAGAUGCACUCCCCUUCCCUUUGUUGCUAGAUUACUACAUAGAUUGAUCUUGGUGAUGCGUAGAAAAUUUUAAAUUUCUGCUACGAUCCCCAACAAUAUCUGCAACCACCUGUUUUGCGGCAGCUACUGCUGUCGCGAAUGUCUUAGAUGAUUUCUUCUCAACCGCAAUCUCAACCUUCUUGUCGAUGUUUUCUUCAGUUAACCUCCAUCUUUCCUUUCUCUCCUCCGUGGUCUCACAGUAGUACUUCUUCCACGUGGCCCCGUCUCCGACACCGUGAACGCGUCCAUACGACGACCUAGUCUCCACCGGCAGUCCUUUCAAUAUGUUCAAUGCCCGGGUGAAUGGAGUGUCCCACUUGGGCCUCGCCAACGCCUCAGACGGUGAGUCGCUUUCAGCCACAAUCAUGUGCUUCUCUCUCUACAAAAGGAACAAGGAUCAUUUACAAAUAUGACUAAACGUGCAGUCGAAUUGAUCAGAAACUAAAAUUACCAGCAGUCUCAUGAACUCCGUCGUGAUCGGGUCCGUCUUGAAAACCUUCUUGACCGAGUUCGAAUGGUGUCGUGCCCUGAGGACGUCAUGCUCCUAUGGGACGGUGAAGUCCGCCAAGGGGUCUAGGAUGCCAGACUUUCGUGUUCCGUGUCCUGCUUGGCCCAUAUGGACCUCUUCCUGCCGUAACCACGGCUUCUGAGGUGGUGGCGCCCCAUGUUCCUUUGUUGAAGCCCCUUCAUGUACUUUGACUUUGUUUUGGCGGCUUCGGCCUCGCAAGCCGCCUUUAAUAUUUCAAAGUGCUCUCCCGUGAUUGUCGGAUUAUCCUUUACAAUCUCGGAGUAGGGUUGAUACGUCUCCAACGUAUCUAUUAUUUUUGAUUGCUCCAUGCUAUAUUAUCUACAGUUUUGGACAUUAUUGGGCUUUAUUAUCUACUUUUAUAUUAUUUUUGGGACUAACCUAUUAACCAGAGGUCCAGCCCAGAAUUGCUGUUUUUUUGCCUGUUUUAGGGUUUCGAAGAAAAGGAAUAUCAAACGGAGUCCAAACGGAAUGAAGCCUUCGGGAAUGAGAUUUUCUCAACGAACAAGACCCGGGAGACUUGGACCCUACGUCAAGACAAAANNNNNNNNNNNNNNNNNNNNNNNNNNNNNNNNNNNNNNNNNNNNNNNNNNNNNNNNNNNNNNNNNNNNNNNNNNNNNNNNNNNNNNNNNNNNNNNNNNNNNNNNNNNNNNNNNNNNNNNNNNNNNNNNNNNNNNNNNNNNNNNNNNNNNNNNNNNNNNNNNNNNNNNNNNNNNNNNNNNNNNNNNNNNNNNNNNNNNNNNCACCGACGUACUUCUUCCUCCUAUAUAUACCUACGUACCCCCAAACGAUCAUAUACGGAGCCAAAACCCUAAUUCCACCGCCGCAACUUUCUGUAUCCAUGAGAUCCCAUCUUGGCGCCUGUUCCGGAGCUCCGCCGGAGGGGGCAUCGAUCACGGAGGGCUUCUACAUCAACAGCAUAGCCUCUCCGAUGAAGUGUGAGUAGUUGACCUCAGACCUACGGGUCCAUAAUUAUUACCUAGAUGGCUUCUUCUCUCUUUUUGGAUCUCAAUACAAUGUUCUCCCCCUCUCUUGUGGAGAACUAUUCGAUGUAAUAUUCUUUUUGCGGUGUGUUUAUUGAGAUCGAUGAAUUGUGGGUUUAUGAUCAAGUCUAUCUAUGAAUAAUAUUUGAAUCUUCUCUGAAUUCUUUAAUGUAUGAUUGUUUAUCUUUGCAAGUCUCUUCGAAUUAUCAGUUUGGUUUGGCCUACUAGAUUGAUCUUUCUUACAAUGGGAGAAGUGCUUAGCUUUGGGUUCAAUCUUGCGGUGUCCUUUCCCAGUGACAGUAGGGGCAGCAAGGCAUGUAUUGUAUUGUUGCCAUCGAGGACAACAAGAUGGGGUUUUCAUCAUAUUGCAUUAUUCUAUCCCUCUACAUCAUGUCAUCUAGCUUAAGGCGUCACUCUGUUUUUAACUUAAUACUCUAGAUGCAUGCUGGAUAGCGGUCGAUGAGUGGAGUAAUAGUAGUAGAUGCAGGCAGGAGUCGGUCUACUUGUCUCGGACGUGAUGCCUAUAUACAUGAUCAUACCUAGAUAUUCUCAUAAAUAUGCUCAAUUCUGUCAAUUGCUCAACAGUAAUUUGUUCACCCACCAUAGAAUAAUUAUACUCUCAAGAGAAGCUACUAGUGAAACCUAUGGCCCCCGGGUCUAUCUUUAUCAUAUUAAUCUCCUACUACUUAGUUAUUUCCUUUGCUUUUUCCUUUGUAUUUCCUUUGCUUUUUUCCUUUGCCUUUAUUUUACUUUUCAUCUUUAUCACAAAAAUACCAAACAUAUUAUCUUUAUCAUAUCUAUCAGAUCUCACUCUCGUAAGUGGCCUUGUAGGGAUUGACAACCCCUAUUCGUGUUGGUUGUGAGGAUUUAUUUGUUUUGUGCAAUUACGAGGGACUCGCGCGUAGCCUCCUACUGGAUUGAUACCUUCGUUCUCAAAAACUGAGGGAAAUACUUACGCUACUUUGCUGCAUCAUCCCUUCCUCUUCGGGGAAAACCAACGCAGUGCUCAAGAGGUAGCAAGAAGGAUUUCUGGUGCCGUUGCCGGGGAGGUCUACGCAAAAGUGAACAUACCAAGUACCCAUCACAUACCCUUAUCUCCCGCAUUACAUUAUUUUCCAUUUGCCUCUCGUUUUCACCUCCCCCACUUCACCCUUGCUGUUUUAUUCGCCCUCUCUCUCUAUCCGCCCUCUCUUUCUCUAUUUGCCUCUUUUUUCCCGCUUGCUUUCUGUUUGCUUGUGUGUUAGUUGCUUGCUUGUCACGAUGGCUCAAGAUAAUACUAAAUUAUGUGACUUCACAAUGGCGAAAGCCUGGUUUUCGUCUUUGGCUAAAAAUAGUAUUGAUUCAUGGAAUAAGUGCAAAGAUGCUUUUAUCUCUAAGUAUUUUCCUCCUGCUAAGAUCAUCUCUCUUAGAAACGAUAUAAUGAAUUUUAAGCAACUUGAUCAUGAACAUGUUGCACAAGCUUGGGAGAGAAUGAAACUAAUGGUACAUAAUUGCCCUGCCCAUGAUUUAAAUUUGUGGAUGAUUAUACAAAAUCUUUAUGCCGGAUUGAAUUUUGCUUCUAGAAAUCUUUUAGAUUCAGCCGCGGGAGGCACUUUUAUGGAAAUCACUUUAGGAGAAACUCCUAGAUAAUAUUAUGGUCAAUUAUUCUCAACGGCAUACUGAAAGAUCUAAUAAUAAAAUGGUGCAUGCGAUAGAAGAAAUUAAUGUUUUGAGUGGAAAGAUGGAUGAACUUCUGAAAUUAUUUGCUAAUAAGAGUGUUUCUUCUGAUCCUAAUGAUAUGCCCUUGUCUAAUUUGAUUGGGAAUAAUAAUGAAUCUAUGGAUGUGGAUUUUGUUGGUAGGAACAAUUUUGGUGACAACGCGUAUAGAGGAAAUUUCAACCCUAGGCUUUAUCCUAGUAAUCUCUCUAAUAAUGAUGGUAAUUCCUACAACAAUUCUUAUGGAAAUUAUAAUAAGAUUCCCUCUGAUUUUGAAUCUAAUAUUAAAGAAUUUAUUACUUUGCAAAAGAAUUUCAAUGCCUAGAUUGAAGAAAAAUUGCUUAAGAUUGAUGAUUUGGCUAGGAACGUUGAUAGAAUUACUCUUGAUGUUGAUUCUUUGAAACUUAGAACUAUUCCACCUAAGCAUGAUGUCAAUGAGUCUCUCAAAGCCAUGAGAAUUUCCAUUGAUGAGUGCAAAGAAAGAACCGCUAGGAUGCGUGCUAAGAAAGAUGCCUUUAUAAGAGCGUGUUCUUCUCGUUCCUAUGAAAAUAAUGAUGAAGAUCUAACAGUUAUUGAUGUGUUCCCUAUUAAAUCUUUGUUUUGCAAUAUGAAUCUUGAUAAUGAUGGGACUGAAUAUGAUCCACCUUUACCUAUCAGGCGUUCCAAGAAUUCAGAAUUUGUUGAUCUUGAUGCUAAAAUUGAUAAAGGUGGGAUUGAAGAAAUUAAAACCCUUGAUGUUGCUAAACCCACUAUUAUGGAUUUCAAGGAAUUUAACUAUGAAAAUUGCUCUUUUAUUGAUUGUAUAUCCUUGUUACAAUCCAUGCUAAAUUCUCCUCAUGCUUAUAGUCAAAAUAAAGCGUUUACUAAACAUAUCGUUGAUGCCUUGAUGCAAUCUUAUGAAGAAAAACUUGAAUUGGAAGUUUAUAUCCCUAGAAAGCUUUAUGAUGAGUGGGAAUCAACUAUUAAAAUUAAAAUUAAAUAUCAUGAAUGCUAUGCUUUAUGUGAUUUAGGUGCUAGUGUUUCCAUGAUUCCAAAGACUUUGUGUGAUUUGUUAGGUUUCCGUGAUUUUGAUGAUUGCUCUUUAAACUUGCGCCUUGCGGAUUCCACUAUUAAGAAACCUAUGGGAAGAAUUAAUGAUGUUCUUAUUGAUGCAAAUAGGAAUUAUGUGCCUGUAGAUUUUAUUGUUCUUGACAUAGAUUGCAAUCUUUCAUGUCCUAUUAUUCUUGGUAGACCUUUCCUUAGAACGAUUGGUGCAAUUAUUGAUAUGAAGGAAGGAAAUAUUAGAUUCCAAUUUCCAUUAAGGAAAGUCAUGGAACACUUUACUAGAAAGUAAAUUAAAUUAACUUAGGAAUCUAUUAUGAUAGCCACUUAUGGAUUGCCUACCAAAGAUGGCAAUACCUAGAUCUAUCCUUGCUUGUUAUGCCUAGCUAGGGGCAUUAAACGAUAGCGCUUGUUGGGAGGCAACCCAAUUUUGUUUUUAUUCCUUGAUUUUUGCUCCUGUUUAGUAAUAAAUAAUUUAUCUAGCCUCUGUUUCGGUUGUGUUCUUUGUGUUUAAUUACUGUUUGUGCCAAGUAGAACCGUUAGGAAGACUUGGGGAAAGUCUUGUUACACUUGCUGUAAAAAACAGAAACUUCAGCGCUCACGAGAACUGCUGCCAUUUUUAUUUGGAAGUGCUAUUUAGUUAAUUAUUUCUGCAGAUGAUUAAUACAUAAAUUCCUCACGUCCAGCAAUUUAUUUUAGAAUUUUUGGAGUUCCAGCUCUUGAGCUAGCUACAGAUUACUACAGACUAUUCUGUUUUUGAAAGAUUCUGUUUUUUCGUGUGUUGUUUGCUUAUUUUGAUGAACCUAUGGCUAGUAAAAUAGUUUAUAAACCAUAGAGAAGUUGGAAUACAGUAGGUAUAACACCAAUAUAAAUAAAUAAUGAGUUCAUUAUAGUACCUUCAAGUGGUCUUUUAUUUUCUUUCGCUAACGGAGCUCACGAGAUUUUCUACUUUAAGUUUUGUGUUGUGAAGUUUUCAAGUUUUGGGUAAAGAUUUGGUGGAUUAUGGAACAAGGAGUGACAAGAGCCUAAGCUUGGGGAUGCCCAUGGCACCCCCAAGAUAAUCUAAGUACACAUAAAAGCCAAAGCUUGGGGAUGCCCCGGAAGUCAUCCCCUCUUUCGUCUACUUCUAUCGGUAACUUUACUUGGAGCUAUAUUUUUAUUUGCCACAUGAUAUGUGUUUUGCUUGGAGCGUCUUGUAUUAUUUGACUUGUCAGGACCCCGAUUCCAAGCCACAUCGAUCUAGACGGUAACACCUCAUAUCACUUUGCAGCCUCACGCACGAUAUUCCACGGGUGUCGCAUUACCAUGGCCUGGGACCGUUUGCGCCUUUUGGCUCACGUAUAUGAUAGUGUCGCUAGCAUCCAUAUGACAGAGAACCCGGGCCGACAUGGCUAGUCGUGAACCCAAAGCGGCACAGACCUAUGGAGACAGGCAUACAUGAAUCACAUCGAGCAUGUCGGUCAUCAGCGAGUGAUUCCGGGCUUUAGCACUGGGCUAACAGGACUCCGGGGAACCCGGGCUGUAGCAGGCUAGGCAGGACUCCGGAAGUCACCGCGUGACAUUUCCCCGAAGAGACAGACAUAGGAACAAAGUGAAUCACAUGCUGGCCAGUCAAGUGUCCUGAGCAGUAGUGCUAGGCUAGCAGGACUCUGGUGAACCGGGCUGUAGCGGACUACUAUGGCUCGAGGAACACUAGACUACAUUUCCCCAUAAGAAAGGCUGCCAAGGAUAAACAACUAGAUUUUCGGAUCCCACUCAUACCAAGCAUUUCAAUCAUACACACAAUAUGCCCGAUAUGAGUACAUACAACAUGGCAUCACAACAAAACUCUACAAAUCAAGUACUUUAUUUAAAGGCUCCAGAGAGCCAUACAUAACAUGUUCAUACAGAUAGGGGUCACAUGACCCGACACUCAAGUCAUACAAUCAUACAAGCACAUGCGGAAGCAACCGGUCUGAGUACGGACACUAGAAAGAAAGAAGGCUCCUCGAGGCCUGUUUAUCUACAUAGGGCCCUCCAUGGCCAGGAUCACCACCUGGGUGGCUAGUCACUCGUCGACGUCAAGGUCUACAUAGAACCCAUCGGAGGGGGCGGUGUUGUCGUCUGAAAACAGUAAUUAAGCAAACAUGAGUACAAAGGUACUCAGCAAGUCUUACAACAGAACCUACUAUACAUGCUUAUUCUCAAGAAGGUGGUGGGGAUAUUGCAGCAAGCCAGCUUUGACUCUUGGCUAAACUAUCCUAUGGAACUUCUCUAGUAAAAUAGUUUUCGCACACGAGUCCACUACUCACCAACACAAUACUCCACCGGGGAUCCUCCCUCGUCAUCCUACGAGAGGGCCAUCCUCGGUACUCACACUUAUCUUGAGUCUUUUAGUAGUAUCCAUUUACUUGUCUACGAACUGUAUAGGCAACCAAGUAGUCCUUUACCGCGGACGCGGCUAUUCGAAUAGUUUUAUACCCUGCAGGGGUGUACUUCGUCAUGCACGCUUUCACCACUUAUCGCCGUUUACACGACAUGUACUCGGCAACCUUCAAGCGGAAGCCCAGUGAGGGUGUCGGCCACGGCCUACCUAAACACUUAAGUCUCUAGUCCAGGUUUAUCGCCUAUCCAGGUUCCAUCCGCAGGGAGUCCGGCCGAGGUUUCCACAUACGGCCCGAACGAUGUGAACAGGGUCCCGAGACGCCAAUCGGGCACCCGGCAUACCCGGCCACGGUGUAUCUACCGCAACAUAGCCCACCCCUAGGGUCAGCACUACGCACGGCCGCCAACACAUAACCUACAAGCACCAGAAACUAUUUGCAACUCCUGGACAGAGUACUAGGGUGAUUAAGAAGCCGAGAGGGUCAAUUAAGGAUCCCAAUGCAUGGUAGUAGCUGAAUCUUAAAUCGCACAUACAGAUCUCAGUUCUUUGGGACGGUCUCAAUGAAACAACCCACCAUGUACUCCUACAUGGCCUCUCAUCGAUACCUUUACCAAAACAUGUUCAACACAUUCCUCAUAUUACCGACAUAAUCAUAUCACUCUAGCCCAUCACCCAGAUGAACCAGACCUGACACAACUCUAAGCAUAGCAGGCAUAGCAAGGUAGGAAUCACAGACAUGGCUCAAUCAACUCCUACACAUGCUAGUGGGUUUCAUCUAGUUACUGCGGCAAUGACAGAUCAUGUAGAGGAUAAGGGUUCAACUACCGUAGCACACAGUAGUUUGAAUCGCGUUGUCUUAAUCCAGUAAACAAGAGCAAAGGCGAGAACAUGGGUUGUAUCGGAAUGAUCAAUGGGUUGCUUGCCUGAUGGAGUGGUAGCGGGAUACUGCCCUUCAGUUGGAUACUCGUGAAUAUCCUCGGAGGCAGAACCUACCACGAAGAACACAUCGGAACACAAUCAACACAUGACGAUAUGCAACAAUAUGAUGCAUGCUAUGACAUGGCUAUGGUGUUGGCCUAAUGCAAGCUAAAAUAGAAAGGGAUGAACUCAUUUGAAUCAAAGAUUCAAAUAUUAGCUCAUUAAACAUGGCCUUAAUAGUGGAUUUCCUUAUUCUGCUUAAACAGCAAGGUAAACUUGUUUUUUCAUGCAUGAAACCAUUACAUAUGGAUAGAUUGAAUUUUUCUGAUAAAUUUUUCAUAUAUAAAUUAUUUCAUUUGGAGUUACGGUUGAAUUUCUAUGAUUUUUAGAAGUUUUAAACAUUUUCUGGAAUUUCCUGAAUAAAGAUAAAUCCAGAAAAUGCAUUACUGCAUCAGCAUUGCGUCAUGCUGACCUCAGCAGGUCAAAGGCGCCAGCCCAGGUCAAACCUGACUGGUGGGCCCCUUCUGUCAGUCUCUGAGUUAAAUAACAGGAUUAGAUUAACACUAAUUAGCUGUCAGUGGGGCCUGGGCCCACAUGUCAGUGACUGAUUAAAAUAAAAUUAGUUAAAACUAAUCCUAGAUUAGUUAGCAGACCGGCCCCACCUGUCAUAGACUCAGGGGGGUCUACCUGGGCCCACCCAGGGUCAAACUGGGUCAAACUCACCGGCGUUGAGCAGCCGGCGAGGCCCGAGACGGUGGCGCAGCUCGGAAAACGCCUAUAGGGCAUGAGGGAGGCCGUUCUUGGGCUCGUUGGAGAGCUCUUGCAAUCGCGCAUCUAGUGGUGGUGGUGGCCGAGCCUACGGUGGCCGGAGACGACGACGGCGAGCUCCAAGGCGGCGGCCGGAGUUCGGCCAUGUGCGGGGUGUGGGCUGCGGUGUGCAAACGUGGAAACUGAGGCGCUAGCGAGGCACUACGCGAUGCGGCAAGCAUGUUGCGUAGCACGGGAUGACCAAAUGGUCGCCGAAGCGGCACCGGCGACAAGCUCGAGCGGAGACGAGCUUCGGCCAUGGUGGAACUAUGGCCUAGAGGGUGCAAACGCGUGGAAAAGAAGAGGGGAAAGGUGGGGGAGCUCACAGGGAGGUCGAUGAGCAGCUCAGCGGGCUUGGGGGCGACCGGAGUGAGGCGAAUCGAUGAGCGGUGUCCGGUGGGUACCGAGGUUGAAGACGAUCCGAUGGCGGCGAUGCAGGGCCUCCGGCGAUGCGUGGCUCGGUGGGGAGGGCGAGGGCGUCACGGCAGAGCUUCUGGACAGGUCUGAGAGGCGAGAGGGUGACGGAGGGCGUGACUACGGCGGUGAGAGGGCGACGGGUGCGUCGGCCAUCGCGGGAGAGGGAGAGGGAGACGCGGUGGAGAGUGAGAGAGGAUGAGAGGGGGACGUGGGGGUCGCGUGGCAUUCCCUAGACGUCUCCCGGUGUCGGCGGAAGCAGGAGGUGGCCGGCGUGUGGCCGCGGGCGUCGGCCACGCGCUCCGCGUCCUUCUGGCACGAGGAGGACGACGACUGGCAGCGCCAGUAGGCUGGGCCGAGCCAGGUGGGCUGGCCAGCACAGGUAAGGCCCAGGUGGGCUUCUCCCUCUCUUUUUUUAAUUUGUUUCUGUUUUCUAUUUAACUGUAACUGUUGGGCUUUAUUUAAAAUACUAAAACAUUUCCAAAAAUCCUGAAAAUAAUUGUGGGCUCUAUUUGGAUUAUUUCCAACAGCAAACAUUUAUUUCCAGAAUUAUUUGAGCAUCUAAAUUAUUUAAUAGCAUUUAAAUGUCCAAAUUCAAAUACUUAUGAUUUAAAUCAAUGACCUUCUGUUGACCAAGAAAAAUUGUGCACCAAUUUUGCCAGAGGUUCUAACCCAAGACAAAGAGGGUGAACUUUUUAGAAGGGCAUUUCAGGUUCAUUGAAAAUAAUUUUAGUAAACCCUAGUUGUUUCCAGGGGGGUGUUGGGGGUUUGUGCCUUCCCCAACUCAAAUUUAAGAGGAAUUUAAACAUGAUGCACAUUCUAAUGCUUGAACUAGCUAGGGUGUGACAACUCACCCCCAGUCAAAAGAAUCUCGUCCUGAGAUUUAGGAUCCUCUGGAAAGAAGGUGGGGUACUCGAGUCGAAGACGAUCCUCCCUUUCCCAAGUGGCUUCUUUCUCGGAAUGGUGUGACCAUUGAACCUUGAGAAACUUGAUAUUAUGACGUCGAGUGGUACGCUCGGCUUGAUCAAGGAGACGAACGGGAUAUUAUCGUUAAGAGAGAUUAUCUUGUAGAUCAAGCGUUUUGUGGUCCACUCCACGAAUAGGAUCCGCGAAGCAACGCCUGAGUUGUGAAACGUGGAAGACAUCAUGAACUCUGGAAAGAUGCGGAGGUAGUUCCAAUUGGUAGGCAACUUCUCCUCGUUUGGCAAGAAUGCGAAAGGGUCCAAUGUAACGAGGAGCCAAUUUGCCUUUGAUACCGAAACGAUGGGUUCCUUUUAAUGGGGUAACCCGAAGGUAAGCCUUCUCGUCGACUUCAUAAGUCAUAGGCUUAUGUUUACGAUCAUAUUGACUCUUUUGACGAGAUUGGGCUGUUUUCAAUUUCUCACGAAUAACGCGAACCUGCUCUUCCGCUUCCUGAAUCAUAUCCGGUCCAAAGAGUUGUCUUUCCCCGGUUACUGACCAGUUAAGAGGCGUUCGACAUUUUCGUCCAUAGAGAACUUCGAAAGGAGCUUUGCCCAAGCUAGCUUGAUAACUAUUAUUAUAAGGAAACUCCGCGAAUGGGAGGCAUUUCUCCCAACUCAUUCCGAACAAGAUAACAUAAGCUCGGAGCAUAUCUUCCAGAAUUUGAUUGACUUGCUCUACUUGACAACUUGAUUGAGGAUGGAAGGCUGUACUAAAAGAGAGACGAGUUCCCAUAGCAUUUUGGAAACUUUCCCAAAAUCGAGAGGUGAAGAGACUCCCACGGUCUGAGUUAAUUUCCAAUGGGACACCAUGGAGAGACACUAUUCGGGAGAUGUAUAAAUCGGCUAGCUGGAUAGCAGUGAUAUUCUCACGAACAGGUAGGAAAUGGGCUACUUUGGAAAGACGGUCGAUCACGACGAAGAUGGCAUUAUUCCCUCUCUUGGUCCUGGGAAACCCAGUAAUGAAAUCCAUACUGAUUUUAUCCAAUUACCAUUCAGGAAUAGCCAAAGGUUGAAGGGUGCCAGCAGGCCGUUGAUGCUCUGCUUUAACACGACGACAGACGUUGCAGCUAGCAAUGUAUUGAGCGAUUUAUCUCUUCAUCCUAGUCCACCAAAACCUGUGGCGUAGGUCUUGAUACAUUUUAGUGCUACCGGGAUGAAUGGUGAGAGGGGAUUCAUGAGCUUCCUUAAGGAUCAAUUGGCGUAGAUGUUGUUUCUUGGGAACCACCAAACGAUUCUCAAAGAAGACAGCACCCCGCUUAUCCAUGAAAAAACAUUUAGCAACUCCACUAGUAAUGUUUUCCUUAAUCCGGGAUAUGCCCUUAUCAUACCACUGGGCGGUUAUGAUCUGAUCCAUAAGGUUAGGUUUCGCCACCAGGGUGGAUAGGAAUCCUCGAGGAACAAUGUGAAGAUUAAGCUUACGGAAUUCCUCAUGCAGAAGUGGUUGACUUUGUUGUAACAUCGGGUUGUUACAAUAGUAUUACGGCUUAGCGCAUCAGCCAUGACAUUGGCUUUGCAUGGGGUGUAGGUUAUUCCUAAGUCGUUAUCCAAGAUCAACUCAACCCAACGUCUUUGCCUGAGAUUCAAAUCUGGUUGGGUGAAGAUAUAUUUCAAGCUUUGGUGAUCGGUGAAGAUCUCGCAACGAUUACCGAGGAGGUAAUGUCGCCAAGUUUUAAGUGCAUGGACUACAGCUGCCAGCUCUAGAUCAUGUGUGGGAUAAUUUUCCUCAUGUGGGUGUAAUUGCCGUGAAGCGUAGGCAAUUACCUGAUGAUCUUGCAUGAGUAUGCAACCUAGUCCUUGUCGCGAGGCGUCGCAAUAGAUAAUAAAGUCCUUGGAGAAAUCCGGUGGUACCAGUACGGGAGAAGAUGUCAGGCGUCUUUUCAGUUCCUGAAAGUUGAACUCGCACUGUGGAGUCCACUCAAACUUUUUAUCUUUCUUGAGGAGUUCAGUUAGAGGUUUAGCAACCUUGGAUAAAUUCUCGACGAAGCGGCGGCAAUAGCUCGCUAAGCCAAGGAAGCUCCGAACUUGCUUGACCGUCUCAGGUGGAGUCCAAUCAAGGACGGCUUGAACUCGCUCGGGAUUGACGGCAAUACCCUUACCAGAGAUUACAUGGCCUAAAUAGGUUACUUCUGGCAACCAAAAUCGACACUUGGAGAACUUGGCAUAAAGGCGAUGCUCUCGAAGUUUCAUCAAUACCAGCCUUAGAUGUUCGGCAUGUUCCUCUUCAUUCUUGGAGUAGAUGAGUAUGUCAUCGAGGUAUACUACGACGAAUUUAUCCAAGUACUCCAUGAAAACCGAGUUCAUUAACCGGGAGAAGGUAGCCGGGGCAUUGGUUAAACCGAAGGACAUAACGGUGUACUCGUAUUGGCCAUAACGAGUAACAAAGGUCGUUUUGGGAAUGUCCCCGUUUCUGAUUUUGAUUUGAUGGUAGCCCAACCUCAAAUCCAUCUUGGAAAAGACUGAGGAUCCAGCGAGCUGAUCAUACAGAUCAUUGAUCCUGGGAAGCGUGUAUUUGUUCUUGAUGGUGACCAAGUUGACAGGUCGGUAAUCCACAACCAUUCGAUCUGUUCCAUCCUUCUUCUUGACGAAGAGGAUGGGGCAAGCCCAAGGAGAGGAACUAGGACGGAUGAAACCCUUUUUCAAGGACUCAUCGAGUUGGUUCUUAAGCUCGGCUAGUUCUAAGGGUGCCAUCUUGUAGGGUCUUCUAGAAAUUGGAACGGUUCUUGGAACAAGGUCUAUCACAAACUCGACAUCCCUGUCAGGUGGAACACCUGGCAGUUCUUCUGGAAAGACAUCCGGAAAGUCUCGGACUACCGGAACAUCCUCAAGGUCUAGAAGGGGGUUGAUAUUUAGGGAGUAAAGUUGGCGCUUGGCCACUCGAGUUAAGACAUUAACUGUCUUGCCCGAUGGGUAAGUUGAACGGUUCUAGUGGCACAGUCAAUCUUAGCAUAAUGAGCUGACUUCCAGUCCAUACCUAAGAUGAUGUUUAUGUCCGAGGACUUGAGAGCUAUUAAGGCUGCAAGGAAGACAAGUCUAUCGACAAGAAUUCGUUCCCAUGGCUUACUCUAGAAGUUUGCCAUCUAGAGCCAGGGGUUUGAAUUUCCAUGGUAGAGGGCAUGUCACAGAAUGUGGUGUUGUGCAAUCGAGCAUAGUUCUCGGAUAUGAAUGAAUGAGAUGCUCCAGUAUUGAAAAGAACAGAUGCCGGAUGGCAGUUAACAAGGAGCGUACUAAGGACGACGUUGGGAUCCUCAUGAGCCUCCUCGGCUGAAACAUAGUUGACAUGGCCACGUGCAGUGGUGGCCGGCUUGGCGUAGAAUGUUUUUCCGACGGGCUUACCACGGCCAACGGACUUUCCAGUUUGAUUGGGGUUGUUGUUCUGGGGACACUCUCGGCUAUAGUGACUCGGCUCUCCACACUUAAAGCAUGUCACCACAUUGGGGCGUGGAGCAGCAUUAGCAGCGGGGCCACCAUAGGGCUUGGGCGGUGCAAAUUGCUGGUUGGGACGUGGUACCUCAAAGGAUGGCCUCGGGAUGAACCUGGGUGGCAGUGCCGUGCUUGGAAUCCACACCCGGCGCUUCUCAGCUCCAGAGCCAGAUGAAGAGCCAAAAUCACGGGAGUGCUUGCGUGAAGCGUCAUAAUCAGUCUGGCUUGUCUCAGCACUGAUGGCUUUAUUGACCAACUUCUGAAAGGAGGUGCACUCGUGCAGAUGAAGAUCGCGGCGAAGCUCAGGGCUAAGUCCCUUGCGGAACCUUGCCUGCUUCUUAGCAUCAGUAGAUACCUCUUCGGGGGCAUAACGUGCCAGAUUCCCAAAUUCACGACUGUAAGCAUCCAUAGUCAGUCUUCCUUGGGUGAAGUUGAAUAACUCCUCCCUCUUGCGAUCCAUGAGACCUUCCAGAAUGUGAUGCUCACGGAAAACCUCACUGAAUUCAGCCCAAGUAGUGAUUUGGCCGACUGGGCGCAUAGCUUCGAAGUUUUCCCACCAAAGGCUAGCAGGGCCUUCGAGGUGAUAGGCAGCAUAAGUAACCUUCUCGGCUUCGGCUACGUUGGCAGAACGUAGCUUGUGGGUGAUGCUGCGAAGCCAGUCAUCCGCGUCGAGGGGCUCGACGGAAUGGUUAAACUUUGGUGGGUACAGCUUGAUAAAGUCAUUGAUUGACACCAAGUCAUUUUGCGGGUGGCGUGAAGUGUUUUGCUCAAUCCGCUCCAGCAGGCGGUUGGUCUCACGCUUGUUUCUUUCCGCCUCCAGCAUUACUUCAGCCAAAGAAGGCAUGUGAGGCAGAUUUUCACCUCUAGCAGCACUGGCUUCCCCCUGCUCCGGGGCUGCAGGGUUGCUGCGGGUGUUGACCAUCCUAGGAGAAAACAAGACAACGGUUUAGACAAGGAUGGCUCAAACUUAGCAAGGAAGUGCAUAAUGUAAUGGAUAACACGGAAUGCAGAGAUGUUCAUCCGUAUGUCAUGGUAAUAUAAAACUGCAAUAUAUAUACCAACGGUCAUACACAUCAUACAUAGUUUAGUACAAGCCCAGGCUACAGUACAACUAUGAUGAAAGACGUUACAUCUCAUCGGAGGCAUUCCAAGAUCCUAUACAUUAUUGUCUACACCUCCGGAAUUGAUUACACGCAAAGUCAUAUUCCACAAGUCACGCAGGACAGUGGAGAUACAACUACUACAAUACUAGUGGUACUACUAUGUCACGACCGGUUUUCCAAUAAAAAUAUUUAUUGAGAAACCAAUCUUUUGAGUCCAGUAUGAGGGAAAUCCUCCUCACUGGUAGACAAAAUUCUUGAUACAAUAAGCCAGUAGCAAAGAAUAUAUUACAAGGUUGAGCUAGGGCUGCUCAACAAUUUAUAACAAGCGCGCCAACAAUUAUAUAUAAUGGCGGAUAUACCACAAUGGUGUGGUGGCAUACUACUGACUCGGGGAUAAAGUGAUGGUGGAAUAACACAGUGGGGAGUGUGAUAACAUGACUCUCAAACUGGCAUCUCAUCGAGCGUCGAGGUGAGGCUCGAUGAAUUUUAUUCGGGUUGCGGAAGCGAAUAUAAUACAUUGACCGAAUCCAGGGUCGCACGAGACUGAUUGGGACUCCUCUAGGCGUCGGACUCGCUAUCGAACUAUUCAUCCAUGAGAUCGCCUUCGUCAGCAUCUGGCCAAAUCAACAAGCCAGUGAGUACUUUGAUAGUACUCGCAAGACAGUUUGGACUUAAGAUAUAACAAAUGCAUGCAUGAAUGCGUCAUGAUUAAUUCACCAAAUGUGCAUUCCAAAAAUUAGCAUAACAAAGCAAGUAAAAGGGAAACGGCGGUAGUCCGCCUGAAAUCCCAACAAAAGCAUAAAUGAAAACCGAUCGGGUGUCUGAAGCGAUGCCUCGAAAGGUGAACAAAUAAAUAAAGGAGAAAGUCAUGCCACAGUCGGGCGUCUUCACGACACCACAUAAAGGGCUUUGAAAGAAAUGCCACAGUCGGACGUCGGGGCGACAUCACAGAAAGGGCUUUAAAAGAAAUGCCACAGUCGGACGUCGGGGCGACAUCACAGAAAGGGCUUUAAAAAAAUGCCACAGUCAGAANNNNNNNNNNNNNNNNNNNNNNNNNNNNNNNNNNNNNNNNNNNNNNNNNNNNNNNNNNNNNNNNNNNNNNNNNNNNNNNNNNNNNNNNNNNNNNNNNNNNNNNNNNNNNNNNNNNNNNNNNNNNNNNNNNNNNNNNNNNNNNNNNNNNNNNNNNNNNNNNNNNNNNNNNNNNNNNNNNNNNNNNNNNNNNNNNNNNNNNNNNNNNNNNNNNNNNNNNNNNNNNNNNNNNNNNNNNNNNNNNNNCGGACGUCGGGGCGACAUCACAAAAAGGGCUUUAAAAGAAAUGCCACAGUCGGAUGUCGGGGCGACAUCACAAAAAGGGCUUUAAAAGAAAUGCCACAGUCGGACGUCGGGGUAACAUCACAGAAAGGGCUUUAAAAGAAAUGCCACAGUCGGACUUCGGGGCGACAUCACAGAAAGGGCUGUAAAAGAAAUGCCACAGUCGGACGUCGGAGCGACAUCGCAGAAAGGGUUUUAUUCACAAGUAAAUAAUAAUCAUAAUAAAUAUUCAAUUCAUGAUAAUAAACAGGUUAGUCCAUCCACAGGAAUAACAUUUAGCCGGGCUUAGCACUCAUGGGAUUCACCGGAGUCUCUGUCAUCAAACUGAUACUGUUAGGCCAAGAUGAUACGAAUUUGGACAUGGAAUAGAUGAUUCAAGGAAUGUAUGACUCUGCAGAGUUUGUACAAAAUUUUUUCCCACAGCCAACGGAUUUCCGUAGUCACGAGGGACUAGUUCCGUUUACGGUUUUUCGGAAGAAAACACAGCUAACCAAUACACACCCAUCCUACCUCUCGAUGCCAGGACUCACCCUAGACAUCGUCCAAGAAAAACUUUUGAGACGGGGAGAUCACAAUCUCGAAUAGCAUGGGAUCAAAUUUAUAUAUGCGCGCUCUAAGGGGUGCCCCCCUCUCGGUCCCAACCGGAAACACCCAUGCCCCCUGACCGGAUGACUGGCUUUAAUCCAGGGCCAUGGAACCAUCAUCCUGGCCUCUCCUUUUGGUGUGUACCAGGAAAGCGGUUUGCAACUUACUAAGCCAUAUUCCUUGCGAAAAACAUGUGGUAGUACAGGGAAGGAAAUGGGAGGAACUGGACUGGUACGGUUUGACCCUGAAGUCAUAUAGUCUGGCAUAAGACUGGCAUGCUACAACACUGCCAUCUUACCCAUCCUCAUGCCAACACAUGGCCAUUCAUACUCACAUCCAUCCACUUAUGGAUCAUCGAACUCACUUACCUCAACAUUUCAUAAAAAAAAUAACGUUCAUCGGUAUGCUCAUCAACAUGCCAUGAAACUAACUAAAUGCAAAACAUGCCAAGACACUCAUCAUAUCAAAAGUUCAAACAUGCUUGCCUGGUUCAGAGUAGUCGGAGCCUAGCUCGGUGAAGUUCGCGGCUCCGUCACCUCCUUCGGUAUCUAUGGUAUAAAGAAAAUAUAUGCGCUAUCGUAAAUUCCAAGAGGUGCACAGAAAGUAUUCCAAAUAUUUUUCAAAUAAAUAUGAUAAAAAACUAGACAAAAAUCUGAAGAGGACAGGAAAAGAAUCACUCAAAAAUUCCUUUCUGUUAAAAAGUUAUAAGGGUUUUAAUCCAAGGACUUAUCUGUAAUGAAACAGAAAGUUUCCAGGGGCUAGUUUAUAAAAACAGAAAACGCUUCGGCAGAAACUACGCCAGCCCAGAGGGAAGGCGCAUUUGGCAGAAGGCGUUUUCAGAAAACGAUUCGCUUAGACAGGAUAGAGAGGCUGACAGCGGGUCCCGCCCGUCAGGUUUAAACUUUCAAACGGGGGGGGGGGCAGAUUUCGCCGGUGCCCGAGAGCCGCGGUGGUCGCCGGCGGCGAUCCACGGCCAGGCAGGGUGAUCGGAGAUUACCAACGUGCUCACCGUGUCCUUCCGCAAUGGUGGGUGGUGGUGUUGGUCGCCGGUGAGCACCACGUCGACGCAGAGCUUGGUCGGGAAGGUUUAGGGAGUUGGGCGUCAUCGCGAAGUUGCACCGGUUCCAUUUAGGUGCUAAGCGAGCUUGGAUUGGGGUGCUAAGGGCGAAGUCGACGGAACGGGGCGGCGCGGGCCCGUCGGCGGCAGGGAGCAUGUUUCGUGCUUGCCGGGCCGCAGUGAUGGUGCCACGGGCGUGCGCUGGCAUGCAUGAGGACAUGCGGAGAGCCAGGGAGCUUUGGGUGGCGCCGAACGGCGUUCUGCCGUGGUGUGCCUUCUGUCGGCCGCCACAGGAGGUCCCGACGCCGCAGAAGACGCCGGCGAGGGCGGGCCAGCGCGCCACUGACGCCAGGAAAGCUCCAAGCACGCGUGUGAAGCUCCGGACAAGAGGGAGGGGCUGCGAGCAUCGAGCCAAAGGCACUGUGAGCAUAUGCCUGAAACUCUGAAGAAAACGACACUGUAAAACUGAAUUUUACUGAACUUUUCUGAAAAAUGCAAAGAACAGUGCAGCUCAGGUGAUCGACAGAAUGUUUUUGGCAUCUAGGGAUUUUUCCUUGAGCUAAAACUUGGUGGAGUGGCCUCUCAUUGCUCCAGUAGGCUGCCUGAAUUUUGGUGGAAUUUUUUUGGAGAAGUGUAGAUAUGAAUUUCACCAAAUUUGGCAAAUCUGGUCCAAACUUGCAGUGAGUGAAAUUGAAAUAUUUGAAAAGAAUAAGAGUGGAUCAAGAUGGUUCUAGGUUGUGGGUACUAAAGACAAUCCAGGGAAGUUGGUUUGGGAUAAAAACUCAAAGGCAAAGUGAUACUUGCUUUGAAAAUCACUUAAGCUCAAAAUAAAUGGCAGAAAUGUUUUGGGGGAUAAAAUAAUUGAAAUAAAAUCCAAAACUUGUUUGGACUUGUUGAGACAGAGAAUUUAGAUUGUUCAAAGGUGGAGGGAUGGAUUUUGAGAGGAUUUACUAUAGGAGACAUGGUAAAACCAUGGGUGUUUUCAAAAAGAAAGAAGUCCCAAAACUCCUAGGGUUUCCUUUUUUUUGAAAAAAAUAAGUUUGAGAGGGUAACAACCAGAAGGAAAAGCUCCCAAAAACUUCAACACCAAAUUUGAAAAGGGAAAAGAAAAUCCUUGACAAAGGAAAGGAAGUUUUUAAGAGGAAGGAUUUCUGGAAAAGAAAUUUUUAAAAAACCCUCUUUUAAAAUCCAACAAGGUUUUGAUAAAAACCAAAUUAAAAUUUUGGAGUGUCACAGCACUUACCCCCUUAGGAAAAAUCUCGUCCCCGAGAUUUCAGCUGAUCCUUAAAUAAGCGAGGAUGCUCUGUCCGAAGAAAAUCCUCUCUUUCCCAAGUUGUUUCACUGUCGGUGUGAUUGCUCCACUGGACUUUGAAAAACUUGAUGGUCUUCUGUCGGGUCCUCCUUUCAGACUCCUCUAAUAUUCUUACAGGACGUUCCCGAUAAGUGAGGUCUGGCUGCACGUCGAUGUUCUCAUGGGAUACUUGUUUCUCUGGGUUGCUUACGCACUUCCUCAAUUGCGAGACGUGGAACACGUCGUGGACAUCGGAUAAUUCCUCGGGUAAGUCUAGCUGGUAGGCUACCGUGCCUCUUCGUGCCCUUAUACAGAAAGGUCCGAUGAAUCUUGGUGCUAGCUUCCCUUCAAUCUUGAACCAUUGCAAUCCGCUCAUAGGGAUACUCUUAGGUAUACGAACUCACCGGGUUCGAAGCUGACCCCACGAUGUUUCUGAUCGUAAUAACUCUUCUGUCGACUUUGAGCAGUCUUAAGUCGGUCUCUGAUUAGUUUGACUUUUUCCUCGGCUUCUCUGAGCAUGUCUGGUCCGAAGAUGCGGCUGUCUCCGGUCUCUGACCAAUUUAACGGGGUACGACAUCUUCGUCCGUAUAAGGCCUCAAAUGGUGCCAUUUGCAGGCUGGCCUGGUAGCUAUUGUUGUACGCGAACUCGGCGUAUGGCAGGCUUUCUUCCCAACUAUUUUCAUAGGUGAGGACACAUGCUCUCAGCAUGUCUUCUAAAACCUGGUUUACGCGUUCUGUUUGCCCAUCGGUCUGUGGGUGGUAUGCGGUACUGAAGGCUAGUUGGGUUCCCAGAGCCUGUUGUAAAUGCUCCCAAAAGCUCGAGACGAACUGAGUGCCUCUGUCGGACAUUAUAGUCUUCGGGACACCGUGCAGACAAACUAUGCGGGAAAGAUAAAUCCUGGCAAGCCUCUGAGUGGUGUGGGUCGUCUUUAUUGGAAUAAAGUGUGCCACUUUGGUUAACCUAUCAGUGAUGACCCAUAUGGCAUCAUUCCCGUGUCGUGACCGAGGUAGUCCGACAAUGAAAUCCAUCCCUAUUUCAUCCCAUUUCCACUCAGGUAUUUUGUUCGGUUGCAGUAGUCCGGCUGGUCUCUGAUGCUCAGCUUUUAUGCGUUGACAUGAGUCGCAGCGCGCAAUGAAGGUGGCUAUGUCCCUCUUCAUACUGUGCCACCAAAAUCUUUCCUGAAUAUCUUUAUACGUUUUGGUUCCUCCAGGGUGGAUCGAGUACGAGGCGGUGUGGGCUUCAGCUAAAAUUUGCUAUUUAAGGUCUUCUAUGUUUGGCACGCAGAGUCUGUCUCCGUACCAUAAUAUUCCUUCAUUGUCUAUGACUAAUUCCGAGGCUUUGCCCAUACUCACCUUUCUUUUGAUGCCUUCGAUGCUGGGGUGACCGGGCUGAGCUCCUUUAAUUUCCCCCACAAGGUCGGGUUGUAUUUCCAAGUUUGAUAUGGUGCCUUCUGCUACCAUCAUCAAGUUGAGCUUGGCAAAUUCUUGUUGGAAUUCGGGCCUCAAUCUGUGCAAAUUGUUGUCGUCGGAGCUGGGAUUCCGACUAAGAGCAUCGGCCACUACAUUUGCUUUUCCUGGAUGGUAAUGGAUACCAACAUCAUAAUCCUUUACCAAUUCCAACCAACGUCGUUGCCGUAAGUUUAGUUCUGGCUGUGUGAAAAUAUAUUUGAGGCUUUUGUGAUCCGUAUAUAUUUCACAUCGAUUCCCAAGUAAGAAAUGCCUCCAUUCCUUGAGUGCAUGAAUAACUGCUGCCAUUUCUAAGUCAUGAGUGGGAUAAUUUUCCUCAUGCUUACGAAGUUGCCUUGAAGCGUAGGCGACAACCUUGCCUUCCUGCAUCAACACGCAUCCGAGGCCCUUUCUGGACGCGUCACAAUAUACUUCAAAAUUCUUGUGUAUGUUGGGUACAAUUAAUACCGGUGAUGUCGUUAAUUUCCGUUUUAGCUCUUGGAAACUUUUCUCGCAGGCUUCUUUCCAUUCAAACUUCUUGUCUUUCUUGAGUAACUGUGUCAUAGGCUUGGCUAUGGUGGAGAACACUUCAAUAAAACUGUGGUAAUAUCCUAACAUUCCCAAGAAACUUCGUAUGUCCGUUACGCUGGCUAGUGACAUCCAGCCAAGUAUGGCCUUGACUUUCUCUGGGUCCACUGCGAUACCGUCUUGGGUCAGUACGUGGCCUAGAAAGCCUACUUUUCUUAGCCAAAAUUCGCACUUGCUGAACUUGGCAUACAAUUGGUGUUUUCUGAGCUCUCCUAGCACAAUCUUGAGAUGUUCUGCGUGCUCUUCUGGUGUCUUGGAGUAUACCAGAAUAUCGUCGAUGAAUACCACGACGAACUUGUCCAUAAACUUCAUAAAUACUUUGUUCAUGAGGUGAACAAAAUAUGCGGGGGCGUUAGUUAAUCCAAAUGGCAUCACUGUGAACUCGUACAGUCCAUAUCUGGAGGUGAAGGCUGUUUUGGGAAUAUCUUCUGUUCGCACCUUUAAUUGAUGGUAUCCUGACCUUAAGUCAAUUUUUGAGAAUACCUUGGCCUGAGCGAGUUGAUCAAACAAAUCGUUUAUCCUUGGCAUCGGGUAUUUGUUCUUGACUGUGACCAUGUUAAGUGCUCGAUAGUCAAUACACAAUCUCAGUGUUCCAUCCUUCUUUUGGCAAAUAAAAUUGGUGAUCCCCAAGGUGAGGAGCUGGCUCGAAUGUAUCCUUUGUCUAGCAAUUCCCUUAUUUGUUUCUUCAACUCAACUAAUUUGGAUGGUGCCAUUCGGUACGGUUUCUUGUAUAUGGGGGUGGUUCCUAGUGCGAGCUCAAUGCUGAACUCUAUCUCUCGGUCUGGUGGCAUGCCUGGUUGCUCUUCAGGGAAUACGUCUGGAAAUUCACACACUACUGGAACCUUGUUUAGCUCAGAAAUGUCCACCUUAUUCAAUCUCGGUUGGCAGGGUAUUUUUCCUUCCUUGGCUGAUACUCUUAUUGUCUUCCCUUGGUGGUGUGUGAGAAUUACGGUCCUGUUGAAACAGUCGAUAAACCCCUUGUUGGUGGUUAGCCAAUCCAUCCCUAGGAUGACAUCCAGUCCUUUAUUUUCCAACACAAUAAGAUUUGCGUGAAACUCCAAUCCUUCGAACUCAAUGACCACAUUCUGACACUAAUUCUGAGUAACUUGCUGAAUCCCAGGGGACUUGAUGAUCAUGGAUUUCUCCAAAGGAAGCAUCGAAAAAUUAUUUUGCAAAGCAAAACUUUUCAAAAUGAAAGAGUGAGAAGCUCCAGAAUCAAACAAAACCGUUGCAGGUAUUGUGUUGACAGGAAACGUACCGAGUACGAUAUCCGGAGCAUUUUGUGCCUCCUCUUUGGUUACGUGGUUCAGAUGAUCCUUCCUGUGGUUGUUGUUGGGAUUGAAAUUGUUUCGCUUGGGCACUGAAUUACUGCCGCCGUUGUUCGGCUUUGGGGUUGAGUUCCUUGGCUUGGGGCACUGUUUGGCAUAGUGCCCUUCUUCUCCACAAGUGUAACAAGUAACGCCGGGGCGAUAUGUGAACUCCUUGUCCCUUGCAUGAAAAUUCUUGAUUGGGAGUGAGACGUUGGAUGAGGAUUUGUGCGUCCCACCCUUUUUGAAAUCUGUCUUGCUCCGGUGAUUGCGAGCAAGGUUAGUCUGGUCCCUUUUUCGCUUGCGGAUAUCUUCCAGACUGCGUCUCUCAUUCUCCAGAGUAAUGGCUUUGUCCACCAGUGUUUUAAAAUCAGGAAAAGUGUGCACGACCAGUUGGCAUUUAAGCGCGGGCACCAUACCGUCAAGGAAUUUCUCCAUCUUCUUGCUUUCAGUCAUACGCUCUUCAUUGGCGUAGCGGGACAAUAGAGUAAAUUGACUGUUGUAAUCUGACACUGUCAUGUUCCUUUGCUUGAGGUCGUCGAACUCUCUCUUCUUGAUUUUCAUAAUACUCUUAGGAAUGUGUGCACCACGGAAACCUUCCUUGAAAUCAUCCCAGGUUAUGUCAUUUUCAUUGGGAUGCAUGUGCAGAAAAUUCUCCCACCACGAUGCGGCUGCUCCUGUGAGAUAGUGCGGAGUAUACAGUGCUUUUUCGGGGUCUGAACAUUUUGCAAUAUCUCUAAGCCAGUCCUCGGCUUCAAGAGGUUUGUCAGUGUGAGAAAAUGUUUGGGGACGUGUCUUCUGAAGCUUAGAUAACUUGGAUUGCUGCUGAUACUGUCCAUGGUGAUUCCCCAUGUUGAUGACUUGGUUCAUCAUUUCACGAUGUUGUUGCUGACUUUGUUCAUAUAGGCGGCACAUUUGGGAAAGUGUCGUUUCACUGUCCUGUUGACUCGACUGCCCUUGUGUGAAAUUGUUGCCUGGUUGAGUGUCAUAAUUUUCCUCUGGUGGAGUAGGCAUGGAGCGAGUCCAAGGACGAGACAUUUUUCACUAUGGGGAUAUAAUUUGCAAAACUCAUAAGAAAAGCGAAAAUGGUCGCAAAAACAAAUCCAAAAUUGCACAAGGAUGGCAAAUAAUUUAAAUGACCAAGAUCACUUAAGAAAACAAAUCGAAUUGCGCACGGAGAAGGACUGCUCAUUACAUAUCUUACACGCGGGCGAUAAUUAUACAAUACAUCACUCAGGAUAUGUGUACAUAAUCCUGACAUGUUAUUUAGGCUAGUGCACUUCUCUAGUUCCUACAUGAUGCGCAAACAAGCUACUCCUCACAACCUAUGUACAUAUCUUACAAAGCGGUACAUCGCAUGACGGGCAAGCGCACUCAGCCGGAAAUGUUGACGAUCUCCUUGGCCCUGCCAAGGGUGAGGCGCAGUGAGGCUGGGGACUCGACCUCCUCCUCACUAAUAGGCUCCAGACGUGAAGAGCUGCGUCGGGUAGAUGGAGCGGGUGCCAGGGGCGGAGCAACACGAAUAGGAGUAGGCACAACGGGUGGUGCAGUGCGCGCUGGAGUGGGCGCAAUGGCCUGGUUGAACUCCUAAGUGGUAGGCGGGCGACGAGUAGGUGCAAAAGAUGCUGAUGACAAGACCAAAGUCAGUGGCGGUGCGGCGGGUAGGAGCUCCCUCCUAUUGGUGGCACAGCCAUGGAUUGAGUCCAUGCGGGCAGCUACGAAGUCGUCCACCAGGUUGUCGAAGGCUGCCUCCAGAGCCCGGAGAUACUCAAUAAGCAUCUCAAAAGCCUCAUCUUGUUCUCCUCUGGGGCAGGAGAAUGCGUAGUGACAGGUGUAAGGCACAUGGCAUGGAAGAUAGCGGUAGCGACGAGUCUUCAUCGCGGGAAGGACAUCCCUGAGGCGAGCUAUCGCCUCACGGGCUGCCAUCUGCAUAGCAUGCCUCUCCGUAGGCAUGGCUCUUCCCACGAACCGGAAGCGGCGUAACUCACCACGCCCUCCCCUGAACUGCACCGUGACCUGGUGCAUGGUCAGAUUGUCGCUGACCUUGUGCUGGUAGAGUGUGAAGACUAGGCGCACAGACAGCCCCAUCGCGACCUGAACGAUGAAGGAGAGAAGCUUGACGAACCCAUUGGGCACGUUGGCGAAGGUUUGAGACUCGCAGCUGUUGUCGGCCAUCUACAAAAGUAGGCAAAAUUCCUGCAUGGUCAGAUCAUAAAUUUAUGCUGACUGUCAGAAAAUGACUACCAUUGCAAAAAUAUAAAUUAGCUCUAUUAUGCUAAUAACGAAUUAGCGAUCGCACCUAGUGGCUUCCUACGGUCAGCCUGACUCUGAUACCAAGCUUGUCACGACCGGUUUUCCAAUAAAAAUAUUUAUUGAGAAACCAAUCUUUUGAGUCCAGUAUGAGGGAAAUCCUCCUCACUGGUAGACAAAAUUCUUGAUACAAUAAGCCAGUAGCAAAGAAUAUAUUACAAGGUUGAGCUAGGGCUGCUCAACAAUUUAUAACAAGCGCGCCAACAAUUAUACAUAAUGGCGGAUAUAACACAAUGGUGUGGUGGCAUACUACUGACUCGGGGAUAAAGUGAUGGUGGAAUAACACAGUGGGGAGUGUGAUAACAUGACUCUCAAACUGGCAUCUCAUCGAGCGUCGAGGUGAGGCUCGAUGAAUUUUAUUCGGGUUGCGGAAGCGAAUAUAAUACAGUGACCGAAUCCAGGGUCGCACGAGACUGAGUGGGACUCCUCUAGGCGUCGGACUCGCUAUCGAACUCUUCAUCCAUGAGAUCGCCUUCGUCAGCAUCUGGCCAAAUCAACAAGCCAGUGAGUACUUCAACAGUACUCGCAAGACAGUUCGGACGUAAUAUAUAACAAAUGCAUGCAUGAAUGCGUCAUGAUUAAUUCACCAAAUGUGCAUUCCAAAAAUUAGCAUAACGAAGCAAGUAAAAGGGAAACGGCGGUAGUCCGCCUGAAAUCCCAACAAAAGCAUAAAUGAAAACCGAUCGGGUGUCUGAAGCGACGCCUCGAAAGGGUGAACAAAUAAAUAAAGGAGAAAAUCAUGCCACAGUCGGGCGUCUUUGCGACACCACAUAAAGGGCUUUAAAAGAAAUGCCACAGUCGGACGUCGGGGCGACAUCACAGAAAGGGCUUUAAAAGAAAUGCCACAGUCGGACGUCGGGGCGACAUCACAGAAAGGGCUUUAAAAAAAUGCCACANNNNNNNNNNNNNNNNNNNNNNNNNNNNNNNNNNNNNNNNNNNNNNNNNNNNNNNNNNNNNNNNNNNNNNNNNNNNNNNNNNNNNNNNNNNNNNNNNNNNNNNNNNNNNNNNNNNNNNNNNNNNNNNNNNNNNNNNNAACCGAUCGGGUGUCUGAAGUGACGCCUCGAAAGGUGAACAAAUAAAUAAAGGAGAAAAUCAUGCCACAGUCGGGCGUCUUAGCGACACCACAUAAAGGGCUUUAAAAAAAAUGCCACAGUCGGACGUCGGGGCGACAUCACAGAAAGGGCUUUAAAAGAAAUGCCACAGUCGGACGUCGGGGCGACAUCACAGAAAGGGCUUUAAAAGAAAUGCCACAGUCGGACGUCGGGGCGACAUCACAGAAAGGGCUUUAUUCACAAGUAAAUAAUACUCAUAAUAAAUAUUCAAUUCAUGAUAAUAAACANNNNNNNNNNNNNNNNNNNNNNNNNNNNNNNNNNNNNNNNNNNNNNNNNNNNNNNNNNNNNNNNNNNNNNNNNNNNNNNNNNNNNNNNNNNNNNNNNNNNNNNNNNNNNNNNNNNNNNNNNCAGAAAGGGCUUUAAAAAAAUGCCACAGUCAGACGUCGGGGCGACAUCACAGAAAGGGCUUUAAAAGAAAUGCCACAGUCAGACGUCGGGGCGACAUCACAAAAAGGGCUUUAAAAGAAAUGCCAUAGUCGGACGUUGGGGCGACAUCACAGAAAGGGCUUUAAAAGAAAUGCCACAGUCGGACGUCGGAGCGACAUCGCAGAAAGGGCUUUUAUUCACAAGUAGAUAAUACUCAUAAUAAAUAUUCAAUUCAUGAUAAUAAACAGGUUAGUCCAUCCACAGGAAUAACAUUUAGCCGGGCUUAGCACUCAUGGGAUUCACCGGAGUCUCUGUCAUCAAACUGAUACUGUUAGGCCAAGAUGAUACGAAUUUGGACAUGGAAUAGAUGAUUCAAGGAAUGUAUGACUCUGCAGAGUUUGUACAAAUUUUUUUCCCACAGCCAACGGAUUUCUGUAGUCACGAGGGACUAGUUCCGUUUACGGUUUUUUGGAAGAAAACACAGCUAACCAGUACACACCCAUCCUACCUCUCGAUGCCAGGACUCAGCCUAGACAUCGUCCAAGAAAAACUUUUGAGAUGGGGAGAUCACAAUCUCGAAUAGCAUGGGAUCAAAUUUAUAUACGCGCGCUCUAAGGGGUGCCCCCCUCUCGGUCCCAACCGGAAACACCCAUGCCCCCUGACCGGAUGACUGGCUUUAAUCCAGGGCCAUGGAACCAUCAUCCCGGCCUCUCCUUUUGGUGUGUACCAGGAAAGCGGUUUGCAACUUACUAAGCCAUAUUCCUUGCGGAAAACAUGUGGUAGUACAGGGAAGGAAAUGGGAGGAACUGGACCGGUAGAGUUUGACCCUGAAGUCAUAUAGUCUGGCAUAAGACUGGCAUGCUACAACACUGCCAUCUUACCCAUCCUCAUGCCAACACAUGGCCAUUCAUAAUCACAUCCAUCCACUUAUGGAUCAUCGAACUCACUUACCUCAACAUUUCAUAAAAAAAUAACGUUCAUCGGUAUGCUCAUCAACAUGCCAUGAAACUAACUAAAUGCAAAACAUGCCAAGACACUCAUCAUAUCAAAAGUUCAAACAUGCUUGCGUGGUUCAGAGUAGUUGGACCCUAGCUCGGUGAAGUUCGCGGCUCUGUCACCUCCUUCGGUAUCUACGGUAUAAAGAAAAUAUAUGCGCUAUCGUAAAUACCAAGAGGUGCACAGAAAGUAUUCCAAAUAUUUUUCAAAUAAAUAUGAUAAAAAACUAGACAAAAAUCUGAAGAGGACAGGAAAAGAAUCACUCAAAAAUUCCUUUCUGUUAAAAAGUUAUAAGGGUGUGAAUCCAAGGACUUAUCUGUAAUGAAACAGAAAGUUUCCAGGGGCUAGUUUAUAAAAACAGAAAAUGCUUCGGCAGAAACUACGCCAGCCCAGAGGGAAGGCGCAUUUGGCAGAAGGCGUUUUCAGAAAACGAUUCGCUUAGACAGGAUAGAGAGGCUGAUAGCGGGUCCCGCCCGUCAGGUUUAAACUUUCAGACGGGGGUGGCAGAUAUCGCCGGUGCCCGAGAGCCGCGGUGGUCGCCGGCGGCGAUCCACGGCCAGGCAGGGUGAUCGGAGAUUACCAACGUGCUCACCGUGUCCUUCCGCAACGGUGGGUGGUGGUGUUGGUCGCCGGCGAGCACUACGUUGACGGCGGUCUUGACUCCGGCGGACGAUGGUUCGGGCGUUGAUGGAUCUCGCCGAGGAGGGCUGCAAGGAUCAAAUUGAGGUGGGGGUUAGAGCACUAGGUGUAAGAGAAGGCUACGGAUGAGGUUUGGGCGCCGGAGAUGGCCUCACCGGAGUGAAUCGAGGUGGAGGCCGAGGCGGAGCGAGGCGGCCGGAGUUGGGGAAGGAGACCUCCUCGAGGUCCUCCUGGUGGCUUGGCAGGGUCCUGGAGAGGUGCAGUGAAGGUGUGGGUCUCGUGAGCGAGCUCGGGGUCCUUUUUAUAGGCGAGCCGAGGCGGUGGCCGUGAAUGGGGAUCUCCGGCGAAGGUUACGGCGGCGCAGAGCUUGGUCGGGAAGGUUUAGGGAGUUGGGCGUCAUCGCGGAGUUCCACCAGUUCCAUUUAGGUGCUAAGUGAGCUUGGAUUGGGGUGCUAAGGGCGAGCUCGAUGGAACAUGGCGGCGCGGGCCCGUCGGCGGCAGGGAGCACGUUCCGUGCUUGCCGGGCCGCGGUGAUGGUGCCACGGGCGUGCGCUGGCAUGCAUGAGGCCACGCGGAGAGCCAAGGAGCUUUGGGCGGCACCGAACGGCGUUCUGCCGUGGUGUGCCUUCUGUCGGCCGCCACAGGAGGUCCCGACGCCGCAGAACACGCCGGCGAGGGCGGGCCAGCGCGCCACCGACGCCAGGAAAGCUCCAAGCACGCGUGUGAAGCUCCGGACAAGAGGGAGGGGCUGCGAGCAUCGAGCCAAAGGCACUGUGAGCAUGUGCCUGAAACUCUGAAGAAAACGACACUGUAAAACUGAAUUUUACUCAACUUUUCUAAAAAAUGCAAAGAACAGUGCAGCUCAGGUGUUCGACAGAAUGUUUUUGGCAUCUAGGGAUUUUUCCUUGAGCUAAAACUUGGUGGAGUGGCCUCUCAUUGCUCCAGUAGGCUGCCUGAAUUUUGGUGGAUUUUUUUUUGGAGAAGUGUAGAUAUGAAUUUCACCAAAUUUGGCAAAUCUGGUCCAACUUGCAGUGAGUGAAAUUUGAAAUAUUUGAAAAGAAGAAGAGUGGAUCAAGAUGGUUCUAGGUUGUGGGUACUAAAGACAAUCCAGGGAAGUUGGUUUGGGGUAAAAACUCAAAGGCAAAGUGAUACUUGCUUUGAAAAUCACUUAAGCUCAAAAUAAAUGGCAGAAAUGUUUUGGGGGAUAAAAUAAUUGAAAUAAAAUCCAAAACUUGUUUGGACUUGUUGAGACAGAGAAUUUAGAUUGUUCAAAGGUGGAGGGAUGGAUUUUGAGAGGAUUUACUAUAGGAGACAUGGUAAAACCAUGGGUGUUUUCAAAAAGAAAGAAGUCCCAAAACUCCUAGGGUUUCCUUUUUUUUGAAAAAAAUAAGUUUGAUAGGGUAACAACCAGAAGGAAAAGCUCCCAAAAACUUCAACACCAAAUUUGAAAAGGGAAAAGAAAAUCCUUGUCAAAGGAAAGGAAGUUUUUAAGAGGAAGGAUUUCUGGAAAAGAAAUUUUUAAAAAAACCCUCUUUUAAAAUCCAACAAGGUUUUGAUAAAAACCAAAUUAAAAUUUUGGAGUGUCACAACCUACUAACUCAGAUAGCUCCAUAGUAGUCCUCAUAGAAGUCACCUCCAUAGCCUGGAAGUUCAACGUGACCAUCCGGGAACAGACGGUCUUGAGGAGCCUGUGGACCAUAGGGGCUAGGAUGGGGUCUUGGACCAACAAACGGUGGCCUGCGGGGACCACGGGGUGGGGUGAUGCCUCCCACAUCACGCCAAUCCACCACGUCUGGCAAAGCAGACCUCACAGGAUACAGAUAUCUUGUAUACAUACAUCCAGCUUGCACCGCAGGUGCAAACCGAGUCAAUGUGGCCCAAUGAUCAGCACGGGUAUUAAAAAGCUCCAGCCUCAAGGCCCGAUUCUCUCGGUCCUUAUCUUCGAGCAUCUCGGCAGUGGUACGAGUUAAUGAAUCCUCCCGAGUGGAGUCAGCAUAGAUAGCCUGAAGAUACCGUUGCGCUCCCGGAAGUGAAGCUAGCAUGUAUCGGAAGUCGGUGUUCCGAAGCAGGCCAGUCCGGACUCGCAUGAUGGUCAUCAUGGAAUAGGCAGCAUCCUGCACAGCCAUCUCAACAGUAACCCCGACUCUCGGAAUAACUGACGGUGCAGAAAUACUGGCUUUGAUUAAAGUCUCGGAAUUGCUCUUCGACGGUGUAUUCGGGAUACCAACGGUAACCCGUCUCGAUCAUGACCCGGACUAACAUAGCAGUAUGACCGGGCACGUCGAGGCACCGGGUCAGGCGAACCACUUGGUUUUGAGCACGGUUGGGCAUUUUAAAGCACAACCACAAUGCGAAGACAUCAGAAUUUCUAGGGAAAAUUGGACCGCAUAACAGCUGUAAAUGCUCAGAAAAAGAUUUGAGACAUCCACAACAGUUCGCAAUACCACUCAACAACAUCAUAUCAAGGUUCUGAUCCAAAUAGCAACAUACUAAAAAUAGUAGAAACUGAACUGGGCUUGUAACAACAAUCCUAUAAGCUACUACGGAUUGGUAACACGUGAACCUGAUAGAAGAAGAGAGCCUAGUCCUUAACCCAUGUUGAAUGAGAAGGGAAUGACUCAGAUAAGAGGCAUAGGGUAAAGGAGUAAAAGAGCCUUAUGUUCCCUCCCACAAUCAAUUCCCCUACAUAUAACUAAAGCAUUUCUAGACUCGGCAUCGACCAGUUUGGCUCAACGAACCUACAGGCAGUCCAGCUCUGAUGCCAAAGCUGUCAGGACCCCGAUUUCAAGCCACAUCGAUCUAGCCGGUAACACCUCAUAUCACUUUGCGGCCUCACGCACGAUAUUCCACGGGUGUCGCCUUACCAUGGCCCGGGACCGUUUGUGCCUUUUGGCUCACGUAUAUGAUAGUGUCGCUAGCAUCCGUAUGACAGAGAACCCGGGCCGACAUGGCUAGUCGUGAACCCAAAGCGGCACAGACCUAUGGAGACAGGCAUACAUGAAUCACAUCGAGCAUGUCGGUCAUCAGCGAGUGAUUCCGGGCUGUAGCACUGGGCUAACAGGACUCCGGGGAACUCGGGCUGUAGCAGGCUAGGCAGGACUCCGGAAGUCACCGUGUGACAUUUCCCCGAAGGGACAGACAUAGGAACGAAGUGAAUCACAUGCCGGCCAGUCAAGUGUCCUGAGCAGUAGUGCUGGGCUAGCAGGACUCCGCUGAACCGGGCUGUAGCGGACUACUAUGGCUCGAGGAACACUAGACUACAUUUCCCCAUAAGAAAGGCUGCAAAGGAUAAACAACUAGAUUGUGGGAUCCCACUCAUACCAAGCAUUUCAAUCAUACACACAAUAUGCCCGAUAUGAGUACAUACAACAUGGCAUCACAACAAAACUCUACAACUCAAGUACUUUAUUUAAAGGCUCCAGAGAGCCAUACAUAACAUGUUCAUAUAGAUAGGGGUCACAUGACCCGACACUCAAGUCAUACAAUCAUACAAGCACAUGCGGAAGCAACGGGUCUUGAAAGUGCGUUAUAUCGGCUAGGGGGGGGGGUGAAUAGGCGAUUUUUAUGGAAGUCUUCAAAACGUGGAAGUUAUGAAGACAAACAGAGUGAACAAGCCUAUCACUAUGCAGCGGAAGUUAGAUUACACAACGCAAGCCAUGGUCAAGUAUACAAUAUAGUGAAAGCACAGUGACAAAUAGCUUCAGUGUAAUGAGGAUCAGGUUGGAAGAAGUUAUGAAGCCAAACAGAUCAUACAGUCAAGUUGUGAAGACAGAAGAUAAAGCAAGCAUGCAAUAGCUUCACAAUGUGUACUGGUAAGUAAAGGGAGGCGAAGAUGAAACCAGUGACACGUUGAAGACAAUGAUAUGUUGGACCAGUUCCAGUUGCUGUGACAACUGUACGUCUGGUUGGAGCGGCUAGGUAUUUAAACAAAAGGACACACAGUCCCGGACACCCAGUCCUGAACACGCAGCUCAGGACACCCAGUCCUCACCGUUUUCUCCUUGAGCUAAGGUCACACAGACCCCGCCCAAUCACUCUGGUAAGUCUUCAAGGUAGACUCCCAAACCUUCACAGACUUUGUUCACCGGCAAUCCACAAUUCCUCUUGGAUGCUCAGAACGCGACGCCUAACUGUCUGGAGGAUGCACAGUCCUCAAGUGUAAUAAGUCUUCAGAUCACUCAGACAAGAAGACUUAAGUGAUGCCCAAUUACUCUGGCUCUGGGUGGUUAGGGCUUUUCUCCUCACUAAGGAUUUUCUCUCAAUGGCUUCGAGGUGGGUUGCUCUCAAACGACAAAAGCCGUGCACUGAAAUCUGAGCAGCCAACCGUUUAUGGUUGUAGGGGUGGACUAUUUAUAGCCGCUUGGCAACCCUGACCUGAUUUGUCCGAAAUGACCCUGGGUCACUAAGGAACUGACACGUGUACUAACGGUCGGAUUUUGAACUCUCACGGCAACUUUACUUGGGCUGCAAGUAAAGCUGACUUUUCUGACUCUGGACAAGAUUUUCUCUCAUUGUCUUCACUCGAAGACAUAGGAUUUGAAUUAGGCAUCAUUUCAGUCAUCCUGACUGGUUCUCUUGGACCCCACUUAACAGUACGGUGGUUCCUAUGACACAACAUGAAUAAAGUAAAACUACAAAGGAUCUAAGUCUUCGAGUUCCAAAGGCUUCAUGGGGAGUCUUCAUAUGUCAUUGUCUUCGACAUGAAUGUCUUCAUGAACCACCAUUGUCUUCAAUGUCUUCGUACAUUUUUCGGGGUCAUCUCUGGUAACUAAACCGAAUCAAUGAGGGACUUCUACCUGUGUUAUCCUGCAAUUCUCACAAACACAUUAGUCCCUCAACUAGGUUUGUCGUCAAUACUCCAAAACCAACUAGGGGUGGCACUAGAUGCACUUACAAUCUCCCCCUUUUUGGUGAUUGAUGACAAACUAGUUGAAGUUUUCAACGGGGAAUAUAAUUUGUGAAAUUGUAAAGGAAUUGUCUUCAUAAGCUGCAAGGGCUCCCCCUGAGGAUGUGCAUAUAAGUGAUUUGCUUUUGGAACGCGAAUGCACAUAGCAGGUUGUAUUUGUGGGAAUCCACUUCAACUUAUGAUGACAAUCCAUCAUGCAUGUAAACAUAUAAGAAGAUAAUGAUAUGCAUAAUGAAAAAUGGACGCCUGCGAAAUGAUAUAAGUGCGGAAAUUAUCGUCGUACAUGCGGAAUUUAUCUUCGCAAAAACACAGUGGCAAACAUAGUAGCAGACGACCAUCAAGUUUAAGUGUUACAACUCAAAGAACCAAAUGUAGCAAAACGAGAGUUGUAAGCACGAAGCAAAAUAUAAUAAAGCACCAGCCCUUAUUAUUGACCCGCUUGAAGACUAUAAACAUCAUAUGCUUCUCCCCCUUUUGUCAGUGAUGACCAAAAAGGUUUGAAGGCAUAGAGUUUUCUACGUGUUCCCAGGCGCAGCAGGGUCGAUGGAGGCGUUUGGUGGAGCUGGCGAGCUUGGUGCAGUGAUGAUGCGCGCUGAAGAAGGUGGUGGUGAUGUAGCAUCGUCUUCUUCCUCAAUGAUUUUUCCAGUCACUAUGGCAGCAGAGGAAGAGAACUCUGAUUCUUCAAGCGACGGAGUUCCACGCAACACAGCUCUUCUGGGGGGUGUGGAGUCAAACUUGAAUCUCUCUUUGAAGCCAUCCUCUUGCAGUUCAGCUUCAGUGCACAUCAUUGUGAGGCCUUUCCAAGUGCGGCGACAGGUUUCAUGUGCGACAAAGGCAUUCUUGGUGGCCAGAUUCCUGAUGCGAUUGACUUCUUGCAUGAUACUGCGCAUCUGCCUUUUGAGCCAGUCGUGAUGCCUAUCUUGCUUUUGGUGCAGAGCCACAAGAAGUUCACGGUCAGUGAGUGUACGAGCGCGUUUCUUGGGUCUCUGUGCAGCUGUGCUGUCAGUGGCUUCAGUUGAUGCAGGGGCACGCGUGGUGCCAGCCAUUGGAUAGACUCUGGAAAUGGCUUCAACACCUUCAUCAUGCUGAGUGAAGCUCUGGUGUUCUACAUUCUGAAGACUUAAUGGCUGCUUGGCAGGCUCAGGAUAAAUCGCUUCAGCAGAGGUGUCCACAUCAGGUAAGAAGAUUCUGUGGUUGCGGGCAGAGUGUUGAUAGGAUAUGGUAGAGUGGAGCUUGAUGAGCCUCAUAACCCAUGGAGCAUAAAUCUUCAGACCAAAGAGAUCUGAGCCAAACGCUGCUAGUUGACGUAUAAAGAGAUCCUGGGCAUUGAAGCAUUUGCCAUGCAGGAUGCAGAAGAUGAGAGUCUUCAUGGCACCUUCAACCUUGGCAUAUCGAGAGUGCCCCUUAAUGGGCCAUAGAGUCCGCCUGAUGAUGUGAUAGAUAGUUCUAGGCAGGUACUCUAAGUCUUCAACGAAGAACUCGGUUGGGUAAGGUGCGUCAGGAGGCAAUGGCUUCAUCAUUGAGAGCAUCUGACUCAUAUUUGGCUCAGGUCGCUGAAAUAUGCUCUCAACUGCUUCAGCAUGGAGUUGGCAGCCUUCUUCGAAGAGUUCGCCUGGAGUGGGUAGGCCGGUGAGCUCAAUGAUAUCAAAUGCAUUGGCUUCAUGAUGGACGUUGCCGGUCAUCCACUCCAGGACCCAAGUCUUUGGAUCUUUGUUGUAGCCUUUGAUGUGCAGUGUGGCAUAGAACUGGAGCAGAAGCUCUUCAUUCCAGUGCUCUUCAUCCGUGACAAACGGCAGCAGGCCAACUUGCUUGAAGCAGUCCAGUGCUUCUUCCAGACCAGGCAGACCAGCAAUAGCUUCAACCUCAAGGCGCUGGUGUGGAAAGAUACGGCCUUGGUUGUAGAGGACGCAGAAGUAGUAGCUGCGCUGUGGGUAGCUCCAGAACCUAUCUAACACAAUCCGUUCCCUUGAGUAAGGGUUCUUGGAGCGGUUGAAGAAGGUGUUACCUGCCCUGAAGCUAUUGACAUUAAAGGAGCCAGGAGCGGUGGCAGGACCUGGGAACCUUGGCAGUCGUGGGAUUGGCUUCUGUACCUGGGGCCUGUGCGCAACAUGAUAGUUGAACUGUGGACCGGCAGCAGACUCAGGCACAGAAGGGUCAGAGGCAGAAGCUUCAGUAUCUCUUGAAGCUGUUGGUUGGUCGGGCUCCACAAAUGCUUCAGUAUUGGGUGUGGCAGCCGCAGUGGUGUCAGCCUCAUCACGUGUAGUGAGAGGGAUGGAUUCAGGUACGUUCUCCUUGAGAACUUCUUCUUGUUGGUGUGGGGGAGAUGGAGCUUGAGGUUCUUCAUGCUCUUCUUCAUGUUCUUCGGCUGAUGCAGCCGGAAUGUCGUCAGCAGUCUGAGCCCUUGGCCCUUUGCGAAGCCUACGGAAUGCAGGCAACGCCGGUGGAGUUGCAGUGGGCUGGGGCUCAUCCUCUUCCUCCUGCGGGCGAUCUGCCCAUGAUGCAUCUUGGGUGAUUGGCGUCAAGGGACGACCAAUGCUGAUCAUUUCACUCGUUUCGAGCUGAGGAAGGACUGCAUCACCUUGCACAUUGUCUUGGAGACCAAUGUCUUCAGCAGCGUUGGAGUCGGCUGCUGGAAUGUCUUCAGCAUGCGGAGCCUUUGUGAGAGCAGGCUCAUGCACGGUCAGCUGACGAUCUUCAUGAGGAAAGCAAACGGAGAGGGGUUCGACUAUCAAGGGCUCUGUGGGAGCAGCCCGAGACUUCUUGUUCUUGCGCUUCUUGAUGGUGGGGUCUAAAGGAGAGGCUUCAGGGUGUUUCCUCUUCCUUGCUUCAGCUUCGGCUGUCCUUGUCUUCUUAACCUAUGAAGCGGUUGAGCGGUGCUUUGGCUUCGAGCCAGGCUUGGCAGUGGGGAAGACAAUCGGAACAGCUUCUUGUCGUGGGGCCUCUUGUUCAGCCACAGUGGGCUUCUUCUUUUUCUUAGCGGCCAUCCUGGGGUCGAUGCUGGGACGCCCAAGCGCCUUUCGCUUCUCGGACUCAUUGUAGGCCUGCACACAGAGAUCAGCCAAAUUCUUCAUGCGCUCACGUGAACCCUGAGCCUCUGCACGUUUCUGCAUAAAGUUUUCCUUCAACUCGUGCAGCAUGACUUUGAAGUCUUUGACUUCUUGGACGCUGAGCGUGGCCAUGUUCUGCUUGAACUGAGCCUUUUCAAAAUCUAUCUUCUGCUUCAGUUCCACUAUGCGCUGGGCAAUUGCGAGUUCUGAAGCAAUAGCUCCUUGGAAGGCUACGCUGAGGCCAAUGGGCAGCUGCAGAUCAUGGAAGCUGAUGUUGGGUGUAUCAAACCACUCAUCAAUGAAGUUGUGGAUGAUUGCUGCAUCGAACAAAGGCAGAUUGUUGAAGAUUUCAGCCUCCUCCUUGCUCUUGAUUAGCUGCUCAAGAGCGUCAUCGGCAAGAUCGUCGUCACUUGACAGAUCAAUGGCCUCGCAGCGCAGAACGGCUGCGGCAGUGAGCUCUUUGUCAGUAUGUGGCUGAUGCUUCUUGGCUUCUUGGGGCUUGGAGACUCGUGAUAAGUCUUCAGACUGCACACUUGCUUCAGGAGGUGCAGUGGCCAAUGGCUUCGCUCUGGAGAUCUUGGGAGAAGCGGCUGGCUUGGAAGCUUUUGGCUUCUUCUUCAUCUGCUUCGGCUCCGGGGCAGCAGGAGCGUCAUCAGACUCAGUGUCUACUGGAGGGUCGUUCACGGCAGUCCCUUGGACUAGAAUGCGAGUGAUGAGGCCUUUGAGAUUGGCAUACGGCCCGAUGACAUUGGGAUUUGCAUCGCGUGUGCCAUCCGCCCUUGGCUUAGAGGGACCAGGGUUGAAGUCCAGUCCAAACUCCUUCUUGUUUUGCUUCGCAGAGUUCUGAGCAAAUUGGAAGUUGCGCUUGAAGAGAUUGUCAUCGCGACACCAGAGAAGUGAUGACGGAUGUGCCUCAGCUGGCUGUGGUCCUCUGACCAUGCAUGGAUAGAAGCCUUGAGCAAUGGCUUCGUCUCUGGACCGGGGUACGAGAUUUUUGUACAAGACAUCUCCCCAUGGCCUCUGGAUGGCGCACUUCUCUGCAUAUUCCUUGGCGACGAAGCGGUAUUGGAACCACUGCUCUGCCCAAUAUCUUCGAAUCCAUUGGAUUCGUGUCUAGCGCUGACCAUAGCUCUCUUCAGGAUCAGUUUGGUACAUUUCUGCCAAAUCUUCAGGCAGAUCUUUAGACGUUUCACCACGUCUCUGUCUGCCUCCCUUCCUUGCUGGUUUUUCUGUUGCCAUGAAGCUUAACUUGGAAGGCUUCAAGAGAUUCAAAGUCUUCAAAGGCUUCCUUUUGCUUGACCAACAGGAACUUGCUUCGGGUGAAUUGAUGUGACGCUGUAGGAACUCUGCAAAUGAAUGCAGACUAUGAGAACCAAAAGAUUCUCCCACGGACAUGUACCUGUGACAGCAUUAAGGUGCGAGGGAAGGGGAAGAGGUCAUAUGCAUUCUCAAAAGAUUUUGAAGAUAAAUCAGUUUAGAAGAUAUUGACCUCAUCAUGCGAAGACAUUCACUUUAUAGAAAAGAAGUUGGUUCCAGAUUUGUACGAACCCAUAGAUCAGUACAAGUGAGGAAUCUAACUACUUCAUGAAGAACAAGUGAAUAUACUAGGCACGUUAUGAGAUACAGAUGAGAGGGAUUAAACUUUUGUGAAUGGAAACCUCUUUUGGCAGAAAGUGAUGGAGCUAUAGGAUCAAAAGAGGCUGUAAAAAGACUUGUUAUUUACCAGACUUGGAACUGCUAGACGAGGUGAGAGUUGAGGCCGAGCAGUUCGAUCCUCCGUGCCCUAACUUGGCGACGGAAGACACCUAGGGCGACGGCGGAGAGACUGAUGUCCGCUGUCGGCGUGAGAACGGCAUCGGAGAGGUUGCGGCAGUGAAGCACUUCGUCGCCGGCGUCGUUGAGAGUUAGCGGUGGCGCUAGGGUUUGUGCGAGGGUGGAAGAAGAGAUAAUGACCGCAGUGAAACGUGUAUUUAUAGGGAUAUGGGCGGCACUGCGCUAUUACUCAGGUGCCCCUGGCGAUUCGCAUCUGAUCAGUACGUGGCCAGCAUGCGGAAUUGUGGGGGCAGUUUCACCCCACGCACGCCUGGUUUGUCGGAAGCCGUUCCUACUUCUCUGGAUUUCUUGUUGAUGAAAAAACAUUAAAAUCUGUUUUAAAGUUUGUCUCUGUGUCUUCUUCUGACAAGGAUGCAGUGAAGACAUUCGACAGUUUCAAUAGAAUGCAUAGACUUGGAGAGAUAGAGUUUGAGGUAGGAAGCAUGGAGAGGUUAGGGUCCGAUCACAUUCACUUAGUUCAAAAGAUUCAAACAAGAAGACAUAGCUAUAAGUGAAUGCUGUAGAGGACAGAACACCAGUACAUAUAUAAUCAACAUAGUGAAGAUAAUCAUGAAGACAUGUUGAGAUUGAAGCUAAACCAAAUGUGAAGACAUAGCAAAUGUAAUGCCAUGAGUGAAACACUUCAAGCAGAAAAAUUUGGUGGUGGCGCUACCCACCGUAUAGGAAGUAUUGGACCCAGACACGGCGCACAAUUAUCGUGGCGCUCCGAGGUCAAAUUCCACGUUAAUGUGUUCACACUUAGAAUGUAUGUCUUCAUUGAUUGAAGAUAUACGUUACUUCGUGUGUUGCACAUCUAAGUCAUCAUCAUGCAUAAGUGUUAGGAUGUGUGCCUGAUCACAGGACAUUUGAGGAUUCCAAGAUAUUUAGCUCACACCGUAACUUGCAAAAUCUCUUCUCAUCCAAGGGCUUGGUGAAGAUAUCUGCCAAUUGCUCUUUAGUGUUGACGUGUAUGAUAUCAAUGUCUUCCUUUGCAACAUGAUCUCUGAGAAAAUGAUGACGAAUUUCAAUGUGCUUUGUCUUCGAGUGCUGAACUGGGUUGUUGGCGAUCUUGAUGGCACUUUCGUUGUCGCAGUAAAGUGGCACUUGCUUCAGAUGAAUGCCAUAAUCCUUGAGGGUUUGCUUCAUCCAUAGAAGCUGAGCGCAGCAGGAUCCAGCAGCAAUGUAUUCAGAUUCAGCAGUGGAGAGAGAUACACAGUUCUGCUUCUUUGAAGACCAACAGACAAGUGAUCGCCCAGAAAGUGACAUGUGCCUGAUGUGGACUUCCGAUCAACCUUGUCACCAGCGUAAUCAGCGUCCGAAAAUCCAACCAGAUCAAACUCUGAGCCCUUUGGAUACCAUGACCCUAGAGUUGGGGUGUGAGCCAAAUAUCGAAGAAUUCGCUUCACAGCUAAGUGAUGCGACUCCUUUGGUGCCGCUUGAAACCGAGCACACAUGUAAACACUAAGCAUAAUAUCUGGCCUAGAUGCACAUAAAUAAAGCAAAGAACCAAUCAUGGAGCGGUAUACCUUUUGAUCGAACUCUUUACCAUUGUCGUCAGGACCCAGAUGAUGUUUGGCUGGCAUUGGUGUUGUGAAGCCUUUGCAGUCUUGCAUACCGAACUUCUUCAGGCAGUCUUUGAGAUAUUUCUCUUGAGAUAUGAAGAUGCCAUUGCGUUGUUGCCGUAUCUGAAGACCGAGGAAGAAUUUCAGCUCCCCCAUCAUAGACAUCUGAUAUUGCUCUUGCAUCAUAUAUCCGAACUCCUCACUGUACUUCUGAUUGGUGCAGCCGAAGAUAAUGUCAUCCACGUAUAUUUGGCACACAAACAGUUCACCAUCAUAUGUCUUUGUGAAGAGAGUGGGAUCCAGGGAACCAGGUAUGAAGCCUUUGCUCUUCAGGAAGUAUUUGAGUGUAUCAUACCAGGCCCGAGGGGCUUGUUUGAGGCCAUAUAGUGCCUUUUUGAGCUUGUACACCAUGUCAGGAUGUUUUGGAUCUUCAAACCCAGGUGGUUGUGCAACAUACACUUCUUCUUCAAUUUUGCCAUUGAGGAAGGCACUUUUUACAUCCAUUUGAUACAGGAUUAUGUUGUGAUGAUUUGCAUAGGCCAGCAGUAUACGGAUGGCUUCAAGUCUGGCAACAGGAGCAAAUGUUUCAUCGAAGUCAAUGCCUUCGAGUUGAGUAUAUCCUUGAGCAACGAAACGAGCCUUGUUUCUGACGACUUGGCCAUGCUCAUCUUGCUUGUUGCGGUAUAUCCAUUUGGUGCCUAUUAUGUUAUGCUUCCAUGGAUCAGGACGCUUAACCAACUCCCAUACAUUGUUCAGCUCAAAUUGUUGAAGCGCUUCUUGCAUAGCUUGAAUCCAUUCAGGUUCCAUAAAGGCUUCAUCAAUUUUCCUGGGUUCUGUCAUUGAAACGAAUGCGAAGUGUCCGCAGAAGUUUGCCAGUUGAGUUGCCCUUGAAUGAGUCAGUGGACCAGGUGCAUUGAUGCUAUCAAUUAUUCUGCAAUCUGCACUUCAUUGGCAACAUGAGGAUGUAGGGGUCGAAGACUUUGCUCUUGCUGAUCUACGUUGUCAUGGGGAGGAAUGUCUUCAGGCUGAGCGUUGUCUUCAUGUGGAUCAGGUGCUGAGAUGAUAAGUUCUUCUUCAGGACGAGCUUCAGAAGGUAUAAUUUCUCCAGUUCCCAUUAGCUUGAUUGAUUCACUGGCUGGAACUUCAUCUAGCACAUCUGGUAGUUGCUCUCUUUGUGACCCAUUGGUCUCAUCGAACCGCACAUCCACUGUUUCAACCACUUUGUAGUGGAAGAGAUUGGAGACUCUGUAGGAGUGCGAAUCCUUUCCAUAUCCAAGCAUGAAGCCCUCAUGUGCUUUUGGAGCAAAUUUUUAGGUGUGGUGAGGGUCCUUGAUCCAGCAUCUUGAUCCAAAUACUCUAAAGUACCUUACAUUUGGCUUCUUGCCAGUCAGAAGUUCAUAAGAUGUCUUGUUCAGCAGCUUGUGAAGAUAUACACGGUUGAUAGUAUGGCAUGCAGUGUCAAUGGCUUCAGUCCAGAAUUUUCUUGGUGUCUUGUACUCAUCUAACAUUGUUCUGGCCAUCUCAAUGAGUGUUCUGUUCUUGUGUUCGACGAUGCCAUUCUGUUGUGGCGUGUAUGGAGCUGAGAAUUCAUGAGUGAUGCCCAAUGUAUCAAGAUAUGUGUCAAGGCCGGUGUUCUUGAAUUCUGUGCCAUUGUCACUUCUGAUGUGCUUUAUCUUGGCGCCAUAAUUGUUCAUUGCCCGAUUUGCGAAGCGUCUGAAGACAUCCUGCACUUCAGUCUUGUAAAGGAUUAUGUGCACCCAAGUAUAUCUAGAGUAAUCAUCAACAAUGACGAAGCCAUAGAGGCAAGCAGUAGUGGAGAAAGUUGAGUAGUGAGUGGGACCGAAGAGAUCCAUGUGAAGCAGUUCGAAGGGUUGAGUAGUGGUCAUGAUUUUCUUCGAAGGAUGUUUUGCCCUUGUCAUCUUCCCAGCUUCACAGGCACCGCAUAAGUGAUCUUUCUUGAACUUGACGCCCUCGAUGCCUAUGACAUGCUUCUUCUUCGCAAGGGUGUGGAGGUUCCUCAUGCCAGCAUGCCCAAGUCUUCGAUGCCAAAGCCAGCAUUCUGAAGCCUUUGCGAGAAGACAAACUGCAAGCUGUGGCCCUGCUGAGAAAUCUACCACGUACAAAUCAUCUUUUCGAUACCCUUCAAACUCUAGAGACUUGUCAGAUUCCAUUAGUACCAGACAACGAUAUUUUCCAAAGAUUACAAUCAUGUUUAAAUCGCAAAGCAUUGAGACAGACAUUAAGUUGAAGCCAAGGGACUCAACAAACAUGACUUUAUCCAUGUGUUGAUCCUUUGAGAUUGCAACUCUACCUAGACCCAGUACCUUACUUUUACCAGUGUCAGCGAAUGUGAUGUGGCUCUUGUCAGAUGGACGUAAGGUUGAGUCCAUAAAGAGACUUCUUUUGCCAGUCAUGUGAUUUGUACACCCAUUGUCAAUAAUCCAUUCUGAAGACUCUGAAGUCACUGGUGUCGUACCCUACAGUGCAGUUAGGGGGAUAGGCUUCACGAAGAGUGUUGUGAAGCAAAAACAUUUGACGAACCAGUGGAUUAUGAAAACUUAGAUCCAGGUUAGGACAAGUAGGGAGAGUAGCAUGCGAUUCAGGUAUGAAAUACAUAGUGAUGCCAUUCGGGCAUUUGAUCUUGCGCCCACAAGAUUUUUAAGGUCCCCAGCAAUAGCAUCAGAAGAUUUUGGUUUUGUGCUGGAGACCUUUCCCUGCAAAAGAGAGUUAAGCUUUCUUAACCACCCACAUCUUCAAGGGUGGCUUAGAAGCAAACAGUCUAGCAGGUGGGCAAUAGUACUCAUAAGAAUAGGCAGAAUAGUUUUUGGUCAUAUGAGAAUGACGGUUUGAAGAACCGCUCUCAUAUGCCUGAGCAUGGUUUCCCUGCAAAACAUUUGUGUUAGUGCGACUCAAAUGAGUCCUCUGCCUGUAUGAAGCCUUUGGACCAUAUAUGAAGCCUUUGGUCCGAGGUUUGUCUUCUUCAUGUGAGGUGUCAUGAGGACAUUCACAGGAAGAUUCUCAAGACACGUUUUUGGAACCCAGAUCUUCUUCAUAGGCGGUCCAUUCCUGCAGUUAGUACCAAUGUACCUGGCAAAUACUUCACCAUUCUGAUUCCUGAACAGUUUAUAGUUUGCAUCAAAGGAUUCAUCAAUGAUAAUUGGAUUAGCACAAGUGAAGCCAGAUAGAUUGGAUGGAUCUGCUGAGGAUUCCUUUGCAGCAACCCAUGUGGUUUUGGGGUACUGCUCAGGUUUCCAGUAAGAGCCAUCUGCAUUAAUUUUCCUCACGAACCCAACACCCUCCUUCCUAGGGUUUUGGUUCAGAAUCUGCUUCUUGAGGACAUCACAUAAUGUCUGAUGUCCUUUGAGACUUUUGUACAUCCCUGUUUCAAGCAAUGUCUUCAACCUAGCAUUUUCAUCAGCAAUAGCAGUGGUAUCCUCAGUAGAGGGGUUAGUUACCACUUCAACAGUUGCAACAGCAGUAGCAGUGGAACAUUCAGCAACAGAAAUAGCAUUAUCACAAUCAAUGCAUUUAAGGCAUGGUGGUUCAAAUCCUUCCUGAACAGAACUGAUCUGUUCGGCUCGAAGUGACUCGUUUUCCUUUUGAAGAUCUUCAUGAUCCGUUUUUCAAGAUGUUGCUUCUUUUGAAGAUAAUCAUAGGAAAGCUUUUCAUGAGUAGUUGAGAGAGUCUCAAGACGAUCUUCGAGUUCCUGAUACUUAACAUGAAGAUUUUUUAUGUCUUCAAUUAAGGAUUCAGAACGAGUCAUUUCAGCACCCAACAGAUCAUCGCUUCUGUCUAACAGUUUUUGAAUAUGUUCCAUGGCCUUUUGUUGUUCAGUUGCAAUUUUAGCAAGUGUUUUGUAACUGGGUUUUGAAUCACAAUCAGAGUCAUCGUCACUAGAUGUUUGAUAGUGAGUAGUGCGUGUGUUUACCUUGGCACCACGUGCCAUGAAGCAGUAGGUAGGAGUAGAGUCGUCCUUGUCAUUUGCAUCGGUGAUGGUGAUGGAGUCAUUGUCUUCAGUGUUGAAGAUGGACUUGGCGACGUAGGCUGUAGCCAGACUCGCAAUGCCUGAAUCAGACUCCUCCUCAGACUCCACCUCUGCCUCCUCAGAAGCGGACUCCUCCUCUGAAUCCAUUUCCUUGCCAACAAACGCACGAGCCUUGCCAGAUGAACUCUUCUUGUGUGAUGAAGACUUUGAGGAAGACUUGGACGAAGACUUUGAGUAUUUCUUUGUCUUCUUAUCGUCAGAGUCAUAUUCCAUGCUCUAAUUCUUCUUUCUGUUCUCAUUGUCCCACUGUGGACACUCAGAGAUGAAGUGUCCAGUUUUCUUGCACUUGUGACAUGUUUUCUUCUUGUAGUCAUGCGCAGAAGCUUCAUCAUUCCUUGAGCUUGAUCGUGAAGACUUUCUGAAGCCUUUCUUCUUGGUGAAUUUCUGGAACUUCUUCACUAGCAUUGCAAGUUCCCUUCCAAUGUCUUCAGGAUCAUCAGAACUGCUGUCAGAUUCUUCUUCAGAUGAGGACACAGCUUUUGCCUUCAAGGCACGAGUUCGCCCAUAGUUUGGACCGUAGAUAUCUCUUUUCUCAGAAAGCUGAAACUCAUGUGUGUUGAGCCUCUCAAGUAUGUCAGACGGAUCGAGUGUCUUGAAGUCUGGAUGUCAAAUGAACUGUCAAGUGAUCUUAGCAGCGUCUUAACGAUUUCAUGUUUGGUGAUCUCAGUGGCGCCGAGGGCUUGAAGCUCAUUUGUGAUGUCAGUGAGCCGGUCAAAUGUGUGAUGGACAUUCUCAUUGUCAUUUCGCUUGAAGCGGUUGAAGAGAUUGCGAAGAACACUGAUUCUCUGAUCUCUCUGGGUUGAGAUGCCUUCAUUGACCUUGGAGAGCCAGUCCCAAACCAGCUUGGAUGUCUUCAAGGCACUCACACGGCCGUACUGUCCCUUGGUCAGAUGACCACAGAUAAUAUUCUUGGCAGUGGAGUCCAGUUGAGUGAACUUCUUGACAUCAGCCGCAGUGACACCUUCUCCAGCCUUGGGAACGCCGUUUUUGACGACAUACCAUAGGUGGACGUCAAUGGCUUCAAGAUGCAUGCGCAUCUUAUUCUUCCAGUAGGGAUAUUCAGUUCCAUCGAAGACGGGGCACGCAGCGGAGACUUUAAUUAUCCCUGCAGUCGACAUAGCUAAAACUUUAGGUGGUUAAACCAAAUCACACAGAACAAGGGAGCACCUUGCUCUGAUACCAAUUGAAAGUGCGUUAUAUCGGCUAGGGGGUGAAUAGGUGAUUUUAAUGAAAGUCUUCAAAACGUGGAAGUUAUGAAGACAAACAGAGUGAACAAGCCUAUCACUAUGCAGCGGAAGUUAGAUUACACAACGCAAGCCAUGGUCAAGUAUACAAUAUAGUGAAAGCACGGUGACAAAUAGCUUCAGUGUAAUGAGGAUCAGGUUGGAAGAAGUUAUGAAGCCAAACAGAUCAUACAGUCAAGUUGUGAGGACAGAAGAUAAAGCAAGCAUGCAAUAGCUUCACAAUGUGUACUGGUAAGUAAAGGGAGGCGAAGAUGAAACCAGUGACACGUUGAAGAGAAUGAUAUGUUGGACCAGUUCCAGUUGCUGUGACAACUAUACGUCUGGUUGGAGCGGCUAGGUAUUUAAACCAAAGGACACACAGUCCCGGACACCCAGUCCUGAACACGCAGCUCAGGACACCCAGUCCUCACCGUUUUCUCCUUGAGCUAAGGUCACACAGACCCCGCCCAAUCACUCUGGUAAGUCUUCAAGGUAGACUCCCAAACCUUCACAGACUUCGUUCACCGGCAAUCCACAAUUCCUCUUGGAUGCUCAGAACGCGACGCCUAACCGUCUGGAGGAUGCACAGUCCUCAAGUGUAAUAAGUCUUCAGAUCACUCAGACAAGAAGACUUAAGUGAUGCCCAAUUACUCUGGCUCUGGGUGGUUAGGGCUUUUCUCCUCACUAAGGAUUUUCUCUCAAAGGCUUAGAGGUGGGUUGCUCUCAAACGACAAAAGCAGUGCACUGAAAUCUGAGCAGCCAACCGUUUAUGGUUGUAGGGGUGGACUAUUUAUAGCCGCUUGGCAACCCUGACCUGAUUUGUCCGAAAUGACCCUGUGUCACUAAGGAACUGACACGUGUACUAACGGUCGGAUUUUGAACUCUCACGGCAACUUUACUUGGGCUGCAAGUAAAGCUGACUUGUCUGACUCUGGACAAGAUUUUCUCUCAUUGUCUUCACUCGAAGACAUAGGAUUUGAAUUAGGCAUCACUUCAGUCAUCCUGACUGGUUCUCUUGGACCCCACUUAACAGUACGGUGGUUCCUAUGACACAACAUGAAUAAAGUAAAACUACGAAGGAUCUAAGUCUUCGAGUUCCAAAGGCUUCAUGGGGAGUCUUCAUAUGUCAUUGUCUUCGACAUGAAUGUCUUCAUGAACCACCAUUGUCUUCAAUGUCUUCGUACAUUUUUAGGGGUCAUCUCUGGUAACUAAACCGAAUCAAUGAGGGACUUCUACUAGUGUUAUCCUGCAAUUCUCACAAACACAUUAGUCCCUCAACUAGGUUUGUCUUCAAUACUCCAAAACCAACUAGGGGUGGCACUAGAUGCACUUACAGGUCUGGGUACAGACACUAGAAAGAAAGAAGGCUCCUCGAGGCCUGUCUAUCUACAUAGGGCCCUCCAUGGCCAGGAUCACCACCUGGGUGGCUAGUCACUCAUCGAAGUCAAGGUCUACAUAGAACCCAUCGGAGGGGGCGGUGUUGUCGUCUGAAAACAGUAAUUAAGCAAACAUGAGUACAAAGGUACUCAGCAAGUCUUACAACAGAACCUACUAUACAUGCUUAUUCUCAAGAAGGCGGUGGGGAUAUUGCAGCAAGCCAGCUUUGACUCUUGGCUAAACUAUCCUACGGAACUUCUCUAGUAAAAUAGUUUUCGCACACGAGUCCACUACUCACCAACACAAUACUCCAACGGGGAUCCUCCCUCAUCAUCCUACGAGAGGGCCAUCCUCGGUACUCACACUUAUCUUGAGUCUUUUAGUAGUAUCCAUUUACUUGUCUAUGAACUGUAUAGGCAACUAAGUAGUCCUUUACCGCGGACGCGGCUAUUCGAAUAGUUUUAUACCCUGCAGGGGUGUACUUCGUCAUACACGCUUUCACCACUUAUCGCCGUUUACACGACAUGUACUCGGCAACCUUCAAGCGGAAGCCCAGCGAGGGUGUCGGCCACGGCCUACCUAAACACUUAAGUCUCUAGUCCUGCUUUAUCGCCUAUCCAAGUUCCAUCCGCAGGGAUUCCGGCCGAGGUUUCCACAUACGGCCCCGAACGAUGUGAACAGGAUCCCGAGACGCCAAACGGGUGCCCGGCAUACCCGGCCACGGUGUAUCUACCACAACAUAGCCCACCCCUAGGGUCAGCGCUACGCACGGCCGCCAACACAUAACCUACAAACACCAGAAACUAUUUGCAACUCCUGGAGAGAGUACUAGGGUGAUUAAGAAGCCGAUAGGGUCAAUUAAGGAUCCCAAUGCAUGGUAGUAGCUGAAUCUUAAAUCAUACAUACAGAUCUGAGUUCUUAGGGACGGUCUCAAUGAAACAACCCACCAUGUACUCCUACAUGGCCUCUCAUCGAUACCUUUACCAAAACAUGUUCAACACAUUCCUCAUAUUACCGACAUAAUCAUAUCACUCUAGCCCAUCACCCUGAUGAACCAGACCUGACACAACUCUAAGCAUAGCAGGCAUACCAAGGUACAAAUCACAUACAUGGCUCAAUCAACUCCUACACAUGCUAGUGGGUUUCAUCUAGUUACUGUGGCAAUGAAAGGUCAUGCAGAGGAUAAGGGUUCAACUACCGUAGCACACAGCAGUUUGAAUCGCGUUAUCUUAAUGCAGUAAACAAGAGUAGAGGCGAGAAUAUGGGUUGUAUCGGAAUGAUCAAUGGGUUGCUUGCCUGAUGGAGUGGUAGUGGGAUACUGCCCUUCAGUUGGAUACUCGUGAAUAUCCUCGGAGGCAGAACCUACCACGAAGAACACAUCGGAACACAAUCAAUACAUGACGAUAUGCAACAAUAUGAUGCAUGCUAUGACAUGGCAAUAUGAAUGUGUCUUGGCCUAAUGCAAGCUAAAAUAGAAAGGGAUGAACUCAUUUGAAUCAAAGAUACAAAUAUUAUCUCAUUAAACAUGGCCUUAAUAUUGCAUUUACUUAUUCUGCUUAAACAGAAAGGUAAACUUGUUUUGUCAUGCAUGAAACCAUUACAGGUGGAUAGAUUGAAUUUUUCUGAUAAUUUUUCAUAUAUAAAUUAUUUCAUUUGGAGUUACAGUUGAAUUUCUAUGAUUUUUAGAAUUUUUAAACAUUACUGCGUCAGCAUUGCGUCAUGCUGACCUCAGCAGGUCAAAGGCGCCAGCCCAGGUCAAACCUGACUGGAGGGCCCCUUCUGUCAGUCUCUUAAUUAAAUAACAGGACUAGAUUAACACUAAUUAGCUGUCAGUGGGGCCUGGGCCCACAUGUCAGUGACUGAUUAAAAUAAAAUUAGUUAAAACUAAUCCUAGAUUAGUUAGCAGACCAGCCCCACCUAUCAUAGACUCAGGGGGGGUCUACCUGGGCCCACCCAGGGUCAAACUAGGUCAAACUCGCCGGCGUUGAGCCGCCGGCGAGGCCCGAGACGGUGGCGCAGCUCGGAAAACGCCUAUAGGGCACGAGCGAGGCCGUUCUUGGGCUCGUUGGAGAGCUCUUGCAGUCGCGCAUCUAGUGGUGGUGGUGGCGGGCCUACGGUGGCCGGAGACGACGACGGCGAGCUCCAAGGCAGCGGCCGGAGUUCGGCCAUGUGCGGGGUGUGGGCUGCGGCGUGCAAACUUGGAAACUGAGGCGCUAGCGAGGCACUACGCGAUGCGGCAAGCACGUUGCGUAGCACGGGAUGACCAAAUGGUCGCCGGAGCGGCGCCAGCGACAAGCUCGAGCAGAGACGAGCUUCGGCCAUGGUGGAACUAUGGCCUAGAGGGUGCAAACGCAUGGAAAAGAAGAGGGGAAAGGUGGCGGACCUCACGGGGAGGUCGAUGAGUAGCUCAGUGGGCUCGGGGGUGACCGGAGCGAGGCGAAUCGAUGAGCGGCGUCCGGCGGGUACCGAGGUUGAAGACGAUCCGAUGGCGGCGAUGCAGGGCCUCCGGCGAUGCGUGGGGAGGGCGAGGGCGUCACGGCGGAGCUUCUGGACAGGUCAGAGAGGCGAGGGGGUGACAGAGGGCGCGACUACGGCGGUGAGACGGCGACGGGUGCAUCGGCCAUCGCGGGAGAGGGAGAGGGGGACGUGGGGGAGAGUGAGAGAGGAUGAGAGGGGGACAUGUGGGUCGCGUGGCAUUCCCUGGACGUCUCCCGGCGUCGGCGAAAGCAGGAGGUGGCCGACGUGUGGCCGCGGGCGCCGGCCACGCGCUCCGCGUCCUUCUGGCGCGAGGAGGACGACGACGGGCAGCGCCAGUAGGCUAGGCCGAGCCCGGUGGGCUGGCCAGCACAGGUAAGGCCCAGGUGGGCUUCUCCCUCUCUUUUUUUAAUUUGUUUCUGUUUUCUAUUUAACUGUAACUGUUGGGCUUUAUUUAAAAUACUAAAAUAUUUCCAGAAAUCCUGAAAAUAAUUGUGGGCUCUGCUUGGAUUAUGUCCAACAGCAAACAUUUAUUUCCAGAAUUAUUUGAGCAUUUAAAUUAUUUAAUAGCAUUUAAAUGCCCAAAUUCAAAUACUUAUGAUUUAAAUCAAUGACCUUCUAUUGACCUAGAAAAAUUGUGCAUCAAUUUUGCCAGAGGUUCUAACCCAAGACAAAGAGGGUGAACUUUUUAGAAGGGCAUUUCAGGUUCAUUGAAAAUAAUUUUAGUAAACCCUAGUUGUUUCCAGGGGGUGUUGGGGGUUUCUCCCUUCCCCAAUUCAAAUUUAAGAGGAAUUUAAACAUGAUGGAGAUUCUAAUGCUUGAACUAGCUAGGGUGUGACAUGACUCUUUAUUUGUUAGUUUACCAUAAUCAUCCUUGCUGUACACACCUUUUGAGAGGGCCAUACAUGAUUUGGAAUUUGUUAGAAUACUCUAUGUGCUUCGCUUAUAUCUUUUGAGUUAUAUAGUUUUGCUCUAGUACUUCACUUAUAUCUUUUAGAGCACGGUGGUGGAUUUGUUUUAUAAAAACUAUUGAUCUCUCAUGCUUCACUUACAUUAUUUUGAGAUGCUUAAUAGCAUGGUAAUUUGCUUAAAAUCUUAAUAUGCUAGGUAUUCAAAGUUAGUAAAAUUUUCUUAAGAGUGUUUUGAAUACUAAGAGAAGUUUGAUGCUUGAUGAUUGUUUUGAGAUAUGGAGGUAAUAAUAUCACAGUCAUGCUAGUUGAGUAGUUGUGAAAUUGAGAAAUACUUGUGUUGAAAUUUGCACGUAUGGUAAACGUUGUGUAACAAAUUUGAAACAUGAGGCGUUAUUUGAUUGUCUUCCUUAUGAGUGGCGGUCGGGGACGAGCGAUGGUCUUUUCCUACCAAUCCAUCCCCCUAGGAGCAUGCGCGUAGUACCUAGGUUUUUGAUGACUUGUAGAUUUUUGCAAUAAGUAUGUGAGUUCUUUAUGACUAAUGUUGAGUCCAUGAAUUAUACGCACUCUGACCCUUCCAUCCUUGCUAGCCUCUUAGGUACCAUGCAUUGCCCUUUCCCACAUUGAGUGUUGGAGCAAACUUCGCCGGUGCAUCCAAACCCCGUGAUAUGAUAUGCUCUUUCACACAUAAACCUCCUUAUAUCUUCCUCAAAACAGCCACCAUACCUACCUAUUAUGGCAUUUCCAUAGCCAUUCCGACAUAUAUUGACAUGCAACUUUCCACCAUUCCGUUCAUCAUGACACAUUCAUCAUUGUCAUAUUGCUUAGCAUAAUCAUGUAGUUGACAUAGUAUUUGUGGCAAGGCCACCGUUCAUAAUUCUUUCAUACAUGUCACUAUUGGUCCAUUGCAUAUCCCAGUACACCGCCGGAGGCAUUCAUAUAGAGUCAUACUUUGUUCUAGUAUCGAGUAGAAAUUAUUGAGUUGUAAAUAAAUAGAAGUGUGAUGAUCAUCAUUAAUAGAGCAUGGUCCCAAAAAUAUAAAAAAGGAAGGGCCAAAAAAAGGCCAAAUAAAAAAAUGUAAAAAAGGGGGGCAAUGCUACUAUCCUUUUUUCCACACUUGUGAUUCAAAGUAGCACCGUAAUCUUCAUGAUAGAGAGUAUCUUGAUUUGUCAUUUUCAUCUACUAGUGGGAAUUUUUCAUUAUAGAACUUGGCCUGUAUAUUCCAACAAUGGGCCUCCUCAAGUUCCCUAGGUCUUCGUGAGCAAGCAAGUUGGAUGCACACCCACUUAGUUUCUUUUGUUGAGCUUUCAUACAUUUAUAGCUCUAGUGCAUCUGUUGCAUGGCAAUCCCUACUCCUUGCAUUAACAUCAAUCGAUGGGCAUCUCCAUAGCCCAUUGAUUAGCCUCGUUGAUGUGAGACUUUAUCCUUUUUGUCUUCUCCACAUAACUCCAGUCAUUAUAUUCUAUUCCACCCAUAGUGUUAUGUCCAUGGCAUGCAAUCAUAUAUUGCGUGAAAGUUUAUAGGUUUGAGAUCACUAAAGUAUGAAACAAUUGCUUGGCUUCUCAUCGGGGUUGUGCAUGAUGAGAGCAUUCUUGUGUGACCAAAAUGAAGCAUGAUUAAACUAUAUGAUUUUGUAGGGAUGAACUUUCUUUGGCCAUGUUAUUUUGAGAAGACAUAAUUGCUCAGUUAGUAUGCUUGAAGUAUUAUUAUUUUUAUGUCAAUAUGAACUUUUGUCUUGAAUCUUUCGGAUCUGAAUAUUCAUACCACAAUUAAGAAGAUUUACAUUAAAAUCAUGCCAACUAGCACUCUGCAUCAAAAAUUCUGUUUUUAUCAUUUACCUACUCAAGGACGAGCAGUAAUUAAGCUUGGGGAUGCUUGAUACGUCUCCAACGUAUCUAUAAUUUUUGAUUGCUCCAUGCUAUAUUAUCUACUGUUUUGGACAAUAUUGGGCUUUGUUAUCCACUUUUAUAUUAUUUUUGGGACUAACCUAUUAACCAGAGGCCCAGCCCAGAAUUGUUGUUUUUUGCCUGUUUUAGGGUUUCGAAGAAAAGGAAUAUCAAACGGAGUCCAAACGGAAUGAAACCUUCGGGNNNNNNNNNNNNNNNNNNNNNNNNNNNNNNNNNNNNNNNNNNNNNNNNNNNNNNNNNNNNNNNNNNNNNNNNNNNNNNNNNNNNNNNNNNNNNNNNNNNNNNNNNNNNNNNNNNNNNNNNNNNNNNNNNNNNNNNNNNNNNNNNNNNNNNNNNNNNNNNNNNNNNNNNNNNNNNNNNNNNNNNNNNNNNNNNNNNNNNNNNNNNNNNNNNNNNNNNNNNNNNNNNNNNNNNNNNNNNNNNNNNNNNNNNNNNNNNNNNNNNNNNNNNNNNNNNNNNNNNNNNNNNNNNNNNNNNNNNNNNNNNNNNNNNNNNNNNNNNNNNNNNNNNNNNNNNNNNNNNNNNNNNNNNNNNNNNNNNUGUUGCUCCACCGACGUACUCCUUCCUCCUAUAUAUACCUACGUAUCCCCAAACGACCAUGUACGGAGACAAAACCCUAAUUCCACCGCCGAAACUUUCUGUAUCCACGAGAUUCCAUCUUGGCGCCUGUUCCGGAGCUCCGCCGGAGGGGGCAUCGAUUAUGGAGGGCUUCUACAUCAACACCAUAGCCUCUCCGAUGAAGUGUGCGUAGUUGACCUCAGACCUACGGGUCCAUAGUUAUUACCUAGAUGGCUUCUUCUCUCUUUUUGGAUCUCAAUACAAUGUUCUUCCCCUCUCUUGUGGAGAACUAUUCGAUGUAAUCUUCUUUUUGCGGUGUGUUUGUUGAGACCGAUGAAUUGUGGGUUUAUGAUCAAGUCUAUCUAUGAAUAAUAUUUGAAUCUUCUCUGAAAUAUUUUAUGUAUGAUUGGUUAUCUUUGCAAGUCUCUUCGAAUUAUCAGUUUGGUUUGGCCUACUAGAUUGAUCUUUCUUGCAAUGGGAGAAGUGCUUAGCUUUGGGUUCAAUCUUGCGGUGUCCUUUCCCAGUGACAGUAGGGGCAGCAAGGCACGUAUUGUAUUGUUGGCAUCGAGGACAACAAGAUGGGGUUUUCAUCAUAUUUUAUGAGUCUUUCCCACUACAUCAUGUCAUCUUACUUAAGGCGUUAAUCUGUAUUUAACUUAAUACUCUAGAUGCAUGCUGGAUAGCGGUCGAUGAGUGGAGUAGUAGUAGUAGAUGCAGGCAGGAGUCGGUCUACUUGUCUUGGACGUGAUGCCUAUAUACAUGAUCAUACCUAGAUAAUCUCAUAACUAUGCUCAAUUCUGUCAAUUGCUCAAUAGUAAUUUGUUCACCCACCGUAGAAUACUUAUGCUCUCGAGAGAAGCCACUAGUGAAACUUAUGGCCCCCGGGUCUAUCUUUAUCAUAUUAAUCUCCUACUACUUAGUUAUUUCCUAUGCUUUUUUACUUUGCCUUUAUUUUACUUUGCAUCUUUAACACAAAAAUACAAAAAAAUUAUCUUUAUCAUAUCUACCAAAUCUCACUCUCGUAAGUGGCCGUGUAGGGAUUGACAACCCCUAUUCGCGUUGGUUGCGAGGAUUUAUUUGUUUUGUGCAGGUACGAGGGACUGGCGCAUAGCCUCCUACUGGAUUGAUACCUUGGUUCUCAAAACCUGAGGGAAAUACAUACACUACUUUGCUGCAUCAUCCCUCACUCUUCGGGGAAAACCAACGCAGUGCUCAAGAGGUAGCAAGGGUUCCUUUUUGUCGACGAUCUGAUGUUUCAACCUUGUUUUCCAGGCGGCCAACGCGUCGCUAAACUUGGUCAUGGCGUGUUUUUUUAUCUUCUUCAUUGCCAGGUCCUUAUCUGGAUCUUUAUUAUCCUUUUCAUUACGGUCCGGGAACAAGAAUAUCUGGUGCAGCCUCUUUAGGAGGGAGGGCCUCAUAUUAUCUAUCUUCUGUAGUUUCCCAUCGUUGAUCGUGGCAGUUGUCCAUACAAUGCAACCUAUUUGAUUGCCGUAGCACGAUCGCGCUUCCUCAGGCGCUAUUGUCUCAAAAAUACCGUCGUCCAACUCCGUGACCACCAGUCUAGUACUCAGGAGCUGGUUUGGGCGCCGUGGCCUCUUUGCUUUCGGUUCUAGACCAACUCCGCUAGUCUCGGCGCCGGUCUCAGUCUCAUCGCCGGUCUGCAUGUCGGUAUCAGUCCCCGAUGCGACAACACAGUCGCUGCAACAUGGGUAAGGGAGACCUCCGCGCGUUUGUACAUAGGCACAGGGUGAAUCCCGGUGAGAGAUGGCCAUUGGCGCAUGCAAGUAGACGACGACGUCCCCGACGAAGAGCAGCCGGCCAGCUCGCCUCACUCUCCUUUGAUUAGAAAUGAAAGAUUGGGAAGAAGCAGACUGGAGCCUGCAGGGAAAGGAUAAGGUGACGAUGCAGUCUCCACUCGUUCGGGGCGACACACGUACUGAAUGUAUGAGAAACGUGACGUGGCAGAGACCCCAAGAUACUCCCUCCAUUUAUUUUUAGUCUGCAUAUAAAGUUUGGUCAAAGUCAAGAUUUGUAAAUUUUAACUAACUUUAUAAUAAAAAAAUAUCAACAUUCACAAUAUGAAAUCAAUAUUACCAGAUGUGUCAUGAAAUGUAUUUCCAUACUAUAUAGUUUUGGUAUUGUAGAUGUUCAUAUUUUUUAUAUAAAUGGGAAGUAGAGGCACUCUUGCAUAUAAUGAAGUUUAUAAUAUAUGUGCUUAUAUUGUACUACAAUUGUUUGAAUAGCUUAGCAUAUGUUCAGAUGUAUGAUAUCUGUAAUUUAAGCGCUUGAAUUUUACAUAUAAAUAUUUAUUAAUAAAUAUGUACCCCUAUAAUAGCUAGGCCGUGCAUUUGCACGGGUAGAUGACUAGUGAUUACAAUCUUGUUUGUGUGCAAGUCAAGCUUAUCUAGUUUACACGUAACAACUUGUAGAACGUUACAAAAUUUAUGCUUGCUAAUAACUUCUAGAACACUACAACACUUGACAUGUAAAAGGAAUUUGACGAGUCAUGGCCUACUAAAGCAAGUUACAUUACUAGUCUUAUCUAUCUUAACAGACCACACAAGAUUACAAACUAAGUACCGUGACAGCCAUGCUUAUCUAGUUUAUGCGUAACAAUUUGCAGAAAAUUACAAACUUAGUUUCAGAAAAAUAGGCAAUCUAGAUUAGUGUUUGAGCUGUAAAGUGAAUAAGAUGAGUCAUGCAUGUUAUCACACCUUUUUGGUGGUGGAAUGAUAGUGCAACAACAAGGAACUUUAAUGACCAGUCCAAGAAUACACUUGUAAGUAGUGCUACCAAACAGAACAUACCAAAUGAUGAUUUUUAGAAGCAUCCAAGCACUUUCCACACAAACAAAUGCCAAUUGUGAAAGAGAUCAUUCCAUGGCAGCUAUAAAUAGCCCCAUAGCAUGACGAUCAUCCUUCCUCAUCCAUCAUUCUUAUUAGUAGAGCGCAUCAUUUAAGCCAAGCAAGCUGUGGUCAAUACAAAUCCACCAUGAAGACCUUUCUCAUCCUUGCCCUCCUUGCUAUCGUGGCGACCACCGCCACAACUGCAGUUAGAGUUCCAGUGCCACAAUUGCAGCCACAACAUCCAUCUCAGCAACAGCCACAAGAGCAAGUUCCAUUGGUACAACAACAACAAUUUCUAGGGCAGCAACAACCAUUUCCACCACAACAACCAUAUCCACAGCCGCAACCAUUUCCAUCACAACAACCAUAUCUGCAACUACAACCAUUUCCGCAGCCGCAACUACCAUAUUCGCAGCCACAACCAUUUCGACCACAACAACCAUAUCCACAACCGCAACCACAGUAUUCGCAACCACAACAACCAAUUUCACAGCAGCAGCAGCAGCAGCAACAACAACAACAACAACAACAACAACAAAUCCUUCAACAAAUUUUGCAACAACAACUGAUUCCAUGCAUGGAUGUUGUAUUGCAGCAACACAACAUAGCGCAUGGAAGAUCACAAGUUUUGCAACAAAGUACUUACCAGCUGUUACAAGAAUUGUGUUGUCAGCACCUAUGGCAGAUCCCUGAGCAGUCGCAGUGCCAGGCCAUCCACAAUGUUGUUCAUGCUAUUAUUCUGCAUCAACAACAAAAACCACAACAACAACCAUCGAGCCAGGUCUCCUUCCAACAGCCUCUGCAACAAUAUCCAUUAGGCCAGGGCUCCUUCCGGCCAUCUCAGCAAAACCCACAGGCCCGGGGCUCUGUCCAGCCUCAACAACUGCCCCAGUUCGAGGAAAUAAGGAACCUAGCGCUACAGACGCUACCCGCAAUGUGCAAUGUCUACAUCCCUCCAUAUUGCACCAUCGCGCCAUUUGGCAUCUUCGGUACUAACUGAGAAGAAAAUAACUCUAGUACUAGAUAUAUGAAACACCGUUUUCUCAGUCCAUGGUUUGGUCGUUGUAGCGGUGAAAAAAUAAUGUGACAUGCACUAUCAGGUAAGAACCCGAACUAUACUAGUUCAAACUUGGGAAUAAAAGACAAACACAGGUCUUGUCUACAUAUUUAUGUUGCAUCUAUUUAUAUAUUAAAAGUAAUAUAAGGUGAACCAGGAGCAAGGUAAAUAUGCUAGAAAAUUGCACGUUAAUUAGAAAUUACUAGCCCUCGAUCUGAUAAAUCUUAACGAACAUAUAUAAUGCUCUGGGCCUCCAACGACUGUACGUGACACAUCUGAACGAACAUAUGUUAAAGAAAAUAUAUUUGGUAAAUGGUGGGCUUCUUUAAAAAGAGAACUCACGUACAUGCACCAACUAAGAAAAACACAUACAUGUAAACGGGAAAAGGAUGAGAUUUUCUCACGUACGUGCUCCCUGGCUCCACCCCGUUGAAAAAAUAUACAUCUGGAGGCCACUUUGUUUCCUCAUCAAAAAAACUUACGUUAAAAAGAUUGCAUGCAUCCCAGGGAAAAUAGUCAAGAAGAAGUCGGACUUUUCCUUACAAAAACAAGGAACGUGUUAAGUUGACUUCAAAGAAAAAAGGAACAUGUUAAGUUAAAAAAAAACAAGAAACCUGUUAAGUUAGAAAAAAAACAAGGAACGUGUUGUCCAAGGAAAGAGGAAGAAGAAAGUUGGUUUCAGUGAGUCAUGUGAAUUGUAGAAGAAAUAGGUAAACAAGGCUAGCUCCCCUGGGGGUUGUCAUAUUACAAUCAUUUGUAUUACUUUCCUACCAAUCCUGAACUAGCUAUGACCCUUAUAGCGAGCCUCACUUUACCGUUUCAGAUAGAAACAUAUGGCAGUACUGUACGUACUCGAGAGAAGUUGCUCCCUUCCAUGACAAGGACUAGUUAAGUUUCACUAUCUCCUUUCUCAACUCACUAUAUCCCAGCGGCGGAUUAAUAUAUAUACGUUGAAAAGCAAGGGGAUAAAUUGAACGAAAUGAAGAGCAAUCCAGAAUCCUAUUUUGUAUAUGUGUCAAAUCUUACAAAAAAAAAAGAAUACACACACGUACGUUCAUGCACUUGGAAAAUAGAAAAAAAAGGAACAUCACGUAUGUAUACACUUCGGAAACUCAUUACAUGACCAUGUCUGAUAUACUCCUCUAAUGCUUCAUAUUAGUGCCUAAUAAUUUAUAUUUAAAAUUCAAUUUACUGAUCAAAUAUCCCCACUGUUUAAAUUUUAAUUUGGCACAUUGUUUGGCUAUAGUAUGAACCUAAAUUUCCUCUUAUUAUUAUAUAUCAUGGUAAUAAUCCAAAGGCGACUAAUCUGCGCCGGCGCACCGGCGCAAUCAAUUCCGCUGGACACAGCGCGGCCGUUUGAUUAGAUUGCAUUUAACCGUCAGAUCUGGAAUCGUUUUCUUUCCAAUUAAACAGAUUCAACCAAACAGCAGAGGGGAAAACAAAGCAGCGCCGCCGCCAACACUAGCCAUGGACGACCGAUGUAGCAAAACCUUGAAGAACCGCCGCCGGUCGCCACCCUCGCUGCUGGUCGCCGCCCUCGCCGUCGGUCACCGCCGGUCGCCGCCCUCGCCGCACUCGUGGUUGCAGGCUUGCAUCUCCGCCUCCGGGGGACAUGGCCGCAUGUCCGGUAGCGCCGGCCGCCGGCCGGUGCACCUGUCGUUGUGGUCGCGCUGUACCUCGCCGUGUGCCCUCCCGUGGCUCUUGCUGGUUCCAACAAAAAACGAUACCGGUUGUAGCAAAAAAAUAUCGCUUCCAGCAAAAAAGCUUACCGCUACAGCCCGCCAUCGUCAUUGUAGCAAAAAUGUUAACCCGAUGUAGCUUCUGUGGUUGCCGACUGCAGCAAAAAAUGACAUGGUUGUAGCAAAACACAAAAGAAAAACGCCGGCCGGCCUCUGUGUAUGGUGGUAACAAACCCCAUAGCCGGUGGUAGCGAAAAACUUCAUAGUGCGCAGCAAAAAAAUGUUGUCACCCGUCGUCGAGGUUGCAUCAUCUUCAUGAAUUAUGUCGCAAAAAAACGUUGUCGCCGGUAGUAGCAAAUGAAGCCGCCGGUAGUAGCAAAACAAGACACUGGUUCCAGCCAAAAAAAAUCAGCGACAGAACCUUUGGUUGGUUCCAACAAAAAAACUUGUCGGUCGUAACAUCCCUCGCCGCCGGAUGUAGCAUCUCCCGGGGCUGGUUGCAACACUCCAUAAAAAAAAGUUGUCUAUGAGCGCAUCCAUGGUGACUGCUGCACCGUCAGCAACGAGGGGAAGAGGAGGCAAUGAAAAUCGUUCGAGUCAUAGCUCCACAGGACGCGGCUGCAGCAUGGGGAGUCCAAAAAUCUGUCACAAGCAACAUGCGCCUCGCCAUCCUCCUGCGCAGGAGAGAGAAGAAAAAGGAAUAAGAGGAAGAAGAAAGAAAACGGGAGAAAGAAAAAAGAAACGAUUGGUGGUUGGCUCAGGCAAUUAGUCAAGCGAGGGGCACGCGGGGCGCAGGAUACAGCGCAAUCGAACGAAGCGCGCGCGUCCGGCGAAGACUCGGCCGGACUGCCGGCUGGAAACGUUUCCCUAAUCCAAAGGCUUUAUCUGAAUGACAACUCGUCUGGGUUACCGGCUAACUAGAAAAAAGAUAAAUAUGCUAGAGAAUUUCAUAAUAAUUAGAAAUAUCUAGCCUUUAAUUAUGUAAAUCAGAAAAUCACAACCGUUGGAUUUACUUUAAAGGUAAAUUUCUCUAAAUUCCCACCAUUGCCAGUAUGUAGAAACAUGUGCUGCUUCAAUUCUCCCAUAAUCACCAAUCAAUCAACAACACAAAACAUACCUCAGUUAAAAAAACUGAACAAAAAAAAAGAAAAAAGAAGAAAGGACAAGAUACACGCAUGUACACGACAGCCUUGGCUUGAAACACAUCAGUAGAUCAAGUGUCCGCCUCCCUUACACAGAAUAAACUCAUAGGGAAGAAAAUAAUUGUGCAACCUAACCUUAUACGUACUAUUCUAUCCUCACGUCCCAUGAGGUUUACUAGCCUACCGCCGCCGCAUCAUGCCAUCCCCUCCUUUCAGCUCCCAUGCUUUCCAGCACCCUCAUUGCCGCGCCACUACUUGCCUAGGGAUAUUGCUGCUCAGACCGUGGAGCUUAACCUGCUUCUUCUUCAGCAAAUAUGGUACUGCUUUAGGAUCCUUCUCACAUCAGCACGUAUGGGCCUCAUUAUACUGCAGCUCCUGGACCUCCUACAAUUGGUUGGCUAUGGCCAGUUGAUCGAUGUGCCGAAGUCCAGGUCUGUUUGCUGGCACAUAUGCUUUGGAAAUAGGCCACUAUGUUUGUACUUCAAAAUUGUUUCUGUAUUCUUGAGUGGUACAUCCUUUUAAGCGCCAGUUUUUUAUGUCAAUUCAUGCUGACAACACUUAACCUAGCCUUUCAUCUUCACGUACUAAAUACAGGAGCAAGUAAAAACAACAGACCACCUAAUUGCUCUGCAUGUACUACAUAGGAAAAUUUGUCAUGUUCUACGAUCGCACCAUCCCACACUUCUCUCUUGGUAUGGGCGCCAAUUGAGGGAUUGAUAAAACUGAAACGAAGACGUCACGGGGCUGGAAGUACCGCUAGCCUGGUUUGCACUGCAACCUACUCAACGCCAUCAGAAACUAGCAACUGAGGCAGUUGUUGAUCGAUUCUCUCAAAUUGCUCUCAUGUAAGUACUACCCCUUGCAUGUGCGUACAUACCUUUGUUCCAUUCUCAAACAGAUAGAACAUUUAUGAUCGGUGCAUGGCUAUUUUUCAUCACAUGACAUCCAGAUAACAAGCAUGAAAGGACUACAUUGGAGAUCAAAAAAUAUUGGUUCCUGGCUAGAGGACCACUACCUAUGGACUUGUCUCCAUAGAAUUUGUUCCCAAGAUGUUAUUUUAAUUAACCUCUUUAGCUUUCUUCCAUUGCAAACGGUGAUGUGCAUCUUGGUAUAUACGUGACCAUCUUGCACAUGUAUACACAAGAGGCUCAGACGGAGGUGCUGGAUUCUGGACGAGGGAAUAUGAAGCAGCAGUGAGCGAAGAGUAAAUAAUGGUGGGAGUACCGAUUGGUGUUAUGAAGAAAAAUGCCAUCCAAAGAUUGAUUAGUGUCAUGGAAGAUUAAUUUCUGAAUGCGAAUAUAUAUGUUACAUUGGUUUGGAUCUUUUUGAGAUAAUUGCACAUAAAUUAGGUUCUUUCUUAUUUCAUAUGUAUACCUUAUUUCAGUAAAAGUUCACAACGAACUUAGUAGGACAAAUAUAAUUUUGUUUGUUCUUUCUGUUGUCCGCCACCAAAGCUCAAUUUGAACUCUCUAGAAAUGGACAAUGAUUUAUGCAUUCUAUAUCUUCUUGAUUCAUUAGCCAUGACAAGGAAAUAAAAGGAUUGACUGAUAUAGCAUAACUUUGGAACGAUCUGUUCGUAGAGGUUACUACAAAUUAGAGUAGUGUCUGCUGGAAUUUUGCCAGUAGGUCUUUGGCCCAAAGCCCAACUAAAAUUCUGAAAUUCUCUUGGCUCAUUUAUGCACACAUGUGAGUUGAGUGAGUGAGACUAAAGUUUAGUCCCACCCCGGAGUUGAGAGAGAGUUGCACCUCUUUAUAAGGUGAGCUCUUCUACCACUUGUAUGAGCAUGAGAAGAGGAGACCUACACGCGCGCUCCUCCUCCUCGCUCGCCACGCCUCGCCGCGCCGCGCCGCGGGUUGCGGGAUUGAGCCGAGCCGAGGACGUUGUCUAUAUUUUUGCUGCUCGGGAAAAAUUAAUGAGUCAUUAAUUAAUAAUUAAUGGACGCAUUAAUUACUGAACCGUUUCCGAUUUUUUUGGAUCGUGACGAAUCGGACGCGGGGUUUACUCCCAGGACCUACCCGGCCCGCACUAUAUAGUCAGGCAGACGUCUACCCUAGCCGCCGCCGCUUCAUAUGGUUUCUCACCAUCGUUACAGAUCAUUGCGCCACCAAGCAAGUUUUCUCCAUCCCUCCUUUCGGCGUGCACCGGGAGAAGGGAUAGCAGACCUCCGGAACCCCGCCUCUCGUGAUCCUGUACGGGAGAGGGGCGAUCAGGCUUUUGGGGAGCACACUCGCACUACUGUUGGCAGCGACGACUUCGCAAACGAGGACUUCUUCCCCGACCUCGGCAACCUCAUCCUCGACGACAUGGGCGACAACGUCAACGCCGGCGGUGCUACACCCACUGCACCGUAUGUUAUUCUCUCCUUCUUGUUCGAGGUCGUGGUAGAAUUCAAAGUAUAUGUGCCCUAGAUGUGAUCUGUUCAUCUACUAUGGUAGUUCGCAUGAUUAGUUUAAUCUCUGCUAUUGCUGUCAUGAUCUAUUUCCUAUUUAUUCGGAUUAAAUCUCGUAGUAAUUUGCUCAUUUUUCCAACAAUCCAAAAACCUGAUUAAUGGAAAUUUACUCCGAGUGGUUUUGCUGCGCAUCUGAAAGCCGCUUGCCUUUAAGGGGGCGCAAUAUAAGAGGUGGCUCACAAGAGUAGUCUACUGGUUUCAGAUCAUGGGCUGCUAUGACGCCACCAAGGGCAAGCCUGAGGGCGAUCUUAAUCCAGCACAGCUGGAUGCUAUGACAACGGCAAGAACACGUGGGCUACGCUCGAGGCCAAGUUUGGUGCCUCGGACGCCGGCAGCGAGUUGUACGUCAUGGAGCAAUUCUAUGACUCCAAGAUGACUGAUGAGCGCCCUGUUGUACAGCAGGCUCAUGAGAUACAGUUGCUCGCAAAAGAACUUGAGUACUUCAUGUUGGGGAACGUAGUAAUUUCAAAAAAAUUCCUACGCACACGCAAGAUCAUGGUGAUGCAUAGCAACGAGGGGGAGAGUCUGAUCUACGUACCCUUGUAGAUCGCAACGGAAGUGUUGACACAGCGUAGAGGAAGUAGUCGUACGUCUUCUUCCCGAUCCGACCGAUCCAAGCACCGUUACUCCGGCACCUCCGAGUUCUUAGCACACGUUCAGCUCGAUGACGAUCCCCGGGCUCCGAUCCAGCAAAGCUUCGGGGAGGAGUUCCGUCAGCACGACGGCGUGGUGACGAUCUUGAUGUUCUACCGACGCAGGGCUUCACCUAAGCACUACAACGGUAUGAUCGAGGUGGAAUAUGGUGGCAGGGGGCACCGCACACGGCUAAGGAACGAUCUCAAUGAUCAACUUGUGUGUCUAGAGGUGCCCCCUGCCCCCGUAUAUAAAGGUUGCCAGGGGGAGGGCUGGCCGGCCAAGCUAUGGAGGCGCAGGAGGAGUCCUACUCCUACCGGGAGUAGGACUCCCCCCAAUCCUAUUCCUAAUAGGACUCCCAAGUGGAAAGAGAGGGAGAGAGGUGGCCGGCCACCUCUCCUAGUCCUAAUAGGACUAGGGGAGGGGGGAGGCGUGCAGCCCACCUUGGGCUGCCCCUUUCACCUUGCCACUAAGGCCCAAUAAGGCCCAUUUGGUUCCCGGGGGGUUCCGGUAACCUCCCGGUACUCCGGUAAAAUCCCGAUUUCUCCCGAAACACUUCCGAUGUCCAAACAUAGGCUUCCAAUAUAUCAAUCUUGAUGUCUCGACCAUUUCGAGACUCCUCAUGAUGUCCGCGAUCACAUCCGGGACUCCGAACAACCUUCGGUACAUCAAAAUGCAUAAACUCAUAAUAACUGUCAUCGUAACGUUAAGCGUGCGGACCCUACGGUUCGAGAACAAUGUAGACAUGACCGAGACACGUCUCCGGUCAAUAACCAAUAGCGGGACCUGGAUGCCCAUAUUGGCUCCUACAUAUUCUACGAAGAUCUUUAUCGGUCAGACCGCAUAACAACAUACGUUGUUCCCUUUGUCAUCGGUAUGUUACUUGCCCGAGAUUCGAUCAUCGGUAUCCAAUACCUAGUUCAAUCUCGUUACCGGCAAGUCUCUUUACUCGUUCUGUAAUACAUCAUCCCGCAACUAACUCAUUAGUUGCAAUGCUUGCAAGGGUUGUAUAAUGUGCAUUACCGAGAGGGCCCAGAGGUACCUCUCCGACAAUCGGAGUGACAAAUCCUAUUCUCGAAAUACGCCAACCCAACAUCUACCAUUGGAAACACCUGUAGUACUCCUUUAUAAUCACCCAGUUACGUUGUGACGUUUGGUAGCACCCAAAGUGUUCCUCCGGCAAACGGGAGUUGCAUAAUCUCAUAGUCAUAGGAACAUGUAUAAGUCAUGAAGAAAGCAAUAGCAACAUACUAAACGAUCGGGUGCUAAGCUAAAGGAAUGGGUCAUGUCAAUCAGAUCAUUCAUCUAAUGAUGUGAUCCCAUUAAUCAAAUAACAACUCUUUGUCCAUGGUUCGGAAACAUAACCAUCUUUGAUUAACGAGCUAGUCAAGUAGAGGCAUACUAGUGACACUCUGUUUGUCUAUGUAUUCACACAUGUAUUAUGUUUCCGGUUAAUACAAUUCUAGCAUGAAUAAUAAAUAUUUAUCAUGAUAUAAGGAAAUAAAUAAUAACUUUAUUAUUGCCUCUAGGGCAUAUUUCCUUCAGUCUCCCACUUGCACUAGAGUCAAUAAUCUAGAUCACAUCACCAUGUGAUUAACAUCGAUAGUUCACAUCAUCAUGUGAUUAACACCCAUAGUUCACAUCGCCAUGUGACCAACACCCAAAGGGUUUACUAGAUUCAGUAAUCUAGUUCACAUUGCUAUGUGAUUAACACCCAAAGAGUACUAAGGUGUGAUCAUGUUUUGCUUGUGAGAGAAUCUUAGUCAACGGGUCUGCCACAUUCAGAUCCACAUGUAUUUUGCAAAUUUCUAUGUCAACAAUGCUCUGCAUGGAGCUACUUUAGCUAAUUGCUCCCACUUUCAAUAUGUAUCUAGACCGAGACUUAGAGUCAUCUAGAUUAGUGUCAAAACUUGCAUCGGCGUAACCCUUUACGACGAAUCUUUUUAUCACGUCCAUAAUCGAGAAACAUAUCCUUAUUUCACUAAGGAUAAUUCUGACCGAUGUCCAGUGAUCUACUCCUAGAUCACUAUUGUACUCCCUUGCCAAAUCAGUGCCGGGUAUACAAUAGAUUUGGUAUACAGCAUGUCAUACUUUAUAGAACCUAUGGCCAAGGCAUAGGGAAUGACUUUCAUUCUCUUUCUAUCUUCUGCCGUGGUUGGGCUUUGAGUCUUACUCAACUUCACACCUUAUAAUACAGGCAAGAACUCUUUCUUUGACUGCUCCAUUUUGAACUACUUCAAAAUCUUGUCAAGGUAUGUACUCAUUGAAAAAACUUAUCAAGCGUCUUGAUCUAUCUCUAUAGAUCUUGAAGCUCAAUAUGUAAGCAGCUUCACCGAAGUCUUUCUUUGAAAAACUCCUUUCAAACACUCCUUUAUGCUUUAUAGAAUAAUUCUACAUUAUUUCCGAUUAACAAUAUGUCAUUCACAUAUACUUAUCAGAAAUGUUGUAGUGCUACCACUCACUUUCUUGUAAAUACAGGCUUCACCGCAAGUCUGUAUAAAACUAUAUGCUUUGAUCAACUCAUCAAAGCAUAUAUUCCAACUCCGAGAUGCUUGCACCAGUCCACAGAUGGAUCGCUGGAGCUUGCACAUUUUGUUAGCACCUUUCGGAUUGACAAAACCUUCUGUUGCAUCAUGUACAACUCUUCUUUAAUAAAUCCAUUAAGGAAUGCAGUUUUGUUUAUCCCUUUGCCAGAUUUCAUAAAAUGCGGCAAUUACUAACAUGAUUCGGACAGACUCAAGCAUAGAUACGAGUGAGAAGCUCUCAUCGUAGUCAUCACCUUGAACUUGUCGAAAAACUUUUGCGACAAUUCUAGCUUUGUAGAUAGUAACACUACUAUCAGCGUCCGUCUUCCUCUUGAAGAUCCAUUUAUUCUCAAUUGCUUGCCGAUCAUCGGGCAAGUCAACCAAAGUCCAAACUUUGUUCUCAUACAUGGAUCAUAUCUCAGAUUUCAUGGCCUCAAACCAUUUCGCGGAAUCUGGGCUCAUCAUCGCUUCCUCAUAGUUCGUAGGUUCGUCAUGGUCAAGUAACAUGACCUCCAGAACAGAAUUACCGUACCACUCUGGUGCGGAUCUCACUCUAGUUUACCUACGAGAUUCCGUAGUAACUUGAUCUGAAGUUACAUGAUCAUCAUCAUUAGCUUCCUCACUAAUUUGUGUAGUAGUCACAAGAACAGAUUUUUGUGAUGAACUACUUUCCAAUAAGGUAGAAGGUACAAUUACCUUAUCAAGUUUUCUACUUUCCUCCCACUUACUUCUUUCAAGAGAAACUCCUUCUCUAGAAAGGAUCCAUUAUAAGCAACGAAUGUCUUGCCUUAGGAUCUGUGAUAGAAGGUGUACCCAACAGUCUCCUUUGGGUAUCCUAUGAAGACAUAUUUCUCCGAUUUGGGUUUGAGCUUAUCAGGAUGAAACUUUUUCUCAUAAGCAUCGCAACCCCAAACUUCAAGAAACGACAACUUUGGUUUCGUGCCAAACCAUAGUUCAUAAGGCGUCGUCUCGACGGAUAUAGAUGGUGCCCCUUUUUUUAACGUGAAUGCAGCUGUCUCUAAUGCAUGACCCCAAAAACGAUAGUGGUAAAUCGGUAAGAAACAUCAUAGAUUGCACUAUAUCCAAUAAAGUACGGUUAUGGCGUUCGGACACACCAUUAUGCUGUGGUGUUCCAGGUGGCGUGAGUAGUGAAACUAUUUCACAUUGUUUUAACUGAAGACCAAACUUGUAACUGAAAUACUCUUUUCCACGAUCAGAUCGUAGAAACUUUAUUUUCUUGUUACGAUGAUUUUCCACUUCACUCUGAAAUUCUUUGAACUUUUCAAAUGUUUCCGACUUAUGUUUUAUCAAAUAGAUAUACUCAUAUCUGCUCAAAUCAUCUGUGAAGAUCAGAAAAUAAUGAUACCUAUCGCGAGCCUCAAUAUUCAUCGGACCACAUACAUCAGUAUGUAUGAUUUCCAACAAAUCUGUUGCUCGCUCCAUUGUUCAGAAGAACAAAGUCUUAGUCAUCUUGCCCAAAAGGCAUGGUUCGCAAGCAUCAAGUGAUUCCGAAAGCCCAUCAGCAUGGAGCGCUUUAUACCAAUAUGACCUAAACGGCAGUGCCACAAAUAAGUUGCACUAUCAUUAUUAACUCUGCAUCCUUUGGUUUCAAUAUUAUGAAUAUGUGUAUCACUACGAUCGAGAUCCAACGAACUUGUUUCAUUGGGUGUAUGACCAUCGAAGGUUUUAUUCAUGUAAACAGAACAACAAUUAUUCUCUGACUUUAAUGAAUAACCGUAUUGCAAUAAAUAUGAUCAAAUCAUAUUCAUGCUCAACGCAAAAACCAAAUAACACUUAUUUAAGUUCAACACUAAUCCCGAAAGUAUAGGGGAGUGUGCGAUGAUGAUCAUAUCAAUCUUGGAACUACUUCCAACACACAUCGUCACUUCACCCUUAACUAGUCUCUAUUUAUUCUGCAACUCCUGUUUUGAGUUACUACUCUUAGCAACUGAACCAAUAUCAAAUACUAAGGGGUUGCUAUAAACACUAGUAAAGCACACAUCAAUAACAUGUAUAUCAAAUAUACUUUUGUUCACUUUGCCAUCCUUCUUAUCCGCCAAUCACUUGGGGUAGUUCCGCUUCUAGUGACCAGUCCCUUUGCAGUAGAAGCACUUAGUCUCAGGCUUAGGAUCAGACUUGGGCCUCUUCACUUGAGCAGCAACUUGCUUGCCGUUCUUCUUGAAGUUCCCCUUCUUCCCUUUGCCCUUUUCUUGAAACUAGUGGUCUUGUCAACCAUCAACACUUGAUGUUUUUCUUGAUUUCUACCUUCGUUUAUUUCAGCAUCACGAAGAGCUUGGGAGUUGUUUCUGUUAUCCCUUGCAUAUUAUAGUUCAUCACGAAGUUCUACUAACUUGGUGAUGGUGACUAGAGAAUUCUGUCAAUCACUAUCUUAUCUGGAAGAUUAACUCCCACUUGAUUCAAGCGAUUUUAGUACCCAGACAAUCUGAGCACAUGCUCACUAGUUGAGCGAUUCUCCUCCAUCUUUUAGCCAUAGAACUUGCUGGAAACUUCAUAUCUCUCAACUCGGGUAUUUGCUUGAAAUAUUAACUUCAACUCUUGGAACAUCUCAUAUGGUCUAUGACGUUCAAAACGUCUUUGAAGUCCCGAUUCUAAGCCAUUAAGCAUGGUGCACUAAACUAUCAAGUAGUCAUCAUAUUGAGCUAGCCAAACGUUCAUAACGUCUGCAUCUGCUCCUGCAAUAGGUUUGUCACCUAGCGGUGCAUCAAGGACAUAAUUCUUCUGUGCAGCAAUGAGGAUAAAACUCAGAUCACGGAUCCAAUCCGCAUCAUUGCUACUAACAUCUUUCAACACAAUUUUCUCUAGGAACAUAUCAAAAUAAACACAGGGAAGCAACAACGCGAGCUAUUGAUCUAUAACAUGAUUUACAAAAUACUACCAGGACUAAGUUCAUGAUAAAUUUAAGCUCAAUUAAUCAUGUUACUUAAGAACUCCCACUUAGAUAGACAUCCCUCUAAUCCUCUAAGUGAUCACGUGAUCCAAAUCAACUAAACCAUAACCGAUCAUCACGUGAAAUGGAUUAGUUUUCAAUGGUGAACAUCAUUAUGUUGAUGAUAUCUACUAUAUGAUUCACGCUCGACCUUUCGGUCUCCGUGUUCCGAGGCCAUAUCUUUAUAUGCUAGGCUCGUCAAGUUUAACCUGAGUAUUCUGCGUGUGCAAAACUGGCUUGCACCAGUUGUAGAUGGACGUAGAGCUUAUCACACCCGAUCAUCACGUGGUGUCUGGGCACGACGAACUUUGGCAACGGUGCAUACUCAGGGAGAACACUUCUUGAUAAUUUAGUGAGAGAUCAUCUUAUAAUGCUACCGUCAAUCAAAGCAAGAUAAGAUGCAUAAAAAGAUAAACAUCACAUGCAAUCAAUAUAAGUGAUAUGAUAUGGCCAUCAUCAUCUUGUGCUUGUGAUCUCCAUCUCCGAAGCACCGUCAUGAUCACCAUCGUCACCGGCGCGACACCUUGAUCUCCAUCGUAGCAUCGUUGUCGUCUCGCCAAUCUUAUGCUUCCACGACUAUCGCUACCGCUUAGUGAUAAAGUAAAGCAUUACAUCGCGAUUGCAUUGCAUACAAUAAAGCGACAACCAUAUGGCUCCUGCCAGUUGCCGAUAACUCGGUUACAAAACAUGAUCAUCUCAUACAAUAAAAUUUAGCAUCAUGCCUUGACCAUAUCACAUCACAACAUGCCCUGCAAAAACAAGUUAGACGUCCUCUACUUUGUUGUUGCAAGUUUUACGUGGCUGCUACGGGCUUAAGCAAGAACUCAUCUCACCUACGCAUCAAAACCACAACGAUAGUUUGUCAAAUAGAUUCCGUUUUAACCUUCUCAAGGACCGGGCGUAGCCACACUUGGUUCAACUAAAGUUGGAGAGACAGUCGCCCGCAAGCCAUCUAUGUGCAAAGCACGUCGAGGGAACCGGUCUCGCGUAAGCGUACGCGUAAGGUUGGUCCGGGUCGUCUCGUCCAACAAUACCGCCGAACCAAAGUAUGACAUGCUGGUAGGCAGUAUGACUUGUAUCGCCCACAACUCACUUGUGUUCUACUCGUGCAAAUAAUAUCAAACCAUAAAACCUAGGCUCGGAUGCCACUGUUGGGGAACGUAGUAAUUUCAAAAAAUUUCCUACGCACACGCAAGAUCAUGGUGAUGCAUAGCAACGAGGGGGAGAGUCUGAUCUACGUACCCUUGUAGAUCGCAACGGAAGCGUUGACACAACGUAGAGGAAGUAGUCGUACGUCUUCUUCCCGAUCCGACCGAUCCAUGCACCGUUACUCCGGCACCUCUGAGUUCUUAGCACACGUUCAGCUCGAUGACGAUCCCCGGGCUCCGAUCCAGCAAAGCUUCGGGGAGGAGUUCCGUCAGCAUGACAGCGUGGUGACGAUCUUGAUGUUCUACCGACGCAGGGCUUCGGCUAAGCACUACAACGGUAUGGUCGAGGUGGAAUAUGGUGGCAGGGGGCACUGGACACGGCUAAGGAACGAUCUCAAUGAUCAACUUGUGUGUCUAGAGGUGCCCCUACCCUCGUAUAUAAAGGUUGCCAGGGGAGGGCUGGCCGGCCAAGCUAUGGAGGCGCAGGAGGAGUCAAACUCCUACCGGGAGUAGGACUCCCCCCCCCCAAUCUUAUUCCUAAUAGGACUCCCAAGGGGAAAGAGAGGGAGAGAGGUGGCCGGCCACCUCUCCUAGUCCUAAUAGGACUAGGGGAGGGGGGAGGCGCGCAGGCCACCUUGGGCUGCCCCUUUCACCUUUCCACUAAGGCCCAAUAAGGCCCAUUUGGUUCCCGGGGGUUCCGGUAACCUCCCGGUACUCCGGUAAAAUCCCGAUUUCUCCCGGAACACUUCCGAUGUCCAAACAUAGGCUUCCAAUAUAUCAAUCUUUAUGUAUCGACCAUUUCGAGACUCCCCGUCAUGUCCAGGAUCACAUCCGGGACUCCGAACAACCUUCGGUACAUCAAAAUGCAUAAACUCAUAAUAACUGUCAUCGUAACGUUAAGCGUGCGGACCCUACGGUUCGAGAACAAUGUAGACAUGACCGAGACACGUCUCCGGUCAAUAACCAAUAGCGGGACCUAGAUGCCCAUAUUGGCUCCUACAUAUUCUACGAAGAUCUUUAUCGGUCAGACCGCAUAACAACAUACGUUGUUCCCUUUGUCAUCGGUAUGUUACUUGCCUGAGAUUCGAUCGUCGGUAUCCAAUACCUAGUUCAAUCUCGUUACCGGCAAGUCUCUUUACUCAUUCUGUAAUACAUCAUCUCGCAACUAACUCAUUAGUUGCAAUGCUUGCAAGGCUUGUAUAAUGUGCAUUACCGAGAGGGCCCAGAGGUACCUCUCCGACAAUCGGAGUGACAAAUCCUAUUCUCGAAAUACGCCAACCCAACAUCUACCAUUGGAAACACCUGUAGUACUCCUUUAUAAUCACCCAGUUACAUUGUGAUGUUUGGUAGCACCCAAAGUGUUCCUCCGGCAAACGGGAGUUGCAUAAUCUCAUAGUCAUAGGAACAUGUAUAAGUCAUGAAGAAAGCAAUAGCAACAUACUAAACGAUCGGGUGCUAAGCUAAUGGAAUGGGUCAUGUCAAUCAGAUCAUUCAUCUAAUGAUGUGAUCCCAUUAAUCAAAUAACAACACUUUGUCCAUGGUUAGGAAACAUAACCAUCUUUGAUUAACGAGCUAGUCAAGUAGAGGCAUACUAGUGACACUCUGUUUGUCUAUGUAUUCACACAUGUAUUAUGUUUCUGGUUAAUACAAUUCUAGCAUGAAUAAUAAAUAUUUAUCAUGAUAUAAGGAAAUAAAUAAUAACUUUAUUAUUGCCUGUAGGGCAUAUUUCCUUCACUUCAAGUGUGUGUUGCCGAACAAAUUUGUUGCCGGAGGCAUCAUUGCCAAGCUUCCACCUUCGUGGAACAAUUUUGCUACUUCCCUGAAACACAAGAGACAGGAGUUUUUCGUUGCGGAUCUCAUUGGUACUCUUGAUGUUGAAGAGAAGGCGAGAGCAAAGGAUACACGUGCUCGAGUUGCUGAGGGAGGUUCUAGUGCCCACAUGGUACAGAAGAAGAUCUUCCAGCCCAACAAGUUCAAAAACAACAAGAACAAAACUUAGGGCAAAGGCAAGUUUGAUACAAAGAACAAGCCAUCACAUUCUACCAACUUCAAGAAGAACUCUCAUAAGAAGGGGAAGGGACUUUGCCAUGUCUGCGGUGAUCCUAAUCACUGGGCUCCGAAGUGUCCUAACCGCUUUGAGGAGCGCGAACAUGAGAAGAGCGGCAAGUCUGCUAAUGUUGUCAUCGGUGAUACUGAUAUGAAGGAAUCAGGGUACGGUAUUUUUCCUACCAUCCUUUCAGUAUUCCAAAUCCCUGAUUGGUUAAUUGACAUCGGUGCCAAUGUACAUGUUUGUGCUGAUGCCUCCAUGUUUUCUUCUUACCAGGCCACUUGGACUUCUCCUGUGCUGAUGGGGAACGGGUCACAUGCCAUCGUUCGAGGUGUUGGUGCGGUCAAUCUGAAGUUUACUUCGGGGAAGACCGUGCGUCUGAAGAACGUUCAUCAUGAGCCGUCCAUCAAUAAAAAUCUCGUUAGCGGUUCCCGUUUAUGUCGAGAUGGUUUUAAGUUGGUUUUCGAAUCCAAUAAAGUUAUAAUUUCUAAGUAUGGACAAUUUGUUGGAAAAGGCUAUGAGAGCGGAGGCUUGUUUCGCCUGUCUUUGUCAGAUAUUUGCACUAAAGUUAUUAAUAAUGUUUGCCACAACAAUGAGUCUGAUAUUUGGCAUUCACGACUUUGUCACAUUAACUUUGGUUGCAUGACCCGGCUAGCCAAUAUGAAUUUAAUUCCGAAAUCUCUACUGUCAAAGGCUCUAAGUGCCAAGUAUGUGUGAAAGCUAAGCAACCUCGCAAAUCCCAUAAGACUGCAGAGGCGACAGACUUGGCGCCACUAGAGCUUAUACAUUCUGAUAUUUGUGAGAUGAAUGGCGUGUGGACAAAAGGUGGAAAGAGAUACUUCAUGACGUUGAUUGAUGACUCCACUAGAUAUUGUUAUGUGUAUCUUAUGAAAUCAAAAGAUGAGGCUUUGGCUUUCUUCAAAAACUAUAAAGCUGAGGCAGAGAACCAACUUGAUCGAAAAAUUAAACGGCUUAGGUCCGAUCAUGGUGGAGAGUAUUUUUCCAAUGAAUUUGAUCUAUUUUGUGCGGAACAUGGUAUAAUCCAUGAGAGGAUGCCUCCCUACUCACCCCAGUCAGAUGCGGUAGCCGAAAGAAAGAACCAAACUCUAACUGAUAUGGUUAACACCAUGUUAGACACUUCGGGUCUAUCCAAGGAAUGGUGGGGGGAGGCGCUAAUGACUGCGUGUCAUGUCCUAAACCGAGUUCCCACAAAGCAUAAGACCAUGACUCCAUUUGAGGAAUGUUAAAGGAAAAGGUUGAAACUCUCUUACCUACGUACUUGGGGUUGUUUGGCGAAAGUCAAUAUACCAAUUCCCAAGAAGCGCAAGCUUGGACCAAAAACCGUGGGUUGUGUUCUUCUUGGGUAUGCUUUUCAUAGCAUCGGCUAUAGAUUUUUGAUAAUAAAAUCUGAGGUAUCCGACAUGCAUGUUGGUACGAUUAUGGAGUCGAAUGAUGCAACUUUCUUUGAGGACAUAUUUCCUAUGAAGGAUAUGUUGAGUUCAUCAAAUCAGGAGACACCUACUCCACCUAGUGAGGAAUUCACUGUAAUUCCUGAACCCACCAUUGCGAUGGAACACAUAGAGAAUCCUGUUGAGGGUGACAAUGGAACUCCUGUGAGGAGUAAGAGACAUAGGACUACAAAGUCCUUUGGUGAUGAUUUCAUUGUGUACCUCGUGGAUGACACACCCAGGACUAUUUCAGAAGCCUGUGCAUCUCUUGAUGCUGACUACUGGAAGGAAGCUGUACAUAGCGAGAUGGAUUCCAUCUUAGGUAACAGAACCUGGGAGAUCACUGACCGUCCUUAUGGGUGAAAACCUGUAGGAUGUAAGUGGGUGUUCAAGAAGAAGCUUAGACCUGAUGGUACGAUUGAAAAGUACAAGGCACGGCUUGUGGCCAAGGGUUAUACCCAGAAAGAAGGUGAAGACUUCUUUGAUACUUACUCACCCGUGGCUAGAAUGACCACAAUUUGGGUGCUACUAUCACUUGUUGCCUCACAUGGUCUUCUCGUUCAUCAAAUGGACGUUAAGACAGCUUUCCUCAAUGGAGAGUUGAAGGAGGAAAUUUACAUGGAUCAGCCAGAUGGUUUUGUAGUACCUGGUUAGUAAGGAAAGUUGUGCAAGUUAUUAAAGUCUUUAUAUGGCCUUAAACAAGCUCCUAAAGAGUGGCAUGAGUAGUUUGAAAGAACAUUAACUGCUGCCGGCUUUGUAGUAAACGAUGGUGACAAGUGCGUGUACUAUCGCUAUGGUGGUGGCGAAGGAGUUAUUCUUUGUCUGUAUGUCGACGACAUAUUGAUCUUUGGAACGAAACUUGAUUUAAUCAAGGAGGUUAAGGAUUUCUUAUCUCGCUAUUUUGAGAUGAAGGAUCUAGGAGUAGUUGAUGUUAUCUUAAACAUCAAGCUGUUGAGAGAUGAGAAUGAUGGGAUCACACUGCUUCAGUCUCACUAUGUGGAAAAGGUCUUGAGUCGUUUUGGGUAUAGCGACUGCACACCUUCUCCAACUACAUAUGAUGCUAGCAUGUUGCAUCGAAAGAAUCGACGGAUUGCUAGAGAUCAACUGAGGUAUUCUCAUAUUAUUGGCUCGCUUAUGAUUUGGCGAGUGCCACGAGGCCAAACAUCUCGUUUGCUGUUAGCAAGCUGAGUCGAUUUGUGUCAAAACUAGGAGAUGAUUAUUGGCAUGCGCUUGAGAGAGUUAUGCGCUAUUUGAAAGGCACCGCGAGCUAUGGGAUUCACUACACCGGGUAUCCAAGGGUACUGGAGGGUUAUAGUGACUCAAACUGGAUAUCUGAUGCUAAUGAGAUUAAGGCCACAAGUGGUUAUGUUUUUACACUUGGUGGUGGCGCUGUUUCUUGGAAGUCCUGCAAGCAGACCAUCUUAAUGAGGUCAACUAUGGAAGCAGAACUCACAACAUUAGAAACUGCUACUGUUGAAGCAGUGUGGCUUCGUGAGCUCUUGAUGGACUUUCCUAUGGUUGAAAAACCAAUACCCCCUAUCCCAAUGAACUGUGAUAAUCAAACUGUGAUCGUCAAGAUAAACAGUUCUAAGGACAAUAUGAAGUCCUCAAGGCAUGUGAAGAGGAGACUGAAAUCUGUUAGAAAAUUGAGGAACUCCGGAGUUAUUACGUUGGAUUAUAUCCAAACGUCAAAAAAAUUGGCAGAUCCCUUCACAAAGGGUCUAUCACGUAAUGUGAUAGAUAAUGCAUCGAUGGAGAUGGGUUUGAGACCCACCGCAUGAGUUGUCCAUAGUGGUAACCCACUCUUUGUGAUCGGAGAUCCCGUGAAGUAGAAGUGGGAGACAAGCUGUUGGUCAGCUGGGAGGAGAGUAUCCCUAUAUUACCUGUCCCACUCCAUGAAGAUGCAACACUCUCCUAAUCUGCAUGGCAGGUUGAUACUUAUCUUAAUGUGUUCCAAGUGGCUUAUUCGGGUAAGCAGAGAUGUUGUCCUGCGGAACAUCUUCUGAGGAACACACCUAUAUGAAUUUGAUUGUUAACGUCGCAGUCUGUGAGAAUUGGGUGUUCUCUAAUAAAUUCAUGAAAAGGCCCUGGAGUAUGACGUAUAAGCUCCACCCGCAGGGAAGCCUUGCGGCAGCCCAGUAUCGGUCAAGAAUUUGUGUGAAACUAGUCUCGCAGAAAAUUUGUAGUUCAAGGCAUAGUCCACUAUUCAAGUUGUGAUCUAGUGUAGCAUAAAUCUCUAAGUGGAAGUUCAACUUCAAAGUCUCCACUAAGCCCCGGUAUAUAAACAAUGUUUUGGAACUAAAUGAUGAGAUGUGCCAAUGAGACUUUGUGGGGGAUUGUUGGAAUUUUGCUAGUAUGCCUUUGGCCCAAAGCCCAACUAAAAUUCUGAAAUUCUCUUCGCCCAUUCAUGCACACAUGUGAGUGGAGUGAGUGAGACUAAAGUUUAGUCCCACCCCGGAAGUUGAGAGAGAGCACCUCUUUAUAAGGUGAGCUCUUCUACCACUUGUAUGAGCAUGAGAGUAGGAGACCUACACACGCGCUGCUCCUCCUCGCUCACCACGCCACGCCUGGUCACGACGCGCCGCGGGUUGCGGGAUUGAGCCGAGCCGAGGUCAGAGCUAUGCACGUUGUCUAUUUUUUGCUACCCCGGAAAAUUAAUGAGUCAUUAAUUAAUAAUUAAUGGACGUGUUAAUUACUAAACCGUUUCCGAUUCUUUUGGAUCAUGACGACUCGGACGUGGGGUUUACUCCCACGACCUACCAGGCCCGCACUAUAUAGUCCGGCAGACGUGUACCCUAGCUGUCGCCGCUUCGUAUGGUUUCUCACCACCGUUCCAGAUCAUUGCGUCGCCAAGCAAGUCUUCUCCAUCCCUCCUUUCGGCGUGCACCGGGAGAAGGGACAGCAGGCCUCCGGAACCCCGCCUCUCGUGAUCCUGUAUGGGAGAGGGGCGAUCAGGUUUUUGGGGAGCGCACUCGCGCGACUUCUGGCAGCGACGACUUCGCGAAUGACGACUUCUUCCCUGACCUCGGCAACCUCAUCCUCGACGACAUGGGCGACAACGUCAACGCCGGCGGUCCUGCACCCGCUGCACCGUAUGUUAUUCUAUCCUUCUUGUUCGAGAUCGUGGUAGAAUUCAGGUUUCUAGUAUAUGCCCUAGAUGUGAUCUGUUCAUCUACUAUGCUAGUUCGCAUGAUUAGUUUAAUCUCUGCUAUUGCUGUCAUGAUCUAUUUCCUAUUUAUUCGGAUUAAAUCUCGUAGUAAUUUGCUCAUUUUUCCAAUAGUACCAUCUAAUAGAUGAUGUAAAUCUCCUCUAGUUUGACGUUGUUGAGCUAAUUUACAAAAAAAAAACCUCAUCAUUAUUGGACGUCCUUAACAGCUCAAGAACAAGUUGGGGUCGAACUAAUGGAUUUUACACUUUUACAUUAAAGGUUUAGCUAAAGCUAGCAGGUGUUUUUAAACCUGAAUUUUUUUUUCCUCCUGAAUUUCUUUGUAUUUUCUUAUUGACACUAUUUAUACAAUCAUCUGACAAAGAUUAGCUAAAGAUGUUUGUAGAUACGUUGAAACCUGAAAAGCUUCUUUGGUUAUCCUUUUAAUAGUUCUACGUUUAAUUUCUCAUAGGUCAUAAUUCUUAUGUAAUACCAAGAUGCAUUGUGGUAGUGUACAUGUGUUCAAUUCAGGUUGUUAUUCACAAUUUGCGACAAAAUUUAGCUCACGCUACAUUUAAAUAUGUUGAAAUGUGAAUGCUCUUUUUCUUCUCCUUUCUACACCUUGCAUCGGAUUGCAUCCCUUUAGUUAUCCAACAUUUUGUACAACAUGUAGAGAUUAGGAAGUUCAUCAUAGUUUGUCUAUUUCCGUGCUAAUAAAUGUAUGAAAUCUGCAUUUCCAAGCUACUAGGACAAGUAAAAAAUAAUAAUUUUACUAUAGGAUUCAAAAACAGCAGUUCUGAAGUGCACUUUAUUUAUUUUUGAAAGUGAUCACAUUUUGUUUCAUUUUUCUAUAGACAAAUCUACUAAUACAUACUCACGAUAAAACUAUAAAAAUUCUAGUCCGCACAUUGGGCGGGCCACCCGGCUAGUUAGUCUAAAGAUAACAAAAUGAGUCUGGAAUUUGAAUUAAAUUGAAGUAUUUUCUUGGACUUUCAAAUUAAGUUUUAUUAAAGUAGUAAGGACUAUCCACAUCCUUGGCUUGCCCCUGAUCAAUUAUUUCCAGAGAAGCAUUCGAUUCAUCAAUCAAUUACAUUGAUUUUAGUGGCUGGUACUUCUCCUCAACAUCAGUAUAUUCACCGUGGCCACUCCAAAUCGGCAAGAAUGAGGUACCAGUGCUCUGCAGCAGUGCAAGCUAAUUGCUUCUCAUGUGAAGGGGUGCGGGCGCAGGAGAGGUAUUUCUGGUGGGCCAAGGGACUAAGAAGCGACUGUGGCAGCGGUAUAGAUGCCCGCAAAGCCCCAUAGUUUGUUUUUCGUUUACAGGAAAAAUGCACAUCCAUACCAACCUUGGGAAUAUAGGACCGUAUUGGAUGGAAAACCAUGUCCGGAUGGUUGCGAGCGGUUUGAGGGUUAGCUUUUGUAACGCCCGGUUAGUUAUGCUAUAGCAAUUCCCUGCUAAUGAUGUCACGUCACCACGAUUACUAUUGUUAACCUCACAAUGAUUCAAUCCCCUUCAAAUUCAAAUUUAAAAUAAAGGUAAACAUCAAAAGUUUUCAAACAUUAAAACUAAAAUCUUUGAGAGGUGACAAAUAAUGCAUAAGUAAUUAUGGUGGAGAAACCACACUUUAAUCAAAUGUUUAAAUACUCUAAAAUGAAAAAAACAGUUGCUUAAACUAUUAUUUAAAUGCUUUUAAAAUAGUAAAAAUCUUCUAACUAAAUUAUUUGGGUACCAAACUUUUGGUGGCAGUGGUAUAUUUAGUAGAAUUAAUUUAGAUGCUAAUUAUAUAAUUUACAAAAUUAGAGUAAAUUGAAAAAUAGGAUAAAACGGAAAAGGAAAGACAAAACAAAUAAAAGCAAAAGGGGCCAACCCCUCGCUGGGCCUCGACCUAGCUGCCACUAGGCUAGCUAGGCUGGCCCCGGCGCCUCCCUUAACCCCCCCCCCCACUCCCCAUCGAACCCAAGCCCGAUCGCCCCACUUCCCCCACACCCCCUCGCCAGCCUCCCCACCUCUUGAUCCCAUCUGGAUCGGGGAGGGUAUUGCCCCCAUCGACCCCGUUGCCGUCGCCGGAUUGCCCGCCGAUGUCGCCAGGCCUCCUCCCCGCCGCCCGUCUCCGGCUCGCCUCCCCUCUCGCUCCUCUUCCCCGACCCGAUCUAGAUCGUGAACGAGCAAUGAGCUCGAAGCCCCCUUCACCGGCGCCAUCACCGUGCGCCACCACCACCGCCUGAGGACCUCACCGUCGCCGAAUCUAGCGUCGCCUCCUCGUAUCCCUCCCCUACUCGCGUCCUCAAGCCAGGACGAGCCCCUUCUCGGCAACGCUGUGAGACGCCCCCGUUUCCCUCCUCUUUCCACCGCGUUCAUCGCGCCGCCCGCCGUGCCCCUCGCCGUGCGCACGCCCACCACCGCACCAGCCCCCGCUCCGCGCACGACCCUACCCGCGCCCGCGCCAUGAUCCCCUUUUCCGCCCUACCUUCCUGCGCUCGCCGCGGUCCCGAUGCUCCCCCGCGCCCUCUUUCGGGGGCGCCGACCUCCCCUGUCCCGCUGCUCGGCGCCGUGCCUCGCAAUCGCUCUACUGCUAAGUUACUACUGCGCUGCGGCCGUCGCCUCUUCCUUCUGCUCCGCUAGCGCCGAAGCUCCCGAUUGGCUCCACCACUUCUCACGUUAAACCGCCGGCCUAAAUGGCCUAACCCCGGGCUAAUGAACCCCCACUAACCCACUGACACCGGGACCCACAUUCCCUAAUUAACCAUUUAAUAAAUUAAAACUCUUAAAUUAACAUUAGUGUAUGACAUGUGCGUCCCCUAUUAAUUAAUAAUUUUACUGCUAGUUUUCUUAGUUUCUGUUUUUCUGCAUAUUUCUUUUGUAUUUGAACAGGCUUUAUACAAUAAUAUUUAGCGUCUCAUACACAUACAAAUGUAAUUAUAGCAUAUACAUACAAAUAGUCUCAUCAAAUCAUGUGAUCAUCAUAAUCAUCAUCCAUCACAAAGUGAUCUCUCGUCAUCAUCUCGAAAAUAGCGAUACUAGUCUCGAUUACUUGCAACUACAUCGUCAUCCAUCUAAACAAUGAUAUACGCGAGAAGAGCUAUCACUAUGAGUGAGAGCGGAACUAUGCAGUACAUGAGUUUGUAUCCCUCUCUCACAUUAGCGUGAACCUAAACUAACUACUGGCUGUUGCUCGGAAACCGGAAAACGGUACACCUGGGCCUGACACUCCGGCCACUCGUCGUAUACUCCUGGCGUAGCACUUCUUCGCCAUCGAUGAUCUAUGCACCUGCAUCGUCACAUGAGUCGAUGAUAUGCAACAUAUAUAGUUGAGCAACAGAAAGAGACAGACGUGGCAAAAGUAGAAGCAACAUAUCAUAAGCAUAAAUAACAAAGCUCAUCGUACGCAAAAUGCCCUAACUAGAGUGAUCUGCGCUAGUCAAGGAGGACGGUUUAAUUACAUCACAAAUAAUGUUUCGUCGUGCAUUACUCAAAGUUCCGUCAUACAGAAAGUAUGAACUAAAUGGACACAUUGUCAUAUUUCGAAAAUCACUCCCACAUGUCGUGCCAUCCAUCCAAGUCAAGGAGAUAGUGCCCGAGCUUAGUGAAAGGCUUUAGGUCAAGAUGCUGAGUGGCUACGCGUGUUCGGACGUCUUCCCACGACAUUUGUCCUUCUUCAUAGAACAUCCCUGUUUUUUCGACGACCUCCUUCAUCACUAGAAGAAAAAGGGCCUGUUGUCCCGGUUCUGGAACCGGGACUAAAGGGUCGGUACUAAUGCCCUGUCCCUUUAGUCCCGGUUCAAUCCAGAACCGGGACAGAUGGGCCUCCACGUGGCCUGUGCGCGGAGCCCAGGCAGGAGACCCUUUGGUCCCGGUUGGUGGCACCAACCGGGAACAAUAGGCAUCCACGCGUCAGCAUUUCUGUGGUUGGGGUUUUUGUUNNNNNNNNNNNNNNNNNNNNNNNNNNNNNNNNNNNNNNNNNNNNNNNNNNNNNNNNNNNNNNNNNNNNNNNNNNNNNNNNNNNNNNNNNNNNNNNNNNNNNNNNNNNNNNNNNNNNNNNNNNNNNNNNNNNNNNNNNNNNNNNNNNNNNNNNNNNNNNNNNNNNNNNNNNNNNNNNNNNNNNNNNNNNNNNNNNNNNUGGUGUUUCAUAUAUUGUGUUAGCUAGCUAUAAUUAAUAGAGAAAAGUGUCCUCUCUUAUGUCCGUGCUUGGUCGACGCUACGUACUAUACAUACGUAUAGAGAGGACUAGACACGCUAGCUAGCUAGUAAGCAAACGAAGGAAACAGAAGAUCGUCAUGAACAUAUAUGCAUACAGGACUAGACACGCUAGCUAGCUAGUAACCAAACGAAGUUCAACUAGUAAUGGCGCACCACUCCCACGGUGCGCCAUUAGUAGUUUUGAAAAAAAUUAAUUUUUUUUUUUACUAAUGGCGCACUGUGGAUGUGGUGCGCCAUUAGUAUUUGGACACUAAUGGCGUACCAACACAUGGUGCGCCAUUAGUAUAUAGUAAUGGCGCACCACAGGUCUGGUGCGCCAUUAGUGUCAAUUCCAUCUAUAGCCCUUUUCCUAGUAGUGUUAGGGACGGUCUCAAUGAAACAACCCACCAUGUACUCCUGCAUGGCCUCUCAUCGAUACCUUUACCGAAACAUGUGCAACACAUUCCUCAUAUUACCGACAUAAUCAUAUCACCCUAGCCCAUCACCCAGAUGAACCAGACCUGACACAACUAUAAGCAUAGCAGGCAUAGCAAGGUAGGAAUCACAUACAUGGCUCAAUCAACUCCUACACAUGCUAGUGGGUUUCAUCUAGUUACUGUGGCAAUGACAGGUCAUGGAGAGGAUAAGGGUUCAACUACCGUAGCACACAGCAGUUUGAAUGGCGUUGUCUUAAUGCAGUAAACAAGAGCAGAGGCGAGAACAUGGGUUGUAUCGGAAUGAUCAAUGGGUUGCUUGACUGAUGGAGUGGUAGUGGGAUACUACCCUUCAGUUGGAUACUCGUGAAUAUCCUCGGAGGCAGAACCUACCACGAAGAACACAUCGGAACACAAUCAACACAUGACGAUAUGCAACACUAUGAUGCAUGCUAUGACAUGGCAUUAUGAAUGUGUCUUGGCCUAAUGCAAGCUAAAAUAGAAAGGGAUGAACUCAUUUGAAUCAAAGAUUCAAAUAUUAGCUCAUUAAACAUGGCCUUAGUAGUGCAUUUCCUUAUUCUGCUUAAACAGCAAGGUAAACUUGUUUUGUCAUACAUGAAACCAUUACAGAUGGAUGUAUUGAAUUUUUCUGAUAAUUUUUCAUAUAUAAAUUAUUUCAUUUGGAGUUACGGUUGAAUUUCUAUGAUUUUUAGAAGUUUUAAACAUUUUCUGGAAUUUCCUGAAUAAAAAUAAAUCCAGAAAAUGCAUUACUGCGUCAGUAUUGCAUCAUGCUGACCUCAGCAGGUCAAAGGCGCCAGCCCAGGUCAAAACUGACUGGUGGGCCCCUUCUGUCAGUCUCUCAGUUAAAUAAUAGGAUUAGAUUAACACUAAUUAGCUGUCAGUGGGGCCUGGGCCCACAUGUCACUGACUGAUUAAAAUAAAAUUAGUUAAAACUAAUCCUUGAUUAGUUAGCAGACCGGCCCCUCCUGUCAUAGACUCAGGGGGGUCUACCUGGGCCCACCCAGGGUCAAACUGGGUCAAACUCGCCGGCGUUGAGCCGCCGGCGAGACCCGAGACGGUGGCGCAGCUCGGAAAACGCCUACAGGGCACGAGCGAGGCCGUUCUUGGGCUCGUUGGAGAGCUCUUGCAGCCGCGCAUCUAGUGGUGGUGGGGGCCGGAGACGACGACGGCGAGCUCCAAGGCGGCGGCUGGAGUUCGGCCAUGUGCGGGGUGUGGGCUGUGGCGUGCAAACGUGGAAACUGAAGCGCUAGCGAGGCACUACGCGAUGCGGCAAGCACGUUGCAUAGCACGGGAUGAUCCAAUGGUCGCCGGAGCGGCGCCGGCGACAAGCUCGAGCCGAGACGAGCUUCGGCCAUGGUGGAACUAUGGCCUAGAGGGUGCAAACGCGUGGAAAAGAAGAGGGGAAAGGUGGCGGAGCUCACAGGGAGGUCGAUGAGCAGCUCAAUGGGCUCGGGGGUCACCGGAGUGAGGCGAAUCGAUGAGCGGCGUCCGGCGGGUACCGAGGUUGAAGACGAUCCGAUGGCGGCGAUGCAGGGACUCCGGCGAUGCGUGGCUCAGUGGGGAGGGCGAGGGCGUCACAGCGGAGCUUCUGGACAGGUCAGAGAGGCGAGGGGGUGACGGAGGGCGCGACUACGGCGGUGAGACGGCGACGGGUGCGUCGGCCAUUGCGGGAGAGGGAGAGGGAGACAAGUGGGAGAGUGAGAGAGGAUGAGAGGGGGACGUGGGGGUCGCGUGGCAUUCCCUGGACGUCUCCCAGCAUCGGCGGAAGCAGGAGGUGGCCGGCGUGUGGCCGCGGGCGCCGGCCACGCGCUCCACGUCCUUCUGGCGUGAGGAGGACGACGACUGGCAGCGCCAGUAGGCUGGGCCGAGCCAGGGGGCUGGCCAGCACAGGUAAGGCCCAGGUGGGCAUCUCCCUCUUUUUUUUAAUUUGUUUCUGUUUUCUAUUUAACUGUAACUGUUGGGCUUUAUUUAAAAUACUAAAACAUUUCCAAAAAUCCUGAAAAUAAUUGUGGGCUCUGUUUGGAUUAUUUCCAACAGCAGACAUUUAUUUCCAGAAUUAUUUGAGCAUUUAAAUGCCCAAAUUCAAAUACUUAUGAUUUAAAUCAAUGACCUUCUAUUGACCUCGAAAAGUUGUGCACCAAUUUUGCCAGAGGUUCUAACCCAAGACAAAGAGGGUGAACUUUUUAGAAGGGCAUUUCAGGUUCAUUGAAAAUAAUUUUAGUAAUCCCUAGUUGUUUCCAGGGGGGUGUUGGGGGUUUCUGCCUUCCCCAAUUCAAAUUUAAGAGGAAUUUAAACAUGAUGCACAUUCUAAUGCUUGAUCUAGCUAGGGUGUGACAACUCACCCCCACUCAAAAGAAUCUCAUCCCGAGAUUUAGGAUCCUCUGGAAAGAAGGUGGGGUACUCGAGUCGAAGACGAUCCUCCCUUUCCCAAGUGGCUUCUUUCUCGGAAUGGUGUGACCAUUGAACCAUGAGAAACUUGAUAUUAUGACGUCGAGUAGUAUGCUCGGCUUGAUCAAGGAUACGAACGGGAUAUUCCUGAUAAGAGAGGUUAUCUUGUAGAUCAAGCGUUUCGUGGUCCACUCCACGGAUAGGAUCCGCGAAGCAACGCCUGAGUUGUGAAACGUGGAAGACAUCAGGAACUCUGGAAAGAUGCGGAGGUAGUUCCAAUUGGUAGGCAACUUCUCCUUGUUUGGCAAGAAUGCGAACGGGUCCAAUGUAACGAGGAGCCAAUUUGCCUUUGAUACCGAAACGAUGGGUUCCUUUUAACGGGGUAACCCGAAGGUAAGCCUUCUCAUCGACUUCAUAAGUCAUAGAGUUAUGUUUAUGAUCAUAUUGACUCUUUUCACGAGAUUGGGCUGUUUUCAAUUUCUCACGAAUAACGCGAACCUGCUCUUCCGCUUCCUGAAUCAUAUCCGGGCCAAAGAGUUGUCUUUCCCUGGUUUCUGACCAGUUAAGGGGUGUUCGAUAUUUUCGUCCAUAGAGAACUUUGAAAGGAGCUUUGCCCAAGCUAGCUUGAUAACUAUUGUUAUAAGCAAACUCUGCGAAUGGGAGGCAUUUCUCCCAACUCAUUCUGAAUGAGAUAACAGAAGCUCAGAGCAUAUGUUCCAGAAUUUGAUUGACUCGCUCUACUUGACCACUUGACUGAGGAUGGAAGGCGGUACUAAAAGAGAGACGAGUUCCCAUAGCAUUUUGGAAACUUUCCCAAAAUCGAGAGGUGAAGAGACUCCCACGCUCUGAGUUAUUUUCCAAUGGGACACCAUGGAGAGACACUAUUCGGGAGAUGUAUAAAUCGGCUAGCUGGCUAGCAGUGAUACUCUCACGAACAGGUAGGAAAUGGGCUACUUUGGAAAGACGGUCGAUGAUGACGAAGAUGGCAUUAUUCCCUCUCUUGGUCCUGGGAAACCCAGUAAUGAAAUCCAUACUGAUUUUAUCCCAUUUCCAUUCAGGAAUAGCCAAAGGUUGAAGGGUGCCAGUAGGCCGUUGAUGCUCUGCUUUAACACGAAUACAGACGUCACAGCUAGCAAUGUAUCGAGCAAUUUCUCUCUUCAUCCUAGUACACCAAAACCUCUCGCGUAGGUCUUGAUACAUUUUUGUGCUACCGGGAUGAAUGGUGAGAGGGGAUUCAUGAGCUUCCUUAAGGAUCAAUUGGCGUAGAUGUUGUUUCUUGGGAACCACCAAACGGUUCUCAAAGAAGACAGCACCCCGCUUAUCCAUGGAAAAACAUUUAGCAACUCCGCUAGCAAUGUUUUCCUUAAUCCGGGAUAUGCCCUUAUCAUACCGCUGGGCAGUUAUGAUCUGAUCCAUAAGGUUAGGUUUCGCCACCAGGGUGGAUAGGAAUCCUCGAGGAACAAUGUGAAGAUUAAGCUUACGGAAUUCCUCAUGGAGAAGUGGUUGACUUUGUUGUAACAUCAGGUUGUUACAACAGGAUUUACGGCUUAGCGCAGCAGCCAUGACAUUGGCUUUGCCCGGUGUGUAGGUUAUUCCUAAGUCGUAAUCCGAGAUCAACUCAACCCAACGUCUUUGCCUGAGAUUCAAAUCUGGUUGGGUGAAGAUAUAUUUCAAGCUUUGGUGAUCGGUGAAGAUCUCGCAACGAUUACCGAGGAGGUAAUGUCGCGAAGUUUUAAGUGCAUGGACUACAGCUACCAGCUCUAGAUCAUAUGUGGGAUAAUUUUCCUCAUGUGGGUGUAAUUGCCAUGAAGCGUAGGCAAUUACCUGAGGAUCUUGCAUGAGUAUGCAACCUAGUCCUUGUCGCAGAUGUCAGGCGUCUUUUCAGUUCCUGAAAGCUGAACUCGCACUGUGGAGUCCACUCGAACUUUUUAUCUUUCUUGAGGAGUUCAAUUAGAGGUUUAGCAACCUUGGAGAAACUCUCGCCGAAGCGGCGGCAAUAGCUCGCUAAGCCAAGGAAGCUCCAAACUUGCUUGACCGUCUCAGGUGGAGUCCAAUCAAGGACCGCUUGAACUCGCUCGGGAUUGACGGCAAUACCCUUACCAGAGAUUACAUGGCCUAGAUAGGUUACUUCUGGCAACCAAAAUUCACACUUGGAGAACUUGGCAUAAAGGCGAUGCUCUCGAAGUUUCAUCAAUACCAGCCUUAGAUGUUCGGCAUGUUCCUCUUCAUUCUUGGAGUAGAUGAGUAUGUCAUCGAGGUAUACUACGACGAAUUUAUCCAAGUACUCCAUGAAAACCGAGUUCAUUAACCGGGAGAAGGUAGCCGGGGCAUUGGUUAAACCGAAGGACAUAACGGUGUACUCGUAUUGGCCAUAACGAGUAACAAAGGCCGUUUUGGGAAUGUCCCCGUUUCUGAUUUAGAUUUGAUGGUAGCCCAACCUCAAAUCCAUCUUGGAAAAGACUGAGGAUCCAGCGAGCUGAUCAUACAGAUCGUUGAUCCUGGGAAGUGGGUAUUUGUUCUUGAUGGUGACAAAGUUGACAGGUCGGUAAUCCACAACCAUUCGAUCUGUUCCAUCCUUCUUCUUGACGAAGAGGAUGGGGCAAGCCCAAGGAGAGGAACUAGGACGGAUGAAACCCUUUUUCAAGGACUCAUCGAGUUGGUUCUUAAGCUCGGCUAGUUCUAAGGGUGCCAUCUUGUAGGGUCUUCUAGAAAUUGGAACGGUUCCUGGAACAAGGUCUAUCACAAACUCGACAUCCCUGUCAGGUGGAACACCUGGCAGUUCUUCUGGAAAGACAUCCGGAAAGUCUCGGACUACCGGAACAUCCUCAAGGUCUGGAAGGGGGUUGGCAUUUAGGGAGUAAAGUUGGCGCUUGGCCACUCGAGUUAAGACAUUAACUGUCUUGCCCAAUGGGUGAGUAAGUUGAACGGUUCUAGUGGCACAGUCAAGCUUAGCAUAAUGAGCUGACAUCCACUCCAUACCUAAGAUGAUGUUUAUGUCCGAGGACUUGAGAGCUAUUAAGGAUACAAGGAAGACAAGUCUAUCGACAAGAAUUUCGUUCCCAUGGCUUACUCUAGAAGUUUGCCAUCUAGAGCUAGGGGUUUGAAUUUCCAUGGUAGAGGGCAUGUCACAGAAUGUCGUGUUGUGCAAUCGAGCAUAGUUCUCGGAUAUGAAUGGAUGAGAUGCUCUAGUAUCGAAAAGAACAGAUGUCGGAUGGCAGUUAACAAGGAGCGUACCAAGGACGAGGUUGGGAUCCUCAUGAGCCUCCUCGGCUGAAACAUAGUUGACAUGGCCACGUGCAGUGGUGGCUGGCUUGGCGUAGAAUGUUUUCCCCGCGGGCUUACCACGGCCAACGGACUUUCCAGUUUGAUUGGGGUUGUUGUUCUGGGGACACUCUCGGCUAUAGUGACCCGGCUCUCCACACUUAAAGCAUGUCACCACAUUGGGGCGUGGAGCAGCAUUAGCAGUAGGGCCACCAUAGGGCUUGGGCGGUGCAAAUUGCUGGUUGGGACGUGGUGCCUCAAAGGAUGGCCUCGGGAUGAACCUGGGUGGCAGUGCCGUGCUUGGAAUCCACACCCGGCGCUUCUGAGCUCUAGAGCCGGAUGAAGAGCCAAAAUCACGGGAGUGCUUGCAUGAAGCGUCAUAAUCAGUCUGGCCUUUCUCAGCACUGAUGGCUUUAUUGACCAACUUCUGAAAGGAGGUGCACUCGGGCAGACGAAGAUCGCGGUGAAGCUCAGGGCUAAGUCCCUUGCGGAACCUUGCCUGCUUCUUAGCAUCAAUAGAUACCUCUUUAGGGGCAUAACGUGCCAGAUUCCGAAAUUCACGACCGUAAGCAUCCACAGUCAGUCUUCCUUGGGUGAAGUUGCAGAACUCCUCCCUCUUGCGAUCCAUGAGACCUUCCAGAAUGUGAUGCUCACCGAAAGCCUCACAGAAUUCAGCCCAAGUAGUGAUUUGGCCGACCGGGCGCAUAGCUUCGAAGUUUUCCCACCAAAGGCUAGCAGGGCCUUCGAGGUGAUAGGCAGCAUAAGUAACCUUGUCGGCUGCGGCUGCGUUGGCAGAACGUAGCUUGUGGGUGAUGCUGUGAAGCCAGUCAUCCACAUCGAGGUACUCGACGGAAUGGUUAAACUUUGGUGGGUAUAGCUUGAUAAAGUCAUUGAUUGACACCAAUCAUUUCGUGGGUGGCGUGCAGUGUUCUGCUCAAUCCGCUCCAACAGGCGGUUGGUCUGACGCUUCUUUAUUUCCGCCUCCAGCAUUACUUCGGCCAGAGAAGGCGGGUGAGGCAGAUUUUCACCUCUAGCAGCACUGGCUUCCCCCUGCUCCAGGGCAGCAGGGUUGCUGCGGGUGUUGACCAUCCUAGGAGAAAACAAGACAACGGUUUAGACAAGGAUGUCUCAAAUUAGCAAGGAUGUGCAGAAUGUAAUGGAUAACACGGAAUGCAGAGAUGUUCAUCCGUAUGUCAUGGUAAUAUAAAACUGCCAUAUAUAUACCAACGGUCAUACACAUCAUACAUAGUUUAGUACAAGCCCAGGCUACAAUACAACUAUGAUGAAAGACGUUACAUCUCAUCGGAGGCAUUCCAAGCUCCUAUACAUUAUUGUCUACACCUCCAAAAUUGAUUACACGCAAAGUCAUAUUCCAAAAGUCACGCAGGACAGUGGAGAUACAGCUACUACAAUACUAGUGGUACUACUACUAACUCAGACAGCUCCGUAGUAGUCCUCAUAGAAGUCACCUCCAUAGCCUGGAAGUUCAACGGGACCAUCCGGGAACAGACGGUCCUGAGGAGCCUGUGGACCAUAGGGGCUAGGAUGGUGUCUUGGACCAACAAACGGUGGCCUGCGGGAACCACGGGGUGGGGUGAUGCCUCCCACAUCACGCCAAUCCACCACGUCUGGCAAAGCAGACCUCACAGGAUACAGAUCCCUUGUAUCCAUACAUCUAGCUUGCACCGCAGGUGCAAACCGAGCCAAUGUGGCCCAAUGAUCAGCACGGGUAUUAAAAAGCUCCAGCCUCAAGGCCCGAUUCUCUCGGUCCUUAUCUUCGAGCAUCUCAGCAGUGGUACGAGUUAAUGAAUCCUCCUGAGUGGAGACAGCAUAGAUAGCCUGAAGAUACCCUUGCGCUCCCGGAAGUGAAGCUGGCAUGUAUCGGAAGUCGGUGUUCCGAAGCAGGCCAGUCCGGACUCGCAUGAUGGUCAUCAUGUAAUAGGCAGCAUCCUGCACAGCAAUCUCAACAGUAACCCCGAGUCCAUAGGAAUAGUGAAGGGGCUCGGUAGAUCCAGGAUAAGAAGGAAAUAUCCUGACAGUGCAGAAAUACUGGCUUUGAUUAAAGUCUCGGAAUUGCUCUUCGACGGUGUAUUCGAGAUACCAACGGUAACCCGUCUCGAUCAUGACCCGGACUAACAUAGCAGUAUGACCGGGCACGUCGAGCCACCGGGUUAGGCGAACCACUUGGUUUUGAGCACGGUUGGCCAUCUGAAAGCACAACCACAAUGCAAAGACAUCAGAAUUUCUAGGGAAAAUUGGACAGCAUAACAGCUGUAAAUGCUCAGAAAAAGAUUUGAGACAUCCACAACAGUUCGCAAUACCACUCAAUAACAUCAUAUCAAGGUUCUGAUCCAAAUAGCAACAUACUAAAAAUAGUAGAAACUGAACUGGGGCUUGUAACAACAAUCCUAUAAGCUACUACGGAUUAGUAACACGUGAACCUGAUAGAAGAAGAGAGCCUAGUCCUUAACCCACGUUGAAUGAGAAGGGAAUGACUCAGAUAAGAGGCAUAGGGUAAAGGAGUAAAAGAGACUUACGUUCCCUCCCACAAUCAAUUCCCCUACAUAUAACUAAAGCAUUUCCAGACUCGACAUCGACCAGUUUGGCUCAACGAACCUACAAGCAGUCUGGCUCUGAUGCCAACGCUGUCAGGACCCCGAUUCCAAGCCACAUCGAUCUAGCCGGUAACACCUCAUAUCACUUUGCGGCCUCACGCACGAUAUUCCACGGGUGUCGCCUUACCAUGGCCCGGGACCGUUUGCGCCUUUUGGCUCACGUAUAUGAUAGUGUUGUUAGCAUCCAUAUGACAGAGAACCUGGGCCGACAUGGCUAGUCGUGAACCCAAAGCGGCACAGACCUAUGGAGACAGGCAUACAUGAAUCACAUCGAGCAUGUCGGUCAUCAGCGAGUGAUUCCGGGCUGUAGCACUGGGCUAACAGGACUCCGGGGAACCCGGGCUGUAGCAGGCUAGGCAGGACUCCGGAAGUCACCGCGUGACAUUUCCCCGAAGGGACAGACAUAGGAACGAAGUGAAUCACAUGCCGGCCAUUCAAGUGUCCUAAGUAGUAGUGCUGGGCUAGCAGGACUCCGGUGAACCAGGCUGUAGCGGACUACUAUGGCUCGAGGAACACUAGACUACAUUUCCCCAUAAGGAAGGCUGCCAAGGAUAAACAACUAGAUUGUUGGAUCCCACUCAUACCAAGCAUUUCAAUCAUACACACAAUAUGCCCGAUAUGAGUACAUACAACAUGGCAUCACAACAAAACUCUACAACUCAAGUACUUUAUUUAAAUGCUCCAGAGAGCCAUACAUAACAUGUUCAUACAGAUAGGGGUCACAUGACCCGACACUCAAGUCAUACAAUCAUACAAGCACAUGCGGAAGCAACCGGUCUGAGUACAGACACUAGAAAGAAAGAAGGCUCCUCGAGGCCUGUCUAUCUACAUAGGGCCCUCCAUGGCCAGGAUCACCACCUGGGUGGCUAGUCACUCGUCGAUGUCAAGGUCUACAUAGAACCCAUAGGAGGGGGCGGUGUUGUCGUCUGAAAACGGUAAUUAAGCAAACAUGAGUACAAAGGUACUCAGCAAGUCUUACAACAGAACCUACUAUACAUGCUUAUUCUCAAGAAGGUGGUGGGGAUAUUGCAGCAAGCCAGCUUUGACUCUUGGCUAAACUAUCCUACGGAACAUCUCUAGUAAAAUAGUUUUCGCACACGAGUCCACUACUCACCAACACAAUACUCCACCGGGGAUCCUCCCUCGUCAUCCUAUGAGAGGGUGUCGGGGGUGUCUGAUCCCUCGCACACCUAUGGGGAUCAGCGGACCGAGCCCCUUUUGGUUCGGUAGGGGGCGGUGGAUGCACAAAGAGUAGAUCGAGGCGAAACACAUGAGCGAGACAAUCGAUUUACCCAGGUUCGGGCCACACGGAUGCGUAAAACCCUACUCCUGCUUUGGUGGUUGUAUUGAGUUUUUUCUCGGGAGCAGCUGGCGAGACCGAGCGUGAGAAUGGCUGUCCCCCCCCUGUUGCGCAUGGGCCUCCUUUUAUAUGUCUAAGGGGUCACCGACACGUGGCAACAGAGGUAAGGGUAAAAAUGUAAAAGGGGUGGUAGUUGGCUCCACCGCCUACAUGUCGCAUCCUACCUAACUCUGACGGCAGGGGACAAGGGCAUUAAAUGCCCGUCUGUGUCACCUUGACGGCCCAGAGAGGGACCACUAGGAACGCCACCGUUUGCCACGACGGUUCCUUGUCAGCGUCUGCUUGCCAUUGCAUGCCCCCGGCUGCACAGCCUCCCGCCACGUACGCCAGGAAUGGCCCCAGGGCGACACGUUGGUGGGUGAGCUGGAGCGCGGGCUGCGGGGUAGUGGCUUGCCGCGGCAAGUGCCUUGCCGCGGGUGUUGUCUUGUCACGUCCGGGAGCUUGCCGCUCACCGGGUCUUGUCGGGGCACGCGGUGCGCCGCAGCGAGUCUCUUGAGAUGCUUUGGUUGUCUUCCCGGCAAGCUCCUCUUGCCGGGGUCUCGUCUCCUUCCCGGCAAGCUCCUCUUGCCGGGGCCUUGUUCCCUUCCCGGCAAGCUCCUCUUGCCGGGGCCUUGUUUGGAUCUUGGAUACUUUGUUCUUGAAUGGCUCCAGAGGAACCAUGGAGGGUCUUGGCGGUCGCCCGGCAAGCCUUGCCGCGGGUCGCUGCGACUACCCAUGCACAAGUUCGGGGUACUAAGGUACCCGUACUUUAGCACACCGACAGGAGCCCCCAGGCCUGGGCCAUACACGGUGCCGAGCGCUGUUGGGCCAGGCCCAAAACAGUGCAAGGGCACGCGCGGCCUGGGUCACGCCAUAACUGAUUCCGUAUCCACCGCGCUCUCCCCAAACGGCACGCGUCAAACGCGGCAUCGUGGGAGAGAUCGUGGGCGGUUUUCGAGGUGCCCACUCCCCACGAUCACGGGGUGGGGAGAGACCGCCCCAUCCGUCGCCUCGGUUCUGCACGCCUGCCACGCGGUUCCCGUGCACUUGGGGUCGCGGGCGGCGGAAGCGGGAAACGGGGCCGUCGUGGGUCGAGGGAGUGGGUCGGCCCCGGCUCCCCGCGUCUUGAUUCGCUGAGCGGGGCGGCCGAGCCCCCACCUUGCUCCUUUAUAAAGAGCGGGAGGGGAGGACGGGAGCCUGCAUCCUCCCAUCUUCUCCUUCCUUCAGCUCCUGCUCCCCUCCCCCCAUUCGCCAUGGAGAGAGGGAACCCUGGUCCUUCGUCAGUGGCGGCAAGGGUUGCCGCCAGGCAGCGCAUCCCUCCCUCUCCCGCACCCGUGGCGGCGGAGCCAGCCAUAAGGGGAAGAGGGAGGGGGCGAAGUCGUGGACGAGGCCGUGGCGCUCGGGGAAGAGGUGGGCGAGGCGGCGCGUCGGCUUCGCCUCCGCCGGCGGCUCUUCUUCCCGCGGUGGCCCAUGCCGGGGACGACCCUUGCGAGUUAUUCGUCAGGCUGCGCCGGGCGCCCCGCCGUCGCCUCUGACUCCCGGAUCCGUUUGCGGAAGUGGUGGAGUUGGACCCGCCCGAGACGCUGAGGCUGCAGAUGAGGGCUGUGGGAUCAGCGGCACGCGGGUCCGCGCCGAAUUCCCAGCCCCCGGCGUGAUUUAUCUUGGCCGAGGGUGGAAGACGUUCGCCCGCAUCCACAGCUUGACACCGGGGCUGACCCUCCACUUCAAGUUGGUGGAGGGUGAUCUCCUCUCCGUCAAGGUCUUCGGGUGCUUCAGCGUCCGGGCCCGGUGCUGCGUGGAAAGCUCCUCCGAUAGCGAAGGCUCCUCCUCGAGCAAGAGUGACGAGGAGGGAACGACAGCGGCGACGAGGGGAGCGGGCGGCAGGAUGGCGGGUCCGACUAGGUGUCGGGCGCCGCUCCGCGCGGCACCAGCAACCCCAUCAUCCGGGUCGCCGGCUCCUUGAACUCCCCGGGGGCGUCUCCUUGGGCGGCUGGCGUAGGGAGGCUGCGAAAGAGGAAGAGGGCAGGCGGCAAGGCCGUCAGGUCGGAGUACGAUGGCGUGGUGCCCUCGACAGCGUGCUGACGUCCUGCCGCCUCGUCUUCGAGCCCCCCUUCCGGCGCUGCCAUCACCAUCCAGCCUUGAAGGCCCCCGGGAUGUUCUCUUGGUGUCUUCUGGCACCCGUAGUUCCCCUAGGCACUCCUUUUGCCCUUCUCGCCUCCUUGACCUACCUCCUGAAAAGAGGGGCAGGAAAGAGAUUACGGGCAUCUUAUCUUUUUGAUUUGUAAGCCCUCGGGCCUUAGUUGCAUCUAAAACUUGUAAUCCUCUCUUUCAUGUUUUCCAUUCUCCAUGUACUGUACCUGCGUGGAAUGUUUUAAUGAAAAGGGGAUGCUUGCCAGGUUACUCGUCUCGCGGGUAGAACCCAUGCCAAGGAGCAAAUCCUUGGUAUCUCACAGAUAGACACUCCCUCCCCAGCAACAGGCCCUGCCACAUACCCACGUCGCUCGACCUUUCUCACGCUCUUGACGGAGGCAGAGACGAGGCGGGUGCGGCCCCUCGUUUCAUCCCUUUCCCGCCGCGACUGCGACCAAAGCUUGGCCCUGGGGCCCCAGGGACCAAAGCUAAGGGAGCACGGUGGCUUUCGGGAAGAAGCGAGGUUUUGUAUUCCCAGUCCAAAAGAGAAUGCACGAAGAGGGAUGAAAGACUUAUCUGAGACUGCAGCCCCCGGCAACUCUGGCUUGCCGUGGGGUGAACCUUGGUACUUGCAGCCUCCAGCAACUCUGGCUUGCCGGGGUUCGGAUGCCGGCACGUCCUUCUUCUCCCUUUCGUCCUCACGCGGUCCGACAAGGAUAUGCAAGCCCUGCGAACCAAAGGAAACAAAGGAAGGACAAAGGGACGCACACUAGACCUCUAAGUUAGGGGUUAGCUGCUGUUAGGCACUAUCAACCCUAACCGAGGACUCGACUCGACCUAGCAUGCAUGCUGUAACUCUGGGCGCCAGCGCUUCAUUAUCUUGUGCUCAAGGUCUGUGCCUGGCUUUGUACAAAGGAUUACAUGCAACAGCGUCAAGACUUGUACAAAAGGGUGGUUGCCGGACAGGGUCCGACAACCGCGCCUUACGGGUAAAACUUACAAAGAAGCUUGAUAUUCCAGGAGUUGCUCACUAGUACGCCAUCUUCGGUCUCCAGGCGGACAGUGCCAGGCCUGGUGACUCGUUUCACCCGGUAAGGGCCUUCCCACUUCGGCGUCAACUUGUUGGAAUUCUUGGCGGACUGAACGCGCCGAAGAACAAGGUCGCCUUCCUCGAGGCUCCUAGCAUUAACUUUGCGGCUAUGAUAGCGGCGCAAAGCUUGCUGGUAGCGAGCGGCUCGCACAGCAGCCUGGAGACGAUCUUCCUCAAGGAGCAGCGCGUCAUCUUGCCGCAGCUGCUCUUGCUCAAGCUCAUCAUAGCACUCGAGGUGACCCGUAUACGAGUUCCAUGGGGAUAACUGCCUCCGCUCCAUAGACUAGAGCGAAGGGUGUCUGCCCGGUGGCUCGAUUUGGCGUCGUCCUGAUCGACCAAAGAACCACCGGCAGCUCCUUGAUCCAGUUGCGUCCGCGCUUGUGCAGCCUGUCAAAUGUUCUGGUCUUGAGCCCGUGCAGCACUUCAGCAUUCGCCCUCUUAGCUUGGCCGUUGCUUCUCGGGUGAGCGACAGAAGCAAAGCAGAACUUGGCGCCAAGAUCUUGGACGUACUGCAUGAAGGCGCGGCUUGUAAAUUGUGUACCGUUGUCGGUGAUUAUCCUGUUAGGGAUUCCGAAACGGCAAACAAUCGACCUGAAGAAUUUGAUCGCGGACUGCGCCGUCACCUUCCUCACUGGUUCCACUUCCGGCCACUUUGUGAACUUGUCGAUUGCAACGUACAAGUACUCAAAGCCCCCGACGGAUCGGGGGAAGGGGCCGAGGAUAUCGAGCCCCCAGACCGAAAAUGGCCAGGAUAAAGGGAUCGUCUGGAGAGCUUGAGCUGGCUGGUGUAUCUGCUUGGAAUGGAACUGGCACGCUUCACACUUGGUUACUUGUGCAGUUGCAUCCUGGAGGGCUGUCGGCUAGAAGAAGCCUUGUCGGAAUGCUUUUCCGACAAGAGCUCUUGCGCCAAUGUGGUGACCACAUAUGCCUCCAUGUAUCUCUGCCAACAGCUUCUGUCCAUCUUCCCGAGGAAUACACUUCAAUUUCACACCGUUGAGUCUUCUUCUGCACAGUGUGUUGUCAACAAACUGGUACAUACUGGACUGCCGGGCUACUCUUUCUGCUUCUUCUGGUUCCUCGGGAAGCUCUCCUGUCUGAAGGAAACGGACGGUCUGCUACGCCCAUGUUGGAGCCUGUGGCUCGACAACAAGGACUAAAGGCACAUCUGCUGCUGUGGGAACGCCUACUUCUACGGCAGGAGCCUGCGACUCUGCCGGAGCUUGACAUUCCCCGACAAGCUUGCCGGAGCAGAGCUUGCCGGGAGUGUCUGCUGCAAUGGAACAAACCCUGGGGCUUGCCGGAGUAGACUGCUCCUCAGCACUCUUGGCGUCGAUCUUGGGGACCUUCUUGGCGGCGUCUUCGGGGAGCUUUGCCGGGAGAUAGUCACCAGAGAUCAACUUCCUCUUCUUGCUCUGUCCACUUGAUGGUGCCACGGAUGGCUGAGUUAGCUUGAGCACAAAGGUCCCUGGUUCCACAGGUAACUUAAGUGCUGCGCACUUUGACAGGCGAUCGGCAAUGUCAUUCUCAGCUCUUGGAACAUGUUCCAUUUGCAGGCUGUCAAAGCGCUCUUCCAGCUUCCUCACUUCAUCAACGUAAGCUUCUAUCAAUGGACUUUGGUAAUCUUUGUUCACUUGGCGGACGACAAGCUGCGAGUCACCCCUAACAAUGAGCUUCUUAAUCCCAAGUUCUGCCGCGAUCCUGAGACCGGCAAGCAAGCCUUCUUACUCUGCAGUAUUGUUUGUCGCUUGCUCCUUGGGAAAGUGCAUCUGGACUAUGUACUUGAGGUGCUCCCUGGUGGGUGCGACAAGCAGUACACCAGCACCGGCGCCUUGCAGCGAGAAAGCACCGUGAAAGUACAUGAGCCACUCUUUGCUUGCUUCCUUGGCGGGGAUGCUCGUCUCCGGAAUUUCUUCGUCUGGAGUUGGCGUCCACUCUGCUAUUAACUCUGCCAAUGCUCCGCUCUGGAUUGUUGAUGUACUCUCAAACUUGAGGCCAAAGCUUGACAGUUCCAGUGCCCACUCGACAAUCCUGAAUGUUGCUUCUGGAUUUUGCAAUAUCCUUUUCAGCGGAAAGCGAGUGACAACUGUGAUCUCGUGUGCUUGGAAGUAAUGACGUAGCUUUCUCGAGGCCAUGAGGAGGCCGAAAAGCAGCUUCUGCACACUAGAGUACCUUGACCUAGCCCCCUGUAAAAGGGAGCUGACAAAGUAAACUGGGUGCUGCACCAUUUUCUUCUGUAUCUCCUCUUGUAUCUGCGCAGAUCCUUGGUUGUCGGGACCAGAGCUUGUCGGGGAAGCCCCCUGCUUGUCGCUGGAUGUGCUUGCCGCGGCCGCUGGCUCGUCGUCGGCCUCCCUUUCCGCUACUAACGCAGCACUAACCACUUGAUUGGUUGCCGCUAUGUACAGGAGCAACUUCUCUUGUGGUUUAGGCGCGACAAGUGUUCGGGUGGACGACAGGUAUCUCUUCAAGUCUUGCAGCGCAGCCUCCGCUUCCGGAGUCCAUCUCAUUGGACCUGCCUUUUUCAAAAUUUGAAAAAGGGCAGGGCGCGCUCAGCAGACCAAGGGAUAAACCUGCUAAGAGCAGCUACGCAGCCGGCAAGCUUCCGUACAUCCGUGACGCGCUUUGGUGCUUCGAUCUGCUCAAUGGCCCUGAUCUUGUCGGGGUUGGCUUCGAUUCCCCGCUGAGACACGAAGAACCCGAGAAGCUUGCCGAAAGGGACUCCAAACACACACUUCUCGGGGUUGAGCUUGAGGUUGAUCUUGCGCAGAUAUGCAAAAGUCUCUUCUAAGCCUUGGAUCAGAGUUGCCCUGUCUUUGCUUUUGACCACUAUAUCAUCCAUGUAAGCUUCUACAUUUCUGUGUAUCUAUGGCUUCAAAGCAAUAUGGACUACUCUGGCAAAUGUUGAACCAGCAUUCUUUAAUCCGAAAGGCAUCCGUACGAAACAGUACGUGCCACAUCGAGUAAUGAAUGCGGUUUUCUCCUCAUCCUCUUCCGCCAUGAAGAUCUAAUGGUAUCCUGAGUAUGCAUCAAGAAAUGAAAGCAACUCACAUCCGGCCGUGGAGUCAACAAUCUGGUCAAUGCGCGGCAAGGGAAAUGGAUCUUUUGGACAAGCUUUAUUAACAUCAGUAAAGUCAAUACAAAGCCUCCAUUUCCCAUUCGCCUUGCGCACUACAACCGGAUUGGCCAACCACAUGGGAUGGAGCACCCCUCUAACGAGGCCUGCUGCUUCCAAUUUCUUGAUUUCUUCGGCUAUGAAUUCUUGGCGCUCCACCGCCUGUUUCCUGACCUUCUGCUUGACGGGCCGCGCAUGAGGACAAACUGCAAGGUGGUGCUCAAUUACCUCCCUGGGAACACCGGGGAUGUCAGACGGUUGCCAUGCAAACACGUCGACAUUCGCCCGCGGGAAAGUAACGAGUGCGCUUUCCUAUUUAGGGUCAAGCGUGGCACUGAUGGUGAAGGUACCACCAGUGCCGUCCUCCUUGGCGGGCACCUUCUUGGUAAGUGGUGGAGCGGCCAUCGUCUUCUUACUCUUGCAGCCGGAGCUCGAUGGUGCGUCCUCGACGGCAGCGCAGCACUCCGAAGAGGUGCGCCUGCCGGAGUAGGCAUCAGAGCACUCGCCGGGCUUGGUCUUCUUCUUGCCGGUGGAGCUCGAUGGUGCGUCCUCGACGGUAGCGCAGCACUCCGAAGAGGCGCGCUUGCUGGAGUGGGUACUAGAGCUCUUGCCGGACUUGGUCUUCUUCCCCCUGGGAGCUUCAGCGGCAAGUGUCUCGCGGUCUGUCGCGGCGGCAGCUUCCCGGUAGAUCUUGUCGGCGCAGAUAAGGGCGUCCUUCUUGUCGCCAGGGACAGAGAUGACGCUUAUCGGGCCCGGCAUCUUGAGCAUGUUGUAGGCAUAGUGAUAGGCUGCCAUUAACUUGGCGAGCGCGGGACGGCCAAGUAUCCCAUUGUAGGGCAAUGGGAAAUCGGCAACGUCGAAGGUGACCCUCUCAGUCCUGAAGUUCAUCUCACUGCCGAAUGUCACCGGCAGCGCGACUUUUCCCUUCGGCUUGCUCCUUCCCGGGUUAAUUCCUUGGAAUGUACCGGUUUCUUCGAGCUCACUGUCUGGGAUCUGGAGUUUCUGGAGCACAGCGGAGGAGAUCAGAUUCAGGCCGGCCCCGCCGUCAACUAGCAUCUUGGUGACCUUGAGGUUGCGGAUUGUUGGGGAAACCAACAACGGCAAGCACCCGACCGCAGUCGUGCGAUCAGGGUGGUCCUCAAUGUCAAAGAUGAUCGGCGUGCUGGACCACUUCAGAAGCUUGCGUGAUUCGACAGGUGGCUCUGCCGCAUUAACUUCCCGGAGCCACUGUUUGAGUUGGCGGUGGGAAGUGUGCAGAGAAGCGCCACCGUCAACACACAAGACUUCUGUAGCCUUCUGAAACUCCUGCUCGCUGUUCUCAACAUCAUCCAUGUCUUCGUCGUCGUCUUCGUCUUCGUCCUUAUCGCGGCCGCGAGGAGGUCUGUCUCCUUGCCGCUGCUUGGCCUUGCCACGGCUCCCUCCCGGGCCAGCGCGGUUCUUGCCGGCUUCUCCAUCGCCUCCUUGGGCUCUCUCCUUGUCGCGCCGCUCGUACUCACCUCUUUGUUGCUGGACAAGCUGCUCGACCCUCUUGCAGUUCUGGAGAUCAUGGCCCUUGGUGCGGUGGAUCUUGCAGUACUGCUUGUCGGAGCUGCCCUGCUUGUCGGCGGCCGCCACAGCCUGGCAGUUGGUACACGCGGCAACCUCUUUGCCGGAGCUGACAACUUUGGCUUGCUUGGCGGGGCCGUCAUCGCUGGACUGCUCAACGACCAGUACCUCUUUGCCGCUCUUCUUCUUGUUGGGCCUCCGGUUUUUGCUUGCCGGGGCGGCAUCCUCACUGUCAGAUAUCCCUGCUCUAGCAUCCUCUCCGGGGAGUUUCCUCCCUUCUUCAGCGCGUGCGCACUUGUCGGCCAGGGCGUACAGCUCGCUGACGUCCUUGAUCCUGCUCAUCGCCAUCUCCUCCCGCAUCCUGCAAUUACGCAUGUUCUGAUGGAACGCGCUGAUAACCGCGGUAGGGUGGAUGUCUGGGAUGUUGCGCUGCACGCGGCUGAAUCUCUGGAUAUACUUGCGCAAAGGUUCUCCUUCCUUCUGGGCAAGCAGGUGGAGGUCACUCUCUUGGCCGUGUGGUUUGUGGCCGCCUGUAAAGGCGCCGACAAACUGGUGGCACAAAUCCGCCCAAGAGGAUAUGGAGUUGUCCGGCAAGUGCAUGAGCUAGGAUCUGACUUCGGGCUUGAGCACGAGCGGGAAGUAGUUGGCAAGGACCUUGUCGUCUCGUCCCCGGCAGCUUGCACCGCAAUGGUGUAGAUGCUGAGGAACUCCGACGGGUGUGACUUGCCGUCGUACUUCUCCGGCACGUCUGGCUUGAAAUGCUUCUGGUUGGGCCACUGGACUUGCCGCAGCUCAUGGGUGAACGCGGGACAACCCGCCGCGUACGGCAAGUUACCUGGCUCUCCGGGUGCAUGCAUGUCAACAGAGGGCCCAGCGCACAGGUCAGAUUGACGCCGCGCUUCCCUUCGGCGCUCGAUGCAUGUUCAAGUGUCUUCUUGCUGUCUCUGAUGAAGAACUUGGCGUUGAUCGCGGUGAGCUCGCGGAUCUGACGACGCGGUGGAGUAGCCGUCGAGGUGGAUCCGGUGAGUCGGCGAUCUCGGCCUUCGGGGCGGAGAGUGCACAGUGGUUGCACCCUCACCGGUCUUGUCGCCACCGGCUCGCGCCUGGCUGACUUGCCGCGGCAGCGAUGCGCUCUGCUGCCGUGGGUUGUCACCAUUGGCGCAGCCGAUGAUGCUCUGAAUAGUGGCCCUCCAGUCAUCGAUCUUCUCUAGUGCUGGAGGGUAGUCUAGGAGCAGCUGGGCACGCGCCAACGGUUCCGUCGGAGUGGUGGGCGGCGGCAGCGAACGGUGCGAGGAGCGAGAUAUGCUCGGACUCCUAACCACGUUAGAAGGAGCAACAUCCCGUCCAAGCGACCGCGCCGCGCUCGCGCCAGCACGUUGGCGUGCCUGCUGAUCCUGAGCACUUCGGGAUCCGCCAGCUUGAUCUUGGCCCAGCAGGCGUAUGGUACAGUGGGUACCAUGACGCUACUGGUCCCGCGCCUCCUGGGAUGGGCGCGGUGCGUGUACGGACACCGAGGUCUCGGAGUGCGCGCGGUCGUCGUGGGAGGCGACCGCGCUACCGACGUGCGCCGCAGCCAGGCACUUGGACCUGGCAGUGCCAUGAGUCUCCCCGUCGGCGCCCGCCCUUCCGCCGGCGCCUACUUCACCCGCCGUUCGCUCCGGCGAUGGCGGGCUCGACGCGGACGGAGCGGCUACCUCCGAAGCCUUCUUCUUCGGCGGCAUGUUGAUGAAGACGAUGAAGAUUCGGCUCGCGCGAACGCCGGAUCAGGUUCGCACUACCUCGACGCACCCCCUACCUGGCGCGCCAAAGAUGUCGGGGGUGUCUGAUCCCUCGCACACCUAUGGGGAUCGGCGGACCAAGCCCAUUUUGGUUCGAUAGGGGGCGGUGGAUGCACAAAGAGCAGAUCAAGGCGAAACACACGAGCAAGACGAUUGAUUUACCCAGGUUCGGGCCGCACGGAUGCGUAAAACCCUACUCCUGCUUUGGUGGUUGUAUUGAGUUUUUGCUCGGGAGCGGCGAGUGCUACAGUACACUCAAGCAGCUGGCGAGACCGAGCGUGAGAAUGGCUGUCCCCCUCCCCCUGUUGCGCAUGGGCCUCCUUUUAUAUGUCUAAGGGGUCACCGAUACGUAGCAACAGAGGUAAGGGUAAAAAUGUAAAAGGGGUGGUAGUUGGCUCCACCGCCUACAUGUCGCAUCCUACCUAACUCUGAUGGCAGGGGACAAGGGCAUUAAAUGCCCGUCUGUGUCACCUUGACGGCCCAGAGAGGGACCGCUAGGAACGCCACUGUUUGCCACAACGGUUCCUUGUCAGCGUCUGCUUGCCACCGCAUGCCCCCGGCUGCACAGCCUCCCGCCACGUACGCCAGGAAUGGCCCCAGGGUGACACGUUGGUGCGUGAGCUGGAGCGCGGGCUGCGGGGUAGUGGCUUGCCGCGGUAAGUGCCUUGCCGCGGGUGUUGUCUUGUCGCGUUCGGGAGCUUGCCGCUCACUGGGUCUUGUCGGGGCGUGCGGUGCGCCGCAGCGAGUCUCUUGAGAUGCUUUGGUUGUCUUCCCGGCAAGCUCCUCUUGCCGGGGUCUCGUCUCCUUCCCGACAAGCUCCUCUUACCGGGGCCUUGUUCCCUUCCCGGCAAGCUCCUCUUGCAGGGGCCUUGUUUUUCUCUUGGAUACUUUGUACUUGAAUGGCUCCAGAGGAACCAUGGAGGGUCUUGGCGGUCGCCCGGCAAGCCUUGCCGCGGGUCGCUGCGACUGCCCGUGCACAAGUUCGGGGUACUAAGGUACCCCUACUUUAGUACACCAACAGAGGGCCAUCCUCGGUACUCACACUUAUCUUGAGUAUUUAGUAGUAUCCAUUUACUUGUCUAUGAACUGUAUAGGCAACCAAGUAGUCCUUUACCGCGGACGUGGCUAUUCGAAUAGUUUUAUACCCUGCAGGGGUGUACUUCGUCAUACACGCUUUCACCACUUAUCGCCGUUUACACGACAUGUACUCGGCAACCUUCAAGCGGAAGCCCAGCGAGGGUGUCGGCCACGGCCUACCUAAACACUUAAGUCUCUAGUCCAGGUUUAUCGCCUAUCCAGGUUCCAUCGGCAGGGAGUGCGGCCGAGGUUUCCACAUACGGCCCCGAACGAUGUGAACAGGGUUCCGAGAUGCCAAACGGGCGCCCGGCAUACCCGGCCAGGUGUAUCUACCGCAACAUAGCCCACCCCUAGGGUCAGCGCUACGCACGGCCGCCAACACAUAACCUACAAACCCAGAAACUAUAUGCAACUCCUGGACAGAGUACAAGGGUGAUUAAGAAGCCGAGAGGGUCAAUUAAGGAUCCCAAUGCGUGGUAGUAGCUGAAUCUUAAAUCAACAUACAGAUCUCAGUUCUUAGGGACGGUCUCAAUGAAACAACCCACCAUGUACUCCUACAUGGCCUCUCAUCGAUACCUUUACCAAAACAUGUUCAACACAUUCCUCAUAUUACCGACAUAAUCAUAUCACCCUAGCCCAUCACCCAGAUGAACCAGACCUGACACAACUCUAAGCAUAGCAGGCAUAGCAAGGUAGGAAUCACAUACAUGGCUCAAUCAAAUCAUACACAUGCUAGUGGGUUUCAUCUAGUUAUUGUGGCAAUGACAGGCCAUGUAGAGGAUAAGGGUUCAACUACCGUAGCACACAACAGUUUGAAUCGCGUUGUCUUAAUGAAGUAAACAAGAGCAGAGGCGAGAACAUGGGUUGUAUCGGAAUGAUCAAUGGGUUGCUUGCUUGAUGGAGUGGUAGUGGGAUACUGCCCUUCAGUUGGAUACUCGUGAAUAUCCUCGGAGGUAGAACCUACCACGAAGAACACAUCGGAACACAAUCAACACAUGACGAUAUGCAACAAUAUGAUGCAUGCUAUGACGUGUCUUGGCCUAAUGCAAGCUAAAAUAGAAAGGGAUGAACUCAUUUGAAUCAAAGAUUCAAAUAUUAGCUCACUAAACAUGGCCUUAGUAGUGCAUUUCCUUAUUCUGCUUAAACAGCAAGGUAAACUUGUUUUGUCAUGCAUGAAACCAUUACAGAUGGAUAGAUUGAAUUUUUCUGAUAAUUUUUCAUAUAUAAAUUAUUUCAUUUGGAGUUACGGUUGAAUUUCUAUGAUUUCUAGAAGUUUUAAACAUUUUCUGGAAAUUCCUGAAUAAAAAUAAAUCCAGAAAAUGCAUUACUACGUCAGCAUUGCGUCAUGCUGGCCUCGGCAGGUCAAAGGCGCCAGCCCAGGUCAAACCUGACUGGUGGGCCCCUUCUGUCAGUCUCUCAGUUAAAUAACAGGAUUAGAUUAACACUAAUUAGCUGUCAGUGGGGCCUGGGCCCACAUGUCAGUGACUAAUUAAAAUCAAAUUAGUUAAAACUAAACCUAGAUUAGUUAGCAGACUGGCCCCACCUGUCAUAGACUCAGGGGGGGUCUACCUGGGCCCACCCAGGGUCAAACUCGCCGGCGUUGAGCCGCCGGCGAGACCCGAGACGGUGGCGCAGCUCGAAAAACGCCUACAGGGCACGAGCGAGGCCGUUCAUGGGCUCGUUGGAGAGCUCUUGCAGUCGCGCAUCUAGUGGUGGUGGUGGCCGGGCCUACGGUGGCCGGAGACGACGACGGCGAGCUCCAAGGCGGCGGCCGGAGUUCGGCCAUGUGCGGGGUGUGGGCUGUGGCGUGCAAACGUGGAAACUGAGGCACUAGCGAGGCACUACGCGAUGCGGCAAGCACGUUGCGUAGCACGGGAUGACCAAAUGGUCGCCGGAGCGGCGCCGGCGACAAGCUCGAGCGGAGACGAGCUUCGGCCAUGGUGGCACUAUGGCCUAGAGGGUGCAAACGCGUGGAAAAGAAGAGGGGAAAGGUGGCGGAGCUCACAGGCAGGUCGAUGAGCAGCUCAGUGGGCUCGGGGGCGACCGGAGUGAGGCGAAUCGAUGAGCGGCGUCCGGCGGGUACCGAGGUUGAAGACAAUCCGAUGGCGGCGAUGCAGGGCCUCCGGCGAUGCGUGGCUCGGUGGGGAGGGCGGGGGCGUCACGGCGCAGCUUCUGGACAGGUCAGAGAGGCGAGGGGGUGACGGAGGGCGCGACUACGGCGGUGAGACGGCGAUUAGAAAGAAAGAUUUGGUUCACUCGUACGUGAAAAAAGGAACAAGCGCUUGAUGCCUUCCUUUGCAUCGAUGCCAGACGCGGUGCUGGGAAUCGACAAGAUAACCGCCAAUCUACCAGGAUUAAAUUCCUAGCGCCUCCUUCUAGCGCCUCCCACUGAAAAUGCCCUAACGAUUUUUGAGGGAUUUUUUUACUGUGUCCUACUUCACGAAUCACGAGGCAAAUCAAGUAGGCGGCAUGGCCUGGCCGGUGAGUGCCAUUGCACUUACUUGCCCCAGCAAUUUUCCGCGUGCAUUGUAGAAUUCUUUCUCCGAGUCCUGUGAAUUAAAGAUGGUGCAGACAAAAGUAUAUCCUGUAUGCGUACAUGUGCAUGAUCAGAACAUGUUUUUACGUGCGUCUACUAUAAAUCAUGACCAUUUUUAACACAAAUCAUGACCAUUCAUGAUUAGUGAAUCAUACUGUCUUAACUUAUGUGAAAUCAUGUGGAGUAAUAUAAUAUAAUAUAAUAGAUAGAUAGAUCCAUGUUGUAUUAUUUUUUGUUUACAAAAAAUAUCUGUCAUUACACAUUUUGAUUUAUGCAUUUGUUUACAAAAAAAACAGUAACAUUUCAUGGUGGAAAGUUUGUAUUGUUUCAUACUGAACACCAAUGUUUUCCUGUAAAAGAAAAUAAUGCCUACGCAUAUGCUUUUAUAUUAUUAUUAUUCUUUCAAACUUAUUCAUACAGUAUUUUUGAUUGUGCAACCAUAAUUUUUAUUGUCUCUCUCGUUCCACUACAUGCUCUUACUCAAUGAUUUUUUUUAUAACGGGUGUUUUUAUUAACUCAAAAUAUAGUAUCAAGCGGAUACAAAACAUAAUGAGCCACACCUGGUCUCUGCAUAACUAAGAUGCAUACAGCUAAAAGCAGAUGUCUGACAAAAAUAAGAUAAGAAAAUCGACAUAUCGACAACAGUGAGUCAUAUAGUUCCGACACUAUGCCUCUGUUGAAGGACGGGGUGGAGCGAUCUGAAGAUUAUGCUGCCCUCCAUGUUGAGUAAAUACCUCCCUGGCCACUUGUUCCAACCGCAUAGACGCCGCCACGAAUAAUGGUCGGUACUCUGUUCGGUGUAGCAUACACCAUGUAGGAAGUGAGUGCUCACUUCUAGUUACUAAAUUAUGUACACACUAAUAGAAAAAGGGCCAUUUGUCCCGGUUCGUAAGGCCCAUUUGUCCCAGUUGGGGAACCGGGACUAAAGGGUCGGUACUAAAGCCCUACACAUUUAGUCCCGGUUCUUACACCAUCCGAGACAGAUGGGGCUCCACGUGGCCGCUACAGCUUGCCGUGGCAGGGGGGCCUUUUGUCCCGGUUGGUAGCACCAACCGGGACCAAUAAGCUACCACGCGUCAGCAUUUGAGGGCUAGGUUUUUUGUUUUUUUUCNNNNNNNNNNNNNNNNNNNNNNNNNNNNNNNNNNNNNNNNNNNNNNNNNNNNNNNNNNNNNNNNNNNNNNNNNNNNNNNNNNNNNNNNNNNNNNNNNNNNNNNNNNNNNNNNNNNNNNNNNNNNNNNNNNNNNNNNNNNNNNNNNNNNNNNNNNNNNNNNNNNNNNNNNNNNNNNNNNNNNNNNNNNNNNNNNNNNNNNNNNNNNNNNNNNNNNNNNNNNNNNNNNNNNNNNNNNNNNNNNNNNNNNNNNNNNNNNNNNNNNNNNNNNNNNNNNNNNNNNNNNNNNNNNNNNNNNNNNNNNNNNNNNNNCAAAUGAAGUAAACCAUUAAGUACAGAAGUUCGUCAUGAACAUAUGCAUACAAACAUAAGUGAUAUCGACCUCUCCUUCUCCGACAGAUAGGUCGAACAACAAGUUUCCGUAUAUCUAUCCGGCGCUACUAGCUACAUAUAUACAAUAUUAAGAUCUCUUACAAUAUAAUCCCCUAAUUAUAAAUGAACUCAGCUUCGAGAUGGUAUUCUCCGGCUUUAUUGAUGACGUGGUCAAGAAAGAAUCCCUCCAAUUCCUCUUGAAUUGCUUUGAUGCGAUCUUGUGGUAGGAGUUCAUCCCGCAUCUGCCACAUCUAAUUUGAAGAAGGGGGUCAAUCACCAGUAGAAUAACAGCCAUUUGUCCUGGUUCAUAAGGUUAAUUUGUCCCGGUUGGGGAACCGAGACUAAAGGGUCGUUACUAAAGCCCUACACCUUUAGUCCUGGUUCUUACACCAACUGGGACAGAUGGGCCUCCAUGUGGCUGCUGCGGCGAGCCCAGGCCGGAGGUCCUUUGGUCCCGGUUAGUGGCACUGAUACGUCUCCAACGUAUCUAUAAUUUUUGAUUGCUCCAUGCUAUUAUGUUAUCUAUUUUGGAUGUUAAUGGGCUUUAUUUUACACCUUUAUAUCAUUUUUGGGACUAACCUACUAAUCGGAGGCCCAACCCAAAUUGCUGUUUUCUGCCUAUUUUAGGUUUUCGAAGAAAAGGAAUAUCAAACGGAGUCCAAACGGAAUGAAACCUUCGAGAACGUGAUUUUCUCAACGAACAUGAUUCAGGAGACUUGGAGUGUGCGCCAAGAAACAAGGGAGGAAGGCACGAGGCAGGGGGGGCGCGGCUACCCUCUUGGGCACGCCCUCCACCCUCGUGGGCCCUCCGCUGCUCCACCGACGUACUUCUUCCUCCUAUAUAUAUCCACGUACCCCCAAACAUCCAGGAGCACCACGAAAACCUAAUUCCACCGCUGCAACCUUCUGUACCCAAGAGAACCCAUCUUGGGGCCUUUUCUGGAGGUCCACCGGAGGGGGCAUCGAUCAGGGAGGGCCUCUACAUCAACUCCAUGGCCUCUCCGGUAAUGUGUGAGUAGUUUACUUCAGACCUACGGGUCUAUAGUUAUUAGCUAGAUGGCUUCUUCUUCUCUCUUUGGAUCUCAAUAAAAAGUUCUCCUCGAUUUUCUUGGAGAUCUAUUCGAUGUAACCUUCUUUUGCAGUGUGUUUGUCGAGAUCCGAUGAAUUGUGGGUUUAUGAUCCAGAUUAUCUAUGAACAAUAUUUGAUUCUCCUAUGAAUUCUAUUAUGUAUGACUGGUUUAUCUUUGCAAGUCUCUUCGAAUUAUCAGUUCGGUUUGGCCUACUAGAUUGAUUUCUUGCAAUGGGAGAAGUGCUUAGCUUUGGGUUCAAUCUUGUGGUGUUUGAUCCCAGUGACAGAAAGGGAACCAAUACGUAUUGUAUUGUUGCCAUCGAGGAUAAAAAGAUGGGGUUUAUAUCAUAUCGCAUGAGUUUAUCCCUCUACAUCAUGUCAUCUUCCUUAAAGCAUUACUAUGUUCUCUUGAACUUAAUACUCUAGAUGCAUGCUAGAUAGCGGUCCAUGUGUCGAGUAAUAGUAGUAGAUGCAGAAUCGUUUCGGUCUACUUGUCUAGGACGUGAUGCCUAUAUACAUGAUCAUACCUAGAUAUUCUCAUAACUAUGCUCAAUUCUGUACAAUAUGGUGCACGGGGUUACAUCGGCCUGUAAAGACAUUUAUGCGAUGUGAGACAUCCGAAAAGCAACGAAAACGGGAGAUUAUACAUUUAUUGAAGAGGGCCGGUGUGACAGAUACCGUGAGGGCGUCGAGCUCAGCCAAAGACGACGGACAGCUGAGCACGGCCUGUGUCAGAGCCGGUGCGGGAGCAAGUGCAGGUGCAGGUGCUGGUGCAACGCUAGUCGAGCUGCUCCUGAAGAAGUCAACAAUGGGAAAGUCCGCUGCAUUUUUUCUGCAUUUUGCGUGCUCCAAUUGAAAAUGGCUGGAACCAAGACAGUAGACAUAUCUGCAACCACCUGUUUUCCAGCAGCUACCGCUGUCGCGACUGUCUCAGAUGAUUUCUUCUCAACCGCAAUCUCAACCUUCUUGUCGAUGUUUUAUUCGGUUAACCUCCAUCUUUCCUUUCUCUCCUCUGUGGUCUCACGGUAGUACUUCUUCCACGUGGCCCCGUCUCCGACACCGUGAACGCGUCCAUACGACGACCGAGUCUCCACCGGGAGUCCUUUCAAUAUGUUCAAUGCCCGGUUGAAUGGAGUGUCCCACUUGGGCCUUGCCAAUGCCUCAGACGGCGAGUCGCUUUCGGCCGCAAUCUUGUGCUGCUCUCUUUACAAAAGGAACACGGAUCAUUUACAAAUAUGACUAAACGUGCAGUCAAAUUGAUCAGAAACUAAAAUUACCGGCAGUCUCAUGAACUCCGUCGUGAUCGGGUCCGUCUUGAAAACCUUCUUGACUUAGUCCCAAUGGUGCCGUGCCUUGAGGACGUCAUCCUCCUACGGGAUGGUGAAGUCCGCCAAGGGGUCUGGGAUGCCAGAUUUUCGCAUUCCGUGUCCUCCUUGGCCCAUAUGGACCUCUUCCUGCCGUAACCACUGCUUCCGAGGUGGUGGCGCCCCAUGUUCCUUUGUGGAAGCCCCUUCAUGUACUUCGACUUUGUUUUGGCAGCUUCGGCCUCGCAAGCCGCCUUGAAUAUUUCAAAGUGCUCUCCCAUGAUUGUCAGAUUAUCCUUUACAAUCUCGGAGUAGGGUUGAUACGUCUCCAACGUAUCUAUUAUUUUUGAUUGCUCCAUGCUAUAUUAUCUCCUAUUUUGGACAAUAUUGGGCUUUAUAAUCGACUUUUAUAUUAUUUUUGGGACUAACCUAUUAACCGGAGGCCCAGCCUAGAAUUGUUGUCUUUUGCCUGUUUUAGGGUUUCGAAGAAAAGGAAUAUCAAACGGAGUCCAAACGGAAUGAAACCUUCGGGAACGUGAUUUUCUGAACGAACAAGACCCAGGAGACUUGGACCCUAUGUCAAGACACAAAAGAGGAGGACACGAGGUAGGGGGCGCACCUACCCCCCCCCCCCCCUCGAGGCACGCCCUCCACCCUCGUGGGGCCCCUGUUGCUCCACCGAUGUACUCCUUCCUCCUAUAUAUACCUACGUACCCCCAAACGAUCAGAUACAGAGCCAAAACCCUAAUUCCACUACCGCAACUUUCUGUAUCCACGUGAUCCCAUCUUGGGGCCUGUUCCGGAGCUCCGCCAGAGGGGGCAUCGAUCACGGUGGGCUUCUACAUCAACACCAUAGCCUCUCCGAUGAAGUGUGAGUAGUUCACCUCAGACGUACGGGUCCAUAGUUAUUACCUAGAUGGCUUCUUCUCUCUUUUUGGAUCUCAAUACAAUGUUCUCCCCCUCUCUUGUGGAGAACUAUUCGAUGUAAUCUUCUUUUUGCGGUGUGUUUAUUGAGACCGAUGAAUUGUGGGUUUAUGAUGAAGUCUAUCUAUGAAUAAUAUUUGAAUCUUCUCUGAAUUCUUUUAUGUAUGAUUGUUUAUCUUUGCAAGUCUCUUUGAAUUAUCAGUUUGGUUUGGCCUACUAGAUUGAUCUUUCUUACAAUGGGAGAAGUACUUAGCUUCGGGUUCAAUCUUGCGGUGUCCUUUCCCAAUGACAGUAGGGGCAGCAAGGCAUGUAUUGUAUUGUUGCCAUCGAGGACAACAAGAUGGGGUUUUCAUCAUAUUGCAUGAGUCUAUCCCUCUACAUCAUGUCAUCUUGCUUAAGGCGUUACUCUGUUUUUAACUUAAUACUCUAGAUGCAUGCUGGAUAGCGGUCGAUGAGUGGAGUAAUAGUAGUAGAUGCAGGGAGGAGUCGGUCUACUUGUCUCAAACGUGAUGCCUAUAUACAUGAUCAUACCUAGAUAUUCUCAUAACUAUGCUCAAUUCUGUCAAUUGCUCAACAGUAAUUUGUUCACCCACCAUAGAAUAAUUAUGCUCUUGAGAGAAGCCACUAGUGAAACCUAUGGCCCCUGGGUCUAUCUUUAUCAUAUUAAUCUCCUAUUACUUAGUUAUUUCCUUUGCUUUUUCCUUUGCCUUUAUUUUACUUUUCAUCUUUAUCACAAAAAUACCAAACAUAUUAUCUUUAUCAUACCUAUCAGAUCUCACUCUCGUAAGUGGCUGUGUAGGGAUUGACAACCCCUAUUCGCGUUGGUUGCGAGGAUUUAUUUCUUUUGUGCAAGUACGAGGGACUCGCGCGUAGCCUCCUACUGGAUUGAUACCUUGGUUCUCAAAAACUGAGGGAAAUACUUACGCUACUUUGCUGCAUCAUCCCUUCCUCUUCGGGGAAAACCAACGUAGUUCUCAAGAGCUGGCAAGAUGGAUUUCUGGCGCCGUUGCCGCGGAGGUCUACGCAAAAGUCAACAUACCAAGUACCCAUCACAUACCCUUAUCUCCCUCAUUACAUUAUUUGCCAUUUGCUUCUCGUUUUCCUCUUCCCCACUUCACCCUUGCCUUUUUAUUCGCCCUCUCUCUCUAUCCUCCCUCUCUUUCUCUAUUUGCCUCUUUUUCCCUACUUGCUUUCUGUUUGCUUGUGUGUUAGUUGCUUGCUUGUCACGAUGGCUCAAGAUAAUACUAAAUUACGUGACUUCACCAAUACCAACAACAAUGAUUUUAUUAGCACUCCGAUUUCUCCUCUUACCGAUGCUGAAUCUUGAGAAAUUAAUACUGCUUUGCUGAAUCUUGUCAUGAAAGAUCUGUUUUCCUGCCUUCCUAGUGAAGAUGCCGCUACCCACAUAAAUAGAUUCGUUGAUUUGUGUGACAUGCAAAAGAAGAAAGGUGUGGAUAAUGAUAUUGUUAAAUUGAAGCUAUUUCCUUUUUCGCUUAGAGAUCGUGCUAAAGCUUGGUUUUCGUCUUUGCCUAAAAAUAGUAUUGAUUCAUGGAAUAAGUGCAAAGAUGCUUUUAUCUCUAAGUAUUUUCCUCCUGCUAAGAUCAUCUCUCUUAGAAAUGAUAUUAUGAAUUUUAAGCAACUUGAUCAUGAACAUGUUGCACAAGCUUGGGAGAGAAUGAAACUAAUGAUACGUAAUUGACCUGCCCAUGGUUUAAAUUUGUGGAUGAUUAUACCAAAUUUUUAUGCCGGAUUGAACUUUGCUUCUAGAAAUCUUUUAGAUUAGGCCGCAGGAGGCACUAUUAUGGAAAUCACUUUAGGAGAAGCUACUAAACUCCUAGAUAAUAUUAUGGUUAAUUAUUCUCAACGGCAUACCGAAAGUUCUACUAAUAAAAAGGUGCAUGCGAUAGAAGAAAUUAAUGUUUUGAGUGGAAAGAUGGAUGAACUUCUGAAAUUAUUUGCUAAUAAGAGUAUUUCUUCUGAUCCUAAUGAUAUGCCCUUGUCUACUUUGAUUGAGAAUAAUAAUGAAUCUAUGGAUGUGGAUUUUGUUGGUAGGAACAAUUUUGGUAACAACGCGUAUAGAGGAAAUUUCAACCCUAGGCCUUAUCCUAGUAAUCUCUCUAAUAAUUAUGGUAAUUCCUACAGCAAUUCUUAUGGAAAUUAUAAUAAGAUGCAUACUGAUUUUGAAUCUAAUAUUAGAGAAUUUAUUACUUUGCAAAAGAAUUUCAAUGCUUUGAUUGAAGAAAAAUUGCUUAAGAUUGAUGAUUUGGCUAGGAACAUUGAUAGAAUUACUCUUGAUGUUGAUUCUUUGAAACUUAGAUCUAUUCCACCUAAGCAUGAUGUCAAUGAGUCUCUCAAAGCCAUGAGAAUUUCCAUUGAUGAGUGCAAAGAAAGAACCACUAGGAUGCGUGCUAAGAAAGAUGCCUUUAUAAGAGCGUGUUCUUCUAGUUCCUAUGAAAAUAAUGAUGAAGAUCAAAAAGUUAUUGAUGUGCUCCCUAUUAAAUCUUUGUUUUGCAAUACGAAUCUUGAUAAUCAUGGGACUGAAUAUGAUCCACCUUUACCUAGAAGGCGUUCCAAGAAUUCAGAAUUUGUUGAUCUUGAUGGUAAAACUGAUAAAGGUGGGAUUGAAGAAAUUAAAACCCUAGAUGUUGCUAAACCCACUAUUAUGGAUUUCAAGGAACUUAACUAUCAAAACUGCCCUUUGAUUGAUUGUAUAUCCUUGUUACAAUCCGUGCUAAAUUCUCCUCAUGCUUAUAGUCAAAAUAAAGCAUUUACUAAACAUAUCGUUGAUGCCUUGAUGCAAUCUUAUGAAGAAAAACUUGAAUUGGAAGUUUCUAUCCCUAUAAAGCUUUAUGAUGAGUGGGAACCAACUAUUAAAAUUAAAAUUAAAUAUCAUGAAUGCUAUGCUUUAUGUGAUUUUGUGUGCUAGUGUUUCCACGAUUCCAAAGACUUUGUGUGAUUUGUUAGGUUUCCAUGAUUUUGAUGAUUGCUCUUUAAACUUGCACCUUGCGGAUUCCACUAUUAAGAAACCUAUGGGAAGAAUUAAUGAUGUUCUUAUUGUUGCAAAUAGCAAUUAUGUUCCCGUAGAUUUUAUUGUUCUUGACAUAGAUUGCAAUCUUUCAUGUCCUAUUAUUCUUGGUAGACCUUUCCUUAGAACGACUGGUGCAAUUAUUGAUAUGAAGGAAGGAAAUAUUAGAUUCCAAUUUCCAUUAAGGAAAGGCAUGGAACACUUUCCUAGAAAGUAAAUUAAAUUACCUUAUGAAUCUAUUAUGAUAGCCACUUAUGGAUUGCCUACCAAAGAUGGCAAUACCUAGAUCUAUCCUUGCUUGUUAUGCCUAGCUAGGGGCGUUAAACGAUAGCGCUUGUAGGGAGGCAACCCAAUUUUAUUUUUACUCCUUGAUUUUUGCUCCUGUUUAGUAAUAAAUAAUUUAUAUAGCCUCUGUUUUGCUUGUGUUCUUUGUGUUUAAUUAGUGUUUGUGCCAAGUAGAACCGUUAGGAAGACUUGGGGAAAGUCAUGUUACACUUGCUGUAAAAAACUGAAACUUCAGCGCUCACGAGAACUGCUGCCGUUUUUAUUUGGAAAGUGCUAUUUAGUUAAUUAUUUUUUCAGAUAAAUUCCUCACAUCCAGAAAUUUAUUUUAGAAUUUUUGGGGUUCCAGCUCUUGAGCUAGCUACAGAGUACUACCGACUGUUCUGUUUUUGAAAGAUUCUGUUUUUCGUGUGUUGUUUGCUUAUUUUGAUGAAGCUAUGGCUAGUAAAAUAUUUUAUAAACCAUAGAGAAGUUGGAAUACAGUAGGUAUAACACCAAUAUAAAUAAAUAAUGAGUUCAUUACAGUACCUUGAAGUGGUCUUUUAUUUUCUUUCGCUAACGGAGCUCAUGAGAUAUUCUACUUUAAGUUUUGUGUUGUGAAGUUUUCAAGUUUUGGGUAAAGAUUUGAUGCAUUAUGGAACAAGGAGUGACAAGAGCCUAAGCUUGGGGAUGCCCAUGGCACCCCCAAGAUAAUCUAAGUACACCUAAAAGCCAAAGCUUGGGGAUGCGCCGGAAGUCAUCCCCUCUUUCAUCUACUUCUAUCGGUAACUUUACUUGGAGCUAUAUUUUUAUUCGCCACAUGAUAUGUGUUUUGCUUGGAGCGUCUUGUAUUAUUUGAGUCUUUAUUUGUUAGUUUACCACAAUCAUCCUUGCUGUACACACCUUUUGAGAGAGUCAUACAUGACUUGGAAUUUGUUAGAAUACACUAUGUGUUUCGCUUAUAUCUUUUGAGUUAUAUAGUUUUGCUCUAGUACUUCACUUCUAUCGUUUAGAGCACGGUGGUGGAUUUGUUUUAUAGAAACUAUUGAUCUCUCAUGCUUCACUUAGAUUAUUUUGAGAUUCUUAAUAGCAUGUUAAUUUGCUUAAAAUCCUAAUAUGCUAGGUAUUCAAAGUUAGUAAAAUUUUCUUAAGAGUGUUUUGAAUACUAAGAGAAGUUUGAUGCUUGAUGAUUGUUUUGAGAUAUGGAGGUAAUAAUAUCAAAGUCAUUCUACUUGAGUAGUUGUGAAAUUGAGAAAUACUAGUGUUGAAGUUUGCAUGUCCCGUAGCACGCACGUAUGGUAAACGUUGUGUAACAAAUUUGAAACAUGAGGUGUUAUUUGAUUGUCUUCCUUGUGAGUGGCGGUCGGGGACAAGCUAUGGUCUUUUCCUACCAAUCUAUCCCCCUAGGAGCAUGCGCGUAGUACCAAGGUUUUUGAUGACUUGUAGAUUUUUGCAGUAAGUAUGUGAGUUCUUUAUGACCAAUGUUGAGUCCUUGAAUUAUACGCACUCUCACCCUUCCAUCCUUGCUAGCCUCUUCGGUACCGUGCAUUGCCCUUUCCCACAUUGAGAGUUGGAGCAAACUUCGCCAGUGCAUCCAAACCCCGUGAUAUGAUACGCUCUUUAACACAUAAACCUCCUUAUAUCUUCCUCAAAAUAGCCACCAUACCUACCUAGUAUGGCAUUUCCAUAGCCAUUCCGACAUAUAUUGCCAUGCAACUUUCCACCAUUCCGUUCAUCAUGACACAUUCAUCAUUGUCAUAUUGCUUAGCAUAAUCAUGUUGUUGACAUAGUAUUUGUGGCAAGGCCACCGUUCAUAAUUCUUUCAUACAUGUCACUCUUGGUCCAUUGCAUGUCCCGGUACACCGCCGGAGGCAUUCAUAUAGAGUCCUACUUUGUUCUAGUAUCGAGUAGUAAUUAUUGAUUCGUAAAUAAAUAGAAGUGUGAUGAUCAUCAUUAAUAGAGCAUGGUCCCAAAAAGAAAAAAAGGAAGUGCCAAAAAAGGCCAAAUAAAAAAAUAUAAAAAAGGGGGGCAAUGCUACUAUCCUUUUUUUCCACACUUGUGCUUCAAAGUAGCACCGUAAUCUUCAAGAUAGAGAGUCUCUUGAUUUGUCACUUUCAUAUACUAGUGGGAAUUUUUCAUUAUAGAACUUGGCUUGUAUAUUCCAAUAAUGGGCCUCCUCAAGUGCCCUAGGUCUUCGUGAGCAAGCAAGUUGGAUGCACACCCACUUAGUUUCUUUUGUUGAGCUCUCAUACAUUUAUAGCUCUAGUGCAUCCGUUGCAUGGCAAUCCCUACUCAUUGCAUUAACAUCAAUUAAUGGGCAUCUCCAUAGCCCAUUGAUUAGCCUCGUUGAUGUGAGACUUUCUCCUUUUUGUCUUCUCCACAUAACCCCACUCAUUAUAUUCUAUUCCACCCAUAGUGUUAUGUCCAUGGCUUGCAAUCAUAUAUUGCAUGAAAGUUUAUAGGUUUGAGAUCACUAAAGUAUGAAACAAUUGCUUGGCUUGUCAUCGGGGUUGUGCAUGAUGAGAGCAUUCUUGUGUGACGAAAAUGAAGCAUGACUAAACUAUAUGAUUUUGUAGGGCUGAACUUUCUUUGGCCGUGUUAUUUUGAGAAGACAUAAUUGCUCAGUUAGUAUGCUUGAAGUAUUAUAAUUUUAUGUCAAUAUGAACUUUUGUCUUGAAUGUUUCAGAUCUGAAUAUUCAUACCACAAUUAAAAAGAAUUACAUUAAAAUCAUGCCAUGUAGCACUCCGCAUCAAAAAUUCUGUUUUUAUCAUUUACCUACUCGAGGACGAGCAGGAAUUAAGCUUGGUGAUGCUUGAUACGUCUCCAACGUAUCUAUAAUUUUUGAUUGCUCCAUGUAUAUUAUCUAUUGUUUUGGACAAUAUUGGGCUUUAUUAUCCACUUUUAUAUUAUUUUUGGGACUAACCUAUUAACCGGAGGCCCAGCCCAGAAUUGUUGUUUUUUGCCUGUUUUAGGGUUUCGAAGAAAAGGAAUAUCAAACGGAGUCCAAACGGAAUGAAACCUUCGGGAACGUGAUUUUCUCAACGAACAAGACCUAGGAGACUUGGACCCUCCAUCAAGACAUAAAAGAGGAGGCCACGAGGUAGGGGGCGUGCCUACCCCCCCCCCCCCCGGCGCGCCCUCCACCCUCGUGGGCCCCCCUGUUGCUCCACCGACGUACUCCUUCCUCCUAUAUAUACCUACUAUUGGGGAACGUAGCAGAAUUUUAAAAUUUUCUAUGCAAGAUCAAUCUAUGGAGUCAUCUAGCAACGAGGGAGAGAGGAGUGCAUCUACAUACCCUUGUAGAUCGCGCGCGGAAGCGUUCAAGAGAACGGGGUUGAUGGAGUCGUACUCGUCGUGAUCCAAAUCACCGAUGACCAAGUGCCGAACGGAUAGCACCUCCGCGUUCAACACACGUACGGUUGGGAAGACGUCUCCUCCUUCUUGAUCCAGCAAGGGGGAAGGAGAGGUUGAUGAAGAUCCAGCAGCACGAUGGCAUGGUGGUGGAUGCAGCAGGAUCCCGGCAGGGCUUCGCCAAGUGCAAGCGGGGAGGAGAGGUGUUACGGAAGGAGAGGGAGGCGCCAAGAGAAAGGGUGCGGCUACCCUCCCUCCCCCCCUCUUUAUAUAGGGGCCUUGGGGGGCGCCGGCCCUAGGAGAUGGAUCUCCAAGGGGGGCGAAGGCCAAGGGGUGGCUUCCCCCCCAAGCCAAGUGGGGGGCGCCCCCACCCCUAGGGUUUCCCAACCCUAGGUGCAGGGGAGGCCCAAGGGGGGCGCACCAGCCCACUAGGGGCUGGUUCUGCUCCCAAUUCAGCCCAUGGGGCCCUCCGGGAUGGGUGGCCCCACCCGGUGGACCCCCGGGACCCUUCCGGUGGUCCUGGUACUAUACCGGUGACCCCCGAAACCUUUCCGAUGGCCGAAACUGUACUUCCUAUAUAUAAAUCUUUACCUCCGGACCAUUCCGGAACUCCUCGUGAUGUCCGGGAUCUCCUCCGGGACUCCGAACAUAUCCUGGGUUACUACAUACUAAUAUCUCUACAACCCUAGCGUCACCGAACCUUAAGUGUGUAGACCCUACGGGUUCGGGAGACAUGCAGACAUGACCGAGACGCCUCUCCGGUCAAUAACCAACAGCGGGAUCUGGAUACCCAUGUUGGCUUCCACAUGCUCCAUGAUGAUCUCAUCGGAUGAACCACGAUGUCGAGGAUUCAAUCAAUCUGUAUACAAUUCCCUCUGUCAAUCGGUAGGUUACUUGCCCGAGACUCGAUCGUCGGUAUCCCAAUACCUCGUUCAAUCUCGUUACCAGCAAGUCACUUUACUCGUGCCGUAAUGCAUGAUCCCAUGAUCAACCACUUGGUCACAAUGAGCUCAUUAUGAUGAUGCAUUACCGAGUGGGCCCAGAGAUACCUCUCCGUCAUACGGAGUGACAAAUCCCAGUCUCGAUUCGUGCCAACCCAACAGACACUUUCAGAGAUACCUGUAAUGUUCCUUUAUAGUCACCCAGUUACGUUGUGACAUUUGGCACACCCAAGGCACUCCUACGGUAUCCGGGAGUUGCCCAAUCUCAUGGUCUAAGGAAAUGAUACUUGACAUUCGGAAAAGCUACAGCAAACGAACUACACGAUCUUUGAGCUAUGCUUAGGAUUGGGUCUUGUCCAUCACAUCAUUCUCCUAAUGAUGUGAACCCGUUAUCAAUAACAUCCAAUGUCCAUAGUCAGGAAACCAUGACUAUCUUUUGAUCAACGAGCUAGUCAACUAGAGGCUCACUAGGGACGUGUUGUCUUCUAUGUAUUCACACAUGUAUUACGAUUUCCGGAUAACACAAUUAUAGCAUGAACAAUAGACAAUUAUCAUGAACAAAGAAAUAUAAUAAUAACCAUUUUAUUAUUGCCUCUAGGGCAUAUUUCCAACAGUCUCCCACUUGCACUAGAGUCAAUGUCUAGUUACAUUGUGAUGAAUCGAACACCCUUGAAGUUCUGGAGUUGAUCAUAUUUUUCUCUAGGGAGAGGUUUAGUCAAUGGAUCUGCCACAUUCAGGUCCGUAUGUACUUUACAAAUCUCUAUGUCUCCAUUUUGAACAACUUCACGAAUGGAGUUGAAGUGACGCUUGAUAUGCCUGGUCUUCCUGUGAAACCUGGGCUCCUUGGCAAGUGCAAUAGCUCCAGUGUUGUCACAGAAUAGAGUCAUCGGGCACGGUGCAUUGGGUAUGACUCCUAGGUCGGUAAUGAACUCCUUCACCCAGACUGCUUCUUGUCCUGCCUCCGAGGCUACCAUGUACUCCGCUUCACAUGUAGAUCCCGCCACAACGCUUUGCUUGCAACUCCACCAGCUUAUUGCCCCACCAUUCAAAAUAUACACGUAUCCGGUUUCCGACUUAGAGUCAUCCAGAUCUGUGUCGAAGCUAGCAUCGACGUAACCCUUUACGACGAGCUCUUCGUCACCUACAUAAACGAGAAACAUAUCCUUACUCCUUUUUAGGUACUUGAGGAUAUUCUUGACCGCUGUCCAUGUUAGGGAACGUUGUAAUUUCAAAAAAAUUCCUACGCACACGCAAGAUCAUGGUGAUGCAUAGCAACGAGGGGAGAGUCUGAUCUACGUACCCUUGUAGAUCGCAACGGAAGCGUUGACACAACGUAGGGGAAGUAGUCGUACGUCUUCUUCCCGAUCCGACCGAUCCAAGCACCAUUACUCCGGCACCUCCGAGUUCUUAGCACACGUUCAGCUCGAUGACGAUCCUCGGGCUCCGAUCCAGCAAAGUGUCGAGGAAGAGUUCCGUCAGCACGACGGCGUGGCGACAAUCUUAAUGUACUACCGACGCAGGGCUUCGCCUAAGCACUACAACAGUAUGAUCGAGGUGGAAUUUGGUGGCAGGGGGCACCGAACACGGCUAAGGAACGAUCUCAAUGAUCAACUUGUGUGUCUAGAGGUGCCCCCUGCCCCCGUAUAUAAAGGUUGCCAGGGGGUGGGCUGGCCGGCCAAAGGAGGAGGGCGCAGGAGGAGUCCUACUCCUACCGGGAGUAGGACUCCCCCCCCCAAUCCUAUUCCUAAUAGGACUCCUCGAGAGAGAGAGAGGGAGAAGGGGGCCGGCCACCUCUCCUAGUCCUAAUAGGACUAGGGGAGGGGGGAGGCGCGCAGCCCACCUUGGGCUGCCCCUUUCGCCUUUCCACUAAGGCCCAAUAAGGCCCAUUUGGUUCCCGGGGGGUUCCGGUAACCUCCCUAUACUCCGGUAAAAUUCCCGAUUUCACCCGGAACACUUCCGAUGUCCAAACAUAGGCUUCCAAUAUAUCAAUCUUUAUGUCUCGACCAUUUCGAGACUCCUCGUCAUGUCCGUGAUCACAUCCGGGACUCCGAACAACCUUCGGUACAUCAAAAUGCAUAAACUCAUAAUAACUGUCAUCGUAACGUUAAGCGUGCGGACCCUACGGUUCGAGAACAAUGUAGACAUGACCGAGACACGUCUCCGGUCAAUAACCAAUAGCGGGACCUGGAUGCCCAUAUUUGCUCCUACAUAUUCUACAAAGAUCUUUAUCGGUCAGACCGCAUAACAACAUACGUUGUUCCCUUUGUCAUCGGUAUGUUACUUGCCCGAGAUUCGAUCGUCGGUAUCCAAUACCUAGUUCAAUCUCGUUACUGGCAAGUCUAUUUACUCGUUCCGUAAUACAUCAUCUCACAACUAACAUCUUAGUUAUAAUGCUUGCAAGGCUUCUGUGAUGUGUCUUACCGAGAGGGCCCAGAGAUACCUCUCCGACAAUCGGAGUGACAAACCCUAAUCUCGAAAUACGCCAACCCAACAUCUACCAUUGGAGACACCUGUAGUACUCCUCUAUAAUCACCCAGUUAUGUUGUGACGUUUGGUAGUACCCUAAGUGUUCCUCCGGCAAACGGGAGUUGCAUAAUCUCAUAGUCAUAGGAACAUGUAUAAGUCAUGAAGAAAGCAAUAGCAACAUACUAAACGAUUGGGUGCUAAGCUAAUGAAAUGGGUCAUGUCAAUCAGAUCAUUCAACUAAUGAUGUGACCUCGUUAAUCAAAUAACAACUCUUUGUUCAUGGUUAGGAAACGUAACCAUCUUUGAUUAACGAGCUAGUCAAGUAAAGGCAUACUAGUGACACUCUGUUUGUCUAUGUAUUCACACAUGUAUUAUGUUUCCGGUUAAUACAAUUCUAGCAUGAAUAAUAAACAUUUAUCAUGAUAUAAGGAAAUAAAUAAUAACUUUAUUAUUGCCUCUAGGGCAUAUUUCCUUCAGUCUCCCACUUGCACUAGAGUCAAUUAUCUAGAUUACACAGUAAUGAUUCUAACACCCAUGGAGCCUUGGUGCUGAUCAUGUUUUGCUCAUGGAAGAUGCUUAGUCAACGGGUCUGCAACAUACAGAUCCGUAUGUAUCUUGCAAAUCUCUAUGUCUCCCACCUGGACUAGAUCCCGGAUGGAGUUGAAGCGUCUCUUGAUGUGUUUGGUCCUUUUGUGUAAUCUGGAUUCCUUUGCUAAAGCAAUUGCACCAGUAUUGUCACAAAAGAUUUUCAUUGGACCCGAUGCACUAGGUAUGACACCUAGAUCGGAUAUGAACUCCUUCAUCCAGACUCCUUCGUUCGCUGCUUCCGAAGCAGCUAUGUACUCCGCUUCACAUGUAGAUCCCGCUACGACGCUUGUUUAGAACUGCACCAAUUGACAGCUCCACCGUUUAAAGUAAACACCUAUCCGAUUUGCAAUUUAGAAUCGUCCGGAUCAGUGUCAAAGCUUGCAUCAACGUAACCUCUUACGGUGAGCUCUUUGUCACCUCCAUAUACGAGAAACAUAUCCUUAGUCCUUUUCAGGUACUUCAGGAUGUUCUUGACCGUUGUCCAGUGAUCCACUCCUGGAUUACUUUGGUACCUCCCUGCUAAACUUAUAGCAAGGCACACAUCAGGUCUGGUACACAGCAUUGCAUACAUGAUAGAGCCUAUGGCUGAAGCAUAGGGAACAUCUUUCAUUUUCUCUCUAUCUUCUGCAGUGGUCGGGCAUUGAGUCUGACUCAACUUCACACCUUGUAACACAGGCAAGAACCCUUUCUUUGCUUGAUCCAUUUUGAACUAAUUCAAAAUCUUGUCAAGGUAUGUGCUUUGUGAAAGUCCAAUUAAGCGUCUUGAUCUAUCUCUAUAGAUCUUUAUGCCUAAUAUGUAAGCGGCUUCCCCGAGGUCUUUCAUCGAAAAACUUUUAUUCAAGUAUCCCUUUAUGCUAUCCAGAAAUUCUAUAUCAUUUCCAAUCAGCAAUAUGUCAUCCACAUAUAAUAUCAGAAAUGCUACAGAGCUCCCACUCACUUUCUUGUAAAUACAGGCUUCUCCAAAAGUCUGUAUAAAGCCAAAUGCUUUGAUCACACUAUCAAAGCGUUUAUUCAAACUCCGAGAGGCUUGCACCAGUCCAUAAAUGGAUCGCUGGAGCUUGCACACUUUGUUAGCUCCCUUUGGAUCGAUAAAACCUUCUGGUUGCAUCAUAUACAACUCUUCUUCCAGAAAUCCAUUCAGGAAUGCAGUUUUGACAUCCAUCUGCCAAAUUUCAUAAUCAUAAAAUGCGGCAAUUGCUAACAUGAUUCUGACAGACUUAAGCAUCGCUACGGGUGAGAAGGUCUCAUCGUAGUCAACCCCUUGAACUUGUCGAAAAACUUUUGCGACAAGUCGAGCUUUAUAGACAGUAAUAUUACCGUCAGCGUCAGUCUUUUUCUUGAAGAUCCAUUUAUUCUCAUUUGCUUGCCGAUCAUCAGGCAAGUCAACCAAAGUCCAUACUUUGUUCUCAUAUAUGGAUCCCAUCUCAGAUUUCAUGGCUUCAAGCCACUUUGCGGAAUCUGGGCUCACCAUCGCUUCUUCAUAGUUCGUAGGUUCAUCAUGAUCUAGUAGCAUGACUUCCAGAAUUGGAUUACCGUACCACUCUAGUGCGGAUCUCACUCUGGUUGAUCUAUGUGGUUCAGUAGUAUCUUGUCCUAAAGUUUCAUGAUCAUCAUCAUUAGCUUCCUCACUAAUUGGUAUAGGUGUCGCAGAAACAGUUUUCUGUGAUGUACUAUUUUCCAAUAAGGGAGCAGGUACAGUUACCUCGUCAAGUUCUACUUUCCUCCCACUCACUUCUUUCGAGAGAAACUCCUUCUCUAGAAAUGAUCCAUUCUUAGCAACGAAUGUCUUGCCUUCGGAUCUGUGAUAGAAGGUGUACCCAACAGUCUCCUUUGGGUAUCCUAUGAAGACACAUUUCUCCGCUUUGGGUUCGAGCUUAUCAGGUUGAAGCUUUUUCACAUAAGCAUCGCAGCCCCAAACUUUAAGAAACGACAACUUUGGUUUCUUGCCAACACUACAGGAAUCGGCUACUUUGCCAUGUGCCACGGCGGACGGCAAAGGCCCGAACGGCGGACGGCAAAGGCCUUUGCCGUCAGCGGCGGACGGCAAAAGGCUCCGGCAAAGUAGGCUUCGGUAAACAGGUUCUUUGCCGUCUACUAUUGACGGCAAAGUCUUUGCCGUCUGCGGCGGACGGCAAAGAGAGAGCAGCAGACGGCAAAGACGGCGGACGGCAAUAAUUGCGCUGUCAGUCCGUUAAGUGGCUAACGGAAGGCCUUUGCCGUCCGCCGCUGACGGCAAAAUUUCUAGGGUCUUUGCCGUCCGCCGUAUGAUGUCAUCUACACGUCACUACGUGGCAGGUUCUUUGCCGUCUGCCACUGACGGCAAAGUCUUUGCUGUCUGCCACUGUAGGCAAACUGACCAAAUGGGUCAGCUCCCAGGAAGCACAGGUGGACGCCACGUGGCUUCUUUGCCAUCCGCGGCAGACGGCAAAGAGCCCGUUGCCGUCGGUGGUAGACGGCAAAGAGCCUGCAUAUUGGCUCUUUUUUCUGUUUUUUCAUAUACCCAACCAUUUUCACAGCAAAUAGAUGAUACAUAUAUAUUUUUCACAUGGCAAGUUCACAGCAAACAUAUGAGAUAUCCAACACAUAUAAUUGCAUCAUACAUGCAUAGUUCCAUCAACCAUACAUAGCAAGUUCGACAUACAUGCAUCCAACCAUACAUAUUACAAUAGUGUCAUCCUACCAUACAUGCAUAGUUCAUAGAUACAAAGGAAACAUAGUUCAUCCAAACAAGCACUCCAUCUAUGCAAGCUUCCGUGAAGUGAAUGAAUUCUGCAAAAUGGGAAAUAAGAAAGUUAGAAGAAGAAGAUUGGAAGAAGAAGAAGUAGAAGAAGAAUAUAUAUAUAUAUAUGACAUUUAUGCGCUAAUUUAGGUGAAAUUGAUCAUUUGUGAGCUAACUUAGGUGAAAUGGAUCGUUUAUGAGCUAACCUAGGUGCAAUGGAUCGCUUAUGAGCAAACUUAAGUAAAAUGCAUCAUUUUAGAGGUAACCUAGGUAAGAUGGAUCAUUUUGGAGCUAACCUAGGUAAAAUGGGUCAUUUUAGAGCUAACUUCGGUAGAAUGGAUCAUUUAUGAGCUAGGUAAGGUUAAAUGGAUCAUUUUAGAACUAACUUAGGUAAAAUGGAUCGUUUAUGAGCUAACUUAGGUAAAAUGGAUCGUUUUUGAGCUAACUAAGGUGAAAUGAAUCGUUUUUGAGCUAACUAAGGUGAAGGGCAUCAUUUUUGAGCUAACUAAGGUGAAAUGGAUCGUUUUUGAGCUAACUAAGGUGAAAUGAAUCGUUUUUGAGCUAACUAAGGUAAAAUGGAUCGUUUUUGAGCUAACUUAGGUGAAAUGGAUCGUUUUUGAGCAAACUUAGGUGAAAUGGNNNNNNNNNNNNNNNNNNNNNNNNNNNNNNNNNNNNNNNNNNNNNNNNNNNNNNNNNNNNNNNNNNNNNNNNNNNNNNNNNNNNNNNNNNNNNNNNNNNNNNNNNNNNNNNNNNNNNNNNNNNNNNNNNNNNNNNNNNNNNNNNNNNNNNNNNNNNNNNNNNNNNNNNNNNNNNNNNNNNNNNNNNNNNNNNNNNNNNNNNNNNNNNNNNNNNNGGAUCGUUUUUGAGCUAACUAAGGUGAAAUGGAUCAUUUUUUAGCUAACUAAGGUGAAAUGGAUCGUUUUUGAGCAAACUUAGGUGAAAUGGAUCAUUUAAGAGCUAAUUUAGGUGAAAUGGAUUGUUUUUGAGCUAACUAAGGUGAAAUGGAUCGUUUUUGAGCAAACUUAGGUGAAAUGGAUCAUUUAAGAGCUAAUUUAGGUGAAAUGGAUCGUUUUUGAGCAAACUUAGGUGAAAUGGAUCAUUUAAGAGCUAAUUUAGGUGAAAUGGAUCGUUUUUAGCUAACUUAGGUGAAAUGGAUCGUUUAGGAGCUACUCUAGGUAAAUUGGGUCAUUUUAGAGCUAACUUGGAUAAACUAGAUCACUUAUAAGCUAACCUAGGUAAGAUGGGUCAUUUUGGAGCUAACUUAGGUAAAAUGGAUCGUCUAUGAGCUAACUAAGCUAAUUAUGCAAUUUUUGACAUAAGUAAGCUAAGUAUAGAUUGUUUUAGAGCUAACUUAGGUAAAAUGGAUGGUUUUGGAGGUCAGUAAGCUUAUUUAGUCAUUUUGGAGGAGAAGAAGCUAAGUCUACGUCAUUAUGGUAAGCAUUGGAGGAAAUAAAGCUAAGUCUAGGUCUUUAUGCAUGUGUUAAGCAAAACACUAGAUAAACUUACCAAGAUCCAGGAGGUGUAGGAGUGGGGUGGCUCGUGUCGGUAGCUGGAGAAGGAUCGUGCGAUGCUUGUCUGGAGUUACGCUGCACCAAAGAUCAUUUCCAAUGUCUUGUUAGCAUGAUGACACUCAAAUGUUAAGACUAGUAAGUAAUGUCCAUUCAAAUAAAACUCACCGUGGUCCCAGGAGCAAUCACUGGCAUCGGCGGAGCGGUCUGACCUGUCUUCUCGCACACAGACUGCACAUUUGGUUUUGACGACUCAGUCAUACUAGUUAGUAAUGAGACAAACACUACAUGAAUGUUUUGGCUAAUCUGCAGAUGAAACUUACCACAAGGAGCUCGUACAUGGCCCUUGCCUGCAUGUCAUUCCGUGCCCUCUCCUCCUCCACCAUCUUUGUCGUCCUCUCCUCCAACUCCCGCUGCCUCUCCGCCGCCUCCGCCAGAAGUUUCUCCGUUCUAUCUCUCUCACUCUGUAUGGCAGCCUGCAACACCACUCACAUGACAAUUUGUAAUCAUUGAUGGAAGCGCACACAAUGUAAUGGAGAAAGAUAACUGAGUAUGUAUCACUAACCUUGAUGGCGACUUGCACUGGCCGUUCACGAGGCCUUAUCUUAGGAGCGGAGCUCGACUGGCGCGCCUUGAUCUCCGAGAGAGUGCUAGGACAACGGAUAAGUCCAUCUCCAAUGGCUAUGGAGCCAUGGGACCUCCCGUCACCAGAUAUCAUCAACAGCUCUGGAUCAAUGGGACCCUGGCUCGGGUUAAAGUCCUCCCCUUUCCUCGCCUUCCCCUCAUCUCUAUAUCUCACGAGCUUGUUGUGGGAGGAGAUGUUGGUGAAGUUGUUUGCAUCAUCGAGGUCAGACUGAGAGAAAGCCUUGACUUUCUUGAAAGAGGCAGUGUGGGCCAUGGCAUACAGGUCGUACACCUCUGGCACCUUAUCCGCCUUAUUAUAGCAUGCCUGAAAGAGAGAAACAAUGAAAAUUAGUAAUUAAAGGGCUCAAGCUAGCAUGAUGAAUGAAUUGCAUGAAUCAUGAAGCAAACCACAUACCCAGUUGCGCCCGAACUGAUAUAAGUUGGAGCUGCCUUGAUGGUGUGGCACACCUUCCAUUUUUGCACGUUUGUCCUUGGCCUCCUUGUGGGGGGCUAGCCAUCGUUGUGAGCACCACUCAUCGACCAACACCUCCCAACAAUCCAUCCGAUCCGCACACCAUCUCGGAGGCGCCUAAGUUAGCAAAUAGAAACUUGAGCGCUACGGCUAAGAAUUACUAAAUGAAGGAACUUAAGUAGAGAAGGCCUUGAGAAUUACCUUCAUGUAAUGCUCCUUACUCAGGAACUUAUCGCAGCAUGCCGGCUUGGUCUUCUUGAUACCACGCAAGGCGUAGUAGUCUCGAACAGCCUGCACCCGAGCCUCGUGCCGUAAGUUCUGGAGUAGGCGCUUGCAGACGUUCUCGAUAACAUGUGCCGCGUCCUCCUCGUAUCCCUCCUCACACCUGUAGAAUGUCUGCAAUCAAAUGAGACAAUGUUGAUUAGUACAAUUAAUAACUAGCUAGUUGAAGAUUUUUAAAUGUGUAAAGGAGAAAUUACCCAGAACUUUCUGAUCACCAUGUCUGCCCUCGUGUCACACACGACACCGUCGAUAAUCUCAUUUGGCAGGGCCGGGGCAGCCACGUAGUGCUCCCAGCUCAAUCCAAGCUCUGGAAGCCGACCCUCACCAGGCAACGUGACAAACCCCGGGAAGUUUUGCCGGCAAAGAACUCCAAGGACGGAGUUGGGCCGGCGGACACUAUGAUGGUGGUCCCAACCCCUGCAGCAUGACAAGGCCAACGCAUUAGUUAUUUGAAAAAAUGUGAAUGCACAAGGUACAAAAAUAUUAAAUGCACUUACGUACCUCUCCCCAUCAGGGAAAAUCAACCACCUCUGCUCGCGGGUCACCGGCACGGACGGGAGCCGUGUAGCACCACGCUGGUAGACGGUGCCCCCCUCCUCCUCAAGAUCAGUCGGCUCCCCGCCAUCAUCAGCAUGACCACUCGGCUCCUUGGGCUGAUCCGGCCAGGUACCCCAUCCGGACGUGUGCUCCUCCGGGGUCAUGUGGGCCGAACUCUCGUGGGCUGAAGACCCGUGGACCGGAGGCUCAUGGACCGGAGUUCGUGUAGCCUCCUCCUCGGACGAGUCCACCCUAGCAGUCACGUGCUUGGGUGAAACGGUUGGGGGUGGCGGCGAGGAAGGCACCGUAGCAGUCACCCUACCUCCUCUCCCAGGACCACGUGCCCCACCUCCUCUCUUCCUACCUCGUCCCCUGCUGGGCACCAUGGUCGACGAAGAAGGGCCCGGCGGUGUGGCCAUACUGUCCAGCAACGCUCGGCGGAGAGGUGCGUCUGGAAUGGAAGACCUCAGACCACGCUCCCGACCAGUGCCCACCAUCUUUCAACACCUGCCAUGACAAACAGUAAAUGAAAUUAGUACAACAUAAAAAAGGACCGACAUGAAUAAUAAUAUGUGUAUCACUUAAGUGUAUCAUCAUCAAGUACAACAUAAAAAAAUGUAAUACCGGACACUACUAAUAAUCUCGAUCAGUAUCAUCAAUAAAUGCAUAAUCAUCAUCAUCACUAUAAUCAAUGACGGGCUCAUAGGGUUCAUUGGCAUCAACAUGUGCAAGGCCACCUUGACGUAAUCGGUCAAGCAUUGACAGGUCAUCCGCAGCAGUAACCUCUUCUUGUUCCGGCUCUUCUUGUUCCUCCUCUGGGGUGAUGUCGGAUUCAUUGUCGCUGUCUACUUCAAUGUUUUGGGGUGAAGUAUAGCGGUUCUUGAAACGCUUUUUGGAAAGACGUGUCUCUUGGAAGAAUUCUCCUUCAUAUGUGUCUGGGUUAAUGUGAGGUUCAUAAUCCUCUUCCUUUGCGGGAGAAAGUCUAGCACGUGGCGGCACUUCAUAAACGACAUCCCAACCUUUCAGAUUUGGAUUAGUUUGGCAGGCCCACGGUAGAUAGAAUACUUGGGUCGCCUGUUGAGCCAUAAUAUAGACAUCAAGAACAUCUAAACGAGUGCUUUGGUUGAUUUCAACUAGCCCUACAUGUUCAUGAGUCCUUCUAGUCUCGUUUGGCUGAAACCAAUAACAUUUGAAGACUACGACAUUUUGUGGGUUUUCACCAUAGAACAGAAGUUCAUAAAUUGCUUCAACUCUCCCAUAAUACUCGGUACCUCCUUUGCCGAUAGCAGAUACACAACAAUUUGUUGACUUUGGGUCCGCCAUAGAUAGCUCUUUGCCAUAGGUACGAAAGCGAUACCCGUUGAUGUCGUACUUGUCAAAUGAACGGACCUUAUAGUCAAAACCAUUAGCGACUUGUCUCAAUUCGGCGUCCAUAGAGUCUGGAUUAGCCUACAGGUUUAAUAUGAAAGGAUUGUUGCAUUAUGCACAAAUUAGCGAAUGAAAUGAAAUUGUCUAAUAGAAAUUACCGUUUGUUUGAACCAAGAGAUGAAACCGGGAUAGCCACCUCCUUGCUUUGCGAGAAGCUCAUACUCUUCGACAGAAUCCUUUUGGAUCUCCGCUCCAUACGAGAAUAUGGUGACGUAUCGACUGUAUGACAUAUCCAGGAAUAAGAGUAGUUCAAAGGAAAUAGAAGUUGCGAAACAAUGUAUCGAGAACUUACUCGAUGUACGGCCGCACUUCUAUCAGGUUGUUGAAGAUAUACAAUGAAAUGGUCCGCCAUUCUUUGUUAUCCAAAGAUACUGGAUGUGAAACACCAGCUGGUGCGAGAUUCCCUUUGAAUAGGCUGAGGUUGGAUCCACCCUUUUUAGGCUCGUCAGCAUUGUACCGAGGCUUCGGAUUAUGCAAAUGACGAUUUUUGGCUUCGUAGUGCGCUGUUACGAAGUUUGCCACCUCCUCUGUGAUGAAUGCCUCAGCCAUCGAUGCUUCAAUUCUACGUUUAUUUUUACAUUUUUCUCGAAGCGUGUUCUGCAUCCUCUCAGUUGGGUAGCACCAACGAUUUUGCACGGGCCCCCCCAAUCUUGCCUCGGUCGGGAGAUGCAAAAUCAAAUGCUGCAUUGGAUUAAAGAAGCCCGGUGGAAAGAUUUUCUCUAACUUGUAGAUCAACUCCGGCGCCAACUCUUCCAUUUCUUCUAGCACGCCAGGAGAUAGUUAUUUCGCACAAAGAACACGGAAGAAAUAGCUGAGUUCUGCCAGUACUAGCCAUUCAUCCUCAGGGAUGAAGCCACGCAACAUCACCGGCAUUACCCGCUCAAUCCAUAUUUGCUCCCCUCUUUAGAUUCGCUGCAUACCCAUCGGGGAACAUCAACUGCUGUUGCACCCACAAGAGAAUUUCCCUCAUAGCUGGCCUUCCAAGAUUGAACCAUGCCUUUGGCUUCGUCUAGUUCUGCUUUCCUUUCGGUUCUUUCAUGUUUUGUAACGGCCUAUCACAUAGCGCCUCCAGAUCGACUCUAGCCUUAGUAUUAUCCUUUGACUUCCCAUCCAUGCCGAACAAUGUACCAAAAAGUGCCUCGGUGAUAUUCUUCUCAGUGUGCAUCACGUCGAUGUUGUGUGGGCAAAGGAGGUCUUUGAAGUAAGGCAGAUCCCAUAAGCAUGUUUUGUGAGUCCACGCAUGCUUAGUAUUAUACCCCUUGAAGUACCCUGGACAUUGUGGAUCUGGCUCGAGAGCGUUUAACUGAUCCAGGGUCUGUUGGCCUGUCAAUGCAGGUGGUGCAGAGUUUUUGACAACUCUACCCCUGAUGAAGUUCUUCUUGUCUUCCCUGAACUUAUGGCGAGGAUCCAGGAACUGUCUAUGCAUGUCGAAGCAAGAAAACUUGCGACCGGCCUGAAGCCAACGAAACUCAAGAGCUCCCUGGCAUGUGGGGCACGGGAACCUUCCAUGCACACACCAGCCAAUGAAUAGCGCAUACGCCGGCAAGUCAUGCGUCGAGUACAUGUACUAGACACGCAUUAUGAAGUUCCGUUUGCUAAAGGCAUCGUAUGUCUUGAACCCAUUAUCCCAAGCUUCUUGCAAUUCGUCCUUAAGCGGCUGCAUGUACACAUUCAUAUUUUUGCCCGGAUAGUUGGGUCCUGGAAAUAUCAACGUUAGGAAAAUGUUCUUUCUUUGCAUAAUCUGUGCGGGGGGGAGAUUGAGUGGAAAGACAAAUACGGGCCAACAACUGUAUUGGGCUGCCAUCAUACCAAACACACUGAACCCAUCCGUGCUGAUGCCGACUCGAGAAUGCCUCGGAUCUGCCGCUUUGUCAGCAUGUAAUUCAUCAAACUUUUUCCACGCAACACCAUCCGAUGUGUGUACCAUCAUCAGAUUCCCAUCUGCAUCUAGUGCGGUUCUUUUGCCUGUUUUGUGCCAUGUCAUCUGUCUGGCCGUCUCUUUGACCAUGAAAAGACGUUGAAGUCUUGGUACAAUUGGCAUAUACCGAAGAACACUAACGGGGAUUUUGGUCUGUGUCUUCUCACCCAUACCGUUGUCUACCACAAUAUACCUGGAAGACUUGCAAAUGGGACAAUAGUUCAAGUCCGCAUAGUCAAGCCUAAAUAAGGCACAUCCUUUCUCACAGGCAUGUAUCUUCUCAUAGGGCAUCUUCAGUGCAUGGAGGAUUUUGUCCGACUGGUACAGGUUUGCAGGCAUUACAUGUCCUUUGGGUAGAAAGCGUCCAAAUACUGUCAUAAUUGCGUCAUAGCAUUCUCUACCCAAGUUGAACUGAGCCUUCAGAGCCAUUACUUGUGAGAUGGCAUCCAACUGACAAAGCUCAGUGUGCUCGCGGAGCGGACGUUUCGAAGACUCCAACAUUUCAUUGAAGGCCUUUGCAGAUUCCUCCAUCUCCUCGUCCGAAUCCCGAGCAUCAUCAUAGUCUUGCACCAUGUUUUCCAUCCCGGUACCAUGCUCGUCGGUGCGACGACGAUCCACCUCAGCUCGGUCACGUUGGGCAGACUCACCAUGAAAUGUCCAGACCGUAUAAUCGGGCGUAAAACCACUCUUCUGCAGGUGUUUGCCCAUUUCAGCCUCUCUCUUCUUUUCCCAAUUGCCGCACCGGAAAUAGGGGCACCAGGUUUUCUUUUGGCCAUUUGCAAAUGCGGCUUGCACAAACCCCUUAGUUUUUGUGAACCAUUCAGCGCUCCAUUUGUUCUGACCAGUGUGACCGGUAUACAUCCAAGCACGGUCACUCAUCUUGACUUUCAGAGCUACUGGACACACAACAAUUAUAUAUGUAAUUCACCAUGUAUAUAUUCAUCAGUUGAUCUACUGUGUCAAUUUUAUUACGUCCAUGCAACCUACACUCUAAUAGGUAAUGAUAGGUCCUAAUCCCACCCGUGUAUGUGUAGAUUGGGUUCAUUUUCCCAUGCUAUGCUCCGGAUCCGACGCAAAAUUUCGGCAGCACCUCCCCGUUAUUCUCCUGAUACACGUCUCUGCAAUAAACAGAGAGGAUGUGUACCCGGAGAACAACAGGGGAGGCACUGACGAAAUAUAUGCGUCGGAUCCGGAGCAAAGCAUAUGGGAAAACGAACCCAAUCUACACAUACUCGGGCUGUCCAUGGAUAGCGUUGGACAAUUCGAAAGAAUCAAGGUUAUAAAUAUGCAAAUGCAUGCAUAUUUAUAAAUAUGACGCUUUCGAAUGGGAGACACAUAUUGGUUACGCAUACUGAUGAUUCAAGACACAUAUAUAGCUAGCUAUCAAGUUUCAUCGGAAUAGAUCAAAUAAUUAAUGGGGGAGGAGGACUUGUCAUUUGUGCUCACCCACGAACGAAGGGCAGAGCUCGUCAAACGCACGGCGAGGUCGUCGAACACCAAACCUCGCAGCGAUGAAACAACUGCACAUUUAAAACUACACGAUCAACACAAUUAUAUAUGAUGUUUUUCAUAACUAAAUCGAAAAAUAUAUAACCUAACUAAUAAUUCACAAAUAUAUGACCCCGUCGGCCUCUGGAAGGCCGAAGAACACCUUAAUUUUCGGGAGGUGUCGGUGGUCGGGGUGCCCUGUCGGUGUCGGGGUGCCGUGUCGGGGUCGGGGUCUCGGGGUCGGGGUGUCGGGUCGGGGUGCCNNNNNNNNNNNNNNNNNNNNNNNNNNNNNNNNNNNNNNNNNNNNNNNNNNNNNNNNNNNNNNNNNNNNNNNNNNNNNNNNNNNNNNNNNNNNNNNNNNNNNNNNNNNNNNNNNNNNNNNNNNNNNNNNNNNNNNNNNNNNNNNNNNNNNNNNNNNNNNNNNNNNNNNNNNNNNNNNNNNNNNNNNNNNNNNNNNNNNNNNNNNNNNNNNNNNNNNNNNNNNNNNNNNNNNNNNNNNNNNNNNNNNNNNNNNNNNNNNNNNNNNNNNNNNNNNNNNNNNNNNNNNNNNNNNNNNNNNNNNNNNNNNNNNNNNNNNNNNNNNNNNNNNNNNNNNNNNNNNNNNNNNNNNNNNNNNNNNNNNNNNNNNNNNNNNNNNNNNNNNNNNNNNNNNNNNNNNNNNNNNNNNNNNNNNNNNNNNNNNNNNNNNNNNNNNNNNNNNNNNNNNNNNNNNNNNNNNNNNNNNNNNNNNNNNNNNNNNNNNNNNNNNNNNNNNNNNNNNNNNNNNNNNNNNNNNNNNNNNNNNNNNNNNNNNNNNNNNNNNNNNNNNNNNNNNNNNNNNNNNNNNNNNNNNNNNNNNNNNNNNNNNNNNNNNNNNNNNNNNNNNNNNNNNNNNNNNNNNNNNNNNNNNNNNNNNNNNNNNNNNNNNNNNNNNNNNNNNNNNNNNNNNNNNNNNNNNNNNNNNNNNNNNNNNNNNNNNNNNNNNNNNNNNNNNNNNNNNNNNNNNNNNNNNNNNNNNNNNNNNNNNNNNNNNNNNNNNNNNNNNNNNNNNNNNNNNNNNNNNNNNNNNNNNNNNNNNNNNNNNNNNNNNNNNNNNNNNNNNNNNNNNNNNNNNNNNNNNNNNNNNNNNNNNNNNNNNNNNNNNNNNNNNNNNNNNNNNNNNNNNNNNNNNNNNNNNNNNNNNNNNNNNNNNNNNNNNNNNNNNNNNNNNNNNNNNNNNNNNNNNNNNNNNNNNNNNNNACUAAAUCUAAACCUAAAACAAAACUAAAACUAAACCUAAAACUAAAACUAAAACUAAAUCUAAACUAAAACUAAAAAGGAAAAAAACAGAAAAAAAAUAGAAAAAAGGAGGUUGGGGCUCACCUUCUGCAGCGCCGGUGGAGGAGGGGGCGGGGCGGUGGAGGAGCUGGCUGGGGCGCGGGGCGGCCUGGGGCGGCGCGGGGCCGGGCCCGAUGCGGUGGGGCGCGGGGCGGCGGUGCGUGCGGACCCUAUGGUUCGAGAACAAUGUAGACAUGACCGAGACACGUCUCCGGUCAAUAACCAAUAGCGGGACCUGGAUGCCCAUAUUGGCUCCUACAUAUUCUACGAAGAUCUUUAUCGGUCAGACCGCAUAAUAACAUACGUUGUUCCCUUUGUCAUCGGUAUGUUACUUGCCCGAGAUUCGAUUGUCGGUAUCCAAUACCUAGUUCAAUCUCGUUACUGGCAAGUCUCUUUACUCGUUCCAUAAUACAUCAUCUCACAACUAACAUCUUAGUUAUAAUGCUUGCAAGGCUUAUGUGAUGUGUCUUACCAAGAGGGCCCAGAGAUACCUCUCCGACAAUCGGAGUGACAAACCCUAAUCUCGAAAUACGCCAACCCAACAUCUACCAUUGGAGACACCUGUAGUACUCCUUUAUAAUCACCCAGUUACGUUGUGACGUUUGGUAGUACCCAAAGUGUUCCUCCGGCAAACGGGAGUUGCAUAAUCUCAUAGUCAUAGGAACAUGUAUAAGUCAUGAAGAAAGCAAUAGCAACAUACUAAACGAUCGGGGGCUAAGAUAAUGAAAUGGGUCAUGUCAAUCAGAUCAUUCAACUAAUGAUGUGACCUCGUAAAUCAAAUAACAACUCUUUGUUCAUGGUUAGGAAACAUAACCAUCUUUGAUUAACGAGCUAGUCAAGUAAAGGCAUACUAGUGACACUCUGUUUGUCUAUGUAUUCACACAUGUAUUAUGUUUCCGGUUAAUACAAUUCUAGCAUGAAUAAUAAACAUUUAUCAUGAUAUAAGGAAAUAAAUAAUAACUUUAUUAUUGCAUCUAGGGCAUAUUUCCUUCAGUCCAGUGUUCCAUGCCGGGAUUACUUUGGUACCUUCCUACCAAACUUACGGCAAGGUUUACAUCAGGUCUGGUACACAGCAUAGCAUACAAGAUAGACCCUAUGGCCGAGGCAUAGGGGACGACACUCAUAUUUUCUCUAUCUUCUACCGUGGUCGUGCAUUGAGCCGUGCUCAAUCUCGUACCUUGCAAUAUAGGCAAGAACCCCUUCUUUUACUGAUCCAUUUUGAACUUCUUCAAUAUCUUGUCAAGGUACGUACUCUGUGGAAGACCAAUGAGGCGUCUCGAUCUAUCUCUAUAGAUCUUGAUGCCUAAUAUAUAAGCAGCUUCUCCAAGAUCCUUCAUUGAAAAACACUUGUUCAAGUAGGCCUUUAUGCUUUCCCAGAAUUCUAUAUCAUUUCCCAUCAACAAUAUGUCAUCCACAUCCAAUAUGGGAAAUUCUACAAAGCUCCCACUCAGUUCUUGUAAAUGCAGGCUUCUCCAUAAGUCUGCGUAAACCCAAACGCUUUGAUCAUCUCAUCAAAAUGAAUGUUCCAACUCCGAGAUGCUUGCACCAGCCCAUAAAUCGAGCGUUGGAGCUUGUACACCUUGUCAGCAUUCUUAGGAUCGACAAAACCUUCUGGCUGCAUCAUAUACAAUUCUUCCUUAAGGAAACCAUCAAGGACUGUUGUUUUGACGUCCAUUUGCCAUAUCUCAUAAUCAUAGAAUGCGGCAAUUGCUAACAUGAUUCGGACGGACUUCAGCUUCGCUACGGGUGAGAAAGUCUCAUCAUAGUCAACCCCUUGUACUUGCCGAUAACCCUUAGCGACAAGCCGAGCUUUAUAGAUGGUCACAUUACCAUCCGCGUCUGUCUUCUUCUUAAAGAUCCAUUUAUUUUCUAUGGCUCGCCGACCAUCGGGCAAGUCAGUCAAAGUCCAUACUUUGUUUUCAUACAUGGAUCUUAUCUCGGAUUUCAUGGCUUCCAGCCAUUUCUCGGAAUCCGGGCCCGCCAUUGCUUCUUCAUAGUUCGAAGGUUCACCGUUGUCUAACAACAUGAUUUCCAAGACAGGGUUGCCGUACCACUCUGGUGCGGGACGUGUCCCCGUGGACCUACGAAGUUCAGUAGCAACUUGAUCUGAAGUUUCAUGAUCAUCAUCAUCAACUUCCUCUCUAGUCGGUGCAGGCACCUUAGGAACAUUUUCUUGAGCUGCGCCACUUACCGGUUCAAGAGGUAAUACUUCAUCAAGUUCUACUUUCCUCCCACUUAUUUCUUUCGAGAGAAACUCUUUCUCUAGAAAGGACCCAUUCUUGGCAACAAAGAUCUUGCCUUCGGAUCCGAGGUAGAAGGUAUACCCAAUAGUUUCUUUAGGGUAUCCUAUGAAGACGCAUUUUUCCGAUUUGGGUUCGAGCUUUUCAGGUUGAAGUUUCCUGACAUAAGCAUCGCAUCCCCAAAGUUUUAGAAAUGACAUCUUAGGUGUCUUCCCAAACCAUAAUUCAUACGGCGUCGUCUCAACGGAUUUCGACGUAGCCCUAUUUAAAGUGAAUGCGGCAGUCUCUAAAGCAUAGCCCCAAAAUGACAGCGGUAAAUCAGUAAGAGACAUCAUAGAUCAUACCAUAUCUAAUAGAGUGCGAUUAUGACGUUCGGACACACCAUUACGCUGAGGUGUUCCAGGCGGCGUGAGUUGUGAAACUAUUCCACAUUUUCUUAAGUGUGUGCCAAAUUCGUGACUCAAGUAUUCUCCCCCACGAUCUGAUCGCAAGAACUUGAUUUGCCUGUCAUGUUGAUUCUCAACCUCACUUUGAAAUUCCUUGAACUUUUCAAAGGUCUCAGACUUGUGUUUCAUUAAGUAGACAUACCCAUAUCUACUCAAGUCAUCAGUGAGGGUGAGAACAUAACGAUAGCCACCACGAGCCUCAACACUCAUUGGACCGCACACAUCAGUAUGUAUGAUUUCCAAUAAGUUGGUUGCUCGCUCCAUUGUUCUUGAGAAAGGAGUCUUGGUCAUUUUACCCAUGAGGCAUGGUUCGCACGUGUCAAAUGAUUCGUAAUCAAGAGACUUUAAAAGUCCAUCUGCAUGGAGCUUCUUCAUGCGUUUGACACCUAUGUGACCAAGGCGGCAAUGCCACAUGUGGGACUAUCAUUAUCAACCUUACAUCUUUUGCUAUUCACACUAUGAAUAUGUGUAACAUUAUGCUCGAGAUUCAUUAAGAAUAAACCAUUCACCAAUGGAGCAUGACCAUAAAACAUAUCUCUCAUAUAAAUAGAACAACCAUUAUUCUCGGAUUUAAAUGAGUAGCCAUCUCAAAUUAAACGAGAUCCUGAGACAAUGUUCAUGCUCAAAGCUGGCACUAAAUAACAAUUAUUGAGGUUUAAAACUAAUCCCGUAGGCAAAUGUAGAGGCAGCGUGCCGACGGCGAUCACAUCGACCUUGGAACCAUUCCCGACGCGAAUCGUCACCUCGUACUUCGCCAGUCUCCGUUUAUUCCGCAGCUCCCGCUUUGAGUUACAAAUGUGAGCAACUGCACCGGUAUCAAAUACCCAGGAGCUACUACGAGUACUGGUAAGGUACACAUCAAUUACAUGUAUAUCACAUAUACCUUUAGUGUUGCCGGCCUUCUUGUCCGCUAAGUAUUUGGGGCAGUUCUGCUUCCAGUGACCACUUCCCUUGCAAUAAAAACACUCAGUCUCGAGCUUGGGUCCAUUCUUUGGCUUCUUCCCGGCAACUUGCUUAGCGGGCGCGGCAACUCCCUUGCCGUCCUUCUUGAAUUCUUCUUACCCUUGCCUUUCUUGAACUUAGUGGUUUUAUUCACCAUCAACACUUGAUGUUCCUUUUUGAUUUCCACCUCUGCUGAUUUCAGCAUUGAAUAUACCUCAGGAAUGGUCUUUUCCGUCCCCUGCAUAUUGAAGUUGAUCACAAAGCUCUUGUAGCUUGGUGGAAGCGACUGAAUGAUUCUGUCAAUGACCGCGUCAUUCGGGAGAUUAACUCCCACCUGAGUCAAGCGGUUAUGCAACCCAGACAUUUUGAUUAUGUGCUCACUGACAGAUCUAUUUUCCUCCAUAUUACAGCUGAAGAACUUGUCGGAGACUUCAUAUCUCUCGACCCGGGCAUGAGCUUGAAAAACCAUUUUCAGCUCUUCGAACAACUCAUAUGCUCCGUGUCUCUCAAAAUGCUUUUGGAGCCCCGGUUCUAAGCUGUAAAGCAUGCCGCACUGAACGAGGGAGUAAUCAUCAGCACGUAACUGCCAAGCGUUCAUAAUGUCUUGGUUCUCUGGGACAGGUGUGUCACCUAACGGUGCUUCUAGGACAUAAUCUUUCUUGGCAGCUAUGAGGAUGAUCCUCAGGUUCUGGACCCAGUCCGUAUAGUUGCUGCCAUCGUCUUUCAGCUUGGUUUUCUCCAGGAACGCGUUGAAAUUGAGGACAACGUGGGCCAUUUGAUCUACAAGACAUAUUGUAAAGAUUUUAGACUAAGUUCAUGAUAAUUAAGUUCAUCUAAUCAAAUUAUACAAUGAACUCCCACUCAGAUAGACAUCCCUCCAGUCAUCUAAGUGAAACAUGAUCCGAGUUAACUAGGCUGUGUCGGAUCAUCACGUGAGACGGACUAGUCAACAUCGGUGAACAUCUUCAUGUUGAUCGUAUCUUCUAGACGACUCAUGCUCGACCUUUUAGUCUUCUAUGUUCCGAGGCCAUGUCUGUACAUGCUAGGCUCGUCAAGUAAACCUAAGUGUAUUGCGUGUGUAAGUCUGGCUUACACCCGUUGUAUUCGAACGUUAGAAUCUAUCACACUCGAUCAUCACGUGGUGCUUCGAAACAACGAACCUUCACAAUGGUGCACAGUUAGGGGGAACAGUUUCUUGAAAUUAUUUCGAGGGAUCAUCUUAUUGAAGCUACCGUCGUUCUAAGCAAAUAAGAUGUAAAACAUGAUAAACAUCACAUGCAAUCAAAUAGUGACAUGAUAUGGCCAAUAUCAUUUUCUCCUUUUGAUCUCCAUCUUCGGGGGUCCAUGAUCAUCAUUGUCACUGGCAUGACACCAUGAUCUCCAUCAUCAUGUCUUCUUGAAGUUGUCUCGUCAUCUAUUACUUCUACUACUAUGGCUAACGCUUUAGCAAUAAAGUAAAGUAAUUACAUGACGUUUAUGUUGACACGCAGGUCAUAAAAAAUAAAGACAACUCCUAUGGCUCCUGCCGGUUGUCAUACUCAUCGACAUGCAAGUCGUGAUUCCUAUUACAAGAACAUGAUCAAUCUCAUACAUCACAUAUAUCAUUCAUCACAUCCUUUUGGCCAUAUCACAUCACACGACACAUGCUGCAAAAACAAGUUAGACGUCCUCUAAUUGUUGUUGCAAGUUUAUACAUGGCUGCUAUAGGUUUCUAGCAAGAACGUCUCUUACCUAUGGCAAAACCACAACGUGAUAUGCCACUUUCUAUUUACCCUUCAUAAGGACCCUUUUCAUCGAAUCCGAUCUGACUAAAGUGGGAGAGACAGACACCCGCCAGCCACCUUAUGCAACUAGUGCAUGUCAAUCGGUGGAACCAGUCUCACAUAAGCGUACGUGUAAGGUCGGUCCGGGCCGCUUCAUCCCAUGAUGCCACCGAAUCAAGAUAAGACUAGUAACGGCAAGCAAAGUGACAAUAUCCACGCCCACAACUGCUUUGUGUUCUACUCGUGCAUAGAAACUACGCAUAGACCUAGCUCAUGAUGCCACUGUUGGGGAAUGUAGCAGAAUUUUAAAAUUUUCUAUGCAUCACCAAGAUCAAUCUAUGGAGUCAUCUAGCAAUGAGGGAGAGAGGAGUGCAUCUACAUACCCUUGUAGAUCGCGCGCGGAAGUGUUCAAGAGAACGGGGUUGAUGGAAUCGUACUCGUCGUGAUCCAAAUCACCGAUGACCAAGUGCCUAACGGACAGCACCUCCGCGUUCAACACACGUCCUUUUGGGAAGACGUCUCCUCCUUCUUGAUCCAGCAAGGGGGAAGGAGAGGUUGAUGAAGAUCCAGCAGCACCACGACGUGGUGGUGGAUGCAACAGGAUCCCGGCAGGGCUUCACCAAGCGGAAGCGGGGAGGAGAGGUGUUACGGAGGGAGAGAGAGGCGCCAAGAGCAAGGUUGCGGCUGCCCUCCCUCCCCCCCUCUUUAUAUAGGGGCCAUGGGGGGGCGCCGGCCCUAGGAGAUGGAUCUCCAAGGGGGGCGAAGGCCAAGGGGUGGCUCCCCCCCCCCCAAGCCAAGUGGGGGGCGCCCCCACCCCUAGGGUUUCCCAACCCUAGGCGCAGGGGAGGCCCAAGGGGGGCGGACCAGCCCACUAGCGGCUGGUUCCCCUCCCAAUUCAUCCCAUGGGGCCCUCCGGGAUGGGUGGCCCCACCCGGUGGACCCCCGGGACCCUUUCGGUGGUCCCGGUACAAUACUGGUGACCCCCGAAACCUUCCCGAUGGCCGAAACUGUACUUCCUAUAUAUAAAUCUUUACCUCCAGACCAUUCCGGAACUCCUCGUGACGCCCGGGAUCUCAUCCGGGACUCCGAACAACUUUCGGGUUACUAUAUACUAAUAUCUCUACAACCCUAGCGUCACUGAACCUUAAGUGUGUAGACCCUACGGGUUUCGGAGACAUGCAGACAUGACUGAGACGCCUCUCCAGUCAAUAACCAACAGCGGGAUCUGGAUACCCAUGUUGGCUCCCACAUGCUCCAUGAUGAUCUCAUCAGAUGAACCACGAUGUCGAGCAUUCAAUCAAUCUGUAUACAAUUCCCUUUGUCAAUCAGUACGUUACUUGCCCGAGACUCGAUCAUCGGUAUCCCAAUACCUUGUUCAAUCUUGUUACCGGCAAGUCACUUUACUCAUACCAUAAUGCAUGAUCCCGUCAUCAACCACUUGGUCACAUGAGCUCAUUAUGAUGAUGCAUUACCGAGUGGGCCCAGAGAUACCUCUCCAUCAUACGGAGUGACAAAUCCCAGUCUCGAUUCAUGCCAACCCAAUAGUCACUUUCAGAGAUACCUGUAAUGUAACUUUAUAGUCACCCAGUUACGUUGUGACGUUUGGCACACCCAAGGCACUCCUACGAUAUCUGGGAGUUUUGUUGGAAAUAUGCCCUAGAGGCAAUAAUAAAAGCAUUAUUAUUAUAUUUCCUUGUUCAUGAUAAUUGUCUUUAUUCAUGCUAUAAUUGUGUUAUCCGGAAAUCGUAAUACAUGUGUGAAUAACAGACACCAACAUGUCCCUAGUAAGCCUCUAGUUAACUAGCUCGUUGAUCAACAGAUAGUCAUGGUUUCCUGACUAUGGACAUUGGAUGUCAUUGAUAACGAGCUCACAUCAUUAGGAGAAUGAUGUGAUGGACAAGACCCAAUCAUAAACAUAGCAUAAAGAUCGUGUAGUUCGUUUGCUAGAGUUUUUCCAAUGUCAAGUAUACUUUCCUUAGACCAUGAGAUCGUGUAACUCCCGGAUACCGUAAGAGUGCUUUGGGUGUACCAAACAUCACAACGUAACUGGGUGACUAUAAAGGUAUACUACGGGUAUCUCCAAAAGUGUCUGUUGGGUUGACACGGAUCAAGACUGGGAUUUGUCACUCCGUAUGACGGAGAGGUAUCACUGGGCCCACUCAGUAAUGCAUCAUCAUAAUGAGCUCAAAGUGACCAAGUGUCUGGUCACGGGAUCAUGCAUUACGGUACGAGUAAAGUGACUUGCCGGUAACGAGAUUGAACGAGGUAUUGGGAUACCGACAAUCGAAUCUCGGGCAAGUAACAUACCGAUUGGCAAAGGGAAUUGUAUACGGGGUUGCCUGAAUCCUCGAUAUCGUGGUUCAUCCGAUGAGAUCAUCGUGGAGCAUGUGGGAGCCAACAUGGGUAUCCAGAUCCCGCUGUUGGUUAUUGACCGAAGAGUCGUCUCGGUCAUGUCUGUCUGUCUCCCGAACCCGUAGGGUCUACACACUUAAGGUUCGGUGAUGCUAGGGUUGUAGGAAUAUGUAUAUGCAGUAACCCGAAUGUUGUUCGGAGUCCCGGAUGAGAUCCCGGACGUCACGAGGAGUUCCGUAAUGGUCCGGAGGUAAAGAAUUAUAUAUGGGAAGUGCUAUUUCGGCCAUCGGGACAAGUUUUGGGGUCACCGGUAUUGUACCGGGACCACCGGAAGGGUCCCGGGGGUCCACCGGGUGGGGCCACCUAUCUCGGAGGGCCCCAUGGGCUGAAGUGGGAAGGGACCCAGCCCAAAGUGGGCUGGGGUGCCUCUCCCCUAGGGCCCAUGCGGCUAGGGUUUGGGGGAAACCCUAAAAGGGGGCGCCCCCUUGCUUGGGGGGCAAGCCCCCCACCCCUUGGCCGCCGCCCCCCCCUCCCCCUAGGAAAAUAGAUCUCCUAGGGCCGGCGCCCCCCCCCCUUGGCCCUCCUAUAUAUAGUGGGGGAGGGAGGGCUAUUCUCUCAUGCCUUUGGUUGCCUCCCUCUCCCUCUCCGACACCUCCUCCUCCUCCAUAGUGCUUGGCGAAGCCCUGACGGAGUUCUGCAGCUCCACCAUCACCACGCCGUCGGUCUGCUGCUGGAGCCAUCUUCCUCAACCUCUUCUUCCCUCUUGCUGGAUCAAGAAGAAGGAGACGUUACGCUAACCGUACGUGUGUUGAACGCGGAGGUGCCGUCCGUUCGGCGCUAGGAUCUCUGGUGAUUUGAAUCACGUCGUGUACGACUACUUCAUCCACGUUCUUUGAACGCUUCCGCUCGCGAUCUACAAAGGUAUGUAGAUGCAUCCGAUGACUCGUUGCUAGAUGAACUCAUAGAUAGAUCUUGGUGAAACCGUAGGAAAUUUUUUGUUUUCUGCAACGUUCCCCAACAGUGGUAUCAGAGCUAGGUCUAUGCGUAGUUCUUCUUGCGCGAGUAGAACACAAUUUGUUGUGGGCGUAGAUGUUGUCAACUUUCUUGCCGCUACUAGUCUUAUCUUGCUUCGACGGUAUUGUGGGAUGAAGCGGCCCGGACCAACCUUACACGUAUGCUCACGUGAGACAGGUUCCACCGACAAACAUGCACUAGUUGCAUAAGGUGGCUAGCGGGUGCCUGUCUCUCCUACUUUAGUUGGAGCGGAUUCGAUGAGAAGGGUCCUUAUGAAGGGUAAAUAGAAGUUGAAAAAUCACGUUGUGGCUUUCACGUAGGUUAGAAAACGUUCUUGCUAGAACCCUACUUCAGCCACGUAAAACUUGCAACAACAAUUAGAGGAUGUCUAACUUGUUUUUGCAGCAAGUGCUUUGUGAUAUGAUAUGGCCAAAGUUGUGAUGAAUAAUACAUAUGUGAUGUAUGAGAUGUUCGUGCUAUUGUAAUAGGAAUCACGACUUGCAUGUCGAUGAGUAUGACAACCGGCAGGAGCCAUAGGAGUUGUCUUUAUUCUUUUAUAUGACCUGCGUGUCAUUGAGAAACGCCAUGUAAAUUACUUUACUUUAUUGCUAAACACGUUAGCCUUAGUAGUAGAAGUAAUAGUUGGCGAGCAACUUCAUGGAGACACGAUGAUGGAGAUCAUGAUGAUGGAGAUCAUGGUGUCAUGCCGGUGACAAGAUGAUCAUGGAGCUCCAAGAUGGAGAUCAAAGGAGCUAUGUGAUAUUGGCCAUAUCAUGUCACUAUUAUUAUUUGAUUGCAUUUGAUGUUUAUCAUGUUUUGCAUCUUGUUUACUUAGAACGACGGUAGUGAAUAAGAUGAUCCCUCAUAAUAAUUUCAAGCAAGUGUUCCCCCUAACUGUGCACCGUUGCGACAGUUCAUUGCUUCAAUGCACCACGUGAUGAUCGGGUGUUUGAUUCAAACGUUCACAUACAACGGGUGUAAGACAGAUUUACACAUGCAAACACUUAGGUUGACUUGACGAGCCUAGCAUGUGUAUAGACAUGGCCUCGGAACACAGAAGACCAAAAGGUCGAGCAUGAGUCGUAUAGAAGAUACGAUCAACAUGAAGAUGUUCAUCGAUGUUGACUAGUCCGUCUCACGUGAUGAUCGGACACGGCCUAGUUGACUCGGAUCAUGUUAUACUUAGAUGACUAGAAGAGGGAUGUCUAUCUAAGUGGGAGUUCAUUCAAUAAUUUGAUUAGAUGAACUUAAUUAUCAUGAACUUAGUCUAAAAUCUUUGCAAUAUGUCUUGUAGAUCAAAUGGCCAACGUAGUCCUCAACUUCAACGCGUUCCUAGAGAAAACCAAACUGAAAGAUGAUGGCAGUAACUAUACGGAAUGGGUCUGGAACCUGAGGAUUAUCCUCAUAGCUGCCAAGAAAGAUUAUGUCCUACAAGCACCGCUAGGUGAAGCUCCCGUCCCAUGGAACCAAGAUGUUAUGAACGCUUGGCAGACACGUGCUGAUGACUACUCCCUCGUUCAGUGCGGCAUGCUUUACAGUUUAGAGCCGGGGCUCCAAAAGCGUUUUGAGAGACAUAGAGCAUAUGAGAUGUUCGAAGAGCUGAAAAUGGUGUUUCAAGCUCAUGCCCGGGUCGAGAGAUAUGAGGUCUCCGACAAAUUCUUCAGUUGUAAGAUGGAGGAAAAUAGUUCUGUCAGUGAGCACAUACUCACUAUGUCUGGGUUACAUAAUCGCUUGACUCAGCUGGGAGUUAAUCUCCUGGAUGAUGCGGUCAUUGACAGAAUCCUCCAGUCGCUUCCACCAAGCUACAAGAGCUUUGUGAUGAACUUCAAUAUGCAGGGGAUGGAAAAGACCAUUCCUGAGGUAUUUACAAUGCUGAAAUCAGCAGAGGUAGAAGUCAAGAAGGAACAUCAAGUGUUGAUGGUCAAUAAAACCACUAAGUUCAAGAAGGGCAAGGGUAAAAAGAACUUCAAGAAGGACGGCAAGGGAGUUGCCGCGCCCGGCAAGCAAGCUGCCGGGAAGAAGCCAAAGAAUGGUCCCAAGCCCGAGACUGAGUGCUUUUAUUAUAAGGGAAGCGGUCACUGGAAGCGGAACUGCCCCAAAUACUUAGCGGACAAGAAGGCCGGCAAAACAAAAGGUAUAUGUGAUAUACAUGUAAUUGAUGUGUACCUUACCAGUACCCGUAGUAGCUCCUGGGUAUUUGAUACUGGUGUAGUUGCUCACAUUUGUAACUCAAAGCAGGGGCUGCGGAAUAAGCGGAGACUGGCGAAGGACGAGGUGACGAUGCGCGUCGGGAAUGGUUCCAAGGUCAAUGUAAUCGCCGUCGGCACGUUACCUCUAUAUUUACCUUCGGGAUUAGUUGUAAACCUUAAUAAUUGUUAUUUAGUACCAGCUUUGAGCAUGAACAUUGUAUUGGGAUCUCGUUUAAUUCAAGAUGGCUACUCAUUUAAAUCCGAGAAUAAUGGUUGUUCUAUUUAUAUGAGAGAUAUGUUUUAUGGUCAUGCUCCUAUGGUGAAUGGUUUAUUCUUAAUGAAUCUCGAGCGUAAUGCUACACAUAUUCAUAGUGUGAGUACCAAAAGAUGUAAGGUUGAUAAUGAUAGUCCCACAUACUUGUGGCACUGCCGCCUUGGUCACAUAGGUGUCAAACGCAUGAAGAAGCUCCAUGCAGAUGGACUUUUAGAGUCUCUUGAUUAUGAAUCAUUUGACACGUGCGAACCAUGCCUCGUGGGUAAAAUGACCAAGACUCCGUUCUCAGGAACAAUGGAGCGAGCAACCAACUUAUUGGAAAUCAUACAUACUGAUGUGUGCGGUCCAAUGAGCGUUGAGGCUCGCGGUGGCUAUCGUUAUGUUCUCACCCUCACUGAUGACUUGAGUAGAUAUGGGUAUGUCUACUUAAUGAAACACAAGUCUGAAACCUUUGAAAAGUUCAAGGAAUUUCAGAGUGAGGUUGAGAAUCAACGUGACAGGAAAAUCAAGGUUCUACGAUCAGAUCAUGGAUGCGAAUACUUGAGUCACGAAUUUGGCACACACUUAAGAAAAUGUGGAAUAGUUUCACAACUCACGCCGCCUGGAACACCUCAGCGUAACGGUGUGUCCGAACGUCGUAAUCGCACUCUAUUAGAUAUGGUACGAUCUAUGAUGUCUCUUACCGAUUUACCACUAUCUUUUUGGGGCUAUGCUUUAGAGACUGCCGCAUUCACUUUAAAUAGGGCUCCGUCGAAAUCCGUUGAGACGACACCGUUUGAAUUAUGGUUUGGGAAGAAACCUAAGCUGUCGUUUCUAAAAGUUUGGGGAUGCGAUGCUUAUGUCAAGAAACUUCAACCUGAAAAGCUCGAACCCAAGUCGGAAAAAUGCGUCUUCAUAGGAUACCCUAAAGAAACUGUUGGGUAUACCUUCUACCUCAGAUCCGAAGGCAAGAUUUUUGUUGCCAGGAAUGGAUGCUUUCUAGAGAAGGAGUUUCUCUCGAAAGAAGUAAGUGGGAGGAAAGUAGAACUUGAUGAAGUGUUACCUCUUGAACCGGAAAAUGGCGCAACUCAAGAAAAUGUUCAUGAGGUGCCUGCACCGACUAGAGAGGAGGUUAAUGAUGAUGAUCAUGAAACUUCUGAUCAAGUUGCUACUGAACUUCGAAGGUCCAUAAGGACACGUUCCGCACCAGAGUGGUACGGCAACCCUGUCUUGGAAAUCAUGUUGUUAGGCAACGGUGAACCUUCGAACUAUGAAGAAGCGAUGGCGGGCCCGGAUUCCGACAAAUGGCUAGAAGCCAUGAAAUCCGAGAUAGGAUCCAUGUAUGAAAAUGAAGUAUGGACUUUGACUGACUUGCCCGUUGAACGGCGAGCCAUAGAAAAUAAAUGGAUCUUUAAGAAGAAGACAGACGCGGAUGGUAAUGUGACCAUCUAUAAAGCUCGGCUUGUCGCUAAGGGUUAUCGACAAGUUCAAGGGGUUGACUACGAUGAGACUUUCUCACCGGUAGCGAAGCUGAAGUCCGUCCGAAUCAUGUUAGCAUUUGCCGCAUUCUACGAUUAUGAGAUAUGGCAAAUGGAUGUCAAAACGGCAUUAAUUAAUGGUUUCCUUAAGGAAGAAUUGUAUAUGAUGCAGCCGGAAGGUUUUGUCGAUCCUAAGAAUGCUGACAAGGUGUGCAAGCUCCAACGCUCGAUUUAUGGGCUGGUGCAAGCAUCUCGGAGUUGGAACAUUCGCUUUGAUGAGAUGAUCAAAGUGUUUGGGUUUACUCAGACUUAUGGAGAGGCCUGCGUUUACAAGAAAGUGAGUGGGAGCUCUGUAGCAUUUCUCAUAUUAUAUGUAGAUGACAUACUUUUGAUGGGAAAUGAUAUAGAACUCUUGGACAGCAUCAAGGCCUACUUGAAUAAGAGUUUUUCAAUGAAGGACCUUGGAGAAGCUGCUUAUAUAUUAGGCAUCCAGAUCUAUAGAGAUAGAUCAAGAUGCCUCAUAGGUCUUUCACAAAGCACAUACCUUGAUAAGAUAUUGAAGAAGUUCAAUAUGGAUCAAUCUAAGAAGGGGUUCUUGCCUGUGUUACAAGGUAUGAAAUUGAGCUCAGCUCAAUGUCCGACCAUGGCAGAAGAUAUAGAAGAGAUGAGUGUCAUCCCCUAUGCCUCAGCCAUAGGUUCUAUUAUGUAUGCCAUGCUGUAUACCAGACCUGAUGUAAACCUUGCCGUAAGUUUGGUAGGAAGGUACCAAAGUAAUCCCGGCAAGGAACACUGGACAGCGGUCAAGAAUAUCCUGAAGUACCUAAAAAGGACUAAGGAAAUGUUUCUCGUUUAUGGAGGUGACGAAGAGCUCGUCGUAAAGGGUUACGUCAACGCUAGCUUCGACACAGAUCUGGAUGACUCUAAGUCACAAACCGGAUACGUGUAUAUUUUGAAUGGUGGGGCAGUAAGCUGGUGCAGUUGCAAGCAGAGCGUCGUGGCGGGAUCUACAUGUGAAGCGGAGUACAUGGCAGCCUCGGAGGCAGCACAUGAAGCAAUUUGGGUGAAGGAGUUCAUCACCGACCUAGGAGUCAUACCCAAUGCGUCGGGGCUGAUCAAGCUCUUCUUUGACAACACUGGAGCUAUUGCACUUGCCAAGGAGCCCAGGUUUCACAAGAAGACAAGGCACAUCAAGCGUCGCUUCAACUCCAUUCGUGAAAAUGUUCAAGAUGGAGACAUAGAUAUUUGUGAAGUACAUACGGACCUGAAUGUAGCAGAUCCGUUGACUAAACCUCUCCCUAGAGCAAAACAUGAUCAACACCAGAAUUCCAUGGGUGUUCGAUUCAUCACAAUGUAACUAGAUUAUUGACUCUAGUGCAAGUGGGAGACUGUUGGAAAUAUGCCCUAGAGGCAAUAAUAAAAGCAUUGUUAUUAUAUUUCCUUGUUCAUGAUAAUUGUCUUUAUUCAUGCUAUAAUUGUGUUAUCCGGAAAUCGUAAUACAUGUGUGAAUAACAGACACCAACAUGUCCCUAGUAAGCCUCUAGUUAACUAGUUCGUUGAUCAACAGAUAGUCAUGGUUUCUUGACUAUGGACAUUGGAUGUCAUUGAUAACGAGAUCACAUCAUUAGGAGAAUGAUGUGAUGGACAAGACCCAAUCAUAAACAUAGCAUAAAGAUCGUGUAGUUCGUUUGCUAGAGUUUUUCCAAUGUCAAGUAUCCUUUCCUUAGACCAUGAGAUCGUGUAACUCCCGGAUACCGUAAGAGUGCUUUGGGUGUACCAAACGUCACAACGUAACUGGGUGACUAUAAAGGUAUACUACGGGUAUCUCCGAAAGUGUCUGUUGGGUUGACACGGAUCUAGACUGGGAUUUGUCACUCCGUAUGACGGAGAGGUAUCACUGGGCCCACUCGGUAAUGCAUCAUCAUAAUGAGCUCAAAGUGACCAAGUGUCUGGUCACGGGAUCAUGCAUUACGGUACGAGUAAAGUGACUUGCCGGUAACGAGAUUGAAUGAGGUAUUGGGAUAACGACGAUCGAAUCUCGGGCAAGUAACAUAUCGAUUGGCAAAGGGAAUUGUAUACGGGGUUGCUUGAAUCCUCGACAUCGUGGUUCAUCCAAUGAGAUCAUCGUGGAGCAUGUGGGAGCCAACAUGGGUAUCCAGAUCCCGUUGUUGGUUAUUGACCGGAGAGUCGUCUCGGUUAUGUCUGCCUGUCUCCCGAACCCGUAGGGUCUACACACUUAAGGUUCAGUGACGCUAGGGUUGUAGGAAUAUGUAUAUGCAGUAACCCGAAUGUUGUUCGGAGUCCCGGAUGAGAUCCCGGACGUCACGAGGAGUUCCGGAAUGGUCCGGAGGUAAAGAAUUAUAUAUGGGAAGUGGUAUUUCGGCCAUCGGGACAAGUUUCGGGGUCACCGGUAUUGUACCGGGACCACCGGAAGGGUCCCGGGGGUCCACCGGGUGGGGCCACCUAUCCCGGAGGGCCCCUUGGGCUGAAGUGGGAAGGGACCCAGCCCAAAGUGGGCUGGGGCGCCUCUCCCCUAGGGCCCAUGCGGCUAGGGUUUGGGGGAAACCCUAAAAGGGGGCGCCCCCUUGCUUGGGGGGCAAGCCCCCCACCCCUUGGCCGCCGCCGCCCCCCCCCCCUAGGAGAAUAGAUCUCCUAGGGCCGGCGCCCCCCCCCUUGGCCCUCCUAUAUAUAGUGGGGGAGGGAGGGCUAUUCUCUCACGCCUUUGGUUGCCUCCCUCUCCCUCUCCAACACCUCCUCCUCCUCCAUAGUGCUUGGCGAAGCCCUGACGGAGUUCUGCAGCUCCACCAUCACCACGCCGUCGUGCUGCUGCUGGAGCCAUCUUCCUCAACCUCUUCUUCCCUCUUGCUGGAUCAAGAAGAAGGAGACGUUACGCUAACCGUACGUGUGUUGAACGCGGAGGUGCCGUCCGUUCGGCGCUAGGAUCUCCGGUGAUUUGAAUCACGUCGUGUACGACUACUUCAUCCACGUUCUUUGAACACUUCCGCUCGCGAUCUACAAAGGUAUGUAGAUGCAUCCGAUGACUCGUUGCUAGAUGAACUCAUAGAUAGAUCUUGGGGAAACUGUAGGAAAAUUUUCUGCAACGUUCCCCAACAAGUUUCACAAUCUCAUGGUCUAAGGAAAUGAUACUUGACAUUCGGAAAAGCUACAGCAGAUGAACUACACGACCUUUGAGCUAUGCUUAGGAUUGGGUCUUGUCCAUCACAUCAUUCUCCUAAUGAUGUGAUACCGUUAUGAAUGACAUCCAAUGUCCAUAGUCAGGAAACCAUGACUAUCUUUUGAUCAACAAGCUAGUCAACUAGAGGCUCACUAGGGACGUGUUGUGGUCUAUGUAUUCACACAUGUAUUACGAUUUCCGGAUAACACAAUUAUAGCAUGAACAAUAGACAAUUAUCAUGAACAAAGAAAUAUAAUAAUAACCAUUUUAUUAUUGCCUCUAGGGCAUAUUUCCAACACCUACGUACCCCCAAACGAUCAUAUACGGAGCCAAAACCCUAAUUCCACCGCCGCAACUUUCUGUAUCCACGAGAUCCCAUCUUGGGGCCUGUUCCGGAGCUCCGCCAGAGGGGGCAUCGAUCACGGAGGGCUUCUACAUCAACACCAUAGCCUCUCCGAUGAAGUGUGAGUAGUUCACCUCAGACCUACGGUUCCAUAGUUAUUAGCUAGAUGGCUUCUUCUCUCUUUUUGGAUCUCAAUACAAUGUUCUCCCCCUCUCUUGUGGAGAACUAUUCGAUGUAAUCUUCUUUUUGCGGUGUGUUUGUUGAGACCGAUGAAUUGUGGGUUUAUGAUCAAGUCUAUCUAUGAAUAAUAUUUGAAUCUUCUCUGAAUUCUUUUAUGUAUGAUAGGUUAUCUUUGAAAGUCUUUUCGAAUUAUCAGUUUGGUUUGGCCUACUAGAUUGAUCUUUCUUGCAAUGGGAGAAGUGCUUAGCUUUGGGUUCAAUCUUGCGGUGUCCUUUCCCAGUGACAGUAGGGGCAGCAUGGCACGUAUUAUAUUGUUGCCAUCGAGGACAACAAGAUGGAGUUUUCAUCAUAUUGCAUGAGUCUAUCCCUCUACAUCAUGUCAUCUUGCUUAAGGCCUUAAUCUGUUUUUAACUUAAUACUCUAGAUGCUUGCUGGAUAGCGGUCGAUUAGUGGAGUAAUAGUAGUAGAUGCAGGCAGGAGUCGGUCUACUUGUCUCGGACAUGAUGCCUAUAUAUAUGAUCAUACCUAGAUAUUCUCAAAACUAUGCUCAAUUCUGUCAAUUGCUCAACAAUAAUUUGUUCACCCACCGUAGAAUACUUAUGCUCUCGAGAGAAGCCACUAGUGAAACCUAUGGCCCCCGGGUCUAUCUUUAUCAUAUUAAUCUCCUACUACUUAGUUAUUUCCUUUGCUUUUUACUUUGCCUUUAUUUUACUUCGCAUCUUUAUCACAAAAAUACGAAAAAAAUUAUCUUUAUCAUAUCUAUCAAAUCUCACCCUCGUAAGUGGCCGUUUAGGGAUUGACAACCCCUAUUCGCGUCGGUUGUGAGGAUUUAUUUGUUUUGUGCAGGUACAAGGGACUCGCGCGUAGCCUCCUACUGGAUUGAUACCUUGGUUCUCAAAACCUAUUUGAUUGCCGUAGCACGAUCGCGCUUCCUCGGGCGCUAUUGUCUCAAAAAUACCGUCGUCCAUCUCCGUGACCUCCAGUCUACUACUCAUGAGCUGGUUUGGGCGCCGUGGCCUCUUUGCUUUCGGUUCUAGACCAGCUCCGCUAGUCUCGGCGCCUGUCUCAGUCUCAUCGCCGAUCUGCAUGUCGGUAUCAGUCCCCGAUGCGACAUCACAGUUGCUGCAACAUGGGAAAGGGAGACCACGUCAGUGCUGGGGGGUCUGAAAAUCGGAACACACUUUCGCGCGUUGCGGGCCGCCUCUCAGACAGCUACUGGGGAGGCGGCGGAGUACCUGGGUGCGCGGCGAAUCCCCGGGAACUCGGUGACCAACUUCCUUCCCGUGUGGCGCAUGGAGACGACGGCGACCCCGGCGAAGAGCAGCUUAGCCGCGAGCUGCACAGCCUCGUCCACCUCCUAAGUUGGGACCUCCGUGCGAGCGUUGCGGGGCCGCCACUCGGAUGGCUUCUGGAAGGCGGUUGUACAUGGGCACAUGGUGAAUCCCGGCGAGAGCUUGCCAUUGGCGCGCUCAAGUAGACGACGACGUCCUCGACGAAGAGCAGCCCGGCCAGCUCGCCUCACUAUCGUUUGAUUAGAAAUGAAAGAUUGGGAAGAAGCAGACUUGAGCCUGCAGGGAAAGGAUAAGGUGACGAUGCAGUCUCCACUCGUUCGGGGCGACACUCGUACUGAAUGUAUGAGAAAUCUGACGUGGCAGAGACCCCAAGAUACUCCCUCCAUUUAUUUUUAGUCUGCAUAUAAAGUUUGGUCAAAGUCAAGAUUUGUAAAUUUUAACUAACUUUAUAAUAAAAAAAUAUCAACAUUCACAAUAUGAAAUCAAUAUUACCAGAUGCGUCAUGAAAUGUAUUUCCAUACUAUAUAGUUUUGGUAUUGUAGAUGUUCAUAUUUUUUUAUAUAUAUGGGAAGUAGAGGCACUCUUCUAUACUAUAUUCAGAUGUAUGAUAUCUGUUAUUUAAGCGCUUGAAUUUUACAUACGAAUAUUUAUUAUUAAAUAUGUACCCCUACAAUAGCUAGGCCGUGCAGUUGCACGGGUAGAUGACUAGUGAUUACAAUCUUGUUUGUGUGCAAGUCAAGCUUAUCUAGUUUACACGUAACAACUUGUAGAACAUUACAAAAUUUAUGCUUGCUAAUAACUUUUAGAACACUACAACACUUGACAUGUAAAAGGAAUUUGACUGAGUCAUGGCCUACUAAAGCAAGUUACAUUACUAGUCUUAUCUAUCUUAACAGACCACACAAGAUUACAAACUAAGUACCGUGACAGCCAUGCUUAUCUAGUUUAUGCGUAACAAUUUGCAGAAAAUUACAAACUUAGUUUCAGAAAGAUAGGCAAUCUAGAUUAGUGUUUGAGCUGUAAAGUGAAUAAGAUGAGUCAUGCAUGUUAUCACACCUUUUUGGUGGUCGAAUGAUAGUGCAACAACAAGGAACUUUAAUGACCAGUCCAAGAAUACACUUGUAAGUAGUGCCACCAAACAGAACAUACCAAAUGAUCAUUCCAUGGCAGCUAUAAAUAGCCCCAUAGCAUGACGAUCAUCCUUCCUCAUCCAUCAUUCUCAUAAGUAGAGCACAUCAUUUAAGCCAAGCAAGUUGUGGUCAAUACAAAUCCACCAUGAAGACCUUUCUCAUCCUUGCCCUCCUUGCUAUCGUGGCGACCACCGCCACAACCGCAGUUAGAGUUCCAGUGCCACAAUUGCAGCCACAAAAUCCAUCUCAGCAACAGCCACAAGAGCAAGUUCCAUUGGUACAACAACAACAAUUUCUAGGGCAGCAACAAACAUUUCCACCACAACAACCAUAUCCACAGCUGCAACCAUUUCCAUCACAACAACCAUAUCUACAGCUGCAACCAUUUCCGCAGCCGCAACUACCAUAUUCGCAGCCACAACCAUUUCGACCACAACAACCAUAUCCACAACCGCAACCACAGUAUUCGCAACCACAACAACCAAUUUCACAGCAUCAACAGCAGCAGCAGCAACAACAACAACAACAACAACAACAACAAAUCCUUCAACAAAUUUUGCAACAACAACUGAUUCCAUGCAUGGAUGUUGUAUUGCAGCAACACAACAUAGCGCAAGGAAGAUCACAAGUUUUGCAACAAAGUACUUACCAGCUGUUGCAAGAAUUGUGUUGUCAGCACCUAUGGCAGAUCCCUGAGCAGUCGCAGUGCCAGGCCAUCCACAAUGUUGUUCAUGCUAUUAUUCUGCAUCAACAACAACAAAAACAACAACAACAACAACAACAACAACCAUCGAGCCAGGUCUCCUUCCAACAGCCUCAGCAACAAUAUCCAUUAGGCUAGGGCUCCUUCCGGCCAUCUCAGCAAAACCCACAGGCCCAGGGCUCUGUCCAGCCUCAACAACUGCCCCAGUUCGAGGAAAUAAGGAACCUAGCGCUACAGACACUACCUGCAAUUUGCAAUGUCUACAUCCCUCCAUAUUGCACCAUCGCGCCAUUUGGCAUCUUCGGUACUAACUGAGAAGAAAAUAACUCUAGUACUAGAUAUAUGAAACACCGUUUUCUCAGUCCAUGGUUUGGUCGUUGUAGCGGUGAAAAAAUAAUGUGGCAUGCACUAUCAUGUAAGAACCCAAACUAUACUAGUUCAAACUUGGGAAUAAAAGACAAACACAGGUCUUGUCUACAUAUUUAUGUUGCAUCUAUUUAUAUAUUAAAAGUAAUAUAAGGUGAACCAGGAGCAAGGUAAAUAUGCUAGAAAAUUGCACGUUAAUUAGAAAUUACUAGCCCUCAAUCUGGUAAAUCUUAACAAAUAGAAUUAUCUUGACCGUUAGAUUUAUGUAACAUAUAUAAUGCUCUGGGCCUCCAACGACUGUACGUGACACAUCUGAACGCACAUAUCUUAAAGAAAAUAUAUUUGGUAAAUGGUGGGCCUCUUUAAAAAGAGAACUCACGUACAUGCACCAACUAAGAAAAACACAUACAUGUAAACGGGAAAAGGAUGAGAUUUUCUCACGUACGUGCUCCCUGGCUCCACCCCGUUGAAAAAAUAUACAUCUGGAGGCCACUUUGUUUCCUCAUCAAAAAAAAACUUACGUUAAAAAGAUUGCAUGCAUCCCAGGGAAAAUAGUCAAGAAGAAGUCGGCUCUUCCUUACAAAAACAAGGAACGUGUUAAGUUGACUUCAAAGAAAAAAGGAACAUGUUAAGUUAAAAAAAACAAGAAACCUGUUAAGUUAGAAAAAAACAAGGAACGUGUUGUCCUAGGAAAGAUAUGUGUCAAAUCUUACAAAAAAAAAGAAUACACACACGUACGUUCAUGCACUUGGAAAAUAGAAAAAAAAGGAACAUCACGUAUGUAUACACUUCGGAAACUCAUUACAUGACCAUGUCUGAUAUACUCCUCUAAUGCUUAAUAUUAGUGCCUAAUAAUUUAUAUUUAAAAUUUAAUUUACUGAUCAAAUAUCCCCACUGUAUAAAUUUUAAUUUGGCACAUUGUUUGGCUAUAGUAUGAACCUAAAUUUCCUCUUAUUAUUAUAUAUCAUGGUAAUAAUCCAAAGGCGACUAAUCUGCGCCGGCGCACCGGCGCAAUCAAUUCGGCCCGACACAGCGCGGCCGUUUGAUUAGAUUGCAUUUAACCGUCAGAUCUGGAAUCAUUUUAUUUCCAAUUAAACGGAUUCAACCAAACAGCAGAGAGGAAAACAAAGCAGCGCCGCCGCCAACACUAGCCAUGGACGACCGAUGUAGCAAAACCUUGAAGAACCGCCGCCGGUCGCCACCCUUGCCGCUGGUCGCCGCCCUCGCCGCCUGUGUUUCUCAUCGGCUUCAUGCAUGCAACAACAUGCACUCGUGAUUGCAGGCUUGCAGCUCCGGCUCUGGGGGACAUGGCCGCAUCUCCAGUAGCGCCGGCCGCCGGCCGCAGCACCUGUCGUUGUGGUCACGCUGUACCUCGCCGUGUGCCCUCCCAAGGAUCUUGCUGGUUCCAACAAAAAACGAUACCUGUUGUAGCAAAAAAGUUUAUCGCUUCCAGCAAAAAAGCUUACCGCUACAGCCCGCCAUCAUCAUUGUAGCAAAAAUGUUAACUCGAUGUAGCUUCUGUGGUUGCCGACUGCAGCCAAAAAUGACGUGGUUGUAGCAAAACACAAAAGAAAAACUCCGGCCGUCCGCUGUGUAUGGUGGUAACAAACCCUAUAGCCGGUGGUAGCGAAAAACUUCAUUGUUUGCAGCAAAAAAAUGUUGUCGCCCAUCGUCGAGGUUGCAUCAUCUUCAUGAAUUAUGUCGCAAAAAAACGUUGUCGCCGGUAGUAGCAAAUGAAGCCGCCGGUAGAAACAAAACAAGACACUGGUUCCAGCCAAAAAAAAAUCAGCGACAGAACCUUUUGUUGGUUCCAACAAAAAAACUUGUCGGUUGUAGCAUCCCUCGCCGCCGGAUGUAGCAUCUCCCAGGGCUGGUUGCAACACUCCAUAAAAAAAGGUUGUCUACGAGCGCAUCCAUGGCAACUGCUGCACCGUCAGCAACGAGGGGAAGAGGAGGCAAUGAAAAUCGUUCGAGUCGUAGCUCCACAGGACGCGGGUGCAGCAUAGGGAGUCCAAAAAUCUGUCACAAGCAAGAUGCGCCUUGCCAUCCUCCUGCGCAGGAGAGAGAAGAAAAAGGAAUAAGAGGAAGAAGAAAGGAAACGGGAGAAAGAAAAAAAGAAACGAUUGGUUGUGGGCUCAGGCAAUUAGUCAAACGAGGGGCACGCGGGGCCGCAGGAUACAGCGCAAUCGAACGAAGUGCGCGCGUCUGGCCGAAGACUCAGCUGGACUGCCGGCUGGAAAUGUUUCCCUAAUACAAAGGCUUUUCUGAAUGACAAGUCGUCUGAGUUAUCGGCUAACUAGAAAAAAGAUAAAUAUGCUAGAUAAUUCCAUAAUCAUUAGAAAUAUCUAGCCUUUAAUUAUGUAAAUCAGAAAAUCACAACCGUUGGAUUUACUUUAAAGGUAAAUUUCUCUAAAUUCCCACCAUUGCCAGUAUGUAGAAACAUGUGCUGCUUCAAUUCUCCCUUAAUCACCAAUCAAUCAACAACAGAAAACAUACCGCAGUUCAAAAAACUGAACAAAAAAAAGAAAAAAAGAAGAAAGGACAAGAUACACGCAUGUACACGACAGCCUUGGCUUGAAACACAUCAGUAAAUCAAGUGUCCACCUCCCUUACACAGAAUAAAUUCUAGGGAAGAAAAUAAUAGUGCAACCUAACCUUAUACGUACUAUUCUAUCCUCACGUCCCAUGAGGUUUACUAGCCUACUGCCGCCGCAUCAUGCCAUCCUCUCCUUUCAGCUCCCAUGCUCUCCAGCACCCUCCUUGCGGCGCCACUACUCGCCUAGGGAUAUUGCUGCUCAGACCGUGGAGCUUAACCUGCUUCUUCUUCAGCAAAUAUGGAACUGCUUUAGGAUCCUUCUGACAUCAGCGCGUAUGGGCCUCAUUAUACUGCAGCUCCUGGACCUCCUACAAUUGGUUGGCUAUGGCCAGUUGAUCGAUUUGCUGAUGUCCAGGUCUGUUUGCUGGCACAUAUGCUUUGGAAAUAGGCCACUAUGUUUGUACUUCAAAAUUGUUUCUGUAUUCUUUAGUGGUACAUCCUUUUAAGCGCCAGUUUUUUAUGUUAAUUCAUGCUGACAACACUUAACCUAGCCUUUCAUGUUCACGUACUAAAUACAGGAGCAAGUAAAAACAACAGACCACCUAAUUGCUCUGCAAGUUCUACAUAGGAAAAUUUGUCAUGUUCUACGAUCGCACUAUCCCACCCUUCUCUCUUGGUAUGGGCGCCAAUUGAGGGAUUGAUAAAAUUGAAACGAAGCCGUCACAGGGCUGGAAGUACCGCUAGCCUGGUUCGCACUGCAACCUACCCAACGCCAUCAGAAACUAGCAACUGAGUCAGGUGUUGAUCGAUUCUCUCAAAUUGCUCUCAUGUAAGUACUACCCCUUGCAUGUGCGUACAUACCUUUGUUGCAUUCUCAAACAGAUAGAACAUGUAUGAUCGGUGCAUGGCUAUUUUUCAUCACAUGACAUCCAGAUAACAAGCAUGAAAGGACUACAUUGGAGAUCAAAAAAUAUUGGUUCCUGGCUAGAGUACCACUACCUAUGGACUUGUCUCCAUAGAAUUUGUUCCCAAGAUGUUAUUUUAAUUAACCUCUUUAGCUUUCUUCCAUUGCAAACGGUGAUGUGCAUCUUGGUAUAUACGUGACCAUCUUGCACAUGUAUACACAAGAGGCUCAGACGGAGGUGUUGGAUUCUGGACGAGGGAAUAUAAAGCAGGAGUGAGCGAAGUGUAAAUAAUGGUGGGAGUACCGAUUGGUGUUAUGAAGAAAAAUGCCAUCAAAAGAUUGAUUAGUGUCAUGGAAGAUUAAUUUCUGAAUGCGAAUAUAUAUGUUACAUUGGUUUGGAUCUUUUUGAGAUAAUUGCACCUAAAUUAGGUUCUUUCUUAUUUCAUAUGUAUACCUUAUUUCAGUAAAAGUUCACAACGAACUUAGUAGGACAAAUAUAAUUUUGUUUGUUCUUUCUGUUGUCCGCCACCAAAGCUCAAUUUGAACUCUCUAGAAAUGGACAAUGAUUUAUGCAUUCUAUAUCUUCUUGAUUGAUUAGCCAUGACAAGGAAAUAAAAGGAUUGACUGAUAUAGCAUAACUUUGGAACGAUUAGAGGUUACUACAAAUAAGAGUAGUGUCUGUUGGAAUUUUGCUAGUAGGCCUUUGGCCCAAAGCCCAACUAAAAUUCUGAAAUUCUCUUGGCUCAUUUAUACACACAUGUGAGUUGAGUGAGUGAGACUAAAGUUUAGUCCCACCCCGGAAGUUGAGAGAGAGUUGCACCUCUUUAUAAGGUGAGCUCUUCUACCACUUGUAUGAGCAUGAGAAGAGGAGACCUACACGCGCGCUCCUCCUCCACGCUCGCCACGCCUCGUCGCGCCGCGCCGUGCCGCGGGUUGCGGGAUUGAGCCGAGCCGAGGACGUUUUCUAUAUUUUUGCUGCUCGGGAAAAAUUAAUGAGUCAUUAAUUAAUAAUUAAUGGACACAUUAAUUACUGAACCGUUUCCGAUUUUUUUGGAUCGUGACGACUCGGACGUGGGGUUUACUCCCAGGACCUACCCGGCCCGCACUAUAUAGUCAGGAAGAUGUCUACCCUAGCCGCCGCCGCUUCGUAUGGUUUCUCACCAUCGUUACAGAUCAUUGCGCCGCCAAGCAAGUUUUCUCCAUCCCUCCUUUCGGCGUGCACCGGGAGAAGGGACAGCAGACCUCCGGAACCCCGCCUCUCGUGAUCCUAUACGGGAGAGGGGCGAUCAGGUUUUUGGGGAGCGCACUCGCAUGACUGCUUGCAGCGACGACUUCGCAAACGACGACUUCUUCCCCGACCUCGGCAACCUCAUCCUCGACGACAUGGGCGACAACGUCAACGCCGGCGAUGCUACACCCACUGCACCGUAUGUUAUUCUCUCCUUCUUGUUCGAGAUCGUGGUAGAAUUCAUGUUUCUAGUAUAUGUGCCCUAGAUGUGAUCUGUUCAUCUACUAUGGUAGUUCGCAUGAUUAGUUUAAUCUCUGCUAUUGCUGUCAUGAUCUAUUUCCUAUUUAUUCGGAUUAAAUCUCUUUGUAAUUUGCUCAUUUUUCCAACAAUCCAAAAACCUGAUUAUAGGAAAUUUACUCCGAGUGGUUUUGCUGCGCAUCUGAAAGCCGCUUGCCUUUAAGGGGGCGCAAUAUAAGAGGUGGCGCACCAGAGCAGUCUACUGGUUUCAGAUCAUGGGCUGCUAUGACGCCACCAAGGGCAAGCCUGAGGGCGAUCUUAAUCCAGCACAGCUGGAAGCUUUCAAGAAGAUCAAUACCCUCUUUAAAGGCACGCUUCUGAGUGUUCUUGAUGACUCCAUUGUAGAUUCGUAUAUGUCGUUUGACAACGGCAAGAACAUGUGGGCUACGCUCGAGGCCAAGUUUGGUGCCUCGGACGCCGGCAGCGAGUUGUACGUCAUGGAGCAAUUAUAUGACUCCAAGAUGACUGAUGGGCGCCCUGUUGUACAUGGGCGACUUCUUCCCCGACCUCGGCAACCUCAUCCUCGACGACAUGGGUGACAACGUCAAUGCCAGCGGUGCUACACCCACUGCACCGUAUGUUAUUCUAUCCUUCUUGUUCGAGAUCGUGGUAGAAUUCAGAUUUCUAGCAUGUUCCCUAGAUGUGAUCUGUUCAUCUACUAUGCUAAUUCGCAUGAUUAGUUUAAUCUCUGCUAUUGCUGUCAUGAUCUAUUUCCUAUUUAUUCGGAUUAAAUCUCGUAGUAAUUUGCUCAUUUUUCCAACAGUGCCAUCCAAUAGAUGAUGUAAAUCUCCUCAAGUUUGACGUUGUUGAGCUAAUUUACAAAAAAAACCUCAUCAUUAUUGGAUGUCCUUAACAGCUCAAGAACAAGUUGGGGUCGAAAUAAUGGAUUUUACACUUUUACAUUAAAGGUUUAGCUAAAGCAAGCAGGUGUUUUUAAAACUGAAUUUUUUCCUCCUGAAUUUCUUUGUAUUUUCUUAUUGACACUAUUUAUACAAUCAUCUGACAAAGAUUAGCUAAAGCUGUUUGUAGAUACGUUGAAACCUGAAAAGCUUCUUUGGUUAUCCUUUUAAUAGUUCUACGUUUAUUUUCUCAUAGGUCAUAAUUCUUAUGUAAUACCAAGAUGCAUUGUGGUAGUGUACAUGUGUUAAAUUCAGGUUGUUAUUCACAAUUUGCGACAAAAUUUAGCUCACGCUACAUUUAAAUAUGUUGAAAUGUGAAAGCUCUUUUUCUUCUCCUUUCUACACCUUGCAUCGGAUUGCAUCCCUUUAGUUAUCCAACAUUUUGUUCAACAUGUAGAGAUUAGGAAGUUCAUCAUAGUUUGUCUAUUUCCGUGCUAAUAAAUGUAUGAAAUCUGCAUUUCCAAGCUACUAGGACAAGUAAAAAAUAAUAAUUUUACUAGAGGAUUCAAAAACAGCAGUUCUGAAGUGCACUUUAUUUAUUUGUGAAAGUGAUCACAUUUUGUUUCAUUUUUCUAUAGACAAAUCUACUAAUACAUACUCACGAUAAAACUAUAAAAGUUCUAGUCCGCACAUUGGGCGGGCCACCCGGCUAGUUAGUCUAAAGAUAACAAAAUGAGUCUGGAAUUUGAAUUAAAUUGAAGUAUUUUCUUGGACUAUCCACAUCCUUGGCUUGCCCCUGAUCAAUUAUUUCCAGAGAAGCAUUCAAUUCAUCAAUCAAUUACAUUGAUUUUAGUGGCUAGUACAUCACCUCAACAUCAGUAUAUUCACCGUGGCCACUCCAAAUCGGCAAGAAUGAGGUACCAGUGCUCUGGAGAAGUGCAAGCUAAUUGCUUCUCAUGUGAAGGGGUGCGGGCGCGGGAGAGGUAUUUCUGGUGGGCCAAGGGACUAAGAAGCGACCGUGGCAGCGGUACAGAUGCCCGCAAAGCCUCAUAAUUUGUUUUUGGUUUACAGGAAAAAUGCACAUCCAUACUGGCCCGGGGAAUAUAGCACUGUAUUGGAUGGAAAACAAUGUCCGGAUGGUUGUGUGCGGUUUGAGGGUUAGCUUUUGUAACGCCCGGUUAGUUAUGCUAUAGCAAUUCCCUGCUAAUGAUGUCACGUCACCACGAUUACUGUUGUUAACCUCACAAUGAUUCAAUCUCGUUCAAAUUCAAAUUUAAAAUAAAGGCAAACAUCAAAAGUUUUCAAACAUUAAAACUAAAAUCUUUGAGAGGUGACAAAUAAUGCAUAAGUAAUUAUGGUGAAGAAACCACACUUUAAUCAAAUGUUUAAAUACUCUAAAAUGAAAAAAAAACAGUGACUUAAACUAUUAUUUAAAUGCUUUUAAAAUAGUAAAAAUCUUCUAACUAAAUUAUUUGGGUACCAAAACUUUUGGUGGCAGUGGUAUAUUUAGUAGAACUAAUUUAGAUGCUAAUUAUAUAAUUUACAAAAUUAGAGUAAAUUGAAAAAUAGGAUAAAACGAAAAAAGGAAAAACAAAACAAAUAAAAGCAAAAGGGGGCAACCCCUCGCUGGGCCUCGGCCUAGCUGGCCACUAGGCUAGCUAGGCUCGCCCCGCCGCCUCCCUUAACCCCCCACUCCCCGUCGAACCCAAGCCCGAUCGCCCCACUUCCCCCACACCCCCUCGCCGGUCUCCCCACCUCUUGAUCCCAUCUGGAUCGGGGAGGGUAUUGCCCCCAUCGAACCCGUUGCUGUCGCCGGAUCGCCCGCCGACGUCGCCAGGCCUCCUCCCCGUCGCCCGUCUCCGGCUCACCUCCCCUCUCGCUCCUCUUCCCUGACCCGAUCUGGAUCGUGAACGAGCAAUGAGCUCGAAGCCCCCCUUCACCGGCGCCAUCACCGUGCGCCACCACCACCGCCUGAAGACCUCACCGUCGCCGAACCUUGCGUCGCUGUAACACCCUCGAUGCGACUAUAUCUCCCACGUGUCGAGGCACGACUUAGAGGCAUAAUCGCAUUGAAGGCAUAUGUCGCAAGUGAGGUAGUCUUCACACAACCCAUGUAAUAUAAUAAGGGAAAGAGAUACAUAGUUGGCUUACACUCGCCACUUCACACAAUUACAUGAAUAAAACAUUACAUCAACCAAGUACACUCAUGGUCCGACCACGGAACCAAAAUAAAGAAGAACCCCAAAAGCGACAAAGGUCCCCGAUCGACCCCAACUGGGCUCCACUACUGAUCAAUUAGAACGAAACAGCUCAACGGACAAAGUCUUCAUCGAGCUCCUCCUGAGCUUGGUUGCGUCCUGCUCGGACUCAUCGGCACCUCCAAGCUGGUUUUGGAAGUAUCUGUGAGCCACGGGGACUCAGCAAUCUCGCACCCUCGCGAUCAAGACUAUUUAAGCUUAUGGGUAAGGUAAAGGUAUGAGGUGGAGCUGCAGCAAGCGACUAGCAUAUAUGGUGGCUAACCUAUUCGCAAAUGAGAGCGAGAAGAGAAGGCAAAGCACGGUCGAUAAAAGUAUGAUCAAGAAGUGAUCCUAGACUACCUACGUCAAGCAUAACUCCAACAACCGUGUUCACUUCCCGGACUCCGCCGGAAAAAGACCAUCACGGUUACACAUGCUGUUGAUUCAUUUUAAUUAAGGUCAAUUUUAGAUUUUCUACAACCGGACGUUAACAAAUUCCCAUCUGCCCAUAACCGCGGGCACGGCUUUCGAAAGUUCAAAUCCCUGCAGGGUGUCCCAACUUAGCCCAUGACAAGCUCUCACGGUCAACGAAGGAAUAGACCUCCACCCGAGAUAUUCCGAUCAGACUCGGUAUCCCAGUACAACAAGACAUUUCGACAGGGUAAAACUAAACCAGCAACACCGCCCGAUGCGCCGACAUCCUGAUGGGAGCUGCACAUAUCUCGUUCUCAGGGCAACACUGGAUUGUCUAAACUUCCGGUAGGCCAGCCCAGAGUUGCCCCUGGUGGCCACCGGCGGCUGACGGUUUGGACCAACACUUAGACAAGCACUGGCCCGGGGGGGUUAAAAAACGAUGACCCUCAGGAGCGCGACUCCCAAGGGAAAAGAAAAGGCUAGGUGGCAAAUGGUAAAGCCAAUGUUGGGCAUUGCUGGCAAAGCUUUACUUAAGGCGAACUGUCAAGGGGUUCCCAUUAUAGCCCAACCGCGUAAGGGACGCAAAGUCCAGGAACAUAACACUGAUAUGACGGAAACUAGGGCGGCAAGAGUGGAACAAAACACCAGGCAUAAGGCCGAGCCUUCCACCCUUUACCAAGUAUAUAGAUGCAUUAAUUAAAUAAGAUAUAUAGUGAUAUCCCAACAAGUAAACAAAUGUUCCAACAAGGAACGGCCUCCAAUCUUCACCUGCAACUAACAACGCUAUAAAAGGGGCUGAGCAAAGCGGUAACAUAGCAAUUCAACGGUUUGCUAGGACAAUGGUGGGUUAGGGGCUGAACAUGGCAAUUUGGGAGGCUGACAAGCAAGUGGUAGGCAUUGUAGCAAUGGCAUAGCAAAAGAGUGAGCAUACUAGCAUAGCAAAGAUAGUAGUGACUUCGAGGGUAUGAUCAUCUUGCCUGAAAUCCCGCAAGGAAGAAGAACGAGUCCAUGAAGAAGACAAACGGGCGUAGUCGAACGGGUCCUCACAAUCACGACGUUAUCGGAACCAACCCGAAGAAGCAAUCACCGGAAAAGAAGCACACACAACAUAGUAAACACCCAACACAUCAACAUGGCAAGAUGCACAAUCGAGUAUGAUGCAUGUCCGGUUUAAAGAGGCAUGGCAUGGCAAAGUGCACAAACAACCCUACAAAUUAAGUGGAGCUCAAUAUGCAACGGUUGCAUAUUGACGAAACACCACGUCAAUUAUUUAGUUCGAUCUCGUUUAUGUACCCAACAAUAUUAAAUGUUGUUAAAACAUGGCAAGAGGGGAAACAUGAUGAAACUAUCUAAUCUAGGCAAGUUUAAAUGAGGCCGGAAGCAACGAACAACAAUUCCGGAAAAUCCUCAUGUGUAAAUAUUAGGUUAGGUCCUGAUCUGUCCUAAACACAAUUUAAGCGUUGUUUAACAUGCAAGAUGAGGCCACCACGUUAAACUAGGCAAAAUUCUACCCGAUUUACAUAUAAAGAUUAUUAAAAUCGGAGUUACGGUUAAUUAGAUAUGAAUAAAAUCAUUUUAGCAUGGCAUGGGAGCAAACUUAAACAAACAUCAUUUUAGACAUUUUUUAAUUGUUGUUAUCAUGAUGCGGAUGACAUGAACAAGUUUAACGCAAUUUUAAUUAAGACUUGACAAGAGCAUUAUCAUGAAGCAUUGUCACCGUGGUGGAAGGAAAAAGGGGGUGCCACGGCAACGAAUCCGAAAAUGAUGCCAUGGCAACAUAUCGGUUCCGGUAACUCGAUUGAGAUCCCGGUGCAAACGAAAAAAACGACGGGAGCGUGACACGCGAUAGGAGGUGGGGUGAUCCCGGAUAUCGGGUUCCCACAAUAUGGUGACAAAGCAAAAGAGGGGCGACGUGCACCGAACAACUCCGACACGGAGCAAACACGAGCAUUUCAUACAUCACACAUGCAUUCGUUCACGGGCAUCGUUCCGGCGGUUAUACCUUUGAAGCGAGCAUCAUCGAAACGGAUCGAGUUCGACGGUAGGGGUACACGUGUCGACGAGGAAGUAGUUGUACACGGGGUCGUCGUGGGAAGUAGUCAUUCUCGCGAUGGUAGUGGAAGUAGGGGUACAUGACGACGUAGAGGUGCUCGCGACGGUAGUCGUUCACGUUUGCGUUUCACGGGUCUUCGGCGACGGUUGUCGUACAUGGUCCACAAGACGUCGAUCGUUCGGGGUCCGAUUUGCGGAUCUUGCCGACAUGAAGGGGUACUUGGCGUUCUCCGGACUUGCUGGUCUCGUCGAAACGAAGGGGUACUUGGUACAAUCCUCGUAGUCGUGCACUUGUCGUCAAGGGACUAGAUGGAUCCGAGGCUUCCGGAGGCGACGGUAGUGGGACUUGGUGAAUCCGAGUUCUUCAGAGGUCGUCAUGGUACUUGGUGAAAUCCUCGGAGAUGGACUUGACGCACGAAAGGUCUUCGGUGCCACGGUACUUGUCUGAUCACACACGGAGAUGCAUCGAUGGAUCUCUGACUCGUCCUGGCGAUGGACGAACUUGGCGAAAACCCCGAAGGCGGUCUUGAGCUUCCCUGGUUACCGCACCUUGGCAGAGACCAGAGGAACGACGAGGCCAGCGGGCAGCAACCGAAGAUGCCUGAGGUCUGUGGGCGUCCAGAUCAGGUGGCCUUCUGGCUAGGCAAGGACGACGAGGAGGAUGCCGAGGCGCGGGGACGAGGUAGGAGGCGGCACGGGAGCACGGCGCGGGCGUGGGCGCUCCUGGUGGGCGCAGAGGACGACGACGGCAGGCCAUGGCAGGGGCGGAGGCGCGGUUCCCUGGACCGGUAGGGCCGCGGCGGCGCUGUGGUGCCCGGCGGCCUCGGCGACGCGGCGAGGGAGGGGAUCCGGCGGGGCGCGAGGGAGCUCGGUGGCGGCGCAGGCUGCAGUGCCCGACAGAUGGAGGAGGCGCGGCAGGGUGGCUCCGGCCAGGGCACGGCGCGGGGAGCGCAAGACGGCGGCGAGGAGGCCGAUGAGGCUCCGACCUGGUACUUGGAUCGAAGGAGGAGGGAGGAUGAGGGGAGCCGGAGGGAGAUCGAGAGGGGGGUUCGAGCAGCUGGGGAUGGGGAUCGGGCUGCGAGGGAAAAUGGGGGUCGGGCACGAGAGAGAGAGAUCGAGGGGAGAUGGCGGCGCUGCGGGAACGAGAGGGAGAUGAGUGUGGUGCAGGAGCUGGGCUUCGGGCCUUCUAGGGUUAGGAGGGAGUGGGCCAGGGAGGCCGGCCGAGGAGAGAGAGGCCCAGGUGGGCAGGGGCGCGGCCUGCGGGGAAGGAUGGGCCUAGGGAGGCCUGAGGCUGCAGCUGGGCUGGACUCUCUUUCCCUCUUUCUCUAAUUUUCUUUAGCAGCAAAUGAUUAAAGAGAAAGAAAAGAAAGAGGGGGUUAGGGAAAGGAGUCGGACACGCGGAUAAUUUUCCCGGACUCACAAAAUUGCACUUGUUCCGAGAAAAAUGAAGUGGGCAAGAUUGCAAGAAUUAAAUUCAAGGACAAUUGAAUUUAAUUAGAAAGGUUGCACAAGGACUAGGAUUUAGGAGAGUCCAAAAAUGUUGAGAAAUUAGGAGGAGCCUCAAUAAAUGGGAAAAGAGAUGUUGGCAAAGUUUGGGGACCAAACUUGAAGUAGAAAGGGAGUGGGGAUUUUUCCAGUGUGUUUUGGUUAAUUCCGAAAGAAUGGAAUAUUUUAUAAUAGCCCCACUAAUAUCGGGACGAUAUGUUAUAAAGAGAAGUCAUCCUUCCCUCGAUUUAAAUGGAUCGAAGAUCCAUAUGAAUUAUUUAGUUGAGAUGCAAAAGAUUAUGACAUGAUGACAUGAUGCAAUGCACAUGAUGACGUGACAUGGUGCAACACGCAAGCACAUGACAACGCAACAACAUCGAAUAACUGCACGACACCUGGCACAUCGGUCUCGGGGCGUUACAGUCGCCUCCUUGUAUCCCCCCCCUACUCGCAUCCUCAAGCCAGGCCGAGCCCCUUCUCGGCAACGCUGUGAGACGCCCCCGUUUCCCUCCUCUUUCCACCGCAUUCACCGCGCCGCUCGCCGUGCCCGUCGCCGUGCGUGAGCCCACCACCGCACCAGCCCCCGCUCCGCGCACGACCCUACCCGCGCCCGCGCCAUGAUCCCCUUUUCCGCCCUACCUUCACGCGCUCGCCGCGAUCCCGAUGCUCCCCCGCGCCCUCUUUCGGGCGCGCCGACUGCCCCUGUCCUGGUGCUCGCCGCCGUGCCUCGCCACCGCUCUACUGCUACGUUACUACUGCGCUGCGGCCGCCGCCUCUUCCCGCUGCUCCGCUAGCGCCGGAGCUCCCGGUUGGCUCCACCACUGCUCACGUUAAACCGCCGGCCUAAAUGGCCUAACCCCCGGCUAAUGAACCCCCACUAACCCACUGACACCGGGACCCACAUUCCCUAAUUAACCAUUUAAUAAAUUAAAACUCUUAAAUUAACAUUAGUGUAUGACAUGUGCGUCCCCUGUUAAUUAAUAAUUUUACUGCUAGUUUUAUUAGUUUCUGUUUUUUCUGCAUAUUUCUUUUGUAUUUGAACAGGCUUUAUACAAUAAUAUUUAGCGUAUCAUACACAUACAAAUGUAAUCAUAGCAUAUACAUACAAAUAGUCUCAUCAAAUCAUGUCAUCAUCAUAAUCAUCAUCCAUCACAAAGUGGUCUCUCGUCAUCAUCUCGAAAAUAGCGAUACAAGUCUCGAUUACUUGCAACUACAUCGUCAUCCAUCUAAACAAUGAUAUACGCGAGAAGAGCUCUCACUAUGAGUGAGAGCGGAACUAUGCAGUACAUGAGUUUGUAUCCCUCUCUCGCAUUAGCGUGAACCUAAACUAACGACUCGCUGUUGCUCGGAAACCGGAAACCGGUACACCUGGGCCUGACACUCCGGCCACUCGUCGUAUACUCCUGGCGUAGCACUUCUUCGCCAUCGAUGAUCUAUGCACCUGCAUCGUCACAUGAGUCGAUGAUAUGCAACAUAUAUAGUUGAGUAACAGAAAGAGACAGACUUCGCAAAAAUAGAAGCAACAUAUCAUAAGUAUAAAUAACAAAGUUCAUCCUACCCAAAAUGCCCUAACUAGAGUGAUCUUCGCUAGUCGAGGAGGACGGUUUAAUUACAUCACAAAUAACGUUUCGUCGUGCAUAACUCAAAGUUCCGUCAUACAGAAAGUAUGAACUAAACGGACACAUUGUCAUAUUUCGAAAAUCACUCCAACAUAUCGUACCAUCCAUCCAAGUCAAGGAGAGAGUGCCCGAGCUUAGUGAAAGGCUUGUGGUCGAGACGCUGAGCGGCUACGCGUGUUCGAAAGUCUUCCCACGUCAUUUGUCCUUCUUCAUAGAACAUCCCUGUUUUUUCGACGACCUCCUUCAUGAUGAUUUGGACAAGUUCGCACUGGAAGUGAUAUAACUCAUCUCGAAGUGGAUGAUCCUCGAUAUCUCCUAAGUUCUUUGCCCAUUGCAGAAUAUGGGCAUCGCUGAAUUUAGGUGACAUGCAAAGGUUCCGGUGAUCUCGUCUAUACUCCAUCAUAUGGACAUAGAAUCGAUCAUCAAGAGAAUCACUCGGUUGCUGGAUGCAGCUGAAGUGGGUCUUAUGGGCCUGCCGUCCCUUUUCUUCUUGUCCUUGACCUCUCCACCCCGUGCAUCGUAGUAAAACGUAGCACUGUCGAGAAUAGACUUGAUGUGGGUGUAAUCCUUUUUGUUAAUGUUCUUCGACGAGUCCACAGUAUCGGGGGUAGCGGAUAAUGAGGACGGCGCUGAAGGAAAUAUGCCCUAGAGGCAAUAAUAAAGUUAUUAUUUAUUUCCUUAUAUCAUGAUAAAUGUUUAUUAUUCAUGCUAGAAUUGUAUUAACCGGAAACAUAAUACAUGUGUGAAUACAUAGACCAACAGAGUGUCACUAGUAUGCCUCUACUUGACUAGCUCGUUAAUCAAAGAUAGUUAUGUUUCCUAACCAUGAACAAAGAGUUGUUAUUUGAUUAACGAGGUCACAUCAUUAGUUGAAUGAUCUGAUUGACAUGACCCAUUCCAUUAGCUUAGCACCCGAUCGUUUAGUAUGUUGCUAUUGCUUUCUUCAUGACUUAUACAUGUUCCUAUAACUAUGAGAUUAUGCAACUCCCAUUUACCGGAGGAACACUUUGGGUACUACCAAACGUCACAACGUAACUGGGUGAUUAUAAAGGAGUACUACAGGUGUCUCCAAUGGUAGAUGUUGGGUUGGCGUAUUUCGAGAUUAGGGUUUGUCACUCCGAUUGUCGGAGAGGUAUCUCUGGGCCCUCUCGGUAAUGCACAUCACAUAAGCCUUGCAAGCACUGCAACUAAUAUGUUAGUUGUGAGAUGAUGUAUUACGGAACGAGUAAAGAGACUUGCCAGUAACGAGAUUGAACUAGGUAUUGGAUACCGACGAUCGAAUCUCGGGCAAGUAACAUACCGAUGACAAAGGGAACAACGUAUGUUGUUAUGCGGUCUGACCGAUAAAGAUCUUCGUAGAAUAUGUAGGAGCCAAUAUGGGCAUCCAGGUCCCGCUAUUGGUUAUUGACCGGAGACGUGUCUCGGUCAUGUCUACAUUGUUCUCGAACCGUAGGGUCCGCACGCUUAAUGUUACGAUGACAGUUAUUAUGAGUUUAUGCAUUUUGAUGUACCGAAGGUUGUUCGGAGUCCCGGAUGAGAUCACGGACAUGACGAGGAGUCUUGAAAUGGUCGAGACGUAAAGAUUGAUAUAUUGGAAGCCUAUGUUUGGACAUAGGAAGUGUUCCGGGUGAAAUCGGGAUUUUACCGGAAUACCGGAAGGGUUACCGGAACCCCCCGGGAGACUAAUGGGCCUAUUGGGCCUUAGUGGAAAAAGAGAAAAGGGGCAGCCCAUAGCUGGCCGGCGCCCCCCCCCUUUCCCCAAGUCCUAGUAGGACUAGGAGAAGGGGCCGGCCCCCCCUCUUUCUCCUUUCCCCCCGAGAGUCCUAAUUGGAAUAGGAUUGGAGGGAGGAGUCCUACUCCCGGUGGGAGUAGGACUCCCCUGCGCCUCCCUCUCCCUGGCCGGCCGGCCCCCCUUCCUCCAACCUUUAUAUACGGGGGCAGGGGACACCCCAAGACACACAAGUUGAUCCUUGAGAUCGUUCCUUAGCCGUGUGCGGUGCCCCCUGCCACCAAAUUCCACCUCGAUCGUACCGUUACAGUGCUUAGGCGAAGCCCUGCGUCGGUAGUACAUCAAGAUCGUCACCACGCCGUCGUGCUGACGGAACUCUUCCUCGACACUUUGCUGGAUCGGAGCCCGAGGAACGUCAUCGAGCUGAACGUGUGCUAAGAACUCGGAGGUGCCGGAGUAACGGUGCUUGGAUCGGUCGGAUCGGGAAGAAGACGUACGACUACUUCCUCUACGUUGUGUGAUCGCUUCCGCAGUCGGUCUGCGUUGGUACAUAGACAACACUCUCCCCUCUCGUUGCUGUGCAUCACCAUGAUCUUGCGUGUGCGUAGGAAAAUUUUCGAAAUUACUGCGUUCCCCAACAGGCGCGCCCGCCGCUGCGCAAAAUAAGUACACCUCCAAUUAAUUACACUCCAUCGUUCAAAUGAAUGAUUGAAAUCGAAGGAAGGAUAUCUGCGCGGAUGACUUACACGAGAUGAUAAGCCAUGAGAAUCGCCUCCUUGUCCUUAUUGGCAAGCAUGAAAUCGACGAUGUAUUCCUCGCGUAUUCACGGUGCUUUGCACGGACUCCCAAGAAGCCCUCGUGCAUGAAGUACGGGUCAGCAACACAGAUAUGAGGUAUCUGCUCAACCCCGAUGAGGUAGUUCAUGUGCAAGGCAUAAAGGCGGACAAACGUAAAAUCCAGCUUCUUUAAGUGAAACAUGUUGAAGAUGUAAUCGAAUCGAAGGAAAAACUUCUUCGAGGGGAAUGUGUCGACGUACGACAAUUGCCGCGGCACGUUAACCACGUAGAGAGGGUAUCCUGGAUUUUUCGAGGCGAUGAGGCCUUUCUCUAUCCGCAACACGUCGUCAUGAAGUCUCCUUAGAUUGCCGGAUCUGGCCCCUAGUGCUGCUUUCGGUAGGAUUGGUUCACCGGGAUACGCCAUUUUGCCGCUCCGGGGAUAUCUAUACGGUCUUGAACCCGAGGCUGCUGAGGCGGCUGGAUCAUAGAAGCAGCUUUGUUGGCUUUCCUCGGUGUAUUCCUAAGCUUCUUUGCUACCGGAAGGUCGUCUAUAAUAUGUUCAGCCUCCGGAGGCGGCAAUUCAAGCACCGACUCAUGACGCUCAAACCCUUAGUAGGCGCCAGUAUUGAGAUACUAUUGAGUGUCAUUGUCAUCCUCAUCUAUGGCGGUGUCACCAGCGACAAAUGGAGCCUCUUCCUCACCCCGUCCGCUAUCACCCAGCACGACAGCCGGCGCUAAUUGGGUAGGUGGGGUGUUGAUGUUCAUACCUAACUGCGUGCUCGUGUGUGUGCUCCCGGCCGUCUCCAAACAAAGCAGACUCUUUGGCCACAAUAGGACCCACCCAUUGCAAUCACCAAGCCGCUGCGGGAUCUUGUCGUCAUUCCCCCUAGUACCGGAGGAGCCAAAUUCUCCUGGCCUGGUUUGACACUGGCCACGGAAACUUUGAAGAUGUCCAGGGGGAUCGAUCGGCCGUGGAACAAUGGUUCCUUCAGCUUCAUUAUCGUCACCUUCCCCACGUCCACCUCCUGGUAGCGGAUGCUGUACAAUAUGGUGCACGGGGUUAUAUUGGCCUGCAAAGACAUUUCUGUGAUGUGAGAUAUCCGAAAGGCAACGGAAAUGGGAGAUUAUACAUUUAUUGAAGAGGGCCGGUGUGACAGAUACCGUGAGGGCGUCGAGCUCAGCCAAAGACGAAGCACCGCUGAGCACGUCUGGUGUCGGAGCCGGUGCCGGAGCAGGUGCGGGAGCCCGUGCGGGAGCAGGUGUAGGUGCCGGUGCAACGCUAGUUGAGCUACUCCCGAAGAAGUCAGCAAGGGGAAAGUCUGCUGUAUUUUUUUCUGGAUUUUGCAUGCUCCAAUUGAAAACGGCCGGAACCAAGACAGAAGACAUAUCUGGAACCACCUGUUUUGCGGCAGCUAUCGCAGUUGUGACUGUCUCAGAUGAUUUCUUCUCAACCGCAAUCUCAACCUUCUGGUUGAUGUUUUCUUCAGUUAACCUCCGUCUUUCCUUUCUCUCCUCUGUGGUCUCACGGUAGUACUUCUUCCAUGUGGCGCCGUCUUCGACACCGUGCACGCGUCCAUACGACGGCCGAUUCUCCACCGGGAGUCCUUUCAAUAUGUUCAAUGCCCGAUUGAAUGGAGUGUUCCACUUGGGCCUCGCCAACACCUCAGACGGUGAGUCACUUUCGGCUGCAAUCUUGUGCUGCUCUCUCUACAAAAGGAACAAGGAUCGUUUACAAAUAUGACUAAACGUGCAGUCGAAUUGAUCAGAAACUAAAAUUACCGGCAGUCCCAUGAACUUCGUCGUGAUCAGGUCAGUCUUGAAAACCUUCUUGACUGAGUCCCAAUGGUGUCGUGCCCCGAGGACGUCAUGCUCCCGCGGGACGGUGAAGUCCGCCAAGGGGUCUGGGAUGCCCAGACUUUCGCGUUCCGCGUCCUCCUAUGCCCAUAUGGACCUCUUCCCGCCGUAACCACGGCUUCCGAGGUGGUGGCGCCCUAUGUUCCUUUGUUGAAGCCCCUUCAUGUACUUCGACUUUUUUUGGCAGCUUCGGCCUCGCAAGCCGCCUUGAAUUUUUCAAAGUGCUCUCCCGUGAUUGUCGGAUUAUCCUUUACAAUCUCAGAGUAUGGUUCCUUUUUGUCGACAAUCCGAUGUUUCAACCUUGUUUUCCAGGUGCCCAACGCGUCACUAAACUUGGUCAUGGCGUGUUUGUUUAUCUUCUUCAUUGCCGGGUCCUUAUUUGGAUCUUUAUAAUCCAUUUCAUUCCGGCCCGGGAACAACAAUAUCUGGUGCAGCUUCUUUAGGAGAGAGGGCCUCAUAUUAUCUAUCUUCUGUAGUUUCCCAUCAUUGAUCGUGGCAGUUGUCCGUACGAUGCAGCCUACUUGAUUGCCGUAGCACGAUCGCGCUUCCUCGGGCGCUAUUGUCUGAAAAACACUGUCGUCCAUCUCCGUGACCACCAGUCUAGUAGUCAUGAGCAGGUUUGGGCGCCGUGGCUUCUUUGCUUUCGGUUCUAGACCAGCUCCGCUAGUCUCGGCGCCGGUCUCAGUCUCAUCGCCAGUCUGCAUGUCGGUAUCAGUCCCCGAUGCGAUAGGUCGGCCCAGCAACAACAUUCGUUGAUCGUCGGCAAGGCUCAAAAAUUCAUCUGCCGCCAGGUAGACGUGUCGCAAUCACCAGAACCCUAUCCUUCAUCGUUGCUAGCCAUGUUUCCUACGAUUAUGCCUAGUCAAUUAAUUUUAGACCUAAUAAAAUGAAUAAUGACAUAAAACAGGCCAAUGUUUUGCAGGAUUACAACUCAACCCAUUGCAGAUUAGAAAACAAGCCCGUGUGAAUGCACAGGCUGACCACUAGUCUAUCUAUACCUAUACCUACCUAUACUAAUUACAGACUCCCAAGUAAUUCCCACGUUAAUUAGUAAUUAAGAGCCGUUAAUCUUGUGGGACCAAAUUAUUACGACAGUCCACGAUCUCUUUUCUCUCUGUGUAAAAAAAAAGGUCCACGAUCUCUUUUCUCCGUUGUAAAAGAUAAAGGCAACUCAGGUCCACGAUCUCUUUUCACGGUUGUGAAAGAUAAAGACAACUCCCGUCUUCUUCUAAUCUAUAGUUCUAUACCUCCACGACCCCUUCCUCUCCCCAUUUAAAAGGAACAAGCUGAACCAAUAUCUAAGCAUGCAAUUGGUUCCUGUGCGGUCUUGACCUUCCAUCCGUCCACUGCUCGAUCGGCCCUCCCUCAACUACAAGCUGACAAGCCACCAUCGCCAUCCAGCGGCACGCCACCGUUCAUGCAUGUGUUUUUGCCCUUCAAUCUGAAGGAGAUGCGUUGGCUACUCAAGUAACUCUGUUUGUUUUGUUCAAACCAAUUUCGUUAAUUCGGUUCUUUGAUUAUCUUAUUGACAUGGCCUGUGAGUUUUGUGCUAGUGAUACAGGGCCUGUCUACUAGAUUCUCUCCUUGCAACUUCUAUUGUUGUCUCGAUUUGGUGUGGUCAAGAUCCUUGCCCCACCACAAGCAGCACCUUUGCACCAUCGGGGAAAUCUGUCAUAGCAAACAGAGGUAUGUAACAUGCUUUGGUGUUUUCCUCUUUCGUUUAGAUCACUAGAGUUGCUCAACCACACCAUUCAUUGAUUAGUAGUUGGCCUGAGAAGUUGCUCGGUCACCUGCAGCGUCUGAUCCCCUUCUUGACCCUCUCAUUCUGGUCAUUAUCCACCGGCAGGUCAAUGCCAAACGGAUCGUUCGUUGCCGCCACCUUGCGGAGACCGAUGUUUGGCUGCCCUCCUGCCAUCCUGGCGCUCUGGUACCGGUCACUGUGCCGUUGUUCUAGAAGAACUAUGUCACACGAAGCGAGAUAUCUUCUUACUAAUCUGGAACAUAAGUGUUUCUUCUUACUAGGAUUCGCUCACCGGUGCAUUCAUCUCUUUUUGGAAAAUACGGCCUUCAUAUUUCACACGCCUAUACAUGGGUGCUGUCCCAACAAUAAUCCAUCUAAUCCAUGAUGCACAUUCAUGAAGACUGAUGUGACUGAAUUAAUAUAUCAAUCUGGUGCUUCCGGAUCAGCACUUGAAGAAGCAACCCCUUUAGUUCAUAAAUAUAUCAUACGAAAGUCAGGGGAGAAAUCAACUAAGUCAUGUGUGCUUUUCUAAUUAUUUACUAUACACUAAUUCCAUUUUUUCAGUAGAAGGCUAGGAUACGUGGAUUGUGGCAGCACAGAAGUAAACCGAUGAGCUACGUUGGCCGUUCACCAGUCAUCGGAUCAGCAGCCAUGUCGACCAGAGGGACGGAACAGUUCUAUAUUAGGCGAUGGAUACAUGUGGAAGCAACUAAGCAUAUGUGGAUGCAUGUGAUCGCAUAGGUAAGGCCAUAGCUGUUCAAGCCCUACAGGAUCUUUAUUGCUGGUUUUAAUUAUGAGUUUACAACACCAUCUAUACAUACUACUUAUCCAUUUAUUUCCUUACCUUCUUUGUUUCUUUCUCUCCUUGAUCCCCUGUCAAAAGGGCAUCAACAUCCAUAUGCGCAACGGCACACGCAACAAACUAUGACUUCGGUUGCAUGUCCAACGGCAACCACAGUACAUGAUGAUAUCAUGUUUGCUGCAAGACGAAGUACAAGUUCAUAAUUUGGUCUUUUGCAUGGUCCCUUAGUAAAUUCACUUCUGCUUCGGUACACCCCCCCUAAACACAUAGACGGCCCAGAUUAGUCGAUACCUCUUCAUAAGUAAGGGCAUGAUGGUCAUAUAUUAAAAACCAUUCGUCCCCUGUAUAUGUGUACAGUGAGAUGGGCCGGCCCAUCUUUCCCUUUUUUUCUGAUUUGAUCCUGACAGGAAUCGAACCAGAUAGUUCCUGGUACAUAGUUGGACGUGAUAACCAACCAGCCGACUUAGGCACCUAUGGUUAGAUAGUUCUUUCUCGUCCUUUUCUUCUUUCCUCUUUCCUCUUUCUUAUUUCCUUUUUUCUUGUUUUUUCAAACGUUGUUUUGGGUUUUCAUUUCCCUUUUUUUCUUUUUCGUUUUCUUUUCCUUUUUAUGUUCCUUUUGUUUUACCUUUUCUUUUGCAAUGUGCAAAAUUUUUCAGUUUCCUUUAUAAAAAAUUAAUGAACCUUUUUUAAUAUUGAUGAUUUUUUUUUCAAAGUCGAUGAACUUUAUUCAAGAUUGAUGAUUUUUUUCUAAAUUGAUGAACCUUUCUCAAGAUGAAUAUAGUUUUUUCAAAGUAGAAGAUUUUUUUUCAAAAUUGAUAAAAUUUUGCAAAAUCGAUGAUUUUAAAAAAAUCAUGAACUUUUUUCAAAUCCUUGUACUUUUUUUAAUCAAGAUGCAUGGGUUAUUUUUAAUUCAUGGAACUUUUAAUUUACGGACAUUUUGCCAAUCCGCUUAUUUUUUUCAAGUCCAUGAACUUUUCCAAAAGGGCGAACCCUUUUUUAUAGUCAAUGGUCAAAGGUCAAGCAUGUCAAUGGUCAACUUUUUGUCCAGGUUAACCAUGAAGAAGUUUUUUUUUGGUCGAACCACGAAGAAGCGAUCGAGCGUAUGCUCUUGGCGAGCGACAGCUGAUCGCUCCUGUAGUUUGGCCAGCCCAUGAAAGGUGGUGUUCAAGCGAUGUGUCCACUAAGUAGCGCAGAAAGCGGUGACUAGGCGCUCCCACUGUACAGGGAGUAGCGUCGCACAAACCGGCGCACACACCCCUUCGUCCAAGGUCUGGCCCAUUUUCCUUUUCUAUUUUUACCUUGAAAAAAUAGGUGCAUGAAGUAGGAUUCAAACUAUGAACCUUUGUGAUUACUUCCACCCACUAUAACAAACUAGGAUAGCUCACUUCUUGCGUCUAAUUACUUCUUUUUUAGAGCAUCUUCUCAGUCUGUUUUUUCUUUUGCUUUUGUUUGGCCUUUUUAUUCCGUUUUAUUCAUUUUUUAUUUGUCUUUGUUUCUUCUUAUUUUCAUUUUGUUAAAUUCAUGAUUUUUUAAAUCUAUGAGCUUAUUUUAAGGAUGUUGAGAAAUAACAUGCUCCCAGACAAAACCUUCUGGCCUACCGGAUACUCUUUGUAGAACAUGGUAUAGUUUUGGACAUCAUUCAAAUGAUCCCAACUUUUGUAGGAUGGUGGGCAUUUCCCGUGGUAGGCAUCAUUGACAGGUUUGAAUGACUUCUGACACCGUAUGCAAGUUGCGACACGUCCGAUCAUUUAUCGGUCUUUUUUCACCGGAAAAACUCUAGAAAAUGCAAAACUUGUUGAGAAUCCAAAAAACUUAGCUUGGUGUCUUGAAUUGGUCGUACAAGGCCAUGAAAAAAUUUGGGGCCAUUUCAAGGAUGUCAAGAAACAACGUGCUCUCAAACAGAGCCUUCUGGCAACCGAACACCCUUCAUUGAACAUGGUCUAGUUUUGGACAUUCUUGAAAUGACCCCAACUUUUUGAAGUAGAUGAGCAUGCCCAUGGUAGACAUCCAUGUCAAGUUUGAAUGAUUUCUGACACCGUAUGCAAGUCGCGACACGUCCGGCCAUUUAUCGACCUUUUUUGGCCGAGGAAACUCCAGAAAAUGCAAAAUUCAUCAAAAAACAAAACAACUUGGCAUGGUGCACUUAGUUGGCCAUACAAGGUCAUAUAAAAAAUUGGGGCAAUUUCAUGGGUGUGGAAACACAACAUGCUCUCAGACGGAGCUUUCUGACCUACCUGAUGAAGGAAAUAUGCCCUAGAGGCAAUAAUAAAGUUAUUAUUUAUUUCCUUAUGUCAUGAUAAAUAUUUAUUAUUCAUGCUAGAAUUGUAUUAACCGGAAACAUAAUACAUGUGUGAAUACAUAGACAAACAGAGUGUCACUAGUAUGCCUCUACUUGACUAGCUCGUUAAUCAAAGAUGGUUAUGUUUCCUAACCAUGGACAAAGAGUUGUCAUUUGAUUAACGGGAUCACAUCAUUAGUUGAAUGAUCUGAUUGACAUGACCCAUUCCAUUAGCUUAGCACCCGAUUGUUUAGUAUGUUGCUAUUGGUUUCUUCAUGACUUAUACAUGUUCCUAUAACUAUGAGAUUAUGUAACUCCCGUGUGCCGGAGGAACACUUUGUGUGCUACCAAACGUCACAGCAUAACUGGGUGAUUAUAAAGGUGCUCUACAGGUGUCUCCAAAGGUACAUGUUGGGUUGACGUAUUUCGAGAUUAGGAUUUGUCACUCCGAUCGUCAGAGAGGUAUCUCUCGGCCCUCUCGGUAAUGCACAUCACUUAAGCCUUGCAAGCAUUGCAACUAAUGAGUUAGUUGCGGGAUGAUGUAUUACGGAACGAGUAAAGAGACUUGCCGGUAAUGAGAUUGAACUAGGUAUUGGAUACCGACGAUCGAAUCUUGGGCAAGUAACAUACCGAUGACAAAGGGAACAACGUAUGUUGUUAUGCGGUCUGACCGAUAAAGAUCUUCGUAGAAUAUGUAGGAGCCAAUAUGGGCAUCCAGGUCCCGCUAUUGGUUAUUGACCGGAGACAUGUCUCGGUCAUGUCUACAUUGUUCUCGAACCCGUAGGGUCCGCACGCUUAAGGUUUCGAUGACAGUUAUAUUAUGAGUUUAUACGUUUUGAUGUACCGAAGGUUGUUCGGAGUCCCGGAUGUCAUCACGGACAUGACGAGGAGUCUCGAAAUGGUCGAGACAUAAAGGUUGAUAUAUUGGAAGCCUAUGUUUGGAUAUCGGAAGUGUUCCGGGUGAAAUCGGGAUUUUACCGGAGUACCGGGAGGUUACCGGAACCCCCCGGGAGAUAUAUGGGCCUUAGUGGGCCUUAGUGGAAAAGAGAAGAGGCAGCCAGAGAUGGGCCGCGCACCCCUCCCCUCCCUUGGUCCGAAUAGGACAAGGAGAGGGGGCCGGCCCCCUUNNNNNNNNNNNNNNNNNNNNNNNNNNNNNNNNNNNNNNNNNNNNNNNNNNNNNNNNNNNNNNNNNNNNNNNNNNNNNNNNNNNNNNNNNNNNNNNNNNNNNNNNNNNNNNNNNNNNNNNNNNNNNNNNNNNNNNNNNNNNNNNNNNNNNNNNNNNNNNNNNNNNNNNNNNNNNNNNNNNNNNNNNNNNNNNNNNNNNNNNNNNNNNNNNNNNNNNNNNNNNNNNNNNNNNNNNNNNNNNNNNNNNNNNNNNNNNNNNNNNNNNNNNNNNNNNNNNNNNNNNNNNNNNNNNNNNNNNNNNNNNNNNNNNNNNNNNNNNNNNNNNNNNNNNNNNNNNNNNAUCCUACUCCCGGAGGGAGUAGGACUCCUCCUGGCGCGCCUCUCCUAGGCCGGCCGCACCCCUCCCCCCCCUUGAGCCUUUAUAUACGGAGGCAGGGGCACCCCAGAGGAACACAAGUUGAUCCACGUGAUCAUAUUCUUAGCCGUGUGCGGUGCCCCUGCCACCAUAGUCCUCGAUAAUAUUGUAGUGGUGCUUAGGCAAAGCCCUGUGACAGUAGUACAUCAAGAUCGUCACCACGCCGUCGUGCUGACGGAACUCUUCCCCGACACUUUGCUGGAUCGGAGUCCGGGGAUCGUCAUCGAGCUGAACGUGUGCUAGAAUCGGAGGUGCCGUAGUUUCGGUGCUUGAUUGGUCGGGCCGUGGAGACGUAUGACUACAUCAACCAAACGCUUCCGUUGUUGAUAUACAAGGGUACGUAGAUCACAUUCUCCCCUCUCGUUGCUAUGCAUCACCAUGAUCUUGCGUGUGCGUAGGAUUUUUUUUGAAAUUACUACGUUCCCCAACACCUGAACACCCUCAUUUGAACAUGGUCAGUUUUUAGAUAUCCUUCAAAAGACCACAACUUUUCCAAAAAGGUGAGCAUGCACAUGGUAGGCAUAUAUGCCAAGUUUGAACGAUUUUUGACACUGUAUGCUAGUUGCGACACGUUCGGCAAUUUUCGCCAUUUUUUGACAAAGAAAUCUCCAGAAAAUGUAGAAUUUUUAGAAAACCAAAAAACCCUGGCAUGGUGCCUUGAAUUCUUCAUACAAGCCAGUGAAAAAAAAUAGGUCAUUUGACGGAUGUCGAGAAAAAACAUGCUCCCAAACGGAGCCUUCUUACCUACCCCUACACCCUAUGUUGAACAUGGUGAUUUUUUCUACACGAACACAAAAAAAAUGUUCGAGAAAAUUCAAAAAAUUUUCUUUCAAAUUUUUAUUCGUAUUUUUCUUGAAGUUCCAAAUUUAAUAGUGAAUUUUCCUAAAAUGUUAAAUCAAAAAUGUUCGUGUGGAAAAUUUUGUUUGCUCUUUGUAAAAAUGUUUGUGUUUUGACAUUAUGAGCAAUUUGAAAAUACAAAUACAUUCUGAGGAAUUCAUAAAUGUCGCAUUUUGAAGUAAUUGUUCGUAGUUUCAGAAAAUGUCCGUGUUUUCAGUUUUAUAUCUCUUUUAAGAAAAUGUUCGUAUUUAAAAAAAAUUGUUUGUAGUUUCAAGAAAUGUUCUCGUUUUCAAUUCUGCUCUUAUUUUUCUAAAACAAAGUUUGAGAGUCUGAAACAUUGCUCACUAAAGGUUUGAAUUUUAAAAAUAUGUUCACAGAUUUUGAAAUUUUUUGGGUUUAAAGCAUAUUUACUUUGUCAAACAGAAAUUCACAUACGGAAUUUUGAAAAAAAUAAUCGUUUUUGGACUAGUGAUGUUAUGCACUCGCGGGAGCUUGUGUGUUAGAUCCGCGCACCCAUUUUAGUAUUUGUGAAUUGGUGUUGAAGUGUUGCCGCUCUAGCUAAUUCUUUAGGUGUGACACUGCUAUUGUGUCGGUUGCGUUAGGCAGGCGAAGUGGCUAGGGCGUAAUUUUUGUUGAUUUUCCAGCCCAAAUGGAUCGGCCCAGGUUAUCUGUGCCUGUGUCCUGCGAACAUAUGGCACAUUCCAGCGUACGUACGAAAAUGGAUAGGAUUUGUCAAAAGUCUAAAUUACCCAUUAUACGCUUUGUGAGGGGGGUGUAUCGAAGCGUUUCUCCACAUAAAUUAUAUUUGUCCACAUACACCACAUACAUAAAAACAGGUAGAAGCGGUUGCAUGGUGAAAAUGUCCUCUCAAUAUGCAUGCCUAUGAAUACUAUCACCAGAAAGCCAAGGACUAACAAUUAUUCAGGGGUCAAGAUUGAAGACAGACGUCCAAGAUUGGAAGUCGGCCGGCCUAAGAGGGGCAAAACCAUUGUACAUUAUAUUGUAUGGACCUAGCAAGAUCCUAAAGAUAAGUGAUAAUGGAGAUCAUGGGGGCCACCCUUAUAACCAUAUGUCCAAAUGUUCUUAUUUGUUUAUUUUUCUUUUCUCUUUUCGGAAGAAUCCAUCCUGCCUCUAUGGUCAUCCUGACCACUUCGUAUUGUUAUCUAAUCUCCUCCCUUAAUUAAUAUAAAGAAUUACCGCAGCUGAAUUCACUAAAAAAAGUAUUCAGUUUAUUUUAAUUUAUUCAACUAUUAUGGCAUAUCAAUUGGAUUGCAAGUUCUUGGCGGUUGCAUUUGAAUCAUAUUUGAUGUGCACAAAGGCUUCAGUGUCAAGGUGGUCGGACGAGUAUUUAUGUCCAUUAUAUAUGCGUUAGCUUGAGAUCAUCAGGCACCUGUUAUGCAUCUGUCCAGUUAAAAGGAUGUUCAGACUCAGGCUUGCCCUACCAUAUAUGGCUGUGACACUCUGAACCAAGCAAGUUGGUCAUAUAUGUCGAGCACUAUUAACUCUUUGGAAGAAGAUCCACCAAGUACAGAAAACAAAUCAAAUAUCUUCUUAACCUUAUCACCAGAAAAAUUAGCAAGAGAUGAAUAGUAACAUUUUAAAGAAGAAAGAUAUGUUUGAAAAGGGAUAUAUAUUAUGGCGACGAUUAGAACAGCCCUUGACGAAUGGUGCCUAGCCUGCGAAAGUUUCUUAUGAAUAUAGUCAACACUCUAUAUCAACUGUUGUAAGAUUUUAGAAAUAUUUUUGGGGACAUAUGAUACAUGUCUAUUAUACAUAUGAUUCAACAGAAGUUUGAUUGAAUACAUAUUUAAAACGUGACUGACUUCUAUAUGGACGGAGUAUUUCACAAAGGACUCACUGCCAACUGUGUGAAUAUUCCAAGAUAGUUAGUGCACAUAAAUGUUCAAAUCCAUAGCUGCAUAAAUAUACAAAAGCAAUGUGUUAGACCACUACACAUGCUUCUGAAAGGAGGCAAAAAAAUGUAUGCUUGAUUGAUGACCGUUCAUGCAUGAAAUUAAUUUUUGAUUUCUAAUUAUUUUGGUCAUAUAAUGGAAAUAGAGACAUUAUAAAGAUCCAACAGCAUGCUAUCACACACGUGUGAACACAGACACACACAAAUAACAUUUGCCGAGCACUCACAAAUAAAAGGUGUGGCUACUCUUGGGUGUUCUACAGCUGGCUUAAAAAAACACGUAUGAAACAUGAUCCCCAAAAAUCUGAAAUUCGCAACAUAUGAAAAUCCACCCUCAAACAUAUUUCUAGUGUCUCAAUUCUUUUAGUUUCAGAUGGUAUGUCCAGCCAAAGUAGUUGUACACAUACAUUACUAUGUUCUAUUAUUUGAGAUUCUAAGAGAACAUUUAGUAACUAGCCCGUGCGAUGCACGGGUUCACGACUAGUAUAUAUAAAGCUUAAUGGUGCCUAAGAAAGCUCGCACAAUUUUACAGUGGCUAUGGAAAUGUGUUGCCAAACUGAGACAUAAGAUUUUCAUUUGGCAUCCAGAGUUGCAGACCGCUUGUGUUAUCCUUAAUCCAUGGCCACUCUAAUUUUUCCGGCUGGGCCUUCCCUGUGGUACCGCGGCAAGGCUUGCGUGUGUAUAUGUUUCCUUUAACUACCACUAGCACAUAUGCCCAUGCGUGCGUUGCAAUGGGAGAGAUAAUGGCAUAUCCACCAAUAUAUCUAGCAGCAUGACCCAACAACAUCCGAAUGAUGUCACCCGACGACGGCAGGAAGGCACGCACAGAGGUCUAGUAAAAACUCAUCAAUUGUACGGGCAUGGUUAAUUCGCGUGAAUUCAAGGGUGUGAGAUUAGUUAGUGUUGGUCCCACAAUUGAAUUCGGGGGGUGAUUAGUUAGUGUGGGCCCACCCUUGAAUUCACCGGGGGAGACAAAAUAAUUAGGGCGAGGAGAGAUUUACGGGGCUUGGUCCCCAGAUGCGUUGCGGCAGUCAUUAUUCGAGCAUUGCAAUGCUCGCACGUGAGGAGCUCCUUUUCCAAUUGUAUAUUAAGAAGCAUGCUAUAGAUACAAUGUUUUUGAUACAUUUUUGUACGAUGAUCCUGAUCUUAAAGGGCCUUCUAAUUUUUAAAUCUUAAAGGCAUUAUUUGUAAGUUGUCGUGAAAAAAAUCUCGCUAAAAGGGUUGUGUUAGACCAUCUUCAGUACAUUAGAAAUAACGAAUUAUAAUUCCUUGGCAUUUGAACAAACAAUCCCUACUUAUUUACACAUACAAUACUUUUGGUAUGAUUUUGAAAUCUUGAAGGCAUUAUUGUAAGUUGAAGCAAUUUUGAAAUCUCACUAAAAGGUCUGGUAAGCUUUAGAAAUAACUAAUUAUAAUUUUGCAAAAAAAAGAAAUAACUAAUUACUAAUUUUGGUAUGAUUUAUUGUCUGGGUAGUAGUUCCUUUGCAACAUUAUUCUCUCCUUUCUUGAAGGAACUCUUGCCUGCUCCCUCGCCAUGCUCCCAUCCAUGCUCCCACUCCAUCCUAUGGUUGUCCUUUUUUCCUUUUUCUUUCUAAACUAAUCAUCUCCCCCCCUGAUUUUAAGGGGAUGGGGCCGGGCCUUAUUUUGUUCCAAUUAAAUCAUGCCACGUAUGCGGGAGCAUUUUGUCCCUCCUUCUAGCGCCUCCCACUGAAAAUGCCCUAAAAGUUUUUGAGGGAUUUUUUUACUGUGUCCUACUUCACGAAUCACGAGGCAAAUCAAGUAGGCGGCAUGGCCUGGCCGGUGAGUGCCAUUGCACUUACUUGCCCCAGCGAUUUUCCGCCUGCAUUGUAGAAUUCUUUCUCCGAGUCCUGUGAAUUAAAGAUGGUGCAGACAAAAGUAUAUCCUAUAUGCGUACAUGUGCAUGAUCAGAACAUGUUUUUACGUGCGUCUACUAUAAAUCAUGACCAUUUUUAACACAAAUCAUGACCAUUCAUGAUUAGUGAAUCAUACUGUCUUAACUUAUGUGAAAUCAUGUGGAGUAAUAUAAUAUAAUAUAAUAGAUAGAUAGAUCCAUGUUGUAUUAUUUUUUGUUUACAAAAAAUAUCUGUCAUUACACAUUUUGAUUUAUGCAUUUGUUUACAAAAAAACAGUAACAUUUCAUGGUGGAGAGUUUGUAUUGUUUCAUACUGAACACCAAUGUUUUCCCGUAAAAGAAAAUAAUGCCUACGCAUAUGCUUUUAUAUUAUUAUUAUUCUUUCAAACUUAUUCAUAUAGUAUUUUUGAUUGUGCAACCAUAAUUUUUAUUAUCUCUCUCGUUCCACUACAUGCUCUUACUCAAUGAUUUUUUUAUAAUGGGUGUUUUUAUUAACUCAGCCAAAACAUAAUGAGCCACAUCCGGUCUCUGCAUAACUAAGAUGCACACAGCCAAAAGCAGAAGUCUGACAAAAAUAAGAUAAGAAAAUCAACAUAUCGACACCAGUGAGUCAUAUAGUUCCGACACUAUGCCUCUGUUGAAGGACGGGGUGGAGCGAUCUGGAGAUUAUGCUUCCCUCCAUUUUGAGUAAAUACCUCCCUGGCCACUUGUUCCAACCGCAUAGACGCCGCCACGAAUAAUGGUUGGUACUCUGUUCGGUGUAGCAUACACCAUGUAGGAACUGAGUGCUCACUCCUAGUUACUAAAUUAUGUACACACUAGUAGAAAAAGGGCCAUUUGUCCCGGUUCGUAAGGCCCAUUUGUCUCAGUUAGGGAACCGGGACUAAAGGGUCGGUACUAAAGCCCCACACCUUUACUCCCGGUUCUUACACCAACCGAGACAGAUGGGGCUCCACGUGGCCGCUGCGGCUUGCCAUGGCAGGGGGGCCUUUUGUCCCGGUUGGUAGCACCAACCGGGACCAAUAAGCUACCACGCGUCAGCAUUUGAGGGGCUUGGGUUUUUGUUUUUCUUCUGAAGGGGAGGGGAGGGGUGUUGGGGGUUUUGGGGGGUUUUGUAUGGUUAAUUUUGGGGGGUUUCAUAUAUUGUGUUAGGUAGUAAUUAAUUAAUAGAGAGAAGUGUCCUCUCUUAUCUCCGUGCUUGGUCGACGCUACGUACUAUACGUAUAGAGAGGCCCUCGACACACUUGCCAGUAAGCAAAUGAAGGAAACCAUUAAGUACAGAAGUUCGUCAUGAACAUAUGCAUACAAACAUAAGUGAUAUCGACCUCUCCUUCUCUGAGAGAUAGGUCGAACAACAAGUUUCCGUAUAUCCAUCCGGCGCUACUAGCUACUUAUAUACAAUAUUAAGAUCUCUUACAAUAUAAUCCCCUAAUUAUAUAUGAACUCAGUUUCCAGAUGGUAUUCUCGGGCUUUAUUGAUGACGUGGUCAAGAAAGAAUCCCUCCAAUUCCUCUUGAAUUGCUUUGAUGCGAUCUUGUGGUAGGAGUUCAUCCCGCAUCUGCCACAUCUAAUUUGAAGAAGGGGGUCAAUCACUAGUGGAAUAACAGCCAUUUGUCCAAGUUCAUAAGGCUCAUUUGUCCCGGUUGGGGAACCGAGACUAAAGGGUCGUUACUAAAGCCCUACACCUUUAGUCCCGGUUGUCGGUGUCAAAACCGGCGGAUCUCGGGUAGUUGGUCCCGAACUGUGCGUCUAGGCCGGAUGGUAACAGGAGGCAAGGAACACAAUGUUUUACCCAGGUUCGGGCCCUCUCGAUGGAGGUAAAACCCUACGUCCUGCUUGAUUAAUAUUGAUGAUAUGGGUAGUACAAGAGUAGAUCUACCACGAGAUCAAGGAGGCUAAACCCUAGAAGCUAGCCUAUGGCAUGAUUGUUGUGUAUGGAGUUGAUUGCCUACGGACUACAACCCUCCGGUUUAUAUAGACACCGGAUAGGGUUAGGGUUACAUAGAGUCGGUUACAAUGGUAGGAGAUCUUGAAUAUCCGCAUCGCCAAGCUUGCCUUCCACGCCAAGGAAAGUCCCAUCCGGACACGGGACAAAGUCUUCAAUCUUGUAUCUUCAUAGUCCAGGAGUCCGGCUACCCGAACACCCCCUAAUCUAGGACUCCCUCAGUAGCCCCUGAACCAGGCUUCAAUGACGACGAGUCCGGCGUGCAAAUUGUCUUCGGCAUUGCAAGGCGGGUUCCUCCUCCACGUCCUUCAUAGAAGAUUGUAAACACCAAGAGUAGUGUCCGGCUCUGCAAAAUAAGCUUCCACAUAUUUCCGUAGAGAGAAUAAUAUUAACACAAAUCAAAUCUGCUGACGUAUUCCGCAGUGCGUCAUCACACUGCAGCCAAGUCCUUCACUCGAAUCGUUUUCACUUUUCCACCUCAGCGUGUUUUGCGAGGCGGUUUCCUUGGCACGUCUUGUCAAAGUAGAUAUCGUGUACCCCCCUUUUACGGGAUUCUCAUCAAUACAGACAUGGGUAACCCAACCGCGCCACUUAUCUCGACGCUUGGGAGGCAAGCGAGUUUUACUAGGCAGGUGGGGACGCACAACCGCAUCUACCCAUAUAAGGGGAUAAGGAUCCACCUUUUUACCUACGCCUUCUUCCUCCUUUGCCUAUCCAUCUCCUGCGCACCCGAGCUCCAGCGCCCAAGCCCGCACUUCCCACCUCGACCUUCUCCAGCAAUGUCCGGAGCGGGAGGCAAGUGGAUGGUCUCUACCACCACGGAGGGUAAAAUCAAGAAGCUAAGGAAGGCCGGAUACCUGUCCAAGGACAUCGCGCACUGGCUUCCCGAAGAGGGGCAGCUUCUCCCCACCCCAAGGCCCCAUGAGAGGGUAGUAUUUCUCCCCCACUUCCUCCGCGGACUGGGUUUUCCACUCCACCCAUUUGUCCGGGGGCUCAUGUUCUACUACGGCCUGGAUUUCCACGAUCUGGUCCCGAACUUCAUCCUCAACAUCUCGGCGUUUAUCGUCUUUUGCGAGGCUUUUCUCCGCGUCCGCCCUCAUUUCGGCCUCUGGCUCAAGACCUUCAACGUCAAGCCCAAGGUGGUGUGCGGCAGCCAGGCGGAGUGCGGAGGCGCCAUGGUGGGCAAGAUGGCCAAUGUCAUAUGGUUCGAGGGCUCUUUUGUGGAGACCCUAAAGGGAUGGCAAUCUGGGUGGUUUUACAUCACCGAGCCGCGCGAUCCGAAAUGGACCGCAGCCCCCGAGUUCCGAUCCGGACCCCCCAAGCGGCUUGUGUCCUGGAAAGAGACGGGCCUGUCAUGGGGUGACGAAAAUGAGGUGACCGGAUUGCAAACAUGCAUCCAGUCCCUGGUGAACAAGCCAGUCUGGCUUGUUAAUGUAAUCCAGGUUAUGCUCGUCCGCCGGAUCCUCCCGUGCCAACAACGGGAUUUUAAUCUAUGGGAGUUCGACCCGGUGCAGCAUCAAACCCUCAGCAGGCUCUUCGACACGACGUACGAAGACGCCUGGAAGAUGCUAUUAAAGGGCGUCGAGGCUCCCGCAUCCGCUUCCGAGGACCGCGAAUACAGCUCGCAGCGUCACGCUAGCGAGGUAAGCCAUCUACACCUUUUAUAGGAUGUUCAAGCUUUUUUCAUAGUUUGACUCUAUGUGGGAUCUAAACUCCCUUACCUUUGAAAGGCUUGGCGGGCAAUAUCCGGACCGAUUAACUGUCCGGCUCCGCUGCCCGAAGACCCAGCCCCAGCUCUACUAGUGAAGCUGCUGGUUCCGGAGCCUUAUGUGGUGCCGAAGACGAAGGCCAAGAAGAAGAAGACCACAGGGACUCGAAAGAGUGCAUGCAACGUGGUGGUGUCGGACUCGUCAUCUGACGAGUCCAAGACGCCCUCCUCCCAUGAAAACGAGGAGGAGGAAGAAGAAAACUCCCCCCCCCCCCCAGCGGAGGGAGGAGAGAAGAGGAAGGCCGCCCCAACGGGGGAGGCCGAGGGGUCUAGGAAAAGGAAGACCCCUCCGCCAGACUACGCCCCCGACGCCGAAGAGGGCGAAGAGGAGUGGCCGAACAGGGCCAAACGUCCGGCGAAAUCGUAAGUUCGGAUAUCAGAGUAACUCAUGAUGUUCCUUUGUUGCACAGCUUUCCCUAAUGUCGAAUGUAAUUAUGCAGUCCGCCCCGGGCCAAAUUCGACGAAUCAUCGUGCGGCUCCCUGGACUCAUCGGACGUGAACUCAGUUCCGCCCGCUGUCUCCCCCCGCACUGUGGACGACGCCGAAGUGGCGUCGCGACAAGCCCCGGGGCAGGAGGAGGUGGUCCCGGAGGAGCCACAAGGCAACCUCCCGGACUCCAGGAGUGAAGGGGACAAGACCCCCCAGGGCUCCAAGUCUGGCUUUGAGCCGGACACCGCACCGGAAUCUACAACAGUUCCGGACCGCGGUAGGCGAACUCCUUCCAAGAGGAGUAAGCCUUCUGAGCCGGCGUCCUCCGUCCAGCCGAAGGCGCCGGAAAAUCUGCUGGAGGAGCUUAAGGGCGCCUCCAUCGACGAGGAGCACCAUGCCAUCAUGAGUAUGGUGGUCCAGAAGGUUCGGUCCGCCAAAAGCGGACUGACUGAAGCUUGUAAAAAUAUGUAAAAAUAUUACCGUAUAGACAGUAGCCCCUGAUGCUCUGUUUGGCGUUCGGAAAGAAAAGCUGGAUAGAGGAUCUAUUAAAUAUCGCAGGAGUCUAACUAAAAAGCAGUCAAUAUACGUAUGCAGGCUUCGCUGCUGGCCACCGCUGCACUGACUGCGGAGGUGGGUGCCCUGAAACAGGGCCUCGAGCGGACCGAGCAAGAGCUCGGCCUUGCCAAACGGCAGCUCGAGGAGAAAGAAGGUAAGAAAUACCUUACAGAAAAAGUGCCUAUAAAAAGACCUGAUUGCAAAAAAUAACAGGAUUGUACUGCUUAUUGUAGGGGCCACGACUGAGGUGGCGACCCUCAAGCAGGCGCUGUCCGAGGCCAAAAAGAAAACGGCCGUGGAGUGCACCGAGCGAGAGAAACUUGAGGCCCAGGUCAGCGAGGUGCAGCAGGAGCUUCAGGCUCUCAUGAAAAAACAUGAGAGUUUGGAGCUUGAGUCCAAGACGCAAGCGUAUGAGCUCGCGGCGGCCCUUGAGACUGCCAAGUCUGCCAAGGCCGAAGCCCAAAAGGCCCUCCAAGAGUUGGAGGAGAUGAAAAAGAUAGCGGCGGGUAAGGCAUUCUUUAUGCAAAGCAGAAGUAUAAAAGUGAAGUACUUGUUACUUACCCGAAUCCAGAGCUCUCCAGGGGCAUUCGCAGAUCUUCCCCGCGGCGUAUCUGACGCCGCUGCAUUCUACCGAGCCGAAGAGGGCAGCUCGACGGAGAAGGUGUUCUGGUUUCAGUAUGCUGAGGCCGGACACCCUGUGCCCUUGAGCGACCAGCUGAAACAGCUGGUCGAGCUCCACAAGGCGGCCGAGCAGGCCAUGAAGGGCUUCAUAGUUCGGCUGUGGCCCGGAGAGGCCCUGCCUGGGAGCUACUUCGGGUUGGUGUGGCGACUGGUGGAGGCCUGUCCAAGGCUCGAGGUCAUUAAGUGCUCCGUCUGCAUCGAAGGUGCCCGUAGGGCCCUUGCCCGUGCAAAGGUGCACUGGGGCAAGCUGGACGGUGAGAAGCUUGUGAGGGACGGGCCGCCGCCGGGGAAGGAGCAUCGCAAGCCCGAGAACUACUAUAAGGAUGUUCUAGCGGGUGCCCGCCUUGUGGCGGAUGAAUGUACCAAGGAUGUAAUUUUUUAAUGAACUCGCUCGUGUUUAUCCUGUGUGCUGAAAAGUUGUUCAUAUGCGCUAAGCAAUGCUUGUUGAAUUUAAAAUAUUACUUUCUGUGCGGCCGUUUAUCAAAAAUUGAGAGAUGGCCAGUCGGCGGCUUCUGCCCCCAUGCCACUAGUGCUGGGGUGUUCGGGAUAAACCUGAGCGCUCUUUUUCCCAUAGUUGGAUCCUUCGAGGGAGGCGCUCAGCACAACGAACCAGGCAAUCGGACUAUAAUGCUUGAACACUCUAACUUAGCCAUAGAACUCUAUAAUUUUAAAUUUCGGCGAAGCCCCUAGUUCGGAAGACCGAGUUCGGGGCGCUAUCCACGCCUUGGCCGGACAAAGCCGGCUCCUCGCUCGAAGCGGCAUAAGUCUUUAGGGACUCGAAAAACCUGUCGAACAGCGACCGGUCUCUCACCAUAUCAUGACAGUCAGUUUUACCUUUCUCCACUGAGGUGCUUAACCCAGCUCAACCGGGGCACAAUCGCAGUGGUUCUCCUAGUGCUACCUUAGCCGAUAUAGCGGAACGUAAGGCACCAAAACAUAGGAGCCAGGCAAACGCAACUAUUGACCCAAAUCAUGAUACGGAGCCGAUGCAUAUAGUGCUAUAAGUUCGGGGUGCCGUACUUGUGAAAGUGUACGGACUUCUCACGCCAUAUUUAUGGGUACUAAAGCCCCUGACGUAUUUUGCCGUACCACGGUGUACGGGUGCAACAUGUCAUAAACAUAUAUAUGAAAAGGUGAUAAUGCGAAAAAUAGACAGAAAGCUAUCCAUUGUUUAUAGAGAGGCUAUUUAUCAAAGCCGAACGAUACAAAUAGUGCGGUAAGCAAAAAAUAUUGGACUAUUUAGUAUGUCCUGACCAGGAGCAGGCCGCGGAAUUGUGUUUAAAACAGGUAUACCGCUCGUAACAGAGACCACCUGGGAGUUCCAUAAUGCGGCAUGGCUUGUCUUCCUCCCUGGAUCUUGCAUCGUUUGUGCGGCCGUCGAAUUGCCGAACAGGUCGUCCGAAGUAUGGAGUCCUGAAAGUAAGAAAAAAAUUAAAAAAAGAAUCCGGCAGCCCCUAGUACGUUUUAAGUCGUAUUUUGGGCGUGCCGUUAUUGCCCCUUCCCCUGUGCCCAUGGUAUUUCAAGGGCGUAGUUAUGUACGCGGGGUACUGGUUUCGCUAUGUCGCGAAAGCUGGGGUUGGGGCCACAUUGCUACGCUUGCUUAGAGUGUGCCAGGCGGUCCUGCUGUGGGUUACUCCAGGGGCGCCUGGCAGUGUCUGGCUUUUUAAUGGCCGGACUAGAGAAUUGCCUGAGAAGGCUACUUUGUACCUCCGCUGCGAGAGCCGCCGUAUGCUCCCCCAUAUGGAGGGAGCGUUCGGUGUUUCCGUUGACCGUAAUUACUCCUCGAGGGCCUGGCAUCUUGAGCUUGAUAUAUGCGUAGUGCAGCACCGCAUUGAACUUUGAGAAUGCAGUUCGUCCGAGCAGGGCGUGAUAGCCACUGCGAAACGGGACUAUAUCGAAGAUUAACUCUUCGCUUCGGAAAUUGUCCGGGGAUCCGAAGACCACGUCAAGUGUUACUGAGCCUGUACAGUUGGCUUCUACACCUGGUAUAAUGCCUUUAAAGGUCGUUCUUGUGGGCUUAAUCCUUGAGGGAUCUAUGCCCAUUUUCCGCACUGUAUCCCGAUAAAGCAGGUUCAGGCUACUGCUGCCGUCCAUGAGGACUCUUGUGAGAUGAAAUCCGUCGAUGAUUGGGUCGAGAACCAAUGCGACGAAGCCGCCAUGACGGAUGCUAGUGGGAUGGUCCCUUUGAUCAAAAGUGAUUGGGUAGGAGGACCAUGGGUUGAACUUUGGGGCGACUGGCUCCAUCGCGUAUAUGUCUCGCAGCGCACGCUUCCGCUCCCGCUUGGGAAUGUGGGUUGCAUUUAUCAUGUUCACCGUCCGCACUUGUGGGGGAAAGCCCUUCUGUCCAUUGUUGUUCGGCGGCUUGGGAUCCUCAUCGUCGUUGUGCAGCCCCUUUUUCUCUGUUUUUGGCCCUUAACUUGCCUGCCUGCUUGAACACCCAACAAUCCCUAUUAGUGUGAUUGGCUGGCCUUUCGGGGGUGCCAUGUAUCUGGCACAAGCGAUCGAGUAUUCGGUCCAAACUGGACGGGCCCUGAGUAUUCUUUUUGAAUGGCUUUUUCCGCUGACCGGAUUUAUAGCCUUUGAAUCCGGCAUUGACUGCCGUGUCUUCAUUGCUGUUGCUGCUAACGCGGCGUUUUUGCUUAUUCCGACGUGUCCUGCCACUUUUGUCCUUGGUAUCCGAAUUACCAGGGUUCUUUGAUAAGUUGUUACUGCGAGCUAGCCAGCUAUCUUCUCUCGCGCAAAAGCGGGUCAUGAGUGUCGUGAGGGCUGCCAUGGAUUUCGGCUUUUCCUGUCCCAGGUGCCGGGCAAGCCACUCGUCGCAGAUGUUAUGCUUCAAGGCUGCCAGGGCCUCUGCGUCCGGAUAGUCGACUAUCUGGUUUUUCUUUGUUAGGAACCAUGUCCAGAAUUGUCUGCCGAUUCCUCUGGCUGCUGAAUUAUGUGGCUUAAGUCGUCGGCAUCCGGUGGUCGCACGUAAGUGCCCUAGAAGUUGUCGAGGAAUGCGGCUUCCAGGUCCUCCCAAGAACCGAUUGAGUCUGCUGGCAAGCUGUUAAGCCAAUGCCGGGCCGGUCCUUUAAGUUUGAGCAGGAGCUAUUUGAUGGCGUGUAGAUCAUCGCCGCGUGCCAUGUGGAUGUGAAGGAGAUAAUCCUCGAUCCAUACCGCCAGAUCUGUUGUGCCAUCGUAUGAUUCGAUGUUUACGGGUUUGAAACCCUCUCGGAUUUUAUGAUCCAUUACUUCGUUCGUGAAGCAUAGCGGGUGUGCGGCGCCUCUGUAUUGGGCUAUAUCAUGACGCAGCUCGGAAGAGCUAUGUCUGUUGUGUUCGGCCCGGCCGGAUUUGUUGUAUCCGGAGUGAAGAUCAUUGUCACAUGCUGUAGGGUGGCUGCGCGAUCCGUAGAUCGAUCUUUUUUGUCUUGCCUUAUCCUCCAGUAUGUCUCGCAGAUCGGGCGCAUUUUCCCGUGCCUUAUUUACGCACCGUCGGGGCAUGGCUUGGGUGGAGGGCCGAGAGGCCUCUCUGUCGCGGCCGUGAGGUGGCCGGUCUGCCAUGUCAUUCGCUGGUGACGUAGGUACUUCCUCCUCUGAUCGGGGUAGCGGCCUGCGCUUCGGGUAACUCUUGGAGGGGCGUUCGUGUUCAUACUCUUCGGCUGCAAGGACUUCAGUCCAUCUGUCAGCUAGCAAAUCUUGGGCGGCUGUAAGCUGUUGCUGCUUUUUCUGGAGGCUGCUUGCCAUGGCUAAAAGCCUGUGUUUAAAACGCUCUUGUUCGGCGGGGUCUGAUGGUAUGACGAAUUUGUCGUCAUCGAGGCUUGCCUCGUCUCCAGAGGGAGGCGUAUAGUUAUCAUCCUCGACUUCUCGGUCUGCCGCUCUCUCAUGAGGGCUGGCUACUCCAUCUCCCUGUGCCGAAUCUUGCUGAGGUGGGUGUUCUUCGGCGUUAUCCGGGGUAGUAUUAUCUCCCGUGCCGGAAUCACCGUUUUUGCUUUGGCUGUUUCUUGGGGGCGUCAUCCCCCACUAUUCCAUCACCAUCUCCAUCUUUUGGAGUAUCCACCAUAUAUAUGUCAUAUGACGAGGUGGCCUUCCAGCGCCCUAUAGGUGUUGGUUCCUAUUCGUCUCCUACUUCGUCGUCCAUGCCGUCGAUGUCUUCGGAGCCGAAGUCACGCAUGUCGGUUAAAUCAUCGACAGUGGCUACAAAGUGGGUGGUGGGUGGGCUUUGAAUUUCCUCAUCGUCCGUAUCCCACCCUCGCUGACCGUAGUCCGGCCAGGGCUCUCUUGAUAAAGAGAGAGACUUAAGAGAAUUCCGGAUGUCACCAAAAGGCGAAUGCUGAAAGAUGUCUGCGGCGGUGAACUCCAUUAUCGGCGCCCAAUUGGAUUCGAUUGGCAGGGGCGCAGGGGGUUUGGAGUCCGGGAAGGAGUCCGGAUCCUCGGAGUCACGGGUCGUCCAGAGUGCGGGGCUAGCGUUCAGCUCGAUCGCUUUCGGGAUCGCAGCCCCUGAGGUGACGUCCAGCCACUCAUCCUCGAUUGGCGCAAUAGGCAUCGAGUUAGGGGUCAGAACCGAUGCGUGUGCGGCCUCCAGGACACUGUCCGGGGGCAGAGCUAGAUCAUGCCCCUCGAGAUAGUGCGGCGCGCUUGACCGUGGCUCGAGCCCGUCGAAGAUCAAGUCUCCGCGGAUGUCAGCCGUGUAGUUUAAGCUUCCAAACCUGACUUGAUGGCUAGGGGCGUAGCUUUCGAUCUGCUCCAGGUGGCCGAGCGAAUUGGCCCGCAGAGCAAAGUUGCCGAAGACGAAGAUCUGUUCGGGGAGAAAAGUAUCACCCUCGACCGCAUCGUUGUUGAUGAUCAAAGGAGCCAUCGGGCCUAAAGGCGACGACACAGAGGAACUCUCAAUGAAAGCACCAAUGUCGGUGUCAAAACCGGCGGAUCUCGGGUAGUGGGUCCCGAAUUGUGCGUCUAGGCCGGAUGGUAACAGGAGGCAGGGAACACGAUGUUUUACCCAGGUUCGGGCCCUCUUGAUGGAGGUAAAACCCUACGUCCUGCUUGAUUAAUAUUGAUGAUAUGGGUAGUACAAGAGUAGAUCUACCACGAGAUCAAGGAGGCUAAACCCUAGAAGCUAGCCUAUGGCAUGAUUGUUGUGUAUGGAGUUGAUUACCUACGGACUACAACCCUCCAGUUUAUAUAGACACCGGAUAGGGUUAGGGUUACAUAGAGUCGGUUAUAAUGGUAGGAGAUCUUGAAUAUCCACAUCGCCAAUCUUGCCUUCCACGCUAAGGAAAGUCCCAUCCGGACACAGGACAAAGUCUUCAAUCUUGUAUCUUCAUAGUCCAGGAGUCCGGCUGAAGGUCUAGUCCGGCUACCCGAACACCCCCUAAUCCAGGACUCCCUCACCGGUUCUUACACCAACUGGGAGAGAUGGGCUUCCACGUGGCCGCUGCGGCGAGCCCAGGCAGGAGGUCCUUUGGUCCCGGUUAGUGACACUGAUACGUCUCCGACAUAUCUAUAAUUUUUGAUUGCUCCAUGCUAUUAUGUUAUCCAUUUUGGAUGUUAAUGGGCUUUAUUUUACACCUUUAUAUCAUUUUUGGGACUAACCUACUAAUUGGAGGCCAAACCCAAAUUGCUGUUUUUUUUGCCUAUUUUAGGUUUUCGAAGAAGAGGAAUAUCAAACGGAGUCCAAACGGAAUGAAAACUUCGGGAACGUGAUUUUCUCAACGAACAUGAUCCAGGAGACUUGGAGUGUGCGCCAAGAAAUAAGGGAGGAAGGCACGAGGCAGGGGUCGCGCCUACCCCCCUUGGGCGUGCCCUCCACCCUCGUGGGCCCUCCACUGCUCCACCGACGUACUUCUUCCUCCUAUAUAUAUACACGUACCCCCCCAAACAACCAGGAGCACCAUGAAAACCUAAAUCCACCGCCGCAACCUUCUGUACCCGAGAGAUCCCAUCUUGGGGCCUUUUCCGGAGGGGGCAUCGAUCACGGAGGGCCUCUACAUCAACUGCAUGGCCUCUCCGAUGAUGUGUAAGUAGUUUACUUCAGACCUACGGGUCCAUAGUUAUUAGCUAGAUGGCUUCUUCUCUCUCUUUGGAUCUCAAUACAAAGUUCUCCUCGAUGUUCUUGGAGAUCUAUUCGAUGUAAUCUUCUUUUGCGGUGUGUUUGUCGAGAUCCGAUGAAUUGUAGGUUUAUGAUCCAGAUUAUCUAUGGACAAUAUUUGAUUCUCCUCUGAAUUCUUUUAUGUAUGAUUCGUUUAUCUUUGCAAGUCUCUUCGAAUUAUCAGUUUGGUUUGGCCUACUAAAUUGAUCUUUCUUGCAAUGGGAGAAGUGCUUAGCUUUGGGUUCAAUCUUGCGGUGUUCGAUCCCAGUGACUGAAAGGGAACCGAUAUUUAUUGUAUUGUUGCCAUCGAGGAUAAAAAGAUGGGGUUUAUAUCAUAUUGCAUGAGUUUAUCCCUCUACAUCAUGUCAUCUUCCUUAAAGCAUUACUCUGUUCUCUUGAACUUAAUACUCUAGAUGCAUGCUGGAUAGCGGUCGAUGUGUGGAGUAAUAGUAGUAGAUGCAGAAUCGUUUCAGUCUACUUGUCUCGGACCUGAUGCAUAUAUACAUGAGCAUAACUAUAUAUUCUCAUAACUAUGCUCAAUUCGAUCAAUUGCUCGACAGCAAUUCGUUUACCCACCGUAAUACUUAUGCUCUUGAGAGAAGCCACUAGUGAAACCUAUGGCCUCGGGGUCUAUCUUCUAUCAUAUUAAUCCUCCAAUACUUAGUCAUUUCUAUUUCUAUUUAUUUUAUUUUGCAUCUUUUAUUUCUCUUUAUCAUAAAAAUACCAAAAAUCUUAUCUUAUCAUAUCUAUCAGAUCUCACUGUCGUAAGUGACCGUGAAGGGAUUGACAACCCCUUUAUCGCGUUGGUUGCGAUGUUCUUAUUUGUUUGUGUAGGUUCGUGGGACUUGAGCAUGAUCUCCUACUGGAUUGAUACCUUGGUUCUCAAAAACUAAGGGAAAUACUUACGCCGAUUUAUUUCAUCACUCUUUCUUCUUCAAGGGAAAACCAACGCAAUGCUCAAGAGGUAGUGUCGGUGUCAAAACCGGCGGAUCUCGGGUAGUGGGUCCUGAACUGUGCGUCUAGGCCGGAUGGUAACAGGAGGCAGGGAACACGAUGUUUUACCCAGGUUCGGGCCCUCUUCAUGGAGGUAAAACCCUAUGUCCUGCUUGAUUAAUAUUAAUGAUAUGGGUAGUACAAGAGUAGAUCUACCAUGAGAUCAAGGAGGCUAAACCCUAGAAGCUAGCCUAUGGUAUGAUUGUUGUAUAUGGAGUUGAUUGCCUACGGACUACAACCCUCCGAUUUAUAUAGACACCGGAUAGGGUUAGGGUUACAUAGAGUCGGUUACAAUGGUAGGAGAUCUUGAAUAUCCGCAUCGCCAAGCUUGCCUUCCACGCCAAGGAAAGUCCCGUCCGGACACGGAACGAAGUCUUCAAUCUUGUAUCUUCACAGCCCAGGAGUCCGGCUGAAGGUAUAGUCCGGCUAUCCGAACACCCCCUAAUCCAGGACUCCCUCAGUAGCCCCUGAACCAGGCUUCAAUGACGACGAGUCCGGCACGCAAAUUGUCUUCGGCAUUGCAAGGCGGGUUCCUCCUCCAAGUCCUUCAUACAAGAUUGUAAGCACCAAGAGUAGUGUCCGACUCUGCAAAAUAAGCUUCCACAUAUCGCCAUAGAGAGAAUAAUAUUAACACAAAUCAAAUCCGCUGACGUAUUCCGCAGUGCGUCAUCACACUACAGCCAAGUCCUUCACUCGAAUCGUUUUCACUUUUCCACCCCAGUGUGUUUUGCGAGGUGGUUUCCUUGGCACGUCUUGUCAAAGCAGAGAUCGUGUCCCCUUUGUUUACGGGAUUCUCGUUAAUACGGACGUGGGUAACCCAACCGCGCCACUUAUCAUGGCGCUUGGGAGGCAAGCGAGUUCUACUAGGCUGGUGGGGACGCAUAGUCGCAUCCGCCCAUAUAAGGGGAUAAGGAUCCACCUUUUUACCUAUGCCUUCUUCCUCCUUUGCCUAUCCAUCUUCUGCGCACCCGAGCUCUAGUGCCCCAUCCCGCGCUUCCUACCUCAACCCUCUCCAACAAUGUCCGGAGCGGGAGGCAAGUGGAUGGUCUCCUCCGUCACGAAGGGCCAUGUCAAAAGGUUAAGGAAGGCCGGAUACUUGUCCAAAGACAUCGCGCACCGGCUUCCUGAGGAGGGGCAGCUUCUCCCCACCCCAAGGCCCCAUGAGAGGGUAGUAUUUCUUCCCCACUUCCUCCGCGGACUGGGUUUUCCUAUCCACCCAUUUGUCCGCGGGCUCCUGUUCUACUAUGGCCUAGAUUUCCAUGAUCUGGCCCCGAACUUCAUCCUGAAUAUCUCGGCAUUUAUCGUCGUGUGCGAGGCUUUCCUCUGCAUUCGCCCCCAUUUCAGCCUCUGGCUCAAGACCUUCAACGUCAAGCCAAAGGUGGUGCGCGGUAACCAGGCGGAGUGCGGAGGUGCCAUGGCGGGAGAAAUUGCCAACGUCCUAGGGCUCGAGGGCUCCUUUGUGGAGACCUUGAAGGGGUGGUAGUCAGGGUGAUUUUACAUCACCGAGCCACGCGAUCCGAAGUGGAUCGCAGCCCCUGAAUUCCGAUCCGGACCCCCUACACGGCUCACGUCCUGGAAGGAGACGAGCUUGUCGUGGGGCGACGAAGGAGAGUUGACCGGACUGCAAAAAUGCAUCCAGUCCCUGGUGAACAAGCAGCUCAAGCUUGUCAACGUAAUCUAGGUCAUGCUCGUCCGCCGGAUCCUUCCGUGUCAAGAACGGGACAUCAAUUUGUGGGAGUUCAACCCGGUGCAGCAACGAACUCUGAGAAGGCUCUUUGACACGACGUACGAAGUUGUCUGGAGGGGGCUAACCAAAGGCGCCGAGGCUCCCACAUCCGCCUCCGAUGACCGCGGAUUCAGCUCGCAGCGUCCUGCUGGCGAGGUAAGAUAUUUCCAUCUUUUACAGGAUAUUAAGUUUUUUCAUAGUUGACUCUAUGCGGGAUCUAAACUCCCUCACCUUUGACAGGAUUGGCGGGAGAAGUCCGGACAGAUUAACUGCCCGGCUCCCUUGCCAAGCCGGAGAAGAGGGCCAAGAAGAAGAAGGCCACGGGGACUCGAAAGAGUUCCUGGCAUAUGGUGGUGUCGGACUCGUCGUCCGACGAGUCCGAGAUGCACUCCUCCCGUGAAUACGAGGAGGAAGAAGAAACCUCUCCCCCUCCAGCGGGGGGAGGAGAGAAGAGGAAGGCCGCCCCAGUAGGGGAGGCCGAGGGGUCCAAGAAGAGGAAAACCCAUCCGCCGGACUACGUCCCCGACACCGACGAGGACGAAGAGGAGUGGCCGGACAGGGCCAAGCGUCCGGCGAGAUCGUAAUUCUUCGGAUACCAGAGUAACUCGUGAUAUUCCUUUUGUUGCACAGGUUUCGCUAAUGUCAGAUAUAAUCAUGCAGUCCACCCAAGGACGGGCACGACGAGUCGUCGAGCGGCUCCCUGGAUUCAUCGGACGCGAAUUCAGUUCCGCCUACUGCUUCCCCCUAUGCUGCAGAUGACGCCGAAGUGGCGUCGCGACAAGCUCCGGGGCGAGAGGAGGUGGUCCAGGAGGAGUCGCGAGGUGACCUCCCGGACUCCAGGAGUGAAGGGGACAAGACCCCCAUGGGCUCCAAGUCCGGCUUUAAGCUGGACACUGCGCCGGAAUCAUCAAUGGUUCCGGACCGCGGUAGGCGAACUCCUGCCAAGAGGAGCAAGCCUACUGAGCCGGCAUCCUCCGUCCAGCCGGAGGCGCCGCACAAUCUGGUGGAGGAGCUUAAGGGCGCCUCCAUCGACGAGGAGCAUCGUGCCGUCAUGAGUACGGUGAUCCAGAAGGUUCGGUCCGCCAAAAGCGGACUGACUGAAGCUUGUGCUAGCCUUCUAACAGGCUUCGAGGUAAGUAAAAAUAUGUAAAAAUAUUACCGUAUAGACAGUAGCCCCUGAUGCUCUGUUUGGCGUUUGUAAAGAAAAGCCAAAUAGAGGAUCUAUUAAAUAUCCCAGGAGUCUAACUAAAAAGGAGUCAAUAUACGUAUGUAGGCUUCGCUGCUGGCCAUCGCCGCACUGACUGCGGAGGUGGGUGCCCUUAAGCAGGGCCUCCAGCGGACCGAGCAAGAGCUCGGCCUUGCCAAACGGCAGCUCGAGGAGAAAGAAGGUAAGAUAUACCUUAGAGAAAAAGUGCCUAUAAAAAGGCUUGAUUGCAAAAAGAGUAACAGGAUUGUACUGCUUAUUGUAGGGGCUACGACUGAGGUGGCGACCUUUAAGCAGGUGUUGUCUGAGGCCGAAAAGAAAACGGCCGCGGAGCGCACCGAGCGAGACAGACUUGGGGCUCAGGUCAGCGAGGUGCAGCAAGAGCUUCAGGCUCUCAUGAAAAAACAUGAGAGUUUGGAGCUGGAAUCGAAGGCGCAAGCAUCCGAGCUUGCAAUGGCCCUAGAGGCUGCCAAGUCUGCCAAGGCCGAAGCCCUAAAGGCCCUCCAAGAGUUGGAGGAGAUGAGGAAGAUAGCAGCGGGUAAGGCAUUCUUUAUGCAAAGCAGAAAUAUAAAAGUGAACUACCUGUUACUUACCCAAAUCCGAAGCUCUCCAGGGGCAUUCGCAGAUCUUCCCAGCAGCGUAUCCGACGCCGCCGCAUUCUGCCAAGCUGAAGAGGGUAGCUCGACGGAGAAGGUGUUCUGGUUUCAGUAUUCUAAGGCCGGACACCCUGUGCCCUUGAGCGACCAGCUGAAACAGCUGGUUGAGCUCCACAAGGCGGCCGAGCAGGCCAUGAAGGGCUUCAUAGUUCGGCUGUGGCCCGGAGAGGCCCUACUUGGGAGCUAUUUCGGGCUAGUGCGGCGGCUUGUGGAGGCCUGUCCGAGGCUUGAGGUCAUCAAGUGCUCCGUCUGCAUCGAAGGUGCCCGUCGGGCCCUUGCCCGUGCAAAGGUGCACUGGGGUAAGCUGGAUGGUGAGAAGCUUGUGAAGGACGGGCCGCCGCCGGGGAAGGAGCAUCGCAAGCCCGAGAACUACUACAAGGAUGUUCUUGCAGGUGCCCGCCUUGUGGCGGAUGAAUGUACCAAGGAUGUGAUAUUUGAAUGAACUCGCUCGUGUUUAUCCUGUGCGCUGAAAACUUGUUCAUAUGCGCUAAGCAAUGCUUAUUGAAUUUAAAAUAUUACUUUCUGUGCGGCCAUUUAUCAAAAAUUGAGAGAUGGCCAGUCGUCGGCUUUUGCCCCCGUGCCACUAGUGCUGGGGUGUUCGGGAUAAACCUGAGCGCUCUUUUUCCCAUAGUUGGGUCCUUCGAGGGAGGCGCUCACCACAACGAAUCAGGCAAUCAGACUAUAAUGCUUGAACACUCUCACUUAGCCAUAGAGCUCUAUAAUUUUAAAUUUCGGUGAAGCUCCUAGUUUGGAAGACCGAGUUCGGGGCGCUAUCCACGCCUUGGCCGGACAAAGCCAGCUCCUCGCUCGAAGCGGCAUAAGCCUUUAGGGACUCGAAAAACCUCUCGAACAGCGACUGGUCUCUCGCCACAUCAUGACAGUCAGUUUUAGCUUUCUCCACUGAGGUGCUUAACCCAGCUGAACCGGGGCACAAUCGCAGUGGUUCUCCUAGUGCUACCUUAGCCGAUAGAGCGGAACGUAAGGCACCAAAACAUAGGAGCCGGGCAAACCCAACUAUUGACCCAAAUCAUGAUUCGGAGCCGAUGCAUAUAGUGCUAUAAGUUCGGGGUGCCGCACUUGUGAAAGCGUACGGACUUCUCACACCAUUAUGAGGGGUUCUGAAGCCCCUGGCGUGUUUGCCAUACCAUGGUGUACGGGUGCAAUCAUGUCAUUUAAUAAACAUAAAUGUGAAAAGAAGACAACGCAAAAAAUAGACUAGAAGCUAAGCAUUGUUUAUAGAGAGGCUAUUUAUCAAAGCCGGACGAUACAAAUACUGAAGUAAGCAAAAGAUAUUGGACUAUUCAGUAUGUCCUGACCAGGGGCAGGCCGCGGAAUUGUAUUUAAAACAGGUAUACCGCUCGUAACAGAGACCACAUGGGAGUUCCAUAAUGCGUCAUGGCUUGUCUGCCUCCCUGGAUCUUGCAUCGUUUGUGCGGCAGUCGAAUAUCCGAACAGGUCAUCCGAAGUAUGGAGUCCUGAAAGAAGAAAAAAUUAAAAAAAGAAUCCGGCAGCCCCUAGUACGUAUUAAGCCGUAUUUUGGGCAUGUCGUUAUUGUGCCCCUUCUCCUGUGCCCAUGGUAUUUCAAGGGCGUAGUUAUGUCCGCGAGGUACUGGUUUCGCUAUGUCGCGAAAGCUGGGGUUGGGGCCGCAUUGCUACGCUUGCUCAGAGUGUGCCAGGCGGUCCUGCUGUGGGUUACUCCGGGCGUGCUUGGCAGUGCCUGGCUUUUUAAUGGCCGGACCGGAGAAUUGCCUGAGAAGGCUACUUUGUACCUCCGCUGCGAGAGCCACCGUAUGCUCCUCCAUACGGAGGGAGCGUUCGGUGUUUCCGUUGACCGUAAUUACUCCUUGAGGGCCUGGCAUCUUGAGCUUGAGAUAUGCGUAGUGCGGCACCGCGUUGAUCUUUGCGAAUGCGGUUCGUUCGAGCAGGGCAUGAUAGCCACUGCGAAACGGUACUAUAUCGAAGAUUAACUCUUCGCUUCGGAAAUUAUCCGGGGACCUGAAGACCACAGCAAGUGUUACUGAGCCUGUACAAUUGGCUUCUACACCUGGUAUAACGCCUUUAAAGGUUGUUCUUGUGGGCUUAAUCCUUGAGGGAUCUAUGCCCAUUUUCCGCACUGUAUCCUGAUAAAGCAGGUUCAGGCUAAUGCCGCCGUCCAUGAGGACUCUUGUGAGAUAAAAUCCUUCGAUGAUUGGGUCGAGAACCAAUGCGGCAAAGCCGCCAUGACGGAUGCUAGUGGGAUGGUCCCUUCGAUCGAAAAUGAUCGGGCAGGAGGACCAUGGGUUGAACUUUGGGGCGACUGGCUCCAUCGCAUAUACGUCCCGUAGUGCAUGCUUCCGCUCCCGCUUGGGAAUGUGGGUUGCGUAUAUCAUGUUCACCGUCCACACUUGUGGGGGAAAGCCCUUCUGUCCAUUGUUGUUCGGCGGCUUGGGCUCCUCCUCGUCGCUGUGCAGCCCCUUGUCUCUAAUUUCGGCCCUUAACUUGCCUGCCUGCUUGAACACCCAACAAUCCUGUUAGUGUGAUUGGCUGGCCUUUCGGGGGUGCCAUGUGUCUGGCAUAAGCGAUCGAGUAUUCGGUCCAAACUGGACGGGCCCUGAGUAUUCUUUUUGAAUGGCUUUUUCCGCUGACCGGAUUUAUAGCCUUUGAAUCCGGCAUUGACUGCCGUGUCUUCAUUGCUGUCGCUGCUAACGCGGCGUUUUUGCUUAUUCCGACGUGUCCUGCCACUUUUGUCCUUGGUAUCCGAAUUACCAGGGUUCUUUGAUAAGUUGUUACUGCGAGCUAGCCAGCUGUCUUCUCCCGCGCAAAAGCGGGUCAUGAGUGUCAUGAGGGCUGCCAUGGAUUUCGUCUUUUCCUGUCCCAGGUGCCGGGCAAGCCACUCGUCGCAGAUGUUAUGCUUCAAGGCUGCCAGGGCCUUUGCGUCCGGACAGUCGACUAUCUGGUUUUUCUUUGUUAGGAACCGUGUCCAGAAUUGUCUGGCCGAUUCCUCUGGCUGCUGAAUUAUGUGGCUUAAGUCGUCGGCAUCCAGUGGUCGCACGUAAGUGCCCUGGAAGUUGUCGAGGAAUGCGGCUUCCAGGUCCUCCCAAGAACCGAUUGAGUCUGCUGGCAAGCUGUUAAGCCAAUGCCGGGCCGGUCCUUUAAGUUUGAGCGGGAGGUAUUUGAUGGCGUGUAGAUCAUCGCCGCAUGCCAUGUGGAUGUGAAGGAGAUAAUCCUCGAUCCAUACCGCCGGAUCUGUUGUGCCAUCGUAUGAUUCGAUGUUUACGGGUUUGUAACUCUCUGGGAUUUUAUGAUCCAUUACUUCAUUCGUGAAGCAUAGUGGUUGUGCGGGUCCUCUGUAUUGGGCUAUAUCACGACGCAGCUCGGACGAGCUAUGUCUGUUGUGUUCGGCCCGGGGCCGGAUUUGUCGUAUCCGGAGUGAAGAUCAUUUUCCCGUGCCUUAGUUGAGCGGUGUCGGGGCAUGCCUUGGGUGGAGGGCCGAGACGCCUCUCUGUCGGGGCCGCGAGGUGGCCGGUCUGCCAUGUCAUGCGCUGGUGAUGUAGGUGCUUCCUCCUCUGAUCGGGGUAGCUGCCUGCGCUUCGGGUAACUCUUGGAGGGGCGUUCGAGUUCAUACUCUUCGGCCGCAAGGACUUCAGUCCAUCUGUCAGGUAGCAAAUCUUGGGCAGCUCUAAGCUGUUGCUGCUUUUUCUUGAGGCUGCUUGCCGUGGCUAAAAGCCUGCGUUUAAACGCUCUUGUUCGGCGGGGUCUGAUUGUAUGACGAAUUCGUCGUCAUCGAGGCUUGCCUCGUCUUCGGAGGGAGGCGUAUAGUUAUCAUCCUCGACCUCUCAGUCUGCCGCUCUCUCAUGAGGGCUGGCUUCUCCAUCUUCCUGUGCCGAAUAUUGCUGAGGUUGGUGUUCUUCGGCGCUAUCCGGGGUAGUAUUAUCUCUCGUGUCAGAAUCACCGUUUUUGCUUUGGCGGGAUUUAGGGUGGCGCCGCUGGUGCCGGUGCUUUGGUUGUUUCUUGGGGGCGUCAUCCCCCACUGUUCCAUCGCCAUCUCCAUCUUUUGGAGUAUCCACCAUAUAUAUGUCAUACGACGAGGUGGCCUUCCAGCGCCCUACAGGUGCUGGUUCCUAUUCGUCUCCUACAUUGUCGUCCAGGCCGUCAAUGUCUUUGGAGCUGAAGUCAAGCAUGUCGGUUAGAUCGUCGAUACUGGCUACAAAGUGGGUGGUGGGUGGGCUUUGAAUUUCCUCAUCGUCCGUAUCCCACCCUCGCUGACCGUAGUCCGGCCAGGGCUCUCCUGAUAAAGAGAGAUACUUAAGAGAAUUCAGGAUGUCGCCAAAAGGCGAAUGCUGAAAGAUGUCUGUGGCGGUGAACUCCAUUAUCGGCGCCCAAUCGGAUUCGAUUGGCAGGGGCGCGGGUGGUUUGGAGUCCGGGGAGGAGUCCAGAUCCUCGGAGUCACCGGUCGUGCAGAGUGCGGGGCUAGCAUUCGGCUCGAUCGCUUUCGGGAUCGCAGCCCCCGAGGUGACGUCCAACCGCUCAUCCUCGAUUGGCGCAAUAGGUUCCGAGUUAGGGGUCGGAACCGAUGCGUGUGCGGCCUCCAGGACACUGGCCGGGGGCAGAGCUAGAUCAUGCCCCUCGGGAUAGUGCGGCGCGCUUGGCCGUGGCUCGAGCCCGUCGAAGAUCAAGUCUCCAUGGAUGUCUGCCGUGUAGUUUAAGCUUCCAAACCUGACUUGAUGGACAGGGGCGUAGCUUUCGAUCUGCUACAGGUGGCCGAGCGAAUUGGCUCGCAGAGCGAUGCCGCCGAAGACGAAGAUCUGUCCGGGGAGAAAAGUCUCACCCUGGACCGCAUCGUUGUUGAUGAUCAAAGGAGCCAUCGGGCCUAAAGGUGACGAGACAGAGGAACUCUCAAUGAAAGCACCAAUGUCGGUGUCAAAACCAGUGGAUCUCGGGUAGUGGGUCGCGAACUGUGCGUCUAGGCCGGAUGGUAACAGGAGGCAGGGAACACGAUGUUUUACCUAGGUUCCGGCCCUCUUGAUGGAGGUAAAACCCUAUGUCCUGCUUGAUUAAUAUUGAUGAUAUGGGUAGUACAAGAGUAGAUCUACCACGAGAUCAAGGAGGCUAAACCCUAGAAGCUAGCCUAUGGUAUGAUUGUUGUAUAUGGAGUUGAUUGCCUACGGACUACAACCCUCCGGUUUAUAUAGACACCGGAUAGGGUUAGGGUUACAUAGAGUCAGUUACAAUGGUAGGAGAUCUUGAAUAUCCACAUCGCCAAGCUUGCCUUCCACGCCAAGGAAAGUCCCGUCCGGACCCGGGACGAAGUCUUCAAUCUUGUAUCUUCAUAGCCCAGGAGUCCGGCUGAAGGUAUAGUCCGGCUACCCGAACACCCCCUAAUCCAGGACUCCCUCAGGUAGCAAGAUGGAUUUCUGGCGCCGUUGCCGGGGAGACUCGCGCCAAGUAAAGACAUACCAAGUACCCAUCACAAACCCUUAUCCCUCGCAUUACAUUAUUUUCCAUUUGCCUCUCGUUUUCCUCUCCCCCACUUCACCCUUGCCGUUUUAUGCGCCCUCUCUUUUUUCCUUCGCCUCUUUUCCACUUGCUUUGUCAUUAUGGCUAGUCCUUUAUCUACUCCUUUGUCUCCCGAGAAUGAAGUUCUUAAUUUUAAACAAAGGGAGGGAGAAAAUCUAAAAGAUGCUUGGUACAGAAUUUGCAACACGCAAAUUAGAUCUACUAGGAAACAAUCUACUUUUGUUCUUCUUCACAAUUUUUAUGUAGGCAUCACACCUAGGAAUAGAUAUAUUCUUGAUGCCAUUACCGGAGGGAAUUUCUUGGGUAGCCAUACUUUUGAUUCUUAUAAUGCUAUGAUAGAUCUGUUUGGCCCACCACCUCUUUUGGUUAAUGGAACUAUUUUAACUUUGGAACAUGUGAUGCAAUGGCUUGAAAUUAGUGAAAAUAAAGUUGCCACCAUAGAGUUAAUUGAAAAUUUGGAUAGAAAGAUCCACAACCAAAUUACCCAAUACGGAUCUAAGUUAGGAGUUGCUCUUAAAAGUUUUAAAGAAAAGGGACCUAUGGUUAAUGAAAAGAUAGAAAAAGAUUCCACUAGAAUUGUUAAAUUGAGGAUAUUAUUACCAACCUUGGGUCUUCCUUUUCUUCUAUUAUAAAUACUCUACCUAAUGCUAAGAUUGCCAAACUAAUGUAUGUUACAAAAAAUAAUGGUGAAACUUCUAAUAAGGAAAAUGCGGAUCUCAAAUCCAUAAGUGUUCACCCCAAUUUUCUCACUAUCCUGAAGGAACCUUUUGCUACAAAUGAUUUUCUUGAUUUCGUACCUAGGAGUUUGAUAAUUAAUAAAAACCAAGAAACUCCUAAAAGUUAUUGGUGUCUUAUUGAAGAAUCACCUUCCAAAGACGGCAAUACCUAGGUCUAUCUUCGCUUUUAUGCCUAGCUAGGGGCGUUAAACGAUAGCGCUUGUUGGGAGGCAACCCAGUUUUAUUUUUAUUCCUUGCUUUUUGCUCCUAUUUAGUAAUAAAUAAUUUAUGUAGCCUCUGUUUUGGUUUGUGUUUUUUGUGUUUAAUUUGUGUUUGUGCCAUGUAGAACCGUUGGGUAGACUUGGGGAAAGUCUUUUUGAUCUUGCUGUAAAAAACAGAAACGUUAGCGCUCACGAGAAUCGCUGACAUUUUUAUUUGGAAAGUGAUAUUUAGAUAAUUAUUUUUGCAGAUGAUUAAUAGAUAAAUUCCUCACGUCUAGAAAUUUAUUUUAUAAUUUUUGGGGUUACAGAAGUUUGCGUUAGGUACAGAUUACUACAGACUGUUCUGUUUUUGACAGAUUAUGUUUUUCGUGUAUUGUUUGCUUAUUUUGAUGAAUCUAUGGCUAGUAAAAGAGGUUAUAAACCGUAGAGAAGUUGGAAUACAGUAGGUUUAACACCAAUAUAAAUCAAGAUUGAGUUCAUAACAGUACCUUGAAGUGGUGUUUUGUUUUCUUUCGCUAACGGAGCUCACGAGAUUUUCUAUUUGAGUUUUCUGUUGUGAAGUUUUCAAGUUUUGGGUAAAGAUUUGAUGGAUUGUGGAACAAGGGGUGGCAAGAGCCUAAGCUUGGGGAUUCCCAUGGCACACCAAGGUAAAAUUCAAGGACACCAAAAAGCCUAAGCUUGGGGAUGCCCCGGAAGGCAUCCCCUCUUUCGUCUUCGUCUAUUGGUAACUUUACUUGGAGCUAUAUUUUUAUUCACCACAUGAUAUGUGUUUUGCUUGGAGCGUCUUGUAUGAUUUGAUUAUUUGAUUUUUAGUUUACCAAAAUCAUCCUUGCUGUACACACCUUUUGAGAGAGACUCACAUGAUUGGGAAUUUAUGAGAGUACUCGAUGUGCUUCACUUAUAUCUUUUGAGCUAUAUGGUUUUUGUUCUAGUUCUUCACUUAUAUAUUUUAGAGCACGGCGGUGGUUUUAUUUUAUAGAAAUAAUUGUUCUCUCAUGCUUCACUUAUAUUAUUUUGAGAGUCCUUUAGAACAACAUGGCAAUAAUAAAACUGUCAUACAAGUGCAUUGAAUACUAUGAGAAGUUUGAUACUUGAUAAUUGUUUUGAGAUAUGGAGAUGGUGAUAUUAGAGUCAUGCUAGUUGUGUAGUUGUGAAUUUGAGAAAUACUUGUGUUGAAGUUUGUGAUUCCCGUAGCAUGCACGUAUGGUGAACCGUUAUGUGACGAAGUCGGAGCAUGAUUUAUUUGUUGAUUGUCUUCCUUAUGAGUGGCGGUCGGGGAUGAGCAAUGGUCUUUUACUACCAAUCUAUCUCCCUAGGAGCAUGGGCAUAAUACUUUGCUUUGAUAACUUGUAGAUUUUUGCAAUAAGUAUGUGAGUUCUUUCUGACCAAUGUUGAGUCCAUGGAUUAUACGCACUCUCACCCUUCCACCAUUGCUAGCCUCUCUAAUACCGCGCACUUCUCGCCGAUAUCAUACACCCACCAUAUACCAUCCUCAAAACAGCCACCAUACCUACCUAUUAUUGCAUUUCCAUAGCCAUUCCGAGAUAUAUUGCCAUGCAACUUUUCAUCGUUCCAUUAUUAUGACACACUUCAUCAUUGUCAUAUUUGCUUGCAUGAUCAUGUAGUUGGCAUUGUAUUUGUGCAAAGCCACCGUUAAUAAUUCUUCAUACAUGUCACUCUUCAUUCACUUCAUAUCCCGGUACACCGCCGGAGGCAUUCACAUAGUCAUAUUUUGUUCUAAGUAUCGAGUUGUAAUUCUUGAGUUGUAAGUAAAUAAAAGUGUGAUGAUCAUCAUUAUUAGAGCAUUGUGCCAAGUGAGGAAAGGAUGGAGACUAUGAUUCCACAACAAGUCGGCAUGAGACUCCAGACGAAAAUAAAAAAAGAGGGGAAAAAGAGAAAGGCCAUAGAAAAAGAAGGCCCAAAAAAUGAGAGAAAAAGAGAGAAGGGGCAAUGUUACUAUCCUUUUUCCACACUUGUGCUUCAAAGUAGCACCAUCAUCUUCAUGAUAGAGAGUCUCCUAUGAUAUCACUUUCAUAUACUAGUGGGAAUUUUUCAUUAUAGAACUUGGCUUGUAUAUUCCAAUGAUGGGCUUCCUCAAAUUGCCCUAGGUCUUCGUGAGCAAGCAAGUUGGAUGCACACCCACUUAGUUUCUUUUGUUGAGCUUUCAUACACUUAUAGCUCUAGUGCAUCCGUUGCAUGGCAAUCCCUACUCACUCACAUUGAUAUCUAUUAAUGGGCAUCUCCAUAGCCCGUUGAUACGCCUGUUCCGGAGCUCCGCCGGAGGGGGCAUCGAUCACGGAGGGCUUCUACAUCAACAGCAUAGCCUCUUCGAUGAAGUGUGAGUAGUUGACCUCAGACCUAUGGGUCCAUAGUUAUUACCUAGAUGGCUUCUUUUCUCUUUUUGGAUCUCAAUACAAUGUUCUCCCCCUCUCUUGUGGAGAACUAUUCGAUGUAAUCUUCUUUUUGCGGUGUGUUUAUUGAGACCGAUGAAUUGUGGGUUUAUGAUCAAGUCUAUCUAUGAAUAAUAUUUGAAUCUUCUCUGAAUUCUUUUAUGUAUGAUUGUUUAUCUUUGCAAGUCUCCUCGAAUUAUCAGUUGGUUUGGCCUACUAGAUUGAUCUUUCUUACAAUGGGAGAAGUGCUUCGCUUUGGGUUCAAUCUUGCGGUGUCCUUUCCCAGUGACAAUAGGGGCAGCAAGGCAUGUAUUGUAUUGUUGCCAUCGAGGAAAACAAGAUGAGGUUUUCAUCAUAUUGCAUGAGUCUAUCCCUCUACAUCAUGUCAUCUAGCUUAAGGCGUUACUCUGUUUUUAACUUAAUACUCUAGAUGCAUGCUGGAUAGCGGUCGAUGAGUGGAGUAAUAGUAGUAGAUGCAGGCAGGAGUCGGUCUACUUGUCUCGGACGUGAUGCCUAUAUACAUGAUCAUACCUAGAUAUUCUCAUAAAUAUGCUCAAUUCUGUCAAUUGCUCAACAGUAAUUUGUUCACCCACCAUAGAAUAAUUAUGCUCUCGAGAGAAGCUACUAGUGAAACCUAUGGCCCCCGGGUCUAUCUUUAUCAUAUUAAUCUCCUACUACUUAGUUAUUUCCUUUGCUUUUUCCUUUGCCUUUAUUUUACUUUUCAUCUUUAUCACAAAAAUACCAAACAUAUUAUCUUUAUCAUAUCUAUCAGAUCUCACUCUCGUAAGUGGCCGUGUAGGGAUUGACAACCCCUAUUCACGUUGGUUGCGAGGAUUUAUUUGUUUUGUGCAAGUACGAGGGACUCGCGCGUAGCCUCCUACUGGAUUGAUAUCUUGGUUCUCAAAAACCGAGGGAAAUACUUACGCUACUUUGCUACAUCAUCCCUUCCUCUUCGGGGAAAACCAACGCAGUGCUCAAGAGGUAGCAAGAAGGAUUUCUGGUGCCAUUGCCAGGGAGGUCUACGCAAAAGUUAACAUACCAAGUACCCGUCACAUACCCUUAUCUCCCGCAUUAUAUUAUUUGCCAUUUGCCUCUCGUUUUCACCUCCCCCACUUCACCCUUGCCGUUUUAUUCGCCCUCUCUCUCUAUCCUCCCUCUCUUUCUCUAUUUGCCUCUUUUUUCCCGCUUGCUUUCUGUUUGCUUGUGUGUUAGUUGCUUGCUUGUCACGAUGGCUCAAGAUAAUACUAAAUUAUGUGACUUCACCAAUACCAACAACAAUGAUUUUAUUAGCACUCCGAUUGCUCCUCUUAUCGAUGCUGAAUCUUGUGAAAUUAAUACUGCUUUGCUGAAUCUUGUCAUGAAAGAUCUGUUUUCCGGCCUUCCUAGUGAAGAUGCCGGUACCCACCUAAAUAGAUUCAUUGAUUUGUGUGACAUGCAAAACAAGAAAGGUGUGGAUAAUGAUAUUGUUAAAUUGAAGCUAUUUCCUUUUUCGCUUAGAGAUCGUGCUAAACUUGGUUUUCGUCUUUGCCUAAAAAUAGUAUUGAUUCAUGGAAUAAGUGCAAAGAUGCUAUUAUCUCUAAGUAUUUUCCUCCUGCUAAGAUCAUCUCUCUUAGAAACGAUAUUAUGAAUUUUAAGCAACUUGAUCAUGAAUAUGUUGCACAAGCUUGGGAGAGAAUGAAACUAAUGGUACGUAAUUGCCCUGCCCAUGAUUUAAAUUUGUGGAUGAUUAUACAAAAUUUUUAUGCCGGAUUGAAUUUUGCUUCUAGAAAUCUUUUAGAUUCGGCCGCGGGAGGCACUUUUAUGGAAAUCACUUUAGGAGAAGCUACUAAACUCCUAGAUAAUAUUAUGGUUAAUUAUGCUCAACGGCAUACUAAAAGAUCUAAUAAUAAAAAGGUGCAUGCGAUAGAAGAAAUUAAUGUUUUGAGUGGAAAGAUGGAUGAACUUCUGAAAUUAUUUGCUAAUAAGAGUGUUUCUUCUGAUCCUAAUGAUAUGCCCUUGUCUACUUUGAUUGAGAAUAAUAAUGAAUCUGUGGAUGUGGAUUUUGUUGGUAGGAACAAUUUUGGUAACAGCGCGUAUAGAGGAAAUUUCAACCCUAGGCCUUAUCCUAGUAAUCUCUCUAAUAAUUACGGUAAUUCCUACAACAAUUCUUAUGGAAAUUAUAAUAAGAUGCCCUCUAAUUUUGAAUCUAAUAUUAAAGAAUUUAUUACUUUGCAAAAGAAUUUCAAUGCCUUGAUUGAAGAAAAAUUGCUUAAGAUUGAUGAUUUGGCUAGGAACGUUGAUAGAAUUACUCUUGAUGUUGAUUCUUUGAAACUUAGAUCUAUUCCACCUAAGCAUGAUGUCAAUGAGUCUCUCAAAGCCAUGAGAAUUUCCAUUGAUGAGUGCAAAGAAAGAACCGCUAAGAUGCGUGCUAAGAAAGAUGCCUUUAUAAGAGCGUGUUCUUCUAGUUCCUAUGAAAAUAAUGAUGAAGAUCUAAAAGUUAUAGAUGUGUUCCCUAUUAAAUAUUUGUUUUUCAAUAUGAAUCUUGAUAAUGAUGGGACUGAAUAUGAUCCACCUUUACCUAUAAGGCGUUCGAAGAAUUCAGAAUUUGUUGAUCUUGAUGCUAAAAUUGAUAAAGGUGGGAUUGAAGAAAUUAAAACCCUAGAUGUUGCUAAACCCACUAUUAUGGAUUUCAAGGAAUUUAACUAUGAAAAUUGCUCUUUGAUUGAUUGUAUAUCCUUUUUACAAUCCGUGCUAAAUUCUCCUCAUGCUUAUAGUCAAAAUAAAGCGUUUACUAAACAUAUCGUUGAUGCCUUGAUGCAAUCUUAUGAAGAAAAACUUGAAUUGGAAGUUUCUAUCCCUAGAAAGCUUUAUGAUGAUUGGGAACCAACUAUUAAAAUUAAAAUUAAAUAUCAUGAAUGCUAUGCUUUAUGUGAUUUGGGUGCUAGUGUUUCCACGAUUCCAAAGACUUUGUGUGAUUUGUUAGGUUUCCGUGAUUUUGAUGAUUGCUCUUUAAACUUGCGCCUUGUGGAUUCCACUAUUAAGAAACCUAUGGGAAGAAUUAAUGAUGUUCUUAUGGAUGCAAAUAGGAAUUAUGUGCCUGUAGAUUUUAUUCUUCUUGACAUAGAUUGCAAUCUUUCAUGUCCUAUUAUUCUUGGUAGACCUUUCCUUAGAAUGAUUGGUACAAUUAUUGAUAUGAAGGAAGGAAAUAUUAGAUUCCAAUUUCCAUUAAGGAAAUUCAUGGAACACUUUACUAGAAAGUAAAUUAAAUUACCUUAUGAAUCUAUUAUGAUAGCCACUUGUGGAUUGCCUACCAAAGAUGGCAAUACCUAGAUCUAUCCUUGCUUGUUAUGCCUAGCUAGGGGCGUUAAACGAUAGCGCUUGUUGGGAGGCAACGCAAUUUUGUUUUUAUUCCUUGAUUUUUGCUCCUGUUUAGUAAUAAAUAAUUUAUCUAUCCUCUGUUUUGGUUGUGUUCUUUGUGUUUAAUUAGUGUUGGUGCCAAGUAGAACCGUUAGGAAGACUUGGGGAAAGUCUUGUUACACUUGCUGUAAAAAACAGAAACUUCGGCGCUCAUGAGAACUGCUGCCAUUUUUAUUUGGAAAGUGCUAUUUAGUUAAUUAUUUCUGCAGAUGAUUAAUAGAUAAAUUCCUCACGUCCAGAAAUUUAUUUUAGAAUUUUUGGGGUUCCAGCUCUUGAGCUAGGUACAGAUUACUACAGAUUGUUCUGUUUUUGAAAGAUUCUGUUUUUUCGUGUGUUGUUUGCUUAUUUUGAUGAACCUAUGGCUAGUAAAAUAGUUCAUAAACCAUAGAGAAGUUGGAAUACAGUAGGUAUAACACCAGUAUAAAUAAAUAAUGAGUUCAUUAUAGUACCUUGAAGUGGUCUUUUAUUUUCUUUCGCUAACGGAGCUCACGAGAUUUUCUACUUUAAGUUUUGUGUUGUGAAGUUUUCAAGUUUUGGGUAAAGAUUUGAUGGUUUAUGGAACAAGGAGUGACAAGAGCCUAAGCUUGGGGAUGCCCAUGGCACCCCCAAGAUAAUCUAAGUACACCUAAAAGCCAAAGCUUGGGGAUGCCCCGGAAGUCAUCCCCUCUUUCGUCUACUUCUAUCGGUAACUUUACUUGGAGCUAUAUUUUUAUUCGCCACAUGAUAUGUGUUUUGCUUGGAGCGUCUUGUAUUAUUUGACUCUUUAUUUGUUAGUUUACCACAAUCAUCCUUCCUGUACACACCUUUUGAGAGAGCCAUACAUGAUUUGGAAUUUGUUAGAAUAGUCUAUGUGCUUCGCUUAUAUCUUUUGAGUUAUAUAGUUUUGCUCUAGUACUUCACUUAUAUAUUUUAGAGCACGGUGGUGGAUUUGUUUUAUAAAAACUAUUGAUCUCCCAUGCUUCACUUAGAUUAUUUUGAGAUGCUUAAUAGCAUGGUAACUUGCUUAAAAUCCUAAUAUGCUAGGUAUUCAAAGUUAGUAAAAUUUUCUUAAGAGUGUUUUGAAUACUAAGAGAAGUUUGAUGCUUGAUGAUUGUUUUGAGAUAUGGAGGUAAUAAUAUCAAAGUCGUGCUAGUUGAGUAGUUGUGAAAUUGAGAAAUACUUGUGUUGAAAUUUGCAUGUCCCGUAGCAUGCACGUAUGGUAAAUGUUGUGUAACAAAUUUGAAACAUGAGGUGUUAUUUGAUUGUCUUCCUUAUGAGUGGCGGUCGGGGACGAGCGAUGGUCUUUUCCUACCAAUCUAUCCCCCUAGGAGCAUGCGCGUAGUACCGAGGUUUUUGAUGACUUGUAGAUUUUUGCAAUAAGUAUGUGAGUUCUUUAUGACUAAUGUUGAGUCCAUGAAUUAUACGCACUCUCACCCUUCCAUCCUUGCUAGCCUCUUUGGUACCAUGCAUUGCCCUUUCCCACAUUGAUUGUUGGAGCAAACUUCGCCGGUGCAUCCAAACCCCGUGAUAUGAUACGCUCUUUCACACAUAAACCUCCUUAUAUCUUCGUCAAAAAAGCCACCAUACCUACCUAUUAUGGCAUUUCCAUAGCCAUUCCGACAUAUAUUGCCAUGCAACUUUCCACCAUUCCGUUCAUCAUGACACAUUCAUCAUUGUCAUAGUGCUUAGCAUAAUCAUGUAGUUGACAUAGUAUUUGUGGCAAGGCCACCGUUCAUAAUUCUUUCAUACAUGUCACUCUUGGUCCAUUGCAUAUCCCGGUACACCGCUGGAGGCAUUCAUAUAAGUCAUACUUUGUUCUAGUAUCGAGUAGUAAUUAUUGAGUUGUAAAUAAAACGAAGUGUGAUGAUCUUAAUUAAUAGAGCAUGGUCCCAAAAAGAGAAAAAAGGAAGGGCCAAAAAAAGGCCAAAUAAAAAAAUAUAAAAAGGGGGGCAAUGCUACUAUCCUUUUUUCCACACUUGUGAUUCAAAGUAGCACCGUAAUCUUCAUGAUAGAGAGUAUCUUGAUUUGUCACUUUCAUAUACUAGUGGGAAUUUUUCAUUAUAGAACUUGGCUUGUAUAUUCCAACAAUGGGCCUCCUCAAGUGCCCUAGGUCUUUGUGAGCAAGCAAGUUGGAUGCACACCCACUUAGUUUCUUUUGUUGAGCUUUCAUACAUUUAUAGCUCUAGUGCAUCCGUUGCAUGGCAAUCCCUACUCCUUGCAUUAACAUCAAUCGAUGGGCAUCUCCAUAGCCCAUUGAUUAGCCUCGUUGAUGUGAGACUUUCUCCUUUUUGUCUUGUCCACAUAACUCCACUCAUUAUAUUCUAUUCCACCCAUAGUGUUAUGUCCAUGGCUUACAAUCAUAUAUUCCGUGAAAGUUUAUAGGUUUGAGAUCACUAAAGUAUGAAACAAUUGCUUGGCUUGUCAUCGGGGUUGUGCAUGAUGAGAGCAUUGUUGUGUGACAAAAAUGAAGCAUGACUAAACUAUAUGAUUUUGUAGGGAUGAACUUUCUUUGGCCAUGUUAUUUUGAGAAGACAUAAUUGCUUAGUUAGUAUGCUUGAAGUAUUAUUAUUUUUAUGUCAAUAUGAACUUUUGUCUUGAAUCUUUCGGAUCUGAAUAUUCAUACCACAAUUAAGAAGAAUAACAUUAAAAUCAUGCUAAGUAGCACUCUGCAUCAAAAAUUCUGUUUUUAUCAUUUACCUACUCGAGGACGAGCAGGAAUUAAGCUUGGGGAUGCUUGAUACGUCUCCAACGUAUCUAUAAUUUUUGAUUGCUCCAUGCUAUAUUAUCUACUGUUUUGGACAAUAUUGGGCUUUAUUAUCCACUUUUAUAUUAUUUUUGGGACUAACCUAUUAACCGGAGGCCCAGCCUAGGAUUGCUGUUUUUUGCCUAUUUUAGGGUUUCGAAGAAAAGGAAUAUCAAACGGAGUCCAAACGGAAUGAAACCUUCGGGAACGUGAUUUUCUCAACGAACAAGACCCAGGAGAAUUGGACCCUCCGUCAAGACACAAAAGAGGAGGCCACGAGGUAGGGGGCGUGCCUACCCCCCCGGCGCGCCCUCCACCCUCGUGGGCCCCCUGUUGCUCCACCGACGUACUCCUUCCUCCUAUAUAUACCUACGUACCCCCAAAUGAUCAUAUACGGAGCCAAAACCCUAAUUACGCUGCCGCAACAUUCUGUAUCCACGAGAUCCCAUCUUGGUGCCUGUUCCGGAGCUCCGUCAGAGGGGGCAUCGAUCAUGGAGGGCUUCUACAUCAACACCAUAGCCUCUCUGAUGAAGUGUGAGUAGUUGACCUCAGACCUACGGGUCCAUAGUUAUUACCUAGAUGGCUUCUUCUCUCUUUUUGGAUCUCAAUACAAUGUGCUCCCCCUCUCUUGUGGAGAACUAUUCGAUGUAAUCUUCUUUUUGCGGUGUGUUUGUUGAGACCGAUGAAUUUUGGGUUUAUGAUCAAGUCUAUCUAUGAAUAAUAUUUGAAUCUUCUCUGAAUUCUUUUAUGUAUGAUUGGUUAUCUUUGCAAGUCUCUUCGAAUUAUCAGUUUGGUUUGGCCUACUAGAUUGAUCUUUCUUGCAAUGGGAGAAGUGCUUAGCUUUGGGUUCAAUCUUGCGUGUCCUUUCCCAGUGAUAGUAGGGGUAGCAAGGCACGUAUUGUAUUGUUGCCAUCGAGGACAACAAGAUGGGGUUUUCAUCAUAUUUUAUGAGUCUAUCCCUCUACAUCAUGUCAUCUUACUUAAGGCGUAAUAGUAGUAGAUGAGUGGAGUAAUAGUAGUAGAUGCAGGCAGGAGUCGGUCUACUUGUCUCGGACGUGUUGCCUAUAUACAUGAUCAUACCUAGAUAAUCUCAUAACUAUGCUCAAAUCUAUCAAUUGCUCAAUAGUAAUUUGUUCAUCCACCGUAGAAUACUUAUGCUCUCGAGAGAAGCCACUAGUGAAACCUAUGGCCCCCGGGUCUAUCUUUAUCAUAUUAAUCUCCUACUACUUAGUUAUUUCCUUUGCUUUUUUACUUUGCCUUUAUUUUACUUUGCAUCUUUAUCACAAAAAUAAAAAUAUCUUUAUCAUAUCUAUCCAAUCUCACUCUCGUAAGUGGCCGUGUAGGGAUUGACAACCCCUAUUCACGUUGGUUGCGAGGAUUUAUUUAUUUUGUGCAGGUACGAGGGACUGGCGCAUAGCCUCCUACUGGAUUGAUACCAUGGUUCUCAAAACCUGAGGGAAAUACUUAUGCUACUUUGCUGCAUCAUCCCUCACUCUUCGGGGAAAACCAACGAAGUGCGCAAGAGGUAGCAAGGGUUCCUUUUUGUCGACGAUCUGAUGUUUCAACCUUGUUUUCCAGGCGGCCAACGCAUCACUCAACUUGGUCAUGGCGUGUUUGUUUAUCUUCUUCAUUGCCAGGUCCUUAUCUGGAUCUUUAUUAUCCUUUUCAUUACGGUCCGGGAACAAGAAUAUCUGGUGCAGCUUCUUCAGGAGGGAGGGCCUCAUAUUAUCUAUCUUCUAUAGUUUCCCAUCGUUGAUCAUGGCAGUUGUCCGUACAAUGCAACCUAUUUGAUUGCCGUAACACGAUUGCGCUUCCUCGGGUGCUAUUGUCUCAAAAAUACUGUCGUCCAUCUCCGUGACCACCAGUCUAGUACUCAUGAGCUGGUUUAGGCGUCGUGGCCUCUUUGCUGUCGGUUCUAGACUAACUCCCCUAGUCUCGGCACCGGUCUCAGUCUCAUCGCCGGUCUGCAUGUCGGUAUCAGUCCCCGAUGCGACAACACAGUCGCUGCAACAUGGGUAAGGGAGACCACAUCAGUGCUGGGGGUCCGAAAAUUGGGACACACUUUCGCGCGUCGCGGGCCGCCUCUCAGACAGCUAAUGGGGAGGCGGCGGAGUACCUGGGUGCGCGGCGAAUCCCCAAGAACUCGGUGACCAACUUCCUUCCCGUGUGGCGCAUGGAGACGACGGCGACCCUGGCGAAGAGCAGCUUAGCCGCGAGCUGCACAGCCUCGUCCACCUCCUAAGUUGGGACCUCCGUGCGAGCGUUGCGGGGCCGCCGCUCGGAUGGCUUCUGGAAGGCCGUUGUACAUGGGCACAGGGUGAAUCCCGACGAGAGCUGGCCAUUGGCGCGCGCAAGUAGACGACGACGUCCCCGACGAAGAGCUGCCCGGCCAGCUCGCCUCACUCGCCUUUGAUUAGAAAUGAAAGAUUGGGAAGAAGCAGACUUGAGCCUGCAGGGAAAGGAUAAGGUGACGAUGCAGUCUCCACUCGUUCGGGGCGACACGCGUACUGAAUGUAUGAGAAACGUGACGUGGCAGAGACCCCAAGAUACUCCCUCCAUUUAUUUUUAGUCUGCAUAUAAAGUUUGGUCAAAGUCAAGAUUUGUAAAUUUUAACGAACUUUAUAAUAAAAAAAUAUCAGCAUUCACAAUAUGAAAUCAAUAUUACCAGAUGCGUCAUGAAAUGUAUUUCCAUACUAUAUAGUUUUGGUAUUGUAGAGGCACUCUUCCAUAUAAUGAAGUUUAUAAUAUAUGUGCUUAUAUUGUAUUACAAUUGUUUGAAUAGCUUAGCAUAUGUUCAGAUGUAUGAUAUCUGUAAUUUAAGCGCUUGAAUUUUACAUAUAAAUAUUUAUUAAUAAAUAUGUACCCCUAUAAUAGCUAGGCCGUGCCGUUGCACGGGUAGAUGACUAGUGAUUACAAUCUUGUUUGUGUGCAAGUCAAGCUUAUAUAGUUUACACGUAACAACUUGUAGAACAUUACAAAAUUUAUGCUUGCUAAUAACUUCUAGAACACUAGAACACUUGACAUGUAAAAGGAAUUUGACGAGUCAUGGCCUACUAAAGCAAGUUACAUUACUAGUCUUAUCUAUCUUAACAGACCACACAAGAUUACAAACUAAGUACCGUGACAGCCAUGCUUAUCUAGUUUAUGCGUAACAAUUUGCAGAAAAUUAGAAACUUGGUUUCAGAAAAAUACGCAAUCUAGAUUAGUGUUUGAGCUGUAAAGUGAAUAAGAUGAGUCAUGCAUGUUAUCACACCUUUUUGGUGGUGGAAUGAUAGUGCAACAACAAGGAACUUUAAUGACCAGUCCAAGAAUACACUUGUAAGUAGUGCCACCAAACAGAACAUACCAAAUGAUGAUUUUUAGAAGCAUCCAAGCACUUUCCACACAAACAAAUGCCAAUUGUGAAAGAGAUCAUUCCAUGGCAGCUAUAAAUAGCCCCAUAGCAUGAGGUUCAUCCUUCCUCAUCCAUCAUUUUCAUUAGUAGAGCGCAUCAUUUAAGCCAAGCAAGCUGUGGUCAAUACAAAUCCACCAUGAAGACCUUUCUCAUCCUUGCCCUCCCUGCUAUCGUGGCGACCACCGCCACAACUGCAGUUAGAGUUCCAGUGCCACAAUUGCAGCCACAAAAUCCAUCUCAGCAACAGCCACAAGAGCAAGUUCCAUUGGUACAACAACAACAAUUUCUAGGGCAGCAACAACCAUUUCCACCACAACAACCAUAUCCACAGCCGCAACCAUUUCCAUCACAACAACCAUAUCUGCAGCUGCAACCAUUUCCGCAGCCGCAACUACCAUAUUCGCAGCCACAACCAUUUCGACCACAACAACCAUAUCCACAACCGCAACCACAGUAUUCGCAACCACAACAACCAAUUUCACAGCAGCAGCAGCAGCAGCAACAACAACAACAACAACAACAACAACAACAAAAGCAAAUCCUUCAACAAAUUUUGCAACAACAACUGAUUCCAUGCAUGGAUGUUGUAUUGCAGCAACACAACAUAGCGCAUGGAAGAUCACAAGUUUUGCAACAAAGUACUUACCAGCUGUUGCAAGAAUUGUGUUGUCAGCACCUAUGGCAGAUCCCUGAGCAGUCGCAGUGUCAGGCCAUCCAAAAUGUUGUUCAUGCUAUUAUUCUGCAUCAACAACAAAAACAACAACAACAACCAUCGAGCCAGGUGUCCUUCCAACAGCCUCUGCAACAAUAUCCAUUAGGCCAGGGCUCCUUCCGGCCAUCUCAGCAAAACCCACAGGACCAGGGCUCUGUCCAGCCUCAACAACUGCCCCAGUUCGAGGAAAUAAGGAACCUAGCGCUACAGAUGCUACCUGCAAUGUGCAAUGUCUACAUCCCUCCAUAUUGCACAAUCGCGCCAUUUGGCAUCUUCGGUACUAACUGAGAAGAAAAUAACUCUAGUACUAGAUAUAUGAAACACCGUUUUCUCAGUCCAUGGUUUGGUCAUUGUAGCGUCGAAAAAAUAAUGUGACAUGCACUAUCAUAUAAGAAUCCGAACUAUACUAGUUCAAACUUGGGAAUAAAAGACAAACACAUGUCUUGUCUACAUAUUUAUGUUGCAUCUAUUUAUAUAUUAAAAGUAAUAUAAGGUGAACCAGGAGCAAGGUAAAUAUGCUAGAAAAUUGCACGUUAAUUAGAAAUUACUUGCCCUCGAUCUGGUAAAUCUUAACAAAUAGAAUUAUCUUGACCGUUAGAUUUAUAUAACAUAUAUAAUGCUCUGGGCCUCCAACGACUGUACGUGACACAUCUGAACGAACAUAUGGUAAAGAAAAUAUAUUUGGUAAAUGGUGGGCCUGUUUAAAAAGAGAACUCACGUACAUGCACCAACUAAGAAAAACACAUACAUGUAAACGGGAAAAGGAUGAGAUUUUCUCACGUACGUGCUCCCUGGCUCCACCCCGUUGAAAAAAUAUACAUCUGGAGGCCACUUUGUUUCCUCAUCAAAAAAACUUACGUUAAAAAGAUUGCAUGCAUCCCAGGGAAAAUAGUCAAGAAGAAGUCGGACUUUUCCUUACAAAAACAAGGAACGUGUUAAGUUGACUUCAAAGAAAAAAGGAACAUGUUAAGUUAAAAAAAAACAAGAAACCUGUUAAGUUAGAAAAAAACAAGGAACGUGUUGUCCAAGGAAAGAUAUGUGUCAAAUCUUACAAAAAAAAAGAAUACACACACGUACGUUCAUGCACUUGGAAAAUAGAAAAAAAGGAACAUCACGUAUGUAUACACUUCGGAAACUCAUUACAUGACCAUGUCUGAUAUACUCCUCUAAUGCUUAAUAUUAGUGCCUAAUAAUUUAUAUUUAAAAUUUAAUUUACUGAUCAAAUAUCCCCACUGUUUAAAUUUUAAUUUGGCACAUUGUUUGGCUAUAGUAUGAACCUGAAUUUCCUCUUAUUAUUAUAUAUCAUGGUAAUAAUCCAAAGGCGACUAAUCUGCACCGGCGCACCGGCGCAAUCAAUUCGGCUGGACACAGCGCGGCCGUUUGAUUAGAUUGCAUUUAACCAUCAGAUCUGGAAUCGUUUUCUUUCCAAUUAAACGGAUUCAACCAAACAGCAGAGGGGAAAACAAAGCAGCGCCGCCGCCAACACUAGCCAUGGACGACCGAUGUAGCAAAACCUUGAAGAACCGCCGCCGGUCGCCACCCUCGCCUCUGGUCGCUGCCCUCGCCGUCGGUCACCGCCGGUCGCCGCCCUCGCCGCCUGCGUUUCUCAUCGGCUUCAUGCAUGCAACAACAUGCACUCGUGGUUGCAGGCUUGCAUCUCCGGCUCCGGGGACAUGGCCGCAUCUCCGGUAGCGCCGGCCGCCGGCCGCAGCACCUGUCGUUGUGGUCGCGCUGUACCUCGCCGUGUGCCCUCCCGAGGCUCUUGCUGGUUCCAACAAAAAACGAUACCUGUUGUAGCAAAAAAGUAUCGCUUCCAGCAAAAAAGCUUACCGCUACAGCCCGCCAUCGUCAUUGUAGCAAAAAUGUUAACCCGAUGUAGCUUCUGUGGUUGCCGACUGCAGCAAAAAAUGACAUGGCUGUAGCAAAACACAAAAGAAAAACACUGGCCGGCCGCUGUGUAUGGUGGUAACAAACCCUAUAGCCGGUGGUAGCGAAAAACUUCAUAGUGUGCUGCAAAAAAAUGUUGUCACCCGUCGUCGAGGUUGCAUCAUCUUCAUGAAUUAUGCCGCAAAAAAACGUUGUCGCCGGUAGUAGCAAAUGAAGCCGCCGGUAGUAGCAAAACAAGACACUGGUUCCAGCCAAAAAAAAAAUCAGCGACAGAACCUUUGGUUGGUUCCAACAAAAAAACUUGUCGGUUGUAACAUCCCUCGCCGCCGGAUGUAGCAUCUCCCGGGGCUGGUUGCAACACUCCAUAAAAAAAGUUGUCUAUGAGCGCAUCCAUGGUGACUGCUGCACCGUCAGCAAUGAGGGGAAGAGGAGGCAAUGAAAAUCAUUCGAGUCAUAGCUCCACAGGACGCGGCUGCAGCAUGGGGAGUCCAAAAAUCUGUCACAAGCAACAUGCGCCGCGCCAUCCUCCUGCGCAGGAGAGAGAAGAAAAAGGAAUAAGAGGAAGAAGAAAGGAAACAGGAGAAAGAAAAAAGAAAGGAUUGGUGGUUGGCUCAGGCAAUUAGUCAAGCGAGGGGCACGCGGGGCCGCAGGACACAGCGCAAUCGAACGAAGCGCGCGCGUCCGGGCGAAGACUCGGCCGGACUGCCGUCUGGAAACGUUUCCCUAAUCCAAAGGCUUUAUCUGAAUGACAAGUCGUCUGGGUUACCGGCUAACUAGAAAAAAGAUAAAUAUGCUAGAGAAUUCCAUAAUAAUUAGAAAUAUCUAGCCUUUAAUUAUGUAAACCAGAAAAUCACAACCGUUGGAUUUACUUUAAAGGUAAAUUUCUAUAAAUUCCCACCAUUGCCAGUAUGUAGAAACAUGUGCUGCUUCAAUUCUCCCAUAAUCACCAAUCAAUCAACAACACAAAACAUACCUCAGUUAAAAAAACUGAACAAAAAAAAGAAAAAAAGAAGAAAGGACAAGAUACACGCAUGUACACGACAGCCUUGGCUUGAAACACAUCAGUAGAUCAAGUGUCCGCCUCCCUUACACGUACGUCCCAUGAGGUUUACUAGCCUACCGCCGCCGCAUCAUGCCAUCCUCUCCUUUCAGCUCCCAUGCUCUCCAGCACCCUCAUUGCGGCGCCACUACUCGCCUAGGGAUAUUGCUGCUCAGACCGUGGAGCUUAACCACAUCAGCAUCAGCACGUAUGGGCCUCAUUAUACUGCAGCACGUAUUGCGCCCCCUUAAGUCCAGGUCUGUUUGCUGGCACAUAUGCUUUGGAAAUAGGCCACUAUGUUUGUACUUCAAAAUUGUUUCUGUAUUCUUGAGUGGUACAUCCUUUUAAGCGCCAGUUUUUUAUGUUAAUUCAUGCUGACAACACUUAACCUAGCCUUUCAUGUUCACGUACUAAAUACAGGAGCAAGUAAAAACAACAGACCACCUAAUUGCUCUGCAUGUACUACAUAGGAAAAUUUGUCAUGUUCUACGAUCGCACCAUCCCACCCUUCUCUCUUGGUAUGGGCGCCAAUUGAGGGAUUGAUAAAACUGAAACGAAGACGUCACAGGGCUGGAAGUACCGCUAGCCUGGUUUGCACUGCAACCUACCCAACGCCAUCAGAAACUAGCAACUGAGUCAGGUGUUGAUCGAUUCUCUCAAAUUGCUCUCAUGUAAGUACUACCCCUUGCAUGUGCGUACAUACCUUUGUUGCAUUCUCAAACAGAUAGAACAUGUUUGAUCGGUGCAUGGCUAUUUUUCAUCACAUGACAUCCAGAUAACAAGCAUGAAAGGACUACAUUGGAGAUCAAAAAAUAUUGGUUCCUGGCUAGAGUACCACUACCUAUGGACUUGUCUCCAUAGAAUUUGUUCCCAAGAUGUUAUUUUAAUUAAUCUCUUUAGCUUUCUUCCAUUGCAAACGGUGAUGUGCAUCAUGGUAUAUACGUGACCAUCUUGCACAUGUAUACACAAGAGGCUCAGAUGGAGGUGCUGGAUUCUGGACGAGGGAAUAUGAAGCAGGAGUGAGCGAAGAGUAAAUAAUGGUGGGAGUACCGAUUGGUGUUAUGAAGAAAAAUGCCAUCCAAAGAUUGAUUAGUGUCAUGGAAGAUUAAUUUCUGAAUGCGAAUAUAUAUGUUACAUUGGUUUGGAUCUUUUUGAGAUAAUUCCACCUAAAUUAGGUUCUUUCUUAUUUCAUAUGUAUACCUUAUUUCAGUAAAAGUUCACAACGAACUUAGUAGGACAAAUAUAAUUUUGUUUGUUCUUUCUGUUGUCCGCCACCAAAGCUCAAUUUGAACUCUCUAGAAAUGGACAAUGAUUUAUGCAUUCUAUAUCUUCUUGAUUGAUUAGCCAUGACAAGGAAAUAAAAGGAUUGACUGAUAUAGCAUAACUUUGGAACGAUUAGAGGUUACUACAAAUAAGAGUAGUGUCUGUUGGAAUUUUGCUAGUAGGCCUUUGGCCCAAAGCCCAACUAAAAUUCUGAAAUUCUCUUGGCUCAUUUAUGCACACAUGUGAGUUGAGUGAGUGAGACUAAAGUUUAGUCCCACCCUGGAAGUUGAGAGAGAGUUGCACCUCUUUAUAAGGUGAGCUCUUCUACCACUUGUAUGAGCAUGAGAAGAGGAGACCUACACGCGCGCUCCUCCUCCACGCUCGCCACGCCUCGUCGCGCCGCGCCGUGCCGCGGGUUGCGGGAUUGAGCCGAGCCGAGGACGUUUUCUAUAUUUUUGCUGCUCGGGAAAAAUUAAUGAGUCAUUAAUUAAUAAUUAAUGGACACAUUAAUUACUGAACCGUUUCCGAUUUUUUUGGAUCGUGACGACUCGGACGUGGGGUUUACUCCCAGGACCUACCCGGCCCGCACUAUAUAGUCAGGAAGACGUCUACCCUAGCCGCCGCCGCUUCGUAUGGUUUCUCACCAUCGUUACAGAUCAUUGCGCCGCCAAGCAAGUUUUCUCCAUCCCUCCUUUCGGCGUGCACCGGGAGAAGGGACAGCAGACCUCCGGAACCCCGCCUCUCGUGAUCCUAUACGGGAGAGGGGCGAUCAGGUUUUUGGGGAGCGCACUCGCAUGACUGCUGGCAGCGACGACUUCGCAAACGACGACUUCUUCCCCGACCUCGGCAACCUCAUCCUCGACGACAUGGGCGACAACGUCAACGCCGGCGGUGCUACACCCACUGCACCGUAUGUUAUUCUCUCCUUCUUGUUCGAGAUCAUGGUAGAAUUCAUGUUUCUAGUAUAUGUGCCCUAGAUGUGAUCUGUUCAUCUACUAUGGUAGUUCGCAUGAUUAGUUUAAUCUCUGUUAUUGCUGUCAUGAUCUAUUUCCUAUUUAUUCGGAUUAAAUCUCGUAGUAAUUUUCUCAUUUUUCCAACAAUCCAAAAACCUGAUUAUAGGAAAUUUACUCCGAGUGGUUUUGCUGCGCAUCUGAAAGCCGCUUGCCUUUAAGGGGGCGCAAUAUAAGAGGUGGCGCACCAGAGCAGUCUACUGGUUUCAGAUCAUGGGCUGCUAUGACGCCACCAAGGGCAAGCCUGAGGGCGAUCUUAAUCCAGCACAGCUGGAAGCUUUCAAGAAGAUCAAUACCCUCUUUAAAGGCACGCUUCUGAGUGUUCUUGAUGACUCCAUUGUAGAUUCGUAUAUGUCGUUUGACAAUGGCAAGAACAUGUGGGCUACGCUCGAGGCCAAGUUUGGUGCCUCGGACGCCGGCAGCGAGUUGUACGUCAUGGAGCAAUUCUAUGACUCCAAGAUGACUGAUGGGCGCCCUGUUGUACAGCAGGCUCAUGAGAUACAGUUGCUCGCAAAAGAACUUGAGUACUUCAAGUGUGUGUUGGCGAACAAAUUUGUUGCCGGAGGCAUCAUUGCCAAGCUUCCACCUUCGUGGAACAAUUUUGCUACUUCCCUGAAACACAAGAGACAGGAGUUUUUCGUUGCGGAUCUCAUUGGUACUCUUGAUGUUGAAGAGAAGGCGAGAGCAAAGGAUACACGUGCUUGAGUUGCUAAGGGAGGUUCUAGUGCCCACAUGGUACAGAAGAAGAACUUCCAGCCCAACAAGUUCAAAAACAACAAGAACAAAACUUAGGGCAAAGGCAAGUUCGAUACAAAGAACAAGCCAUCACAUUCUACCAACUUCAAGAAGAACUCUCAUAAGAAGGGGAAGGGACUUUGCCAUGUCUAUGGUGAUCCUAAUCACUGGGCUCCGAAGUGUCCCAACCGCUUUGAGGAGCGCGAACAUGAGAAGAGCGGCAAGUCUGCUAAUGUUGUCAUCGGUGAUACUGAUAUGAAGGAAUCAGGGUACGGUAUUUUUCCUACCAUCCUUUCAGUAUUCCAAACCCCUGACUGGUUAAUUGACACCGGUGCCAAUGUACAUGUUUGUGCUGAUGCCUCCAUGUUUUCUUCUUACCAGGCCACUGGGACUUCUCCUAUGCUGAUGGGGAACGGGUCACAUGCCAUCGUUCGAGGUGUUGGUACGGUCGAUCUGAAGUUUACUUCGGGGAAGACCGUGCGUCUGAAGAACGUUCAUCAUGUGCCGUCCAUCAAUAAAAAUCUCGUUAGCGGUUCCCGUUUAUGUCGAGAUGGUUUUAAGUUGGUUUUCGAAUCCAAUAAAGUUAUAAUUUCUAAGUAUGGACAAUUUGUUGGAAAAGGCUAUGAGAGCGGAGGCUUGUUUCGCCUGUCUUUGUCAGAUAUUUGCACUAAAGUUAUUAAUAAUGUUUGCCACAACAAUGAGUCUGAUAUUUGGCAUUCACGACUUUGUCACAUUAACUUUGGUUGCAUGACGCGGCUAGCCAAUAUGAAUUUAAUUCCGAAAAUCUCUACUGUCAAAGGAUCUAAGUGCCAAGUAUGUGUGCAAGGUAAGCAACCUCGCAAGUCCCAUAAGACUGCAGAGGCAACAGACUUGGCGCCACUAGAGCUUAUACAUUCUGAUAUUUGUGAGAUGAAUGACGUGUUGACAAAAGGUGGAAAGAGAUACCUCAUGACGUUGAUUGAUGACUCCACUAGAUAUUGUUAUGUGUAUCUUAUGAAAUCAAAAGAUGAGGCUUUGGCUUUCUUCAAAAACUAUAGAGCUGAGGCAGAGAACCAACUUGAUCGAAAAAUUAAACGGCUUAGGUCCGAUCAUGGUGGAGAGUAUUUUUCCAAUGAAUUUGAUCUAUUUUGUGCGGAACAUGGUAUAAUCCAUGAGAGGAUGCCUCCCUACUCACCCCAGUCAGAUGGGGUAGCCGAAAGAAAGAACCAAACUCUAACUGAUAUGGUUAACACCAUGUUAGACACUUCGGGUCUAUCCAAGGAAUGGUGGGGGGAGGCGCUAAUGACUGCGUGUCAUGUCCUAAACCGAGUUCCCACAAAGCAUAAGACCAUGACUCCAUUUGAGGAAUGUUAAAGGAAAAGGUUGAAACUCUCUUACCUACGUACUUGGGGUUGUUUGGCGAAAGUCAAUAUACCAAUUCCCAAGAAGCGCAAGCUUGGACCAAAAAUCGUGGGUUGUGUUCUUCUUGGCUAUGCUUUUCAUAGCAUCGGCUAUAGAUUUUUGAUAAUAAAAUCUGAGGUAUCCGACAUGCAUGUUGGUACGAUUAUGGAGUCGAAUGAUGCAACUUUUUUUGAGGACAUAUUUCCUAUGAAGGAUAUGUCGAGUUCAUCAAAUCAGGAGACACCUACUCCAUCUAGUGAGGAAUUCAUUGUAAUUCCUGAACCCACCAUUGCGAUGGAACACAUUGAGAAUCCUGUUGAGGGUGACAAUGGAACUCUUGUGAGGAGUAAGAGACAUAGGACUACAAAGUCCUUUGGUGAUGAUUUCAUUGUGUACCUCGUGGAUGACACACCCAGGACUAUUUCAGAAGCCUGUGCAUCUCUUGAUGCUGACUACUGGAAGGAAGCUGUACGUAGCGAGAUGGAUUCCAUCUUAGGUAACGGAACCUGGGAGAUCACUGACCGUCCUUAUGGGUGAAAACCUGUAGGAUGUAAGUGGGUGUUCAAGAAGAAGCUUAGACCUGAUGGUACGAUUGAAAUGUACAAGGCACGGCUUGUGGCCAAGGGUUAUACCCUGAAAGAAGGUGUAGACUUCUUUGAUACUUACUCACCCGUGGCUAGACUGACCACAAUUGGGUGCUACUAUCACUUGUUGCCUCACAUGGUCUUCUCGUUCAUCAAAUGGACGUUAAGAACGCUUUCCUCAAUGGAGAGUUGAAGGAGGAAAUUUACAUGGAUCAGCCAGAUGGUUUUGUAGUACCUGGUUAGUAAGGAAAGGUGUGCAAGUUAUUAAAGUAUUUAUAUGGCCUUAAACAAGCUCCUAAAGAGUGGCAUGAGUAGUUUGAAAGAACAUUAACUGCUACCGGCUUUGUAGUAAACGAUGGUGACAAGUGCGUGUACUAUCGCUAUGGUGGGGGCGAAGGAGUUAUUCUUUGUUUGUAUGUCGACGACAUAUUGAUCUUUCGAACCAAACUUGAUUUAAUCAAGGAGGUUAAGGAUUUCUUAUCUCGCUGUUUUGAGAUGAAGGAUCUAGGAGUAGCUGAUGUUAUCUUAAACAUCAAGCUGUUGAGAGAUGAGAAUGGUGGGAUCACACUGCUUCAGUCACACUAUGUGGAAAAGGUCUUGAAUCGUUUUGGGUAUAGCGACUGCACACCUUCUCCAACCCCAUAUGAUGCUAGCAUGUUGCAUCGAAAGAAUCGACGGAUUGCUAGAGAUCAACUGAGGUAUUCUCAUAUUAUUGGCUCGCUUAUGUAUUUGGCGAGUGCCACGAGGCCAAACAUCUCGUUUGCUGUUAGCAAGCUGAGUCGGUUUGUGUCAAAACCAGGAGAUGAUCAUUGGCAUGCACUUGAGAGAGUUAUGUGCUAUUUGAAAGGCACCGCGAGCUAUGGGAUUCACUACACCGGGUAUCCAAGAGUACUGGAGGGUUAUAGUGACUCAAACUGGAUAUCUGAUGCUAAUGAGAUUAAGGCCACAAGUGGUUAUGUUUUUACACUUGGUGGUGGCGCUGUUUCUUGGAAGUCCUGCAAGCAGACCAUCUUAAUGAGGUCAACUAUGGAAGCAGAACUCACAACAUUAGAAACUGCCACUGUUCAAGCAGUGUGGCUUCAUGAGCUCUUGAUGGACUUUCCUAUGAUUGAAGAACCAAUACCCCCUAUCCCAAUGAACUGUGAUAAUCAAACUAUGAUCGUCAAGAUAAAUAGUUCUAAGGACAAUAUGAAGUCCUCAAGGCAUGUGAAGAGGAGACUGAAAUCUGUCAGAAAAUUGAGGAACUCCGGAGUUAUUACGUUGGAUUAUAUCCAAACGUCAAAAAAAUUGGCAGAUCCCUUCACAAAGGGUCUAUCACGUAAUGUGAUAGAUAAUGCAUCGAUGGAGAUGGGUCUGAGACCCACCGCAUGAGUUGUCCAUAGUGGUAACCCACUCUUUGUGAUCGGAUAUCCCGUGAAGUAUAAGUGGGAGACAAGCUGUUGGUCAGCUGGGAGGAGAGUAUCCCUAUAUUACCUGUCCCACUCCAUGAAGAUGCAAUACUCUCCUAAUCUGCAUGGCAGGUUGAUACUUAUCUUAAUGUGUUCCAAGUGGCUUAUUCGGGUAAGCAGAGAUGUUGUCCUGCAGAACAUCUUCUGAGGAACACACCUAUAUGAAUUUGACUGUUAACGUCGCAGUCUGUGAGAAUUGGGUGUUCUCUAAUAAAUUCAUGAAAAGGCCCUGGAGUAUGACGUAUACGCUCCACCCGCAGGGAAGCCUUGCGGCAGCCCAGUAUCGGUCAAGAAUUUGUGUGAAACUAGUUGCGCAGAAAAUUUGUAGUUCAAGGCAUAGUCCACUAUUCAAGUUGUGAUCUAGUGUAGCAUAAAUCUCUAAGUGGAAGUUCAACUUCACAGUCUCCACUAAGCCCCGGUAUAUAAACAAUGUUUUGGAACUAAAUGAUGAGAUGUGCCAAUGAGACUUUGUGGGGGAUUGUUGGAAUUUUGCUAGUAGGCCUUUGGCCCAAAGCCCAACUAAAAUUCUGAAAUUGUCUUGGCCCAUUCAUGCACACAUGUGAGUGGAGUGAGUGAGACUAAAGUUUAGUCCCACCCCGGAAGUUGAGAGAGAGCACCUCUUUAUAAGGUGAGCUCUUCUACCACUUGUAUGAGCAUGAGAAUAGGAGACCUACACACGCGCUCCUCCUCCUCGCUCGCCACGCCACCCCUCGUCACGACGCGCCGCGGGUUGCGGGAUUGAGCCGAGCCGAGGACAGAGCUAUGCACAUUGUCUAUUUUUUGCUACCCGAAAAAAUUAAUGAGUCAUUAAUUAAUAAUUAAUGGACACGUUAAUUACUAAACCGUUUUCGAUUCUUUUGGAUCAUGAAGACUCGGACAUGGGGUUUACUCCCACGACCUACCGGGCCCGCAUUAUAUAGUCCGGCAGACGUCUACCCUAGCUGCCGCCGCUUCAUAUGGUUUCUUACCACCGUUCCAGAUCAUUGCGCCGCCAAGCAAGUCUUCUCCAUCCGUCCCUUCGGCGUGCAUCGGGAGAAGGGACAACAGGCCUCCGGAACCCCGCCUCUCGUGAUCCUGUACGGGAGAGGGGCGAUCAGGUUUUUGGGGAGCGCACUCGCGCGACUGCUGGCAGCGACGACUUCGCGAAUGACGACUUUUUCCCUGACCUCGGCAACCUCAUCCUCGACGACAUGGGCGACAACGUCAACGCCGGCGGUGCUGCACCCGCUGCACCUUAUGUUAUUCUAUCCUUCUUGUUCGAGAUCAUGGUAGAAUUCACGUUUCUAGUAUAUGCCCUAGAUGUGAUCUGUUCAUCUACUAUGCUAGUUCGCAUGAUUAGUUUAAUAUCUGCUAUUGCUGUCAUGAUCUAUUUCCUAUUUAUUCGGAUUAAAUCUCGUAGUAAUUUGCUCAUUUUUCCAAUAGUACCAUCUAAUAGAUGAUGUAAAUCUCCUCUAGUUUGACGUUGUUGAGCUAAUUUACAAAAAAAACCUCAUCAUUAUUGGACGUCCUUAACAGCUCAAGAACAAGUUGGGGUCGAACUAAUGGAUUUUACACUUUUACAUUAAAGGUUUAGCUAAAGCUAGCAGGUGUUUUUAAACCUGAAUUUUUUUCCUCCUGAAUUUCUUUGUAUUUUCUUAUUGACACUAUUUAUACAAUCAUCUGACAAAGAUUAGCUAAAGCUGUUUGUAGAUACGUUGAAACCUGAAAAGCUUCUUUGGUUAUCCUUUUAAUAGUUCUACGUUUAUUUUCUCAUAGGUCAUAAUUCUUAUGUAAUACCAAGAUGCAUUGUGGUAGUGUACAUGUGUUAAAUUCAGGUUGUUAUUCACAAUUUGCGACAAAAUUUAGCUCACGCUACAUUCAAAUAUGUUGAAAUGUGAAAGCUUUUUUUUCUUCUCCUUUCUACACCUUGCAUCGGAUUGCAUCCCUUUAGUUAUCCAACAUUUUGUACAACAUGUAGAGAUUAGGAAGUUCAUCAUAGUUUGUUUAUUUCGGUGCUAAUAAAUGUAUGAAAUCUGCAUUUCCAAGCUACUAGGACAAGUAAAAAAUAAUAAUUUUACUAUAGGAUUCAAAAACAGCAGUUCUGAAGUGCACUUUAUUUAUUUUUGAAAGUGAUCACAUUUUGUUUCAUUUUUCUAUAGACAAAUCUACUAAUACAUACUCACGAUAAAACUAUAAAAGUUCUAGUCCGCACAUUGGGCGGGCCACCCGGCUAGUUAGUCUAAAGAUAACAAAAUGAGUCUGGAAUUUGAAUUAAAUUGAAGUAUUUUCUUGGACUUUCAAAUUGAGUUUUAUUAAAGUAGUAAGGACUAUCCACAUCCUUGGCUUGCCCCUGAUCAAUUAUUUCCAGAGAAGCAUUCAAUUCAUCAAUCAAUUACAUUGAUUUUAGUGGCUGGUACUUCUCCUCAACAUCAGUAUAUUCACCGUGGCCACUCCAAAUCGGCAAGAAUGAGGUACCAGUGCUCUGGAGCAGUGCAAGCUAAUUGCUUCUCAUCUGAAGGGGUGCGGCCGCAGGAGAGGUAUUUCUGGUGGGCCAAGGGACUAAGAAGCGACUGUGGCAGCGGUAUAGACGCCCGCAAAGCCCCAUAAUUUGUUUUUGGUUUACAGGAAAAAUGCACAUCCAUACCAGCCUGGGGAAUAUAGGACCGUAUUGGAUGGAAAACCAUGUCCGGAUGGUUGCGAGCGGUUUAAGGGUUAGCUUUUGUAACGCCCGGUUAGUUAUGCUAUAGCAAUUCCCUGCUAAUGAUGUCACGUUACCACGAUUACUGUUGUUAACCUCACAAUGAUUCAAUCCCCUUCAAAUUGAAAUUUAAAAUAAAGGCAAACAUCAAAAGUUUUCAAAUAUUAAAACUAAAAUCUUUGAGAGGUGACAAAUAAUGCAUAAGUAAUUAUGGUGGAGAAACCACACUUUAAUCAAAUGUUUAAAUACUCUAAAAUGAAAAAAAACAGUUGCUUAAACUAUUAUUUAAAUGCUUUUAAAAUAGUAAAAAUCUUCUAACUAAAUUAUUUGGGUACCAAACUUUUGGUGGCAGUGGUAUAUUUAGUACAACUAAUUUAGAUGCUAAUUAUAUAAAAAGGAAAAGCAAAAGGGGGCAACCCCUCGCUGGGCCUCGGCCUAGCUGCCACUAGGCUAGCUAGGCUGGCCCCGCCGCCUCCCUUAACCCCCCCCCCCCACUCCCCAUCGAACCCAAGCCCGAUCGCCCCACUUCCCCCANNNNNNNNNNNNNNNNNNNNNNNNNNNNNNNNNNNNNNNNNNNNNNNNNNNNNNNNNNNNNNNNNNNNNNNNNNNNNNNNNNNNNNNNNNNNNNNNNNNNNNNNNNNNNNNNNNNNNNNNNNNNNNNNNNNNNNNNNNNNNNNNNNNNNNNNNNNNNNNNNNNNNNNNNNNNNNNNNNNNNNNNNNNNNNNNNNNNNNNNNNNNNNNNNNNNNNNNNNNNNNNNNNNNNNNNNNNNNNNNNNNNNNNNNNNNNNNNNNNNNNNNNNNNNNNNUUGAUCCCAUCUGGAUCGGGGAGGGUAAUGCCCCAAUCGACCCCGUUGCCGUCGCGGGAUUGCCCGCCGACGUCGCCAGGCCUCCUCCCCGCCACCCGUCUCCGGCUCGCCUCCCCUCUCGCUCCUCUUCCCCGACCCGAUCUGGAUCGUGAACGAGCAAUGAGCUCGAAGCCCCCUUCACCGGCGCCAUCACCGUGCGCCACCACCACCGCCUGAAGACCUCACCGUCGCCGAACCUUGCGUCGCCUCCUCGUAUCCCUCCCCUACUCGCGUCCUCAAGCCAGGCCGAGCCCCUUCUCGGCAACGCCGUGAGACGCCCCCGUCUCCCUCCUCUUUCCACUGCGUUCACCGCGCCGCCCGCCGUGCCCCUCGCCGUGCGCACGCCCACCACCGCACCAGCCCCCGCUCCGCGCACGACCCUACCCGCGUCCGCGCCAUGAUCCCCUUUUCCACCCUACCUUCCUGCGCUCGCCGCGGUCCUGAUGCUCCCCCGCGCCCUCUUUUGGGGGCGCCGACUGCCCCUGUCCCACUGCUCGCCGCCGUGCCUCGCCAUCGCUCUACUGCUAAGUUAUUGCUGCGCUGCGGCCGUCGCCUCUUCCCGCUGCUCCGCCAGCGCCGAAGCUCCCGAUUGGCUCCACCACUUCUCACGUUAAACCGCCGGCCUAAAUGGCCUAACCCCCGGCUAAUGAACCCCCACUAUCCCACUGACACCGGGACCCACAUUCCCUAAUUAACCAUUUAAUAAAUUAAAACUCUUAAAUUAACAUUAGUGUAUGACAUGUGCGUCCCCUAUUAAUUUAUAAUUUUACUGCUAGUUUUAUUAGUUUCUGUUUUUUCUGCAUAUUUCUUUUGUAUUUGAACAGGCUUUAUAUAAUAAUAUUUAGCGUCUCAUACACAUAUAAAUGUAAUUAUAGCAUAUACAUACAAAUAGUCUCAUCAAAUCAUGUCAUCACCAUAAUCAUCAUCCAUCACAAAGUGAUCUCUCGUCAUCAUCUCGAAAAUAGCAAUACAAGUCUCGAUUACUUGCAACUACAUCGUCAUCCAUCUAAACAAUGAUAUACGCGAGAAGCGCUAUCACUAUGAGUGAGAGCGGAACUAUGCAGUACAUGAGUUUGUAUCCCUCUCUCACAUUAGCGUGAACCUAAACUAACUACUGGCUGUUGCUCGGAAACCGGAAACCGGUACACCUGGGCCUGACACUCCGGCCACUCGUCGUAUACUCCUGGCGUAGCACUUCUUCGCCAUCGAUGAUCUAUAAACCUACAUCGUCAGAUGAGUCGAUGAUAUGCAACAUAUAUAGUUGAGCAACAGAAAGAGACAGACUUGGCAAAAAUAGAAGCAACAUAUCAUAAGCAUAAAUAACAAAGUUCAUCGUACGCAAAAUGCCCUAACUAGAGUGAUCUUCGCUAGUCGAGGAGGACGGUUUAAUUACAUCACAAAUAAUUUUUCGUCGUGCAUAACUCAAAGUUCCGUCAUACAGAAAGUAUGAACUAAAUGGACACAUUGUCAUAUUUCAAAAAUCACUCCCACAUGUCGUGCCAUCCAUCCAAGUCAAGGAGAUAGUGCCCGAGCUUAGUGAAAGGCUUUAGGUCGAGACGCUGAGCGGCUAUGCGUGUUCGGACGUCUUCCCACGACAUUUGUCCUUCUUCAUAGAACAUCCCUGUUUUUUCGACGACCUCCUUCAUCACUGGAAGAAAAAGGGCCUGUUGUCCCGGUUCUGGAACCGGGACUAAAGGGUCGGUACUAAUGCCCUGUCCCUUUAGUCCCGGUUCAAUCCAGAACCAGGACAGUUGGGCCUCCACGUGGCCUGUGCGCGGAGCCUAGGCGGGAGACCCUUUGGUCCAAUAAGCAUCCACGCAUCAGCAUUUAUGUGGUUGGGGUUUUUGUUUUUUUUGAAGGGGGGGGCAUUGGGGGUUUUGGGGGGUUAAUUUUGGUGUUUCAUAUAUUGUGUUAGCUAGCUAUAAUUAAUAGAGAGAAUUGUCCUCUCUUAUGUCCGUGCUUGCUCGACGCUACGUACUAUACAUACGUAUAGAGAGGACUAGACACGGUAGCUAGCUAGUAAGCAAACGAAGGAAAUAGAAGAUCGUCAUGAACAUAUAUGCAUACAGAGAGAAGUAAUAUCGACCACCUCUCCUUCUCCGAGAGAUUGGUCGAACAACAAGUUCUCAUAUAUCUAUCCGACACUACCGGCUACAUAUAUACAAUAAUUAUCUCUUACAAAUAUAAUCAUACGGAUUCAGGGUCCACAUAGUAUUCUCUGUCUUCAAGGAUCACGUGGUCAAGAAAGAAUGCCGCCAAUUCCUCUUGAAUUGCUCGCAUGCGAGCUGGUGCUAGGAGUUCAUCCCGCUUCCGAAACAUCUAAUUUAAAGAAGGGGGUUAAUACAUAUAUACAUAUAUAUAUAUAUAUAUAUAUAUAUAUAUAUAUAUAUAUAUAUAUAUGAAUGAAUGAAACUCAACACGAAUGAUGGUAAUAAAAUAAAAUUGUGAAUGUUGUUAUUUACGUACUUCAUAUUGUUCGUCAGUGUAGCCCCGCUCAUAGGUCGUGUGGCGGAUGGACUCGCAAACGUAGUAUCCACAGAAAUCAUUCCUUUGUUCCUGCCACAACCACUUUAUAAGAAAUAGAGGUCAAUCAAACUGAUAAGCAAGAAUGCCAAAUGGUAUUGAUGAAACUUGUCAGGACCCCGAUUCCAAGCCACAUCGAUCUAGCCGGUAACACCUCAUAUCACUUUGCGGCCUCACGCACGAUAUUCCACGGGUGUCGCCUUACCAUGGCCCGGGACCGUUUGCGCCUUUUGGCUCACGUAUAUGAUAGUGUUGCUAGCAUCCAUAUGACAGAGAACCCGGGCCGACAUGGCUAGUCGUGAACCCAAAGUGGCACAGACCUAUGGAGACAGGCAUACAUGAAUCACAUCGAGCAUGUCGGUCAUCAGUGUGUGAUUCCGGGCUGUAGCACUGGGCUAACAGGACUCCGGGGAACCCGGGCUGUAGCAGGCUAGGCAGGACUCCGGAAGUCACCGCGUGACAUUUACCCGAAGGGACAGACAUAGGAACGAAGUGAAUCACAUGCCGGCAAGUCAAGUGUCCUGAGCAGUAGUACUGGGCUAGCAGGACUCCGGUGAACCGGGCUGUAGCGGACUACUAUGGCUCGAGGAACACUAGACUACAUUUCCCCAUAAGAAAGGCUGCCAAGGAUAAACAACUAGAUUGUCGGAUCCCACUCAUACCAAGCAUUUCAAUCAUACACACAAUAUGCCCGAUAUGAGUACAUACAACAUGGCAUCACAACAAAACUCUACAACUCAAGUACUUUAUUUAAAGGCUCUAGAGAGCCAUACAUAACAUGUUCAUACAGAUAGGGGUCACAUGACCCGACACUCAAGUCAUACAAUCAUACAAGCACAUGCGGAAGCAACCGGUCUGAGUACAGACACUAGAAAGAAAGAAGGCUCCUCGAGGCCUGUCUAUCUACAUAGGGCCCUCCAUGGCCAGGAUCACCACCUGGGUGGCUAGUCACUCGUCGAUGUCAAGGUCUACAUAGAACCCAUCGAAGGGGGCUGUGUUGUCGUCUGAAAACAGUAAUUAAGCAAACAUGAGUACAAAGGUACUCAGCAAGUCUUACAAAAGAACCUACUAUACAUGCUUAUUCUCAAGAAGGUGGUGGGGAUAUUGCAGCAAGCCAGUUUUCACUCUUGGCUAAACUAUCCUACAGAACUUCUCUAGUAAAAUAGUUUUCGCACACGAGUCCACUACUCACCAACACAAUACUCCACCGGGGAUCCUCCCUCGUCAUCCUAUGAGAGGGCCAUCCUCGGUACUCACACUUAUCUUGACUAUUUUAGUAGUAUCCAUUUAAUUGUCUAUGAACUGUAUAGGCAACCAAGUAGUCCUUUACCGCGGACGCGGCUAUUCGAAUAGUUUUAUACCCUGCAGGGGUGUACUUCGUCAUACAUGCUUUCACCACUUAUCGUCGUUUACACGACAUGUACUCGGCAACCUUCAAGCGAAAGCCCAGCGAGGGUGUCGGCCACGGCCUACCUAAACACUUAAGUCUCUAGUCCAGGUUUAUCGCCUAUCUAGGUUCCAUCCGCAGGGAGUCCGGGCGAGGUUUCCACAUACGGCCCCGAACGAUGUGAACAGGGUCCCGAGACGCCAAACGGGCGCCCGGCAUACCCGGCCAUGGUGUAUCUACCGCAACAUAGCCCACCCUUAGGGUCAGCGCUACGCACGGCCGCCAACACAUAACCUACAAACACCAGAAACUAUUUGCAACUCCUAGACAGAGUACAAGGGUGAUUAAGAAGCCGAGAGGGUCAAUUAAGGAUCCCAAUGCAUGGUAGUAGCUGAAUCUUAAAUCACACAUACCGAUCUCAGUUCUUAGGGACGGUCUCAAUGAAACAACCCACCAUGUACUCCUACAUGGCCUCUCAUCGAUACCUUUACCAAAACAUGUUCAACACAUUCCUCAUAUUACCGACAUAAUCAUAUCACCCUAGCCCAUCACCCAGAUGAACCAGACCUGACACAACUAUAAGCAUAGCAGGCAUAGCAAGGUAGGAAUCACAUACAUGGCUCAAUCAACUCCUACACAUGCUAGUGGGUUUCAUCUAGUUACUGUGGCAAUGACAGGUCAUGCAGAGGAUAAGGGUUCAACUAUCGUAGCACACAGCAGUUUGAAUCACAUUGUCUUAAUGCAGUAAACAAGAGCAGAGGCAAGAACAUGGGUUGUAUCGGAAUGAUCAAUGGGUUGCUUGACUGAUGGAGUGGUAGUGGGAUACUGCCCUUCAGUUGGAUACUCAUGAAUAUCCUCGGAGGCAGAACCUACCACGAAGAACACAUCGGAACACAAUCAACACAUGAUGAUAUGCAACAAUAUGAUGCAUGCUAUGACAUGGCAAUAUGAAUGUGUCUUGGCCUAAUGCAAGCUAAAAUAGAAAGGGAUGAACUCAUUUGAAUCAAAGAUUCAAAUAUUAGCUCAUUAAACAUGGCCUUAGUAGUGCAUUUCCUUAUUCUGCUUAAACAGCAAGGUAAACUUGUUUUUUCAUGCUUGAAACCAUUACAGAUGGAUAUAUUGAAUUUUUCUGAUAAUUUUUCAUAUAUAAAUUAUUUCAUUUGGAGUUACGGUUGAAUUUCUAUGAUUUUUAGAAGUUUCAAACAUUUUCUGGAAUUUCUUGAAUAAAAAUAAAUCCAGAAAAUGCAUUACUGCGUCAGCAUUGCAUCAUGCUGACCUCCGCAGGUCAAAGGCACCAGCCUAGGUCAAACCUGACUGGUGGGCCCCUUCUGUCAGUCUCUCAGUUAAAUAACAGGAUUAGAUUAACACUAAUUAGCUGUCAGUGGGGCCUGGGCCCACAUGUCACUGACUGAUUAAAAUAAAAUUAGUUAAAACUAAUCCUAGAUUAGUUAGCAAACCGGCCCCACCUGUCAUAGACUUAGGGGGGGUCUACCUGGGCCCACCCAGGGUCAAACUGGGUCAAACUCGCCGGCGCAGCUCGGAAAACGCCUACAGGGCACGAGCGAGGCCGUUCUUGGGCUCAUUGGAGAGCUCUUGCAGUCGCGCAUCUAGUGGCGGUGGUGGCCGGAGACGACGACGGCGAGCUCCAAGGCGGCGGCCGGAGUUCGGCCAUGUGCGGGGUGUCGGCUGUGGCGUGCAAACGUGGAAACUGAGGCACUAGCGAGGCACUACGCGAUGCGGCAAGCACGUUGCAUAGCACGGGAUAAUCAAAUGGUUGCCGGAGCGGCACCGGUGACAAGCUCGAGCGGAGACGAGCUUCGGCCAUGGUGGAACUAUGGCCUAGAGGGUGCAAACGCGUGGAAAAGAAGAGGGGAAAGGUGGCGGAGCUCACAGGGAGGUCGAUGAGCAGCUCAGUGGGCUCGGGGGCGACAGAAGUGAGGCGAAUCGAUGAGCAGCGUCCGGCGGGUACCGAGGUUGAAGACGAUCCGAUGGCGGCGAUGCAGGGCCUCCGGCGAUGCGUGGCUCGGUGGGAAGGGCGAGGGGGUGACGGAGGGCGCGACUACGGCGGUGAGACGGCGACGGGUGCGUCGGCCAUCGCGGGAGAGGGAGAGGGAGAUGAGUGGGAGAGUGAGAGAGGAUGAGAGGGGGACGUGGGGGUCGCGUGGCAUUCCCUGGACGUCUCCCGGCAUCGGCGGAAGCAGGAGGUGGCCGGCGUGUGGCCGCGGGCGCCGGCCACGCGCUCUGCGUCCUUCUGGCGCGAGGAGGACGACGACUGGCAGCGCCAGUAGGCUGGGCCGAGCCAGGUGGGCUGGCCAGCACAGGUAAGGCUCAGGUGGGCUUCUCCCUCUUUUUUUUAAUUUGUUUCUGUUUUCUAUUUAACUGUAAAUGUUGGGCUUUAUUUAAAAUACUAAAACAUUUCCAAAAAUCCUGAAAAUAAUUGUGGGCUCUGUUUGGAUUAUUUCCAAUAGCAAACAUUUAUUUGCAGAAUUAUUUGAGCAUUUAAAUGCCCAAAUUCAAAUACUUAUGAUUUAAAUCAAUGACCUUCUGUUGACCUAGAAAAGUUGUGCACCAAUUUUGCCAGAGGUUCUAACCCAAGACAAAGAGGGUGAACUUUUUAGAAGGGCAUUUCAGGUUCAUUGAAAAUAAUUUUAGUAAUCCCUAGUUGUUUCCAGGGGGGUGUUGGGGGUUUCUGCCUUCCCCAAUUCAAAUUUAAGAGGAAUUUAAACAUGAUGCACAUUCUAAUGCUUGAACUAGCUAGGGUGUGACAACUCACCCCCACUCAAAAGAAUCUCGUCCCGAGAUUUAGGAUCCUCUGGAAAGAAGGUGGGGUACUCGAGUCGAAGACGAUCCUCCCUUUCCCAAGUGGCUUCUUUCUCGGAAUGGUGUGUCCAUUGAACCUUGAGAAACUUGAUAUUAUGACGUCGAGUGGUACACUCGGCUUGAUCAAGGAUACGAACGGGAUAUUCCCGAUAAGAGAGGUUAUCUUGUAGAUCAAGCAUUUCGUGGUCCACUCCACGGAUAGGAUCCGCGAAGCAACGCCUGAGUUGUGAAACGUGGAAGACAUCAUGAACUCUGGAAAGAUGCGGAGGUAGUUCCAAUUGGUAGGCAACUUCUCCUCGUUUGGCAAGAAUGCGAAAGGGUCCAAUGUAACGAGGAGCCAAUUUGCCUUUGAUACCGAAAUGAUGGGUUCCUUUUAAUGGGGUAACCCGAAGGUAAGCCUUCUCGUCGAUUCAUAAGUCAUAGGCUUAUGUUUACGAUCAUAUUGACUCUUUUGACGAGAUUGGGCUGUUUUCAAUUUCUCACGAAUAACGCGAACCUGCUCUUCCGCUUCCUGAAUCAUAUCCGGGCCAAAGAGUUGUCUUUCCCCGGUUUCUGACCAGUUAAGAGGCGUUCGACAUUUUCGUCCAUAGAGAACUUCGAAAGGAGCUUUGCCCAAGCUAGCUUGAUAACUAUUGUUAUAAGCAAACUAUGCGAAUGGGAAGCAUUUCUCCCAACUCAUUCCGAAUGAGAUAACAGAAGCUCGGAGCAUAUCUUCUAGAAUUUGAUUGACUCGCUCUACUUGACCACUUGAUUGAGGAUGGAAGGCGGUACUAAAAGAGAGACGAGUUCCCAUAGCAUUUUGGAAACUUUCCCAAAAUCGAGAGGUGAAGAGACUCCCACGGUCUGAGUUAAUUUCCAAUGGGACACCAUGGAGAGACACUAUUCGGGAGAUGUAUAAAUCGGCUAGCUGGCUAGCAGUGAUACUCGCACGAACAGGUAGGAAAUGGGCUACUUUGGAAAGACGGUCGAUCACGACGAAGAUGGCAUUAUUCCCUCUCUUGUUCCUGGGAAACCCAGUAAUGAAAUCCAUACUGAUUUUAUCCCAUUUCCAUUCAGGAAUAGCCAAAGGUUGAAGGGUGCCAGCAGGCCGUUGAUGCCCUGCUUUAACACGAUGACAGACGUCGCAGCUAGCAAUGUAUCGAGCGAUUUCUCUCUUCAUCCUAGUACAUCAAAACCUCUGGCGUAGGUCUUGAUACAUUUUAUUGCUACCGGGAUGAAUGGUGAGAGGGGAUUCAUGAGCUUCCUUAAGGAUCAAUUGGCGUAGAUGUUGUUUCUUGGGAACCACCAAACGGUUCUCAAAGAAGACAGCACCCCGCUUAUCCAUGGAAAAACAUUUAGCAACUCCGCUAGCAAUGUUUUCCUUAAUCCGGGAUAUGCCCUUAUCAUACCGCUGGGCAGUUAUGAUCUGAUCCAUAAGGUUAGGUUUCGCCACCAGGGUGGAUAGGAAUCCUCGAGGAACAAUGUGAAGAUUAAGCUUACGGAAUUCCUCAUGGAGAAGUGGUUGACUUUGUUGUAACAUCAGGUUGUUACAAUAGGAUUUACGGCGUAGUGCAGCAGCCAUGACAUUGGCUUUGCCCGGUGUGUAGGUUAUUCCUAAGUCGUAAUCCGAGAUCAACUCAACCCAACGUCUUUGCCUGAGAUUCAAAUCUGGUUGGGUGAAGAUAUAUUUCAAGCUUUGGUGAUCGGUGAAGAUCUCGCAACGAUUAAGUGCAUGGACUACAGCUGCCAGCUCUAGAUCAUGUGUGGGAUAAUUUUCCUCAUGUGGGUGUAAUUGCCGUGAAGCGUAGGCAAUUACCUGACGAUCUUGCAUGAGUAUGCAACCUAGUCCUUGUCGCGAGGCGUCACAAUAGAUAAUAAAGUCCUUGGAUAAAUCAGGUGGUACCAGUACGGGAGCAGAUGUCAGGCGUCUUUUCAGUUCCUAAAAGCUGAACUCGCACUGUGGAGUCUACUCGAACUUUUUAUCUUUCUUGAGGAGUUUAGUUAGAGGUUUAGCAACCUUGGAGAAAUUCUCGACGAAGCGGCGGCAAUAGCUCGCUAAGCCAAGGAAGCUCCAAACUUGCUUGACCGUCUCAGGUGGAGUCUAAUCAAGGACGGCUUGAACUCGCUCGGGAUUGACGGCAAUACCCUUACCAGAGAUUACAUGGCCUAGAUAGGUUACUUCUGGCAACCAAAAUUCACACUUGGAGAAUUUGGCAUAAAGGCGAUGCUCUCGAAGUUUCAUCAAUACCAGCCUUAGAUGUUCGGCAUGUUCCUCUUCAUUCUUGGAGUAGAUUAGUAUGUCAUUGAGGUAUACUACGAUGAAUUUAUCCAAGUACUCCAUGAAAACCGAGUUCAUUAGCCGGGAGAAGGUAGCCGGGGCAUUGGUUAAACCGAAGGACAUAACGGUGUACUCGUAUUGGCCAUAACGAGUAACAAAGGCCGUUUUGGGAAUGUCCCCGUUUCUGAUUUAGAUUUGAUGGUAGCCCAACCUCAAAUCCAUCUUGGAAAAGACUGAGGAUCCAGCAAACUAAUCAUACAGAUCAUUGAUCCUGGGAAGUGGGUAUUUGUUCUUGAUGGUGACCAAGUUGAUAGGUCGGUAAUCCACAACCAUUCGAUCUGUUCCAUCCUUCUUGACGAAGAGGACGGGGCAAGCCCAAGGAGAGGAACUAGGACGGAUGAAACCCUUUUUCAAGGACUCAUCGAGUUGGUUCUCAAGCUCGGCUAGUUCUAAGGGUGCCAUCUUGUAGGGUCUUCUAGAAAUUAGAAUGGUUCCUGGAACAAGGUCUAUCACAAACUCGACAUCCCUGUCAGGUGGAACACCUGGCAGUUCUUCUGGAAAGGCAUCCGGAAAGUCUCGGACUACCGGAACAUCCUCAAGGUCUGGAAGGGGGUUGGCAUUUAGGGAGUAAAGUUGGCACUUGGCCACUCGAGUUAAGACAUUAACUGUCUUGCCCGAUGGGUGAGUAAGUUGAACGGUUCUAGUGGCACAGUCAAUCUUAGCAUAAUGAGCUGACAUCCAGUCCAUACCUAAGAUGAUGUUUAUGUCCGAGGACUUGAGAGCUAUUAAGGAUGCAAGGAAGACAAGUCUAUCGACAAGAAUUUCGUUCCCAUGGCUUACUCUAGAAGUUUGCCAUCUAGAGCCAGGGGUUUGAAUUUCCAUGGUAGAGGGCAUGUCACAGAAUGUCGUGUUGUGCAAUCGAGCAUAGUUCUCGGAUAUGAAUGAAUGAUAUGCUCCAGUAUCGAAAAGAACAGAUGCCGGAUGGCAGUUAACAAGGAGCGUACCAAGGACGACGUUGGGAUCCUCAUGAGCCUCCUCGGCUGAAACAUAGUUGACAUGGCCACGUGCAGUGGUGGCUGGCUUAGCGUAGAAUGUUUUUCCCGCGGGCUUACCACGGCCAACGGACUUUCCAGUUUGAUUGGGGUUGUUGUUCUGGGGACACUCUCGGCUAUAGUGACCCGGCUCUCCACACUUAAAGCAUGUCACCACAUUGGGGCGUGGAGCAGCAUUAGCAGCGGGGCCACCAUAGGGCUUGGGCGGUGCAAAUUGCUGGUUGGGACGUGGUGCCUCAAAGGAUGGCCUCGGGAUGAACCUGGGUGGCAGUGCCGUGCUUGGAAUCCACACCCGGCGCUUCUGAGCUCCAGAGCCGAUGAAGAGCCAAAAUCACGGGAGUGCUUGCGUGAAGUGUCAUAAUCAGUCUGGCCUUUCUCAGCACUGAUGGCUUUAUGGACCAACUUCUAAAAGGAGGUGCACUUGUGCAGACGAAGACCACGGUGAAGCUCAGGGCUAAGUCCCUUGCGGAACCUUGCCUGCUUCUUAGCAUCAGUAGAUACCUCUUCAGGGGCAUAACGUGCCAGAUUCCCAAAUUCACGACUGUAAGCAUCCACAGUCAGUCUUCCUUGGGUGAAGUUGCAGAACUCCUCCCUCUUGCGAUCCAUGAGACCUUCCGGAAUGUGAUGCUCACGGAAAGCCUCACUGAAUUCAGCCCAAGUAGUGAUUUGGCCGACCGGGCGCAUAGCUUCGAAGUUUUCCCACCAAAGGCUAGCAGGGCCUUUGAGGUGAUAGGCAGCAUAAGUAACCUUGUCGGCUUUGGCUACGUUGGCAGAACGUAGCUUGUGGGUGAUGCUGUGAAGCCAGUCAUCCACGUCGAGGGGCUCGACGGAAUGGUUAAACUUUGGUGGGUACAUCUUGAUAAAGUCAUUGAUUGACACCAACUCAUUUCGCGGGUGGCGUGCAGUGUUCUGCUCAAUCCGCUCCAGCAGGCGGUUGGUCUCACGCUUCUUUCUUUCUGCCUCCAGCAUUACUUCGGCCAGAGAAGGCGGGUGAGGCAGAUUUUCACCUCUAGCAGCACUGGCUUCCCCCUGCUCCGGGGCAACAGGGUUGCUGCGAGUAUUGACCAUCCUAGGAGAAAACAAGACAACGGUUUAGACAAGGAUGGCUCAAACUGAGCAAGGAUGUGCAGAAUGUAAUGGAUAACACGGAACACAGAGAUGUUCAUCCGUAUGUCAUGGUAAUAUAAAACUGCCAUAUAUAUACCAACGGUCAUACACAUCACACAUAGUUUAGUACAAGCCCAGGCUACAGUACAACUAUGAUGAAAGACGUUACAUCUCAUCGGAGGCAUUCCAAGCUCCUAUACAUUAUUGUCUACACCUUCGGAAUUGAUUACACGCAAAGUCAUAUUCCAAAAGUCACGCAGGACAGUGGAGAUACAACUACUACAAUACUAGUGGUACUACUACUAACUCAGACAGCUCCGUACUAGUCCUCAUAGAAGUCACCUCCAUAGCCUGGAAGUUCAACGUGACCAUCCGGGAACAGACGGUCCUGAGGAGCCUGUGGACCAUAGGGGCUUGGAUGGGGUCUUGGACCAACAAACGGUGGCCUGCGGGGACCACAGGGUGGGGUGAUGCCUCCCACAUCACGCCAAUCCACCACGUCUGGCAAAGCAGACCUCACAGGAUACAAAUCCCUUGUAUCCAUACAUCCAGCUUGCACCACAGGUGCAAACCGAGUCAAUGUGGCCCAAUGAUCAGCACGGGUAUUAAAAAGCUCCAGCCUCAAGGCCUGAUUCUCUCGGUCCUUAUAUUCGAGCAUCUCGGCAGUGGUACGAGUUAAUGAAUCCUCCUGAGUGGAGUCAGCAUAGAUAGCCUGAAGAUACCCUUGCGCUCCCGGAAGUGAAGCUAGCAUGUAUCGGAAGUCGGUGUUCCGAAGCAGGCCAGUCCGGACUCGCAUGAUUGUCAUCAUGGAAUAGGCAGCAUCCUGCACAGCCAUCUCAACAGUAACCCCGAGUCCAUAGGAACAGUGAAGGGGCUCGGUAGAUCCAGGAUAAGAAGGAAAUAUCUUGACGGUGCAGAAAUACUGGCUUUGAUUAAAGUCUCAGAAUUGCUCUUCGACGGUGUAUUCGGGAUACCAACGGUAACCCGUCUCGAUCAUGACCCGGACUAACAUAGCAGUAUGACCGGGCACGUCGAGCCACCGGGUCAGGCGAACCACUUUGUUUUGAGCACGGUUGGGCAUCUGAAAGCACAACCACAAUGCAAAGACAUCAGAAUUUCUAGGGAAAAUUGGACAGCAUAACAGCUGUAAAUGCUCAGAAAAAGAUUUGAGACAUCCACAACAGUUCGCAAUACCACUCAACAACAUCAUAUCAAGGUUCUGAUCCAAAUAGCAGCAUACUAAAAAUAGUAGAAACUGAACUGGGGCUUGUAACAACAAUCCUAUAAGCUACUACGGAUUAGUAACACGUGAACCUGAUAGAAGAAGAGAGACUAGUCCUUAACCCACAUUGAAUGAAAAGGGAAUGACUCAGAUAAGAGGCAUAGGGUAAAGGAGUAAAAGAGCCUUACGUUCCCUCCCACAAUCAAUUCCCCUACAUAUAACUAAAGCAUUUCCAGACUCGACAUCGACCAGUUUGGCUCAACGAACCUACAGGCAGUCCGGCACUGAUGCCAACGCUGUCAGGACCCCGAUUCCAAGACACAUCGAUCUAGCUGGUAACACCUCAUAUCACUUUGCGGCCUCACGCACGAUAUUCCACGGGUGUCGCCUUACCAUGGCCCGGGACCGUUUGCGCCUUUUGGCUCACGUAUAUGAUAGUGUCGCUAGCAUCCAUAUGAUAGAGAACCCGGGCCGACAUGGCUAGUCGUGAACCCAAAGAGGCACAGACCUAUGGAGACAGGCAUACAUGAAUCACAUCGAGCAUGUCGGUCAUCAGCGAGUGAUUCCGGGCUGUAGCACUGGGCUAACAGGACUCCGGGGAACCCGGGCUGUAGCAGGCUAGGCAGGACUCCGGAAGUCACCGCGUAACAUUUCCCCGAAGGGACAGACAUAGGAAUGAAGUGAAUCACAUGCCGGCAAGUCAAGUGUCCUGAGCUGUAGUGCUGGGCUAGCAGGACUCUGGUGAACCGGGCUGUAGCGGACUACUAUGGCUCAAGGAACACUAGACUACAUUUCCCCAUAAGAAAGGCUGCCAAGGAUAAACAACUAGAUUGCCGGAUCCCACUCAUACCAAGCAUUUCAAUCAUACACGCAAUAUGUCCGAUAUGAGUACAUACAACAUGGCAUCACAACAAAACUCUACAACUCAAGUACUUUAUUUAAAGGCUCUAGAGAGCCAUACAUAACAGGUUCAUACAGAUAGGGGUCACAUGACCCGACACUCAAGUCAUACAAUCAUACAAGCACAUGCGGAAGCAACCGGUCUGAGUACAGACACUAGAAAGAAAGAAGGCUCCUCGAGGCCUGUCUAUCUACAUAGGGCCCUCCAUGGCCAGGAUCACCACCUGGGUGGCUACUUACUCGUCGACGUCAAGGUCUACAUAGAACCCAUCGGAGGGGGCGGUGUUGUCGUCUGAAAACAGUAAUUAAGCAAACAUGAGUACAAAGGUACUCAGCAAGUCUUACAACAGAACCUAGUAUACAUGCUUAUACUCAAGAAGGUGGUGGGGAUAUUGCAGCAAGCCAGCUUUGACUCUUGGCUAAACUAUCCUACGGAACUUCUCUAGUAAAAUAGUUUUCGCACACGAGUCCACUACUCGCCAACACAAUACUCCACAGGGGAUCCUCCCUCGUCAUCCUAUGAGAGGGCCAUCCUCGGUACUCACACUUAUCUUGAGUAUUUUAGUAGUAUCCAUUUACUUGUCUAUGAACUGUAUAGGAAACCAAGUAGUCAUACACGCUAUUCGGAUAGUUUUAUACCCUGCAGGGGUGUACUUCGUCAUACACGCUUUCACCACUUAUCGCCGUUUACAUGACAUGUACUCGGCAACCUUCAAGCGGAAGCCCAGCGAGGGUGUCGGCCACGGCCUACCUAAACACUUAAGUCUCUAGUCCAGGUUUAUCGCCUAUCCAGGUUCCAUCCACAGGGAGUCCGGCCGAGGUUUCCACAUACGGCCCCGAACGAAGUGAACAUGGUUUCGAGACGCCAAACGGGCGCCCGGCAUACCCGGCCACGGUGUAUCUACCGCAACAUAGCCCACCCCUAGGGUCAGCGCUAUGCACGGCCGCCAACACAUAACCUACAAACACCAGAAACUAUUUGCAACUCCUGGACAGAGUACAAGGGUGAUUAAGAAGUCGAGAUGGUCAAUUAAGGAUCCCAAUGCAUGGUAGUAGUGAAUCUUAAAUCGCACAUACAGAUCUCAGUUCUUAGGGACGGUCUCAAUGAAACAACCCACCAUGUACUCCUACAUGGCCUCUCAUCGAUAUCUUUACCAAAACAUGUUCAACACAUUCCUCAUAUUACCGACAUAAUCAUAUCACCCUAGCCCAUCACCCAGAUGAACCAGACCUGACACAACUCUAAGCAUAGCAGGCAUAGCAAGGUAGGAAUUAUAUACAUGGCUCAAUCAACUCCUACACAUGCUAGUGGGUUUCAUCUAGUUACUGUGGCAAUGACAGGUCAUGCAGAGGAUAAGGGUUCAACUACUGUAGCACACAGCAGUUUGAAUCACGUUGUCUUAAUGCAGUAAACAAGAGCACAGGCGAGAACAUGGGUUGUAUCGGAAUGAUCAAUGGGUUGCUUGCUUGAUGGAGUGGUAGUGGAAUACUGCCCUUCAGUGGGAUACUCGUGAAUAUCCUCGGAGCCAGAACCUACCACGAAGAACACAUCGGAACACAAUCAACACAUGACGAUAUGCAACAAUAUGAUGCAUGCUAUGACGUAUCUUGGCCUAAUGCAAGCUAAAAUAGAAAGGGAUGAACUCAUUUGAAUCAAAAAUUCAAAUAUUAGCUCAUUAAACAUGACCUUAGUAGUGCAUUUCCUUAUUCUGCUUAAACAGCAAGGUAAACUUGUUUUGUCAUGCAUGAAACCAUUACAGAUGGAUAGAUUGAAUUUUUCUGAUAAUUUUUCAUAUAUAAAUUAUUUCAUUUGGAGUUACGGUUGAAUCUCUAUGAUUUUUAGAAGUUUUAAACAUUUUCUGGAAAUUACUGAAUAAAAAUAAAUCCAAAAAAUGCAUUACGGCGUCAGCAUUGUGUCAUGCUGACCUCAGCAGGUCAAAGGCGCCAGCCCAGGUCAAACCUGACUGGUGGGCCCCUUCUGUCAGUCUCUCAGUUAAAUAACAGGAUUAGAUUAACACUAAUUAACUGUCAGUGGGGCCUGGGCCCACAUGUCAGUGACUGAUUAAAAUAAAAUUAGUUAAAACUAAUCCUAGAUUAGUUAGCAGACCGGCCCCACCUGUCAUAGACUCAGGGGGGUCUACCUGGGCCCACCCAGGGUCAAACUGGGUCAAACUCGCCGGCGUUGAGCCGCCGGCGAGACCCGAGACAGUGGCGCAGCUCGGAAAACGCCUACAGGGCACGAGCGAGGCCGUUCUUGGGCUCGUUGGAGAGCUCUUGCAGUCGCGCAUCUAGUGCUGGUGGUGGCCGGGCCUACGGUGGCCGGAGACGACGACGGCGAGCUCCAAGGCGGCGGCCGGAGUUCGGCCAUGUGCGGGGUGUGGGCUGCGGCGUGCAAACGUGGAAACUGAGGCGCUAGCGAGGCACUACGUGAUGCGGCAAGCACGUUGCGUAGCACGGGAUGACCAAAUGGUCGCCGGAGCGGCGCUGACGACAAGCUCGAGCGGAGACGAGCUUCGGCCAUGGUGAAACUAUGGCCUAGAGGGUGCAAACGCGUGGAAAAGAAGAGGGGAAAGGUGGCGGAGCUCACAGGGAGGUCGAUGAGCAGCUCAGUGGGCUCGGGGCGACCGGAGUGAGGCGAAUCGACGAGCGGCGUCCGGCGGGUACCGAGGUUGAAGACAAUCCGAUGGCGGCGAUGCAGGGCCUUCGGCGAUGCGUGGCUCGGUGGGGAGGGCGAGGGCGUUACGGCGGAGCUUCUGGACAGGUCAGAGAGGCGAGGUGGUGAUGGAGGGCGCGACUAUGAUGGUGAGACGGCGAUUAAAAAGAAAGAUCUGGUUCACUCGUACGUGAAAAAAGUAGCAAGCGCUCGAUGCCUUCCUUUGCAUCGAUGCCAGACGCGGUGCUGGGAAUCGACAAGAUAACCGCCAAUCUACCACGAUUAAAUUCCUAGCGCCUCCUUCUAGCGCCUCCCACUGAAAAUGCCCUAAAGGUUUUGGAGGGAUUUUUUUACUGUGUCCUACUUCACGAAUCACGAGGCAAAUCAAGUAGCCGGCAUGGCCUGGCCGGUGAGUGCCAUUGCACUUACUUGCCCCAGCAAUUUUCCGCGUGCAUUGUAGAAUUCUUUCUCCGAGUCCUGUGAAUUAAAGAUGGUGCAGACAAAAAUAUAUCCUAUAUGCGUACAUGUGCAUGAUCAGAACAUGUUUUUACGUGCGUCUACUAUAAAUCAUGACCAUUUUUAACACAAAUCAUGACCAUUCAUGAUUAGUGAAUCAUACUGUCUUAACUUAUGUGAAAUCAUGUGGAGUAAUAUAAUAUAAUAUAAUAAAUAGAUAGAUCCAUGUUGUAUUAUUUUUUGUUUACAAAAAAUAUCUGUCAUUACACAUUUUGAUUUAUGCAUUUGUUUACAAAAAAAACAGUAACAUUUCAUGGUGGAAAGUUUGUAUUGUUUCAUACUGAACACCAAUGUUUUCCUGUAAAAGAAAAUAAUGCCUACGCAUAUGCUUUUAUAUUAUUAUUAUUCUUUCAAACUUAUUCAUACAGUAUUUUUGAUUGUGCAACCAUAAUUUUUAUUGUCUCUCUCGUUCCACUACAUGCUCUUACUCAAUGAUUUUUUUAUAACGGGUGUUUUUAUUAACUCAAAAUAUAGUAUCAAGCGGAUACAAAACAUAAUGAGCCACACCUGGUCUCUGCAUAACUAAGAUGCACACAGCCAAAAGCAGAUGUCUGACAAAAAUAAGAUAAGAAAAUCGACAUAUCGACAACAGUGAGUCAUAUAGUCCCGACACUAUGCCCCCGUUGAAGGACGGGGUGGAGCGAUCUGGAGAUUAUGCUGCCCUCCAUGUUGAGUAAAUACCUCCCUGGCCACUUGUUCCAAACGCAUAGACGCCGCCACGAAUAAUGGUCGGUACUCUGUUCAGUGUAGCAUACACCAUGUAGGAAGUGAGUGCUCACUCCUAGUUACUAAAUUAUGUACACACUAGUAGAAAAAGGGCCAUUUGUCCCGGUUCGUAAGGCCCAUUUGUCCCAAUUGGGGAACCGGGACUAAAGGGUCGGUACUAAAGCCCUACACCUUUAGUCCCGGUUCUUACACCAACCGAGACAGAUGGGGCUCCACGUGGCCGCUACAGCUUGCCGUGGCAGGGGGGCCUUUUGUCCCGGUUGGUAGCACCAACCGGGACCAAUAAGCUACCACGCGUCCGCAUUUGAGGGGCUAGGGUUUUUGUUUUUUUUCUGAAGGGGGGGGGGUGGGUUUGUAUGGUUAAUUUUGGGGGGUUUCACAUAUUGUGUUAGGUAGCUAAUUAAUUAAUAGAGAGAAGUGUCCUCACUUAUCUCCGUGCUUGGUCGACGCUACGUACUAUACGUAUAGAGAGGCCCUCAACACGCUAGCCAGUAAGCAAAUGAAGUAAACCAUUAAGUACAGAAGUUCGUCAUGAACAUAUGCAUACAAACAUAAGUGAUAUCGACCUCUCCUUCUCCGAGAGAUAGGUCGAACAACAAGUUUCCGUAUAUCUAUCCGGCGCUACUAGCUACAUAUAUACAAUAUUAAGAUCUCUUACAAUAUAAUCCCCUAAUUAUAUAUGAACUCAGCUUCCAGAUGGUAUUCUCCGGCUUUAUUGAUGGCGUGGUCAAGAAAGAUUCCCUCCAAUUCCUCUUGAAUUGCUUUGAUGCGAUCUUGUGGUAGGAGUUCAUCUCGCAUCUGCCACAUCUAAUUUGAAGAAGGGGGUCAAUCACCAGUAGAAUAACAACCAUUUGUCCUGGUUCAUAAGGUUAAUUUGUCCCGGUUGGGGAACCGAGACUAAAGGGUCUUUACUAAAGCCCUACACCUUUAGUCCUGGUUCUUACACCAACUGGGACAGAUGGGCCUCCAUGUGGCUGCUGCGGCGAGCCCAGGCCGGAGGUCCUUUGGUCCCGGUUAGUGGCACUGAUACGUCUCCAACGUAUCUAUAAUUUUUGAUUGCUCCAUGCUAUUAUGUUAUCUAUUUUGGAUGUUAAUGGCUUUAUUUUACACCUUUAUAUCAUUUUUGGGACUAACCUACUAAUCGGAGGCCCAACCCAAAUUGUUGUUUUCUACCUAUUUUAGGUUUUCGAAGAAAAGGAAUAUCAAACGGAGUCCAAACGGAAUGAAACCUUCGAGAACGUGAUUUUCUCAAUGAACAUGAUUCAGGAGAAUUGGAGUGUGCUCCAAGAAACAAGGGAGGAAGGCACGAGGCAGGGGGCGCGCCUACCCCCUUGGGCGCGCCCUCCACCCUCGUGGGCCCUCCGCUGCUCCACCGACGUACUUCUUCCUCCUAUAUAUAUCCACGUACCCCCAAACAUCCAGGAGCACCACGAAAACCUAAUUCCACCGCUGCAACCUUCUGUACCCGAGAGAUCCCAUCUUGGGGCCUUUUCCGGAGGUCCACCGGAGGGGGCAUCGAUCAUGGAGGGCCUCUACAUCAACUCCAUGGCCUCUCCGGUGAUGUGUGAGUAGUUUACUUCAGACCUAGGGGUCUAUAGUUAUUAGCUAGAUGGCUUCUUCUUCUCUCUUUGGAUCUCAAUACAAAGUUCUCCUCGAUUUUCUUGGAGAUCUAUUUGAUGUAACCUUCUUUUGCGGUGUGUUUGUCGAGAUCCGAUGAAUUGUGGGUUUGUGAUCCAGAUUAUCUAUGAACAAUAUUUGAUUCUCCUAUGAAUUCUAGUAUGUAUGAUUGGUUUAUCUUUGCAAGUCUCUUCGAAUUAUCAGUUUGGUUUGGCCUACUAGAUUGAUUUCUUGCAAUGGGAGAAGUGCUUAGCUUUGGGUUCAAUCUUGCAGUGUUUGAUCCCAGUGACAGAAAGGGAACCGAUACGUAUUGUAUUGUUGCCAUCGAGGAUAAAAAGAUGGGGUUUAUAUCAUAUCGCAUGAGUUUAUCCCUCUACAUCAUGUCAUCUUCCUUAAAGCAUUACUAUGUUCUCUUGAACUUAAUACUCUAGAUGCAUGCUGGAUAGCGGUCCAUGUGUCGAGUAAUAGUAGUAGAUGCAGAAUCGUUUCGGUCUACUUGUCUCGGACGUGAUGCCUAUAUACAUGAUCAUACCUAGAUAUUCUCAUAACUAUGUUCAAUUCUGUACAAUAUGGUGCACGGGGUUACAUCGGCCUGCAAAGACAUUUCUGCGAUGUGAGACAUCCGAAAAGCAACGAAAACGGGAGAUUAUACAUUUAUUGAAGAGGGCAGGUGUGACAGAUACCGUGAGGGCGUCGAGCUCAGCCAAAGACGAUGGACAGCUGAGCACGGCCUGUGUCAGAGCCGGUGCGGGAGCAGGUGCAGGUGCAGGUGCUGGUGCAACGCUAGUCGAGCUGCUCCUGAAGAAGUCAACAAUGGGAAAGUCCGCUGCAUUUUUUCUGCAUUUUGCGUGCUCCAAUUGAAAAUGGCUGGAACCAAGACAGUAGACAUAUCUGCAACCACCUGUUUUCCGGCAGCUACCGCUGUCGCGACUGUCUCAGAUGAUUUCUUCUCAACCGCAAUCUCAACCUUCUUGUCGAUGUUUUAUUCGGUUAACCUCCAUCUUUCCUUUCUCUCCUCCGUGGUCUCACGGUAGUACUUCUUCCACGUGGCCCCGUCUCCGACACCGUGAACGCGUCCAUACGACGACCGAGUCUCCACGGGGAGUCCUUUCAAUAUGUUCAAUGCCCGGUUGAAUGGAGUGUCCCACUUGGGCCUUGCCAAUGCCUCAGACGGCGAGUCGCUUUCGGCCGCAAUCUUAUGCUGCUCUCUCUACAAAAGGAACACGGAUCAUUUACAAAUAUGACUAAACGUGCAGUCGAACUGAUCAGAAACUAAAAUUACCAGCAGUCUCAUGAACUCCGUCGUGAUCGGGUCCGUCUUGAAAACCUUCUUGACUGAGUCCCAAUGGUGUCGUGCCCUGAGGACGUCAUGCUCCUACGGGACGGUGAAGUCCGCCAAGGGGUCUGGGAUGCCAGAUUUUCGCGUUUCGUGUCCUCCUUGGCCCAUAUGGACCUCUUCCUGCCGUAACCACUGCUUCCGAGGUGGUGGCGCCCCAUGUUCCUUUGUGGAAGCCCCUUCAUGUACUUCGACUUUGUUUUGGCAGCUUCGGCCUCGCAAGCCGCCUUGAAUAUUUCAAAGUGUUCUCUAGUGAUUGUCAGAUUAUCCUUUACAAUCUCGGAGUAGGGUUGAUACGUCUCCAACGUAUCUAUUAUUUUUGAUUGCUCCAUGCUAUAUUAUCUACUGUUUUGGACAUUAUUGGGCUUUAUUAUCUACUUUUAUAUUAUUUUUGGGACUAACCUAUUAACCGGAGGCCCAGCCUAGAAUUGUUGUUUUUUGACUGUUUUAGGGUUUCGAAGAAAAGGAAUAUCAAACGGAGUCCAAACGGAAUGAAACCUUCGGGAACGUGAUUUUCUGAAUGAACAAGACCCUGGAGACUUGGACCCUACGUCAAGACACAAAAGAGGAGGACACGAGGUAGGGGGCGCGCCUAACCCCCCCCCCCCCUCGAGGCACGCCCUCCACCCUCGUGGGGCCCCUGUUGCUCCACCGACGUACUCCUUCCUCCUAUAUAUACCUACGUACUUCCAAACGAUCAGAUACGGAGCCAAAACCCUAAUUCCACUGCCGCAACUUUCUGUAUCCACGAGAUCCCAUUUGGUGCCUGUUCCGGAGCUCCGCCGGAGGGGGCAUCGAUCACGGAGGGCUUCUACAUCAACACCAUAGCCUCUCCGAUGAAGUGUGAGUAGUUCACCUCAGACGUACCGGUCCAUAUUUAUUACCUAGAUGGCUUCUUCUCUCUUUUUGGAUCUCAAUACAAUGUUCUCCCCCUCUCUUGUGGAGAACUAUUCGAUGUAAUCUUGUUUUUGCAGUGUGUUUAUUGAGAUUGAUGAAUUGUGGGUUUAUGAUCAAGUCUAUGUAUGAAUAAUAUUUGAAUCUUCUCUAAAUUCUUUUAUGUAUGAUUGUUUAUCUUUGCAAGUCUCUUCGAAUUAUCAGUUUGGUUUGGCCUACUAGAUUGAUCUUUCUUACAAUGGGAGAAGUGCUUAGCUUUGGGUUCAAUCUUGCGGUGUCCUUUCCCAAUGACAGUAGGGGCAGCAAGGCAUGUAUUGUAUUGUUGCCAUCGAGGACAACAAGAUGGGGUUUUCAUCAUAUUGCAUGAGUCUAUCCCUCUACAUCAUGUCAUCUUGCUUAAGGCGUUACUCUGUUUUUAACUUAAUACUCUAGAUGCAUGCUGGAUAGCGGUCGAUGAGUGAAACCUAUGGCCCCCGGGUCUAUCUUUAUCAUAUUAAUCUCCUACUACUUAGUUAUUUCCUUUGCUUUUUCCUUUGCCUUUAUUUUACUUUUGAUCUUUAUCACAAAAAUACCAAACAUAUUAUCUUUAUCAUAUCUAUCAGAUCUCACUCUCGUAAGUGGCUGUGUAGGGAUUGACAACCCCUAUUCGCGUUGGUUGCGAGGAUUUAUUUGUUUUGUGCAAGUACGAGAGACUCGCGCGUAGCCUCCUACUGGAUUGAUACCUUGGUUCUCAAAAACUGAGGGAAAUACUUACACUACUUUGCUGCAUCAUCCUUCCUCUUCGCGGAAAACCAACGUAGUGCUCAAGAGCUGGCAAUAAGGAUUUCUGGCGCCGUUGCCGGGGAGGUCUAAGCAAAAGUCAACAUACCAAGUACCCAUCACAUACCCUUAUCUCCUGCAUUACAUUAUUUUCCAUUUGCCUCUCGUUUUCCUCUCCCCCACUUCACCCUUGCCGUUUUAUUCGCCCUCUCUCUCUCUCUCUAUCCUCCCUCUCUUUCUCUAUUUGCCUCUUUUUUCCCACUUGCUUUCUGUUUGCUUGUGUGUUAGUUGCUUGCUUGUCACGAUGGCUCAAGAUAAUACUAAAUUACGUGACUUCACCAAUACCAACAACAAUGAUUUUAUUAACACUCCGAUUGCUCCUCUUACCGAUGCUGAAUCUUGAGAAAUUAAUACUGCUUUGCUGAAUCUUGUCAUGAAAGAUCUGUUUUUCGGCCUUCCUAGUGAAGAUGCCGCUACCCACCUAAAUAGAUUCGUUGAUUUGUGUGACAUGCAAAAGAAGAAAGGUGUGGAUAAUGAUAUUGUUAAAUUGAAGCUAUUUCCUUUUUCGCUUAGAGAUCGUGCUAAAGCUUGGUUUUCGUCUUUGCCUAAAAAUACUAUUGAUUCAUGGAAUAAGUGCAAAGAUGCUUUUAUCUCUAAGUAUUUUCCUCCUGCUAAGAUCAUCUCUCUUAGAAACGAUAUUAUGAAUUUUAAGCAACUUGAUCAUGAACAUGUUGCACAAGCUUGGGAGAGAAUGAAACUAAUGAUACGUAAUUGCCCUGCCCAUGGUUUAAAUUUGUGGAUGAUUAUACCAAAUUUUUAUGCCGGAUUGAACUUUGCUUCUAGAAAUCUUUUAGAUUAGGCCGCGGGAGGCACUUUUAUGGAAAUCACUUUAGGAGAAGCUACUAAACUCCUAGAUAAUAUUAUGGUUAAUUAUUCUCAACGGCAUACCGAAAGAUCUACUAAUAAAAACGUGCAUGCGAUAGAAGAAAUUAAUGUUUCGAGUGGAAAGAUGGAUGAACUUCUGAAAUUAUUUGCUAAUAAGAGUAUUUCUUCUGAUCCUAAUGAUAUGCCCUUGUCUACUUUGAUUGAGAAUAAUAAUUAAUCUAUGGAUGUGGAUUUUGUUGGUAGGAACAAUUUUGGUAACAACGCGUACAGAGGAAAUUUCAACCCUAGGCCUUAUCCUAGUAAUCUCUCUAAUAAUUAUGGUAAUUCCUACAACAAUUCUUAUGGAAAUUAUAAUAAGAUGCCCUCUGAUUUUGGAUCUAAUAUUAGAGAAUUUAUUACUUUCCAAAAGAAUUUCAAUGCUUUGAUUGAAGAAAAAUUGCUUAAGAUUGAUGAUUUGGCUAGGAACGUUGAUAGAAUUACUCUUGAUGUUGAUUCUUUGAAACUUAGAUCUAUUCCACCUAAGCAUGAUGUCAAUGAGUCUCUCAAAGCCAUGAGAAUUUCCAUUGAUGAGUGCAAAGAAAGAACCACUAGGAUGCGUGUUAAGAAAGAUGCCUUUAUAAGAGCGUGUUCUUCUAAUUCCUAUGAAAAUAAUGAUGAAGAUCAAAAAGUUAUUGAUGUCCUCCCUAUUAAAUCUUUGUUUUGCAAUAUGAAUCUUGAUAAUCAUGGGACUGAAUAUGAUCCACCUUUACCUAGAAGGCGUUCCAAUAAUUCAGAAUUUGUUGAUCUUGAUGCUAAAAUUGAUAAAGGUGGGAUUGAAGAAAUUAAAACCCUAGAUGUUGCUAAACCCACUAUUAUGGAUUUCAAGGAACUUAACUAUGAAAACUGCCCUUUGAUUGAUUGUAUAUCCUUGUUACAAUCCGUGCUAAAUUCUCCUCAUGCUUAUAGUCAAAAUAAAGCAUUUACUAAACAUAUUGUUGAUGCCUUGAUGCAAUCUUAUGAAGAAAAACUUGAAUUGGAAGUUUCUAUCCCUAUAAAGCUUUAUGAUGAGUGGGAACCAACUAUUAAAAUUAAAAUUAAAUAUCAUGAAUGCUAUGCUUUAUGUGAUUUGUGUGCUAGUGUUUCCACGAUUCCAUAGACUUUGUGUGAUUUGUUAGGUUUCCGUGAUUUUGAUGAUUGCUCUUUAAACUUGCACCUUGCGGAUUCCACUAUUAAGAAACCUAUGGGAAGAAUUAAUGAUGUUCUUAUUGUUGCAAAUAGCAAUUAUGUGCCCGUAGAUUUUAUUGUUCUUGACAUAGAUUGCAAUCUUUCAUGUCCUAUUAUUCUUGGUAGACCUUUCCUUAGAACGACUGGUGCAAUUAUUGAUAUGAAGGAAGGAAAUAUUAGAUUCCAAUUUCCAUUAAGGAAAGGCAUGGAACACUUUCCUAGAAAGUAAAUUAAAUUACCUUAUGAAUCUAUUAUGAUAGCCACUUAUGGAUUGCCUACCAAAGAUGGCAAUACCUAGAUCUAUCCUUGCUUGUUAUGCCUAGCUAGGGGCGUUAAACGAUAGCGCUUGUUGGGAGGCAACCCAAUUUUAUUUUUAUUCCUUGAUUUUUUCUCCUGUUUAGUAAUAAAUAAUUUAUAUAGCCUCUGUUUUGGUUCUGUUCUUUGUGUUUAAUUAGUGUUUGUGCCAAGUAGAACCGUUAGGAAGACUUGGGGAAAGUCUUGUUACACUUGCUGUAAAAAACUGAAACUUCAGCGCUCACGAGAACUGCUGCCAUUUUUAUUUGGAAAGUGCUAUGUAGUUAAUUAUUUUUCAGAUGAUUAACAGAUAAAUUCCUCACGUCCAGAAAUUUAUUUUAGAAUUUUUGGGGUUCCAGCUCUUGAGCUAGCUACAGAGUACUACAGGCUGUUCUGUUUUUGAAAGAUUCUGUUUUUCGUGUGUUGUUUGCUUAUUUUGAUGAACCUAUGGCUAGUAAAAUAGUUUAUAUACCAUAGAGAAAUUGGAAUACAGUAGGUAUAACACCAAUAUAAAUAAAUAAUGAGUUCAUUACAGUACCUUGAAGUGGUCUUUUAUUUUCUUUCGCUAACGGAGCUCAUGAGAUUUUCUACUUUAAGUUUUGUGUUGUGAAGUUUUCAAGUUUUGGGUAAAGAUUUGAUGGAUUAUGGAACAAGGAGUGACAAGAGCCUAAGCUUGGGGGUUCCCAUGGCACCCCCAAGAUAAUCUAAGUACACCUAAAAACCAAAGCUUGGGGAUGCGCCGGAAGUCAUCCCCUCUUUCAUCUACUUCUAUCGGUAACUUUACUUGGAGCUAUAUUUUUAUUCGCCACAUGAUAUGUGUUUUGCUUGGAGCGUCUUGUAUUAUUUGAGUCUUUAUUUGUUAGUUUACCACAAUCAUCCUUGCUGUACACACCUUUUGAGAGAGCCAUACAUGAUUUGGAAUUUGUUAGAAUACUCUAUGUGCUUCGCUUAUAUCUUUUGAGUUAUAUAGUUUUGCUCUAGUACUUCACUUAUAUCUUUUAGAGCACGGUGGUGGAUUUGUUUUAUAGAAACAAUUGAUCUCUCAUGCUCCACUUAGAUUAUUUUGAGAUUCUUAAUAGCAUGUUAAUUUGCUUAAAAUCCUAAUAUGCUAGGUAUUCAAAGUUAGUAAAAUUUUCUUAAGAGUGUUUUGAAUACUAAGAGAAGUUUGAUGCUUGAUGAUUGUUUUGAGAUAUGGAGGUAAUAAUAUCAAAGUCGUUCUCGUUGACUAGUUGUGAAAUUGAGAAAUACUUGUGUUGAAGUUUGCAUGUCCCGUAGCACGCACGUAUGGUAAACGUUGUGUAACAAAUUUGAAACAUGAGGUGUUAUUUGAUUGUCUUCCUUGUGAGUGGCGGUCGGGGACGAGCGAUGGUCUUUUCCUACCAAUCGAUCCCCCUAGGAGCAUGCGAAUAGUACCAAGGUUUUUGAUGACUUGUAGAUUUUUGCAGUAAGUAUGUGAGUUCUUUAUGACUAAUGUUGAGUCCAUGAAUUAUACGCACUCUCACCCUUCCAUCCUUGCUAGCCUCUUCGGUACCGUGCAUUGCCCUUUCCCACAUUGAGAGUUGGAGCAAACUUCGCCAGUGCAUCCAAACCCCGUGCUAUGAUACGCUCAUUCACACAUAAACCUCCUUAUAUCUUCCUCAAAACAGCCACCAUACCUACCUAUUAUGGCAUUUCCAUAGCCAUUCCGACAUAUAUUGCCAUGCAACUUUCCACCAUUCCGUUCAUCAUGACACAUUCAUCAUUGUCAUAUUGCGUAGCAUAAUCAUGUAGUUGACAUAGUAUUUGUGGCAAGGCCACCGUUCAUAAUUCAUUCAUACAUGUCACUCUUGGUCCAUUGCAUGUCCCGGUACACCGCCGGAGGCAUUCAUAUAGAGCCAUACUUUGUUCUAGUAUCGAGUAGUAAUUAUUGAGUCGUAAAUAAAUAGAAGUGUGAUGAUCAUCAUUAAUAGAGCAUGGUCCCAAAAAGAAAAAAAAGGAAGGGCCAAAAAAAGGCCAAAUAAAAAAAUAUAAAAAAGGGGGCAAUGCUACUAUCCUUUUUUUCCAAACUUGUGCUUCCAAGUAGCACCGUAAUCUUCAAGAUAGAGAGUCUCUUGAUUUGUCACUUUCAUAUACUAGUGGGAAUUUUUCAUUAUAGAACUUGGCUUGUAUAUUCCAACAAUGGGCGUCCCCAAGUUCCCUAGGUCUUCGUGAGCAAGCAAGUUGGAUGCACACCCACUUAGUUUCUUUUGUUGAGCUUUCAUACAUUUAUAGCUCUAGUGCAUCCGUUGCAUGGCAAUUCCUACUCCUUGCAUUAACAUCAAUCAAUGGGCAUCUCCAUAGCCCAUUGAUUAGCCUCGUUGAUGUGAGACUUUCUCCUUUUUGUCUUCUCCACAUAACCCCACUCAUUAGAUUCUAUUCCACCCAUAGUGUUAUGUCCAUGGCUUGCAAUCAUAUAUUGCGUGAAAGUUUAUAGGUUUGAGAUCACUAAAGUAUGAAACAAUUGCUUGGCUUGUCAUCGGGGUUGUGCAUGAUGAGAGCAUACUUGUGUGACGAAAAUGAAGCAUGACUAAACUAUAUGAUUUUGUAGGGGUGAACUUUCUUUGGCCAUGUUAUUUUGAGAAGACACAAUUGCUCAGUUAGUAUGCUUAAAGUAUUAUUAUUUUAUGUCAAUAUGAACUUUUGUCUUGAAUGUUUCAGAUCCGAAUAUUCAUACCACAAUUAAGAAGAAUUACAUUAAAAUCAUGCCAAGUAGCACUCCACAUCAAAAAUUCUGUUUUUAUCAUUUACCUACUCGAGGACGAGCCGGAAUUAAGCUUGGGGAUGCUUGAUACAUCUCCAACGUAUCUAUAAUUUUUGAUUGCUCCAUGCUAUAUUAUCUACUGUUUUGGACAAUAUUGGGCUUUAUUAUCCACUUGUAUAUUAUUUUUGGGACUAACCUAUUAACCGGAGGCCCAGCCCAGAAUUGUUGUUUUUUGCCUGUUUUAGGGUUUCGAAGAAAAGGAAUAUCAAACGGAGUCCAAACGGAAUGAAACCUUCGGGAACGUGAUUUUCUCAACGAACAAGAUCUAGGAGACUUGGACCCUCCAUCAAGACAUAAAAGAGGAGGCCACGAGGUAGGGGGCGUNNNNNNNNNNNNNNNNNNNNNNNNNNNNNNNNNNNNNNNNNNNNNNNNNNNNNNNNNNNNNNNNNNNNNNNNNNNNNNNNNNNNNNNNNNNNNNNNNNNNNNNNNNNNNNNNNNNNNNNNNNNNNNNNNNNNNNNNNNNNNNNNNNNNNNNNNNNNNNNNNNNNNNNNNNNNNNNNNNNNNNNNNNNNNNNNNNNNNNNNNNNNNNNNNNNNNNNNNNNNNNNNNNNNNNNNNNNNNNNNNNNNNNNNNNNNNNNNNNNNNNNNNNNNNNNNNNNNNNNNNNNNNNNNNNNNNNNNNNNNNNNNNNNNNNNNNNNNNNNNNNNNNNNUGGGCCCCCCUGUUGCUCCACCGACGUACUCCUUCCUCCUAUAUAUACCUACUAUUGGGGAACGUAGCAGAAUUUUAAAAUUUUCUACGCAUACCAAGAUCAAUCUAUGGAGUCAUAUAGCAACGAGGGAGAGAGGAGUGCAUCUACAUACCCUUGUAGAUCGCGCGCGGAAGCGUUCAAGAGAACGGGGUUGAUGGAGUCGUACUCGUCGUGAUCCAAAUCACCGAUGACCAAGUGCCGAAUGGACAGCACCUCCGCGUACAACACACGUACGGUUGGGAAGACGUCUCCUCCUUCUUGAUCCAGCAAGGGGGAAGGAGAGGUUGAUGAAGAUCCAGCAGCACGACGGCGUGGUGGUGGAUGCAGCAGGAUCCCGGCAGGGCUUCGCCAAGCGCAAGCGGGGAGGAGAGGUGUUACGGAAGGAGAGGGAGGCGCCAAGAGCAAGGGUGCGGCUGCCCUCCCUCCCCCCCCUCUUUAUAUAGGGGCCUUGGGGGGGCGCCGGCCCUAGGAGAUGGAUCUCCAAGGGGGGCGAAGGCCAAGGGGUGGCUUCCCCCCCAAGCCAAGUGGGGGGCGCCCCCACCCCUAGGGUUUCCCAACCCUAGGCGCAUGGGAGGCCCAAGGGGGGCGCACCAGCCCACUAGGGGCUGGUUCUGCUCCCAAUUCAGCCCAUGGGGCCCUCCGGGAUGGGUGGCCCCACCCGGUGGACCCCCGGGACCCUUCCGGUGGUCCUGGUACAAUACCGGUGACCCCCGAAACCUUCCCGAUGGCCGAAAUUGUACUUCCUAUAUAUAAAUCUUUACCUCCGAACCAUUCCGGAACUCCUCGUGACGUACGGGAUCUCAUCCGGUACUCCGAACAUAUCCUUGGUUACUACAUACUAAUAUCUCUACAACCCUAGCGUCACCGAACCUUAAGUGUGUAGACCCUACGGGUUCGGGAGACAUGCAGACAUGACAGAGACGCCUCUCCGGUCAAUAACCAACAGCGGGAUCUGGAUACCCAUGUUGGCUCCCACGUGCUCCACGAUGAUCUCAUCGGAUGAACCACGAUGUCGAGGAUUCAAUCAAUCUGUGUAGAAUUCCCUUUGUCAAUCGGUACGUUACUUGCCCGAGACUCGAUCGUCGGUAUCCCAAUACCUCGUUCAAUCUCGUUACCAGCAAGUCACUUUACUCGUGCCGUAAUGCAUGAUCCCAUGAUCAACCACUUGGUCACAAUGAGCUCAUUAUGAUCAUGCAUUACCGAGUGGGCCCAGAGAUACCUCUCCGUCAUACGGAGUGACAAAUCCCAGUCUCGAUUCGUGCCAACCCAACAGACACUUUCGGAGAUACCUGUAAUGUACCUUUAUAGUCACCCAGUUACGUUGUGACGUUUGGCACACCCAAGGCACUCCUACGGUAUCCGGGAGUUGCCCAAUCUCAUGGUCUAAGGAAAUGAUACUUGACAUUCGGAAAAGCUACAGCAAACGAACUACACGAUCUUUGAGCUAUGCUUAGGAUUGGGUCUUGUCCAUCACAUCAUUCUCCUAAUGAUGUGAACCCGUUAUCAAUGACAUCCAAUGUCCAUAGUCAGGAAACCAUGACUAUCUUUUGAUCAACGAGCUAGUCAACUAGAGGCUCACUAGGGACGUGUUGUCGUCUAUGUAUUCACACAUGUAUUACGAUUUCCGGAUAACACAAUUAUAGCAUGAAAAAUAGACAAUUAUCAUGAACAAAGAAAUAUAAUAAUAACCAUUUUAUUAUUGCCUCUAGGGCAUAUUUCCAACAGUCUCCCACUUGCACUAGCGUCAGUAGUCUAGUUACAUUUUGAUGAAUCCAACACCCAUGAAGUUCUGGAGUUGAUCAUGUUUUGCUCUAGGGAGAGGUUUAGUCAAUGGAUCUGCCACAUUCAGGUCCGUAUGUACUUUACAAAUCUCUAUGUAUCCAUUUUGAACACUUUCAUGAAUGGAGUUGAAGUGACGCUUGAUAUGCCUGGUCUUCCUGUGAAAUCUGGGCUCCUUGGCAAGUGCAAUAGCUCCAGUGUUGUCACAGAAUAGAGUCAUCGGGCCCGGUGCAUUGGGUGUGACUCCUAGGUCGGUAAUGAACUCCUUCACCCAGAUUGCUUCUUGUGCUGCCUCCGAGGCUGCCAUGUACUCUGCUUCACAUGUAGAUCCCGCCACAACGCUUUGCUUGCAACUCCACCAGCUUACUGCCCCACCAUUCAAAAUAUACACGUAUCCGGUUUCCGACUUAGAGUCAUCCAGAUCUGUGUCGAAGCUAGCAUCAACGUAACCCUUUACGACGAGCUCUUCGUCACCUCCAUAAACGAGAAACAUAUCCUUAGUCCUUUUUAGGUACUUGAGGAUAUUCUUGACUGCUGUCUAGUGUUCCAUGCCGGGAUUACUUUGGUACCUUCCUACCAAACUUACGGCAAGGUUUUCAUCAGGUCUGGUACACAGCAUAGCAUACAUGAUAGACCCUAUGGCCGAGGCAUAGGGGAUGACACUCAUCUUUUCUCUAUCUUCUGUCGUGGUCGUGCAUUGAGCCUCGCUCAAUCUCGUACCUUGCAAUACAGGCAAGAACCCUUCUUUUACUGAUCCAUUUUGAACUUCUUCAAUAUCUUAUCAAGGUAUGUACUCUGUGAAAGACCAAUGAGGCGUCUCGAUCUAUCUCUAUAGAUCUUGAUGCCUAAUAUAUAAGCAGCUUCUCCAAGAUCCUUCAUUGAAAAACACGUGUUCAAGUAGGCCUUUAUGCUUUCCAAGAAUUCUAUAUCAUUUCCCAUCAACAAUAUGUCAUCCACAUCCAAUAUGAGAAAUGCUACAAAGCUCCCACUCACUUUCUUGUAAAUGCAGACUUCUCCAUAAGUAUGCGUAAACCCAAACGCUUUGAUCAUCUCAUCAAAACGAAUGUUCCAUCUCCGAGAUGCUUGCACCAGCCCAUAAAUCGAAUGUUGGAGCUUGUACACCUUGUCAGCAUUCUUAGGAUCGACAAAACCUUCCGGCUGCAUCAUAUACAAUUCUUCCUUAAGGAAACCAUUAAGGAAUGUUGUUUUGACGUCCAUUUGCCAUAUUCAUAAUCAUAGAAUGCGGCAAUUGCUAACAUCGUAGUCAACCCCUUGAACUUGCCGAUAACCCUUAGCGACAAGCCGAGCUUUAUAGAUGGUCACAUUACCAUCCGCGUCUGUCUUCUUCUUAAAGAUCCAUUUAUUUUCUAUGGCUCGCCGAUCAUCGGGCAAGUCAGUCAAAGUCCAUACUUUGUUUUCAUACAUGGAUCUUAUCUCGGAUUUCAUGGCUUCCAGCCAUUUGUUGGAAUUCAGGCCCGCCAUCGCUUCUUCAUAGUUCGAAGUUCACCGUUGUCUAACAACAUGAUUUCCAAGACAGGGUUGCCGUACCACUCUGGUGCGGGACGUGUCCCCGUGGACCUACGAAGUUCAGUAGCAACUUGAUCUGAAGUUUCAUGAUCAUCAUCAUCAAUUUCCUCUCUAGUCGUUGCAGGCACCUUAGGAACAUUUUCUUGAGCUGCGCCACUUACCGGUUCAAGAGGUAAUAAUACUUCAUCAAGUUCUACUUUCCUCCCACUUAUUUCUUUCGAGAGAAACUCUUUCUCUAGAAAGGACCCAUUCUUGGCAACAAAGAUCUUGCCUUCGGAUCUGAGGUAGAAGGUAUACCCAAUAGUUUCUUUAGGGUAUCCUAUGAAGACGCAUUUUUCCAAUUUGGGUUCGAGCUUUUCAGGUUGAAGUUUCCUUACAUAAGCAUCGCAUCCCCAAACUUUUAGAAAUGACAUCUUAGGUGUCUUCCCAAACCAUAAUUCAUACGGUGUCAUCUCAACGGAUUUCGACGGAGCCCUAUUUAAAGUGAAUGCGGCAGUCUCUAAAGCAUAGCCCCAAAAUGACAGCGGUAAAUCGGUAAGAGACAUCAUAGAUCGCACCAUAUCUAAUAGAGUGCGAUUAUGACAUUCCGACACACCAUUACGCUGAGGUGUUCCAGGCGGCGUGAGUUGUGAAACUAUUCCACAUUUUCUUAAGUGUGUGCCAAAUUCGUGACUCAAGUAUUCUCCCCCACGAUCUGAUCGCAAGAACUUGAUUUGCCUGUCACGUUGAUUCUCAACCUCACUUUGAAAUUCCUUGAACUUUUCAAAGGUCUCAGACUUGUGUUUCAUUAAGUAGACAUACCCAUAUCUACUCAAGUCAUCAGUGAGGGUGAGAACAUAACGAUAGCCACCGCGCCUCAACACUCAUUGGACCGCACACAUCAGUAUGUAUGAUUUCCAAUAAGUUGGUUACUCGCUCCAUUGUUCCUGAGAACGGAGUCUUGGUCAUUUUACCCAUGAGGCAUGGUUCGCACGUGUCAAAUGAUUCGUAAUCAAGAGACUUUAAAAGUCUAUCUGCAUGGAGCUUCUUCAUGCGUUUGACACCUAUGUGACCAAGGCGGCAAUGCCACAAGUAUGUGGGACUAUCAUUAUCAACCUUACAUCUUUUGGUAUUCACACUAUGAAUAUGUGUAACAUUAUGCUCGAGAUUCAUUAAGAAUAAACCAUUCACCAAUGGAGCAUGACCAUAAAACAUAUCUCUCAUAUAAAUAGAACAACCAUUAUUCUCGGAUUUAAAUGAGUAGCCAUCUCAAAUUAACCGAGAUCCUGAUACAAUGUUCAUGCUCAAAGCUGGCAGUAAAUAACAAUUAUUGAGGUUUAAAACUAAUCCCAUAGGCAAAUGUAGAGGCAGCGUGCCGACGGCGAUCACAUCAACCUUGGAACCAUUCCCGACGCACAUCGUCACCUCGUCCUUCGCCAGUCUCCGUUUAAUCCGCAGCUCCUGCUUUGAGUUACAAAUGUGAGCAACUGCACCGGUAUCAAAUACCCAGGAGCUACUACGAGUACUGGUAAGGUACACAUCAAUUACAGGUAUAUCACAUAUACCUUUAGUGUUGCCGGCCUUCUUGUCCGCUAAGUAUUUGGGGCAGUUCCGCUUCCAGUGACUACUUCCCUUGCAAUAAAAACACUCAGUCUCGAGCUUGGAUCCAUUCUUUGGCUUCUUCCCGGAAACUUGCUUAGCGGGCGCGGCAACUCCCUUGCCGUCCUUCUUGAAUUCUUCUUACCCUUGCCUUUCUUGAACUUAGUGGUUUUAUUCACCAUCAACACUUGAUGUUCCUUUUUGAUUUCCACCUCUGCUGAUUUCAGCAUUGAAUAUACCUCAGGAAUGGUCUUUUCCAUCCCCUGCAUAUUGAAGUUGAUCACAAAGCUCUUGUAGCUCGGUGGAAGCGACUGAAGGAUUCUGUCAAUGACCGCGUCAUUCGGGAGGUUAACUCCCAGCUGAGUCAAGCGGUUAUGCAACCCAGACAUUUUGAUUAUGUGCUCACUGACAGAACUAUUUUCCUCCAUCUUAUAGCUGAAGAACUUGUCGGAGACUUCAUAUCUCUCGACCCGGGCAUGAGCUUGAAAAACCAUUUUCAGCUCUUCGAACAUCUCAUAUGCUCCAUGUCUCUCAAAAUGCUUUUGGAGCCCCGGUUCUAAGCUGUAAAGCAUGCCGCACUGAACGAGGGAGUAAUCAUCAGCACGUAACUGCCAAGCGUUGAUAAUGUCUUGGUUCUCUGGGACAGGUGCGUGACCUAACGGUGCUUCUAGGACAUAAUAUUUCUUGGCAGCUACGAGGAUGAUCCUCAGGUUCCGGACCCAGUCCGUAUAGUUGCUGCCAUCGUCUUUCAGCUUGGUUUUCUCUAGGAACGCGUUGAAAUUGAGGACAACGUGGGCCAUUUGAUCUACAAGACAUAUUGUAAAGAUUUUAGACUAAGUUCAUGAUAAUUAAGUUCAUCUAAUCAAAUUAUACAAUGAACUCCCACUCAGAUAGACAUCCCUCCAGUCAUCUAAGUGAAACAUGAUCCAAGUUAACUAGGCUGUGUCGGAUCAUCACGUGAAACGGACUAGUCAACAUCGGUGAACAUCUUCAUGUUGAUCGUAUCUUCUAUACGACUCAUGCUCGACCUUUCGGUCUUCUGUGUUCCGAGGCCAUGUCUGUACAUGCUAGGCUCGUCAACUAAACCUAAGUGUAUUGCGUGUGUAAAUCUGGCUUACACCCGUUGUAUUCGAACGUUAGAAUCUAUCACACUCGAUCAUCACGUGGUGCUUCGAAACAACGAACCUUCGCAACGGUGCACAGUUAGGGGGAACACUUUCUUGAAAUUAUUUCGAGGGAUCAUCUUAUUUAAGCUACCGUCGUUCUAAGCAAAUAAGAUGUAAAACAUGAUAAACAUCACAUGCAAUCAAAUAGUGACAUGAUAUGGCCAAUAUCAUUUGCUCCUUUUGAUCUCCAUCUUUGGGGCUCCAUGAUCAUCGUUGUCACCAGCAUGACACCAUGAUCUCCAUCAUCAUGUCUUCUUGAAGUUGUCUCGUCAUCUAUUACUUCUACUACUAUGGCUAAUGCUUUAGCAAUAAAGUAAAGUAAUUACAUGACGUUUAUGUUGACACGCAGGUCAUAAAAAAAUAAAGACAACUCCUAUGGCUCCUGCCGGUUGUCAUACUCAUCGACAUGCAAGUCGUGAUUCCUAUUACAAGAACAUGAUCAAUCUCAUACAUCACAUAUAUCAUUCAUCACAUCCUUUUGGCCAUAUCACAUCAGACGGCACAUGCUGCAAAAACAAGUUAGACGUCCUCUAAUUGUUGUUGCAAGUUUUUACAUGGCUGCUAUAGGUUUCUAGCAAGAACGUGUCUUACCUACGCCAAAACCACAACGUGAUAUGCCAAUUUCUAUUUACCCUUCAUAAGGACCCUUUUCAUCGAAUCCGAUCUAACUAAAGUGGGAGAGAUAGACACCCGCCAGCCACCUUAUGCAAGUAAUGCAUGUCAAUCGGUGGAACCAGUCUCACGUAAGCGUACGUGUAAGGUCGGUCCGGGCCGCUUCAUCCCACGAUGCCGCCGAAUCAAGAUAAGACUAGUAACGGCAAGCAAAGUGACAAUAUCCACGCCCACAACUGCUUUGUGUUCUACUCGUGCAUAGAAACUACGCAUAGACCUGGCUCAUGAUGCCACUAUUGGGGAAUGUAGCAGAAUUUUAAAAUUUUCUACGCAUCACCAAGAUCAAUCUAUGGAGUUAUCUAGCAAUGAGGAAGAGAGGAGUGCAUCUACAUACCCUUGUAGAUCGCGCGCGGAAGCGUUCAAGAGAACGGGGUUGAUGGAGUCGUACUCGUCGUGAUCCAAAUCACCGAUGACCAAGUGCCGAACGGACAGCACCUCCGCGUUCAACACACGUCCGGUUGGGAAGACGUCUCCUCCUUCUUGAUCCAGCAAGGGGGAAGGAGAGGUUGAUGAAGAUCCAGCAGCACGACGGCGUGGUGGUGGAUGCAACAGGAUCCCGGCAGGGCUUCGCCAAGCGCAAGCGGGGAGGAGAGGUGUUACGGAGGGAGAGAGAGGCGCCAAGAGCAAGGGUGCGGCUGCCUUCCCUCCCCCCUCUUUAUAUAGGGGCCAUGGCGGGCGCCGGCCCUAGGAGAUGGAUCUCCAAGGGGGGCGAAGGCCAAGGGGUGGCUCCCCCCCCCAAGCCAAGUGGGGGGCGCCCCCACCCCUAGGGUUUCCCAACCCUAGGCGCAGGGGAGGCCCAAGGGGGCGCACCAGCCCACUAGGGGCUGGUUCCCCUCCCAAUUCAGCCCAUGGGGCCCUCCGGGAUGGGUGGCCCCACCCGGUGGACCCCCGGGACCCUUCCGGUGGUCCCGAUACAAUACCGGUUACCCCCGAAACCUUCCCGAUGGCCGAAACUGUACUUCCUAUAUAUAAAUCUUUACCUCCAAACCAUUUCAGAACUCCUCGUGACGCCCGGGAUCUCAUCCGGGACUCCGAACAACUUUCGGCUUACUACAUACUAAUAUCUAUACAACCCUAGCGUCACCGAACCUUAAGUGUGUAGACCCUACGGGUUUCGGAGACAUGCAGACAUGACUGAGACGCCUCUCCAGUCAAUAACCAACAGCGGGAUCUGGAUACCCAUGUUGGCUCCCACAUGCUCCACGAUGAUCUCAUCGGAUGAACCACGAUGUCGAGCAUUCAAUCAAUCUGUAUACAAUUCCCUUUAUCAAUCAGUACGUUACUUGCCCGAGACUCGAUCGUCAGUAUCCCAAUACCUUGUUCAAUCUCGUUACCGGCAAGUCACUUUACUCAUACCAUAAUGCAUGAUCCCGUGAUCAACCACUUGGUCACAUUGAGCUCAUUAUGAUGAUGCAUUACCGAGUGGGCCCAGAGAUACCUCUUCAUCACGCGGAGUGACAAAUCCCAGUCUCGAUUCAUGCCAACCCAAUAGACACUUUCGGAGAUACCUGUAAUGUACCUUUAUAGUCACCCAGUUACGUUGUGACGUUUGGCACACCCAAGGCACUCCUACGGUAUCCGGGAGUUUCACAAUCUCAUGGUCUAAGGAAAUGAUACUUGACAUUCGGAAAAGCUACAGCAGAUGAACUACACGACCUUUGAGCUAUGCUUAGGAUUGGGUCUUGUCCAUCACAUCAUUCUCCUAAUGAUGUGAUCCCAUUAUCAAUGACAUCCAAUGUCCAUAGUCAGGAAACCAUGACUAUCUUUUGAUCAACAAGCUAGUCAACUAGAGGCUCACUAGGGACGUGUUGUGGUCUAUGUAUUCACACAUGUAUUACGAUUUCCGGAUAACACAAUUAUAGCAUGAACAAUAGACAAUUAUCAUGAACAAAGAAAUAUAAUAAUAACCAUUUUAUUAUUGCCUCUAGGGCAUAUUUCCAACACCUACGUACCCCCAAACGAUCAUAUACGGAGCCAAAACCCUAAUUCCACCGCCGCAACUUUCUGUAUCCACGAGAUCCCAUCUUGGGGCCUGUUCCGGAGCUCCGCCAGAGGGGGCAUCGAUCACGGAGGGCUUCUACAUCAACACCAUAGCCUCUCUGAUGAAGUGUGAGUAGUUCACCUCAGACCUACGGUUCCAUAGUUAUUAGCUAGAUGGCUUCUUCUCUCUUUUUGGAUCUCAAUACAAUGUUCUCCCCAUCUCUUGUGGAGAACUAUUCGAUGUAAUCUUCUUUUUGCGGUGUGUUUGUUGAGACCGAUGAAUUGUGGGUUUAUGAUCAAGUCUAUCUAUGAAUAAUAUUUGAAUCUUCUCUGAAUUGUUUUAUGUAUGAUAGGUUAUCUUUGCAAGUCUCUUCGAAUUAUCAGUUUGGUUUGGCCUACUAGAUUGAUCUUUCUUGCAAUGGGAGAAGUGCUUAGCUUUGGGUUCAAUCUUGCGGUGUCCUUUCCCAGUGACAGUAGGGGCAGCAAGGCACGUAUUAUAUUGUUGCCAUCGAGGACAACAAGAUGGAGUUUUCAUCAUAUUGCAUGAGUCUAUCCCUCUACAUCAUGUCAUCUUGCUUAAGGCGUUAAUCUGUUUUUAACUUAAUACUCUAGAUGCUUGCUGGAUAGCGAUCGAUUAGUGGAGUAAUAGUAGUAGAUGCAGGCAGGAGUCGGUCUACUUGUCUCGGACGUGAUGCCUAUAUACAUGAUCAUACCUAGAUAUUCUCAUAACUAUGCUCAAUUCUGUCAAUUGCUCAACAAUAAUUUGUUCACCCACCGUAGAAUAUUUAUGCUCUCGAGAGAAGCCACUAGUGAAACCUAUGGCCCCGGGUCUAUCUUUAUCAUAUUAAUCUCCUACUACUUAGUUAUUUCCUUUGCUUUUUACUUUGCCUUUAUUUUACUUUGCAUCUUUAUCACAAAAAUACGAAAAAAAUUAUCUUUAUCAUAUCUAUCAAAUCUCACUCUCGUAAGUGGCCGUGUAGGAAUUGACAACCCCUAUUCGCGUUGGUUGCGAGGAUUUAUUUGUUUUGUGCAGGUACGAGGGACUCGCGCGUAGCCUCCUACUGGAUUGAUACCUUGGUUCUCAAAACCUGAGGGAAAUACUUACGCUACUUUGCUGCAUCAUCCCUUCCUCUUCGGGGAAAACCAAGGCAGUGCUCAAGAGGUAGCAAGGGUUCCUUUUUGUCGACGAUCCGAUGUUUCAACCCUGUUUUCCAGGUGGCCAACGCGUCGCUAAACUUGGUGACGGCGUGUUUGUUUAUCUUCUUCAUUGCCAGGUCCUUAUCUGGAUCUUUAUUAUCCUUUUCACUGCGGUCUGGGAACAAGAUUAUCUGGUGCAGUUUCUUAAGGAGGGAGGGCCUCAUAUUAUCUAUCUUCUGUAGUUUCCCAUCGUUGAUCGUGGCAGUUGUCCGUACGAUGCAACCUAUUUGAUUGCCGUAGCACGAUCGCGCUUCCUCGGGCGCUAUUGUCUCAAAAAUACCGCCGUCCAUCUCCGUGACCGCCAGUCUACUACUCAUGAGCUGGUUUGGGCGCUGUGGCCUCUUUGCUUUCGGUUCUAGACCAGCUCCGCUAGUCUCGGCGCCUGUCUCAGUUUCAUCAUCGGUCCGCAUGUCGGUAUCAGUCCCCGAUGCGACACCACAGUUGCUGCAACAUGGGUAAGGGAGACCACGUCAGUGGUGGGGGGUCUGAAAAUCAGAACACACUUUCGCGCGUCGCGGGCCGCCUCUCAGACAGCUACUGGGGAGGCGGUGGAGUACCUGGGUGCGCGGCGAAUCCCCGGGAACUCGGUGACCAACUUCCUUCCCGUGUGGCGCAUGGAGACGACGGCGACCCCGGCGAAGAGCAGCUUAGCCGCGAGCUGCACAGCCUCGUCCACCUCCUAAGUUGGGACCUCCGCGCGAGCGUUGCGGGGCCGCCACUCGGAUGGCUUCUGGAAGGCGGUUGUACAUGGGCACAUGGUGAAUCCCGGCGAGAGCUGGCCAUUGGCGCGCGCAAGUAGACGACGAUGUCCUCGAAGAAGAGCAGCCCGGCCAGCUCGCCUCACUAUCCUUUGAUUAGAAAUGAAAGAUUGGGAAGAAGCAGACUUGAGCCUGCAGGGAAAGGAUAAGGUGACGAUGCAGUCUCCACUCGUUCGGGGCGACACUCGUACUGAAUGUAUGAGAAACGUGACGUGGCAGAGACCCCAAGAUACUCCCUCCAUUUAUUUUUAGUCUGCAUAUAAAGUUUGGUCAAAGUCAAGAUUUGUAAAUUUUAACUAACUUUAUAAUAAAAAAAUAUCAACAUUCACAAUAUGAAAUCAAUAUUACCAGAUGCGUCAUGAAAUGUAUUUCCAUACUAUAUAGUUUUGGUAUUGUAGAUGUUCAUAUUUUUUUAUAUAUAUGGGAAGUAGAGGCACUCUUCUAUAUAAUGAAGUUUAUAAUAUAUGUGCUUAUAUUGUACUAUAAUUGUUUGAAUAACUUAGCAUAUAUUCAGAUGUAUGAUAUCUGUAAUUUAAACGCUUGAAUUUUACAUAUGAAUAUUUAUUAAUAAAUAUGUACCCCUAUAAUAGCUAGGCCGUGCAGUUGCACGGGUAGAUGACUAGUGAUUACAAUCUUGCUUGUGUGCAAGUCAAGCUUAUCUAGUUUACACGUAACAACUUAUAGAACAUUACAAAAUUUAUGCUUGCUAAUAACUUCUAGAACACUACAACACUUGACAUGUAAAAGGAAUUUGAUGAGUCAUGGCCUACUAAAGCAAGUUACAUUACUAGUCUUAUCUAUCUUAACAGACCACACAAGAUUACAAACUAUGUACCGUGACAGCCAUGCUUAUCUAGUUUAUGCGUAACAAUUUGCAGAAAAUUACAAACUUAGUUUCAGAAAGAUAGGCAAUCUAGAUUAGUGUUUGAGCUGUAAAGUGAAUAAGAUGAGUCAUGCAUGUCAUCACACCUUUUUGGUGGUGGAAUGAUAGUGCAACAACAAGGAACUUUAAUGACCAGUCCAAGAAUACACUUGUAAGUAGUGCCACCAAACAGAACAUACCAAAUGAUGAUUUUGAGAAGCAUCCAAGCACUUUCCACACAAACAAAUGCCAAUUGUGAAAGAGAUCAUUCCAUGGCAGCUAUAAAUAGCCCCAUAGCAUGACGAUCAUCCUUCCUCAUCCAUCAUUCUCAUAAGUAGAGCACAUCAUUUAAGCCAAGCAAGUUGUGGUCAAUACAAAUCCACCAUGAAGACCUUUCUCAUCCUUGCCCUCCUUGCUAUCGUGGCGACCACCGCCACAACUGCAGUUAGAGUUCCAGUGCCACAAUUGCAGCCACAAAAUCCAUCUCAGCAACAGCCACAGGAGCAAGUUCCAGUGGUACAACAACAACAAUUUCUAGGGCAGCAACAACCAUUUCCACCACAACAACCAUAUCCACAGCCGCAACCAUUUCCAUCACAACAACCAUAUCUGCAGCUGCAACCAUUUCCGCAGCCGCAACUACCAUAUUCGCAGCCACAACCAUUUCAACCACAACAACCAUAUCCACAACCGCAACCACAGUAUUCGCAACCACAACAACCAAUUUCACAGCAGCAGCAGCAGCAGCAGCAGCAGCAACAACAACAACAACAACAACAACAACAACAACAACCACAACAAAUCCUUCAACAAAUUUUGCAACAACAACUGAUUCCAUGCAUGGAUGUUGUAUUGCAGCAACACAACAUAGCGCAAGGAAGAUCACAAGUUUUGCAACAAAGUACUUACCAGCUGUUGCAAGAAUUGUGUUGUCAGCACCUAUGGCAGAUCCCUGAGCAGUCGCAGUGCCAGGCCAUCCACAAUGUUGUUCAUGCUAUUAUUCUGCAUCAACAACAAAAACAACAACAACAACAACAACAACAACAACCAUCGAGUCAGGUCUCCUUCCAACAGCCUCAGCAACAAUAUCCAUUAGGCCAGGGCUCCUUCCGGCCAUCUCAGCAAAACCCACAGGCCCAGGGCUCUGUCCAGCCUCAACAACUGCCCCAGUUCGAGGAAAUAAGGAACCUAGCGCUACAGACACUACCUGCAAUUUGCAAUGUCUACAUCCCUCCAUAUUGCACCAUCGCGCCAUUUGGCAUCUUCGGUACUAACUGAGAAGAAAAUAACUCUAGUACUAGAUAUAUGAAACACCGUUUUCUCAGUCCAUGGUUUGGUCGUUGUAGCGGUGAAAAAAUAAUGUGGCAUGCACUAUCAUGUAAGAACCCAAACUAUACUAGUUCAAACUUGGGAAUAAAAGACAAACACAGGUCUUGUCUACAUAUUUAUGUCGCAUCUAUUUAUAUAUUAAAAGUAAUAUAAGGUGAACCAGGAGCAAGGUAAAUAUGCUAGAAAAUUGCACGUUAAUUAGAAAUUACUAGCCCUCAAUCCGGUAAAUCUUAACAAAUAGAAUUAUCUUGACCGUUAGAUUUAUGUAACAUAUAUAAUUCUCUGGGCCUCCAACGACUGUACGUGACACAUCUGAACGCACAUAUGUUAAAGAAAAUAUAUUUGGUAAAUGGUGGGCCUCUUUAAAAAGAGAACUCACGUACAUGCACCAACUAAGAAAAACACAUACAUGUAAACGGGAAAAGGGCUCCACCCCGUUGAAAAAAUAUACAUCUGGAGGCCACUUUGUUUCCUCAUAAAAAAAAACUUACGUUAAAAAGAUUGCAUGCAUCCCAGGGAAAAUAGUCAAGAAGAAGUCGGACUCUUCCUUACAAAAACAAGGAACGUGUUAAGUUGACUUCAAAGAAAAAAGGAACAUGUUAAGUUAAAAAAAACAAGAAACCUGUUAAGUUAGAAAAAAACAAGGAACGUGUUGUCCUAGGAAAGAUAUGUGUCAAAUCUUACAAAAAAAAGAAUACACACACGUACGUUCAUGCACUUGGAAAAUAGAAAAAAAAAGGAACAUCACGUAUGUAUACACUUCGGAAACUCAUUACAUGACCAUGUCUGAUAUACUCCUCUAAUGCUUAAUAUUAGUGCCUAAUAAUUUAUAUUUAAAAUUUAAUUUACUGAUCAAAUAUCCCCACUGUUUAAAUUUUAAUUUGGCACAUUGUUUGGCUAUAGUAUGAACCUAAAUUUCCUCUUAUUAUUAUAUAUCAUGAUAAUAAUCCAAAGGCGACUAAUCUGCGCCGGCGCACCGGCGCAAUCAAUUCGGCCCGACACAGCGCGGCCGUUUGAUUAAAUUGCAUUUAACCGUCAGAUCUAGAAUCAUUUUAUUUCCAAUUAAACGGAUUCAACCAAACAGCAGAGGGGAAAACAAAGCAGCACCGCCGCCAACACUAGUCAUGGACGACCGAUGUAGCAAAACCUUGAAGAACCGCCGCCGGUCGCCACCCUCGCCGCUGGUCGCCGCCCUCGCCGCCUGCGUUUCUCAUCGGCUUCAUGCAUGCAACAACAUGCACUCGUGAUUGCAGGCUUGCAGCUCCGGCUCCGGGGGACAUGGCCGCAUCUCCGGUAGCGCCGGCCGCCAGCCGCAGCACCUGUCGUUGUGGUCACGCUGUACCUCGCCGUGUGCCCUCCCAAGGCUCUUGCUGGUUCCAACAAAAAACGAUACCUAUUGUAGCAAAAAAGUUUAUCGCUUCCAGCAAAAAAGCUUACCGCUAUAGCCCGCCAUCAUCAUUGUAGCAAAAAUGUUAACUCGAUGUAGCUUCUGUGGUUGCCGACUGCGGCCAAAAAUGACGUGGUUGUAGCAAAACACAAAAGAAAAACGCCGGCCGUCCGCUGUGUAUGGUGGUAACAAACCCUAUAGCCGGUGGUAGCGAAAAACUUCACUGUUUGCAGCAAAAAAAUGUUGUCGCCCGUCGUCGAGGUUGCAUCAUCUUCAUGAAUUAUGUCGCAAAAAAACGUUGUCGCCGGUAGUAGCAAAUGAAGCCGCCGGUAGUAACAAAACAAGACACUGGUUCCAGCCAAAAAAAUCAGCGACAGAACCUUUUGUUGGUUCCAACAAAAAAACUUGUCGGUUGUAACAUCCCUCGCCGCCGGAUGUAGCAUCUCCCAGGGCUAGUUGCAACACUCCAUAAAAAAAGUUGUCUAUGAGCGCAUCCAUGGCAACUGCUGCACCGUCAGCAACGAGGGGAAGAGGAGGCAAUGAAAAUCGUUCGAGUCGUAGCUCCACUGGACACGGCUGCAGCAUGGGGAGUCCAAAAAUCUGUCACAAGCAAGAUGCGCCUCGCCAUCCUCCUGCGCAGGAGAGAGAAGAAAAAGGAAUAAGAGGAAGAAGAAACGAAACGGGAGAAAGAAAAAAAGAAACGAUUGGUUGUGGGCUCAGGCAAUUAGUCAAAUGAGGGGCACGCGGGGCCGUAGGAUACAGCGCAAUCGAACGAAGUGCGCGCGUCCGGCCGAAGACUCAGCUGGACUGCCGGUCCAGCUGGAAAUGUUUCCCUAAUACAAAGGCUUUUCUGAAUGACAAGUCGUCUGAGUUAUCGGCUAACUAGAAAAAAGAUAAAUAUGCUAGAUAAUUCCAUAAUAAUUAGAAAUAUCUAGCCUUUAAUUAUGUAAAUCAGAAAAUCACAACCGUUGGAUUUACUUUAAAGGUAAAUUUCUCUAAAUUCCCACCAUUGCCAGUAUGUAGAAACAUGUGCUGCUUCAAUUCUCCCUUAAUCACCAAUCAAUCAACAACUGAAAACAUACCUCAGUUAAAAAAACUGAACAAAAAAAAGAAAAAAAGAAGAAAGGACAAGAUACACGCAUGUACACGACAGCCUUGGCUUGAAACACAUCAGUAGAUCAAGUGUCCGCCUCCCUUACACAGAAUAAAUUCUAGGGAAGAAAAUAAUAGUGCAACCUAACCUUAUACGUACUAUUCUAUCCUCACGUCCCAUGAGGUUUACUAGCCUACUGCCGCCGCAUCAUGCCAUCCUCUCCUUUCAGCUCCCUCCUUGCGGCGCCACUACUCGCCUAGGGAUAUUGCUGCUCAGACCGUGGAGCUUAACCUGCUUCUUCUUCAGCAAAUAUGGAACUGCUUUAGGAUCCUUCUGACAUCAGCGCGUAUGGGCCUCAUUAUACUGCAGCUCCUGGACCUCCUACAAUUGGUUGGCUAUGGCCAGUUGAUCGAUGUGCUGAAGUCCAGGUCUGUUUGCUGGCACAUAUGCUUUGGAAAUAGGCCACUAUGUUUGUACUUCGAAAUUGUUUCUGUAUUCUUCAGUGGUACAUCCUUUUAAGCGCCAGUUUUUUAUGUUAAUUCAUGCUGACAACACUUAACCUAGCCUUUCAUGUUCACGUACUAAAUACAGGAGCAAGUAAAAACAACAGACCACCUAAUUGCUCUGCAAGUUCUACAUAGGAAAAUUUGUCAUGUUCUACGAUCGCACCAUCCCACCCUUCUCUCUUGGUAUGGGCGCCAAUUGAGGGAUUGAUAAAACUGAAACGAAGACGUCACAGGGCUGGAAGUACCGCUAGCCUGGUUCGCACUGCAACCUACCCAACGCCAUCAGAAACUAGCAACUGAGUCAGGUGUUGAUCGAUUCUCUCAAAUUGCUCUCAUGUAAGUACUACCCCUUGCAUGUGCGUACAUACCUUUGUUGCAUUCUCAAACAGAUAGAACAUGUAUGAUCGGUGCAUGGCUAUUUUUCAUCACAUGACAUCCAGAUAACAAGCAUGAAAGGACUACAUUGGAGAUCAAAAAAUAUUGGUUCCUGGCUAGAGUACCACUACCUAUGGACUUGUCUCCAUAGAAUUUGUUCCCAAGAUGUUAUUUUAAUUAACCUCUUUAGCUUUCUUCCGUUGCAAACGGUGAUGUGCAUCAUGGUAUAUACGUGACCAUCUUGCACAUGUAUACACAAGAGGCUCAGACGGAGGUGCUGGAUUCUGGACGAGGGAAUAUGAAGCAGGAGUGAGCGAAGAGUAAAUAAUGGUGGGAGUACCGAUUGGUGUUAUGAAGAAAAAUGCCAUCCAAAGAUUGAUUAGUGUCAUGGAAGAUUAAUUUCUGAAUGCGAAUAUAUAUGUUACAUUGGUUUGGAUCUUUUUGAGAUAAUUGCACCUAAAUUAGGUUCUUUCUUAUUUCAUAUGUAUACCUUAUUUCAGUAAAAGUUCACAACGAACUUAGUAGGACAAAUAUAAUUUUGUUUGUUCUUUCUGUUGUCCGCCACCAAAGCUCAGUUUGAACUCUCUAGAAAUGGACAAUGAUUUAUGCAUUCUAUAUCUUCUUGAUUGAUUAGCCAUGACAAGGAAAUAAAAGGAUUGACUGAUAUAGCAUAACUUUGGAACGAUCUGUUCGUAGAGGUUACUACAAAUUAGAGUAGUGUCUGUUGGAAUUUUGCUAGUAGGCCUUUGGCCCAAAGCCCAACUAAAAUUCUGAAAUUCUCUUCGCUCAUUCAUGCACACAUGUGAGUGGAGUGAGUGAGACUAAAGUUUAGAGAGAGUUGCACCUCUUUAUAAGGUGAGCUCUUCUACCACUUGUAUGAGCAUGAGAAGAGGAGACCUAUACACGCGCUCCUCCUCCUCGCUCACCACGUCUCGUCACGCCGCGCCGCGCCGCGGAUUGCGGGAUUGAGCCGAGCCGAGGACGUUGUCUAUAUUUUUGCUGUUUGGGAAAAAUUAAUAAGUCAUUAAUUAAUAAUUAAUGGAUGCGUUAAUUACUGAACCAUUUUCGAUUCUUUUGGAUCGUGACGACUCGGACGUGGGGUUUACUCCCACGAUCUACCCGGCCCACACUAUAUAGUCAGGCAGACGUCUACCCUAGCCGCCGCCACUUCGUAUGGUUUCUCACCACCGUUACAGAUCGUUGCGCCGCCAAGCAAGUUUUCUCCAUUCCUCCUGUCGGCAUGCACUGGGAGAAGGGACAGCAGGCCUCCGGAACCCCGCCUCUCGUGAUCCUGUACGGGAGAGGGGCGAUCAGAUUUUUGGGGAGCGCACUCGCACGACUGCUGGCAGCGACGACUUCGCAAACGACGACUUCUUCCCCGACCUCGGCAACCUCAUCCUCGACUUCUGCACCGUAUGUUAUUCUAUCCUUCUUGUUCGAGAUCGUGGUAGAAUUCAGAUUUCUAGCAUGUUCCCUAGAUGUGAUUUGUUCAUCUACUAUUCUAAUUCGCAUGAUUAGUUUAAUCUUUGCUAUUGCUGUCAUGAUCUAUUUCCUAUUUAUUCGGAUUAAAUCUCGUAGUAAUUUGCUCAUUUUUCCAACAGUGCCAUCUAAUAGAUGAUGUAAAUCUCCUCAAGUUUGACGUUGUUGAGCUAAUUUACAAAAAAAACCUCAUCAUUAUUGGAUGUCCUUAACAGCUCAAGAACAAGUUGGGGUCGAAAUAAUGGAUUUUACACUUUUACAUUAAAGGUUUAGCUAAAGCAAGCAGGUGUUUUUAAACCUGAAUUUUUUUCCUCCUGAAUUUCUUUGUAUUUUCUUAUUGACACUAUUUAUACAAUCAUCUGACAAAGAUUAGCUAAAGCUGUUUGUAGAUACGUUCAAACCUGAAAAGCUUCUUUGGUUAUCCUUUUAAUAGUUCUACGUUUAUUUUCUCAUAGGUCUUAAUUCUUAUGUAAUACCAAGAUGCAUUGUGGUAGUGUACAUGUGUUAAAUUCAGGUUGUUAUUCACAAUUUGCGACAAAAUUUAGCUCACGCUACAUUUAAAUAUGUUGAAAUGUGAAAGCUCUUUUUCUUCUCCUUUCUACACCUUGCAUCGGAUUGCAUCCCUUUAGUUAUCCAACAUUUUGUACAACAUGUAGAGAUUAGGAAGUUCAUCAUAGUUUGUCUAUUUCCGUGCUAAUAAAUGUAUGAAAUCUGCAUUUCCAAGCUACUAGGACAAGUAAAAAAUAAUAAUUUUACUAUAGGAUUCAAAAACAGCAGUUCUGAAGUGCACUUUAUUUAUUUGUGAAAGUGAUCACAUUUUGUUUCAUUUUUCUAUAGACAAAUCUACUAAUACAUACUCACGAUAAAACUAUAAAAGUUCUAGUCCGCACAUUGGGCGGGCCACCCGGCUAGUUAGUCUAAAGAUAACAAAAUGAGUCUGGAAUUUGAAUUAAAUUGAAGUAUUUUCUUGGACUAUCCACAUCCUUGGCUUGCCCCUGAUCAAUUAUUUCCAGAGAAGCAUUCAAUUCAUCAAUCAAUUACAUUGAUUUUAGUGGCUGGUACUUCUCCUCGACAUCAGUAUAUUCACCGUGGCCACUCCAAAUCGGCAAGAAUGAGGUACCAGUGCUCUGGAGCAGUGCAAGCUAAUUGCUUCUCAUGUGAAGGGGUGCGGGCGCGGGAGAGGUAUUUCUGGUGGGCCAAGGGAUAAGAAGCGACCGUGGCAGCGGUACAGACGCCCGCAAAGCCCCAUAAUUUGUUUUUGGUUUACAGGAAAAAUGCACAUCCAUACCGGCCUGGGGAAUAUAGCACUGUAUUGCAUGGAAAACCAUGUCCGGAUGGUUGUGAGCGGUUUGAGGGUUAGCUUUUGUAACGCCCGGUUAGUUAUGCUAUAGCAAUUCCCUGCUAAUGAUGUCACGUCACCACGAUUACUGUUGUUAACCUCACAAUGAUUCAAUCCCGUUCAAAUUCAAAUUUGAAAUAAAGGUAAACAUCAAAAGUUUUCAAACAUUAAAACUAAAAUCUUUGAGAGGUGACAAAUAAUGCAUAAGUAAUUAUGGUGAAGAAACCACACUUUAAUCAAAUGUUUAAAUACUCUAAAAUGAAAAAAAAACAGUGACUUAAACUAUUAUUUAAAUGCUUUUAAAAUAGUAAAAAUCUUCUAACUAAAUUAUUUGGGUACCAAACUUUUGGUGGCAGUGGUAUAUUUAGUAGAACUAAUUUAGAUGCUAAUUAUAUAAUUUACAAAAUUAGAGUAAAUUGAAAAAUAGGAUAAAACGGAAAAAGGAAAGACAAAACAAAUAAAAGCAAAAGGGGGCAACCCCUCGCUGGGCCUCGGCCUAGCUGGCCACUAGACUAGCUAGGCUGGCCCCGCCGCCUCCCUUAACCCCCCACUCCCCAUCGAACCCAAGCCCGAUCGCCCCAUUUCCCACACACCCCCUCGCUAGUCUCCCCACCUCUUGAUCCCAUCUGGAUCGGGGAGGGUAUUGCCCCCAUCAACCCCGUUGCCGUCGCCGGAUCGCCCGCCGACGUCGGCAGGCCUCCUCCCCGUCGCCCGUCUCCGGCUCACCUCCCCUCUCGCUCCUCUUCCCCGACCCGAUCUGGAUCGUGAACGAGCAAUGAGCUCGAAGCCCCCCUUCACCAGCGCCAUCACCGUGCGCCACCACCACCACCUGAAGACCUCACCGUCGCUGAACCUUGCGUCGCCUCCUUGUAUCCCUCCCCUACUCGCAUCCUCAAGCCAGGCCGAGCCCCUUCUCGGCAACGCUGUGAGACGCCCCCGUUUCCCUCCUCUUUCCACCGCGUUCACCGCGCCGCCCGCCGUGCCCCUCGCCGUGCAUGAGCCCACCACCGCACCAGCCCCCGCUCCGCGCACGACCCUACCCGCGCCCGCGCCAUGAUCCCCUUUUCCGCCCUACCUUCACGCGCUCGCCGCGAUCCCCAUGCUCCCCCGCGCCCUCUUUCGGGGGCGCCGACUGCCCCUGUCCCGGUGCUCGCCGCCGUGCCUCGCCACCGCUCUACUGCUACGUUACUACUGCGCUGCGGCCGCCGCCUCUUCCCGCUGCUCCGCUAGCGCCGAAGCUCCCGGUUGGCUCCACCACUGCUCACGUUAAACCGCCGGCCUAAAUGGCCUAACCCUCGGCUAAUGAACCCCCACUAACCCACUGACACCGGGACCCACAUUCCCUAAUUAACCAUUUAAUAAAUUAACAUUAGUGUAUGACAUGUGCGUCCCCUGUUAAUUAAUAAUUUUACUGCUAGUUUUAUUAGUUUCUGUUUUUCUGCAUAUUUCUUUUGUAUUUGAACAGGCUUUAUACAAUAAUAUUUAGCGUAUCAUACACAUACAAAUGUAAUCAUAGCAUAUACAUACAAAUAGUCUCAUCAAAUCAUGUCAUCAUCAUAAUCAUCAUCCAUCACAAAGUGGUCUCUGGUCAUCAUCUCGAAAAUAGCGAUACAAGUCUCGAUUACUUGCAACUACAUCGUCAUCCAUCUAAACAAUGAUAUACACGAGAAGAGCUCUCACUAUGAGUGAGAGCGGAACUAUGCAGUACAUGAGUUUGUAUCCCUCUCUCGCAUUAGCGUGAACCUAAACUAACGACUGGCUGUUGCUCGGAAACCGGAAACCGGUACACCUGGGCCUGACACUCCGGCCACUCAUCGUAUACUCCUGGCGUAGCACUUCUUCGCCAUCGAUGAUCUAUGCACCUGCAUCGUCACAUGAGUCGAUGAUAUGCAACAUAUAUAGUUGAGCAACAGAAAGAGACAGACUUGGCAAAAAUAGAAGCAACAUAUCACAAGUAUAAAUAACAAAGUUAAUGUUUUGCAGGAUUACAACUCAACCCAUUGCAGAUUAGAAAACAAGCCCGUAUGAAUGCACAGGCUGACGACUAGUCUAUCUAUACCUAUACCUAUACCUAUACCUAUACCUACCUAUACUAAUUACAGACUCCCAAGGAAUUCCCACGUUAAUUAGUAAUUAGGAGUCGUUAAUCUUGUGGGACCAAAUUAUUACGACAGUCCACGAUCUCUUUUCUCUCUGUGUAAAAAAAGGUCCACGAUCUCUUUUCUCGGUUGUAAAAGAUAAAGGCAACUCAGGUCCACGAUCUCUUUUCACGGUUGUGAAAGAUAAAGACAACUCCCGUCUUCUUCUAAUCUAUAGUUCUAUACCUCCACGACCCCUUUCUCUCCCCAUUUAAAAGGAACAAGCUGAACCAAUAUCUAAGCAUGCAAUUGGUUCCUGUGCGGUCUUGACCUUCCAUCCGUCCACUGCUCGAUCGGCCCUCCCUCAACUACAAGCUGACAAGCCACCAUCGCCAUCCAGCGGCACGCCACCGUUCAUGCAUGUGUUUUUGCCCUUCAAUCUGAAGGAGAUGCGUUGGCUACUCAAGUAACUCUGUUUGUUUUGUUCAAACCAAUUUCGUUAAUUCGGUUCUUUGAUUAUCUAAUUGACAUGGCCUGUGAGUUUUGUGCUAGUGAUACAGGGCCUGUCUACUAGAUUCUCUCCUUGCAACUUCUAUUGUUGUCUCGAUUUGGUGUGGUCAAGAUCCUUGCCCCACCACAAGCAGCACCUUUGCACCAUCGGGGAAAUCUGUCAUAGCAAACAGAGGUAUGUAACAUGCUUUGGUGUUUUCCUCUUUCGUUUAGAUCACUAGAGUUGCUCAACCACACCAUUCAUUGAUUAGUAGUUGGCCUGAGAAGUUGCUCGGUCACCUGCAGCGUCUGAUCCCCUUCUUGACCCUCUCCUUCUGGUCAUUAUCCACCGGCAGGUCAAUGCAAAACGGAUCGUUCGUUGCCGCCACCUUGCGGAGACCGAUGUUUGGCUGCCCUCCUGCCAUCCUGGCACUCUGGUACCGGUCACUGUGCCGUUGUUCUAGAAGAACUAUGUCACACGAAGCGAGAUAUCUUCUUACUAAUCUGGAACAUAAGUGUUUCUUCUUACUAGGAUUCGCUCACCGGUGCAUUCAUCUCUUUUUGGAAAAUACGGCCUUCAUAUUUCACACGCCUAUACAUGGGUGCUGUCCCAACAAUAAUCCAUCUAAUCCAUGAUGCACAUUCAUGAAGACUGAUGUGACUGAAUUAAUAUAUCAAUCUGGUGCUUCCGGAUCAGCACUUGAAGAAGCAACCCCUUUAGUUCAUAAAUUUAUCAUACGAAAGUCAGGGGAAAAAUCAACUAAGUCAUGUGUGCUUUUCUAAUUAAUUACUAUACACUAAUUCCAUUUUUUUCAGUAGCAGGCUAGGAUACGUGGAUUGUGGCAGCACAGAAGUAAACCGAUGAGCUACAUUGGCCGUUCACCAGUCAUCGGAUCAGAAGCCAUGUCGACCAGAGGGACGGAACAGUUCUAUAUUAGGCGAUGGAUACAUGUGGAAGCAACUAAGCAUAUGUGGAUGCAUGUGAUCGCAUAGGUAAGGCCAUAGCUGUUCAAGCCCUACAGGAUCUUUAUUGCUGGUUUUAAUUAUGAGUUUACAACACCAUCUAUACAUACUACUUAUCCAUUUAUUUCCUUACCUUCUUUGUUUCUUUCUCUCCUUGAUCCCCUGUCAAAAGGGCAUCAACAUCCAUAUGCGCAACGGCACACGCAACAAACUAUGACUUCGGUUGCACGUCCAAUGGCAACCACAGUACAUGAUGAUAUCAUGUUUGCUGCAAGACGAAGUACAAGUUCAUAAUUUGGUCUUUUGCAUGGUCCCUUAGUAAAUUAUAUUUGUCCACAUACACCACAUACAUAAAAACAGGUAGAAGCGGUUGCAUGAUGAAAAUGUCCUCUCAAUAUGCAUGCCUAUGAAUACUAUCACCAGAAAGCCAAGGACUAACAAUUAUUCAGGGGUCAAGAUUGAAGACAGACGUCCAAGAUUGGCAGUCGGCCGGCCUAAGAGGGGCAAAACCGUUGUACAUUAUAUUGUAUGGACCUAGCAAGAUCCUAAAGAUAAGUGAUAAUGGAGAUCAUGGGGGCCACCCUUAUAACCAUAUGUCCAAAUGUUCUUAUUUGUUUAUUUUUCUUUUCUCUUUUCGGAAGAAUCCAUCCUGCCUCUAUGGUCAUCCUGACCACUUCGUAUUGUUAUCUAAUCUCCUCCCUUAAUUAAUAUAAAGAAUUACCGCAGCUGAAUUCACUAAAAAAAGUAUUCAGUUUAUUUUAAUUUAUUCAACUAUUAUGGCAUAUCAAUUGGAUUGCAAGUUCUUGGCGGUUGCAUUUGAAUCAUAUUUGAUGUGCACAAAGGCUUCAGUGUCAAGGUGGUCGGACGAGUAUUUAUGUCCAUUAUAUAUGUGUUAGCUUGAGAUCAUCAGGCACCUGUUAUGCAUCUGUCCAGUUAAAAGGAUGUUCAGACUCAGGCUUGCCCUACCAUAUAUGGCUGUGACACUCUGAACCAAGCAAGUUGGUCAUAUGUGUCGAGCACUAUUAACUCUUUGGAAGAGGAUCCACCAAGUACAGGAAACAAAUCAAAUAUCUUCUUAACCUUAUCACCAGAAAAAUUAGCAAGAGAUGAAUAGUAACAUUUUAAAGAAGAAAGAUAUGUUUGAAAAGGGAUAUAUAUUAUGGCGACGAUUAGAAGAGCCCUUGACGAAUGGUGCCUAGCCUGCGAAAGUUUCUUAUGAAUAUAGUCAACACUCUAUAUCAACUGUUGUAAGAUUUUAGAAAUAUUUUUGGGGACAUAUGAUACAUGUCUAUUAUACAUAUGAUUCAACAGAAGUUUGAUUGAAUACAUAUUUAAAACGUGACUGACUUCUAUAUGGACGGAGUAUUUCACAAAGGACUCACUGCCAACUGUGUGAAUAUUCCAAGAUAGUUAGUGCACAUAAAUGUUCAAAUCCAUAGCCUGCAUAAAUAUACAAAAGCAAUGUGUUAGACCACUACACAUGCUUCUGAAAGGAGGCAAAAAAAUGUAUGCUUGAUUGAUGACCGUUCAUGCAUGAAAUUAAUUUCUGAUUUCUAAUUAUUUUGGUCAUAUAAUGGAAAUAGAGACAUUAUAAAGAUCCAACAGCAUGCUAUCACACACGUGUGAACACAGACACACACAAAUAACAUUUGCCGAGCACUCACAAAUAAAAGGUGUGGCUACUCUUGGGUGUUCUACAGCUGGCUUAAAAAAACACGUAUGAAACAUGAUCCCCAAAAAUCUGAAAUUCGCAACAUAUGAAAAUCCACCCUCAAACAUAUUUCUGGUGUCUCAAUUCUUUUAGUUUCAGAUGGUAUGUCCAGCCAAAGUAGUUGUACACAUACAUUACUAUGUUCUAUUAUUUGAGAUUCUAAGACAACAUUUAGUAACUAGCCCGUGCGAUGCACGGGUUCACGACUAGUAUAUAUAAAGCUUAAUGGUGCCUAAGAAAGCUCGCACAAUUUUACAGUGGCUGUGGAGAUGUGUUGCCAAACUGAGACAUAAGAUUUUCGUUUGGCAUCCAGAGUUGCAGACCGCUUGUGUUAUCCUUAAUCCAUGGCCACUCUAAUUUUUCCGGCUGGGCCUUCCCUGUGGUACGGCAGCAAGGCUUGCGUGUGUAUAUGUUUCCUUUAACUACCACUAGCACAUAUGCCCGUGCGUGCGUUGCAAGGGGAGAGAUAAUGGCGUAUCCACCAAUAUAUCUAGCAGCAUGACCCAACAACAUCCGAAUGAUGUCACCCGACGACGGCAGGAAGGCACACACAGAGGUCUAGUAAAAACUCAACAAUUGUACGGGCAUGGUUAAUUCGCGUGAAUUCAAGGGUGUGAGAUUAGUUAGUGUUGGUCCCACAAUUGAAUUCGGGGGCUGAUUAGUUAGUGUGGGCCCACCCUUGAAUUCACCGGGGGAGACAAAAUAAUUAGGGUGAGGAGAGAUUUACGGGGCUUGGUCCCCAGAUGCGUUGCGGCAGUCAUUAUUCGAGCAUUGCAAUGCUCGCACGUGAGGAGCUCUUUUUCCAAUUGUAUAUUGAGAAGCAUUGCUACAGAUACAAUGUUUUUGAUACGUUUUUGUACGAUGAUCCUGAUCUUAAAGGGCCUUCUAAUUUUUAAAUCUUAAAGGCAUUAUUUGUAAGUUGUCGUGAAAAAAAUCUCGCUAAAAGGGUUAUGUUAGACCAUCUUCAGUACAUUAGAAAUAACGAAUUAUAAUUCCUUGGCAUUUGAACAAACAAUCCCUACUUAUUUACACAUACAAUACUUUUGGUAUGAUUUUGAAAUCUUGAAGGCAUUAUUUGUAAGUUGAAGCAAUUUUGAAAUCUCACUAAAAGGUCUGUUAGACCAUCUAUAGCUUUAGAAAUAACUAAUUAUAAUUUUGCAAAAAAAAGAAAUAACUAAUUAUAAUUCCUUAAGCAUCUGACCGAAACGACCCCGAUUUAUUGUCUGGGUAGUAAUUCCUUUGCAACAUUAUUCUCUCCUUUCUUGAAGGAACUCUUGCCUGGGUAGUAAUUCCUUUGCCCACGUAUUUGCAAGGUUAUUCUCUCCUUCAUUUUUACAGGAGCUCUCCUUCCUUAUACUAAUUGGUCAUUAUCCUCUCCUUCCUUUUUCUUUUUGCCAAACUCUCUUUCCAUAUUUAUGCCGCUAACCACGCCACUCUUUUUCCUUAUUUAUGCCCUUUGAUCACGCCACACAUCUCAUGAAAUCUAAGCCAUAUAUAUCACCCAUCUUUUUUCCUUAUUCCGGUGCUUUCCUCACAAACAGUAGUUCUCUAGGAUGCUUAACGAUUUUGAAACAGAAACAUAUAUAAAUCGGUAGAACGGGUUGUAAAGCAGCGAGGUGGUACUAAUUUAUAAAGAAACAAACCUUUUCUUUUUGUGUAAUGAUGCCUUGGUUCGGCUGGUUGCGUUGGGAAAAGGACCGGCGAAGUGGGCGAACCAAAAACGGAUAAAAUUACGGUGGUAAGAAGCGAUAGCCCUUUUAUUAGUAGGUAUGAGGAUGUCUAGGAUGUCUAGGAUGAGGAUUUACUGCACACAAGUGCGGGGGCACUCAGGUCCUGAUGCCGCCUUUUUAUUUUGGCUUCCGAUUUUCAAACUUCUAUAUCUUUUAAACAAAAAAUUCAAUUUAAGUUACGUUUUCAUAUUCGUGCUUCUCGCGGCCAGCGCUUUCAAAUAAGAUCCAUUUUGCAUACAUUUUGGUGGCUUUUGGAAACGGGCGAAUAGCUCCUAUGCGACGUUGUUGGUGUGUAUUGUCUCUCAUGCGACGUUGUUGGCUGUAAUAGCUCUCAUGCGACAUCUGCGUUGGAAAAAAUAGCUCCCAUGCGACACACCAUUUACGCGGCUAGUUGGCUGUUAGUUAGGCUGAGGUUUGGUUAGGACACUGGGGGUUAUGUGCUCUGACUGGUGGGGUCCACCUAUGGUCACGUAGACAAGAGUCAACCGUCCACGACUCGACCUGGGACUGUGUGACCGUGCUCGACUCACCCGUGCUGGACUGAGUGAGCGGUGCCGCCGUAAGCAUCUUCUCCGACAGCGGUUUCUUCUCCGCGGUGGUGGAGCGCAUUUCUCGGCAGCGGCAGAGCUAUUGCGAGGUGAGCCCGAAACCCUAGUCCCACUCCCCAGAAUUUUGGGGGAUCUGUGGCCUCAUGCUGCCCUCUGUUUCUUGGCGAUUUAGAAUCGGGCUCCAUUGGAUCCGGGGGUUGUUUCUUCUCCGUGGCCCGGUGGUGGAGCGCCUAUCUCUGUAGCGGCUAUUGCGAGUGAGUAUUUUCCAAACACUACUCGCAUUCCACUAAAUUUUGGAUAAAUCUGUGGCCUCAUGCUGCCCCUAUUUCUUGGCGUUUUAGAAUCUCGAUUGGAUAGGAGAUGGAGCGAGGGCUGGAUGAGAUGGAGCGAGGAGACAGUGCUUCAAAUCGGUAAUGCCACACUCUUUUCUUGGCGAUUUAGAAUCGAACUCGAUUUGGUAGUGACUGCCGCCGCUGCCUGCCAUUGACAAAACAGGGGAGGUUCAAGUUCUGCCACCACAUUCACAAUUAUAGUGGAAUUUUUUCCCUGUAAAGCCAAGCUCAGUGAUGGCAGUGUCCAAGACAUUGAUAGAGAUACCACCGUGAGGUUCGAUGUCGAAUUUGCAGAUGUUGAUCCCCAGGAAUUGGAGAGCAUGAAGGAGAAGGCCGUGGGCAAUUUGGUGGAGAGAAUUGGGGAGAAUAUUGUUUGGGGUCCAGAACAAGAGGUAUGUCUGCAACGUUUCGAUAACUAUAAUGGUGAAUAUGUGAGAAUUGAAGAUGGAGAAUCCAUGGUUGCUGAAAUUGAUCAGCAAGAAGGGUGGGCAACUAAACAAGUAACAUUUUAUGCAGAGCUAAUUGAUCUACAAACUCAUUCCAGAGUUGGUUAUGUGCAAUCAAAGAGGGCUGCACAGAUGGAAGAUGAUGAGUGGGUUUCACAAAAGAAGAUGUUGGCAUUGUUGACUGAACCGACUGUAGUAGCUGAAGAUACAGGGAUUGAUGCAGAUGGAGAGGAGGGAACCCAUGGUGCUAGGAAGAUUGUUGUUGACUGGAAUGUAGUAGAGUUGAAUGAAAAAACAGAUUUGGUCAUUACACCAAUAUCUGACAUUGAUAUGGCCGAAAUGUUUGGCAUUCAAGUUGAUGACAAAGAUAAGGAGAAGGAUGACAGUUCUUUGCCUGCUGAAGGAACAUAGGCCCUAGAAAUGCAAAUGAGGAUGAAGAACAGCUGAUGAGAGAGGCUGCAGAUGAUGUGGAUGAUGCAGAUGAUAAUGAGUUGGUUUGUUUGUAUGACAAAGAGAACCCAGUUAUUGAGGUGGGAAAGUUGUGGCCAAGCAUGAAGGAGUUUAGGAUGUCUUUCAGGACCUAUGCAGUGAAAAAGAGUUUGAUGCCAAGACUAUGUGGACUGAUUGAAAGAAAUUUUAUGCUCGGUGCAAAGGUUAUGAUGGUGGUGGCAAUCCUUGCAAAUGGUACUUGUCUGCCAGACUACAACCUGAUUGAAGUACAGUAAGGGUAAAUCAAAUACCACACCAGCAUACAUGUAUGACCACUUCACAGAGAGUUUCAAAGAUGACAUCACAGCUUUGGGUUACAGAGAAGAUUACUCCUAUUUUAGCCAAGACUCCAAACACUACUGCAAAGAGGCUUAAAGUUGACUUGGAGAAGCUGUACCCCAUCCAGCUGCAAUAUACCACAGUGUGGAAAGCAAAACAAAGGGCCAUGAAAUCAUUGUAUGGUGACUGGGCAAAUACAUUUAGGAUGUUGUAUAGUUUUAAAGCAGAGGUGGAGAAGAGGUCACCUGGGAGUGUGGUGGAGAUAGAUACAGAGGUAACAGAGGAUGUCAUGGUUUUAUUCAGCAAGUUUUUUAUGUGUUUGAAGCCAUGCAUAGAUGGAUUCAAAGCAGGUUGUCGUCCAUAUUUGAGCAUAGACUCAUCUUUUUUGACUGGAAAGUGGAAUGGUCAGUUGGCUGCAUGCAAUGCUCUAGAUGGACGCAACUGGAUGUUCCCAAUUGCAAUAGGAAUGUUUCAAUCAGAGACAGAGGCAUCAUGGAUAUGGUUCAUGAUGCAACUGAAAAGAUGUAUAGGGCCAGUUUCUCCUUUAGCCAUCCACACAGAUGCAUGUAAAGGGUUCGAAAAUGCAGUAAAAAAUGUUGUCCCCCAUGCUGAGCAGAGGGAGUGCUUUGGACAUAUGUGGAUGAAUCUGAUAAAAAAAUUAGAGGAGAUGAAUUUGGGCGCAUGUGGCCAGCAGCAAGAUCCUACACCAGACAGACACAUUCCUAUCACCUUGGUAAGAUAUUGGCAUCAUGUAGUGAUAAUGAAUUUGCUUCAUGGUUGAACACCCGCCAUUCUCUGUUGUGGUAUAGAUCAGGUUUUAAUACUGCCAUAAAAUGUGAUAAUAUCAAUAACAACUUGGCAGAAAGUUUUAACAACAAAGUGAAGGAUUUGAAAGACUUGCCUGUGCAUGACAUGGUGGACCAAAUAAGGAUCAUGAUCAUGCGUUUGUGGGAGUUGAGAGGAAAAAUUGCUAAUAUUUUGGAAGGGGACAAGCUUCCAGCAGUGGUACAAUAGGUGGUCAACAGGAGUAGAAAUCUUUCACAUCUAUCUGUUGAGAAAUCUUCCUUGUGGGGUGCUGAAGUUAGAGAUACAAAGAGUGGCAAGAGGCAUGUGGUAAAUACUGAGUUGCAUGAGUGUACUUGCCGAGAGUGGCAACACACUGGAAAACCAUGUGAGCAUGCCAUACUUUUUUUGGCAUCUAAACCCAGGUUAAAUAUGCACCCAUAUUUGCAUGAGUAUUAUUCAGUACAAAAAUUCAAAGCUGCAUAUGCAAGUCCAAUUCCUGCACUGACUGACCAAUCUCAGUGGCCUGAGGUGGAAAUAGAAUUUACCUUGUGUCCCCUGUCACUAGAAGAAAGGCUGGGAGGCCUAAACAGAGCAGAUUCAAAGCUUGGUUUGAGAAAGGUGGUUGUAGUAAGAAGGGGAAAAAAGAAAAGAAAAAGAAUGAUAAGCCCAAAAGGGCUCAAAAAGGUAAGAAAAAUAGGUGCAAGUUGUGUGAGGUACUUGGGCACAGAAUUGGUUCAUCCAAGUGCAUCUAUACUCCUCAGAGGACAAAGUAUGUUCAUGUUACUGUUUUUACAAGUUUUUGAUUUUGUUACUUGUUCUAGUAUCUAACCAAGUCAAAUGCUUUAUUUUUUAGGAGGAAGCGUGCAGAAAAAGCCCCACCUCUUGUUGUUGAACAAUGCUGGCCAGUGAAAAAAGCAAGACUCAAUGGCUAUAUAGAAGGAAGAGCACUAAGCAGAUAAUGUUUGGUGACAAAGAUAUGGAGCUAACUGAAACUGUUACUGCUGAACAUGAGCUAAGUGUUUCUGUUUUGGACGAUGUGAUGCAUACUGAAUCUGUUUUGCAGACGCUAGGGCAAUCUGAAACUGUUGCAGAUGAAGCAACGGUUGUGCUGCCAUGCGAAUCUGCUUUGACAACUGUGUUGCCAUGUUUGGAGGUUGUGCUGCCAAGUGUUGAGUUGCAAACUGAAGUAGUUGAACAAUUUGUGCCAUCUACUCAAUCUGCAGAAGUGCAAACUGAAGAAGUGCAAACUGAAGAAGUGGGACAUGGUCAGGUGAAAAAGUUGAGGGGGCCUAGUGGAGUUUGCAAGGGGCCAAAAAGCAAGAGCAUCAACAUCAACAAACUAUGCGCCGUGGAACCAAACGAUGGAAAAAAGCAGAAGAAAUCGAGUGGUAGAAAGAAGCAAAAGAAAUAGAGUCGAAAUCAUUCAAAUUUGAUGUGAAAACUUAAGUUUGUUGUCAUUUGAUGUGAAAACUUAUGUUCUUUCAUGUGAAAACUUAUGUGCUAUGAUGUUGAUUUGACUUGAAAUAAAAUUCAAAUUUGAACCGACAUUCAAAUUUGAACCUAUCUCCAAAUUUUUUUGAGUUCAUUUGUUUGUUCUGUGAUGUUGCAUCGUUUUAUGUACUACUAUGCACUUUGUGAAGUCCAACUCAUAGUCACUGAAAAUGCUGUACAAACAGGCUCCAAAGUAAGGGAAAACGGCCCCAUUUCUAAGCAAGUUUUUUUCGAUCUUCUCAAAAUCACCCAAAAAAGAUUUUCUUAGCUUAUAUUAUACCUAUAUAGGAUCAAUACAAAGUCUCACCUUUUUUGAAUAAGUAUUCAUAUUAUUUAAUUUAUUUUUGAAAAAACACCCUUUAAUACAAAGUCAGCAAUAAAACAAGUUUAAAAAUUUUAAAUGCAAAAAUAACUUCAGAUCCUCCUUAGUCACUCUAAAAUGAAGCUAAGGUGAUGUUUUUUGAUUUUUUUGCAUUUUCAAAACCUCAAACCCUCUUCUCACUCCUUUGAACUCUAUGCAACCUCAGUCGAGAUAGUCCAAUUUGUGAAGGUUUUUUCAUGCAAAGAUCAUUAGAUCAAGUUUAUCAUUUUAUAUCAUAACUAUGUAACAUAAAAAGGCUAUAUGCGCAGGUUUUUCAUUUUUUAGAUUUUUUUGAAUUAGUUAUACACAUUUGAAUGUUCGGUCAAACCUUUCAAAACCCCGUUGACUGCCUCAAAACCCCAUGUAACCCUAGCGCCAAACGUCCACCGUCGAUCUAACCCUAACGCCAAACUGCGGCCGUCGGAUGGGACUUCUAGAAGGAUUCCGCGGGGGCGAUCCAUGGGCUCCAAUCUGAUUGGCCAUUGUUUUUUCUCUCUGACGAACAGAUAACGUUGAGCGGGGGAGCAUCUAAGUGACCGUUGGGCCGAGUGGAUUGGGCCUGGCAAAGCCUGGCGUGCGUGCACACGGCUGUUGAGAGGGGGGAUGGGCUGCAUGCGAGCGGGUCAAUGACAUGUGGGCCAUCCUUGUCCCAUGCAUGCCAUGCAACGUCGCAGCCUAGCUAUUCUUUGCUCGUGAAAGCCUAGCCAUUUGCAUGCGGGCUUGCAUGCACGCAUCGACGCAGAGUACGGCAAGGGUGCAGCGUAUAGGUACGUCGCAUCUAAGCUAUUUUAACAAAUGCAUGUUUGAACGAGAUGGACGCGUCGGUGGUGCAGCUCCUUUUUCAGUGUCACGCGCGGAUGAACGGGCCUGUUUCCCAUGCGGCAUCACCGCCGAUGCAAGUGCCCGUGCCUCUUUGGAUGCUCUGGCCGCCGUUUUUUGAAUUAAUGCCCGCAAUUACUUAUGCCAUGCGAACGGAGAAGAGAAAAAGAUCGAGAAGGGGCACCGUGUACACAUUGACCAUGGUUGCAAUGCGGCUAUAAAAGGGCACCAUUUCCUCAUCCUCUCACACUCAUCUCUCAAGCCUCCUCCCCUUCUUCUUUUCGAGCCAAAUCCACCACUCGAGCCACCAUGCAGUUCAACGGCCCUACCUACCGUCGCCCUUGCACCGUGCCGGAGAGGCAGUACCCAGCCGGAGUCGUCGUGGAGAACAGCCUGAGGGUGUGGGCCAUCUCUAGGUGGAGGGGCCCUAGAGAGUUGGCUCGCUUCUUCCUCCAAGCUGGCUACCGCCACCUCCCUCCGGGCACUCCGCCCAUGUUCCACCUCCACGAGCAGUACGAUGGCAAUGCCGGCCCCGACGGCUUCGUCAUCGGCCUCUAUGUCACCUUCACCAACCCCUACGACGCUCACCACCUCCCCGGGGAGGUGUUCUGGUGUGGAUGCGAGUUUAUCGCGUUCACGACCUACAACAUCUUCACCAACUUCCACCACAUCUUCCCUCACCACAACGGCAUGCACACCCUCCCCUAUCAGAUGCCGGAGGACGACGAGUGAGGGGCCCAAGGAGGAGGGUCCAAGGAGUGGCAAGGAGGAGGGGCCAAGGAGUUGUUCAAGCGGCGAGUCUUCUAUCUAUCUAGUUUGGGGCUCUAGUUUGUGUUUGUGUUGGUUCGGGCGUGUGUGCCCGUGUCUUUUAUAUAUCUAGUUUUAAUUAUUUUACUUUCAUGUUUUAUGAACUAUAUGUAGUGGGGGGAUGCCCCUCUAUAAGUUUUAUCUAUCUAUGCUACUAGGGUACCCGAUGCCCCUCUAUCUAUCUAUAUGUUUUUUCGGUCCUAAAGUUUCUCCAUUGCAUUUUAUUUAUGUGGCCAUGUGUACUAAAAAACAAUUGAUCUGGUAUCUAAAAUGUACGUUACCAAGAAAUUGACAAUAAAGAUUAUAUACUGUACUACAUAAUCAUACAGUUGGUAUACAAUGCAUUUGAAGACAAUGGGCAAGAAAAAUGCUAAUUAUCUGGUGCUGGUGACAUGCGUAAGUGUUGUCUGAUGUUUAAAUCAUGCUUGCUAUGUCAUUUUUUGCUGCCAAACAUGGCAUUAGCGAGAAAGGUCAUUUGGGCACUGAAUGUAUUAAAGUAUACACCAUAUAUAAAAAUGUCUAGCCAAAAGAUUUGGGUGUACAACUGUACACCAAUGACCAAGUAUGGAUCCGCCCCUGGUUGUAAGGGGAUGCCCCUCUAUGUUGUAAGGAGAUGCUACUAGGGGCACACUAGAUGUCUUCUUUUUUUGAGAGAGGCACAACCUUUUUCGGUUGAAACACACGAGUAAAAACUUUGAAAACACCAUAGCACAAGUAAAAAAAUAUAUUAAGAAAUGGUGCUUGGUUGAAAUAAACUAGAACCAAACAAUUGCAACUUUCUUGGUUCACAAAGACUGCUCAAAUAAUUAUCUCAAAUAGCUUAUGCAUAAAAAUAUCUCAAAUAAUUAUUAGAUGAGUUAUCUCAAAAAAGGUGACUGCAGGAAACUUAAAAUUUGUGAAAUGAUCUAAAGCCGAAAAGAUAUAUCGAUGAAUUAUCUCAAAUAGCUUAUGCAUAAAAAUAUCUCAAAUAAUUAUUAGAUGAGUUAUCUCAAAAAAGGUGACUGCAGGAAACUUAAAAUUUGUGAAAUGAUCUAAAGCCGAAAAGAUAUAUCGAUGUCAAUGACCGUGUGCACUUUUUUUGCACUCCUUUUAUCAAUGGGCCUGGAUAUGUUCUAUUCGGCCCUGCCUAACUUCUAUAUGGGCCUGGCCUUUUCGGGCAACUAUGGACGAACCUUUUUUUUCCUUUUCUCCCUCUACCACUGAAACUGAAACUGAUGACGAACUGAAGAACUAAAAAACGGGGCCGAAACAGAGUGGAGAGGACAUGCUGAAUUCGUACAACGCAACACUUUUAUUCAAAUAUACAUAUCAUUAGGAUUACAAAUGAUGCCCAAUCUAUUCACUUACGACUAAUUAUCAUCACAUAAACAAAUGCGAGAGCAAUUACACAAACAUAAAAAAGUCCGGCCAUCAGCCCCAUCAAAUUGCCCUGCUUCUGCAAUUUGAUGAGUUUCUUCAUCUGCUUGUUUAGCUUCUUCAGCUCUGCCGUCACUACUGCAUCCCCCACAGUAGCCCCAAUGGAAUGGGCACAUCCAGGGGCCCCAGAUCCAGAAGCGCCCGAUCCAAACUUGCCCAACUUCUCCACCUCCAGCGGUAAAUCGAGCUCCCCUGAUGCACCCUCCAGUUGAAUCCGCUCUAUGUACUCAUUUAGCCACUCAAAAUGGGUGCAUUGCUUCAAUUUCUGAAAUUGGAAAGAUGAACCCUAAAUCCCAAAUCCGAUGAAAAAUGGGGAAAAAUUGUGAUAUGAAAUUGGGAUACAAAAACCAAAAUUGGCAUAUUGAGAAGUAAAAUCUCACCUUUCCCUGCUCUGGUUUGCUCUCGCAUUUCACGAAUUCCCGCCCAAGGUUGCCAUUCUUGUCGGUCGUUGUGACUAGCCGCUUCAGGGGUGUGAUACGUGGGCCUGCAGGGCACCUUGUCAUGGGCACUGCGCCAUAGCGCGGCCAUGAGCGGCGGGAGGCUGAAGCGGAGCUCGACAUUGCUAGGUCGCGGCCCGGAACGGCGUUGCUGCGCGUCGUCGCCGGAGAAGAAGAACAACAACGGUCGGGGAGGGGGGGUGGGGGCGGGGGCGAGGAUGGGCCACGGCUCGGGCCACGGCUCGGUGUCCUCUUGUACCAAUGCUGACCUGGAUAAGUUAGUGGGUCCCACGCAGUGGGUCCCGCUCACCUGACCAAUGCUGAGUUGGAUAAGUUAGUGGGUCCCGCGCUGUGGGUCCCGCUCACCUGAUUCGAGUUUUAAACAUGUGUCUUUGGAUUAGACAGCAGUGUCGCAUGGGAGCUAUUUUUUCCUAUGCAGAUGUCGCAUGAGAGCUAUUACAACCAACAACGUCGCAUGAGAGACAAUACACACCAACGAUGUCGCAUAGGAGCUAUUCGCCCUUUGGAAACAUUGCUAAGUUUCAUUGUUUGAAACUUAGUACGAGCGACCGAUAAAAUUUAAUUAUUUUGUGUCUACGACCAACAGGAGAAAUUGCUUAAAAUUACAUCUUUGAAACUGGUCAUUUUUUGAUGCAAAAAUGUAAGUUUCAUCAUUGAAACUUAAGGGCAUGUCCAAUGCUGGAUGCUUAUCCAGGCGCUUAUCGUGUGGAAAAAAAAAAUGCCACGAAGUUAGCUCUCGCUUGUCCAACAGCCAAUGCUAACAACGGGCGCUAACCACGGCUGGAGCUAUAGAUUAGAAAGAAAGAUCUGGUUCACUUGUACGUGAAAAAAGGAGCAAGCGCUCGAUGCCUUGCUUUGCAUCGAUGCCAGACUGAGGUGCUGGGAAUCGACAAGAUAACCGCCAAUCUACCAGGAUUAAAUUCCUAGCGCCUUCUUCUAGCGCCUCCCACUGAAAAUGCCCUAAAGGUUUUUGAGGGAUUUUUUUACUGUGUCCUACUUCACGUAUCACGAGGCAAAUCAAGUAGGCGGCAUGGCCUGGCCGGUGAGUGCCAUUGCACUUACUUGCCCCAGCGAUUUUCCGCCUGCAUUGUAGAAUUCUUUCUCCGAGUCCUGUGAAUUAAAGAUGGUGCAGACAAAAGUAUAUCCUAUAUGCGUACAUGUGCAUGAUCAGAACAUGUUUUUACGUGCGUCUACUAUAAAUCAUGACCAUUUUUAACACAAAUCAUGACCAUUCAUGAUUAGUGAAUCAUACUGUCUUAACUUAUGUGAAAUCAUGUGGAGUAAUAUAAUAUAAUAUAAUAGAUAGAUAGAUCCAUGUUGUAUCAUUACACAUUUUGAUUUAUGCAUUUGUUUACAAAAAAAACAGUAAAAUUUCAUGGUGAAAAGUUUGUAUUGUUUCAUACUGAACACCAAUGUUUUCCCGUAAAAGAAAAUAAUGCCUACGCAUAUGCUUUUAUAUUAUUAUUAUUCUUUCAAACUUAUUCAUAUAGUAUUUUUGAUUGUGCAACCAUAAUUUUUAUUAUCUCUCUUGUUCCACUACAUGCUCUUACUCAAUGAUUUUUUUAUAAUGGGUGUUUUUAUUAACUCAAAAUAUAGCAUCAAGCGGAUACAAAACAUAACGAGCCACGUCCGGUCUCUGCAUAACUAAGAUGCACACAGCCAAAAGCAGAAGUCUGACAAAAAUAAGAUAAGAAAAUCAACAUAUCGACAACAGUGAGUCAUAUAGUUCCGACACUAUGCCUCUGUUGAAGGACGGGGUGGAGCGAUCUGGAGAUUAUGCUUCCCUCCAUUUUGAGUAAAUACCUCCCUGGCCACUUGUUCCAACCGCAUAGACGCCGCCACGAAUAAUGGUUGGUACUCUGUUCGGUGUAGCAUACACCAUGUAGGAAGUGAGUGCUCACUCCUAGUUACUAAAUUAUGUACACACUAGUAGAAAAAGGGCCAUUUGUCCCGGUUCGUAAGGCCCAUUUGUCUCAGUUAGGGAACCGGGACUAAAGGGUCGGUACUAAAGCCCUACACCUUUAGUCCCGGUUCUUACACCAACCGAGACAGAUGGGGCUCCACGUGGCCGCUGCGGCUUGCCAUGGCAGGGGGGCCUUUUGUCCCGGUUGGUAGCACCAACCGGGACCAAUAAGCUACCACGCGUCAGCAUUUGAGGGGCUUGGGUUUUUGUUUUUUUCUGAAGGGGGGGAGGGGGGUUGGGGGUUUUGGGGGGUUUUGUAUGGUUAAUUUUGGGGGGUUUCAUAUAUAGUGUUAGGUAGUAAUUAAUUAAUAGAGAGAAGUGUCCUCUCUUAUCUCCGUGCUUGGUCGACGCUACGUACUAUACGUAUAGAGAGGCCCUCGACACGCUUGCCAGUAAGCAAAUGAAGGAAACCAUUAAGUACAGAAGUUCGUCAUGAACAUAUGCAUACAAACAUAAGUGAUAUCGACCUCUCCUUCUCCGAGAGAUAGGUCGAAGAACAAGUUUCCGUAUAUCUAUCCGGCGCUACUAGCUACAUAUAUACAAUAUUAAGAUCUCUUACAAUAUAAUCCCCUAAUUAUAUAUGAACUCAGCUUCCAGAUGGUAUUCUCCGGCUUUAUUGAUGACGUGGUCAAGAAAGAAUCCCUCCAAUUCCUCUUGAAUUGCUUUGAUGCGAUCUUGUGGUAGGAGUUCAUCCUGCAUCUGCCACAUCUAAUUUGAAGAAGGGGGUCAAUCACUAGUGGAAUAACAGCCAUUUGUCUAGGUUCGUAAGGCUCAUUUGUCCCGGUUGGGGAACCGAGACUAAAGGGUCGUUACUAAAGCCCUACACCUUUAGUCCCGGUUGUCGGUGUCAAAACCGGCGGAUCUCGGGUAGUGGGUCCUGAAUUGUGCGUCUAGGCCGGAUGGUAACAGGAGGCAGGGAACACGAUGUUUUACCCAGGUUCGGGCCCUCUUGAUGGAGGUAAAACCCUACGUCCUGCUUGAUUAAUAUUGAUGAUAUGGGUAGUACAAGAGUAGAUCUACCACGAGAUCAAGGAGGCUAAACCCUAGAAGCUAGCCUAUGGCAUGAUUGUUGUGUAUGGAGUUGAUUGCCUACGGACUACAACCCUCCGGUUUAUAUAGACACCGGAUAGGGUUAGGGUUACAUAGAGUCGUUUACAAUGGUAGGAGAUCUUGAAUAUCCGCAUCACCAAUCUUGCCUUCCACGCCAAGGAAAGUCCCAUCCGGACACAGGACGAAGUCUUAAAUCUUGUAUCUUCAUAGUCCAGGAGUCCGGCUGGACGUAUAGUCCGGCUACCCGAACACCCCCUAAUCCAGGACUCCCUCACCGGUUCUUACACCAACUGGGAGAGAUGGGCCUCCACGUGGCCGCUGCGGCGAGCCCAGGUAGGAGGUCCUUUGGUCCCCGUUAGUGACACUAAUACGUCUCCAACGUAUCUAUAAUUUUUGAUUGCUCCAUGCUAUUAUGUUAUCCAUUUUGGAUGUUAAUGGGCUUUAUUUUACACCUUUAUAUCAUUUUUGGGACUAACCUACUAAUCGGAGGCCUAGCCCAAAUUGCUAUUUUUUGCCUAUUUUAGGUUUUUGAAGAAGAGGAAUAUCAAACGGAGUCCAAACGGAAUGAAACCUUCGGGAACGUGAUUUUCUCAACGAACAUGAUCCAGGAGACUUGGAGUGUGCGCCAAGAAAUAAGGGAGGAAGGCACGAGGCAGGGGGGCGCGCCUACCCCCCUUGAGCAUGCCCUCCACCCUCGUGGGCCCUCCACUGCUCCACCGACGUACUUCUUCCUCCUAUAUAUAUCCACGUACCCCCCAAACAACCAGGAGCACCACGAAAACCUAAUUCCACCACCGCAACCUUCUGUACCCGAGAGAUCCCAUCUUGGGGCCUUUUCCGGAGGGGGCAUCGAUCACGGAGGGCCUCUACAUCAACUGCAUGGCCUCUCCGAUGAUGUGUAAGUAGUUUACUUCAGACCUACGGGUCCAUAGUUAUUAGCUAGAUGGCUUCUUCUCUCUCUCUUUGGAUCUUAAUACAAAGUUCUGCUCGAUUUUCUUGGAGAUCUAUUCGAUGUAAUCUUCUUUUGUGGUGUGUUUGUCGAGAUCCGAUGAAUUGUAGGUUUAUGAUCCAGAUUAUCUAUGGACAAUAUUUGAUUCUCCUCUGAAUUCUUUUAUGUAUGAUUCGUUUAUCUUUGCAAGUCUCUUCGAAUUAUCAGUUUGGUUUGGCCUACUAAAUUGAUCUUUCUUGCAAUGGGAGAAGUGCUUAGCUUUGGGUUCAAUCUUGCGGUGUUCGAUCCCAGUGACUGAAAGGGAAGCGAUAUGUAUUGUAUUGUUGCCAUCGAGGAUAAAAAGAUGGGGUUUAUAUCAUAUUGCAUGAGUUUAUCCCUCUACAUCAUGUCAUCUUCCUUAAAGCAUUACUCUGUUCUCUUGAACUUAAUACUCAAGAUGCAUGCUGGAUAGCGGUCGAUGUGUGGAGUAAUAGUAGUAGAUGCAGAAUCGUUUCGGUCUACUUGUCUGGGACCUGAUGCCUAUAUACAUGAGCAUACCUAUAUAUUCUCAUAACUAUGCUCAAUUCUAUCAAUUGCUCGACAGCAAUUCGUUUACCCACCGUAAUACUUAUGCUCUUGAGAGAAGCCACUACUGAAACCUAUGGCCUCGGGGUCUAUCUUCUAUCAUAUUAAUCCUCCAAUACUUAGUUAUUUAUAUUUCUAUCUAUUUUACUUUCCAUCUUUUAUUUCUCUUUAUCAUAAAAAUACCAAAAAUCUUAUCUUAUCAUAUCUAUCAGAUCUCACUGUUGUAAGUGACCGUGAAGGGAUUGACAACCCCUUUAUCGCGUUGGUUGCGAUGUUCUUAUUUGUUUGUGUAGGUUCGUGGGACUUGAGCGUGAUCUCCUACUGGAUUGAUACCUUGGUUCUCAAAAACUAAGGGAAAUACUUACGCUAAUUUACUUCAUCACUCUUUCCUCUUCAAGGGAAAACCAACGCAAUGCUCAAGAGGUAGUGUCGGUGUCAAAACCGGCGGAUCUCGGGUAGUGGGUCCCGAACUGUGCGUCUAGGCCGGAUGGUAACAGGUGGCAGGGAACACGAUGUUUUACCCAGGUUCGGGCCCUCUUCAUGGAGGUAAAACCCUACGUCCUACUUGAUUAAUAUUGAUGAUAUGGGUAGUACAAGGGUAGAUCUACCACAAGAUCAAGGAGGCUAAACCCUAGAAGCUAGCCUAUGGUAUGAUUGUUGUAUAUGGAGUUGAUUGCCUACGGACUACAACCCUCCGGUUUAUAUAGACACCGGAUAGGGUUAGGGUUACAUAGAGUCGGUUACAAUGGUAGGAGAUCUUGAAUAUCCGCAUCGCCAAGCUUGCCUUCCACACCAAGGAAAGUCCCGUCCGGACACGGAACGAAGUCUUCAAUCUUGUAUCUUCAGAGCCCAGGAGUCCGGCUGAAGGUAUAGUCCGGCUAUCCGAACACCCCCUAAUCCAGGACUCCCUCAGUAGCCCCUGAACCAGGCUUCAAUGACGACGAGUCCAGCGCGCAAAUUGUCUUCGGCAUUGCAAGGCGGGUUCCUCCUCCAAGUCCUUCAUAGAAGAUUGUAAGCACCAAGAGUAGUGUCCGGCUCUGCAAAAUAAGCUUCCACAUAUCGCCAUAGAGAGAAUAAUAUUAACACAAAUCAAAUCUGCUGACGUAUUCCGCAGUGCGUCAUCACACUACAGCCAAGUCCUUCACUCGAAUCGUUUUCACUUUUCCACCUCAGCGUGUUUUGCGAGGCGGUUUCCUUGGCACGUCUUGUCAAAGCAGAGAUCGUGUCCCCCUUGUUUACGGGAUUCUCGUUAAUACGGACGUGGGUAACCCAACCGCGCCACUUAUCACGGCGCUUGGGAGGCAAGCGAGUUUUACUAGGCUGGUGGGGACGCAUAGUCGCAUCCGCCCAUAUAAGGGGAUAAGGAUCCACCUUUUUACCUACGCCUUCUUCCUCCUUUGCCUAGCCAUCUUCUGCGCACCCGAGCUCUAGCGCCCCAGCCCGCGCUUCCUACCUCAACCCUCUCCAACAAUGUUCGGAGCGGGAGGCAAGUGGAUGGUCUCCUCCGUCACGGAGGGCCAUGUCAAAAGGUUAAGGAAGGCCGGAUACUUGUCCAAAGACAUCGCGCACCGGCUUCCUGAGGAGGGGCAGCUUCUCCCCACCCCAAGGCCCCAUGAGAGGGUAGUAUUUCUUCCCCACUGCCUCCGCGGACUGGGUUUUCCUCUCCACCCAUUUGUCCGCGGGCUCAUGUUCUACUAUGGCCUAGAUUUCCACGAUCUGGCCCCGUACUUCAUCCUCAAUAUCUCGGCGUUUAUCAUCGUGUGCGAGGCUUUCCUCUGCAUUCGCCCCCAUUUCGGCCUCUGGCUCACGACCUUCAACGUCAAGCCAAAGGUGGUGCGCGGUAACCAGGCGGAGUGCGGAGGUGCCAUGGCGGGCAAAAUUGCCAACGUCCUAUGGCUCGAGGGCUCCUUUGUGGAGACCUUGAAGGGGUGGCAGUCAGGGUGGUUUUACAUCACCGAGCCACGCGAUCCGAAGUGGAUCGCAGCCCCUGAAUUCCGAUCCGGACCCCCUACGCGGCUCAUGUCCUGGAAGGAGACGAGCUUGUCGUGGGGCGACGAAGGAGAGUUGACCAGACUGCAAAAAUGCAUCCAGUCCCUGGUGAACAAGCAGCUCAAGCUUGUCAACGUAAUCUAGGUCAUGCUCGUCCGCCGGAUUCUUCCGUGUCAAGAACGGGACUUCAAUUUGUGGGAGUUCAACCCGGCGCAACACCGAACUCUGAGAAGGCUCUUCAACACGACGUACGAAGAUGUCUGGAGGGGGCUAACCAAAGGCGCCGAGACUCCCACAUCCGCCUCCGAAGACCGCGGAUUCAGCUCGCAGCGUCCUGCUGGCGAGGUAAGAUAUUUCCAUCUUUUACAGGAUGUUAAGCUUUUUCAUAGUUGACUCUAUGCGGGAUCAAAACUCCCUCACCUUUGACAGGAUUGGCGGGAGAAGUCCGGACAGAUUAAAUGCCCGGCUCCCUUGCCCGAAGACCUAGCCCCUGCUCUCCUAGAGAAGCUGCUGGUUUCGGCACCUUAUGUGGUGCCGGAGAAGAGGGCCAAGAAGAAGAAGGCCACGGGGACUCGAAAGAGUUCCUGGCAUAUGGUGGUGUCGGACUCGUCGUCCGACCAGUCCGAGACGCACUCCUCCCGUGAAGACGAGGAGGAAGAGUGUCGGACUCGUCGUCCGACGAGUCCGAGACGCACUCCUCCCGUGAAGAGGAGUGGCCGGACUACGUCCCCGACGCCGACGAGGACGAAGAGGAGUGGCCAGACAGGGCCAAGCAUCCGGCGAGAUCGUAAGUGUUCGGAUACCAGAGUAACUCGUGAUAUUCCUUUUGUUGCACAGCUUUCCCUAAUGUCGGAUAUAAUCAUGCAGUCCGCCCAAGGAUGGGCUCGACGAGUCGUCGAGCGGCUCCCUGGAUUCAUCGGACGUGAAUUCAGUUCCGCCUACUGCUUCCCCCUGUGCUGCAGAUGACGCCGAAGUGGCGUCGCGACAAGCUCCGGGACGAGAGGAGGUGGUCCAGGAGGAGUCGCGAGGUGACCUCCCGGACUCCAGGAGUGAAGGGGACAAGACCCCCCUGGGAUCCAAGUUCGGCUUUAAGCCGGACACUGAGAUGGAAUCAUCAACAGUUCCGGACUGCGGUAGGCGAACUCCUACCAGGAGGAGCAAGCCUACUGAGCCGGCAUCCUCCGUCCAGCCGGAGGCGCCGGACAAUCUGCUGGAGGAGCUUAAGGGCGCCUCCACCGACGAGGAGCACCGUGCCGUCAUGAGUACGGUGAUCCAGAAGGUUCGGUCCGCCAAAAGCGGACUGACUGAAGCUUGUGCUGGCCUUCUAACAGGCUUCGAGGUAAGUAAAAAUAUGUAAAAAUAUUACCGUAUAGACAGUAGCCCCUGAUGCUCUGUUUGGCGUUUGUAAAGAAAAGCCAAAUAGAGGAUCUAUUAAAUAUCGCAGGAGUCUAACUAAAAAGGAGUCAAUAUAUGUAUGCAGGCUUCGCUGCUGGCCACCGCCGCACUGACUGCGGAGGUGGGUGCCCUGAAGGAGGGCCUCCAGCGGACCGAGCAAGAGCUCGGCCUUGCCAAACGGCAGCUCGAGGAAAAAGAAUGUAAGAGAUACCUUACAGAAAAAGUGCCUAUAAAAAGGCUUGAUUGCAAAAAGAGUAGCAGGAUUGUACUGCUUAUUGUAGGGGCCACGACUGAGGUGGCGACCUUUAAGCAGGUGUUGUCUGAGGCCGAAAAGAAAACGGCCGCGGAGCGCACCGAGCGAGACAGACUUGGGGCUCAGGUCAGCGAGGUGCAGCAAGAGCUUCAGGCUCUCAUGAAAAAACAUGAGAGUUUGAAGCUGGAGUCGAAGGCGCAAGCAUCCGAGCUUGCAACGGCCCUAGAGGCUGCCAAGUCUACCAAGGCCGAUGCCCUAAAGACCCUCCAAGAGUUGGAGGAGAUGAGGAAGAUAGCAACGGGUAAGGCAUUCUUUAUGCAAAGCAGAAAUAUAAAAGUGAACUACCUGUUACUUACCCGAAUCCGAAGCUCUCCAGGGGCAUUCGCAGAUCUUCCCUGCAGCGUAUCCGAUGCCGCCGCAUUAUACCAAGCUGAAGAGGGUAGCUCGACGGAGAAGGUGUUCUGGUUUCAGUAUUCUGAGGCCGGACACCCUGUGCCCUUGAGCAACCAGCUGAAACAGCUGGUUGAGCUCCACAAGGCGGCCAAGCAGGCCAUGAAGGGCUUCAUAGUUCGGCUGUGGCCUGGAGAGGCCCUACCUGGGAGCUAUCUCGGGCUGGUGCGGCGGCUGGUGGAGGCCUGUCCGAGGCUUGAGGUCAUCAAGUGCUCCGUCUGCAUCGAUGGUGCCCGUCGGGCCCUUGCCCGUGCAAAGGUGCACUGGGGUAAGCUGGACGGUGAGAAGCUUGUGAAGGACGGGCUGCCGCCGGGGAAGGAGCAUCGCAAGCCCGAGAACUACUACAAGGAUGUUCUUGCAGGUGCCCGCCUUAUGGCGGAUCAAUGUACCAAGGAUGUGAUAUUUGAAUGAACUCGCUCGUGUUUAUCUUGUGCGCUGAAAACUUGUUCAUAUGUGCUAAGCAAUGCUUAUUGAAUUUAAAAUAUUACUUUCUGUGCGGCCAUUUAUCAAAAAUUGAGAGAUGGCCAGUCGUCGGCUUCUGCCCCCGUGCCACUAGUGCUGGGGUGUUCGGGAUAAACCUGAGCGCUCUUUUUCCCAUAGUUGGGUCCUUCGAGGGAGGCGCUCAGCACAACGAACCAGGCAAUCGGACUAUAAUGCUUGAACACUCUCACUUAGCCAUAGAGCUCUAUAAUUUUAAAUUUCGGUGAAGCCCGUAGUUCGGAAGACCGAGUUCGGGGCGCUAUCCACGCCUUGGCCGGACAAAGCCGGCUCCUCGCUCGAAGCGGCAUAAGCCUUUAGGGACUCGAAAAACCUCUCGAACAGCGAUCGGUCUCUCGCCACAUCAUGACAGUCAGUUUUAGCUUUCUCCACUCAGGUGCUUAACCCAGGUGAACCGGGGCACAAUCGCAGUGGUUCUCCUAGUGCUACCUUAGCCGAUAGAGCGGAACGUAAGGCACCAAAACAUAGGAGCCACGCAAACCCAACUAUUGACCCAAAUCAUGAUUCGGAGCCGAUGCAUAUAGUGCUAUAAGUUCGGGGUGCCGCACUUGUGAAAGUGUACGGACUUCUCACACCAUUAUGAGCGGUACUGAAGCCCCUGGCAUGUUUGCCAUACCAUGGUGUACGGGUGCAAUCAUGUCAUUUAAUAAACAUAAAUGUGAAAAGAAGAUAAUGCAAAAAAUAGACUAGAAGCUAAGCAUUGUUUAUAGAGAGGCUAUUUAUCAAAGCCGAACGAUACAAAUAGUGCGGUAAGCAAAAGAUAUUGGACUAUUCAGUAUGUCCUGACCAGGGGCAGGCCGCGGAAUUGUAUUUAAAACAGGUAUACCGCUCGUAACAGAGACCACCUGGGAGUUCCAUAAUGCGUCAUGGCUUGUCUGCCUCCCUGGAUCUUGCAUCGUUUGUGCGGCAGUCGAAUUGCCGAACAGGUCGUCCGAAGUAUGGAGUCCUGAAAGAAGAAAAAAUUAAAAAAAGAAUCCGGCAGCCCCUAGUACGUAUUAAGCCGUAUUUUGGGCGUGUUGUUAUUGUGCCCCUUCCCCUGUGCCCAUGGUAUUUCAAGGGCGUAGUUAUGUACGUGAGGUACUGGUUUCGCUAUGUUGCGAAAGCUGGGGUUGGGGCCGCAUUGCUACGCUUGCUUAGAGUGUGCCAGGCAGUGUCUGGCUUUUUAAUGGCCGGACUGGAGAAUUGCCUGAGAAGGCUACUUUGUACCUCCGCUGCGAGAGCCGCCGUAUGCUCCUCCAUAUGGAGGGAGCGUUCGGUGUUUCCGUUGAACGUAAUUACUCCUUGAGGGCCUGGCAUCUUGAGCUUGAGAUAUGCGUAGUGCAGCACCGUGUUGAUCUUUGCGAAUGCGGUUCGUCCGAGCAGGGCAUGAUAGCCACUGCGAAACGGUACUAUAUCGAAGAUUAACUCUUCGCUUCGGAAAUUGUCCGGGGAUCGGAAGACCACAUCAAGUGUUACUGAGCAUGUACUGUUGGCUUCUACACCUGGUAUAACGCCUUUAAAGGUCGUUCUUGUGGGCUUAAUCCUUGAGGGAUCUAUGCCCAUUUUCUGCACUGUAUCCUGAUAAAGCAGGUUCAGGCUACUGCCGCCGUCCAUGAGGACUCUUGUGAGAUGAAAUCCGUCGAUGAUCGGGUCGAGAACCAAUGCGGCGAAGCCGCCAUGACGGAUGCUAGUGGGAUGGUCCCUUCGAUCGAAAGUGAUCGGGCAGGAGGGCCAUGGGUUGAACUUUGGGGCGACUGGCUCCAUCGCAUAUACGUCCCGUAGCGCAUGCUUCCGCUCCCGCAUGGGAAUGUGGGUUGCGUAUAUCAUGUUCACCGUCCACACUUGUGGGGGAAAGCCCUUCUGUCCAUUGUUGUUCGGCGGCUUGGGCUCCUCGUCGUCGCUGUGCAGCCCCUUGUCUCUGUUUUCGGCCCUUAACUUGCCUGCCUGCUUGAACACCCAACAAUCCCUGUUAGUGUGAUUGGCUAGCCUUUCGGGGGUGCCAUGUAUCUGGCACAAGCGAUCGAGUAUUCGGUCCAAACUGGACGGGCCCUGAGUAUUCUUUUUGAAUGGCAUUUUCCGCUGACCGGAUUUAUAGCCUUUGAAUCCGGCAUUGACUGCCGUGUCUUCAUUGCUGUCGCUGCUAACGCGGCGUUUUUGCUUAUUCCGAUGUGUCCUACCACUUUUGUCCUUGGUAUCCGAAUUACCAGGGUGCUUUGAUAAGUUGUUACUGCGAGCUAGCCAGCUGUCUUCUCCCGCGCAAAAGCGGGUCAUGAGUGUCGUGAGGGCUGCCAUGGAUUUCGGCUUUUCCUGUCCCAGGUGCCAGGCAAGCCACUCGUCGCAGAUGUUGUGCUUCAAGGCUGCCAGGGCCUCUGCGUCCGGACAGUCGACUAUCUGGUUUUUCUUUGUUAGGAACCGUGUCCAAAAUUGUCUGGCCGAUUCCUCUGGCUGCUGAAUUAUGUGGCUUAAGUCGUCGGCAUCCGGUGGUCACACGUAAGUGCCCUGGAAGUUGUCGAGGAAUGCGGCUUCCAGGUCCUCCCAAGAACCGAUUGAGUCUGCUGGCAAGCUGUUAAGCCAAUGCCGGGCCGGUCCUUUAAGUUUGAGCGGGAGGUAUUUGAUGGCGUGUAGAUCAUCGCCGCGUGCCAUGUGGAUGUGAAGGAGACAAUCCUCGAUCCAUACCGCCGGAUCUGUUGUGCCAUCGUAUGAUUCGAUGUUUAUGGGUUUGUAGCCCUCUGGGAUUUUAUGAUCCAUUACUUCAUUCGUGAAGCAUAGCGGGUGUGUGGCGCCUCUGUAUUGGGCUAUAUCACGACGUAGCUCGGAAGAGCUAUGUCUGUUGUGUUCGGCCCGGCCGGAUUUGUUGUAUCCAGAGUGAAGAUCAUUUUCCCGUGCCUUAGUUGAGAGGUGUCGGGGCAUGGCUUGGGUGGAGGGCCGAGACGCCUCUCUGUCGCGGCCGCGAGGUGGCCGGUCUGCCAUGUCAUGCGCUGGUGAUGUAGGUGCUUCCUCCUCUGAUCGGGGUAGCGGCCUAUGCUUCGGGUAACUCUUGGAGGGGCGUUCGAGUUCAUACUCUUCGGCCGCAAGGACUUCAGUCCAUCUGUCAGCUAGCAAAUCUUGGGCAGCUCUAAGUUGUUGCUGCUUUUUCUUGAGGCUGCUUGCCAUGGCUAAAAGCCUGCGUUUAAAAAGCUCUUGUUCGGCGGGGUCUGAUGGUAUGACGAAUUCGUCGUCAUUGAGGCUUGCCUCGUCUUCGGAGGGAGGCGUAUAGUUAUCAUCCUCGACCUUUCCGUCUGCCGCUCUCUCAUCAGGGCUGGCUUCUCCAUCUUCCUGUGCCGAAUCUUGCUGAGGUGGGUGUUCUUCGGCGCUAUCCGGGGUAGUAUUAUCUCUCAUGUCGGAAUCACCGUUUUUGCUUUGGCGGGAUUUAGAGCGGCGCCGCUGGUGCCGGCGCUUUGGCUGUUUCUUGGGGGCGUCAUCCCCCACUGUUCCAUCGCCAUCUCCAUCUUUUGGAGUAUCCACCAUAUAUAUGUCAUAUGAUAAGGUGGCCUUCCAGCGCCCUACAGGUGCUGGUUCCUGUUCGUCUCCUACAUUGUCGUCCAUGCCGUCGAUGUCUUUGGAGCUGAAGUCAACCAUGUAGGUUAGACCGUCGAUAAUGGCUACAAAGUGGGUGGUGGGUGGGCUUUGAAUUUCCUCAUCGUAUGUAUCCCACCCUCGCUGACCGUAGUCCGGCCAGGGCUCUCCUGAUAAAGAGAGAGACUUAAGAGAAUUCAGGAUGUCGCCAAAAGGCGAAUGCUGAAAGAUGUCUGUAGCGGUGAACUCCAUUAUCGGCACCCAAUCGGAUUCGAUUGGCAGGGGCGCGGGGGGUUCGGAGUCCGGGGAGGAGUCCGGAUCCUCGGAGUCACGGGUCGUGCAGAGUGCGGGGCUAGCGUUCGGCUCGAUCGCUUUCGGGAUCGCAGCCCCCGAGGUGACGUCCAACCGCUCAUCCUCGAUUGGCGCAAUAGGUUCCGAGUUAGGGGUCGGAACCGAUGCGUGUGCGGCCUCCAGGACACUGGCCGGGGGCAGAGCUAGAUCAUGCCCCUCGGGAUAGUGCGGCGUGCUUGGCCGUGGCUCGAGCCCGUCGAAGAUCAAGUCUCCGUGGAUGUCAGCCGUGUAGUUUAAGCUUCCAAACCUGACUUGAUGGCCAGGGGCGUAGCUUUCGAUCUGCUACAGGUGGCCGAGCGAAUUGGCUCAUAGAGCGAUGCCGCCGAAGACGAAGAUCUGUCCGGGGAGAAAAGUCUCACCCUGGACCGCAUCGUUGUUGAUGAUCAAAGGAGCCAUCGGGCCUAAAGGCGACGAGACAGAGGAACUCUCAAUGAAAGCACCAAUGUCAGUGUCAAAACCGGUGGAUCUCGAGUAGUGGGUCCCGAACUGUGCGUCUAGGCCGGAUGGUAAUAGGAGGCAGGGAACACGAUGUUUUAUCCAGGUUCGGGCCCUCUUGAUGGAGGUAAAACCCUACGUCCUGCUUGAUUAAUAUUGAUGAUAUGGGUAGUACAAGAGUAGAUCUACCACGAGAUCAAGGAGGCUAAACCCUAGAAGCUAGCCUAUGGUAUGAUUGUUGUAUAUGGAGUUGAUUGCCUACGGACAACAACCCUCCGGUUUAUAUAGACACCGGAUAGGGUUAGGGUUACAUAGAGUCGGUUACAAUGGUAGGAUAUCUUGAAUAUCCACAUCGCCAAGCUUGCCUUCCACGCCAAGGAAAGUCCCGUCCGGACACGGGAUGAAGUCUUCAAUCUUGUAUCUUCAUAGCCCAGGAGUCCGGCUGAAGGUAUAGUCCGGCUACCUGAACACCCCCUAAUCCAGGACUCCCUCAGGUAGCAAGAUGGAUUUCUGGCGCCAUUGCCGGGGAGAUUCGCGCCAAGUCAAGACAUACCAAGUACCCAUCACAAACCCUUAUCCCUCGCAUUACAUUAUUUUCCAUUUGCCUCUUGUUUUCCUCUCCCCCACUUCACCCUUGCCAUUUUAUGCGCCCUCUCUUUUUCCGUUCCCCUCUUUUCCACUUGCUUUGUCGUUAUGGCUAGUCCUUUAUCUACUCCUUUGUCUCCCGAGAAUGAAGUUCUUAAUUUUAAACAAAGGGAGGGAGAAAAUCUAAAAGAUGCUUGGUACAGAAUUUGCAACACACAAAUUAGAUCUACUAGGAAACAAUCUACUUUUGUUCUUCUUCACGAUUUUUAUGUAGGCAUCACACCUUGGAAUAGAUAUAUUCUUGAUGCCAUUACCGGAGGGAAUUUCUUGGGUAGCCAUACUUUUGAUUCUUAUAAUGCUAUGAUAGAUCUGUUUGGCCCACCACCUCUUUUGGUUAAUGGAACUAUUUUAACUUUGGAACAUGUGAUGCAAUGGCUUGAAAUUAGUGAAAAUAAAGUUGCCACCAUAGAGUUAAUUGAAAAUUUGGAUAGAAAGAUCCAUAACCAAAUUACCCAAUACGGAUCUAAGUUAGGAGUUGCUCUUAAAAGUUUUAAAGAAAAGGGACCUAUGGUUAAUGAAAAGAUAGAAAAGGAUUCCACUAGAAUUGAUAAAAUUGAGGAUAUUAUUACCAACCUUGGGUCUUCCUUUUCUUCUAUUAUAAAUACUCCGCCUAAUGCUAAGAUUGCCAAACUAAUGUAUGUUACAAAAAAUAAGGGUGAAACUUCUAAUAAGGAAAAUGCGGAUCUCAAAUCCAUAAGUGUUCACCCCAAUUUUCUCACUAUCCUUAAGGAACCUUUUGCUACAAAUGAUUUUCUUGAUUUCAUACCUAGGAGUUUGAUAAUUAAUAAAAACAAAGAAACUCCUAAAAGUUAUUGGUGUGUUAUUGAAGAAUCACCUUCCAAAGACGGCAAUACCUAGGUCUAUCUUCGCUUUUAUGCCUAGCUAGGGGCGUUAAACGAUAGCGCUUGUUGGGAGGCAACCCAGUUUUACUUUUAUUCCUUGAUGUUUGCUCCUAUUUAGUAAUAAAUAAUUUAUGUAGCCUAUGUUUUGGUUGUGUUUUUUGUGUUUAAUUUGUGUUUGUGCCAUGUAGAACCAUUGGGUAGACUUGGGGAAAGUCUUUUUGAUCUUGCUGUAAAAAACAGAAACGUUAGCGCUCACGAGAAUCGCUGACAUUUUUAUUUGGAAAGUGAUAUUUAGAUAAUUCUUUUUGCGGAUGAUUAAUAGAUAAAUUCCUCACGUCCAGCAAUUUAUUUUAUAAUUUUUGGGGUUACAGAAGUUCGCGUUAGGUACAGAUUACUACAGACUGUUCUGUUUUUGACAGAUUCUGUUUUUCGUGUAUUGUUUGCUUAUUUUGAUGAAUCUAUGGCUAGUCAAAGAGGUUAUAAACCGUAGAGAAGUUGGAAUACAGUAGGUUUAACACCAAUAUAAAUCAAGAUUGAGUUCAUAACAGUACCUUGAAGUGGUGUUUUGUUUUCUUUCGCUAACGGAGCUCACGAGAUUUUCUGUUUGAGUUUUUUGUUGUGAAGUUUUCAAGUUUUGGGUAAAGAUUUGAUGGAUUAUGGAACAAGGAGUGGCAAGAGCCUAAGCUUGGGGAUUCCCAUGGCACACCAAGGUAAAAUUAAAGGACACCAAAAAGCCUAAGCUUGGGGAUGCCCCGAAAGGCAUCCCCUCUUUCGUCUUCGUCUAUUGGUAACUUUACUUGGAGCUAUAUUUUUAUUCACCACAUGAUAUGUGUUUUGCUUGGAGCGUCUUGUAUGAUUUGAUUAUUUGAUUUUUAGUUUACCAAAAUCAUCCUUGCUGUACACACCUUUUGAGAGAGACUCACAUGAUUGGGAAUUUAUGAGAAUACUCUAUGUGCUUCACUUAUAUCUUUUGAGCUAUAUGGUUUUUGUUCUAGUUCUUCGCUUAUAUAUUUUAGAGAAUGGCGGUGGUUUUAUUUUAUAGAAAUAAUUGUUCUCUCAUGCUUCACUUAUAUUAUUUUGAUAGUCCUUUAGAACAACAUGGCAAUAAUAAAACUGUCAUACAAGUGCAUUGAAUACUAUGAGAAGUUUGAUACUUGAUAAUUGUUUUGAGAUAUGGAGAUGGUGAUAUUAGAGUCAUGCUAGUUGUGUAGUUGUGAAUUUGAGAAAUACUUGUGUUGAAGUUUGUGAUUCCCGUAGCAUGCACGUAUGGUGAACCGUUAUGUGACGAAGUCAGAUCAUGAUUUAUUUGUUGAUUGUCUUCCUUAUGAGUGGCGGUCGGGGAUGAGCAAUGGUCUUUUACUACCAAUCUAUCUCCCUAGGAGCAUGGGCAUAAUACUUUGCUUUGAUAACUUAUAGAUUUUUGCAAUAAGUAUGUGAGUUCUUUCUGAGCAAUGUUGAGUCCAUGGAUCAUACGCACUCUCACCCUUCCACCAUUGCUAGCCUCUCUAAUACCGUGCACUUCUCGCCGAUAUCAUACACCCACCAUAUACCAUCCUCAAAACAGCCACCAUACCUACCUAUUAUCACUAGUGCAGAACCGGGCAAUAGCACCGGUUCGUAAGGCCCUUUAGUGCCGGUUUAGGAACCGGCACUAUUAUUUCGGCACUAAACCCCCCCCCCUUUAGUACCGGUUCAGCACGAACCGGUGCUAAAGGGGUACCACGUGGCACGAGCCAGCUCCGGGGGCCGGGAGCCCUUUAGUACCGGUUGGUAAAACCAACCGGUACUAAAUGGUUGUGGGUUUUUGUUUUAUUUUGUAUUUUUCAAUUAAAUUUGUGUUAUCAAUUUAAAUUAGGAUUGUUUUACGUUAUAAUGAGUUGUAGUCGUCAUCAUCAUCAUCAUCAUCGCAUAUUAAUAAAUAAAUAAACUCUAGCUAGCUAAAAAUCAUCGUGGUCGUCUAAUUACCACUAUUUAAUCAUCAUAGUCAUUACCGCUAGCUAUGUAAUCAUCAUCAACGUUGGCUAGCUUAAAGAGGAAACAUUCACUUUGUAACAGAAGCAAAGAGAUAUCAUCAAGUUCAACAUAAUCAUCACCAACAUCGAAGUUCAGGACACGGAUCCAUGAGACGAGUACUAAUUAAGAGCAUGAAGUAGUAGCUACUGAUCCUGCUUCUCCCUCUCAGGUAGAAUAGCACAGAACAUGUAUAGCUCUCCUGAUUCAUCAUACUGAAGCAUGCAGAUGAAUCUGUCUCCUAAUCUUGGGUUGCGCUUCUCCUUACUGCCCCCUAGUACUUCUCUGCGAUCGUUAACAAUUUUGCUCCAAUCUUUCACUAUUAAGCAUUCUUCGCUUUUAGAAAUCCUGAAUGCACUCAUGUGCAAUGUAGGAAAUCUUGGUCGUAAGCUAACCAUUGACAUGCGACCUUUUGUCUCGAUCCACUAAGGCACAACUGUCAUCGGAAGUCCCUGUUGAACAACAUCGUAUAGUAAUUAAUAUACUAAGCAAUGAAAGUUUAGCUUUAAAAAUAAUGUACGCAAAAGAUGCACUAAUUAAGGACAAAUAUUUAAAAUCUUACCAUCUUUUGAUUAUAGAUGUGACCGUAGUUCAAGGCGAUCACCAUUGGUCGCACGUUUUGAGUACUAACAUUUCUAAGUUUAGAAAAAAAAUUGUCUUGACAGUAUUAAGAUCCUCAAGCCAUGAAACACAAUGACUUAUUUCCUCGCAGUUUAGUUGAGCCCCGAGGUAGUAGUAGGUCCUGUCUACCAAGCGCCGGACAUGUUUGCUUGAACCGAAAUAAGCUGACAAUACACAUCAGUUGUCAACUAUUUUUGAAUAAACUGUACGAAAGACAUAAACGUAUAUAUGCAUGCAUGGUUGAGAAAAACUCACCAAAUGGUAGAACUGGAGGCGUUUGCACAUCGACCCAGAUGUCUAUAUUACCUUCAAUAUCAUCUUCCGGACGAAUAUCAAAGGUGAUAACCAUAUCAGGCUCAAAUGCAUAAGCCUUGCAUAGUGCUUGCCAAGUUUUGCAUUCAAAAUGGGUGUAUGUGCCUCCAUUAUAUAAUUUGACGUUGAAAGUAUACCCAUGCUCCGUCUUCAAGUAAACUCUCUUUACCUCCAUAUCAUCUAUAGCACUAAAACCUAUCUUAUAUAAUACAAAAAUUCUUGUAUGGCAGGGGAUGCGCUAGUAGAAUAGUGAAAAUUUAAAAUUAUAAGUUGAAGCAAAUGAAGCAUAAGUUUUGCAUUCAAAUAAUAAUUGACAAAGUGGCUUACUGUAUCAACUUCAAAUGUCUCAUCCAGCUUGAUGUUGAAGCGCCUACCAUCAACAAGGAAAUUUUGGUCGCACAGGCCGCGCUGGUCUUCACAGUGUUCGCACAUAAUAAAAUCUUUUUAGUUGUCAGAUGACAUUUCCUAUGUUCAUAUAGGUGAAACAUUAAACACCUAUAUCUAGCCAAAUAUAUAUUCAUCUAACAUUUGACAUUAAUAUAUCUAACUAUAUAUUCAAUUGACAUUACUAUAUAUUUAACUUUUCUAUCUAAUUCAUCUAACAUUCGACAUUAAUCUAACAUUUAUAUAAACUCAAAAUAUAUAAAAAAUUAAAUAAACAGAAAAACUCAUUAACAAAUAAUAUUUUAAUUAGAUCAUCAAAUCUCAUAUACCUAAAUUUUCUUACUAAAAAUAAACUAGUUAUAUUAAUUAUUCAACUAGUUCUAAUCUNNNNNNNNNNNNNNNNNNNNNNNNNNNNNNNNNNNNNNNNNNNNNNNNNNNNNNNNNNNNNNNNNNNNNNNNNNNNNNNNNNNNNNNNNNNNNNNNNNNNNNNNNNNNNNNNNNNNNNNNNNNNNNNNNNNNNNNNNNNNNNNNNNNNNNNNNNNNNNNNNNNNNNNNNNNNNNNNNNNNNNNNNNNNNNNNNNNNNNNNNNNNNNNNNNNNNNNNNNNNNNNNNNNNNNNNNNNNNNNNNNNNNNNNNNNNNNNNNNNNNNNNNNNNNNNNNNNNNNNNNNNNNNNNNNNNNNNNNNNNNNNNNNNNNNNNNNNNNNNNNNNNNNNNNNNNNNNNNNNNNNNNNNNNNNNNNNNNNNNNNNNNNNNNNNNNNNNNNNNNNNNNNNNNNNNNNNNNNNNNNNNNNNNNNNNNNNNNNNNNNNNNNNNNNNNNNNNNNNNNNNNNNNNNNNNNNNNNNNNNNNNNNNNNNNNNNNNNNNNNNNNNNNNNNNNNNNNNNNNNNNNNNNNNNNNNNNNNNNNNNNNNNNNNNNNNNNNNNNNNNNNNNNNNNNNNNNNNNNNNNNNNNNNNNNNNNNNNNNNNNNNNNNNNNNNNNNNNNNNNNNNNNNNNNNNNNNNNNNNNNNNNNNNNNNNNNNNNNNNNNNNNNNNNNNNNNNNNNNNNNNNNNNNNNNNNNNNNNNNNNNNNNNNNNNNNNNNNNNNNNNNNNNNNNNNNNNNNNNNNNNNNNNNNNNNNNNNNNNNNNNNNNNNNNNNNNNNNNNNNNNNNNNNNNNNNNNNNNNNNNNNNNNNNNNNNNNNNNNNNNNNNNNNNNNNNNNNNNNNNNNNNNNNNNNNNNNNNNNNNNNNNNNNNNNNNNNNNNNNNNNNNNNNNNNNNNNNNNNNNNNNNNNNNNNNNNNNNNNNNNNNNNNNNNNNNNNNNNCGGCGGCGGGGACAGCGACGAUGACGACGGACGACGGUACGGGCGACGGGCGGCGACGACGGGAUCGAGCGGUCCGCGCGGCGGAGGUGGGAGACGAAGUGGGGAGUUGAAACUGAAAUUUUCGUAAGUGCUAUAUAUAUAUAUAUAUAUAUAUAUAUAUAUAUAUAUAUAUAUAUAUAUAUAUGAUUGGCCUUUAGUACCGAAUCGUGGCUCCAACCGGUACUAAAGGCCUAUUUUCGCCAGGCCAAGCGGCGGGAAACGAAGGCUUUUAGUACCGGUUGGAGCCACCAACCGGUACUAAAGGGGGGCCUUUAGUACCGGUUGGAGCCACCAACCGGUACUAAAGGCCUUGCGCUGCCACCCCAAAAUUUAGUCCCACCUCGCCCGGCGAAGGGCAGCCGCACUGGUUUAUAAACCUAGCCGCGGCUACCUCUUCGAACUCCUCUAUAUAGCAGCCUUCUGGGCCUAAUUAAUUAGGGCGCGCUGCCAUGUGAGUCUGCUGGCCCUUCUGGGCCUGCAUUUGCACACCCUAGGUCUGGUAGACCCACAGGGCAGUGCGCCAACAAAUUUUUUAUAUAGUUUUAUCUUUUCUGCAUUACUUAUUUUCUUUUAUUUAUUUUUGAGUAGUUUUUUAUAUAGUUUUUGUUUUCUGCAUUAUUUAUUUUCUUCUAUUUAUUUUUGAGUAAUUUUUUUGUAUAGUUUUUUUAUUUUCUGCAUUACUUAUUUUUGCAUAGUCCGAAACCCUGAUACUCGGAAAGAGUUUGUCCAGUUUGUACACGAAGUGCGUCCAGUUUUUGCCGUGACCCUCUCUACUCUUUCGCGCAUGCUAUGCGGGUGAUACGAUGAUACCAUGCCAAGUUUCAACAUUUUCAGGAUUCAUUUUGUAGUGAUUUUCAAUUUCACGGUCAUUUAGCUCUCUAAACAAUUAGGUAAAUGACUGAAAAACAACAAAUGAUGUCAGAACAUGUUGAAAAUUGAUGACGUCGCUUUAAAUGCUGCAUACUGAACACAAAAGAAGUCCGGAGUACAAAUAAGUUUAAAAAACAUUGAAGUGGCCAUGUAACAGAUGAGUUCUCGUCCGAAACCCUGAUACUCGGAAAGAGUAUGUCCAUUUUGUACACGAAGUGCGUCCAGUUUUUGCCGUGACCCUCUCUACUCUUUCGCGCAUGCUAUGCGGGUGAUAUGAUGAUACCAUGCCAAGUUUCAGCAUUUUCAGGAUUCAUUUUGUAGUGAUUUUCAAUUUCACGGUCAUUUAGCUCUCUAAACAAUUAGGUAAAUGACCGAAAAACAACAAAUGAUGUCAGAAUAGACUGCACUGCACAUAGCUCAGUGUAGACUACACUGCACAUAGCUCAGUGCAAUCUAUGUUAUUCCGCAAGGCUUGAAGCUAAUCAACAUGUAGAUGAGCAUUGCAAUUCUUCGUCAUUGUCUGUGCACUCACGGCUUAUAAACCGCUCAUACUGCCUCUCUCUUGGCGAGGUGGGACUAAAAACAACUUGCCAUAACCUCAUCAAUUUCCUCUUGAAGCUUGUCCUUGCCUUUUUGCUUGUAUUCUUGUGGUGGAAGAUCAUCUUGAGCUUGUGUCCCCUUGAAGGAAGUAGGAUACUUCUCUUGUUGAGGAACAAACUUUGUCUUGGGGUAUUGAUCUUCUUCCCACUCAACUCCAUUGGCAUUGAACUUUCGUUCAAAACCAACACCUUGAUUCUUCCAGUGCCUUCCUUGCUUGCGCACAAUUUCCUCGAAUUGCUUACUCCCGGCAAGGCUUUUGUACAUUCCUUUCUCUAUAAUUCCCUUCAAUAAGCUAUUUUCUUGCUCAAGUGUAACUUGGCUAAGAGAAUCAUUAGUGGAAUCAAGAGAACUACUAGAAGCAACAAUGUUAGAUCUUAUGUCACAAAAAAGAAGUCGUAUCAAACCUUUUAUGUCGGAUCUAGAACAAACCAAUCGGUAUCGCCAUCAUACAGCCCUACCGUGGCUUGUGAUGCAUAUAUAUAUGCAUAUCAAAUGCACGGUUGGGCGUAUGAUGGCGAAUCCGAAUGAUUUGUAUUCAGUCGAUGAACUGGUAGAUGUAUGCAGUCGAUGAACUGGUAGAUGUAUGUAGUCGAUGAACUGAAAGACUUAUGCAGGGAAGGCGAGAGAUGGGCUAUAUAUAGGGUCGUCUGGCUCACAAAGUGAUUGUGGUAGUUUCGAUCCAACGACUCACAUGAGCUAGGAAGAAGCACACCCUUGAUCCAACGACUCGCAAGAGCUAUAAAGAAACACACGAUCCAUGUGAUUCUUCCUGAUUGGUGGGAUGCACAUUAGUAUCGGUUUGUGCCAUGAACUGGUGCUAAAGAUUGGCAAUGAACCGGUACUAAUGGUAGCAGCCCGCCUAGCCGUUGGAAUCGGCACUAAUGGUCACAUUUGUGCCGGCUCAAAUUCAAACCGGCACUAUAAUGUGCUUCACAUUUGACUGUUUUUCUACUAGUCAAUAGAGUUUGCCAAACUUGAGUUUCCCAAGUCACUUACACAAAAAGCUAUGAUUCAUGGUUGUCAAAUCCAUAAUUUACAAACCACAACAACCUUGAGGCAUAACAAGCUUUAAAUGCUGCAUACUGAACACAAAAGAAGUCCAGAGUUUAAAUAAGUUAUUAAAAAUAAAAAAGAGGUGCAAUGCUGGUUAAUUUGCUUCAAGCUAUUCGGAAUAGUGUAGAUUGCACUAAGCCACUGCACAUAGCUCAGUGCAAUCUAUGCUAUUCCGCAAGGCUUGAAGCUAAUCAACAUGUAGGUGAGCAUUGCAACUCUUCGUCAUUGUCUGUGCACUCACGGCUUAUAAACCGCUCAUACUACCUCUCUCUUGGCGAGGUGGGACUAAAAACAUCUUGCCAUAACCUCAUUAGUACUGGUUCAUGGUACGAACCGGCACUAAAUGGUGAUGGUGGGGCCAUAGCCUGACCGCAGGCUGACACAGCCUCUUUAGUACCGGUUCGUGGCAUGAACCGGUACUAAAGGUUCGCCACGAACCGGUACUAUUGAUCGCCGCCACGAACCGGCACUAAUGUACACAUUAGUGCCGGCUCUAAUUCAAACCGGCACUAAUGUGCUUCACAUUUGACCCUUUUUCUACUAGUGUAUGGCAUUUCCAUAGCCAUUCCGAGAUAUAUUGCCAUGCAACUUUCCAUCGUUCCAUUAUUAUGACACACUUCAUCAUUGUCAUAUUUGCUUGCAUGAUCAUGUAGUUGGCAUCGUAUUUGUGCAAAGCCACCAUUCAUAAUUCUUCAUACAUGUCACUCUUGAUUCACUGCAUAUCCCGGUACACCGCCGGAGGCAUUCACAUAGAGUCAUAUUUUGUUCUAAGUAUCGAGUUGUAAUUCUUGAGUUGUAAGUAAAUAAAAGUGUGAUGAUCAUCAUUAUUAGAGAAUUGUCCCAAGUGAGGAAAGGAUGGAGACUAUGAUUCCACAACAAGUCGGCAUGAGACUCCGGACGAAAAUAAAAAAAGAGGGAAAAAAGAGAAAGGCCAUAAAAAAGAAGGCCCAAAAAAUGAGAGAAAAAGAGAGAAGGGGCAAUGUUACUAUCCUUUUUCCACACUUGUGCUUCAAAGUAGCACCAUCAUCUUCAUGAUAGAGAGUCUCCUAUGAUAUCACUUUCAUAUACUAGUGGGAAUUUUUCAUUAUAGAACUUGGCUUGUAUAUUCCAAUGAUGGGCUUCCUCAAAUUGCCCUAGGUCUUCGUGAGCAAGCAAGUUGGAUGCACACCCACUUAGUUUCUUUUGUUGAGCUUUCAUACACUUAUAGCUCUAGUGCAUCCGUUGCAUGGCAAUCCCUACUCAAUCACAUUGAUAUCUAUUAAUGGGCAUCUCCAUAGCCCGUUGAUACGCCUGUUCUGGAGCUCCGCCAGAGGGGGCAUCGAUCACGGAGGGCUUCUACAUCAACAGCAUAGCCUCUCCGAUGAAGUGUGAGUAGUUGACCUCAGACCUACGGGUCCAUAGUUAUUACCUAGAUGGCUUCUUCUCUCUUUUUGGAUCUCAAUACAAUGUUCUCCCCCUCUCUUGUGGAGAACUAUUCGAUGUAAUCUUCUUUUUGCGGUGUGUUUAUUGAGAUCGAUGAAUUGUGGGUUUAUGAUCAAGUCUAUCUAUGAAUAAUAUUUGAAUCUUCUCUGAAUUCUUUUAUGUAUGAUUGUUUAUCUUUGCAAGUCUCCUCGAAUUAUCAGUUUGGUUUGGCCUACUAGAUUGAUCUUUCUUACAAUGGGAGAAGUGCUUAGCUUUGGGUUCAAUCUUGCGGUGUCCUUUCCCAGUGACAGCAGGGGCAGCAAGGCAUGUAUUGUAUUGUUGCUAUCGAGGACAACAAGAUGAGGUUUUCAUCAUAUUGCAUGAGUCUAUCCCUCUACAUCAUGUCAUCUAGCUUAAGGCGUUACUCUGUUUUUAACUUAAUACUCUAGAUGCAUGCUGGAUAGCGGUCGAUGAGUGGAGUAAUAGUAGUAGAUGCAGGCAGGAGUCGGUCUACUUGUCUCGGACGUGAUGCCUAUAUACAUGAUCAUACCUAGAUAUUCUCAUAAAUAUGCUCAAUUAUGUCAAUUGCUCAACAGUAAUUUGUUCACCCACCAUAGAAUUAUUAUGCUCUCGAGAGAAUCUACUAGUGAAACCUAUGGCCCCCGGGUCUAUCUUUAUCAUAUUAAUCUCCUACUACUUAGUUAUUUCCUUUGCUUUUUCCUUUGCCUUUAUUUUACUUUUCAUCUUUAUCACAAAAAUACCAAACAUAUUAUCUUUAUCAUAUCUAUCAGAUCUCACUCUCAUAAGUGGCCGUGUAGGGAUUGACAACCCCUAUUCGCGUUGGUUGCGAGGAUUUAUUUGUUUUGUGCAAGUACGAGGGACUCGCGCGUAGCCUCCUACUGGAUUGAUACCCUUGGUUCUCAAACUGAGGGAAAUACUUACGCUACUUUGCUACAUCAUCCCUUCCUCUUCGGGGAAAACCAACGCAGUGCUCAAGAGGUAGCAAGAAGGAUUUCUGGUGCCAAUGCCGGGGAGGUCUACGCAAAAGUCAACAUACCAAGUACCCGUCACAUACCCUUAUCUCCCGCAUUACAUUAUUUGCCAUUUGCCUCUCGUUUUCACCUCCCCCACUUCACCCUUGCCAUUUUAUUCGCCCUCUCUCUCUCUCUAUCCUCCCUCUCUUUCUCUAUUUGCCUCUUUUUUCCCGCUUGCUUUCUGUUUGCUUGUGUGUUAGUUGCUUGCUUGUCACGAUGGCUCAAGAUAAUACUAAAUUAUGUGACUUCACCAAUACCAACAACAAUCAUUUUAUUAGCACUCCGAUUGCUCCUCUUACCGAUGCUGAAUCUUGUGAAAUUAAUACUGCUUUGCUGAAUCUUGUCAUGAAAGAUCUGUUUUCCGGCCUUCCUAGUGAACAUGCCGGUACCCACCUAAAUAGAUUCAUUGAUUUGUGUGACAUGCAAAAAAAAGAAAGGUGUGGAUAAUGAUAUUGUUAAAUUGAAGCUAUUUCCUUUUUUGCUUAGAGAUCGUGCUAAAGCUUGGUUUUCGUCUUUGCCUAAAAAUAGUAUUGAUUCAUGGAAUAAGUGCAAAGAUGCUAUUAUCUCUAAGUAUUUUCCUCCUACUAAGAUCAUCUCUCUUAGAAACAAUAUUAUGAAUUUUAAGCAACUUGAUCAUGAACAUGUUGCACAAGCUUGGGAGAGAAUGAAACUAAUGGUACGUAAUUGCCCUGCCCAUGAUUUAAAUUUGUGGAUGAUUAUACAAAAAUGUUAUGCCGGAUUGAAUUUUGCUUCUAGAAAUCUUUUAGAUUCGGCCGCGGGAGGCACUUUUAUGGAAAUCACUUUAGAAGAAUCUACUAAACUCCUAGAUAAUAUUAUGGUUAAUUAUGCUCAACGGCAUAGUAAAAUAUCUAAUAAUAAAAAGGUGCAUGCGAUACAAGAAAUUAAUGUUUUGAGUGGAAAGAUGGAUGAACUUCUGAAAUUAUUUGCUAAUAAGAGUGUUUCUUCUGAUCCUAAUGAUAUACCCUUGUCUACUUUGAUUGAGAAUAGUAAUGAAUCUAUGGAUGUGGAUUUUGUUGGUAGGAACAAUUUUGGUAACAACGCGUAUAGAGGAAAUUUCAACCCUAGGCCUUAUCCUAGUAAUCUCUCUAAUAAUUAUGGUAAUUCCUACAACAAUUCUUAUGGAAAUUAUAAUAAGAUGCCCUCUAAUUUUGAAUCUAAUAUUAAAGAAUUUAUUACUUUGCAAAAGAAUUUCAAUACCUUGAUUGAAGAAGAACCGCUAGGAUGCGUGCUAAGAAAGAUGCCUUUAUAAGAGCGUGUUCUUCUAGUUCCUAUGAAAAUAAUGAUGAAGAUCUAAAAGUUAUUGAUGUGUUCCCUAUUAAAUCUUUGUUUUUCAACAUGGAUCUUGAUAAUGAUGGGAUUGAAUAUGAUCCACCUUUACCUAUAAGGCGUUCCAAGAAUUCAGAAUUUGUUGAUCUUGAUGCUAAAAUUGAUAAAGGUGGGAUUGAAGAAAUUAAAACCCUAGAUGUUGCUAAACCCACUAUUAUGGAUUUCAAGGAAUUUAACUAUGAAAAUUGCUCUUUUAUUGAUUGUAUAUCCUUUUUACAAUCCGUGCUAAAUUCUCCUCAUGCUUAUAGUCAAAAUAAAGCGUUUACUAAACAUAUCGUUGAUGCCUUGAUGCAAUCUUAUGAAGAAAAACUUGAAUUGGAAGUUUCUAUCCCUAGAAAGCUUUAUGAUGAGUGGGAACCAACUAUUAAAAUUAAAAUUAAAUAUCAUUAAUGCUAUGCUUUAUGUGAUUUGGGUGCUAGUGUUUCCACGAUUUCAAAGACUUUGUGUGAUUUGUUAGGUUUCCGUGAUUUUGAUGAUUGCUCUUUAAACUUGCGCCUUGUGGAUUCCACUAUUAAGAAACCUAUGGGAAGAAUUAAUGAUGUUCUUAUUGAUGCAAAUAGGAAUUAUGUGCCUGUAGAUUUUAUUGUUCUUGACAUAGAUUGCAAUCUUUCAUGUCCUAUUAUUCUUGGUAGACCUUUCCUUAGAACGAUUGGUGCAAUUAUUGAUAUGAAGGAAGGAAAUAUUAGAUUCCAAUUUCCAUUAAGGAAAGUCAUGGAACACUUUACUAGAAAGUAAAUUAAAUUACCUUAUGAAUCUAUUAUGAUAGCCACUUAUGGAUUGCCUACCAAAGAUGGCAAUACCUAGAUCUAUCCUUGCUUGUUAUGCCUAGCUAGGGGCGUUAAACGAUAGCGCUUGUUGGGAGGCAACGCAAUUUUGUUUUUAUUCCUUGAUUUUUGCUCCUGUUUAGUAAUAAAUAAUUUAUCUAGCCUCUGUUUUGGUUGUGUCCUUUGUGUUUAAUUAGUGUUGGUGCCAAGUAGAACCGUUAGGAAGACUUGGGGAAAGUCUUGUUACACUUGCUGUAAAAAACAGAAACUUCAGCGCUCACGAGAACUACUGCCAUUUUUAUUUGGAAAGUUCUAUUUAGUUAAUUAUUUCUGCAGAUGAUUAAUAGAUAAAUUCCUCACGUCCAGAAAUUUAUUUUAGAAUUUUUGGGGUUCCAGCUCUUGAGCUAGGUACAGAUUACUACAGACUGUUCUGUUUUUGAAAGAUUUUGUUUUUCAUGUGUUGUUUGCUUAUUUUGAUGAACCUAUGGCUAGUAAAAUAGUUGAUAGACCAUAGAUAAGUUGGAAUACAGUAGGUAUAACACCAAUAUAAAUAAAUAAUGAGUUCAUUAUAGUACCUUGAAGUGGUCUUUUAUUUUCUUUCGCUAACGGAGCUCACGAGAUUUUCUACUUUAAGUUUUGUGUUGUGAAGUUUUCGAGUUUUGGGUAAAGAUUUGAUGGUUUAUGGAACAAGGAGUGACAAGAGCCUAAGCUUGGGGAUGCCCAUGGCACCCCCAAGAUAAUCUAAGUACACCUAAAAGCCAAAGCUUGGGGAUGCCCCGGAAGUCAUCCCCUCUUUCGUCUACUUCUAUCGGUAACUUUACUUGGAGCUAUAUUUUUAUUCGCCACAUGAUAUGUGUUUUGCUUGGAGCAUCUUGUAUUAUUUGACUCUUUAUUUGUUAGUUUACCACAAUCAUCCUUCCUGUACACACCUUUUUUAGAAUACUCUAUGUGCUUCGCUUAUAUCUUUUGAGUUAUAUAGUUUUGCUCUAGUACUUCACUUAUAUCUUUUAGAGCACGGUGGUGGAUUUGUUUUAUAAAAACUAUUGAUCUCUCAUGCUUCACUUAGAUUAUUUUGAGAUGCUUAAUAGCAUGGUAAUUUGCUUAAAAUCCUAAUAUGCUAGGUAUUCAAAGUUAGUAUAAUUUUCUUAAGAGUGUUUUGAAUACUAAGAGAAGUUUGAUGCUUGAUGAUUGUUUUGAGAUAUGGAGGUAAUAAUAUCAAAGUCGUGCUAGUUGAGUAGUUGUGAAAUUGAGAAAUACUUGUGUUGAAAUUUGCAUGUCCCGUAGCAUGCACAUAUGGUAAACGUUGUGUAACAAAUUUGAAACAUCAGGUGUUAUUUGAUUGUCUUCCUUAUGAGUGGCGGUCGGGGACGAGCGAUGGUCUUUUCCUACCAAUCUAUCCCCCUAGGAGCAUGCGCGUAGUACCGAGGUUUUUGAUCACUUGUAGAUUUUUGCAAUAAGUAUGUGAGUUCUUUAUGACUAAUGUUGAGUCCAUGAAUUAUACGCACUCUCACCCUUCCAUCCUUGCUAGCCUCUUCGGUACCGUGCAUUGCCCUUUCCCACAUUGAGUGUUGGAGCAAACUUCGCCGGUGCAUCCAAACCCCGUGAUAUGAUACGCUCUUUCACACAUAAACCUCCUUAUAUCUUCCUCAAAACAGCCACCAUACCUACCUAUUAUGGCAUUUCCAUAGCCAUUCCGACAUAUAUUGCCAUGCAACUUUCCACCAUUCCGUUCAUCAUGACACAUUCAUCAUUGUCAUAUUGCUUAGCAUAAUCAUGUUGUUGACAUAGUAUUUGUGGCAAGGCCACUGUUCAUAAUUCUUUCAUACAUGUCACUCUUGGUCCAUUGCAUAUCCCGGUACACCGCUGGAGGCAUUCAUAUAGAGUCAUACUUUGUUCUAGUAUCGAGUAGUAAUUAUUGAGUUGUAAAUAAAUAGAAGUGUGAUGAUCAUCAUUAAUAGAGCAUGGUCCCAAAGAGAGAAAAAAGGAAGGGCCAAAAAAGGCCAAAUAAAAAAUAUAAAAAAGGGGGGCAAUGCUACUAUCCUUUUUUCCACACUUGUGAUUCAAAGUAGCACUGUAAUCUUCAUGAUAGAGAGUAUCUUGAUUUGUCACUUUCAUAUACUAGUGGGAAUUUUUCAUUAUAGAACUUGGCUUGUAUAUUCCAACAAUGGGCCUCCUUAAGUGCCCUAGGUCUUCGUGAGCAAGCAAGUUGGAUGCACACCCACUUAGUUUCUUUUGUUGAGCUUUCAUACAUUUAUAGCUCUAGUGCAUCCGUUGCAUGGCAAUCCCUACUCCUUGCAUUAACAUCAAUCGAUGGGCAUCUCCAUAGCCCAUUGAUUAGCCUCGUUGAUGUGAGACUUUCUCCUUUUUGUCUUCUCCACAUAACUCCACUCAUUAUAUUCUAUUCCACCCAUAGUGUUAUGUCCAUGGCUUGCAAUCAUAUAUUGCGUGGAAGUUUAUAGGUUUGAGAUCACUAAAGUAUGAAACAAUUGCUUAGCUUGUCAUCGGGGUUGUGCAUGAUGAGAGCGUUGUUGUGUGACAAAAAUGAAGCAUGACUAAACUAUAUGAUUUUGUAGGGAUGAACUUUCUUUGGCCAUGUUAUUUUGAGAAGACAUAAUUGCUCAGUUAGUAUGCUUGAAGUAUUAUUAUUUUUAUGUCAAUAUGAACUUUUGUCUUGAAUCUUUCGGAUCUGAAUAUUCAUAUCACAAUUAAGAAGAAUUACAUUAAAAUCAUGCUAAGUAGCACUCUGCAUCAAAAAUUCUGUUUUUAUCAUUUACCUACUCGAGGACGAGCAGGAAUUAAGCUUGGGGAUGCUUGAUACGUCUCCAACGUAUCUAUAAUUUUUGAUUGCUCCAUGCUAUAUUAUCUACUGUUUUGGACAAUAUUGGGCUUUAUUAUCCACUUUUAUAUUAUUUUUGGGACUAACCUAUUAACCGGAGGCCCAGCCCAGGAUUGCUGUUUUUUGCCUAUUUUAGGGUUUCGAAGAAAAGGAAUAUCAAACGGAGUCCAAACGGAAUGAAACCUUCGGGAACGUGAUUUUCUCAACGAACAAGACCCAGGAGACUUGGACCCUCCGUCAAGACACAAAAGAGGAGGCCACGAGGUAGGGGGCGUGCCUACCCCCCGGGCGCGCCCUCCACCCUCGUGGGCCCCCUGUUGCUCCACCGACGUACUCCUUCCUCCUAUAUAUACCUACGUACCCCCAAAUGAUCAUAUACGGAGCCAAAACCCUAAUUACACCGCCGCAACAUUUUGUAUCCACGAGAUCCCAUCUUGGCGCCUGUUCCGGAGCUCCGCCGGAGGGGGCAUCGAUCAUGGAGGGCUUCUACAUCAACACCAUAGCCUCUCCGAUGAAGUGUGAGUAGUUGACCUCAGACCUACGGGUCCAUAGUUAUUACCUAGAUGGCUUCUUCUCUCUUUUUGGAUCUCAAUACAAUGUGCUCCCCCUCUCUUGUGGAGAACUAUUCGAUGUAAUCUUCUUUUUGUGGUGUGUUUGUUGAGACCGAUGAAUUUUGGGUUUAUGAUCAAGUCUAUCUAUGAAUAAUAUUUGAAUCUUCUCUGAAUUCUUUUAUGUAUGAUUGGUUAUCUUUGCAAGUCUCUUCGAAUUACCCGUUUGGUUUGGCCUACUAGAUUGAUCUUUCUUGCAAUGGGAGAAGUGCUUAGCUUUGGGUUCAAUCUUGCGGUGUCCUUUCCCAGUGACAGUAGGGGCAGCAAGGUACGUAUUGUAUUGUUGCCAUCGAGGACAACAAGAUGGGGUUUUCAUCAUAUUUUAUGAGUCUAUCCCUCUACAUCAUGUCAUCUUACUUAAGGCAUUAAUCUGUUUUUAACUUAAUACUCUAGAUGCAUGCUGGAUAGCGGUCGAUGAGUGGAGUAAUAGUAGUAGAUGCAGGCAGGAGUCGGUCUACUUGUCUCGGACGUGAUGCCUAUAUACAUGAUCAUACCUAGAUAAUCUCAUAACUAUGCUCAGUUCUGUCAAUUGCUCAAUAGUAAUUUGUUCACCCACCGUAGAAUACUUAUGCUCUUGAGAGAAGCCACUAGUGAAACCUAUGGCCCCCGGGUCUAUCUUUAUCAUAUUAAUCUCCUACUACUUAGUUAUUUCCUUUGCUUUUUUACUUUGCCUUUAUUUUACUUUGCAUCUUUAUCACAAAAAUAAAAAUAUCUUUAUCAUAUCUAUCAAAUCUCACUCUCGUAAGUGGCCGUGUAGGGAUUGACAACCCCUAUUCACGUUGGUUGCGAGGAUUUAUUUGUUUUGUGCAGGUACGAGGGACUGGCGCAUAGCCUCCUACUGGAUUGAUACCUUGGUUCUCAAAACCUAAGGGAAAUACUUACGCUACAUUGCUGCAUCAUCCCUCACUCUUCGGGGAAAACCAACGCAGUGCGCAAGAGGUAGCAAGGGUUCCUUUUUGUCGACGAUCUGAUGUUUCAACCUUGUUUUCCAGGCGGCCAACGCAUCGCUCAACUUGGUCAUGGCGUGUUUGUUUAUCUUCGUCAUUGCCAGGUCCUUAUCUGGAUCUUUAUUAUCCUUUUCAUUACGGUCCGGGAACAAGAAUAUCUGGUGCAGCUUCUUUAGGAGGGAGGGCCUCUGGUGCAGCUUCUAUAGUUUCCCAUCGUUGAUCAUGGCAGUUGUCCGUACAAUGCAACCUAUUUGAUUGCCGUAGCACGAUUGCGCUUCCUCGGGUGCUAUUGUCUCAAAAAUACCGUCGUCCAUCUCCGUGACCACCAGUCUAGUACUCAUGAGCUGGUUUAGGCGUCGUGGCCUCUUUGCUUUCGGUUCUAGACUAACUCCGCUAGUCUCGGCGCUGGUCUCAGUCUCAUCGCCGGUCUGCAUGUCGGUAUCAGUCCCUGAUGCGACAACACAGUCGCUGCAACAUGGGUAAGGGAGACCACAUCAGUGCUGGGGGGUCCGAAAAUCGGGACACACUUUCGCGCGUCGCGGGCCGCCUCUCAGACAGCUACUGGGGAGGCGGCGGAGUACCUGGGUGCGCCGCGAAUCCCCGGGAACUCGGUGACCAACUUCCUUCCCGUGUGGCGCAUGGAGACGACAGCGACCCCGGCGAAGAGUAGCUUAGCCGCGAGCUGCACAGCCUCGUCCACCUCCUAAGUUGGGACCUCCGCGCAAGCGUUGCGGGGCCGCCGCUCGGGUGGCUUCUGGAAGGCGGUUGUACAUGGGCACAGGGUGAAUCCCGACUAGAGCUGGCCAUUGGCGCGCGCAAGUAGACGACGACGUCCCCGACGAAGAGCUGCCCGGCCAGCUCGCCUCACUCUCCUUUGAUUAGAAAUGAAAGAUUGGGAAGAAGCAGACUUGAGCCUGCAGAGAAAGGAUAAGGUGACGAUGCAGUCUCCACUCGUUCGGGGCGACACGCGUACUGAAUGUAUGAGAAACGUGACGUGGCAGAGACCCCAAGAUACUCCCUCCAUUUAUUUUUAGUCUGCAUAUAAAGUUUGGUCAAAGUCAAGAUUUGUAAAUUUUAACUAACUUUAUAAUAAAAAAAUAUCAAUAUUCACAAUAUGAAAUCAAUAUUACCAGAUGCGUCAUGAAAUGUAUUUCCAUACUAUAAAGUUUUGGUAUUGUAGAGGCACUCUUCCAUAUAAUGAAGUUUAUAAUAUAUGUGCUUAUAUUGUACUACAAUUGUUUGAAUAGCUUAGCAUAUGUUCAGAUGUAUGAUAUCUGUAAUUUAAGCGCUUGAAUUUUACAUAUAAAUAUUUAUUAAUAAAUAUGUACCCCUAUAAUAGCUAGGCCGUGCAGUUGCACGGGUAGAUGACUAGUGAUUACAAUCUUGUUUGUGUGCAAGUCAAGCUUAUCUAGUUUACACGUAACAACUUGUAGAACAUUACAAAAUUUAUGCUUGCUAAUAACUUCUAGAACACUACAACACUUGACAUGUAAAAGGAAUUUGACGAGUCAUGGCCUACUAAAGCAAGUUACAUUACUAGUCUUAUCUAUCUUAACAGACCACACAAGAUUACAAACUAAGUACCGUGACAGCCAUACUUAUCUAGUUUAUGCGUAACAAUUUGCAGAAAAUUAGAAACUUAGUUUCAGAAAAAUACGCAAUCUAGAUUAGUGUUUGAGCUGUAAAGUGAAUAAGAUGAGUCAUGCAUGUUAUCACACCUUUUUGGUGGUGGAAUGAUAGUGCAACAACAAGGAACUUUAAUGACCAGUCCAAGAAUACACUUGUAAGUAGUGCCACCAAACAGAACAUUCCAAAUGAUGAUUUUUAGAAGCAUCCAAGCACUUUCCACACAAACAAAUGCCAAUUGUGAAAGAGAUCAUUCCAUGGCAGCUAUAAAUAGCCCCAUAGCAUGACGAUCAUCCUUCCUCAUCCAUCAUUCUCAUUAGUAGAGCGCAUCAUUUAAGCCAAGCAAGCUGUGGUCAAUACAAAUCCACCAUGAAGACCUUUCUCAUCCUUGCCCUCCUUGCUAUCGUGGCGACCACCGCCACAACUGCAGUUAGAGUUCCAGUGCCACAAUUGCAGCCACAAAAUCCAUCUCAGCAACAGCCACAAGAGCAAGUUCCAUUGGUACAACAACAACAAUUUCUAGGGCAGCAACAACCAUUUCCACCACAACAACCAUAUCCACAGCCGCAACCAUUUCCAUCACAACAACCAUAUCUGCAGCUGCAACCAUUUCCGCAGCCGCAACUACCAUAUUCGCAGCCACAACCAUUUCGACCACAACAACCAUAUCCACAACCGCAACCACAGUAUUCGCAACCACAAGAACCAAUUUCACAGCAGCAGCAACAACAACAACAACAACAACAAAUCCUUCAACAAAUUUUGCAACAACAACUGAUUCCAUGCAUGGAUGUUGUAUUGCAGCAACACAACAUAGCGCAUGGAAGAUCACAAGUUUUGCAACAAAGUACUUACCAGCUAUUGCAAGAAUUGUGUUGUCAGCACCUAUGGCAGAUCCCUGAGCAGUCGCAGUGCCAGGCCAUCCAAAAUGUUGUUCAUGCUAUUAUUCUGCAUCAACAACAAAAACAACAACAACAACCAUCGAGCCAGGUCUCCUUCCAACAGCCUCUGCAACAAUAUCCAUUAGGCCAGGGCUCCUUCCGGCCAUCUCAGCAAAACCCACAGGACCAGGGCUCUGUCCAGCCUCAACAACUGCCCCAGUUCGAGGAAAUAAGGAACCUAGCGCUACAGACGCUACCUGCAAUGUGCAAUGUCUACAUCCCUCCAUAUUGCACCAUCGCGCCAUUUGGCAUCUUCGGUACUAACUGAGAAGAAAAUAACUCUAGUACUAGAUAUAU
rnacentral:lncRNA from 1 species